rnacentral:lncRNA from 1 species
UGUUGCCAGCUCCGAUCCACAUCAGUUGAUGACGUGUUGUUUACACCAAAUUUGACUUGUACACAAUAUCCGUUAUUACAAGAGUUAGAGAAAGACGCCAAUUCAAACCAUCAUUUGGUGACACAUUUUUUAAGAGCAAUCGUAGAACCUAUAUUUGUUAAGUGAAGCCAAUGUUAUGCUGAAGCAAACAAAAGAUUAUGACGAUUGGGGAUGGUCAAGUUCACAUUUCACUUCUUAUCUUUCCUCCCUCUCUCUUUUAGAGUAAAGAUCAUUUGUAGUAUUUCGUGGCUACCAAAUAUUCAAAUACUCCAGGGAACAUUGGAGAUGUAAAAUUCUGUAUUAUAUAAUAGGAGGAAUUUCUUUCUUUUUUUUCCUAAAUGGAUUAUCAGGUAAGCUGUCAUUAUUUGCAAUAGUAAUAGGCUCUUUAUUAUGAUGUGCAGUUGCACAUGUCCAUGUGUGUGCACGUAUACGUGUGUGUGUGAAAUGUGGAAUAAUGAUAUUUGUAAGCAAUGCACUGCAAACAACAAUCUAUUCUUACCUAUUAGCAAUUAGCAUUCUAUGUAGAGGUAUUGUUACUGCCACAUUUUCCUAUAAUUUUAGAGUAAGGAUAUUUGUAAGCAUUGUACUAAAAACAACAAUUUGUAUGACAGUGAGAUAUCUAUCUCAUUCUCCUAUGAAUUGAGUUCGGUUUAAUUUAUUGAAGAAUGUGAUAGUGAUCCCAUUGUUACAUCAAAUAUUGGUAAUAAGUACUGUCAUAAACUUAGCAUACAUUUAAUUUAUUGAAGAAUGUUACAAUAAUCCACUGUUGCAUGGAUGGUUGAUGGAUAAGUACUACUUACAAAGAGUAUUACUCCUUAAAAAUGGAAAUUUACUAGGGAUAUGAAGCCAAGUGGACAAAUAUCUGGACAAAUAUCAGACCUUGCUAAAGAAAUUUCACUCUUAACAAAUACAAUUCUCCAUGAUAGACCAUAUGAAAAAUCAAAAUUGAGGUACAUUCUAACAAUAUCCCUCUACACCCAUCUCACCCUUUUAACUAUUUACCCACCAACACCCACACUUUAUAUAUAAAUGUUUUUUCUUGUUUUUUUUCUCAAUUUUCAGGGUCAAAAUGUCAAACAAAGUUAAAAUAUUAGAAUUUUAAUAUCAUUUUGAAGUGCUCAUAGCUUGGCUUCUCGCAUCAUUAACAGCGCAUGAAAUGACCGACCACAGCAAAAGUUACAAUGCGUCAAAAUAGGUCAUUCAAAAUUAGUAUUUCAAGAAUUUCGAUAAUAUACUAACUUUAAAAAUUUGUUGGCGAUCGUAUACUAACUGAAUUCAUAAAUUGCUUGUCAUCUUGAUCCAAACAGAUAUAGGUUGUACAUUGAAAAUAAUUAAAUUAUUUGAAAAUUUUUGACGUCAUGUGUCAUGUAAAAUUAUCCUAAUAAAAUGAUGUAAAUUAUAUUAAUAUAUUUGUUGAGCAAAAAUAAUAAACGUUAAUGAAAUAAUUGAAAAAUUUUAAAGGAAAAAAUGAGUUAUGCAUCUCUUUUUGACACGAUCAUUUAAUUAUUUUUGAUAUUCAAAUUUUGGAUCAUUCGAUAUGUCUACGAUAUAAUUCUUUAAACUAAAGCAAAUUUUUAAAAUUAGCAUAUUAUCGAAAUUCUCUAAAUACUAGUUUGGAAUGACAUAUUUUAAGACAUCAUAACUUUCGCUACGAUUGACAGUUUUACGCGCCGUUAACGAUGCAAAGAAUUAGACCGUGAGCACUUCAAAAUAAUAUUUAAAAUGUGAUAUUUCGAUUUCAUUUGACAUUCCAUAAUGACCUCAAAAAUUGAGAUGAAAACAAGGGAAAAAAAAAACCUUUAUAUAUGAAGAAUGAGUGAUAAGGAUGGUGAGGGGUAGGUGUGGGGUGGGGUAAAAAGGUUGGGGGUCGGUAAAAAGUUAAAAAAUUGGGCAAGUGUAGGGGAAAACAAAAGUUGCCACAUUAGUAGUGGGUAGAAUGUUCUCCUGCACACCAUUGCCAGCAGAGCAAUUCUACGAAAAAUAAUACGCGAAGAAUUAAUUUCAUAAUUUGUGAUCGAUAAAAAGUUAUAACCUAUAAAAUUUGUGAUUUUAAGUGUAACGUUUUGUAACUGUGACUAAUACGCAACUGUGAUCAUAAACUGUAUGAUAUUGCGAUCUUAAUUUAUUAAUUAUAUAUUUAAUUAAUGUACUAAAUUUAAUAUUUAUGACCCGGGUUUUGGAAAAUAAAAAAAUAAAAAUCUCAAGUUCGUCAAAAUUGAAAUUGUAACUUAAAAUCUAUCUAAUUAUGUAUUCUUCCCAUUAUAAAAAGUAAUGGUGGAUAUAAUUUACCCAUUGAAAAAUGCAAAAUCCUCCAUUUGACUAGAGGAACCGGCUGUUUCGGCAGAGUUAUAUAUCGAAUUUUACUUGUCAUGCUGAGGUCGAGGGCUAAGAUCUCUAGCUUACGCGUAUAUAGGCAGGGGCGGAUCCAAGCAUGAGCUCCACUAUGCUAUAGCCCGUGUUCGCCCCUGAAAAUGUCUACUGUAUUUUAUUAUUAUUAUUAUUAUUAUUAUUAUUAUUAUUAUUAUUAUUAUUAUUUUAUUGAAACAUAAAUCGAUGUAUAUUUGUAUUGUAACCCGUGUCCAAACUCAAGGCUGGAUCCGCCAUUGAUAUAGGCGUUUAUUUCUAACCAAGUAAUGAACACCAUCACUACUAGUAGUUGAAGUGGGUAGAUAUACAACAGUUACCAUCUAAAAAUGGACCAAAAGUAGUUCAAUGUGUUAUAGCAGAUCGAUGACCACACACCAUGAGCCAUCUAGGUAUCAACUGAUCAUUUACUAUCCUAGAUUAAGAAUAAGUCAUUUUAAGUGAAGUGUGACCUCCCAUUUCCCUUGAGGAGACCCACUGAUCAUUUACUAUCCUAGAUUAAGAAUAAGUCAUUUUAAGUGAAGUGUGACCUCCCAUUUCCCUUGAGGAGACCCAAACUAACCAUAAUCGUAUAGAAUAGAUGUAGUUCAUAAUCACAAAUCAACAUAGAAUCAAGUAGAAAUAAUACAACCAACAGACGGUAUACUCUGUUACAUUAAAUGUUGUUUUAUUGAAUUUCUCAACAGACGUUAAAAUGUUAUCAAACCUCUGUUUGAGUCUCAUUCUUUCAAAAAUUCAGUUUUUCAAAACUCAUUUUCAACCACACAUCCUUCAAUAAAAUAAUAUUACACGUAAAUUCAAAAUUUUUUUUUUUACUUUUUAACCAUAUAUUCUCCAUCAAUCUACUAUUCAAAAUGCAUUAUUUUCCAAAAAAUGGGGCUCAAGCUAAGUGAAGACUUUACAACAAUGUAAAUGGUAUUCUAGCAAUCAAUAUUCCAGUUUCAAGUUGAACUGAAAUUAAGAAAAGAAACAUGUUGACCAGCCUCAAAAAAUGGUCAUAUAAAGAUAUUAGAAAGCACAUAGCAGUCAAGUGUGUGGAUGGAACCACCUUUACAACAAGAAGAGAAACUGGAUGACAGGCAACAAAUACAGUAUCAUAAAGCACAGCUAAUUGAAGCUAUAGGAAUUAGAAAAAUACAUACCUCGAUAGAUUGUAUGAGACUCUUAUGUAUACGUAAUAGUCUAGUUCAGUACAUUUGAUCAGCCAAGAAGAGGAUUAAGAACGUUCCCAAUGAAUAGCACUACCCCAGUCAUAUCUUCCCUGAUGAUGAACAAAAAUGGAUGAUCGGCAACAAAAUCGAACUCAUCCUCGACUAAUAAACCCCUCAGUUUAACAAGACCAGCAGAAGCAGCAGCAGCUUCCGUGCCUUCUUCAUUUACCUCAAUAAAUGACUUGUGGAAAAUGCUAGAAACAUAAAGGUUCUGACCAACUUGUGAGUCCACCAUCUCUGUGAGACCACCACCAGAAAAAGGCAACACGACUCACAGUCCCUUCAGAACUUCCGAGGCUUCAAACCCAAAUGACAAUUUGAAUUUUGGGAUACGGAAUUCACCAACUUCGACCUUUUGAUAUGGGAGGUGAUGCUCCAAGAAUCCUGAUUCCGAACUGACUUUCUCUACCAAAGCCAGCAAUCCAUCUUUGGUGUCUGGAAGAAGGAAGUUCAUAGAGAACUUGCGCUUAUCUUCACCUUGCUUAUACGGAAGGCUCAAAAUUUUGAAACCAUCAAAGGAACGUAUAUAUUGCUUCUUCUUGCUACUCAUGAAGGGUACUUGUACUGAGCUCCCAUCUAGGAGGAAAAAGUCAUGGUCCUUUGUAAUUGAUGCAUCAAACUUCUCACUCCAAGCUCCUUUGAAAUACACUGCAUUUGCAAAGAUGAGCCUCGUGGAAGCAUCGACUGAGCCAGGUGGAAGAAUUUCUUCGACAAGGCCACUUGUUUCCUUUUCAGCCCAUUGAUUGACUUCACCGAUUACCUCAACAGCCUUCAGAAAUAUCAAGAAUAAAGAACAUAACAAUUAAUACAUUGUUAAAGAAAUUUACUUGCAGAAGUAGAAGUUCUACAACAUGAAUGAUUUCACCCAGCCAGUUCCUCUUUCUCCUACAACUCAAGGUGUACAAGCAGAUAAAUAAUUGUUUACAGCAUGAAUUCGUUGACAUUACAAUAGAAACUAUUUCUUUGUAAGGUUUAUUCUAAAUGUCAUGGGCCAUGAGUACCAUUUACAGAUAUACUUGAAACAGAAGUUGGUUACAUGCUUAUGAACAUAACCACCACCAAAAAACAAAAGCAAAAGCAAAGCCGUCCCCAAUAAAUUUGGAGUCAGGGAGCUAGAAGCAUUUUUCAUCCAUUCGACAGGGAUUUCUUGGUGACCAAUACUAACAUGAAGACAAGAAUAAAUCGGAUGUUAUCCAUUUGAUAUUUUCAUAAUAUCAAACUAUCACAAUUCUGUAAACAAUUACAGAAUUUACAAUUUUAAAAAAAAAAAAAAAGGAGGAUAAAAAUAAUGCAAAUUUUCUUACAAUGUGAAGCACCACAUGGAUUUACAACCACUGGUGUAUGGCAAGUGUUUUAAAGUUUAAAAUUACAUGUCAUUCUAUUUUGGUAUUUGGGAAGAUGAAAUCUAAGUAAUUAGGAGAAAAUGCCUUCGGCUUGCUUGGGCUUAGUUUAGCAACUUUUGAACGUACAAAGGUCAAGUUUUCAGUUAGAAACAGAAAAAAGUGAAAAUUUUUAAAAAAUGAGAGAUAUAAUCUUCAAUGAUUUAACCUGGGUCAAACCUUACGAGAUCCUAUAGUACAAUUUUGACAUGAAGCAGCCUUCCAAUUGGGUCUAUGGUGAAGGACAAAACCUUUCAGUUGUUUUUUCAUACUUAUGACAUUCCAAUAUGCUGUUAAAUAAAUGAAAUCAAGUUCAAGUUAAUCGCAACUUAAUAACCAAGAUUUAUUGAAUAGCCAAGGUCAAACUCAAUUCCAUUGAAACUUGGAAAAUUCAUACAAUAAACAAAUCGUUCUUUGAGAUAUACUGACUCGGACCAAACAAGUUUGUUAAUGGAAAUCCAAAAUCUAUAUUUAAUUCAAGCUCAAAUUCCUCCAGCUAAACUUGCUUGUGUUUAUUUACAUAGUAACAUGUUUGGGAGUGUUUUUAAACAGUUCAAAUUAUAAAUGGAUAGAAAUGAGCGGUUCCUCAAAAUGUGUAAAUAAACAGAGUGUUCACAAACAAUUUAUAGAAACGAGCAAAAGUAGUUUAACUAAUUGAACUAAAUUCAUUUUUCAUUGGUAAUACUGGACAUCAACUCCAGCUUUCCCCUAACAAAAUUUACAAAAGCACGGAUAAAUCGACCAAUUGCAAUAAGUUCAACAAUCAGUUGGAAGAAACAGCUUUUCCAUUAACCAAACGAAUAAACAUGGAUGAAAUGGACCAAUUGUAAUAAUUUUUGAAAUAUGUUUUGAAAAUUUCAUCACCUAUUUUUCCCAAAUGUAAUCAUAUUAAUUGUGUCAAAGCCAUCAAAUUGAAUUUCAGAAACAUACACAAUAAAGUAUCAAUUGAUUAAAAAAAAAAAAAAAGAAAUUUGACAGCACACAAACCACCUAUAGACACCAAUAAUAAGCAAAAAAGGUUAUAAGGAAACAAUCAAACCUUGAUCAACGAUAAACAGAUUAAUGAGUUCUAUAAUUGAAAAUAGAAAUUAAACUAACCUUAGUUUGAAAAUCAACAGGAUUAGAAGCAGCCUUGUAAAUAUUAUCAACAAUUUCUUUAAAACUGGGCUUCAAGCUGAGACUCUGAUCUAUCCAACCCCCAUUAGCGAAUGACAAGCAAGGCCCACCAAGGGGGCCACCGUCAGCGAAAAUGAGAUUUACAAGCUGAGAGGAGAGUGAGUUGAGUUCAUCAGUGGACUUCGAUUUGAGGAAAUUAAGCAACUGAUUAAGGGUUUGAUCUUUGGAUCCGGCCGCGAUCAGACCCAACACCACGUGAAUCGAGAGCGGCGAGAACACCAAAUUCUUAUCCUUGGCCUCAGUCGAAACCAAGUAAUGUGCAAGCUGAAGUGAUGCUUGUGUUUGGUUCUUGAUGGAUUCUCUUAGGUCCAUUUCUGUCUGCGUCUGCGUGUGGAAGAGGUGAUUGAAUCAAAAUUCGUGCGCGUUUGGACGUUCUGAAAAUCUGCACUGUGUUCACCGACCCAUCAGAGGCAAUUUAUAUGUGCCAUUUGUGAUGGUUGACUCAAGCGUGUCUUUCAAUGUCUACUCAACACGUUAGGAUUCGUUUCUUCGAGAUAAAGAUUACAAAUUGGGGGAAUCCAUUGUUCAUCCAAACGACCUUGAAGAAUACUUCGACGUUGAUGUUUUGAAAUUAAUUUUGUGAAUAGUGAUUAAUUUAUAGGCUGUAGGGUUAAAAUAGAUAUAAUUAUUUACGUGUAAAAUUAUUUUAUCAAAAGAUUGUGUAAGAAAAAUUAGGUUUGAGGAAAAUAUAAUUUUUUUAGUAUCAUAAUCAACCAUCCUAUAAACUUCUCUAGGGUCUAAAAAUUUAUUAGUAUCGUAACCAACCAUCCGAUAAACUUCUCUAGGAAUUUAGACUCUGUUUGUCACCCAUCAUUUGAGAAAUUAAAAAGUUAUGAAUAGUAUUUUUUUGAAAAAUAUGUUGUUAAAAAAUAAAGAAAUUUUAUAAAUUUGUGUGUAUAAUAUUUUAUUGUGUGAAUAUGAGGAGUAGAAUGGUACUCUAACAAACAAUUUUAAAUUUUAAAUGGGGCAAAACAAGUUUCUUUCACCGCGGAUAUUUCUUGCUUGUUUGACUUUCUUUAAUUUAUUUUAUAGAUUGUUACGUGAUCAUUUUCAACAUAUUUACGCAAUAAAAUAUUAUACAUAUACACUAAAACUUUGUCUAUUUUAAUCACACAUUCUCUUAAAAUUACUAUUUAAAAAUCAUUUUUCUGCCAAAACAGUUGUCAAACAGGCUUCAUCUUGUGUGAUUUUUUGAAAAUUACUUUUUUUGAUAUUUAUUUUCAAUAUACAUUCUUUAAAAUUAUUUUCCAUAUUUUUCAAUUUUUAAACUUUUUAACUACACAUUUUCAAGAAAAUCACAUUUCAUAAUCUCUAUCCCACACACACACACACACACACACACAUAUAUAUAUAUAUAUAUAUAUAUUUUUUUUUUUUUGUAAUUUUUUUUCUCUAAAAGCAUCUUCAAUAGCAUAUUGUAUAUGAUUCAUAACUUUUUCUUACUUUUUAACUAUACAACCUCUAAAAAAAUAUAUGUCACUUGAAAAAUCCAUGUCAAACAAACUCUAACAGUGACAUGAUUGAGGGGAAUUCUUCAAAGUAGAAAUGCCAAUUUAAACCGUCAAAAUCGAAAAUUGUGACUAACCGAACCAAAUAGAGCGAAAAAAAUCGAAUCGACGGUGCAAUGGGGCGGAUAUGGUAUUUGAUUUUAAUGAAUCGGUUCGUGACGGUGCGGGUAUGAUAUUUACGCCGUCGAACCGAAACCGAACCGAUAACUCGCUAAAAAAAGCAAAAAAUAAAUAAAUAAAUUGAAUUGAUUAUUGAGCUUUACACUAUAUUUCUAUCUAGCCGAAAACAAAAUUUCCCCAUUACAUCUACUUGACCUAGCAGGCCAGCUCACUUAUCAUUAGCCCAUAAUAAUAGCAUUAGUAUGAAAGUAUAUAAAUGCAAACCCCAUUUUCCACAAACCACAAGCUCACGCACGCUCCACUACCUCUACGGUCCAAGCCGUCGUCACCUCCAAAAAAUUUCCCACACGACUUCAGUUUUAAAGAAAAGACAGGACCUCCCUUCUUAAUCAAGAUUAUUGGAACAAAAAUUUCAUCUCAAUCAUUUUUGUUGUAUCUGUAAACUGAUUGCAUUUUGCAUCCAAUUCCAGGGACGCAUUUUUCAGGAUUUGAUGCAGAAAUUGUUUCAAAUUUUGUCGAAAAGAGGAUAAAUUCAAUCAGUACUGAUUUAGUAUAGACUUGAGCCAAGUCCGAGGCGUGGUCGAAUAUAAUAUAUUGUGUUUUUGUUUUCAUUGAAUUUUUUCAUAAAUUGUUUUAUAUCAAUUUGAUGGAUGAACCUAUAAAAAAUAAUUUAUUUUCGUGGUUAUUAAUCGAACCGAACCUAUUUACGUGAUUAUGGUGCGGUUAUAGUAUGGUCAAAAAAUUGAUCGUGCGAUUAUGAUUUUGGCCGAACCGACCCAUAACUGAACCGUUAUCAACCCUACUUCAAAGCAUGUUCACAAGAACAUGGAGAGGAGCUGUGGGCUUUAGCUCCAGGACUGUACCCAUUUAUUAUUUUUGUAUUAAUUCUGUGCAAAUAGUUUUUUAUUAUCCCUCGACUCCACCUCUAAUAUCAACCCAUGAUGCGCAAAUCUAAAUAUUCUCACACUAUGCAAAAAUCUCUUUUUGGUUGAGACAUUUCUCACUUCUCAGUUGUAGUAUUCAGAUUUAUAUGAAAAAGGAGCUCAACAAUAGUUUAUACUUUUCCUAAAAAUAAGACAAAAUAAUGCAAAAUUUUGGACAAAAAAUGAUGAAUGAAGUAAAAUAACAAGAUGUAUCUCUUCAACGAAUUAUUCUACUCCAACAUGUCUUCCUGAAAAAACAAGGCCUAUGUGGCCCUGUUUGAGAAGUAGAACCCCUCGUAUAUAGUGUUUUCUACCUUGAAAUGCCACUUCUAAAAAUGCACUUACUUGACAGUUGACACCUCCUUAUGAUAUUUUGACUAUGCUUAGGAAGCUCAAUUUAAAAAAAAAAAAAAAAAGCAGCUUCUAAAAUAAAAUUUUUAUUGGUAAAUGUUUAAAAUAAUUAUAUUAUUUAUUAUAAGUUUUUGUAUAGAAAUGUGUGGAGGGUAAGUUGUUCGUCGAUCAUGAUUAACGAGGUAGUUUCGACCCUUCUCUAUCUCUUUCUCAAAACCGUUAAAUUUGAUAUAUUUUUCACUUGUAAAAUUUGUUUUCAUUUUUUUUCCUUUUUUUUUUUUUGUGCAUUUACGCAUUUUACAUAUUGUUUAUCUCAUCAUCUUCAUCUCACAAAAUAUUUACAAGUUCUUGGAGAUUUCAGAGAUCCAACGAAAUGAAAAUUUGGGUUACAAUGUUCGAGAAAAUGAAAUAAUAAUUAAAAGUAUUCUUCCUAAACUAUUAAUAUAGUAUUUUUAUUUUUUUACAUUUGAUUCUACUUAUUCUUGUGGACAUCAUUGAUACGUGUUUUUAGUAGUCAUGGGCGGACCAACUGUUGAGAUUCUCCUCCCUUUUUUUUUUUUAAAGUCAUGUUUGGCAUCGAUUGAAAUUUAAAUUUAAAUCUAAAUCAAAGUUAAUAAUUAAUUUUAAUAACAUAUUUCAUGGAUUCUUGAGCUUCUAAAAUUUUAUCAAAAUUUACUAAAAAUCGGACUUUAGUCCCCACCAAACAAAGAUACAAUCUCAAUAAAUUUGAAUUUUUUCUCUUUUUUAUUGCUCUAUCCUAUUCUCUCCCUAAAGCCUUUUACCAAAAUCUUAACUCUUCUAAUUUUUUAUAAUUUAUUUAUAAUUCCUCUACGAUUGUCACAUUUAAUAUAAAUUUUCACUUUUCAAUCAAAUUUUUAACUAAUUAGAACCUAAAAAUUUGCAUUUUCUCCUAUUCUAUUUGUGUAUAUAGCACGUGUCUAAACUGAUGAUAUAAAAUUGAACUUAUAUCUAACGAAUUGUGCUUAUCUGACUGAUUAUUAGUAUUGAAUAUUGGUUAUUUGCUAUUACUUUCAAUUACUUGAAUUGAUUGUUUGUAUCAAAUACACAAUUUUUUAAAACAUAAAUAUAUAUUUUCUUGUGAUGAGCAAAAUAUUAAUAAAAUUAUUAUUCAAAAUCAAAUAGAUGAAAAUAAUUAGCAAAAUAUUAAUGAAAAAAUAAUUUUGAAAUGUAAAUCUACAUUUUUUCGGGUCAAAUACGAAUCAUUCAAAAAUAAAAAAUAAAGUAAUCGAUUUGUACAAAGUUUGAUUGUGCCACCUAACUCAAUUUCUCUACGUCCGCCUUUGUUAAUAUUAUUAUAUUUUGAUGAUGAUGAUUUGCUCUUCAAAAGAAACUAUUUUAUUUUAAAUCACCUCCAUCAAAUGAACCCAAUGUAUAUAGUCACGUUGCACAUACUUUACAACAGUAUUAUAUAAUUAACAAAAUAUUUAACCUCUUUUCUUUUGAUUGCGUGCUUAAUAAUAUUUUACGGCACCUGCAACAAUUAGUUAUUUUAUUUUAUUUUAUUUUAGUUUUAAUUAGGGUGGAGCUUUUGAAUACAUUUGUUAUGUUUUGUGUUAUAAUAAUGAGAGAAUUAAAUGCUCAUUUAUUGAACGAUCAAUUAGGUAAACUAGGAAGGACAAAAUUAAAAAUAUGGAUACAUAAAUGCCGAUUAUAGCAUAAUUUUUCUAAUAUUCUAGAAAACAUAACAAUCUCUCCUAAACUAAUAUUGGAUUUUGCUUGUUGUAUGUCGGGCUGUACAUCAACAUGUCCAUAAUGCUCCUGUAGCAAUAUAUUGGAUUUCAAUUUCUCGUGUCCAUUGAAAAGGACGAGAUAUUUACUGGAAAGCCCCUGCCUUAUCUGAUAUUUGAAAACCUUCUCUUUGGAAGCCAAAUUUAUGCAACAUUAACCAUCUUUCUCUAGGAAUGUCAAUUUGACUUACCAGCUCGAGCAGCCCAAGAAAAGUCCGAUCAUGCCCAAUUCGCGGAUCGUUAUAAUCCAGCUGAGGCUUGAGCUGAGCUUCAUUUUGGAGUUUCGGCCGAAGCUCAAGCUAGCCAGUGUGGCUUGACGAACCACAUGGGCCAUUUUCGGCUUGUGAGCAAAUUUGUGAAAAAAAGAUAUUUUGGCUGCUGUAGCUGCCUGUGUAUUACAGGCAGCUAGUAGCUACUGUUGCUGUAGCUCCAGCAGCGAAUUUGCUUGUGUAUUGCAGGCAUCAAUACAUAGUAGGAAGUCACGCGGUUGCCUUUUCAAAAAAAAUAAUAAAAAAUAAAAAAUCACGAGCUGUCUCGGUUCGAUUGGAUUCCAUAAGGCCAGAGCCAAAGCUCAGAUUGAGCGUUGAUAUUUUGACCGAACACAAACUCGACUCGACUCGAGCUAAAGAAAGCUUGAACCAUUUUUACUCAAAUCGAACACGAGCUUCAAAUUAGGCUCGCGAGCCAGUUCAACUUAGCUCGUUGACCUCCGUAUCUCUCUCAGCAAAAUCUUCGACAAUCUUCGACAACUGAUGAUGAGUAGAUCGACUAGAGACAAAUCGGCGGUGAGCAGAUCAAACAGGGCAACAACAAUAUUUUUUACUUGUAAGAAAAUGGAUUUAAAUUUCUUUUUGGGUGAAUUUCUUCAUUUGUUGUUUAAGUGUUAAUUUCUGGAGUUCUGUACUUGCCGUUCGUCGGACAUUAAAUGGGUAGAUUUUAGUUUGUACCUGAAAUGGGUGGAUUUUAUACUAUAAACUCGGUGUCUUGUGAAAUGCGUAUAAAAUAAUUUUUUAAUCUUGUGGAACAGGGUAGAUUUAAGUUUUGAGCUCUUCUUUUGUGACUACUAUAUGCAAUUUCAUGUUACAAAAAAUUCUCGGAUCGGCUCAAGUAAAGAAUGCUUGAACUAGUUUUACUGGAGAUGAACCAAAGCUUCGAAUUUCUGCUCACGAGCUGACUUAGCUCAACUCGUUCACAUUCCUAUCUUUUUCUCAACAAAAUCCCUAGAUGACUAAUGACAAUGGAUCGAUUGGAGACAAAUCAAAGGCGAGCUGAUCUAACAGGGUAACGACGAUAUCUUUUACUUGUACUAAAAUGGAUUUAAUUUUUGUUUGGGUGGAUUUCUUCAUUUCUUGUUUAAGUGUUAAUUUCUGGAGUUAUGUACUUUACCGUUCACCAAACAUUAAAUGGGUAGAUUUUAGUUUGUACAUGAAAUAGGUAGAUUUUAUAUUGAGAACUCGAUAUCUUGUGGAAUGCAUCUCAGAAAAUUUUGAAAUCUUGUGGAACUGGAUAGAUUUUAAUUUUGAGCUCUUCUUUUGUGACCACUGCAUGCAAUUUCAUAUUACAGAAAAUCAAGGGAAUUUUAUCUUUACACGAAGUCCCGAAAACCCAACUUUUUUUUUUAAAAUCAAGAUACGAAAGUGAGGGCAGAAAACAUAUCAUGGUUGGAGUGGUGGUGAGAAUUGAUGAUUCUUUAUUGGAAUCCACACUUUUAAAAACUGAUAUUGGAUUUAAUUGUUGCUUCGCCAAGAGACAAACCCUUGUCCCGUUCCUUCUUUAUCACAUGUUUCUACAAAGUCUUAGCUGCCGGAAGAGUGUGAUUUUCUUAUCCAGACAUUUUCUUUUGGAAGCCUCCAAAGUGUAAUUACAGUCUACGAGUGGAGAUUCAAAAUCCAUGCUCCAAAUACUUGAGAUGUCAAUUUCAAGACACCUUGGAUCAAGUUUUCAUGUAGUAUUUUUCAUUAAGCAUAUAACAAGGAUUUUUUUUUUUUUUUUUUUUUAAAAGUGAUAUACACAAAUGGCAUGAAAUUAUAAGGAAAAAAAAAAAUAACAACCACACAUGAAAUCAAACAAUUAAUAUUUUACCCCUCAAACUUAAAUUAAAUAUUGUCCCCAAUGUAAAAUUAAAGACAAAGGAGGAUGAGGACUUUCUUGAGUGAAGACAUCAAUUGGCUUCAUUGCUAUCGGCAUCAUGGUGGGGGCAGUGAUGGAUGUUGGUUCUAGUUUUGCCCCCAAACUUGAGCCUCGACCUACAAGAAGAGAAAAAUGAUUAAGAAAUUAUAAACAAAAAUGUAAACUAAUAUCUAAAUAAUUAAAAAGAAAAAGAGCUUGGGUUGCCUCCCAAGAAGCACUUAUUUAACGUUGUUAGUUUGAAGUUGUCGGAAUGCCUUAGGUUAGGUCACCAAGGGCACUUCUUCUAUAUUCAGCUCGUCCUUUCCAUAGUAUUACUUAUGUUGCUGGACAUUAUUUUAAAAUAUGAACCUAUUCUUGUCCUUCAACUUCACAGCACCAAAAGGAAAUAUGUUGUGGCUAAUGGUCGUGGCCAUCGUGAAUUAAGAUUAUUCACCGUCAACUUCUAGCGGGACUUAUGGACAAGUACUUGUUUCGGAAUUGGCUUUCUUCUCCAUAUAAACUUUUGCACAAGAUAAUUAGUACUGAAGAUCUCUUUGGAUUCAAAAGAGUUGACAGGCUUCACAAGAUCCUUUUUCUAGUUCUCAUUACUCUCAAGUGGCAAAGCUUCACUAGCCAAGAUAAAAUCAACCAAUUUCCUGCUCUCCCUGUAUAACUUUUUGUAGCAGUUAUGUCUAUUCUUGAAGCACUUGUUACAAUAUACUACAGUAAAGUGUCAUCAAACAAUUCCUUUUUACAUUUUUCUCCCACUGAUGCAACAAUUUCUUAACUUGGUAUAUAGUGAACCUGACUUCUUCUUUAUUAACCCAAAGUGUUAGUUGUCCUCUUUGUACAUUAGUAAGUGCUCUACCAGUUGCUAAGAAAGGUUGACUAAGAAUUAAUGGUAUUUCUUGAUCUUCCUCCAUAUCCAACACCAUAAAAUCAAACGGAAAGAUGAACUUCUCAAGUUUAACUAACACAUCUUCCAUAAUUUCCUUAGGAUAUGUAAGAGAUCGAUUAGCAAACUACAAAGCGAUGGUGGUUGAUUUCGUUUAUCCAAGACCCAACUUCUUGUAUAAACAGAGGCAUUAAAUUAAUGCUAGCCCUAGAUCACAUAAUGCUUUGUUAAUGUUAGAAUCGCCAACUGUGCACGGAAUUGUAAAGCUAUUUGGAUCCUUUAGUUUCUAAGGAAGCUUCUUUGACAUUAGUUUUUUUUUUUCAAGAAUUUGGCAUAAUUCUGCAUGUGUGCUAAAAUAUCUACAAUAGAGAAAAUUAUAUGGAUUUUCUUGAAAAUUUCUAGAAAUUUUGCAACCUGUGCAUUAAACUUUUUCUUUAGGAAUUGCUGUGGAUAUGACAGUGGUAUCUUCAAGAUUGGUGGAUUAUCUAGGAAUGAGACUGAAUUAGGCUUAGAAGCCUUCUUUGUUUUCUUGUCCUGCAACCUACUUUUCUUCCUCUUGUCUGGAAUUUGAGUAGAAACUAUAGCCUCUUUAGGCUUACUUUCUCUAAUCUCCUUACCACUUGUAAAUGUGAUAGCAUUGCAAUGUUCCCUUAGAUUUACCUUUGUAUCACUAGGAAACUUUCCUUUAGGUUAAGUAUUCAUUGCAAUAGCUAGUUGACCAAUCUGUAACUCAACAGAUUUCAUAAUGGCCUCCAUGUUGGUUAUAUGAGUCUCAAUGUUGUCAGUCGUGACUCAUCCUUGUUGAAUCUUGCCCUAGUCUCUGAAAUAAAGGCUUUCAAGAUGUCUUUUAAUGAUGGUUUCUCUUAAAAGGAUUGAUUAUUGAACCUAGGAGAAUGCUAGAGCACAUUCCUAUUAUUACCAUAAGUGAGUUUUUAUAUCAAGCAGCCGCUUGGCAGAUUGGUACAGAAGAUUUCCAGUGGGGCGUGAAGAUGCUUCUUUGGUGAAUGAGAGGCUGGGUGCCUCGUAUACCUGCGUAGCGCGGCUCUCACCAGGCUGACCUUUUCGAGUUGGUCAGGGCGAUCCACCAAACUAGUUAGUAGAAGAUUUGACCAAAUGGAGCGUCAGCUUACGCGCUCCAUCGCCUUUGCUAUUAGUUGGGACGACAUGGCGUGGACUCUGUAGGCUCUGGGACUACCACGUGGUUAAUGAUUUGGCAUCUCUCUGGACGCGUAAGAACAAUCCUCUAAGUCCAUGUAUGGAAUAUUUAUAUCGUGUGCGGACUUUUAGUGUUGGACUAGAAGUAGAUUGUUUGUUGGGGCUACCCAUUGGCAUGGAGAAUUGGUGCAAAGGUGAUUUGGCCGAGGUGUAACAAUAAUAGUCCUCCAAGUCCAUGUAUAGAUUAUUCAUAUAAUGCGUGAACUUUUGGUUGAUGAGGUGUAGGCAUAGUUUCUAUUUGGGCAAGUUUUUUGUUGUUGAGAGCUUUGAGAGAAGCUGUUGAGGCAGAAGCGUGGUCCCUGAAUCAUGAUCGCUAAUAAUUGAGUCUGACUCUGCCUUGAAUCUUGACUUGGAUCAAAAGAUUCUUCAUACCGUAUGAAGAAUACGUAGCUAACAAUAUCUCAAAUACGUAGCUAACAUAUAGCUAGAUUUUAAGACGGCAAUUGAUAUACUUAUAGGAAGAGGAUUCAGAUUUUCAGGUCAAUAAUUAUAAUUACGUUUGAUUCAUUGAUAUCUUGUAUCAAAGAAACGAUGUCUUUCUUUUGAGUUAAAACAAAUUAUUUCAGCAAAAAUUUAUUCUACUUCCACAACUUUCUAUGUUUUUCUUGUUGUGUCACUUAAACUUUCUCUAGUCUUGUUUGUAAAGAUUUAUUUUUAUAGGUUUUCAAAAAUAUGUUAUAGAAAUGGUUAGUACCAUCAGUGGUUAUUAAAGUUUGUUAAAAACUUUAAAAUGAUCGUUGAAGUAUUUUUCUAGCUAUAAUGGUAAUUUAUUCUAAUAGUUACAUUAAUAGUUGGCUGGAAACAUUAACCAAAAUCUUGUAUGUCACCAUUAAAUGUCAACUUUGACGCAAACAAUGCUAAUUAUUACAUAAUGCAACGUAUUCCUAAAUUUUGUAGAAAUUAAUGGAAUAAACACUUUUAAAUUUAAAUUUUCAUUUGGGUAAUAUGUUUUAAAAGCUGAAUGUUUCUCCAUCAAAUUUUCAUGAUAAGGAUUGAUUAUAAGGAUUUAAUUUCUUCAAAUUUGCUCUCCCAACUGUCUUCUCUCUUCUGUUACGUUAUCUGCUUCUUUCUUUUUUGCUGUCCUUCCACUGCGUUUUCUAUUUUUUCCCCCUUCUAUUCUCCUAUCUUCAGCUUCUGUUUGCUUUCACAAAGGAUUCUAAUUCCUUUGAAUUUGAUUCCCAUCUAAUUUCAUGUUUCAAGGCCCAUUAAUGUAUUAUUUAUCUCAAAGGCCUCACGUCUUUGAAAUAAUGUAAUAUAGUCCUUGAUAAAAAUUUGUUUGUGUGUCUCAUGUCUUCUUUAAUUCAAUCAAUCACUUCAAUUAUAAUAAAAAUGUGGAAUUUGAUCUCAAAGCUACAGAUUUUAUUCAAUUUCAUAAUUCUUGAUCAAUAUUUUCUCCGAUCCCUAGUUUCUCCUAACAUAAUAAAAAAAUAUAAAUAAUUAACCAUCAAGUUUACAAUACUACUAACUAAAGACACUUUGGCGACUUAGAUAAGUGUAACUUUAAUACUUAUCAAAUACCGCCAAAUUUGAGCAUUUGUUAGUAUUCAAAUAAAUGAUAAUAGAUACUUUACUAUACUCUAAGAAAAAUACUCAACUCGAUAUAUGCAUCUCAAUGUUUCCUCAAAUACCUAUCACAAUCACAAAAUUUAAACAGGUUAAUGAGACACAAGAACCAAAAAUUAUUCUAAAACUCCACAUAUCGUAUAGUGUUCGUGUGUGUGUGUUGAACAUUCUCAUAUCUACUGAUGUUACUCAAAUCAAAUAAUCUAUUUUAAUUUCCAAACUCUCUUUUCCCAGAUAAAAAACUAAGUCCCAAUAAUGUUGAUAUACUCUUUCAUCACUCGUGUUUUUCUAUUUAUUUUUCAAUUCUCCCAAAGACAAAAUAACUAUGAGAUAUGACUUGUUUUCAUCAACCACUCAGUCACCUUCCAAUUUGUAAUCAAUGAGCUGGACUCAGCUGGACAGAGGUAGCAUUUAUAUAGUUGUUUUGGUACUAGCGCAACACACUUUAGUGUGUUUUACUUUUCUUUUUAUUUUAUCCAUUUUUCUAUUUUUUUGUGAGUAGGGUCAACUUACUCAAUACCAGCUUCAUACUAUAGUUUAGGUAAAUUUUUCCCUAUGUGUCAAAACUAGUGCAAUGUCUUUUACGUUUUAGGCUAACAAUAGGAGUUAAAAGAUAAUUAAGUGGUGAUGUUUUUGGUGUCGAAUGGAUCUAAUCAUUCCUAAACUUAUUCUAAAAGGAUUUUCAAUAUGGUUCUAAACGAAUGUUGGUUUAAUAAAUAUGUUCUAAGGUCUUAAAAAAUUCUGAGGUGAUUGACUUGUACAACUCAAUUUUUAAUCAAUUAUAAGUGUAGUCAAGAAUGAGUACGUGCUUGAAUUGUUCAAAAGACAAGUAUAAAAUAAUAGGAUUCAUAAAUAAUUAAAAAUCUGAGUGUCCAAAGGAAUCGAUUUACAUUUUGCUCUUAUUUGAGAAUCAUCAAUUGAUAUAAAUUACUUUGUCCAAGUCAAAUCACACACAAGCAUACAUAAUAAAGCUAAAAAGUUUUUUUUUUUUUUUUUUUUUUUUUUAAAAAAAAUUUUUAUGGGUUUUUUACAACAAAAGCCCCAAACCUUUAAUCACACCCAAAUUAUUCGUGUAGAAUAAAUUAAAAUAGAACCUAGAUUUUCUCCUCGACGUAAUGCUAUAAAGCAGAAAAUAUCAAAAUUAAAUAAAAGAUAGAAAAUUUAGACUUGACUGAUAAUUUUUGCAAGAUGGAGUUAGCCUUGAAACUAGAAGAAUAUUUUCCUUCUCUUUAUCUUCUCUCCUCCUUCAAAGGAAUUUCUCCUUCUUUGUGCCUUUUUUCUACAAAUAAGAUUAAGUAAUUAUAAUCAAGAUUCCAAUAAAAGAGCAACACAUCAACUACUUAAUCCAUCUAUCUCAAUUCGAUUUUGCUAGUGGUACAUUGAGAUGUAACUAAUGGUGUACACUCCACUCACAUAGGUGAGGGACCCAAUCGAAUAAAAUAUCAUUUCUUUCACAUGGAUCCCACACCCAUGUGAGUGGGGUGUACACCAUUCGGUACAACCCAUUAUAUACCACUAGACAAAUAAUAAGUAAUUAUAAUCAAGAUUCCAAUAAAAGAACAACACAUCAACUACUUAAUCCAUCUAUCCCAAUUUAGUAUAACAAAAUUAGAAAAAUUCCAAGAAAAAAAAUCUCAUGUAAUACUAUUGAGUGAAACUUGAACUUUUCAUGAUUUUUAAAAACAUUGAACAUAUUGAUGAUGAAUAAGUUGGUGAUUAUGUGAAUUUGGGUGUCAAAUAUAUGGAGGAGGGAGAGAAUUUUGAAAAUUUGAAGUUAAAACUUAUUAAAGUUAAAAACUAAAAUAAAUAAAAAAAUUAGAUCUCUUAGUUCUUUUUCUAUGUUUGACCACGGUUGACCACGACGAACAACAAACAUUUGGCGACUGUAUGUCAUCGCAGUUGACUGCGGUCAACCGUAUUGUUUAUUUUAAUUUUUUGCAGUGGUAAUAGAAUGACGACCCCAAAAAUAAUAAAAUAUUUAAAACAAAAUUUAUUUUUAGCUAAAUAAUAAUUAAACAUGCCUAAUCCUAAAUGCAAUUGUAUCAUUUAUAUGUCAUGCAGUAAUAGGAUGGCAAUUCAUAUCGCUGGCUCGAGCCACCCGUGGCUCGGCCUGGGCUAAGCCCGAGCCAGCCCGCAGGCAUUAUUUAAAAAAAAAAAAAAAUAGAAGCCCCAAAAAAUGCUGCCUUAAUAGGUAGUCAGUAGCUGGCUGCCUUUUACGACAACCUUAUAUAAAUAAAAAAUAAAAAUAAAAAAAUAAAAAAAAUAGAAGAACCAUAAAAAAAAUGAGCCUACCCUGCUCGAGCCUAAGCCCGGCUAAAAGCUCGUACAUUUUACUUGAGUCAAGUCUGAACCUUGAGUUUUGGCUUAGGAGCCGGCUCGGCUCGUUAGAAAAGUGGUUUACUUCCCAUUAAAUUCUUGGUCUAUAGUCCGAAGCUAGACUUUGGUCAAGUCUUAAUUAUGAUGGCUCAAGUCGAAAUGUUUUGGCCUUGUAAUCCUUCCAAUUUCUAGCUUUGCAUUCUCUUCUUGCUCUCCAAACUUUGAAUUUUUCAUUCUUAUCUCUACCAAGAAUUUCAACAAAUUUAGGUUUCUCUUCUGAUAGCUUUGUUGAAAUGAUAAAUCAUCCUCAUCAACACAGUUGCACUCCUCAUAUUCAGAUGGUUGCUUGCACUGCUCUCUUCUGUCAUGCCACAAUUUUAAAUUUUGGCAGCUCUCUCUUCUUUAAUAUAAUGUCUUUCAAGAACCUUACAUAACUUGAAAUUUGCCUAAUUGCAUCAACGAAUUGUAUGUUGAUGUAAAGCUUCUUCAGCACGUCCAGGAACUUUUCAAAUUGAUGGUCUAGCUCGUGUUACUUCAACCUUUGUGGGAACGGGAUGAGAAGUACAUAUUUUCUGACAGAAACGGCCACCUUAGCAUGUUGGUUAUCUGAAUUCUCUUUCAAAUUUUCAUCAGUUGAUGUUUUAGAUUCAUCUAAUUUCUCUUCUUCAAUAGUUGUUACUUAAUUUAUCUUUGCUAUUGAUAUUUUGAACGUAAUCCCAAGCAGUUGUACCUCGCUUCUUAUUGUGAUUUCUUUGAUCCUCUCCUCCUCUCUCCACUUUGAAAUCCUUACGAAAAAGGAAUGGGAGGCAUAUGUUCUCAUAAUUUUGGAGCUGCCAUCGGUUGCAGGGUAUUUAUUUGUUCAUCUUCAAUAACUCUGAUAGAUAUUACCUACUCCUUUGAAUUAGUUUCUGUAUAGAAAGGUAAAGCUCCUUGUAGCCUUUCAGAGAUAUCAGGGGGCCAGCUGACCUAUUUAAGUUUCCAAUUCUGUUUAAUGGUUGUCGAAUGACUUUGUAAGGUUGUUUCAAUCUUAGCCAUGUAUUGGUUAGUCUUCUGUAUGAGUUUACCCAAUAUAUCCUCCAAAGAAGCUCUCUUUUCUUCUUGUUGGAAACUAGGAGUUGGGGAUCUGCUGAUGCUUAUUUUGGUUGUUGCUUCAGGAGAAGUUAUGAUGAUUACGUGAUCCUCAGUUAUAUGCAUUGCUCUAUUGGUUAUUUUGCUGGUGUUAAUAAUUAUGUGCAAUCCUCUCUCUAUUUUGAUGCAGCCUAGCAUUCCAUAUUGUUGUGAGCUCCCCCAAAUGUACUACAAAAUUGAAAUCCAAAUUUUUUUUUUAUUUUUUAUUUUUUAUUUUUUAUUUUUGGCAUUUGAUGAAUUUUUAAUGGCCAGAUGGCCUAUAACCUUCCUUUCUAAAGAAGAUAUUUGUGCUCAUAGUUUGUAGAUGGCAUCUAUUUCAUGCAUACCUGAUGAAAUCUUGUAUAAAGAUCUUUCGAAAGGCCACAAGGCAUUGUCGGCUGCAAUUGUCUCACAUCCUUAACUUUAUUAGGUGACCUCAAUGUGAUAGAUCCAUUAGCACUGAUGUACGACAUGCUGGGUUCAAUCCGGUCUAGAAGUACAAAACUUGCAAGGAUUUCUUAAUAUCAUGGUUAGGACACUUUCUGAUCAUGUUCUUGCAUCUUUUACAUGCUUCAUGAAAACUCUCUAAAUCUGCCGGUUGAAAUGUCGAGAUCUCAUGACUUUUAGUUACCUUUGACGUUGGAAAGUAUUUUGUGACACACUUAUGUACUAUAUCAUCAUCCUAAUGCUUUCUUCGCCCGGGGAAUCCAACCAUUCUCUUGCUUUAUCACGAAGAGUAUAUAGGAAGAGUCUCAACUAAUUGCUUCAUCGGAUACUCCAUGAAAAUUGUAGUUUUAGUAGAUGUCCAAGAAGCGUGAGAUAUAAUUAUGUAGAUUCCCAUAAUAUUGAAAUAAAACAAAAAAGGUUAAAAGAUAUCACCAACUUUAAUUACAAUAAACAAGAUAAAAGUUACUCCUGGCUUUCGUUGAUUUUUGUCAUACAAUUCCAACAAUAUUUUUCAUUUCCUUCCUUGCGUAUUGUAAAUCUCACGAUAAUUAGUUGAUGGAAUAUGAUAUAUUUUCUUCAAUUUUGCUCUCCUAGCCAUCUUUUCUCUUCCAUCACAUUUUCUAUUUCUUGCUUUUUGUCAUCCUUCCUCGGUGUUUUCUGCAUUUUUCUUUUAUUUGCCUAUAGCCAGCUUCCGUUUACUUUUAAAAAAAAGGAUUCUAAUUCCUUUGAAUUUGAUUCCCAUCUAAUUCUAUGUUUCAAGGCCCAUUUUUUUUUUUUUAUGUAUUAUUUCUCUCCAAGGCUCACUUUUUUUUGAAUAAUGUAAUUUAGUCCUUGAUAAAAAUUCAUUUGUGCAGCACAAAUCCUCUUUAUUUCAAAUCAAGCCCUUCAAUUUCUAAAGUGUUGAAUUUGAUCUCAAAGCUGUAGAUUUCAUUCAUUUUCGUCAUUCUUGACCAAUAUUUAUUCCAAUCCCAAAUUUUCUCGUAACAGAAUCCAAAAAUACAAAAAAUUAAGUAUUAAGUUCACAAUAAUACUAACAAAAGACACUUUAUGUGGCUUAAAUAAGUGUAAAUUUAAUACUUAUUCAUAUCCACCUUCACAUCCACUCCCUUUUCAAUGAAUUUUGUCAUUUUCGGUGUGUCUUCGAGUUCCUAGACCUAAAGAAAAUGCAUGGAUACAAUUAUAGCAUUUAUAUCUUGUUGCCGUAAAUCUGCGUUGACAUAAUCUAUAGCCUCCUCAUAUGAAGUCUUAUUAUCUACUUGUAUUGUGGACAUCAUCUGUUUGGACUGUCCAACCAACAAGUAUGUGAAAAAUCUCAUGAUGACCUUAUAACCUUAUCUAAGUGGUUGUAGCUCCUAGAUCGUGGCGUUAUUAAGGAAUCACAAUGUUUUCAUCAAAGCUAGUAUCACCAUCAAGUUGACUCCAUUACUUUUGACAAUUUUUUCAUCUAUAGGAUCAUAUGAAAGAUCAUAGCUCCUACUCUGGUCAUGAUGUCUUAAUAUUCCUAAAACUGUAGUUUGGUUUUCAUCAAAAAUAGCAUCACCAUUAAGUCGAAUCCAUUACAUCCUCAGUUUCAACAAUUUCUUCAUCUAUAGGAUCACAUGAAUGAUCAUCCCUUCUACUUUUAUCAUGUUGUUUUAGUAUUCCUAAACUGUAGGUUGUUUGUCACCGGGGUUGUGUUUCUAGAAUUGAUAUCGUAGAUUUAUUCUCACUCAUUUCUUUGAAAACAACCUUAUUUUGGUUUGAAAAGACAUAUAUUGAACACAUUAAGUCAUAAAUAUUAGUCUAGAAUUUCAUGUUAAAACUAAAUAGUGACAUUACAAAUAUUACAAAUCAAAGUUUACUUAUAAUUAUUACAUGCAAUAAUAUGAUACAAAUAUUUUAGUGCUAACCUAUUAGUCGAUGCUAAUUUGAGCCACAUUUGCAGCUGUAACACGUUAUUGAUUCUUUAUAUAAAGAUAAGAAUAUAGCCAAUUUAUUCAUUAAUUACAAUCACAAUAUAAAGCAAUUAAUAAAAAACGAAUAAGAAGAUCAAAUACGAUAAUAUAUUCUACAGCUUUCUGUGAAUCAUCCAAUACUUCUACAUUAUUCAAAUAUUGACGAAUUAUUAUAGGUUCCUUAAUACAACAUUUUAGGACAAAUCAUCGCCUCAACAUCUUUAAGAUCAACCAACGCCUAAAAGAAUAAAAAAAUUCAACAACUAAUAGGGAUUAUAAAUUCAGUAAUUUUGAAUAUUUGAAUAGCUAACACAUAUUUGACAAUUUUCGAAGGUAAUCUCAUACUUAUUUGCAUUCAAUUUCCACCAAAGUAAUAGGUUGAAAGGCUCAUUAGUCAAAUCUUGACAUAACCAUUUAAGAAAUCUAUCAAAUUAUUCUAUCGAUUAAAUAGUAAAAUUUAACAACUAAGUUUAAAUAUAAAUAAUAAAUCGUAUGAUCUAACCAGAAAAUUGAGAAGUAAAUAAACAAAUAGUAUCGUCUAAAAAAAUUAAGGGCUUCGAAAAAUCACAACAAAACAAAAAAAUUAUCAAUAAAAUAUAAUAAACAAUUACAAAAAAUAAGAAAUUUUGGAUAAACUUACAUGGAAAUUUCGGCAAAAUUCGAGAAAAAUAUUAGUAGAAGGAAAGGAAAUGGUGUGAGUUUAUUAAAAUUUAAUUGUCUACUCAAUGUGAUGGACAUUCGAUGAUUAUGGUUUCAAAAAAGUUCAAUACUUCAGCCAAUUUGAGAAUUUUUCUUUCACAAUUUUGAUGACUUAUGGUUAUUUAUUAUUUAAUUAAUUGGAAUGGAUAGUUGUCUAAUUGUGUGUUGAAUUUAACUGGGUUGGAUAUAAUAUGAAUGUAUAUUUUGAAUUUGGAUGCUUUACGUUUUAGUUGGGUUGAAUAAAAUUUAAAGUAACUUAUUUUUCAAUUAUUUUUAUUUUUUGUAAUAAUUUGAUAAUUUGAAAUGGUUUGCAAAAAUUGAAAUCUAAACAAAUCUAAUUUGAAACGAUUUGGUUCGAUUCAAAAUAAAAACAUUGAGGGAUCUAUGUGAACCCAAAUCAAUGAUUUCAAAAACUAAUUUUAGUUCGAUUUCAUAGUUUGACGAUUUUGCUAUCUGGCCCUAGUAAUAGCUGUUUUUAUUAAAACAAUGGAUUUUUGUUUAAAGUUUAAAAGUUCUUGUUGAUCAAUAAAAUUUCUUUUUAAGUUAUUUUAAAGAAGCUCAAAUUUUUCAAAAAGCUUUGUAUCCAAGAAAAUUGAAAUAUGUAUUUAAUAAAACUUUUCAAUAAACAAAAUUAUCCUUCAAACUAUCUUAACAUCGAAAUAACAAUGGACUAAUAUAGCCCCCCAGGGCACAUCCGAGUUGGUGGAUCAAUAACUUUGGCGGGCUCGCAACUUCAGCGUGGAGAGUUCGAUUCCUGGUGGGAACCUGUAAUCCAACAAAUGGGCAACUUUGUUGGUGGAUCAAUCACUAUGGAGGAAAGCUCUCUUGAGGCCAAGAGUAAAAAUCGGGUGGGAACCUGUGAUCCAACAAGGGCACAUCCUGCGGUUUACCUCCGCUAGUCACUGAGGGGCCGAUGGCUAGGGGUUCAGGAUUUAGUCUGGCGAAGCUGGGACACCUGGGUAUAAAAAAAAAAAAAAAAAAAAGGAAAAAAAAAAAAACAAUGGACUAAUAUAAUAAAUUUUAUAAUUUAAAGUUUCAUUUUGAAAGGUUAACAAAUAUGUUUCUAUCUUAUUUUUAGUAUUAUUUAUCAUUUUAACUAUGAAAUGUCACAUACAAUCCCCAUUUCAAUUAGUUAAAAUAUAUAAUAAAAUAAAUAAUGUGAUCUACACAAAUAAAUAACUUGAUAUUCAUUUAAAUAAUAAUACUUCGUUAUUUUAGUUAAAAUAAAUUUUAAUAGUUUCAAUGAAUGGAAAUAAAUAUUAUAUACAAAUAAAUUAUUAAAAUUUAGCCACAUAAGUAUGUGGUAAGCACUUUUUAGUUACACUACCAAACAAUCUAUUUAGUACUCACAACAUUUUUCAGAUUGACUAUCAAACGAACAACUUUUUAUUAAAAGCUUUUCUUGAAAAGGCUCUACUAGUAAAAACUCUAUUGAUAAAGUUCUACACACAAUAGUUGUACUUAAUGGACCCUAAAAAGAUUAGAUGCAACAUCAUUCUCCAAUUUGACACAACAACAAAGAUGUUGAUUUUUCAUUAAAUCUUAGUAGAUGGAAUGGCUGGGAUAUAAAAAGCAACAGUGGCUUAUUUAACACAUUUGAAAUUUAUUGACCAAAUAGUAACAGGUGGGAAAGUUUAGUGACCAUUUCGAUAAUUAACCCGACGUUACUCUAAAACAGAGUAUUAUUAUAUAAUUUUUGACCACUUAUAAUAAUGUUUUGUGUUUCUUGAUAGAUCCUUCUAUGACCAGUUUUAGUACUUUUCCAAACUAAAUAUUCUAUGACAUUUGUGGGACAUAGGAAAGAUAAUUGACAAUUGAUAUAUACAAAAUGACAAUUAGAGUUGUUAGGGUGAUCAGUGGUUAAAUGUGAACAUUACGGGAAGUCUAAAAGCUAAAAUAUUUUUUUAUAGAAGUCUUACCAAAUGUUGAACGGCUUAAUUGCAAUUAAAUUACUUGUGAAAGGAGAAUUUGACUCUUCAGGAUCAUAUUCUCAAAAAAUUCUCCACGACUAGGGAAUUAUUUUCAUUUUAAAUAUAACGGAGAGAUGUCUAAUAAAUAAUAUGUCAAGGUUCGGGAAUUUUAUUGUGUGAGAGAUCUUAACUUUGUGAUUCUCGCCUUAUUUUCAUAUAUAGUAAAAUUUUCUUGCAACACUAUUUUGUCUAAGAAUAUUUGAUUAAUUUUCUCACCACCUUUGUAUCUGAAAUUGAAAAAUUCAUAAAAUUGAAAAUUAUCAAACAAUAGAAGGAUUGGUGUGCAAUAAAUAAAUAUUAUUGUUCCGGCAUAAUCCAUUAUUUUUCUUUCCGUAGCAGUAAUAUUAUGAAACUUGUACAAAAUAUUUUUCACAAAGUAAAUCGUUAGUUUUUGGUUCCUUUCAAGAAAAAUAGUAGUUAAUUUUAAUCUAGAAUUAUUUAAUAAAAAAUUAGAAGUAAAUAACUUUGGGGACCAAUUUAGAAAUCUCUAAAAAAUUCCUCUCCAAUUUUAACAUUUUAAGAUUUAAACGGGCCAGUUACCAAAUACGUUCAUUUCUUUAAUAACAAACAAACGUGGAACUGUGGAAGUCAAAUAUAAUAAAAAAUACAUAUCUAAUAAUUAACAUUCAAGGUUGAAUGUCAAAUGUUGAACGAAAUCUUAACAUUUUAUAAGAAUUUAGAGGAAAGAUAAAUUUAAGUCAAAUCUUGGUUGUUAAAAGGGAAAAUUUCAAAUAAUUAAAUCCAUCCUCUAUAUAUCUAAUAAUUUAAGAAUUUAAAUUAAAUUUUAAUAUAUAGUGUCGAAAAAUUAGACAAAAUGUCAUCAAAUAAAGCCUCAUUGUUACUUUUAAAAUUUGUAUAUGUAUAAGAUCUUUAAUAAAAAAAUUAAUCCGAAAAUUGUGAAGAAUUUGGUCAAGUAAAAUGAAGAACCCAUUUUGCAAACUCAUAUAUUGUAAAUGCAUGUUUUAUAAGAACCAGAGGCGGACCCACAUGGUGUCAUGUGAGAUCAAAUGACCUCACAAUUUUAUUUUAUUUUUUUUCCCUGCUGAAAACGUAAUUUCAUGCCAAGUUGGUGAGCCAACCCAAUUAAUUUUCCUAGCCCAAUACUCAAAAAGCCCAAAUCCUAAAUCUAUAUCCAUAUCACAUUGUCCAUAUCCAUUAGUUUGUCCAUAGAUAUAUCAUAUAAUUCACCGAUUUCUUCUUUUUGUUCAUGAUACGUUGUUCUAAAUAAAUUUCAUUUUUAACUCCACAGUUUGAACUGUCUAGAUCCGCACCCGAUAAGCACGUAUAAUGAAGAUUGAGAUGUAAACAAACUGGUGCAAGCCUCAUCCUAACUGUAAAAAAAUUGAAACUUCGACAAGGGAUCCCAACAAGUUGGUCCCACUUCUUUUUCCUAACUUUCCUUGGACGAUAACAAUUAAUAGUGCAACACUAACGAAAAGUUACGGACCAACUUGAAAAAUGAGGCAAUAGGUUGGGGACCAACGGUGAAAUUUUUGCAGAUUUUGACAACUAUAUAUACAGGUCACAAGUGACUCAUCUGAUAUUCCAUAAAUUUCUCAAAGCUAGUUGUCCCCUGCAUUCAUUGUCUCUUUAUUCCACGGAAGGAUGAAGGUAUGCACACACACAGUUGAAAUGCAAGAAAUGGAAAGAGAAACCCUUGAAUCUUCUUAUAUGUAUAUUUACUCUUUCAAUGUUUUUCAUCAUCAGCAAAAGGUGGUCAUUGAGGUCUCGUUAAAUGGCCAUAUCUCUCAAGGCAUCAUUGAGAUGUUGAUGUGCUGCGUAAAUCAAGAGUCGAACGAAGCUACGAAGAUUAGAACGAGGGCCAUGAAGAUUGCAGUAUGCAUCCCAAGUAAGUUAAAUCUUUUUUAUGAGUAACAAAGCCUGUGUUUGAGCAUUUUUAUUUAUUUAUUUAUUUAUUUGGUGAAAAUGAGCUCAAAGACCGGCAAAAAUAGCUUGUUUGGUACUUGAGACUUACAUAAUUAUAUCUAGGACAUCAAACAAGGUUCCUUUUUUUUUUUCCCCCAAUAUUGUCUAGUCAACUUUAUCAGACAUGCAAUAAGAAGACUUCAAUUUAGAUGGUGUUAUUUACGUUAUUCUAUAGGGGUAGAGUCUGCAGCAAUGGAGGGGGAGGAAAGGAACAAGCUAACAGUGAUUGGCGAAGAUAUCGACACGGUGACUCUUGUCAAAUUGCUUAGGAAGAAUGUGUGCUUCGCGAAGAUCGUGAGUGUUGGCCCUACAGAGACUGUCAAAACUGCCGAGGACAAGAAUCAGGCGGCUGUGCAUCCCAUAUGCUAUAAUCAUGUGCCUCAUUAUCAAUUAUUGGAAAUCAGAGAACCCUACUAUACCCCCUCAUGUUUCAACUUUUGAAUGCUUAUUGGUGUUGAAUUUGUCCAAAAAAUUAAUAAUAAUGAAAAAAAAAAUUAUGUUUUGCAAUGGAAAUGAAUAAAGUGACAAAUUUUGUUUGAAAUAAUCUUACAGAUAGAACAUAUUGUAUAAUUAUUGUUUGUUGUGGAAGCUCGCUUCAAGAUGUUCAAACGGUGAUUUUCUAGCUCAGUUUCACAUUAACUUUUUCUACCAAACAACCAAUCUAAACAUCUCUGACUCACAAGCAAUCUAUUUUCCUUAAUUGCUUCUCAAUCUUACCCAUAGAUGACAAGAUAACGGUGUUGAUUUGUAAGUUACAAUGAAACAAGAAAAAUAAUGAAUGAGGCACAAAGAAGAGACCAAAACGAAGGAGGAAGUCACCAGCUUUCACUCUCAAUUGCACACAUUUUUCUCCAAUAGUAGGCAGCCAUGUUCUCUCUUUACACACAAACCACACACUAAAAAAUGCCUAGCUCAAUACACCAUAUAUAUAGAUAUAGGUUAGGUUUUAGUCUGACCAAGAAAGGGGUUAAAUUGACUAAGAUUUAAAAGCCAUCCAAUAGAUAAAUAUAUGGGCCGUGAAUAGCAUUAAUUUCUUAAGCUACUUUCAACAGUCCACGUUGUUUUCGUGUUGAGCCUUUAGACUUGGUUGUUGGUAAUCAAUUCAUCAUUGUCCAAGACCUGUGAAAAUAUAUUCAAACGUUUUACAUCAUCGCCAAAGAUUUAUUGGUUAUGAAAACCCAACAAAUUUUCACCUUGAUACACAAUCAACCUGUAAGCUAUCAAAACCCAAAAUCAAUACUCACAUAAUAAAUGUAACCNNNNNNNNNNNNNNNNNNNNNNNNNNNNNNNNNNNNNNNNNNNNNNNNNNNNNNNNNNNNNNNNNNNNNNNNNNNNNNNNNNNNNNNNNNNNNNNNNNNNNNNNNNNNNNNNNNNNNNNNNNNNNNNNNNNNNNNNNNNNNNNNNNNNNNNNNNNNNNNNNNNNNNNNNNNNNNNNNNNNNNNNNNNNNNNNNNNNNNNNNNNNNNNNNNNNNNNNNNNNNNNNNNNNNNNNNNNNNNNNNNNNNNNNNNNNNNNNNNNNNNNNNNNNNNNNNNNNNNNNNNNNNNNNNNNNNNNNNNNNNNNNNNNNNNNNNNNNNNNNNNNNNNNNNNNNNNNNNNNNNNNNNNNNNNNNNNNNNNNNNNNNNNNNNNNNNNNNNNNNNNNNNNNNNNNNNNNNNNNNNNNNNNNNNNNNNNNNNNNNNNNNNNNNNNNNNNNNNNNNNNNNNNNNNNNNNNNNNNNNNNNNNNNNNNNNNNNNNNNNNNNNNNNNNNNNNNNNNNNNNNNNNNNNNNNNNNNNNNNNNNNNNNNNNNNNNNNNNNNNNNNNNNNNNNNNNNNNNNNNNNNNNNNNNNNNNNNNNNNNNNNNNNNNNNNNNNNNNNNNNNNNNNNNNNNNNNNNNNNNNNNNNNNNNNNNNNNNNNNNNNNNNNNNNNNNNNNNNNNNNNNNNNNNNNNNNNNNNNNNNNNNNNNNNNNNNNNNNNNNNNNNNNNNNNNNNNNNNNNNNNNNNNNNNNNNNNNNNNNNNNNNNNNNNNNNNNNNNNNNNNNNNNNNNNNNNNNNNNNNNNNNNNNNNNNNNNNNNNNNNNNNNNNNNNNNNNNNNNNNNNNNNNNNNNNNNNNNNNNNNNNNNNNNNNNNNNNNNNNNNNNNNNNNNNNNNNNNNNNNNNNNNNNNNNNNNNNNNNNNNNNNNNNNNNNNNNNNNNNNNNNNNNNNNNNNNNNNNNNNNNNNNNNNNNNNNNNNNNNNNNNNNNNNNNNNNNNNNNNNNNNNNNNNNNNNNNNNNNNNNNNNNNNNNNNNNNNNNNNNNNNNNNNNNNNNNNNNNNNNNNNNNNNNNNNNNNNNNNNNNNNNNNNNNNNNNAAUUUUACUACUUUACAACCAACACUAUUCACUAAUCUCCAAUAACCAUGCCAACCAAUAGAGAAAAAAAGGGAAUCCUAAGUGCACAAGGGGCAAAAUUGUCCAGAAUCUCAAUUUUGCCUAAGGGGUAAAAUUGUCCAGAAUCUCAAUUUUGCCUAAGGGGUAAAAUUGUCCAGAAUCUCAAUUUUGCCUAAGGGGUAAAAUUGUCCAGAAUCUCAAUUUUGCCUAAGGGGUAAAAUUGUCCAGAAUCUCAAUUUUGCCUAAAAUAGAAAUCGAACACCACAAGUCUAUCUCGUCAUCUGGAACAAUCUGUUAGAAGAUAACGUUAUCGAAAUCACCUCUACGCUCUCUCACAUGCAUCUGGUUGAGUUUCAUGCGCUGUCCGACCACUUCAUGAGCUGAUCAUGCAGCUGUGCCUCCACCUAUACGUCACGCCAAUAGUUUUCGUUUCACCAACCAAUCAUUGGAUUAGCUCGAAACACAGAAAUAUGUUCAGUAGCCUUGAAGAAACUGGGCAAAUUUGGUUUCUAUUUUGAUUCUAUAGAUUUUCUAGUUAGUUGUUAGUCAGAUUUUUGAGCCACCUUGAAGCUCUAACCAAUUGUUGCAGAAGCUCGCUCCAAUAUCAAAAUUGUUAUUUUUGAGCCCAGUCUCACAUUAUCUUUCUCCAAUUCAAAUGGCACUAACCACAAUCAAUCCAUUUACCACAGUUGCUUCUCAAUCUCACCCAUACAAGAUAAAUAACGGUGUUGAUUUGCAAGCCAAGAAGACAUGAGAAAAAAAAUGAAUAAGGCACAAAGAUGAGACCAAAACGAAGGAGGAAGUCACCGAUUUUUUACUCUCAAUUGUACAUGUUUUUCUUCAACAAUAAGCAGCCAUUUUUUUCUCUCUUUACUCACAAAUCGCACACUAAAAAAUGGCUAGGGAAAUACACCAUAUAUAGUGAUAUAAGUUACGCUUUAGUUGUACCAAGAAAGGGGUUAAAUGUGCCAAGAUCAAAGAGCCAUCCAAUCGGUAAAUAUAUGAGUCGUAAAUAGCAUUAAUUUCUUAAGCUACUUCCAAUGGUCCUUGUUGUUUUCGAGUUGAGCUGCUAUACUUGGAUAUUGGUAAUCAAUUCACCAUUGGUCGAGGUAUAUGAAAAUACAUUCCAACGUUUUAUAUCAUUGUCCGAGAUUUAUUGAGUAUCAAAAUCCAAUAUUGUUGAAAGAUAAUGAGAAAUAGGUAAAAGAGAGAACUCAACAAAUUGCAGAACCUAUAGGUUUUAAUACGUAAUUGUUGUACUCAAAUGGUAUAGGAUGUUUUAUGGUGCUUAAAGAGAUUCGCCAGCAAAUGAUUUGUAGAAUAAACAAGUAUUUAAAAAAAUUAAAUACGUGUGUUUUCUUCCAAGAACUUGAUGAACAUUAAAAACAUUUAAUAUGUAUAAAAAUGGGAGAAAGAAACACUUAAGUGGAUUUUAAGAAUUGAUAUCUUAUGGUUAUAAUUGAAAACACGUAUUAUAGUUUUCCACAAACAGUCCACAAAUUAGUAAAUAACUUUUAUGAAAGUUGUUAAUUUUCAUGAGAGCUGCCAAGAGAUCAAAAUUGGAAAUUAGACUAAUGACUAGUUCUUGUAACCAUGUAUAUGCAUUGUUCAAGGAAUACAUGGCACAAAGAACAUGGGCUUAAAGUUGCCCACCCUCCAAUUUCUUCCCAUUUUGAUCUCAUAUUGAUUUUUCUUUUUCAAUGGUAAUUAUUUUUUCAAUUCUCCCUUCCAAUAUAAUUUUUGAACAAAAUAUAACAAUCCUCCAGCUAUUCAAAAUUAUAUAGAUCACAAAUAUAAAUUAUCAACACUUACACAUAAGUUUAGAUAUCUUUUGAUUUGAAUCUUACUUUAGUAUAAUUCCCACAAAGUAUAAUCAAAAUUUCAGGUAGCAUAAUAGCUUUGAAACAAUUAUUACUUGUGAUGAAAUCGAUAAAAAUAUACGCAUAAGUGCCGUGUUUCAUAGUUCCUCAAACUCGCUUAGAGCUAAUAUGGACUUAUCCUUAUCCUAUUUGUUGAACUUUUAAGAGAGAAACUCUAAUUCUCUAUGAGUUGCCUCAAAGUUCAUUUAGAUGAAGUUCUUUCUGUUUCUUUGUUACUUUUAAAGAUACUUGUACUUUGUAUUGAAUUUCAUUAAGAGCUUAAAGCUUACCCCUCCUUUAAGUAAUAACCAACAUUAUUACAUUUUAGGAUAGGGUUCUCGCAAAUAUAAUAAUGCUGAAACUAUCCACUUAUUGAAUAACUUAUUGUUACCUUUUGAGCCCAUAGUUACUAUUUUGAAAUGACAAAUAAGAUUGCCUUCAUUGGUGGAUCUUUUAAUUUAAGAGUUUUAACCCCAUCCUACUCAAUGUAGAUAUUACCAGAUCUCUAUUAAGAGGUUUAGUAAAACGAUCCACCAAAUUCUCAUUUAAAUUAAUGUAAUUUGGGGAAAGUAUUCCAUUUUUGAUCAAUUUUCUUAUGUAGUCAUGUUUUAGACUUAUAUAUCUAAACUUUCUAUUGUAUACCUCAUUGUAUGCUUUUAUUAAUGUGUCAUGACUAACACACAAAAUAAAUAUCAAAAAAUAUAUUCGUUAUUCCCAAAGACAUCUCAUAUAGAUCUUUUCUUAAGCAACAUAACCCCUUUCUAGGUGUUGGCUAAUAACACUAAUUUAGAUUCCACGAUUGAAUGUGUUAUACAUGUUUGUUUCUUAAACUUUCAAGAAACUACACCGCUUCUAAGAAGAGAAACCCAACUCGAAGUAGAUUUAUUUUAUCGGUGCUAGGUAUCCAACUAAUGUCAGUAAAUCCUUUUAAUACAGUAAAAUAUUUAGAAUAAUGUAGAUCUAUAUUUUUGGUUUCCUUUAAAUAACAAAUAACCCUCCCGAUGACCUCCAAUGUUCCAUCCUUGGAUUAUUAGUAAACCUACGAAGUUUACUAAUUGCAAAUGUUAUAUCAGAUCUUAUGUAUUAAGCUACAUAAUAAGGCUAUCUAUAGCCCUUGCAUACUCUAGUUGAACAAUUGCUCUUCCAUCAUUUUUUUUAUAAGUUUGGAGUUUGUAUCAAGAGGGGUAUUGAACUCUUUUGUCUUCAAGUGAUUAAACUUAUUAAUUACAUUCUCUAUUUAAUGUAAUUGACUUAAAAUUAGCCCUCACUAGUUUUUGUAACCUUAGUACCUAAUAUGGUGUCAAAUUGUCCAAAAUCCUUUAUCUUGAAUGUGAAAAAUAGAAACUUGUUUUUCUUUUAUUUCAUUUAUGUAAUUACUCAAAAUCUACACAUCGUCAACAUAAAAGGCAAAUAAACACAACAAAUUCAUCAUACACUUUGAAAUAUAAACGCUUAACUACACUAUUAUGUGUGAAACCAAACUUUUCAUGCCAUUUCUUUGGUGCUUGUAUUAAACCAUAUAAUGAUUUUACUAACUUGCACAUUUUAUGUUCAUUACUAGAGUGGCCAAAGCCUUUCGGUUGUUCUAUGUUGAUCUCCUCUUCAAGAUCCCCAGUUAGGUUUUUAUAUCCAUUUAAUUUGAUGAACAUUCAAGUUAUAUAUGGAAGCUAAUGUAAAUAAUAUUCUAAUUGAUGUAUUCUAGGUACCUAUGCAUAUUUAUCAAAAUAACCAAUUCUUUUUUUUUUGUCAAUAAUCUUUAGCCACUAAUCUUACUUUAGCGGUAUUAAGAGUACCAUCUACAUUGUAUUUUCUCCUAAACACCCAUUUACAACCAAUAUGUUUAAAUUCAAGUGGUAAAUCGACAAGUUCCUAAGUAUUGUUUGACAUAAGUGAAUCCAUUUUGUCUUUUGUGGCAUCUUUACAAAAUAUAAUAUCAUAAGAAGCCAUAUUUUCUUUACAAGUCUUAGAAUCGGUCUCUACAUGUGGAAUAAAAGGCACUGUCCUAAUAAAAAUUUUAUUAUUUUUCUCUACCAAGUAAAGUGAAAAGAGUUCAGAAACUAUCUCAUUCUGUCUGAAGGUUUUUUCUUUCUAAGUUCUUUUGCUUCUUUUAAACUCACAAGAUUUAUCAACAUCUUUAGAAGAUGUUUCCUAUUGUUUUCCACCUAACACUAGGAAUCUCUUCUUGAGUUUUCUUAAGUCAUUAUCCAAAGAUAAUAAAUUCUCAAAGAAUUCAACUUCAUUUGAUUCGAUUAUUACAUUUGGUCUCCAAAUUUAACAAUAAAUAGGAUUUGCUAUUACUAGCAUAUCCAACAAAGGCAAUUUUGUUGCCUCUUGGUCCCAAUUUGGUCUUUUCUAGGUCUAUGUUCUUAUAAUAAUCAAGACACUCUCACACUUUAGAAUAUUCAAUGUUUCGAUUUUCUUCUUUUCCACAAUUCAUAAGAAGAAAUUUUUGUGAUUUUUAAAGGAAUUCUAUUAUAGAAUCUAUAUGCACAUAACAAAACUUAACCCCACAAGUUAAAUAGCAAAUUAACAUAUGUUAAUAUGGCAUUUAUCAUUUCAACAAAUUUUCUAUUUUUUUUUUCCAAUUUGGUCUUUUUUAGGUCUAUGUUCUUAUAAUAAUCAAGACACUCUCACACUUUAGAAUAUUCAAUGUUUCGAUUUUCUUCUUUUCCACAAUUCAUAAGAAGAAAUUUUUGUGAUUUUUAAAGGAAUUCUAUUAUAGAAUCUAUAUGCACAUAACAAAACUUAACCCCACAAGUUAAAUAGCAAAUUAACAUAUGUUAAUAUGGCAUUUAUCAUUUCAACAAAUUUUCUAUUUUUUUUUCUUUCCAUCGAAUUGUUAUGCCCCUCACAUAGGCACAGAGGCGUUUUCAUGUGCCGAAGCACGUAAGGAAGAGGUGCUCCCAAAAUAUGAUAUCGUCUGAAGCGUCUUCACGUGCCAAGGCAUUGCUUUCGAAAUAUGAGGCCUGAGCCGCAUUGACAAAGGCACUAUGUCUGAGGGGAUAUGUCGGGGAGAAAAGGAUAAGCACCUCUUCAUUGCCAAUUUCAGAGAUCUUCUGGCCAAGAUCUUCUAUGUGUCUUUAGAAAUGAUUGAUGUGAUGUCUCUGCCAUGUGUCAACCCAGAAUCAGUAGAAUUAAUUGCCCACCCACCUAGGAAGCGAUUGGUGGAUGCCUACUAGUGACACCUCGUACCGUUGGAUGAUUUCACGUGUCACGCAUCUAGCGGUGCUCUUAAAAAUCUUAAAAAUCAUCUAUGAAGGUGAUAAAAUACAUAUUUCUCCCAUGUAUAACGUGUCAUUUAAUUCACAUAUUUUCAAAUGGACAAUUUCUAAAUAUGUAAAGUCCUAUUCACACAAUGAUAAAGUUUCUUAGUCAUUUUCGGUUCCACACAAUUUCUAUAUUUAUGUGUAUAUUUUAUAUUGUAAGAUUUAUAUUGUAAGAUAUCAUAUCAUAGUUUAACAUAAGAAAGAAAAACUUGAUUACGAGAACUUCAUGUUAGGCCGAUUACAUUAGUACAAAUAUACCUAAACUGGAUUGAGAACGUUGGAGUGAGAGUGAAUGCUAAGUUCCUAUUCAUGUUGGAAACAUGUAAUAGAUUUAUUAGGGCAAUUGUUUUUCCGAAAGUGAAGACAAUAUCAACAUUUCAUUUACCAACCACUUUGAAGUAGCCUUCAUUACCCAUUUGCAUCCCUUGCUCACCAUUCGAUUCGUGACAAGUCUUGAAAAAUAACUUAUCAUAUGAUACAUGAAUGUUGUUGCACAUGUAUCAUACUUCCAGUCAGGAAUAUUUUAUUUGAUAGCAUUGAUUUCACUCAUAGUAGAUGCAAUGUUAUCAUCAAAUGAGUUUAUUUUGCUCUCAUUCUUGUUUUGUUUUCGAUGCAAACAAUUUUUCGCAUAAAUUUCGGGUUUUCGUCCCAUAAAAAAAUCUCUCUUGGACUUUUUGUGAUCCUUAUUAAAAGAAUUCCUUUCGUUUAUGUUGACCUAUGGUUGAUUGUAACCUUAAGCCUUUGAUUUAUAACAAACAAGUUAAUUUCGUUUACUCAUAAAUUGAAUUCAAGUGAUUAUAGUCUUUCAAAGCAUACAAUGAAAAAUUGAUUGAUGGUGAUUGAAAUAUCAAAAGCUAUUAUAAUAAUCGGACUUCUAAAGGAGGUCAAGAUCGAAGUCACAUACUCAAGAGCUUAAGAGCCAAACUUUGAAAUAGAUCAAUGAUUAGAUUUCUUAGAUAAAGUGCAAAGAUAUUGGUACUUUGAUAUUUAGCAAUGACCAUUUAGGCUCCAAAUCCUUCUAUGUAUUAAAAAUAAUUUUAUGCAUUAAAAGUUAUUUUUGAUAUAAUUUUUGAUUAAAUAUAAAAAUGACUUUUAAAAUGGUAUUCUAACUGGAAAAAUAUCUUUUAUCUUGAAAAGUUAUUUAAAAAUACUUUUCAAAAGUCAAACGCUUUUCAAAACCUUCAAAUUGGAUCAAAUAAGGCCAAAACGUAAAAAUAUCGAAACUGUUAGACAGUUUACAAGCUAGAAGAAGCGAUCAAUCAAAAAUUUUCAAAGGUCCAAAAUUUGACCAUUUUGACCUCUAUAUUUUACUAUACAAAAAGCUAUAUUUAUCAUCCGAACAAGAGACUGUCGAUCGGACAUGUCAUCCGAACAUACAAUUUUGACGUUUUGAACUAUAUAAAUACCUCCAUUUCUUGCAUUCAUUAUAGCAAUGUUGGAGAGCAUUGAAAGUGAAAAAUGACUAAGUAUAUCUCUUGAGCUUACAUCUCAUUUAUUCUAUCAAACAAUUACUUAAAAAUCUUUAAUUUAUUAAACUUUUUAAAAUCAUCUUUUUAUCAAAUCUUUUUCAUCUAAUACUUGAGCUUCAUUUAUUGCUAUUCAAUUGAAGUGUUGAAUUCAUCCUGUGUUUUUUCUUUUCCAUUCACUUGGAUUUCUGGCUUUGGUUUUUUCAUAAAAGUGCAGCCGUGGUAUUCAGAAAAUAGAGAUCUUUUUUAGUGUUUUUACAAGAAAUCUCUAGCCAACCCAACGCGUUUUGAACUAUUUAAAAUUAAAAUAUCUUAAUUUCCAAUUCCAUUGGACUCCUAUUUCUCUCUUAGCACUUAAUUUAUUUAUAUCAUUUAUUAAGAGAGAAGUUUCAAAUUGUAAAAUCAUUUCUUAUCAGAUUUGUGGGUCUUAUUGAAGUCCUAUAAAGCUCAAUAUUAUAUAAAGAACGGAGCUUCUUGUUUGUAAGGCAUCAAAAGUAUUGUAAGGAUUUGGAUUUUACCAUAAGUUAAUCAAAUAUAGUGAAUGGGUCUUGCUCGUAACUGGGAACUUGGUAACGUAGGAUAUAGAUAAUUGUUUUGGAUCAAACCUCUACAUUUAUAUCAUUUGCAUUCUCUCUUUUAUUUUAUUUAUUGCUUUCGUAUUUGUGCAUUUUGUUUGAUUGAUUUAUUCAUUCCCAAUUUGCUUGAAUUUGAAUCAAUUUUUCGAAAACAUUUUGAAAACCAAUUCACUCCUCUCUUGAGCUGUCAAUUUGAUUUGUUGGAUGGUUCGUUCUUUUUCAUGUCAUUGGCUUUCAACAUGACUUCGCAAGAGUUUUCAUUCUUGUCUCUUGCCCUCAAUUCUUCUUCAUUUUGGAGAUGCUUUUGAAUUUGGAGCAAAGAAAAUGAAACGAUGAGGGUUCUAUUUAUAUAUUUCAAUGCAUCUAUCUUAAUAGUUACAUCUUUGUACAAAAAUUCAUUUUGACCAUUAAAUCAUACCUUUUUAUUGGAACAUGGUCUGAUGAUCUAUAUCGCACACUUUAUAAAGGUAAUGACUCUUCGCUAUGCACCAAUAACAUAUGAAGAGUCAUACCUAAUCAUCAUAACUAUUAGAGACUUAUUCCAAUUCAUAUAUUAAUCAUUAAAUAACCCGAUAAUUCCAACAAUCGCAAACACAAACAAAAUAAGUGACUCAACACAAGCAAAAAUAAGAAAAAUUCUAUUUGCGAGAUAAUGAAUCAAGAUAGGUAAAUUUUCCUUUGAACCUCCCUUAGUAAGAAAAUUCAUCAGACUUGCUUGGGUAAUAAGUGAAACAACAUUUCAAACUAUCAACCAUUAUCACAAGUUUAAACAAUAGAGCAAACACAUUAUUUCUUAUAUUAGACUUGAUUCUUCAUUAUAUUCAUUAAUUCGAUCCUAAACUCUCUUGAGUUCUAAGUACUUUGGAGAAUUCGCCUAAGUAAAAUUCAAAAGAACCUACCAAGUUUUCACUUUCAUAUGUUAUGUUCAUUGAGAUAGUUAAUGAUUCAUUUAGUGUAAAUUGAGUUCUUUGACUUCAAUUGGUCAACAUUCAAAGUAAUUACAAAGCAAGUUAAACUAACUAAUUAUCUACAUUCCCUUUUGUGUUUGAGACUUAGUUUGCCCUUUCCUUAUCCUCAACAAUAUUUGUAGACAUCACUUAUUUACAUUAUAAAAAUAAGGAGAAGUUAAACUCCUAAGUGCUUCUUGUCAAGUCAUUCAUAGUUAGUUUAACUUUUAAAUCCAGUGUUCUGAAUAGUGUGUCUAGGCAUGAGACGUGACAAAAACUCCACGCUUAAGACCUAUGUGCUAAUUUUUUGGUCAAUGGAAGCGUUGGCCGCUUUAAGGCAUGCAUUAUCAUUAUUUUUUAAUUAAAUUUUUGAACAAUUUUUAAUAAGCUCAUUUGUCCUACCCUACAUAAAGUUUUCAACUUUUAGGCCAAUAGAUUGAAAGAUCUAACAAGUUGCUCACUUAUUAGUCCACUAAUUUAUAGAGGGCAUCUCCAACGAUUUUGCUACAAACUUUCGAUGUGGGAUAAAAAAUCCUUCGUUUUGGCUACAGUGCAUUAUAUCUUUGAUUUGGUUGUAAUGUAUUGUACCUUCGAUUUGACCGUAAUGUAUUGUACAAUUGUAUAAAUAGUUAUUUAUAUUUUAUUAAGUUAAUUAAUCAUUUUCCUAUCUUUUACUAAUUAAUAAAAAUUUAAAAAUCUCCAAAUAUUUCAGUUAGCACUAUAUAAUAUAUCUUGUUUAUUGUUUGAAAAUAUAUUUGCUUCGUUGAACUCUUAAAACUACAUUUGGUAAUAUAAUUUGUAUAUAUUAUUAAAUUAUUUUUAAAUUGAUUAAAAAUUUAAAAUAAUAUUAAUGUAAGAAAAUACUUUUUUUACGCCUAAGACUCAUCUAGGUAUGCAUCAAUCGAAGUUUGACCUUCACACAUCGUCAUGCAUGACAUUUUUUUGGAACACUGAUUAAAACUAGUUCGUGAGAUCUACAGUAGUUAGGUUAGGUUUUUUUAGGAUAUCUCUUUAAGUUUUAAACUCAUUUCCCUCGAUGUACGAUCUAUUUGCUUUCUAGAUAAUCCUUUUAUAAAUGAAUUGCUAGGUUUUCUCUUGAUUUAACAACAUCAAACGAUAUUGUUCCAUUAGAAACAAAAGGUUGAAUGUCAUUAUAUUUAUACCUAUGAUGUAUGAAUCUUGACUUAACGAUACACGAAGUUUUAUGUUGUAGCUAUUGUUCGGUUAUUUCUAUAUGCAAUAUGGUUAGCAAUUCAAAGGAUUGGUGGGUCGAUAAUGGUGCAACCCAUUAUAUUUGUGUAGAUAAAGCCAUGUUCUCAGAUUAUCAUGAAUCAAAAGGAAAACAAUUGUUCAUGAGGAACUCUACGAGUUCGAGCGUUGAAGGACUUGGAAAGAUCACAUUGAAAAUGACUUCCGGGAAAGAACUAAUCCUCAAUAAUGUUCAUGUACCAGACAUUUGCAAGAAUUGGUUUCGAAGUCUUUACUUAGCAAGAAUGACUUUACAUUUGUAUUUGUAUCGGACAAAUUUGUACUUACCAAAAAUAAUAUGUAUAUUGGUCAAGGUUAUCUUUGUGAAGGAAUGUUGAUGAACGUUCUAACAAUUGUACGAAAAAGUAUUAUAAAUAAAAAUUCUAAUUAUGUUUAUAUGCUUGAAUUGUCUUGUUUAUGGCAUAGUCGAUUAGAACACAUCAAUUACAAAUCUAUGUUCAAACUUGUGAAUGAAAGUUUAGUUCCGAUGCUUAAGAUUGAUCUUAAUCAUAAGUGUGAAGUAUGUGUUGAAACAAAGUUGACCCAAACACAUUUUCAUUCAAGUCAAAAAGUGAUUAAAGUAUUAUUUUCACGAGGACUAGCUAAAUAUCCAAUUCGAUUUUUAAUUAACAUAUAACUAUCUAAAUGCAAUGCUAAGAAACUAGUAUGAAGCAUUUAUGAACUUGAUUAACAACAAGCAAUAGGACUUCGAAUCUCUCUUUAUAUUAUGUUUUAACAACCAUCAAAGAUAUUGACAACAUGCUUAAACUUGAUGAUUAAUGUACUUAUUUUGUUUAGUAAUCUUUCUCGAUGAAUACUAAAUAUAUUCUCAUAUGUGAACCUACAGUAUGUCUAUGAAAAUUGUGAACGUGUGACAAUGCAUUUAAUCACUAUAUAAUAAAAUCAUGCAAGAUAUAUGGUAUGGGUAUAUAUCUCUAUCACAUAUAGAACCCUACAAAGAUUAUCAUGUGUAUAAUACUUAUUCUUUCUCUCAGACAUAAUAAAGAUCAUUAAUCUGUUCAACUAAUGAUCAAUUAAUUGAAGCAUUAAACAUGUAACAUACUGUUCAAGCUUAACAAGAAUUAAUAGUUAGUCUCGAAAUUAAAAUUAAAACAUCAUAGUCAUAGGCUUAUCGUCAUCCUAGUGACUAGGAAUUUAGUCAAGCAUCAUAAAGUUACAAAAACAAAUGCUUGCAUAUUUAGCCCCGUCUCUUAUUUUAAUUGUAGGAAAAAGAAGGGAAAAUGUCUUGAACUCAUGAAUUUCUUCAAUUCUUAAAUAAUAUCCGUGUAUGAAGAAGCCAAAAUCUAAAUUAUAAUCUUCAAUUUUGGGUAGAUGAUUGUGAGUUCUUGUAUCAAGCUUCUUGAUUUCUCUCUAACGAAUGGUCCCCCAAUGUUUGGUUAAAAAUGAGACUAGAUUUUAUUCCAUGUACAAGUGAGUCAAAUUAGGAAACAAAAUUUUUGUUAUCGGACACUACAAUACAAUCGUACGGUGUCAUGUUUCCACUUGCUAGAAUUCAUGUACCUUGUGAUUUUCGGUCAUAAUGCCUUACUUUUCAUUCUUGGUUAAUUUUUGUUUUUGAAUUCCUUCUUCGGCUCAACUUGAUUCCUCUUCUAUUUUCACCAUAAGUUCUUCAACUUUCAGUUCUUCUCAAUUUAACCAAUGUUAUCCACUAUUACCCAUUCUUGGUCUGUCUCAAGUUUUGGAGAUUUACAAUUCAGUCCCCAAACUUUCACAAUUGUUCUUCUUCGUCCUCUUCAACCGACUUUCACUUCUUUUUUAAUCUACAAUCCAAUAUCAGAACUUUUACAUAACAAUCAAUAUUUAACUAAAAUUAAGUGGAAAUUCAAUUAAUGUGACUCCCAACAUCCACUUUUAAAAGCUUCGAUAAAUGUUAAAUUACGCUUAUCAAUAACAAAAAUCAUGGGUUUGAGAAUUUUAAAAUUUCAGGAAUUUUAUAGAUUGUCUUUCAUGAUUCUAACUUAUUAUAUUCUUAAACUCAUUAAUUUAAUUCUAAAAAUUAACUAUUUUUAAAAUGUUAAGGAACAUAUAUUGAACAACACCAGUACUUAAAAAUAAAUGGAAAUCUUAUAUACCGUAGAGUUUAGUAAUCUCCGACGUUUGAUUUCAUUUGAAUACAUCCCAUAAAUACAUGACUCGGUCCAACACGCUAACGUAAAGUAUCGGUAUGGAAUUUUCGACCACUUAUAUAAUUUUUUGGGUGUCUUGUUGAUCAGUUUUACAGCUUUUUCACAUUAUGAAAUUUGUGGGACAGUGUUUUUAGGUUGAUUAAUGUAGUUACAUGUAAACACUAGGGCCUAGGGAAGUCUUAAAAGGCAAAAGCUUGGUUAUAAACGUCUCGUCGAGGGUAGUGGAAUGGCUUAUUAUAAGUAAAAACUUGAUUAUGACUGGAGAAUUUGAACCUCAAAUGCACGUUCUCAAUUAUUUCUGACUUUUGAAUUAUUUUCAUUUUAUUUUAUUUUUAUUUUAUUUUUUUGUGAGUCAGGUGCUCGAGUUUUGAUUGAUUAAUCUUGAGGAGUGGUUCCUCCCGGUUUGGUUCACCACCUGGGUAAAUUCAAAUGCAAUUACAGCGUAUAAACACUUGGGUCAAACAUUCGGGAUGCGGUUUUCAUGUGCGGACAAGACUCCAGAAGGACAACAAAGCGUAUCAUAACUUUGCCUUCACAGGACAUCUACCUUCCAACGUAAAUGUUGACUUCAAGCUAUCGCAUGGAUCCAAACCUCCGAUACUCCAUAGAGAACUCUCCUAUUUUACUACUGUGCCUUGCCCCUGGGGCUAAUUAUUUUCAUUUUAGAUACUUCGUAGAGAACUUUAUUGUUUUACUACUGUGACAUUCCCGUAGGGCUAAUUAUUUUCAUUUUAGAUAUAGCAUAGACAGGUGUAAUAAGCUAUCAUGGGUCCAUUGAGAGCUGGGAUAUUUUUUGAGUACGAGAGAGACAGUGUCAACCUGAAUUUUCCGUUGGUAAAGAUGAUAUCUCUUUACCAACCGAUAUUCCGUGUCUAAUGUAAUCGUUUAACAUUUAGAUCUUCUUCCAAUGGAUAUUCCAUAAGUUAUGUACCGAAUAUUACCAACGGAUUGCAUCUGUUAGUAACUAGAAACAGAUUAUCCGUUGGUAAAAGUAAUUCACUUUUAGCUACAAUAAUCAGUAACAAAUUUUUCGUUGGUAAAAAUGAUAUCUUUUUAUCAACGAAUAUUCCGUGCCUAAUAUAACCGUUUAACAUUUUGAUCUUUCAGCAACGAAUAUUCCGUUGGUAAUUAAAAACGGAUUAUCCGUUGGUAAAAGAAAUUCACUUAUCCCACAUCGGAAGUUUACAACAAUAUCUUUGUAGUUGCCCUCUAUAAAUUUGUAAUCCAAUAAGGAGUUAAACAAUAUUUUAGCUUUUCAAUUCAAUUGGCUAAAAAUUAAAAAAAAUUAUAAUUAUUAAAUAAAUAAUAAUAAUAAUAAUAAUAAUAAUAAUAAAUAAUUAAAUAAAUUAAUUAAUUAAUUUUUUACCAUACGGUUAUUUACAACAUUGAUUUUUACCAAUUGUAAUGGUAGACAUUUACCAACGGAAAGUCGAUUGGUAUUGGUUAAUACUUUUCCCAACGAAAAUUUCAUUGGUAAAAGAUUCACACUUUAAUAACGAAAAAUCCGUUGGUAAAAUGUUUACUAUUUACGUAAGACAUGAUCUAUUGGUAACUAUUAGCGACCCUCAAAUUACCAGCGGAUUUGUGAUUGCAAAUAUUCCGUUGGUGAAAAUUAUUAGCAACGAAUAUUGAGGUUUUAGGAACGAAAAAUCCGUGCUUGAAACUCUAUUUUUUAAUAGUGUAUAUAAUGAGAGAAUCUCUCACAUUGAGAGGUAUCGAGUUUUAUUGAGUAUAUUUGACAUGGUAUCAGAGCGUGCUUAAUUUUAUUUAGGUUAAACUUACAAACUUCUGUUCUCCAGUGAGCGGCAUUGUGCCGCUCGUCCAGUCAAAUUUUCUUGUUUUUGUUUUACUUUUUUAGACCUUCCAUGUCGAUGUAUUCUCGAGCAUCACCAAGCAUGCAAAUCUUUAGCUUGGACUGAGGGAUAUGAAACCCUUGUCCUUACGAUCAUACUUUUUUUUUUAUCAACCCAAUAUGGAGCUCAAUUGUCUAGUCAAGUUUUAGUUGGAGUUAUUUUGGAGAAGAUUUUGUGUUCUAUUGACUGACCAAUUGGAGUAAUACCCAAUUGCUGGUGACGUGAUUAAUGGCGAUGUUGGUUUCGGCUAUCGAAGGUUCAAGUUACAGAUUUAGGAGUUGGCAUCAUCGACGCCAGAUUGUGGUCGAACUGGCGCCGCUUUUGGAAAUAGCUUGGAACACCCAAACAGAGUGGUGAGACACAAAGGCACGGCCGCUUUCACUAUAAAUCACGGGAUGCUUCACACCAUUACGUUCACACACGAAUUUUACCGCCCGAGCAACAAUAUAAGCAUAAUCUUCAACACUGUAACCAACAAAAAUUUUAGAGUUCUUCCAAGACCACUGCCAUUGUCAAUGACUUUCAUACAAGUACCGAGGUAGAUUAAUUCACAGUAGAUUGGGAAAGCUUCACGUACUCCUUCAGAUGUUGUUGAACUCGUUGUGGAUCUGCACUCGCUAAGAAUGGAACAGUGGAGAUGGAGGCUAGCAUCAUGGAUGGUUCCAGCAAGAGAUGAGGCGUCGUUUCUGGUAUCACCACCGUGAAGAACCCUAUUUCCCUUGCCCAUCUCGUCAUGGAAAAGUCUCCCUAUUCUUAUCUUGCAUUCUCUAGAGCCGAAGAAUAUGCUAAACAACAGGAUUGUGGUGUCGAAUAGAGGUUUCGAUGAAGAACAGAGGCAUUGAUGCAGAUCUGUUUAAGGACUUGGGCUAAUUCUAGUGGGCUUCUAUUGUCUUGGGUUAGCUUUGCAAUUAAAUCUUUUGGGCUGUAUGUUACUUGAGGGUGUUUAUUUGAAGUGGGCUUAUUUUUUUAUUUUUUUGUUGUGUGGGCUGAUUUUGGAGUGGGUUGAAUUUAGGUGGAAAUUUGUUUGGCUUGGAUCUGAUUCGAUUGGGACUUCAUGUGGAUUGUGUCUAUUAGUUUUAAGCUUAGUGGGUUUACAUAUAAAUUAAAGAUUGUUGGGCUUCAAAGUUUUAUAAGGCCUACUAUCAUUUGGGGUUAUUGGCUUUAAGUGAUUGGGUUGUAAACUGUGGAAGCAUGGGAACUUAAGGAGUUGAUGUCUGCUAGUUUUGAAUUGUGUGGAAAAUUCUCUAAUAUGUAGCUCAUGAUUUUCACAAAGGCGCUGCUAAAAAACAAGGCUUUUCGUUUUUUGAUUGAAGAGACAGAGACAUAGGAGUGCAGAGGAUUGAGUUCUUUGGUUGCUCGGAUAAUGAGCUAAAGUUUUGGAUUCUUGGUGGAGGAUUAUCUUUGAAGUUUUUAGUAUUGGCUGUUUUGUGGAAUUUCUUUGAACUACAGCACCUUGGCCAGCAAUAUAUUGCUGAAAUUUUGGCUAGUGUAUUGGCGUUAGAACUUUUGUCGGAGCAUGAAUUAUGUGUUCAAUCGAGUUUUCCCGACAAAUAGAGCUCAUUGUGUAUCGGCACACUUCAUGAAUUUCUUUUGGAAAUUUUUCUUAGGGUAUGAGCUUUUUGGAGUGGUUUUGGAGUAGUUCUUAAUUAUUUCUACACUAUUUGUUAUUCUUGGUUUCUAGUCGUUACUAAUUUUUGUAGAUGGUUGCUCUGAUUUGGGCUUCUUCUUCGUGGGCACAAGUAUUGUCGUUGUCAUCAGUUCAUGAUUGCAAAUUGAUACUUUUACCAACAUCAAUUUGAGGGUGAUGUCAAUGAGAUUGAAUAAGAUUAUAGAGAUUUUCAAAGAUUACGACUUGAAGUCUAUUUUAUCAUUAUAAUUAUAUUAUAUAUAGAUAGAUUAUUUUUACCAUAUUUAAAUUAUAAGUUACUAUUAUUUAAUAUUGUAAUAGAUGCUACAAUAUUUAGUGGUGAUUUUGAUCCUAUAUAAUGAGAGAAUCUCUCACUUUGAGAGGCAUCGAUUCUUAUUGUCUGACCUCUCCUAUGUUCAUACAUUUAUCUUUUGCUAUUCAAUAAAUUAUGCCACCAUGCGUGGAUUUAAUUUUUAAGAAAAAUAAAAGAUGACGCCUGAAUACUGAUACGAUUUCGGCACAAUAAUAGUGAUUCUUCAAUGAAAAUAAUAUUUUGAAACUUCUUGAAUAUAUUUAUUUUAUGUUUUGUAAAGUAAAUAUGAGUUUUUGUCUCUUUCAAGAAAAUAUUGGUGGUGUUUCAAAUAAGGAAAUAAUAUUAUGUUUUUAUUUACUUAAAAAAUGAUAAUAAUUUUUUAGACCAACAUAGAGAUAUCUAAAUAUUGUACUUCCUUAACAUUUUUUAAGAUUACUAAGGUUGAAAUGUGAAUUUCAAAUGUUGAUGAAAUCUUUAAAUAUAGAAUUUAUGAUUGAUUUGAUCGAAGUUCUGGUUGUUAAAAAGAUAUAUAUAUAUAUAUAUAUAUAUAUAUAUUAUUUUAAACUUUUAGAUAAAAUAAUCUAACAUUGUAUUUCCGUAACUAAAAUUUUCAAUUUACGUCUCUCUUUGCUUAUUUAUAAAAUUUGUUCGUGUAUAAGAUCUUCAGUGAACUAUAAAUUUACUUGCACAUUGGUGGCGGAUAAUCUACUUUUGUGGCUGUUGGAUAAGUAAAGCCACUAUUUUUUACCACAAAAGGAUAACUUUGCAAUUUCUUAAUUGUUAAGCUAAGUACAUGCAUGCAAUGGAACUUGACAAAUUCAAGUUUUCUUUCUCCAACAAGUGGCAGCCGAAAUGCUUGAAAAAUUCCAACCACUUGACAGGCCAAAUGUGUAGAGAAUUCUAGCAAAUGAAGGUGGUAGAACUUUGAGUCUUUGAAGCAGUUAAAGGUGGUAAAACUUCUAGCAAUAUCCAACCCACUUACAGCCAAGUUUAGCCAUUAUUUUUGACAAUUGAAGGCGGUUCCUACAAAUGACCAGCCAAGUUGCAGAUAAUUUUCUUGAAUUUUCAAACAAUUAUGGUGACCAAAAAUCUUUAUAAAUAUGGGUAAGACUUUGAGAGAAAAGUGUGUGGUAUGGAGAAGAAAAAUUGAGAGGAAUUAAAAGUAGAGAGUAGAGGGAAAAUUGUGAGUGGAACGAUAAAAUUAUAGAGAGAAAAUUGUGAGUUUUUCUCCCAAGUAUUUCCUACUUGUUUUCUCUUAUUACAAGAGAGACUAAUUAUUGUUAUUGUGUUGUAAUUCUCCUACUAUAAUGAAAUCUUCAUAUACUUGCACGUAGACAUAGUCUAAAUUAGGUGAACCACGUAAAUACUUAUGUCUAUUUUAGCUGCAUUUUCUCAAUUCUAUUAUUUGUCACCCAAACUCGACCCACAUUUUUCCUAAUAGUGGGUACAAAGGUUUCCAUGGUAUUGACUUUUAUAAUGGCUUAAUAGCACAAAACAUUCCUGUGUUUAUCUAUAGUAUGCAAUAUGUCCCCACAUUUCAAUUUUUUGCAUUUUCACCCCAAUUUUCAUGUUUCAUUGCGAAAAACAUUAUUUUUACCAAUUUUUAAUGUAAAAUGACCAAUAUACCCUCCUAUUUAAAUAAAACAAAAAUAAAAGAAAAUAAAGAUGAAAUUGCAACUACAGGCCCAAAUUUUUCAAAAGGCUUAAUAGCACAAAAUGUCCUUACUUUUUUCUCACACCCUAUCCCACCCCAUGCCAACCUAACCCAACCCAGCCCAACCCAAUCCACUCAUUCUUUUGAAGAUUCAAGGAACUGUCGGACUCUAUCUCAUCAACUUUCACCUAAUUGCCACCUAAAACACUAGAACUCAUAUUACAAAUAGCUGUCAUCAACACCCAAACACUUUCUUAUAAACAAAUUGAACAAACAACAAAUUUAUAUGGUUAAAUCAACAAAAAAUGCAGCUUAUCGCAUGAGCAACACGCUGCCUUUUUUCGUCAAUUUCGACACAGGUAAUGGUUCCCACUGUCGCGAACCAUCCAUUCCGACUUCGCCACAUCUUGCCACACUGCUACAACAAUAGGUUACCAUCAAUUUCAUCUAUUAUGCCCCAGAAUAUGUGCCCAUUUAUUGCCCAAUAAGAAAUUGAAAGAUGUUGCUAUAGAUUUUGAUUUUGUGCACCUGUUCAAGUUUUAAGUCCAUGAAGAGAGGUGCUUUAAUGAAUAUAGUUGACUGGUAUGUUGGAAAUGAGAUGGGUCUUGUCGGAACAGGUGGUACCGCCAGUAUUUACAUUCACGAGUUGGGUAUUUUGGCUUGCAAUUCUGACAAAAUCUAUUGGCAUGAAGGUUGGAUGUUGGGUGGUAUGUGUAGAGGGGAGUGAGACCUUUCUAGUGGUAUGGAGUUCCAGUGGUUUAGGCGAUGGUCAGUUGACAUUUUUUGGUUUCUAAGGUGGUGACCCCAUUCAAAUUUUAGGGCUUAGUGAUGGUUUUUUCAAAUUUGUUCCUUUAAUUGUACUCCUUCACCGGUAAAAUAUGUCGUAGAAAUGACAAUGGAGAAUUGAAAUUUCGAGGAUUUUGGCAGCGAUGGCGGUGGUAAAGGAGGUGGAGGAAAAGAAAAGAAGAGAAAAAGAAUUUUAUUUUUUUUUCCAAAAUUUUUUAUUUGGACUCAUUUAUACUUUUUAAAAAGUUGAGGAGCAAGAUUACAAUUUGUUCUUUAUUUGUCGUUUCUUCUCUUUUUGGUUUUAUUUAAAUAUGAGGGUAUAUUGGUCAUUUACAUUAAAAAUUGUGAAAAUGAUGUUCUGCAAUGAAACGUGAAAAUAAGUGUGUAAUGCAAAAAAUUGAAACGUACGGACGUUUUGCAUACUACAAGCGAAACAUAAGAAUGAUUUGUGCUAUAAAGCCUUUCAUAAUUUCUUUAUGACUUUGGUAGAGGGCCUAGAGGUGUAAUUGGUCUAGUCUUCAAUCUGUUCACAUCUAAAAUCAAACGACAAAAUCAGACAUCAUAGGCCUACAAAUAUAGAUAAAUCACACCUUUGGUCUUGAACCAUUUUUCGAAUCUUGAACAAAAUUUACAAGCACCAAAAUAUCCAUUUAUGCUGCACCAAAAUCAAGUCAAGGAAGAAUCUAUUUUGCAAAUCUAUAAACAUAAUUUUUCACUACACAUGCCAACGAGUUGGUCAAGUUUUUUUCUUCUUGAUCUUGCUAUUAAAUAAAAAAUUUGUUGGAGUCAUCUAGUGGGAUUAAGCUCUUGUUUGACAACCUUUAAAGCAAACGCUUUUUUUCUUAAACUAAAUUUUUAAAAUAAAAUAUUCGGUACAUAAAUCUAAAUUUUUUCCUACUUUUGAUUAUAUAUUCCUCAAAAAAUCACUAUUCAAAACCUUGCUUUCUCCAAAAUACUCAUUUUAAUGAUUGUUAAACGGGGGCUAAUAUUGCGACACUAAUGAAAGGUUGAGGAAAUAUUUGCUCCUAUUCAUAGGCUGGUGACUAACAUGCAACUAACACAAUAGAUUGGGGCUGCUAACUUACAACUUUCACAAUAGGUUGGAAAGGAAGGGAGAAAUUUUUGAAUUUUUCCACAAGUAUAUAUAGGACGCAAGUCACUCAUAUUUUAUUAGAAUUAAUUGUAGGCAUUGUAUGUAAUUGCACAAUAGCUUCUUUUCUUUUCAAUUCAUUAGUCGGCCAGCUGUGUUUUCUUUCUUUCAUUUUUGGUGCCAAGCUCCAUUCAUUUUCAAUUGAUUGAACGAUCAACAGAGUUUCAAUUCAUUUUCUCUCUGUAAAUUGAAUAUGGUAUCAGAGCAAAAUCAUUUCCACGCUCUUCUCUCAUCAUCACAGAUUUAAUCUGUUGCUGGAUCUCGUCUUCAUAUAUAUAUAUAUAUAUAUAUAAAUUAAUCUGUUGUUCGAUCUAAUCUCUACAUAGAGUUAUUACAAUCCGGAAAUUGGUUUGAUUCAAGGUCAUCAAUGAACAAUCGGCCAUUGAUGAACCUUCAAGUCCUUACUCCUUACUUCAUUCAAUGAGUAAUUUCCAGAUCUCCUCCAGAUCUGCACCGAAUGAAGAUAAAAUGCUUAAUUCACAACAACCUGUGAUUGGAAGUUUAAUUCAGAGUUUGAAUCCUGCUCAAUAUCAACAAUUGAUGACGAUAUUGUCCACUCAUCUGGCAUCAAGCUCAAACACAGCAGCUUCUGAUUAUCAGGGCAACAAAAUUACAUCAUAUAAUGCAGGUCUAUGCCAUUUCAUAUCCGUUAAUCCAGUCUUGUAUUCCAAAGAAAUUUGGAUAGUGUAUUCGGGAGCCACUAAGCAUGUGUGUUUUAUUGCUGCCUCAUUCAUGAACAUGAGGAUUAUUGAUGGUUCAAAUGUGACUUUACCCAAUCACACACAAAUUCUAGUUAGAUUGUGUGGGAAUAUCAGGCUGAGUCCAAAUAUUUUGCUGCAUGAUGUGUUAUUUGUACCACAAUUCAAGCUAAACUUACUGUCAGUUAGUCCGUUAACUGCUGAAUUACAAGUUUCAUCAAGUUUCUCUCAUGAUAGCUUCAUUAUUCAAGAUGCCAAAACCAAGAAGAUGACUGGUAGGGGUGGUCAAAUGCAAAAUUUGUAUGUUCUAGAUACCAGAAUUCUGAAUUCCAUUUCUAAUGUAUUUGUUAAUACUAUGUCUAUCCAUGUAUGGCACAACAGACUUAGGCAUCUUUCAUUCAAAAGGCUAGACUGGUUGAAGGAACAAUUAUUGUGUGAUGUUACAAAAUUUCGGAGACAUAUGCCUUGUUAUGUUUGUCCACUUGCUAAACAGUGGAGAUUGCCUUUUGAAUCGAAUAAUAGACUGUCAAAUAAUCCCUUUGAUCUCAUUUAUUGUGAUGUGUGGGGACCUUACCAUGUUACUUCACACUCAGGAUACAAUUAUUUCUUGAUAUUGGUGGAUGAUUGUUCAAGGUUUACAUGGGUCUAUUUGUUGAAGCACAAAUCAGAUACCAAGAUUGUUAUUUCCAGAUUUUUCAACAUGAUUGAUACCCAAUUCAAUGCUAAAAUAAAGACAUUCAGAUUUGACAAUGCUUAUGAAUUAGCCUUUAUAGUUUAUUUUGCUGAAAAUGGAAUAAUGCAUCAGUUUUGUUGUGUGGAAAGACCACAACCCACACAACAAAACUCCGUCGUUGAGCGCAAACAUCAACAUUUGUUAAAUGUGGCUAGGUCUCUGUACUUCUAAUGACGAAUCCCCAUCAGUUUCUGGUCUAAAUGUGUUUUGACAGCCACAUUCUUGAUAAAUAGAACUCCAUCUUCUGUGUUGAAGCACAAAAUGCCAAAUGAAGUUCUAUAUGGAAGACCUGCAGAUGAUUCCUCACUUAGAGUUUUUAGAUGUCUAGCUUUUGCAUCCACUCUAACUACGCAAAGAAACAAAUUCCAGCCACGAGCUAGGCUAUGUGUGUUCUUGGGAUAUCCAUCUAGAGUUAAAGGUUACAAACUCUAUGAUGUUGAGUCAAAACAUUUCUUUGUAUCACGUGAUGUUGUGUUUCAAGAAAAAAUCUUUCCUUUUCAUACAGUUAUGGCAAAUGAUCAACUGAUAGAUCCGUUCCCUGACUUAGUCUUACCAAAUCCUUUUUUACACCUUCAUCAAGACUCACAUGCAUCCUCAACUCAGUAUAACUUACCGCCUAUUCCUUCAGCUAAAAGUCAUAAUUUGCAUCAAGAGUUAUUCCCUACUUCACCAUCCCUUGAUACAAUGUCUGCACCUGAUAGUCCUGAUAAAAAUGGUAUUCCACAUACUAACAUUAGUCACACAUGUCAACGUACUACUGUCACUAAUUUGAGACGUUCACAAAGAGUUGCUAGACCACCACAAUACCUUAGAGAUUUUCAUUGCAACUCCUUUCUCAACAAGAUCAACUCCCAUCUUCAUUCACUCAAUCAUAUUAGCCAAUUUAUUUCCUAUAAUCAUUUAUCCCAAAACCACCGGCAAUUUGUAUUGAACGUAUACUCUCAAUUUGAGCCUCAACUCUUUCACCAGGUGGUUAAAUAUCCACAAUGGCGUGAAGCCAUGAAAGCUGAAUUGGAGGCUAUGGAAGCCAAUCACACUUGGUCAGUAGUUCCUUUACCAGUUGGUAAACAUGUUGUUGGAUGCAGGUGGAUCUUCAGGGUAAAACAUAAUUCUGAUGGGUCUAUUAAAAGGCACAAAGCAAGUCUUAUAGCUAAAGGUUAUACACAAAAAGAGGGCCUUGAGUACUUUGACACUUUUUUCCCAGUAGCAAAGAUUGUCACUGUCAAAGUAUUGUUAGCUCUUGCAGCCUCUCAAUGGUGGCACUUGUUCCAAAUGGAUGUAUAAUGCCUUCUUGAACAGUGAUACGUUCGAUAAAGUUUACAUGGAUCUCCUGCCUAGUUAUGAGGUUCUCAAUGCUGUCAAACAAGGGGAGAAACUGGUUUGCAAAUUGCAAAAGUUAAUUUAUGGCCUCAAGCAAGCGUCAAGGCAGUGGAAUUCUAAAUUCACCCAAGCACUGGUCCAUUGUGGUUUUAAUCAAUCAAAGGCUGAUUAUUCCCUAUUCACUAAAGGUUCUGGGAAUGACUUUGUGGCAUUUCUUGUAUAUAUAGAUGACAUUGUCACCACUGGACCAAACAUUCAAGUCAUUGAUUCUUUAAAGAAGUUCUUAAAUUCUCAGUUCAAACUCAAGGAUUUAGGGAAGUUGAAGUACUUCUUGGGCAUAGAAGUGGCUCGUUCUAACUCUGAGAUUGUCAUAUCACAAAGAAAUUAUGCCAUAGAUUUGCUUGAGGAUUCAGGUUACCUGGACUGCAAAUUAACAAAUACUCCUAUGGAUCCAAAGGUUUCCUUAAGUAUUCAUGACGGAGACCUUCUGCCCGAUGCAUUUUCUUAUCGCAGGUUGAUUGGAAAACGGAUUUACCUGACAAUAUCACGACCAGAUAUUACUUUUGUUGUCUACAAACUGAGCCAAUUUUUGUCAUAGCCUCCACUAUCUCAUCUCAAGGUAGCUCACCAUCUUCUUCGAUAUUUAAAGGGUAGUCCAGGUCUGGGACUAUUCUUUCUGUUCACGAAAUAUUUUCUUUCGAUUUAAAUCACCACAAGUGUACGGUUAUUCAACAAGUAAUAAAGUGGAUUAAUUGAGUCCGAAUAUCAUCCCACAGAGAUUGAUUAGUUUAAUUUUACCUAACUUGGCCUUAACCGAAAUUGAUUUGUCAAACGUGAAUUGUAGUAACUUAAAUUAACCUUACUUGGACUAAAUAUGCAAAUAUGUAUGAUUUGAAUGAACUAAAAUGCAAAGUGAAUGUGUUGAUUGCAAGUUGGUGUACUCAAUCAAUGAAUAUAAAAGCGUACUAGGCUCAUGAAUCCCCAAGCAAUGCUCAAUUUAACCUUAAUUCAACACUUUGACAACACGAUGACAUUUUGAAGAAUCAAUAUUCCUAAAUCUAUCCAACACUCUCUUUCGAGAUGAAUUGAACCUAUUCUCAUACACCACCAGCCUAUAUCUCUAUGACGGAUGCAAAUAUAUGAGAAUGCAUGUAGUUUUGUGAAUACUUAGAGAUUCACACAAAGCAUAGGGGUAUAUUUCUAUCCCCCUAUCAAAUCCUACGAUGAUUUAUACCUUAUCGAAUUUAUUCCUCUUCUUUCGAGUAGAUGAAACAAACCACUAAAACUCACACAAUUACGAGCCCAUAAUCAUGGAAGCAAUUAAAUGCAUAUAAAUCAUUCAAAACAAUCAAUACGUGUUUUAGUGUCAAAAUAUGGAACAAAGAAUUAAAUAUCACAUUAUAAGAUUCACUGAUCUCCUAGUAUAGAUUUUUCUAGCCUAACAUGACGGGAAGAAAAACAUAACAACAAGAAUCAAGAAAAGAGAUCACCCAAUCGCCCUUUGAUUUGAAAUCUUGAAUCUUGAAUCUUGGAAUGAAUCCUCUCGUUCUUGCCUUCUUUUUGCUCUUCAAAUCCUCCCAAAAUAAUGUAUAAUACGUGGUGUCUGUUUUUGGACGUUCCUAGUGCUUUAAAAGACUCCCAAGAUUUGUUUCCAUAAGAGUUUUAAUCAGAAAAUGAAACCAGAAAAUUUUCGACGCGAUUGGCCUGGGCAACAUUUUCUUCUCGGUAAUAAGAAAAACAUAUGGGGCGAUCACCCGAUUUUUAUAACUGGGCUGUCGCACAGGCAAAAUUUCUUCCAUAUGUUGCAUUUUAGCCCUCGAAAUCGAUUUUUGAUUCUUUUAGGCCCUUUCUCUUGCAAUUUCAACUCUUUGACUUUCAUUUGCAUCCAAUUGAACCCGCAACAUCUUUAAUCUUCAUUUUGUGAUCCGAAUCAACUAUUAAAAUGUUGCAAUUUAGUCCUCAUACUUUGAAUUUUCUUCCUUUUUGGCUCUUUUUCAUUUCUUUUCUCUUGAAUUUCAUCACAUUCAUCAAUAUAGUCCUACAAAACAUAAUUACAUAGAAUUAAGUCAUAAUUCAAACUCUUUGAUCAUAAUUAAGUCAUGUUUAUGAACUAAAUAAGUGUGUAAAAACACACUUAUCACUUUCCUUCAUCAUCUGACCCACAUUCACUUCUCAAGCUUUAGGCCUUUUCAGAUGCAGGCUGGGGAACUUGUCUUGACACAAGAAAAUCAACUACUAGUUUUUGUAUUUUCCUUGGAGACUCGUUAAUAUCUUGGAAAGCUAAGGCGACGGUCCACUGUUUCUCGAUCUUCAGCUGAAGCAGAAUAUAGGGCUCUAGCUACCACCAUCAGUAAAGUCAUCUGGAUCAACCAAUUGCUCAAGGAUUUUCAGACAUGCGCUAUCUCUCCAGGUGCCUUAUUUUGUGAUAACCAAGCUGCCAUUCAAAUAGCCACAAAUCCAAUUUUUCAUGAACGAACAAAACACAUCAAAUUUGAAUUUUCUUCCUUUUUGGCUCUUUUUCAUUUCUUUUCUCUUGAAUUUCAUCACAUUCAUCAAUAUAGUCCUACAAAACAUAAUUACAUAGAAUUAAGUCAUAAUUCAAACUCUUUGAUCAUAAUUAAGUCAUGUUUAUGAACUAAAUAAGUGUGUAAAAACACACUUAUCACUUUCCUUCAUCAUCUGACCCACAUUCACUUCUCAAGCUUUGGGCCUUUUUAGAUGCAGGCUAGGGAACUUGUCUUGACACAAGAAAAUCAACUACUAGUUUUUGCAUUUUCCUUGGAGACUCUUUAAUAUCUUGGAAAGCUAAGCGACGGUCCACUGUUUCUCGAUCUUCAGCUGAAGCAGAAUAUAGGGCUCUAGCUACCACCAUCAGUAAAGUCAUCUGGAUCAACCAAUUGCUCAAGGAUUUUCAGACAUGCGCUAUCUCUCCAGGUGCCUUAUUUUGUGAUAACCAAGCUGCCAUUCAAAUAGCCACAAAUCCAAUUUUUCAUGAACGAACAAAACACAUCGAAAUCGAUUGCCACUUUAUUCGGGGUAAAGUUGCAGCUGGAAUUAUUAAGCUCCUUCCAAUCCGAUCUCAACAUCAACUAGCUGACGCAUUUACUAAGCCACUUUUUGCAUCUGUCCUUCUCCCUUUAAUGUCCAAGAUGUCUGUAAAGAACAUUUAUCAUACAUCUUGAGGGGGAGUAUUAGAAUUAAUUGGAGGCAUUAUAUAACAUUUAUCAUACAUCUUGAGGGGGAGUAUUAGAAUUAAUUGUAGGCAUUAUAUGUAAUUGCACUCAUCUUAGUUUCUUUUCAGUUCGUUAGUUAGCUAGCUUUGUCCAGCUAUGUUUACUUUCUUUCAUUUUUGGGCACCAAGCUCCAUUGCUAUUUAUGUAUCUUAGUUGAUUGAACGACCAAUAGAGUUUCAAUUCAUUUUCUCUUUGUAAAUCUAAUAUAUUUUCUACAUUGAAUCAUAAAUUUCACGAAAGAAAUUGUCUCCUGUAUCCACCGGCUACAGUCAAGCCCAGGAUGAUGGUAUGUACACACACAGUUGACAUGCAAGAAAUGGAAAUCUAAAAAAGCCCAAGGACCUUCUUAUAUGUAUAUUUGCUCUCCCAAUAUUGUUCCUUAUCAGAAAAAGGUAGUCAUUGAGACCCCCCCUCCCCGAAUGGCCAAAACUCUAAUGGUCAAGGAGGCAUCAUUGAAAUGUUGUUGAAUCAUCUGUUGUGUGGACGAAGAGUCCAACCAAGCUAUGAGGAUUAGAAUAAAGGCCAAGAAGAUCGUGGUGAGCAUCUCGGGUAAGUUAAAUCUUUAUAUGACUAAUAUAAAUCUUUUCUUUGGUAUUGUGUACUAUACAUCAGUAUGUCUAGGAUACGAAACAAGAUUUUAGUUUUUUUAUUUUCCUUUCUUCAAUACUUUCUAGAAUAAUGCUAUCUAUGUAUGACCACUAGUGGAUGUGAUGCAUUUUCACUCACAAAUUGGAUAGAACGGCAAACAAUUUCACUGAUAUUAGGAUCCAUUAAGACUUAAAGUUGCAUUUUAAAAGGUCAAACUUGGUAAGAGAGGUAACCCAAGUCUUUAUAUGUUGGUCUAUAUUUCAUCAAUUUUUGAUGUGUAAUUUAUUCUUUAACAUAUAUCCGAAAGAAGGUGGUUUGUUUGAACAAACCAAUCUGAAAAUUUAUGUACUCUUUUAUGGGUCUUAGUCAAAUCAAAUUGCUUUUCAGAGUUUAAUAGACUCUGAUACCAUAUUAAGAUUUAGAGUUCUAUCUUAAAAUGUCGACUCUAGUUAGAAGAGUAGCUCAAGUUUUUAUAUGUUGGCCUAUUUUUCUACUAUUAUUCGAUGUGGAUAAGGAUCUUGAAGCUGCAAAAAACAUUUUAUAUUUAACAUUCUUUUCAUCUUCGAUGGACGUUGGAUUUACCAUUAUAAUCUUCCCUACUCUCAUGAACAUUAUUUCUAGGAGUUGAGUCGAUGUCAAUGGAGGGAAGCGGGAACAUUCUAACAGUGAUUGGUGAAGAAAUCGACUCGGUGAGUCUUGUCCAAUGCCUAUGGAAGAAGGUGUGUUUUGCUAAUGUAGUGAGCGUACCAAACUGAGAGGGUUGAAACUAAGCAACCGAAACUUGAGAACACGAAUCCGGCUACCUGUGUGUGUGCCUCUUCGAUGCUGUAAUCACUCGCCUCACUGGAAAAUAUUGGAAAUCAGGGAACCCACAUCUUACUGCUUCAACUUUUGAAUGCUUCUUAUGUUAAGUUGUCAAACAAGAAAAAAAAUGAAUCUUUUGUUGUGAAGAAAAUUAAGCAACAUUAAUUCACAAUAGAUUUUGUUGCAAAUUCUGUUUGAGAUAAUGUUACAAGUGGAACAUUGUAGUAUAAUUUCAAGAGAUCAGAAGUAUAAGUUGAGAGAAAACUUUGAUUUCAUUUCUUGGAUUGGAUAGAUAGCAUUACUCUUAUUGAAUGUGUUGGGCUGUGAUGCCAUUUGAUCAAUCCAACUAAUAGGCAGUGAUGAAAUAAGGCCCAAUAUGGAAUCAAUAGAUGAUCCAUUUAUUAAAACCUAGAAGGCCCAAUUAAACCGAGCCCAAUAUCCAGCCCUUUUAACCCUAGUCGUUCUUGGACCGUUGGAUUAACCCACUCAAUCUAACGGUGGAUUGGUUUACUAUAUAUACAUCCCUUAUCCCUUGUUUGGGAGAGAGACGGUCAUUUUUCUUGUUCUCUUUUUCUCUGUGUAUUCUGAAACCUUCAAUGACUUUCGUCUUUGUGACCUUUUCUUCUUCUCUGUGUGAGAACUUCUGUUGAUUAUCUUUGUGAUAAUCAUGUCAUUGUGUUAGUCUCCUUUGUGAGAGUAAACUGUUGGAAGUGGUCUGUCCAUUUUCGGUUCCAGUGAAGCGACUUGGUGUUUUGGGGUUGUAAGGGCUCGUGUGUUGAGUUCAGUGCCUCUGUGGUGGUUAGAAAAGGGCGUAUGGUCUGAGCCUAUGAAUAGAUCUAAACCUUGAUCCAGUGGCUUAGGUUUUCUGUAAAUCUGCUGCGUGUGUGUGUGUGUGUGUGUGUGUGUGUGUGUGUGUGUGUGUGUGUAUAUAUAUUCUGAUUUGUAUAGUUUGAACAGAUUCUGGAUUAAUAGUGGUAUCAGAGCUUUCUUUGUCCGUUCUUGAGUCUUCGAUUGAAGGUUUGAACACUGGAAAAUUAAUUUCCAAGUGUUCAACUGUAGAUCGCAAAACCCUAGGUUUUGAUUUGAGAGGACCUUGUGGUCUGUGGAGUUGAUUCAUUACUGGACUAUGAAAUGCGAGGGAAUUCUGUGUCUCCUCGCCUUGAUCUAUGAAAGAACCUGAAAUAUGAGUCCCUGUGGGUUUCGUUCUUGAGCUGGAACCCUAACUUCGAAAUUGAUUGGAAGGACUUGAAGCUGUUAUGGCUUGACUUGAAUUUUGGUGACCUGCAGAGCACUUAUCCCCCACUGCGAUAACCUGUUUUGAUUUCAGCUGGUGGUUAAUUGUUUAACCACCUUUCGGUUUGCACUUUCUUGAACCCUACACGACAGCACACACUCUUAAUUAUACUUUUAUGAGUAUAUGCCUCUAUGUGACUAUGUUGAUAUGUUCAUUUCCUGUAUACUGUAACUUGUUACAUUAGUUAGUGAUAUCUUGUUAUAUUUGCCUGUGAUCAUUAAAGUGUGGGUGAUUCAAAUUGAGCCUUGACCUGAGAACUUGAUUCUCACGGAAUCCUAGUGAAUUUGAUCAACCCUAGGUCCUGUAGAUACUGUUUUUGAUACUGAGAUAUGGUUUUUUGCCUACAUUAUUAUAUUCUCUGGUUCUUGUGGUGUUUACAUUAGUAUGCUUACUGAUCCUGUUAUUGAUUGAAAUUAUUUGUGAUUAAAAUAAUUGUGGCUCAUUUAUUUGAUUGCAUAUUUUUUGUGACCUAAAACAUAAAUUUUUGUGAAGGUCAAAUUCAACAGUUUUUUCAAAAGUUGAUCAUUUGUCUUGUUUUAAUUUUUUGGAAAACCCUGUGUGUUAGUUUUUCACAAUAAAACAUGACAAAAUCUUUUGAACUUGGUGUUUUUGAUGGAAAAGGGAAUUUUCCCAUUUGGCAACAAAAAAUGCGAGGUGUUUUAGUUCAGUAAAAAGUUUCUAAAGCAAUAACAGAUGAAUUUCCUGAUACCAUGACAGAUGAUCAAAAGGAAGAAUCUGAUGAACUUGCUUAUACCUCCAUUAUUUUGCAUUUGUCUGAUCAAGUUUUAAGAAAAGUAGGUAAACAUGAUACUGCUAAGGCUCUAUGGGAUGAAUUAGGGAAACUUUAUCUACCUAAGUCUUUGCCUAAUAAGUUGUUUCUAUUAGAGAAAUUUUUCAGCUUUAGGAUAGAUCCAACUAGAGACUUAGAAGAUAGCUUAAACAUUUUUAAUAAGUUAGUUCAAGACAUUAUCAAUACAAGUGAGAAAGUUUCUGAUGAGUAUAAGGCUGUAGUACUACUUAAUGCUAUACCUGAAGCCUACAAAGAGGUUAAAGCCGCCAUUAAGUAUGGUAGAGAUACUCUUACACCUGAUAUUGUCAUAGACUCUUUAAGGAGUAAGGAACUUGAACUUAAGUCUAAGAGAGGUAAUAGUGGCCAUGAAAACUUGUUUGCUAGAGGCAGGACUUUAAGUAGGUCUAGUAGUACUCAUGAAAGCCAUAAUAAUCAGGGAAACAACAAUAGGAGGAAGUUUAAAAGUAGAGGCAAGUCUAAGUCAAGGACUAGGACUUAAAAGUGUUAUGGGUGUGGGAAAACUGGACAUUUCAUUAAAGACUGUUAUAAAAAUAAAAAUGAACAGAAACUGAAGGGUGUUGAUGAAGGUAAUGUGGUAGAAUCUGAAGGUUCUGCCACAGUUGAUGUAUAUGCUGUGACUGAAAAUUUACCUAGCUCUGCAAAUGUGGUUGAUGAGAAUCAGAACCAAGAAUGGAUCUCGGAUUCUGGUUGUACCUUCCAUAUGACCUUUAAGAAGGUAUAUUUAGACAAUUUUAAGAAAAUUGAUGGAGGAAAAGUGGUUAUGGGCAAUAAUGUAGCCUUCAGAGUUGAGGGAGUUGGGAAUGUCACUUUGAAAUUCGAUAAUGGAUACAUUCACCCUUUUGAAAGGGUCAGGUAUGUUCCUGAAUUAAAUAGGAAUCUGAUUUCCAUGGGAUAUCUUGAUGAUAUGGGAUUGCAAGAAAAAAUAGGAGAUGGCUUCUUAAAAGUGAUAAAAGGAUCACUUGUUAUUUUGAAAGGUGUUAAAAAAAAUGGGAUUUAUGUGACCAGAGCUAGUACAGUGUCUGAUCACAUAGGUGAGUCUUCUAGUGUAGAAGCUGAUGCUACCUUAAAGUGGCACAAGAGAUUGGCCCAUGUAGGUGAAAAGGGCCUACACAUCCUUUAUAAGAAAGGAGUGUUUGGAAAAGACUCUAUAUCUAAGGUGUCCUUUUGUGAAAACUGCACCUUAGGUAAGCAGCAUAGGCUGCAUUUUAACACAGGAAAACAUAGAACCACUUCUAUCCUUGAGUAUAUACAUACUGAUUUGUGGGGACCUUCAUCCACUAUUACUCAAGGAGGAAAUAGAUAUUUCUUGUCCUUAAUUGAUGACUAUUCUAGGAAGGUUUGGAUUUAUUUGAUGAAACACAAAUCUGAAACCUUUGAGAAAUUCAGAACUUGGAAGAUUCUAGUUGAAAAUGAGAUUGGAAAGAAAAUUAAGAUCCUUAGGACGGACAAUGGCCUUGAGUUUUGCAAUGCUGAAUUUGAUCAAUUGUGCAAAGAAUCUGGUAUUAAAAGGCAUAAAACAGUACCUUAUACACCUCAGCAGAAUGGAGUGGCUGAGAGGAUGAAUAGAACCUUGCUAGAUAAGGUUAGGUGCAUGUUGAUAGGCUCAGGUGUCCCUAAGGUGUUAUGGGGUGAAGCUGUAAUGACAGCUUCAUAUAUUGUUAAUAGAAUCCCCUCAAGUGCUCUAGGUGAUAAAACCCCAGAAGAGCUAUGGACAUGACAUGUUCCUGAUUAUUCUCAUUUAAGAAUUUUUGGUUGUGCAGCCUAUACCCAUCAGAGUAUAGGAAAACUUGAACCUAGGGCCCAGAAAUGUGUUUUCUUGGGAUAUCCCGAUGGGGUUAAAGGUUAUAGGCUUUAGAGUAAAGAGGUAAAAGGUUUUAAAAUCAUCACCAGCAGAGAUGUGACCUUUGAUGAGUAAAAAUGCCUUGUUUAGAAAAUAAAGAGCCAAAGGGUUUAUCUGGUGAUGAAAGGGGUGAUAAUACCAAGCUGCAGGUGGAGCUUGGCUUACCUACUGAACCUAUUGGUGAUGAACAGGUGGAUGAAGAAGCUGAAAUAGCUUCUGGUCCUCUAGAAAAUGAAGAGGAAGAUGUUCAAGAAAAUCUGGAAAGUCAGCCUGAUGAAUUAGGAGAUUACCAGUUGGCUAGAGAUUGGACUAGGAGAGAAGUUAGAGAGCCUGUUAGGUAUGGGGAUUACCUUUCACUUGCUAUUUUGUCCUAUCAAGACUUAGUGUUUAAAGAACCAAAAUCUUAUGAAGAGGCAAUGAGCAGCAAGCAAUCUGAGAAAUGGCAUGCUGCUAUGAUAGAUGAGAUAGACUCCUUAAUGAAAAAUGAGACUUGGACUUUAGUCCCUAAACCUGUAGGUAAGACCCUUGUUGAUUGCAAGUGGAUCUUUAGCGCUACGGAGGGAAAUUCUGAAAAGAUGCCCAUAAGAUUUAAAGCUAGACUUGUAGCGAAAGGAUUUACACAAAAAGAGGGCAUAGACUAUAAUGAGAUAUUUUCACCUGUGAUAAAGUACACAACCAUUAGAGUUAUGCUUGCUCUUGUUGCUCAUUAUGAUCUUGAACUUGAGCAAAUGGACGUGAAAACUGCUUUCUUGCAUGGUGACCUUGAUGAAGUGAUUUAUAUGAGGCAGCCACCUGGUUUUAUUGAGGAAACUAAUUCUGAUCAUGUGUGUUUGUUAAAAAGAUCAUUAUAUGGUUUAAAGCAAUCUCCACGACAAUGGUACAAAAGGUUUGAUAAUUUUGUAUCCGCUAUUAGUUUCAAAAGAAGUGAAUAUGAUCAUUGUCUUUAUUUUAAAAGAAAUGAUGAAAAUGCUAUUGUUGCUUUUAUACUUCUUUAUGUGGAUGAUAUGUUGCUGAUUGGUCAGAAUAUGCAUGUUAUUAAUUAGAUAAAACGGUCUUUAAGUGUUGAAUUUGAAAUGAAAGACCUAGGACAUGCAAAGAGAAUUCUAUGAAUGGAAAUCACUAGGAAAAGGCAUCAUAGGUUACUGUACUUGAAGCAAACUGCAUAUAUUGAAAAAAUGUUGAUUAAGUUUGCCAUGCAUAACUCUAAAUCUGUUUCACUUCCAUUGGCCAGUCAUUUUAAACUUAGUAAGGAGCAAUGUCCCGUAGAUGAAUCUGACAUUAGACAAAUGGAAAAUGUACCCUAUGCUAAUGCCGUAGGUUCUGUUAUGUACACUAUGGUAUGUACUAGGCCGAUGUAGCUCAUUCCAUUAGCACACUUAGUAGAUUUAUGGCCAAUCCAGGACCUGACCAUUGGGUUGCUUUAAAAUGGCUGUUGAGAUACUUGAAAGGAUCUUCACAUGUUGGAUUGAUUUUUAGUGCCUGUAAUGAAGGUGUUGUACUUAAGGGUUUUGUAGAUUCAGAUUUUGCCGGAGAUAGAGACAAUAGGAAAUCUACUACUUCUUAUAUGUUUACUUUGUGUAAUACAUGUAUUAGUUGGAAAUCUCAACUUCAACCUAUUGUUGCUUUAUCUACUACUGAAGCUGAGUAUGUUGCUACAACUGAAGCAAUAAAAGAAGGCUUAUGGCUUAAGGGUUUGUUAUCCGAAAUAAAUGAAUUAAGUAACCCUGUUGUUUUAUAUUCAGAUAGUCAAAGUGCAAUUCACCUAUGUAAAGACCCUAUUUUUCAUGAAAGAACCAAACACAUUGAUAUUAAGUUGCAUUUUAUUAGAGAUGUUGUUUCUAAAUAACUAAUUUUACUUGAGAAAAUUGCAACCCAGUUUAAUCCAGCUGAUGUAGGUACUAAGGUAAUACCUUUAAACAAGUUUAAGUCUUGUUUACAAAUUUUGAACAUUGAUGUUGGUUAAGUGUUUUGUUCUGUACAGGUGCUAAGGUUGAUGCUUGUUGAGAAUACGGGGAAGCUGUCUUUUUGAGAAGGACAUUUAAAUUGUGUUUUACAUUUAUUAGGCUUCUUGUAUGAUCACUGGCAUCAAGGUGAAGAUUUGUUGGGCUGUGAUGCCAUUUGAUCAGUCCAACUAAUAGGCAGUGAUGAAAUAAGGCCCAAUAUGGAAUCAAUAGAUGGUCCAUUUAUUAAAACCUAGAAGGCCCAAUUAAAUCGAGCCCAAUAUCCAGCCCUUUUAACCCUAGUCGUUCUUGGACCGUUGGAUUAACCCACUCAAUCUAACGGUGGAUUGGUUUACUAUAUAUACAUUAUUUAUCCUCUUGUUUGGGAGAGAGACGGUCAUUUUUCUUGUUCUCUGUGUAUUCUGGAACCUUCAAUGACUUUCGUCUUUGUGACAUUUUCUUCUUCUCUGUGUGAGAACUUCUGUUGAUUAUCUUUGUGAUAAUCAUGUCAUUGUGUUAGUCUCCUUUGUGUGAGUAAACUGUUGGAAGUGGUUUGUCCAUUUUCGGUUCCAGUGAAACGACUUGGUGCUUUGGGGUUGUGAGGGCUCGUGUGUUGAGUUCGGUGCCUAUGUGAUGGUUAGAAAAGGGCGUAUGGUCUGAGCCUAUGAAUAGAUCUAAACCUUGAUCCAAUGGCUUAGGUUUUCUGUAAAUCUGCUGCGUAUAUAUAUAUAUAUAUAUAUAUAUUCUGAUUUGUAUAGUUUGAACAAAUUCUGGAUUAAUAGAAUGGAGGUUUGCAAGAGUAUAUAUUGUAAUUUUAGCUUCCAUGAAGAGCCGUAGAAAGCUCAUUUUCUAGUUGUCAGAUGUCUCCGGUGAUUGAGUGUUAUUGGACUGAACUGAUAGAUUCAUGUUUGAACUGGACUCAUUGAGUCUUAUUUGAUUUGUGUUUAUGCAUCGAAAAGACAAAAAAAGAUUUUUAUCUUUUUAUAAGAAUUGUAUCUUUCUGAUAAAACUUAGUCACGAAACUUUAGUUAUAGGACCACAAAAACUCUUGUACCUCGAGAUAUUUUUAGUUUAUUUUGAACAUAAACAAGUAGCUCUCAUUCUAUCAAAUCGUCGAGAACGUACAAAGAAAUAAGUGAAGCAAUCAAAAUCAACCCAUUGAUGAGAAAUUGCAUGAUUAGCGAGACAAUGGGCCACAAAUUGAUUCCAUAAUCGUAUCCCAAGAAAAUGCGAGUUGCAAGCGAUAUUAUAAUAAAAGGGUAAAAUGGUCAUUUAAUCAUGAUUAAUUAUUCGAUGUCCGACAGGUAUAAACAAGUAGCUCUCAUUCUAUCAAAUCGUCGAGAACGUACAAAGAAAUAAGUGAAGCAAUCAAAAUCAACCCAUUGAUGAGAAAUUGCAUGAUUAGCGAGACAAUGGGCCACAAAUUGAUUCCAUAAUCGUAUCCCAAGAAAAUGCGAGUUGCAAGCGAUAUUAUAAUAAAAGGGUAAAAUGGUCAUUUAAUCAUGAUUAAUUAUUCGAUGUCCGACAGGUAUACUCGUCGUCCAAUACACAUAAAGAGAUCGCUUUUUAUUGUUUGAUUCCUCAACUUGAUUCUUGAUUUGGCUUUCAGGUUUCCACUCAUUAAUGGCUGUUCAUACUUCUGGAGAAUACCAAAGAAGAUAUGGGGUUGAAAGCUGGAAGAUUGAAUAUCAAUAUUUAAAGAAAAAAAUUGGAGCAGCUUCUAAAGAAUUCAGAUCUAAUCACACUUCAAGUGUGAUUCCACAAUCCUUUAUCUGAUUAAUUCAACAUGUUAUAAAACGAAUUUAACCAUAUAUUCUUGGAUCAAAACUUAUUAAGAAAAAAAAUUUAUUGCACAUGUUUUUACUUAUUGUCUAACAUUAGUCUUAUAUUUUCACUUUGGAUUUGUGAACACAUCUUUUCAGUUCAGUGUUUAUGAGUUAAGUUUGUAUCUAAUAACGCUAAAAGAUAAGGUUCUUUAAUACAUUUAUCAUUGUUCAUGUACUAUAAGAAGCCUCCUUGUGUAUAAAGAAAUAUACAACUUUAUUAUGGAUCUUUCCUAUAUUUUAUGUAUUUUAUAUAUUAAGUUUUAAUUGGAUAUUUAAAGAAAGUUCACCUUGACCUGCUAUUUAGAGUGCACACUAAGCAGUGGUCUAUCGGUUGUUGAAUUUUGGAAACUGAUCGCUUAGACUCUAUUGCACCGAAUUACAUAUUCCGAGGGGACAACUAUUUAUUGUUCUUCAAGCUACCAUUUUCAGGCUAAUUUUCAUUGUUGAUUCUUAAAGUUAUCUUAUAAUGUGUGGACAUUUGAAAUAGAUUAUUUAUCUUUAGCUUCAUCUUUUGUGUAUAUUACAAUUUUCCUAACAAUCUUAAAUUCAUUUUGGAUAAAACCUCUUUGCCAGGGCCACAUGUGCCCUGGUAUUGGCGCCCCCUAUAGGUGGGGUGCCUUGGUAAUGCCUCACAUUUCACCAAGCCAACUUUGACUCAAGUCGUGCUUCUAAAGUUCAUAUUUGGUGUUGGUACAAGAUUUGAUGUGUUCUCUAAACUUGGCUCAUUCAUUGAAGCCCCACCUAUAGGGGCGCCAAUACCAAGACACAUGUGGCUCUGGUAACCAAGCAUGGUUCAUUGAUUUUAUACAUAUUGGGUAUGCCUCACAUUUCACCAAGCCAACUUUGACUCAAGUCAUGCUUCUAAAGUUUGUAUUCGAUUUUGGUACAGGAUUUGAUGGGGUCUCUACACUGGGCUCAGUCUGGGUUGCUGGACACAGUAAAUUGGUACUUUCAUUUGAAAGGGGCUAAUCUCAUUUCUCACACACAUUGUGCUCGUUUUCCUUUCUUUAGACAUUUUUUAUGUGUUCUAAAGAAAUCUGAGUGAUUUCUUCAAACAUUUUACUGAAUUUGUUCUUGAUUUUCAUUCUAAAAUGAAAGCCAUAUCUACUUUGAUAGAUGCUCAAUGGGCGAAUAAUGUUGGAGCACAUGAACAUUCGGAUCCAUUAGUGGACGAAAAAUUCUUGUGUUAGAAUUUCUUUAAUUUUUUACACAUUUAUUUCAAUCUUUUAGGGUUAAAACAUAUAUUUAGGACUAACAAGUUGCAUCAGAGUCAGAACCUUAAUUUUGAUAUGGUUUCUGGCUUUAAAAUGGAAACCUAGUCCGUUCUUUUUGAAAAAUCUUUGUACCAUACUAGCUGUCGAUCUAGAAUUUUUUGUGGAAACCAACUUAUUUCCAAAUCCCUGUGACUUGAUGUAUCUUCGAUUCAACAUUUGGCUGAAUUUUUUGAUGAACUCUUUUGGGUUUCUAGUGAUUCUUGAUGGCUCGUUUGUAUUCCUUGUUGGGUUGUGAUGACUUUACACAGUUUCUGGCAAUUCUCGGUGACUCCUUAUUUUAUGUUGAGUUGAGGUGACUCAUUCAAUCUACUACCGAUUCUUUGUGUUUCAGUUGGCAUUCUGGGAUAAGUUUUAGUAGAGCAAAGUUUAAAUAUAGAAAUUAAUUUGUUUUAUAAUGAAGACACAAACUGAACAUUAGACAAUUUAAAAGUUCUAAUGACACAGGAAGGAUGUUAGAACUAUUAGGUAGAGAAGAGGGUGAUAGAUUGUGCUAGCCAUGAAUAUGAUGUAUAUUAAGAGCUUUGUGGGAAACAUUGACAAGAUGGUACCAAAGGAUGGUUUGGCUUCGAAGUGUUGGAGAUUAGCCUCAAAGCUUAUUUGUUUCUUAUGGGGCUUAUCGAAGGUAAUAGGUAUAUCGCGAGCACUAACAACAGAUGAUAUGUCCUUAUGGUCACCAGGUAGGCCAUCAAGAAUUUUUAGAGUCAGAUCUUCAUAGUGGAUGGGAUAGUCCUUGAUAGCAAGUUCGACAAUCUUGCUUUUCUAAGAUUCUAGAAACUCGAUAAUAGUUAAAGAUCCUAUAGUAANNNNNNNNNNNNNNNNNNNNNNNNNNNNNNNNNNNNNNNNNNNNNNNNNNNNNNNNNNNNNNNNNNNNNNNNNNNNNNNNNNNNNNNNNNNNNNNNNNNNNNNNNNNNNNNNNNNNNNNNNNNNNNNNNNNNNNNNNNNNNNNNNNNNNNNNNNNNNNNNNNNNNNNNNNNNNNNNNNNNNNNNNNNNNNNNNNNNNNNNNNNNNNNNNNNNNNNNNNNNNNNNNNNNNNNNNNNNNNNNNNNNNNNNNNNNNNNNNNNNNNNNNNNNNNNNNNNNNNNNNNNNNNNNNNNNNNNNNNNNNNNNNNNNNNNNNNNNNNNNNNNNNNNNNNNNNNNNNNNNNNNNNNNNNNNNNNNNNNNNNNNNNNNNNNNNNNNNNNNNNNNNNNNNNNNNNNNNNNNNNNNNNNNNNNNNNNNNNNNNNNNNNNNNNNNNNNNNNNNNNNNNNNNNNNNNNNNNNNNNNNNNNNNNNNNNNNNNNNNNNNNNNNNNNNNNNNNNNNNNNNNNNNNNNNNNNNNNNNNNNNNNNNNNNNNNNNNNNNNNNNNNNNNNNNNNNNNNNNNNNNNNNNNNNNNNNNNNNNNNNNNNNNNNNNNNNNNNNNNNNNNNNNNNNNNNNNNNNNNNNNNNNNNNNNNNNNNNNNNNNNNNNNNNNNNNNNNNNNNNNNNNNNNNNNNNNNNNNNNNNNNNNNNNNNNNNNNNNNNNNNNNNNNNNNNNNNNNNNNNNNNNNNNNNNNNNNNNNNNNNNNNNNNNNNNNNNNNNNNNNNNNNNNNNNNNNNNNNNNNNNNNNNNNNNNNNNNNNNNNNNNNNNNNNNNNNNNNNNNNNNNNNNNNNNNNNNNNNNNNNNNNNNNNNNNNNNNNNNNNNNNNNNNNNNNNNNNNNNNNNNNNNNNNNNNNNNNNNNNNNNNNNNNNNNNNNNNNNNNNNNNNNNNNNNNNNNNNNNNNNNNNNNNNNNNNNNNNNNNNNNNNNNNNNNNNNNNNNNNNNNNNNNNNNNNNNNNNNNNNNNNNNNNNNNNNNNNNNNNNNNNNNNNNNNNNNNNNNNNNNNNNNNNNNNNNNNNNNNNNNNNNNNNNNNNNNNNNNNNNNNNNNNNNNNNNNNNNNNNNNNNNNNNNNNNNNNNNNNNNNNNNNNNNNNNNNNNNNNNNNNNNNNNNNNNNNNNNNNNNNNNNNNNNNNNNNNNNNNNNNNNNNNNNNNNNNNNNNNNNNNNNNNNNNNNNNNNNNNNNNNNNNNNNNNNNNNNNNNNNNNNNNNNNNNNNNNNNNNNNNNNNNNNNNNNNNNNNNNNNNNNNNNNNNNNNNNNNNNNNNNNNNNNNNNNNNNNNNNNNNNNNNNNNNNNNNNNNNNNNCAGGUAUAUAUAUAUAUAUAUAUAUAUAUAUAUAUAUAUAUAUAUAUAUAUAUUGAUGAUAAGUCAGAAGAAUAUAAAUUAACCCCCUGCAAAUAGGGCUAGUUUUUGAUUGGCAUGAUUGCAGUGGCGGAUCUAGGUGGUGGUGAGAUCCGUUGGAAGCCAUUUUUUUUGGUUGACAAUAGAUUAAGGUUUUAGAUUAUGUUACUGAUAAUUCUUUCUUCUUCUGAAUUUUCCUUCUAGUUGAAGUGGUUAUAUAUUUACAUUUUGCAAGUCCUGGUUUCGAUUCUCUUCCCAACCAAUUCAUUGUGCAAUUUUUUUAGUUUACAACAACUAUCAAAAUUAAUGCAAUAGGAAAGAGUUGGAUGAGAUUCAAACCUUGAAACCCUAUUAUAACCAUUGAAAGCCUGACCACUGUGGCAUCUAUUGGUUUUGGCACUUAAUUCAAUAAAGUAAUAUAUAUUAUAUUUAUUGGGUUUAAGAUUCCAAAUCAUGUUCUUCCUUUAAAUUAUACGAUACUUGACAACAAUGUCAUUUGGUGAAUAUACGAUUUAUUCUUAUAACAGAAUUAUAUAUGUUCAAUAUGAACAAAUUUUAGGCAUUGUUUUAUUGUCAUUUUUUUUUCAAAAUACAUUUUUAUCUAUCUUAUUUUUAACCAUAUAUUUUUCAAUAAAAAAUAAUAUUACACGCAAAUUCAAAAUAUUUUUCUUAUUUUUUACCUCACUUUCUCCAUGAAAUCAUUAUUUCAAAAUGCAUUUUUUGUUUAAAAAAAAAAAAGACAUCAAACGGGCUCUUAAUACUUUAUUGCAGCUGACGGUCGACAAUCAACGACUAUCCGUGCUGACUCAAAAUCCUAGAUUCGCCACUGCAUGAUUGGAUGUAAUUAUUGUAGUUUCAAUUAUUUAAGUCCGAUUGGAUCCUUUUGAUAGCUUCAGUAAAAGUUUUGAGCUUUAUUACAUUAUUAAUAAAAUUUCUUAGACCACUUUGAAAAUAGUCCAAAAUAGAACUUGCAGUUUAGUGAAAUUAGGGAACAAAGUCCUAAACUUACUUGAAGGGUUAAGGGGAUGCCCAUGGCAUAAGUGAAUGCCCUCGUCGUCCAAUACACAUAAAGAGAUCGCUUUUUAUUGUUUGAUUCCUCAACUUGAUUCUUGAUUUGGCUUUCAGGUUUCCACUCAUUAAUUGCUGUUCAUACUUCUGGAGAAUACCAAAGAAGAUAUGGGGUUGAAGCUUGAAGAUUGAAUAUCAAUAUUUAAAGAAAAGAAUUGGAGCAGCUUCUAAAGAAUUCAGAUCUAAUCACACUUCAACUAUGAUUCCACAAUCCUUUAUAUGAUUAAUUCAACAUGUUAUAACACGAAUUUAAGUAUAUAUUCUUGGGUCAAAACUUAUUAAGAAAAAAAAUUUAUUGCACAUGUUUUUACUUAUUGUCUAACAUUAGUCUUAUCUUUUCACUUUGGAUUUGUGAACACAUCUUUUCAGUUCAGUGUUUAUGAGUUAAGUUUGUAUCUAAUAACGCUAAAAAAUAGGGUUCUUUAAUACAUUAACAUUGUUCAUGUAAUAUAAAAAGCCUCCUUGUGUAUAAAGAAAUAUACAACUCUAUUAUGGAUCUUUCCUAUAUUUUAUGUACUUUAUAUAUUCAGUUUUAAUUGGAUAUUUAAAGAAAGUUCACCUUGACCUGCUAUUUAGAGUGCACACUAAGCAAUGGUCUAUCGGUUGUCGAAUUUUGGAGAUUGAUCGCUUAGACUCUGUUGCACUGGAUUACAUAUCUCGAGGGGGCAACUAUUUAUGGUACUUCAAACUAACAUUUUUAAGCUAAUUUUCAUUGUUGAUUCCUAAAGUUAUCUUAUAAUGUGUGGGCACAUGAAAUAAAUGACUUAUCUUUAGUUUCAUCUUUCGUGCAUAUUACAACUUUCCUAACAAUCUUAAAUUCAUUUUGGAUAAAACCUCUUUACCAGGGCCACAUGUGCCCUGGUAUUGAUACGCCCUAUAGGUGGGGCCUCGAUAGGUGCCCCACCUAUAGGGGGCGCCAACCAUGGCACAUGCGGCCCUGGUAACCAAGCACGGUUCAUUGAUUUUAUACAUAUUGGAUAUGCCUCACAUUUCACCAAGCCAACAUUGACUUAAGUCGUGCUUCUAAAGUUCGUAUUCAAUUUUGGUACAAGAUUUGAUGGGGUCUAUACACUUGGCUCAUUCAUUGAGGCCCCACCUAUAGUGGGUGCCAAUAUCAGGGCACAUGUGGCCCUGGUAACCAAGCACGGUUCAUUGACUUUGUACAUAUUGGAUCUGCCUCACAUUUCACCAAGUCAACUUUGACUCAAGUCGUGCUUCUAAAGUUUGUAUUCGAUUUUGGUACAAGAUUUGAUGUGGUCUCUACACUUGGCUCAUUCUGGGUUGCUGGACAGAGAGUAAAUUGGUUCUUUCAUCUAAAAGGGGCUAAUCUCAUUUCUCACACACAGAGUGCUCUUUUUCCUUUCUUUAGACAUUUUUUAUGUGUUCUAAAGAAAUUUAAGUGAUUUCUUGAAACAUUUUACUGAAUUUGUUCUUGAUUUUCAUUCUAAUAUGAAAGCCAUAUCUACUUUGGUAGAUGCUCAAUGGGUGAAUAAUGUUAGAGCACAUGAACAUUCGGAUCAAUUAGUGGAUGAAAAUUCUUGUGUUCGAAUUUCUUUAAUUUUUUACACAUUUAUUUCAAUCUUUUAGGGUUAAAACAUAUAUUUAGGACUAACAAGUGGCAUCAGAGUGAGAAACUUAAUUUUGAUAUGGUUUCUGGCUUUAAAAUGGAAACCUAAUUUGUUCUUUUUGAAAAAUCUUUGUACUAUACUAGCUCUCGAUCUAGAAUUUUUUGUGGAAACCAACUUAUUUCCAAAUCUCUAUGACUUGAUGUAUCUUCAAUUCAACGUUUGGUUGAAUUUUUUGAUGAACUCGUUUUGGUUUCUAGCGAUUCUUGAUGGCUCGUUCGUAUUCGUUGUUGGGGUGUGAUGACUUUACGCAGUUUCUAGCAAUUCUCGGUGACUCCUUAUUAUUUGUUGAGUUGAGGUGCCUCAUUCAAUCUACUACUGACUCUUGGUGUUUUACUUGGCAUUCUGGGGUAAAUUUUAGUAGAGCAGAGUUUAAAUAUAGAAACUAAUUUGUUUUGUAUUGAAGACACAAACUGAACAUUAGACAAUUUAAAAGUUCUAAUGACACAGGAAAAGAUGUUAGAACUAUUAGGUAGAGAAGAGGAUGGUGGAUUGUGCUAGCCAUGAAUAUGAUGUAUAUUAAGAGCUUUGUGGGGAACAUUGGCAGAGAUGGUACCAGAGGAUGGUUUGGCUUCGAAGUGUUGGAGAUUAGCCUCAAAGCUUAUUUGUUUCUUAUGGAGCUUAUUGAAGGUAAUGGGUAUAUCGCGAGCACUAACAACAGAUGAGAUGUCCUUAUGGUCACCGAGUAGGCCUUCAAGAAUUUUUAGUGUCAGAUUUUCAUAGUGGAUGGGAUAGUCCUUGAUAGCAAGUUCGACAAUCUUGAUUUUCUAAGAUUCUAGAAACUCGAUAAUAGUUAAAGAUCCUAUAGUAACGUUGGGAAGUCGACUUUUUCAUUGUAUAAUGCAACCUCCUGAGGGUUUGUCAUAUAUUGCAAAAAUAUUGUUCCACACAUUAUGAGAUGUUUUGAAAGAAGCGAUGUAUGGUAUAAUAGUGGAAGAACGGAUCCGAUAAUUGCAUUUAAUAGUAGUUGGUUAUGUUCGAUACCAUAAGCAAAUGAUUGAUUUAGUAAGUAUUGACAUUUUUUAUAAUAUGUAGCUCAUAUGGAGUAAAACACAUGUACACUAGAAAAGCACGUUGACGCCAACGUGGAGCAAGGGGAGCGCACCUAACAGAAUGGUACAAGGAUAUUUUUGGAUUUCUAUAAUAUCUUGUACGGGCUAGGUUAGUAUAUAUAUUAUAACUCUAUUAUUUUCAUAUUGUGAAAAUUAUAGCCGCUUCACUCUCGUAGAUGUAGGCUACUGUCAAACCACUCUCUCUAUUGAAUUUGUACUAUUCAUCAUUAUCAUUAUUGUCGUACAUAACACAACACCAUUGAUAUAAGCUAGUCAUAAACCCAUGAGAUCAUACCUUAUGAGUAUUGUAUUAUAUUGCAAUUUCUAUGAGGACUAAUUUCCUACGAGCAAGAUACUCUAGUGUCUAGCGCUUCGACCUUCUUCCUCCCGCUCGAAUAAGCCCUAGUUUCGCUUGAAUGAUCAAUGACGACACUUCUACAAUGUCAUCUAGUCAUCUUGUCCUACUCUUGUGCCGUAUAUUUCCUCAUUGUUCCCAAUCACGACCUAAGUGCCUCUAUAGCUCUACCCACUUCACACGCUCAGUUCUCACCCUAUGAAAACCCAUGACAAAGAUCAUAUUCCAAAGCCAAUUCAAAAACUAAAUAUCACCCCUUGAUCUUGAUUCCAUUAUUCUACAGUCUUUUGCCACAAUCCUUAAACGUCCACUUUGAUUCUAAUCCAUGUGUGAGGAGUUUGAUGGCCUAUUAGGUAAUGAAUUUAAAAGACCUCCUCUCCCUUCUAAUUCCAAAUUAUUUUCAUUUGUAAAUGGGCUUUUCAUGUUAAACGGAAACCUAAUGGUUACAUUCAUUGUGCAUGACGAAUGUUUUUCAUCAACGCUCGUGGUAGACUACAAUGAGAAUUUUAACCUAGUUGUCAAUUCCACCACCAUCCAUCUCAUUUUAAUCUUACCUUGGCACAGCAUUGGUCUCUACGUUGUUCAAUGUUAGUAAUACAUUUCUUCGGGAUUCACUAAUGAAAAUUAUUUACAUGUCUCAUCUUCAACAAUUUGUCGAUAUAGAAACUUCCAUUAUGAUUGUCCAUUUCAUAAAGGUAUCUGUAAUCUCAAACAAGCUCAUCGAGCUUAGUACAAUGAAUUACGAAACUUCUUGCUUGCCAGUGGGAUUACCAAUUCCAAAUCUAACACGUACGUCUAUAUUCAACUGCAACUCCAACCAGUGUUGAAUCUUAGUUUUGGUUUAUGCUAAAGACAUCAUUGUCACGAGAAACUCAAGUUUUUAAUAUCUUUGUUACUCAUUUGGUACCAUUUUUUCUAGAGAUGUCAAAAAUCCUAACCGAACCUAAUCCCCAUAGGGACAUAUCCCAAAGUGGACAAGAGUUUCUGGCUUUAAUCGAGUUUGCAUCCAUUUAUAUUUUAACAAUAUUAAUAAAAAAAAAUGCCCAAUUUGUAUUAUAAAAAUUUUUUAAAAAAAUGAAUAAAUAAAUUUACCUAUCAUGCAAUCCAAUCUAACAUCGCGUUCCAUUCAAGAAAAAAGAAAAAGAAGGAGAAAAAAUAGAAAAUUGAUUAAAAAAAGCAAAAUAAAAUAUAACGGUGCUAUAAAGUGGAUCCCACUUUAUUGUCAUCCCUAGAUUUGGAUACUUUUUUCCUGGGGAUAUAAGUUAUUUUUCUCUACAAGGCCUUUUUCUCUCACAACAUUAGUUUGUAUCUCAGUAAUCUUCUGCACAACAUAAGUUGCAUGAGUGUGAGUCAGUGUCAAUUUCUAUGUACAUGACAACUACCUUGAGCUUAAUUGAUGUCACUACUUUUCAUGAUGCUUUUAAAUAUAGGCAAGUUCUUGGCAACUUGCAAUAUUCUUUACUCACUCGCCAGGGCAUUGUUAUUUAGUAAACCAUCUGUAUCAAUAUAUCGCUGAUCCAUUUCUCACACUUGGAUCGCUGUUAAACUUAUGUUUCUCGACUUUUUUGGCACUUUGGGCUCUUUCUUUGUCGCCAUUCUCCUGUCUUGUUACAUGCCUUCUCUAAAUCUGAUUGAGAAGAAAAUGGUAAUGAUUCCACAUCCAUCCAUGCCAAUCUAGUGAUUCUUGAAUGGAACCUAAUUGUUGCUCAUUUUUUUUUAUUGAAAUCGACUAUCAUAUGGCUUAAAUAUUUAGUACUUGAAUUCAGCGAACCAAUUUCCACCAAUCGAGUAAUCUAAUUUCAUACUAUUAGCACCACAUACUUAAUGACCUAACACUAUUUCUCACCUCGAAUGGAAUACAUUAAGAUUCAUGUGCACUUUGUUCAUGACAAGAUUUAGACCGGUGAACUCUGGAUUUCUUGUGUUGUCUUGUCCAAUCAAUUUGUUAAUGUUCAAACUAAACAUUAAUCAUAUGCGUCCGCAUCUACUCCUAUCUGAUAUAGGUGUCACUAAUAAGACUGCUUUCUUGUGCGGGGCAUAUUAUAGAUAUUAAAGUAAUUAGAGAUAGCAUAGUACGAUAAUUAGAGCUUGAUCUUGUGAAAUAAUAUUAAAGUAGUUAUAGAUAGUGUUACACAAUAGUUAGAACUUGUCAUUACUCAACGUGCAUCAUAUAUUUCUGUUACAGAAUGUAUACAUAUAUAUAGCACAUACCAGGAGAUAUUCUAGACUAUGCACUAAUUUAGGCUAUGAUUGAGAUUGACCCUCAUUGUAUGUGGAGUCAGAUGACAAACUAUACUUCCCUAUAAUUAUUGAAUAAUGUUAUUUAAUAUUAGUAGAAUUAGAGUGCCAGUCUAAGUUGACAUACUUGAUAAGUUCAAUUAAAUUAAUAUUGUGGUAUUGCAUUUAAAUGAAUUUAUUGUUUAGUGUCAUGAAAUUAGGGUGGCAACAGUUCGGUUCAGGUUCGGUUUGGCCAAAACCAUCACCGAAUCACCAAUUUUUUUGUCAUACCAUAACCACGUAAGUUGGUUCGGUUCGGCUUAGUUAGGACGAUUAAGAACAACGAAAAUAAAUUAUUUUUUAUAAGUUCAGCUAUCAAAUUGGAAAAAAAAAUUAUGAAAAAAAAGGUCAAUGAAAACAAAAACACAAUACCAAGUCAAUUUAACAAACAAUAUCCCAAUUUCCAAAGGCAAAAUCCGAAUUUAACAAACAAUAUCCAUAAAUGUUUAAUAUUUGUGUAGUAGGGUGUAGGGUUAUUGGGUUCAGUUAGUUGGACUUAAUGGGUUGGUAAUGGGCCAAAAAUUUGAACUGAACAGAAUCAUAGAAAGACUAAUGGAAAGCCUAAUUGUCCAAUUAGUUUUUUUUUAACAGGUAAUCGGUUCGGAGUUGGACGACGGUGUAAAUAUCAUACUCGUCCCGCUCCAAAUCGGGGCAUUAAAAUCAAAUACCAUAUCCACCCCAUUGCGCCAUUGGUUCGGUUAAUCGCGAUUUUCGAUUUUGAUAGUUCGAAUUGCCAUCCUUACAUGAAAUUGCAUCUCAACUAAAGUUUAACACUAAUGGUGCUAAAGUGCAUUACUCAUAAUUAUUAUAUGAGUAAUGCCAUUUAGCACUAUUAGUUAAGCACUGUUUAGGUGGCAUGCAAUAAUCAUUAAUUGAAAGACUGCCUUAAAAGUAGAAAAAUGAGUCACAUUUAAAAUGUUCUAUCACUUGCAUGCCAUCUAAGUUGGUGCUAUGUAACAUUAUUCUUAUUACUUUUCUUGAUUGACAACUUGCACCAAUAGUCAUCUUGCAACUUAUUGAUAUACUAAAAUCAAUGUGAGAUAGAGUUUAUGUAUUUGAGUUGGAGUCGAUCAAGUUUUUAUAGAACCUAAAUAAUCUUCAAAUGAAUCAUAGUUACUCAAGUUGUUUCUUACCGCUCUAAGCAUCAAUCCAAACACAUUCUUAUGUCAAUCAAUAUGUCAAUUUUUACAUGAAUCAAUUCAUCCUUUGCUGUUAGAGUUACUUUAGUUAGCUACUUUAGCAGAGAUGAUCAAGUUAUACAAAAGCUCAUUAGAAACAUCAAAGUUAGAUAUAAACUGUAAGGCUUAAUUACAGUUUUGUGUACUGUUACAGAAACAUUCAAAGUUUUUCGAGUAAUAUAGAUCAUUUCACUAAUCCUUUUUAUUUUUAUUUUUUUUAUAUACCAUUGUAUGAUUAAAUAAAAUUAGUAUAAAACAUCAAUACUUCAUCUACAAUGUACAUAGUUUAUCAACAAUGUUAAUAGCAUUGAGUUUAUAUUUCAUCAUAAUUCUCCAGACCAAUUAGAAAUAUUAGGAAGUUUCUAGUAUUUGAUCUUGUCUUCCCAUUUCUUUUAAUCAAUACAUAUAAUUAAUCAAGCAACCAAAAUAAAAUUUUUAACACCAUAAUACCAAUAUAAAAGUUACAAAUCUAGAAUAAAUCACUAUUACUCAUAGGAGUCACUUUGUAGAGCCCAUAUAGAAAACCUUGAAGGCAUGUCAAUUAAUACAUGUACUAUGCUGUUUCAAUUAUAAGUUAAUGUACCUCAUUUUCUUUCUUACACCAUAUAAAUACUUUAUCAACUAGGCCAACACUCAUCAUAAUUUAGCAAAUAAGACUUAGAAAAUGCACCGUUUUUUAUCCAUAACUCUUCGACUUAAAUCUAAGAUGAUAUCGUCAUGCCAUUAUAGAAGCAAAGAGAAUCUGACCUAUAUAAUUAUUAAUAGGGUAAGGAUGCUUUAGCAGAUUUCGUCUAAUCUGCAAUUUAGGAAAAAUUGCAUCAUACAACCAUUUGUUAAGGGGAUGCCCAUGGCAUAAGUGAAUGCCCUAGUCGUCCAAUACACAUAAAGAGAUCGCUUUUAAUUGUUUGAUUUCUCAACUUGAUUCUUGAUUUGGCUUUCAGGUUUCCACUCAUUAAUUGAUGUUCAUACUUCUGGAGAAUACCAAAGAAGAUAGGGGUUGAAAGCUUGAAGAUUGAAUAUCCAUAUUUAAAGAAAAGAAUUGGAGCAGCUUCUAAAGAAUUCAGAUCUAAUCACACUUCAACUGUGAUUCCACAAUCCUUUAUAUGAUUAAUUCAACAUGUUAUAAUACGAAUUUAACUAUAUAUUAUUGGGUCAAAACUUAUUAAGAACAAAAUUUAUUGCCUAUGUUUUUACUUAUUGUCUAACAUUAUUCUUAUCUUUACUUUGGCUUUGUGAACAUACAUUUUCAGUUCAGUGGUUAUGAGUUAACUUUGUAUCUAAUAACGCUAAAAGAUAAGGUUCUUUAAUACAUUAACAUUGUUCAUGUACCAUAAAAAGCCUCCUUGUGCAUAAAGAAAUAUACAACUCUAUUAUGGGUCUUUCCUAUAUUUUAUGUACUUUAUAUAAUAAGUACUUAGAGUGGGAGAAGAAGAUUGAGUUGAUAUUCGAUUGUCACAAUUACUCGGGGCAGAAAAAGGUGAAAAUUGCGGUUCUUGAGUUUUUCAACUAUGCAAUAACUUGAUGGGAUCAAGUGGCGACGACGAGGUGGAGGAUUGGGGCACAACCUUUAAAUACUUGGGAGGAGUUGAAGAUGUUAAUGCGAAAAUAGUUUGUACCUAAUCACUAUUACCGGAAGCUUCAUCAAUGGUUACAAAAUCUAUAUCAAGGCACUAGGAGCAUAGAGGAUUACCAUAAGGAGAUGGAGAUGCUUAUGAUUAGGGCGAACGUGGAAGAGGAUAGGGAAGCCACUAUGGCACGAUUUUUGAGGGGGUUGAAUAGGGACAUUGCCAAUGAAGUGGAAUUGCAACAUUAGGUGGAGAUUGAAGACAUGCUACAUGUGGCAUGAAGGUGGAAAAGCAAUUGAAGCGAAAGGGGACAGCAAGGUACUAAGGUGGAUUUUCGAUUUCUAAUCCUUCUUGGAAGCCGAGGUAGGAAAAUAAUAAAGGAGAUGGAGCUAAUAGAAGAGAAAGACCGGAGGCAUCGAGAGGAAAGGAGGAAGGAGCUAGCAAGACUACACCAAAGGUAGAAUCCCAGCCUUCAAGGAAUCUGGAGUCAAGUGUUUUCGUUGCUUGGGAGUUGGACACAUUGCUUCACAAUGUCCAAAUAAAAGAACCAUGAUUUUGCAAGACAGCGAGGAAGUGGAGAUCGAGAGUGAAGGUGAUUAUGAAGACAUGCCGGAGUUGGAGGACAUUGACGAGGAAAACACCACAGAGUAUGCAGUUGGGGAGUUGUUGGUCACAAGGCGAGCACUUAGUGCUCAAAUCAAGGCGGUUGACUUGGAGCAGCAGUGGAAAAAUAUAUUCCACACAUGGUGUCACGUCAACGGGAAGGUAUGCAGUGUAAUAACUGAUGGUGGAAGUUGUACAAACGUAGCUAGCACUAAUGUAGUGGGAAAAUUGGGAUUAACACUAUUAAAAUAUCCUAAACCCUAUAGGUUGCGAUGGUUAAAUUAAUGUGGGGAGGUUGAUGUGACAAAAAAGGUGUUGAUUAAUUUUUCCAUUGGGAAGUAUUAUGAUGAGGUGUUAUGUGAUGUUGUACCUAAGCACGCGGGGCAUAUUUUGUUGGGGCGACCUUGGUAAUAUGAUAGGAAAACAAUGCAUGAUGGGUAUAAAAAUAAAUAUAGUUUUGUGAAAGAGGGAAAGUCUAUCACUCUUGCACCAUUAAGUGUAUGACGACCAAAUCAAAUUGAAAAAUGAGGAAGAAAAGAGAGUGAGAGAGUUAGAGAAAAAGAGAGAAAAUAGUAAGAUUGCCGAUGAGGAAGAAAAAAGAGUGGGGCCACAUGAGAGAAAGAAAGAGAGUUUUCCGAGAGGAGAGAAAAGCCAAAAGUGAAUUUCUUUGCAAAAGGGAGUGAAAUGAAAAAGGCAAUAGUGGAGAGACAAUCAAUGAUUCUUUUGGUAUUUACUCCUCAAUUUUGAGGAGUCUAACACAUCCCUCCCUAGUUUGACUACUUCUUUAUUGCAGGAACUUGUCGAUGUGUUUCCGGAAGAUGUGCCUAGUGGAUUACCACCCAUUAGGGGGAUCGAACAUUAAAUUGAUUUCAUACCUGGAGCUGUCAUUCCAAACCGACCAGUUUAUCGAAGUAAUCCAAAGGAGACAAAGGAGUUUCAAAGGUAAGUGGAGGAGUUGAUGAGCAAGGGUUAUGUAAGGGAGAGCAUGAGUCCAUGUGCCGUACCUGUAUUGUUGGUGCCAAAGAAAGAUGGAACUUGGAGGAUGUGCGUGGAUUGCCGAUCUAUCAAUAACAUUACGGUAAAGUAUGGUCACCCAAUUCCUAGGUUAGAUGACAAGUUAGAUGAAUUAUAUAGUGCUUGCAUCUUUUCUAAAAUUGACCUUAAGAGCGGGUAUCAUGAAAUUCGUAUGCGGGAGGGUGAUGAAUGGAAAACAACAUUUAAAACGAAAUAUGAGUUGUAUGAAUGGCUAGUUAUACCCUUUGGACUCACAAAUGCACCAAGCACGUUUAUGCGAUUAAUGAAUCAUGUUUUGCAUGCUUUCAUUGAAAAAUUUGUUGUAGUUUAAUUUGAUGACAUUCUAAUCUAUAGCAAGGACCUAGUAGAGCAUUUAGAACAUCUUAAAUGUGUGCUUGUGGUUUUAAGAAAUGAACGACUUUAUGCUAAUUUCAAGAAGUACACAUUUUGCAUGGAUAGAAUCAUAUUUCUAGGAUUUGUGGUGAGUGCUAAUGGGGUUGAAGUUGAUGAAGAAAAUGUAAAAGCUAUUAAGGAUUGGCCAACACCUAAAAACAUAACCGAGGUUAGGAGUUUUCAUGGGUUAGCUAGUUUUUAUAGGCGAUUUGUUAGGGAUUUUAGCACACUUGCCACACCACUUACAAAAAUUGUCAAAAAGAGUGUUGGGUUUCAAUGGGGUGUAGAAUAAGAAUAUGCAUUUAACACCAUCAAAGAAUUUUUAUGUAAAGCACCUGUUUUAGCGCUUCCUAAUUUUGACAAAACUUUCGAGAUUGUGUGUGAUGCAUUAGGAAUAGGUAUUAGAGCUGUUUUGACGCAGGAAAAGAGGUCGAUAGCAUACUUUAGCGAGAAACUAAGUGGGGCAGCUCUUAACUAUCCUACUUAUGGCAGGAGCUUUAUUCUCUAGUUCGAGCCUUGGAGACAUGGCAACACUACCUAUGGCCAAAGGAGUUUGUUAUUCACAUUGACCAUGAAUCAUUGAAACAUUUGCGAGGUCAAGGUGAUUUGAACAAACGACAUGCACAUUGGAUGGAAUUCAUAGAGACUUUUCCAUAUGUCAUUCGAUAAAAACAAGGUAAGGAAAACAUAGUAGCCGUUGCAUUGUCGCGAAGGUAUGUGCUUCUCACUUCUUUAACUGCAAAAUUACUUGGUUUUGAGUAUGUUAAGGACAUGUGUAAAAACGAUCUUGAUUUUUCUAACAUCUAUAAUUCAUGUACUGAGAGGGCUAUUGACAAGUUCUUUAAAUAUGAGGGAUAUUUGUUUUGAGAAAAUAAAUUAUGUGUUCCUAAUUGCUCAAUGCGUGAAUUGUUGGUUAGGGAGGCACAUAGUGGGGGUUUAAUAGGUCACUUUGGGUUAGCAAAGAGUUUAGACAUGUUAAAUGAACACUUUUAUUGGCCUAAAAUGAAGAUUGACAUAGAACGAUUUUGUAGUCGUUGCAUAACUUUUAAAAAGACUAAAUCAAAAGUUUUAUCCCAUAGACUUUAUACACCUUUAUCGAUACCUAGCGAACCUUGGGUUGACAUUUCAAUGGAUUUUGUGUUAGGUUUGCCUAGGACUAAAAAGAGGCGUGAUUCAAUUUUUGUUUUUGGUGAAUAGGUUUAGUAAAAUGGUACACUUUAUACCAUGUCACAAAAUCGAAGAUGUCACUAACAUUGCAGGAGUUGUUUUUCAAAGAAUUAGUGUGUUUGCAUGGUGUUCCCAAAAGUAUUGUGUCCGAUAGGGAUGUUAAGUUUCUUAGUCACUUUUGGCGGGUCUUGUGGAAUAAGUUAGGCACGAAAUUAUUGUUUUCUACAACUCGUCACCUAUAAAUCGAUGGUCAAACUGAAGUAGUGAAUAGAACAAUGACACAACUAUUGCGCACUGUGGUUAAUAAAAAUCUAAAGAAUUGGAAAGAAUGUUUGCCUUUCAUUGAGUUUGCAUAUAAUAGAGCCACGUAUUCUACUACGUCGUUUUCACCAUUUGAAAUUGUUUAUGGUUUUAAUCCUUUAACAUCUAUGGAUUUAGGACCUUUGCGUGUGAAUGAACGAGGUAGUUUGGAUCGAAAAAAGAAAGCCUAAUUGGUAAAGACACUCCGUGAAAAGGUAAGGGAGCAAAUAGAGAAGAAGAACAAUCAACGAACAACACAAGCAAACAAAGGCCGAAAAUAUGCCACUUUCGAACCGGGAGAUUGGGUUUGGGUGCAUUUCACGAAAAAGCGAUUCCCAGAGCAAAGAAAAUCAAAGUUAUUGCCACGAGGAGAUGGAUCGUUCCAAGUGAUUGAGAAGAUCAACGACAACGCUUAUAAGAUAGAUCUUCCAGGUGAGUAUAGUGUUUCUGCAACUUGCAAUGUUUCUGACUUAUCUCUUUUCGAUGCAGGUACAGAUUUGAGGUCAAAUCCUUUCGAAGAGAGAGGGGAUGAUGUGAUCCAGAAAGCACAAGUACCAAAGUCAAGUUUAGAGUCGAGCCCGAGGAAAGAUCUGUUGAUAGUCGAGGGGACGAUGACGCGAUCGAGGGCCAAGCACGUGAAAGAGGCGAUGGGAUUGCUCGUCAAAACAACGGUUGAUGAAACAAUGUUCGGGAUACAAAAUGGAGUAAGUUUCAUGUUUGGGACGAAGGCCGAAGACUAUUGGAUCAACGUGUUUAAAGUUGAAGAAAAUGGAGCUGGAGUAUUAAACCAUGCGGCCGUAUAGGUCUAAAGUCCUGCAGUCGCAUACACUCAGUAGAAGUCCCAAAGUCGCGGACCAAUUGCACUAUGCGACCGCAUGCUCUAAAGCUAUGCGGCUGCACCGAGGCGAAUUUUUUCAAAUUUCGCAUUUUCCUUAUUUUAAUAGAAUUUCAUUAUUAGUAGAUUUUUAGCUAUUGUGGACGAAUUUUGCAUUAUUCUUAGAUUUUUUCCUAGUUUACUUAGGUUCUCUAAAAUAGUAUAAAUACUUUAUUCCUUAUUGUAAAACAUUACAACUCUCAUAUUAUUGAAUAUUAUUCGUGAGGCAUUAAUUGCUUUCUCUAGUUUUUCAUUGAACAGCUUGUGAACUUACCAAGAUUAAUCUUGUGGUAUUCAAAUUAAUCGGGUGAGAUUCAUUUAAAUUUCGUAAUCAAAAGGUCCGCAUAUUGUCGGAGAUUCGGAUUGCUUGGUUCCAAUUUAUUGGGUUUAAUAAAAAAUCUUGUCUUUGGCUUUCUUGGGUUUGAUUCUCAAUUUGUUAUGGGUUUGGUAGCGAUCGCGCUACACGGGUUCGCAUCAGAUUUCUUCGAACAUUUUACUGAAUUUGUUCUUGAUUUUCAUUCUAAAAUGAAAGUCAUAUCUACUUUGAUAGAUGCUCAAUGGAAGAAUAAUGUUGGAGCACGUGAACAUUCAGAUCCAUUAGUGGAUGAAAAUUCUUAUGUUAGAAUUUCUUUAAUUUUUUACACAUUUAUUUCAAUAUUUUAGGGUUAAAACAUAUAUUUAGGACUAACAAGUGGCAUCAGAGUCGGAACCUUAAAUUUUAUAUGGUUUCUGGCUUUAAAAUGGAAACCUACUUUGUUCUUUUUGAAAAAUCUUUGUACUAUACCAGUUCUUGAUCUACAAUAUUUUUAUUUUUAUUUUUAUUUUUUGGAAACCAACUUAUUUCCAAGUCUCUGUGACAAAUAUGUAUCUUCGAUUCAACAUUUGGUUGAAUUUUUUGAUGAACUCGUUUUGGUUUCUAGCGAUUCUUGAUGGCUCGUUCGUAUUCCUUGUUGGGGUGUGAUGACUUUACGCAGUUUCUGGCAAUCCUCGGUGACUCAUUAUUUGUUGAGUUGAGGUGACUCAUUCAAUCUACUACUGAUUCUUGGUGUUUCAGUUGGCAUUCUGGGAUAAAUUUUAUUAGAGCAGAGUUUAAAUAUAGAAAUUAAUUUGUUUUGUAUUGAAGACGCAAACUGAACAUUAGACAAUUUAAAAGUUCAAUGACACAGGAAAGGAUGUUAGGACUAUUAGGUAGAGAAGAGGGUGGUGGAUUGUUCUAGCCAUGAAUAUGAUGUAUAUUAAGAGCUUUGUGGGGAACAUUGGCAGAGAUGGUACCAGAGGUUGGUUUGGCUUCAAAGUGUCGGAGCUUAUUUGUUUCAUAUAGAGCUUAUCGAAGGUAAUGGGAUAUCGCGAGCACUAACAACAGAUGAGAUGUCCUUAUGGUCACUACGUAGGCCUUCGAGAAUUUUUAGAGUCAGAUCUUCAUGGUGGAUGGGAUAGUCCUUGACAGCAAGUUUGACAAUCAUGCUUUUCUAAGAUUGUAGAAACUCGAUAAUAGUUAUAGAUCCUAUAGUAAGUUUGGGAAGUCGACUUCUUCAUUGUAUAACGCAUCCUCCUGAGGGUUCGUCAUAUAUUGCAAAAAUAUUGUUCCACACAUUAUGAGAUCUUUGAAAAGAAGCGAUGCAUGGAAUAAUAGUGGAAGAUCGGAUCCGAGAAUUGCACUUAAUAGUAGUUGGUUUUGUCCGAUACCUUAAGCAAAUGAUCGAUUUAGUAAAUCAUUGGCAUUGUUUAUAAUAUGUAGCUCAUAGAGUAAAGCACAUGUAUGCUAGAAAGCAGGUUGAUGCCGACGUGGAGCAAGGGGAGCACACCUAAGAGAAUGGUACUAGUAUAUUUUUGGAUUUUUACAAUAUCUUGUACGAGCUACGUUAGUAAAUACGUCGUAACUCUAUUAUUUUCACAUUGUGAAAAUUAUAGCUGCUUCACUCUCGUAGAUGUAAGCUAUUGUCAAACCACAUAAAUCUCUCUCUCUCUCUCUCUCUCUAUUGAAUUUGUACUAUUCAUCAUUAUCAUUAUUGUCGCACAUAACACAACACUAUUGAUAUAAGCUGGUCGUAAACCCAUGAGAUCAUACCUUAUGAGUAGGGUAUUAAAUUGUGAUUUCUAUAAGGACUAAUUUCCUACGUGCAAGAUACUCCAACGUCCAGAGCUUCGGCCUUCUUCCUCCUGCUCGAGUGAGCCCUUCUUUCGUUUAAAUGAUCAAUGGCGACACUUCUACAAUGUCAUCUAGUCAUCUUGUCCUACUCUCUCGCCUUCUCAUUGAUCCCGAUCAUGACCUAACUGCCUCUACCUCCACCUUACACGCUUAGUUCUCGCCCUAUGAAAACCCAUGACGAAGAUCAUAUUCCAAAACUAAAUCUUAGCCCUUGAUCUUGAUUCCAUUAUUCUACACUCUUUAGCCACAAGCCUUAAACAUCCACUUUGGUUCUAAUCCAUGUGUGAGGAUUUUGAUGGCCUAUUAGGUGAUGCAUUUAGAAGAUAGCCUCUCCGUUCCAAUUCCAAAUUAUUUUCAUUUGUAAAUGGGCUUUUUGUGUUAAACGGAAACCUAAUGUUUACAUUCAUCAUGCCCGACCAAUGGUUUUCAUCAACGGUCACGGUAGACUACAAUGAGAAUUUUAGCCUAGUUGUCAAUCCCACCACCAUCCGUCUCAUCCUUAAUCUUGCAUUGGUACGGCAUUCGUCUUUACGUUGUUCAAUGUUAGUAAUGCAUUUCCUCGGGAUGCACUAAUGAAAACUAUUUACAUGUCUCAUCUUCAAGAAUUUGUCAAUAUAGAAACUUCCAUUAUGAUUGUCCAAUUGCCAGUGGGUUUACCAAUUCCAAAUCUAACACGUAAGUCUAUAUUCAAUUGCAACUCUAACCAGUGUCGAAUCUUAGUUCUGGUUUAUGCUAACGACAUCAUUGUCACGAGAAACUCAAGUUUUAAUAUCUUUGUUACUCAUUUGGCACCAUUUUUUUCUAGAGAUGUCAAAAAUCCUAACUGAACUAGUCCCCAUAGCGACAUAUCCCAAAGAGAACGAGAAUUUCUGGCUUUAAUCGAGUUUGCAUUCAUUUAUAUUUUAACAAUAUUAAUAAAAAAUUGCCCAAUUUCUAUUAUAAAAAUUUUAAAAAAUGAAUAAAUAAAUUUACCUAUAUAAAAAAAAUGAAUAAAUGAAAAAUGAAUAAAUAGAAAAUUGAUUAAAAUAAAAUAGAAUGGCACUGUAAAGUGGAUCCCGCUUUAUUGUCAUCCCCAGAUUUGGAUACUUUAUACUUGUUUCUUGGGGAUUAAGUUAUUUUUCUCUACAAGGCCUUUUUCUCUCACAACAUUAGUUUGUAUUUCAAUAAUCUUCUACACAACAUAAUUUGCAUAAGUACGAGUCAGUGUCUAUUUCUAUGUACAUGACAACUACCUUUAGCUUGAUUGAUGUCACUACUCUUCAUGAUGCUUCUAAAUAUAGGCAAGUUCUUGGCAACUUGCAAUAUUCUUUACUCACUCGCCAGGACAUUGUUAUUCAGUUAACCAUCUGUACCAAUAUAUCACCGAUCCAUUUCUUACCCUUGGAUGGCCGUUAAGCUUAUGUUUCUCGACUUUUUUGGCACUCUGCACUUUGGGCUCUUUCUUCAUCGCCAUUUUCUUGGCUUGUUGCAUGCCUUCUCUAAAUCUGAUUGAGAAGAAAAUGGUAAUGAUCCCACAUCCAUCCGUGCCGAUCUAGUGAUUCUUGAAUGGAACCUAAUUGUUGCUUUUUUUUUUUUUUUUUUUUUUAAAUCAAGUAUCAUAUGGCUUAAAUAUUUAGUACUUGAAUUCAGCGAAUCAAUUUCCACCAAUCGAGUAAUCUAAUUUCAUACUAUUAGCACCACAUACUUGAUGACCUAACACUAUUUCUCAGCUCGAAUGAAAUACAUGAAGGCUAUGUUUGAUUGGUUCAAAUUCCAUGGAAAAUGGAAUUCUAAUUCCACUUUCUUCCAAUUUUGGUUGUUUGAUAGGUUUUGAAUUCCAUGGAAUUUGGUUUCUUGAUUUUCUUGGAACUUGAAAUUUUCUUGAUUUUCCUUGAAAACCAAUUCCCACCAACAUGGUGGGAACUGGCUUUCUAGUUCCCUGUUACGUAUUUUUUUUUAUUUUAUAUAUAUUUUUUAAGGUAAUGGAAACAAAUUCUAAGAAAUAUUGCACAAAAAUAUUUCAUUUUAAUUGGCAAUUUUUAUGUAAAACAAAGUCAAACGAACACCAAAAGAUAGAUGAUUUUCUUGAUCUUUUUAUUUUUAUUUUUUUUGUUGGCAAUGGAAACAAAUUUCAUUCCCAAUACCAGUAAAAUCUAUCCUUUUAAUUGAUAAUUUUCAUGUAAAAUAAAGCCAAAUGAACACCAAAAAUACUUUUAUUUUAAUAUUUUUCACAAGAAAAAUUAUACCAAUCAAAUACAAUAAUUUACAAUUCUCAAGAAAAUAAUUUAUAGGCAAUUCAAUUAUCUAGAAUUCGUUUUCAAUUUAAUUCAAUUCCAUCUUUGCAAUCUUGUGAAAUAAUAUUAGAGUAGUUAUAGAUAGUGUUACACAAUAGUUAGAACUUGUCAUUACUGAACGUGUAUCAUAUAUUUCUGUUACAGAAUGUAUACAUAUAUAUAGCACAUACAAGGAGAUAUUCUAGUCUAUGCACUAAUUUUAGGCUAUGAUUGAGAUUGACCCACAAUAUAUGUGGAGUCAGAUGACGAACUAUAGUUCCUUAUAAUUAUUAAAUAAUGCUGUUUAGCAUUUGUGGAAUUAGAGUACCAGAUCAAAGUUGACAUACUUGAUAGGUUCAAUUAAAUUAAUCAUGUGACAUUGCAUUUAAGUGGAUUUAUCGUUUAAUGUCUUGAAAUUGCAUCUAAUAUGAUGUUUAACACUUAUGGUGCUACAGUGUAUUACACAUAAUUAUUACAUGAGUAAUGCAAUUUAACACUAUUAGUUAAGCACCAUUUAGGUGGCAUGCAAAGACCAUCUUAAAAGGAGGGAAAUGAGCCACAUUUAAUUUCUUCUAUCACUUGCAUGCCAUCUAAGUUAAUGCUAUGUAAAAUAUAUUACAUUUUAUUUUUGACUGACAACUUGCACCCAUAGUCAUCUCUUAACUUAUUGAUAUACUAAAAUCAAUGUGAGCUAGAGUUUAUGAAUUUGAGUUGGAGUCGAUCAAGUUUUUAUGGAACCUGAAUAAUCUUCAAAUGAAUCAUAAUAACUCAGGUUGUUUCUUACCGCUCUAAGCGUUAAUCUAAGCACAAUCUUAUGUCAAUCGAUUAGUCAAUUUUUACAUGUAUCAAGUCAUCCUUUGCAGUUAGAGAUACUUUAGUUAGCUAUGAUGCCCGGUCAUUGCAUAAACUAAAACAAAGCAUUAAAAGCCUAACAUAUUAAGAAGGAAAUGAAUUUUAUAAAAAAAUGAAAAAAAAAAAAUAAAAAUAAAAAUCCAACUAUUCGAUUUUCCCACUAUAAUAUUACUUAGUCCUUGUGGGGGUGGUCCAUCGUUUUUGUGGUGAAAAUAAGGUCCAACAUUUUAACUUUCCGUCGAAGUUAACUUUUAGACCAACUCAAUAGAAAUUUAGGAGUGAUUGUUGGAAUUGCCAGAAUUUCAGAAAAUUAAAGAAUAAUUUCACUAAUUAAAGUUUGAAAUGUUUUGGAGUGAAUAUAGUUAGUUCGAUCUCAGGAGGAGAGAAUUUGUUCCUAUUCUAGACCAAAAGAUCAAGCCACUUGCCUGCUCAACGUCAUUUUAGUCAGAGUACUGACCUAAAGUUUGUGCCAUCGUGUCCAAGAUGUUGUACUCCUGAUUGGUUGUUGAGAUCGGCCAUACAGGUCAUCAUGGCUCCUAGGUUGCAGCUGUGGCUUAGGCAAUGAUUACUUGAUUUUCGUGAUCAUUGCUAGCUUAUGAUUAAUUGAAAAUAAGGUGCUAACGUCGCAGAUGUCACAUGUCUUUCUAGGAGAGGUGGAUUGAUAGGUGAGGACCGAUUGUCAAUAAUUGUGAAUCACAAUGUUUCUUCAAAUUACGAUAGCCAUUUCUCGAAAUGUGCUCAUACUUCGAGAAUCUAACCUAUCAGUAGUAUAGAAAUCGUAUUUUAACCUAUUUUUUACUUUACGUGCAAAAUAUUUUAUUGUGUGGAUGUAUGAUCAAAAAUGUGUAUGAAAAAUAAAGAGAUUUAACACAGAGAGUCGAAUAGGGGCUAAGAUCUCAAUCUCGCCUGCACGCAAUAUAUGUAUAAGCUAAAAUAUAGUCAUAAAAGACAUUAUUAUACCUAUAUGUACUUGUUCUAAGUUAUUUGUAUGAAUGUUAGAAUUGAAAUAAGAAAAAUGUCCGUCUCAUUACAAUAAUUUGUUCUAUUAAAUACUCUUACCGUUUCAUAAAGAUAAACUUAUUUUUCAUUCUCGCACAUGUUAAGAAAAUAUAAUUUUCGCUUAUUUUUUCUGGUACAACCAAUGUUUGAAAAAUCGAACUUGUCCAAUCAGUUCAAUUGGGAAUCAGGAUCGAAAUCGGUCCAAUUAGGCUUAUAAAACCCCCAAUUAAAAACCCGUCCCAAAGUCAAGUAAAUCGUUUAAUUUUUGGAAAAAUCGUGGCCCUUUGUCUAUUUAACCGAUUCAAUCUAUGUAAAUAUACAUUUUUUGAAAUUUUUAAACGUAUGUGUGCAUACAAGUUUCGUAAAAUGUAUAUUUUUAAUUCUAAAAAAUCACGGUUAGAUCUCGGUUCAACUUUUUGACCUUGGUUAGAUCUCGGUUCAACUUAAAAAUCCUUUUCUUGUCCGAGUCGAUGAUCGGGUCAUUUUUUAAAAACAUUGGAUACGACCCCAUGUUAAUAAUCAUUUAAAUAGGAAUAGUUCAUAUUCAUUAAUAACAAAUUAUAUGAAAUCAUGGUAUAUUAAAAAAAUUAAAAAUCAACUAUACUCUCAACAAAGAAAAUAACCUAUAAUUUGGAACAUAUGAAAAAGGAAAGCUAAGAUACUUUUCAAGAAAUAGAGAGAUCAAACUUGCCCUUAUUUAAAGCAAUUUCUCAAUAAAUUUUACUUUUUAAUGACACAUUCUCUACAAAAUUAUUAUUACAAAACAAUAUUUUUUACAAAUAUGGAAUCAAACAGAUCCUAACAUCAACAGUUCUAUAUGUACAGGCUCAGUAAUAUAAAUACUUUUGCAAACAACACGGGGCGACAUUUGAUUGGAAGUUGCCAAAAAAAAAAAGAUCAUAUAGUGUAGCACCUAUAAAAGAUGUGCAUUAUUCUCUCGAUUGUGUUACAUGUACAUAAUUGAUUUACAUAAUGAUUUCCAUAGACAUAACGUAAUGAGAUAUGAUUAUGUCAGAAUUUAAUUAUUUUUUAAUUACAUAUUCUCUUAAUAAAAUAAUUUUAUAAGUAAAUAUAAAAUAUUUUCUUACCUUUUAAUCACAUUUUUCAAAAAAAAAAAAAUCACUAUCAUAAAAUAUCUUUUUUUUUUUUCAAAAAAUGGGGCUCAAAUAUAGUUCACCAUCAUCUUUUAUGUUAGUUGCAUAUUAACAUAACUUACAUUCAUAUUUUGUAACAUGAUUAAAUUGUAAAAGCUUUUCCAAAGGGCAAGCUAAAAUUCAGAGAAAAAAAAUGCGCACACAAAAAGGGAAAAAAAAAUACCAAUAAAGCGUAUCUUCGGUACUCCAAAAAAAAAAAAAUGCGCACACGAAAAAAAAAAAAAAAUUACUAAUAAAGCGUAUCUUCGGUACUCCAAGAUCUCAAUUUUGAUCGAGACUUGAACAAUUCAGAAAAUUUCAAUACAUUCUUUAAUUUUGUAGAACACUAUUCAGUAUUUGGUGUUGUUAAAAAUUAUAUUUUUAAUAGAUUUUGAUAAAAAAUUAAUGAAAUAUAUAAUUGAAUUUAUCAUUAAUUGUUGAAUUUAAUUUAAAUUUUUUUUUAUCAACUUUUAAAGGUGAAUACUGAAAAGAAAUUAUAAAUAACAGUGCACAAAAUUUUGUCCUUUAAAUGGCCCCCUUAACAUAUAUUUUCACCAUUUGCAUGAUCAGUCAGUCAGAAGUUCAAUUAUUCUUCACUUGUUCGAGUCUCUGAGUUCUGACCACUUCACAAUGAGAAAACGAUACAAAAGACAGAACCCAUUACCUCAAUUAUUAUUUCACUUGUUAUUUGCAAAUCGGCAACGGAAGAAAGGCCAGAGACUGAACUAAUAUCAAUACCUGCCACCCCACGUGCGUCGACGCCGGAGAUACAGACGCCGUCCUGUCAAAGGUCGCCGAGGAAGGAAUCCAGCACAGCCAAGUCAUGGACUCCAACUUCGUUCAUUUCGCCGAGGUUUUUGAGCCCCAUUGGGACACCCAUGAAGAGGUUUUUGACUAAUAUGAAGGGGUAUUUGGAGGAGGUGGGGCAUUUGACGAAGCUGAAACUUCAAGAUGCUUGGCUUCCCAUUACAGAAUCACGAAAUGGGAAUGCCAAUUAUGCAGCUUUUCAUAAUCUGAAUGCUGGUGUGGUUCCAGGGAGAACGUUGGUGGGAAAUGCAGCUUUUAUUUUUUAUUUUUUUUAAAUAUCAAAUUGGUAUGAACGUUGGUGGAAAUAUCAGCUAGACGUGAAGAAGAGAAUAACUUACACCAUUCGGACACUGGGAGAAACACGUGUCAAAAAAAAAAAAAAAAAACUAAAUUUUAUGUGACAUACCCAUACUUCUUAUAUUCAUAUGUCGAGUAAAGUAUACAUCUUUCCAUCUUAUAGUCCCUUUCAAACACAUUGCAUGAAGGAAAUUGAAUAAAUUUACUAUGGUACGUAAGUUCGGAGAAUUUUUAGCUUUCAAUAAUCCCUACUUUACUUGGUCCUCAUCCAAAUACAAAAGGUGUCAAACUUGGGUUUUCCAAGUUUCCCUCAUCAUCUUAUUGCCAACUUUUCAUCAACAUUGGAAUAUUAUUUUCAUGUGUUAGGAGAACACAAAUUUAAAUAAACGCACUCCGUAACUGAAUUAGACUUGCAUUGUACAUAAUGACAGAAUUAUGAUAUAUUUAACAUCGCGCACCCAGACACACACAUGAACUGCCGGUAAGUAUUAUAAAGCAUGCAAUAGUACGAUCAUUUAGCUUAGACAAAAGAAAAUUGUAUUAUAAUUAAGGAGGGUAUCAUGACGAAAUUAAGUUCAAUUUGAUUCAAAUUCUUUAAAACUCAGUUUUAAACAUAUUCUCUCGAUAAAAUAAUUUUGUAUGUAAACUCAUAAAUUUUAAUCUACUUUUUAAUUACACACUCUUCAAAAAUAUCAUUUUUGAAAAAUUUAUUCUCAAAAAAUCUAAACUUGAAGAAUGUUUAAUUUAAAAUAAAGAAGUAAUUGUACUUGAUCCCCAUCCUAUUCUUUGUGAAGUAAGUUGGUACUCAUUCUUUGAGAACGAGACGUUGUCCUCGUCCUUCCACUCAAAUUGCCCAUAAUAAUAAUAAUAAUAAUAAUAAUAAUAAUAAUAAUAAUAAUAAUAAUAAACUUGUCAUCUUUGUUUCUGCAACUUCCAUAGAUUUGAUUUGUCAAUAUAUAGAAUCAUUUGUCAUCUUAAUGCUUUCUAUAAUUGCUUCUACUUUUUUUUUUUUUUUUGGGUUACUACGAUUUGACAAUAUAAUGACUAAAAUUUAAUUUAUUGAUCAUUUCUAUUCCAACUUAACAUACUUUAAAAGUAUAAUUACUAUAUGCGUUGUUCAGAAUAUAGUAGAAAUUCUUGUGUACUUCACGAGUUUCCUAGUAUAGUUAGACCUUUUUGUAUAUACUCAUGUUUAAAAAAAGGUUGAACCCCAACCUUAAGGGCCCCCACCAACCCUGCCCUGGGCCAUCGUGGAGGAGAUAAAUCGCAGGAUGUGCCUCCCAGGAGCCAGGGUGGAGAGCACAUGGAUAGGCCAAGGCUGUUAACCCAUAUGAUAACUCCCGCUUGCAACAAAGCCAAUUCCACCUUGCGGGGAAUCGAACUCUGCACACUGCCGCUCUAAGUCCUAUUCGCCCUCCCCUUUGCCACUGGGAGAUAUGCCCUGGGGGCGUAUAUACUCAUAUUUAAUUAUAUGUUUGGCAAACAAUAUUAGAUAAUAUAAAAUAAUUUGAAAUGUAAGAUAAAAAAAAACUAAAAUUUUAAUCUUUAACAAUUUCCUUCAUUACCUAGAUAACUUAUUGACAGCUGAAAAUUGAAAUUCCAAACUCUAGUUGCAUGUACCAUACACCAUGUCAUAUAAACAUAAAUAGCACAGUGAAUAAAAUUUUAUCUUUCUUCUUCAAUAAUGUUGUCCAUUUCACCGAACAAGUCCGAAGACAUUUUCCAGGAUCAUAAUAUCUUUGUCUUUGGAGCAUAUUUUAUGGAUCUCUAUUUCCUGUCUGAACUCUUUUCAUCUUUUAAAAUCAAGAAUUAUUUUUUUUUUUUUUUUUGAGGGUUUUUAAUUUGUUUCUGCAACUUCCAUGAAUUUCAUAGGUCCUUGUACUGUUGUACAUAAUAGUAUAAAUUAAUACCAUUUAUUAUCUUCUGGGAGUAAGUUAUGCUCGAAUAUAUACUGUGCAUAUUUAAUUUGACUGACUACCAUAAUGAACAAUUUCGUUUUUCCCAUUUCUUAUCCUACAGAACGCUAAAAAGGUUCAAUAUAUGCAUGUUUCGGUAUAUUAAUAAAUGAUCAGAUAAUUACUAUUUGACUAAGCAUAGAUGUUCAUUUAUAGGUUUCCUGUUAUCACAAUUCGUUACCUAUUAUCACCUUAUAGUCUUCACUAAAACUUGAUCAUUUUUCUUUUGCAUAUAGUUGUAAAUCUUGAAAUUCGUGAAUUUGUUCAUUUAUAGGUUUCCUGUCCAUCGUCGUUACACUAAGAAUUACUACGACAAAAGACGUAACUAAGAUACAUAAAUUUGUUAAUAUAUAUACACGCCCAAAAAGUUUAAAAUGUUAAAGAGUUGCCAUAUUUAUUUAUUAUUAGUGCCUUAAUGUUUAAGAAAAAUGAAUUGGACAGAGUUGAAGUAUCAAUUUUCUUGUACAUUGACAUCGUAGUUUGGCCAUACGUUCGCAAGCCUCUAGACGAUUUUGGUUAUUCAAGUACCGGCGAACUCUCUUGGUCUAACUUCAAGCCAUACUGAGAUUGAGGCUUGACAAAGUUGAGGAAUCGAUCAAUAAAAUCAUGGUUGGGCUUCGUUGUCAACUCAAGAUCGGUGUAAUUAGGUUGACGAUUCGACCAGUAGACUCAUGGCUAGACGCAGUUGUCAACUCAACAUUCAUAUUCGGUGCAGUGUGGCCGGUGCCGUUAGCCUUUGGUGGUUCAUUUGUCACUUGUAAAGAUUUCAAAAUUUCUCUUUCAAGGUGAAACAUCUUUCUGAGUGUACAACCAAAUCCAGAAACGAGCACAACCCACUUUUUACAAGUUUAUCUUCACAGCAAUAAUACACACAAUCUCCCUUUUAAAUUACAGACAGUGGAAAUCCCUACAUGUUGUGUUGAAUAUAUUGUCAAUUUUCUCAUGUAGUGGAGACCUUAUCAAACAUAUCAUGACAAGCUACAUUUCACCACAAGUUCUCAUAAAAAUAUCCUGGUGACAUAAAUACAGUGUUUUAGAUAACUUCACACAAUUUUAAAUUUAUGGCUAAAUUUUAUUGCAAUUCCAUUUGAAUUUUAGAUUUCUAUCUUAAGAGAUUAAUUUUAUCAAAAGGAGUAAAAGAUCUUAUCUAGUUAUUAUUGAUAUUUUUAAGCUUUGAAACGUUACUCUUAUAUACCAUGACUUUCAAACUAUGAUAUUUGUUUCACAAAACUGAUCUUACAAUGAGAUAAUUACUCAUUUAGCCAUUGUUUGAACUCCAUUCUUUUAAAAAUUCAUAUUUCAAAAUUCAUUUUCAACUACAUAUUCUUCAAUAUAAUAAUAAUACGCGCAAAUCCAAUAAUUUUCCUUAAUUUGUUUGACAAAACUGAUCUUACAAUGAGAUAAAUACUCAUUUGGCCAUUGUUUGAGCUCCAUCUUCUAAAAAUUUAUUUUCAACCACAUAUUCUUCAAUAAAAUAAUAAUACACACAAAUCCAAAACUUUUCCUUAAUUUUUAACAAGACAUUCCCAUCAAUUUACUAUUUAAAAUAGAUUAUUUUCCCUAAAAUGGGCUCAAACAAGGGCUUAAGCUUUAAAAAAAUUGAAUUGUUUGUUUAAACCUCUUUUUUCUUUGAACUCCAGUAUAUCGAGUUUAGAACUUCAUAUUAAGCCCUUGUUUGAGCCUCAUUCUUUAAAAAAAUGUAUUUUUCAACAGUGUUUUGAUAUCAUUUUAACCACACGUUCUUCAAUAAAAUAAUAUUAUACUAAAUCAAAAAAAUUUUGUUUUUUUUUUUUAACCUCACCUUUCCUAUCAAUACACUAUUCAAAAAUUCAUUUUUCCCUCAAAAUGGAGCUCAAACAAGGGCUAAAUUGUCAAUUUUAUUAAAAAGAGUUACUAAAAUUCUCAUAUACUAUUACACCAAAUUUUGUAACUAUAUCCUUUUUUUUAUAUAUAAAUUAAAGUUAUUUAAAUAGUGAUAUCGUUGUGCUGUCCUUGUAAUGACCAUAGUAAUGACGUUAAGACCAUCGUUAUUAAUACAAAAUAAGAAUCCUUUAUCUUAAAACAUUAGCCCUAUUUAUAAUAAAAAGUUUAACUAUAGAAUUUUCAUUUUCCCUUAUUAUUUUUAUGGUUUCACAUAGAUAAUAUGUGUAAAUUAAAUACUCUUUGCUCUCAUAUCUGAGACAUUUUCAUGAUAUUUUAACUUGCACAUUGUCGUCAUUUUUAUACACAUUUGUUUACACAUCUCUAUGUGUCUAAAAUCUCUUCAUUGAUUAAAAAAAAUAUCGUUAAAAUUAAUGCACCAAAAUCUGUCAAGUCACAUGAGUGUAAAUCAAGAUGUCAACUUUGAUAUACUUACGAUAUGAUUGUAAGAAUAAACUCAAGUUGACAAAAAUAUUAAACGUGUUGAGUUCGUAUGCAGUCCGACUCAAUUGAUGAUUGCUACUACUUGGACAAAACAACACGGCAAAUAUACCAUGAUUACUCAUAGUAUUCAUGUAUACACCAUUCCUUACAUUGAUUGGGAGACAUUUCUAAAUUAGGGCAAGCAUAAUUUAAAUAUUAGGAUGCGUUUCCAAAUUAGGACAAGCAUAAUUUAAAUAUUGGACAUUCAUAUAAUAUUAAAAAUUUUAAGAAUGUGAAAAAGGUGGGGAUUGAAAAAGUAAAAUUACAUGGACAAGUACCCAAUUUCACUCUCUUUUUAUCAACUCUCUCCUUUUUUUUUCAAUUUUAAUUUUUAAAUAUCAAAUUGGUAUGAACAUUGGUGGAAAUAUUAGUUAGACGUGUAGAAGAGAAUAACUUAUCAAAUCGGUAGGAACGUUGGUGGAAAUAUCAGCUAGACGUGCAGGAGAGAAUAACUUACCCCAUUCGGAGACAGGGAGAAACACGUGUCAAGAAAAAAAUAAAAAAAAACUAAAUUUUAUGUGAGCUAGCCAUACUUCUCAUGAUCAUUUGUCGAGAAAGGUAUACAUCUUUCCAUCUUAUAGUCCCUUUCAAACUCAUUGUAUGAAGGAAAUUGAGUAAAUUUCCUAUGGUACGUAAGUUCGGAGAAUUUUUAGCUUUCAAUAAUCCCUACUUUACUUGGUCCUCAUCCAAAUACAAAAGGUGACAAACUUGGGUUUUUCCAAGUUCCCCUCAUCAUUAUCUUACGGCCAACUUUUCAUCACCAUAUAUAUAUAUAUAUAUAUAUAUAUAUAUAUAUAUAUAUAUAUAUAAAGUAGUAUGAUCAUUUAGCUUAGACAAAAGAAAUUUGUAUUAUAAUUAAGGAGGGUAUCAUAACGAAAUUAAGUUCGAUUUGGUACAAAUUCUUUAAAAUUCAUUUUUAACCAUAUUCUCUCUAUAAAAUAAUUUUGUAUGUAAAUUCAUAAUUUUUUUCUACCUUUUAAUCACACAUUCUUCAAAAAUAUCAUUUUCGAAAAAUUUAUUCUCAAAAAAUCUAAAUUUGAAGAAUGUUUAAUUUAAAAUAAAGAAGUAAUUGUACUUCAUCCCCAACCUAUUCUUUGUUAAGCAUAAUAUAUAUAUAUAUUAUUAAACUAGCCUAUCAAGAAUAAUUUGGCUCCUUCCAAACUGGAGGGAUAAAACAACAAUAAUGUGUUUCUCGUAAAAGGAGUGCUACUUGGGCAGGAAGUUGUCCAAGAAGAAAAAUUCUUCUCGUAUAUGAAGUUACUGGAAAUGGACCACUGGGAAAACGACAAGUGUCAUCCAGCUGGCUCAGAUUGCGAAAACAAUCGUUUAUAUUCAAAAUGGCAUAAUAAUAAUUGAAAAUGGGUCCAUGAUUAUGAGCAUGAAGUUUUACAAACUAAAUGAAGGGUCUUCAAUAAAGGUUUUACAAACUUAAAAACUAUUAGGAAUAUAUUUCAAUAGCUUGUGAAAUUACAAUAAGUUUCCCUAAGAAAAAGGUAAUCUGUAUAAUAUGUAAUAAAUUUUAAAUUAUACAGAAAUUGUCUUUUUAACUUUUUCUGUAUCCACCUUUCUGAUUCUAUAUAAACGGGCAGACCUCCAUUUCUCAGCGACUCAAUUAUCAACACAGAAUACGAAGGCAUUGAGAGAGAGAGAGAGAGAGAGAGAGGAUGGAGAAGAUUAUUGCAUUCUUUGUGCCUGUUUUUACCUUUCCGUUUACUGUAUUUUUAUAUGUAAUUUCACUGAAAAUGAAAAGAAAACAUUCAGAGAGGAAAACUAAGCUCCCUCCAGGCUCCAUGGGGUCGCCUUAUAUUGGAGAAACUCUUCAGCUCUACUCCCAAGAUCCAAAUAUCUUUUUUUCUGACAAAGUAAAAAGGUUUCUUGCUUUCAUUCUCAAUUACUUACCGUCCAAUUCUGUCUAAUACUAAAUACCUGACAUUCCCUGAUAGAAUUUUUCUAACAAUAAUUCUAAACGGGGCAGGCACCCUGCUGGCUGCCAAUAGGGGGACACUUGUCCCCCCGGACAAACAGGGCCCUGUUUGCCAAGCAAAUCUCUUUUUCUAAACUGUAUGUUCUUAUGCAGGUAUGGAGAAAUCUUCAAGACUCAUGUACUUGGUUGCCCUUGUAUAAUGUUGGCCAGCCCAGAAGCAGCCCGAAUCGUGCUAGUCACUCAGGCACAUUUGUUCAAGCCGACGUAUCCAAAGAGCAAGGAAAACUUCAUCGGCCAGUCUGCGCUGUUUUUUCACCAGGGAGAGUACCAUAUGCGGCUUAGGAAGCUCGUCCUUGGCGCGUUAUACCCGGACGCAAUCCAAAACCUAGUGGCAGAUAUUGAAGCCAUAGCAGUGUCUGCAAUGGAUUCGUGGGCCGGUGGCCGUGUCAUCAACAUUUUCCAUGAGAUGAAAAAUGUUCGUCUCUUUGAAUUCAUGCUAACACCCAUUUAAAAAAAUUGUGCACCUAUCACUUCUUUAAUGAAAAAUGUCGUUGGCAUGCACACGGGAAGCGUUGAAAACCUAGAUUUAAAUGAACAAAUCUGUCUCUUUUAAGAUUUUACAUGAGAAAGCUAAUUUGUCAUUUACCAUUGAUUACCUGCAGUUCUCAUUUGAAGUAGGUAUACUCUCCAUUUUUGGUCAUUUGGAGUCCCAUUAUAAAGAAGAAUUAAAGAAGAACUAUAGCAUACUCGAUAGAGGGUACAAUUCUUUUCCAACAAACUUGCCUGGAACUCCAUACCAAAAGGCAAGGAAGGUAAAAUAGCGAUAAUUAUACUUUGUUACAUGGCACUAUAAACGAGAUUUAACUUCUUCAUUUUUUAUUUUUAUUUUUGUGUCUACCGGCUUAAUACACACGGGUUGAAAAUGGACUCUUAUUUUGACUAAUCAUAUUUACCAUUUUAAUGUAUGAAGGCAAGGAAGAGGUUGGGUGAAAUAUUAAGUAACAUUAUGAGAGAAAGAAAGGAAAAGAGGUUUACGGAGAAGGACCUGUUGAGUUGUCUGCUAGUUUCGAAAGAUGAGAAUGGUGUAACUCUAAAUGAGGAUCAGAUUGCUGACAACAUCAUCGGAGUACUUUUCGCAGCACAAGACACGACUGCGAGUGCCAUGACAUGGAUUCUCAAGUACCUUCAUGACUACCCAAAAAUUCUCGAGGCCGUCAAGGUAAAAUCUAGAAGGCAUUUUGCAGUUGUUCUGGAAGACUGGAUUAAUACAAGGUUCUCUAAGAAAAACGUAGCUCUAUUUUCUAUUUGUGGGGUCAAAUCAAUACAUUCUAAGAUUCUCGUGUCUCUAGAUCAUUCUCAUUUCUUGACCUUAUUCUUAAAUUUGCUUUGUAAACGUCGUAGAUAAUAUGUUUCUGAUUUGCAUGCAGGCUGAACAGAAGGCAAUAUACAAAUCAAAUCGAAAUGAAAAUAGUCAUUUAACAUGGAAUCAAACAAGAAAUAUGCCAUUUACUUACAAGGUAUUUGACUACCAUAAAUAAUAUAUUUGGUAUAUUUCGUUUAAAUUAGGUCGGUAAUGUUAACACCAAAUUCAUUUUUUUUUACAAAAUCAUUUACAAGUAGUAUCAUUCACUUUCAUUCUCUACGUCUAACUUGCUUCCAUCAUCCUCACGUAAUAUUUUGACCUGUACUCUUUUUAGGUGAUUUUAGAGAGUUUAAGAAUGGCAAGCAUUAUAUCAUUCACAUUUCGAGAGGCAGUGACAGAUGUGGAAUAUAAAGGUAAGCUUUCUUGUAAGGGAAAUGUACCCUUUUCGAGGGUGUCCUAAGCCUGGUAAUAUUACCAAAUAAUCCACUAAAUUUUGCUAUUUAUACGCUGGCGUUCACACGCCCCUCACAUGAGGUAGGGGCCCAUGCCCAAUAAAAGAAGCGUGAGCCCCCCUUGUGUGAGUGACGUGUACAUCGGCGUGCCCAUGGACAGGUUGCACAAUUGUAAUCCACUUUUUUGAAAUAAAUGUUUUUGGGUCACUGAAACUUUGGUAUGAUUUUGGUGCCAGGGCACCUAAUUCCGAAGGGAUGGAAGGUCAUGCCUUUAUUCAGGAAUAUUCACCACAAUCCUGAUUUCUUUGUUGAUCCUCAGAAGUUUUUUCCUUCCAGAUUUGAGGUACGAGUUAAUAUUAUUCUUUUAAUGGUUGACAUUAAGUGCAUAUUUAGCCCCUAUCUUACAAUCAUUAUCCUAAUUUUCUUUUUCUACGUGCUGAUUUUAACCACACAUUCACACAAUAAAAUAUUCUGCACGUAAAUUCAAAAUUUUUUCAUACUUUUUAACCACAUAUCUUCUAAAAAUUCACUAUUCAAAAGUUUAGUUUUGCCAAAUAAUGGCCGUCAAGUAGGGCCUUAGUGCUUGUUUGAUACUUUUCAACUUAUCAAACUUUUUGCUACAAAUUGGAUCCACAACUUUUUAUCAAUUUUUUUCAUCAAAAGUUUUGUUAAACAAUCCCAUGGUACUUAGAACUAAAUCUAACAAUAGUUUCUUAGGGCAUAUGAAAAUAGAUUAAAUAUUAAUGCCAACCAAUUAAACUUCAUUUUCACCAAAUAUUGACCUAAAUAAAAAAUUGAGUUCGACUAAAAAUUUAAUGACCACCAUGACUUUUAAUCCGAUGAAAGUAUGGUACGACAAAUCUUUUUUUCCUCAAAAUAUAAAGAUUAAAGAGACUUAUUAAGGAGAAAAAAAUUGUAGGAUGAAGCAACGAAUAUUAAUUUAUGGUUUCUUGUAGGAUGUGUUGAAACCCAAUACGUUUAUGCCAUUUAGCAGUGGAGUACAUGCCUGCCCCGGUAACGAACUUGCGAAGCUAGAGAUGCUCGUUAUGAUCCACCAUCUAAGUUCUCAGUUCAGGUACUUUAUCAAACUACAACAAGUAUUUUUGGAAAUGCGUUUUUUAGAUAAAUUAAAUCAUAAAUAACCAAUUCUAGUUUAUACUACUCGGUUCCUCGUAUGUUCAGUUGAAUUCACCAAACAUGUCAUAUAUGUAUUUUUUACUCCAUAUAUCACAAGUUUUGAUUAAAAUAAUAUUAUCUUUUUCUUUCCCCCUCAAUUCUGUCUUAUACUAUUAAGUUUAUCUUACUAACUACGAGACGACGUUGGUGAGUGGUCUGUGAUAUUAGGUAUUAUUUGACAAUUGUGUUUGCAGGUAUGAAGUGGUGGGAUGCCAAAGUGGGAUUGAACAUGCGCCAUUCCCCAUCCCUUUCCAUGGACUCCCUGCCAGAUUUUGGAAACAAGAACCAACCAAUUAAGUAGGACAUACCAAGACAAUUGUUUCUUAACCAAUUUUCACUUUUCCUCUCUGUUCCCAUAAUCCAAUUUCCUCUCCAAACUAAUAUGGGGAUGGCUUUUUUUCCUCAAAAUGAAUUAAUAUAGGUUCAUAAUCAAUGAACUAAUAAUCAAUGAAGAAUUGUAUUCAUAUAUCUCAUCGGUUAAAUAUAGAAAAAUACGUACUAUUUUUAUUGUAGGGUUGGUAUUGAAAUUGACUUGAUUCAAUUGAAUUAUCUUGUUUCUUGGCUUUGUUGACUUGAAAAAUCAUUUUAUUUUCUUGACUGUUAUUGAAAAUCAAUUAUUACUUUUUCUCGAGAAAUUUGCUUGAAAGAGAUCAUAUGUAGCGAGAAAAUGGAAAAUAGUCACUUUUUAUUUUCAUUAAAAUCAUGGGUAGAAGUUAAGGCUUCGAUUGUAAGUGAGCAGUCUUUGAGAGGCACAGUCUGAAAUUAAUUAAAUAAAAAAAGAAGAGAGAAAGAGAAAAAGGAAAAGGAUUACGUCAACAAUUUUUAUUAAUUCCAUUCUUUCAUUUCAAUUCCAACAUCUCUGCCCUUAUGUUUUUGUUUAUGAUAUUUGUGAUGCCACUGGUAGUUUACUUAAUGAAAUGUUGAACUAUUGCAAUGUUUAAAAUUGUUUAUCAUUUUUUUUUUUAUAAACUAGUCGAGUACAAUUCAAUCAUUUGGUCAAAAUGAUCGAUUUAAGUUCCUAGUUGGUUCUAUAUUGGAGGAAUCGAGUUUGGGAACUUCUAAUUUAUGUAGAAUUAAAUUAUCACGCAAUUUGCAUCCGCUUUUCACAAAUUUUCCCUCGAGUAAUGCAAUUCAACAUUACUGAUAGCAAGCACUAAUUUAAGAGGCAACUUCAUAACAUUAAAUAAUUGAUUCAAAUAAAUGUAAUGUCAUAUGAUUCAUAUAAUUAAAUCUAUUAAAUGUGACCAUCUAAAUUGGUAUUUCAGCAUAGUUGGUGCUUGAUAACAUUAUUCGAUGUGAAAUGUGAUGUUGGGUGAUAUUUGUUGAUACCACGUUUUUGAAUGUUUCAUAAAGUUCUAGUUGUGAUGAGAGGCCAUAGCCAGAUGGUAAGUAUAUGAUUGGUCAAGUGAAGGUGGGUUUGGUCCAUAAGAGCAAUCUCUAAAAGAAUACUACUGCUUUUGUCGACUACAUUUGACGCUACAUUUCACAAUACGUAGUGAAUUAUUUCAUUUCAUAACAUAUUUUAGUGGAAUUGUAUUUUUUUAUGAAUGAGAGCUCUCUUAAUGAAUAAUGAUAUAUGACGGGUAUAUUUAAAUCAGUCUAAAUAACAAUGUAUGAUAUUUAAAAAUAAGCUCAAUAUAUGACAAUAUUAAAAAUGAGAAUGAAAAAUAUAGUCGUUAUGAGUCUCACACAAGAGAUAGAAAGUCAAAUAUAAUGGCUUGAUGUGAUGGAUAACGGUCAUAUUUUUCAUUUUAAUAAGCAAAUAAUGAGAAACAAACGGGGCUUAUUAUUGAACUUAUCAUGCAUGGCUACAGAAAUUAAUUUUAAAACAUCAACUAGAAUAUAUAGCAUUACCUUUCUUAAAAUAUUAUUUAACUAUGUAAGUCAUCGUUACUAUAAUUUUUUUUUUUUUUUUCAAUUAGUGCUAUGUUGACAUAUUUUAAUGUAUCAUAUUAUCGAAAAAUUAGCUUAAAUGGUCUUAAGCCUAUGCUCAUCUUGCAUUUCUUGGUCCCAAAACUUUAAACCUUGACAAUCAAGUCACAAACCUAUGCUUUUUGGCAUAGUUAAUCCUUUUAGAAGGUUUCCGUUUAAAAUGGCAGUUAAUUUUGUGUGUAGAUUGUAAUUUUCUUAUUUUAUUUUUAUCUGAAGGGGCAUAUUUUUCCAAUCAAUAACAACUUAAGUAAAAAAAUGAAAUUUAAAAAGAAAAAAAUUUUAAAGAAAAAAAUAUAAUAAUAUUCUUCUUCCACCCACCCUAUAUUUCGUACGUACAUAGACAUAGGAACAGGAAGUAUGACGAGCAGAGUAAUGAUUCGCCUGUACAAGCCACAUGAAAAAUGUCAUUUCAAUAAUAAUAAAAAUGUUGACAUGCCACGAGUAGCUCAAAUUCUCCCACUUAAUUAAUUAUAUGUAGGUCAAAGAUCUAUAUAAUUUGAUCACAAAUUAACAAUUUAAUUAGUCACUUAUUAUUUUUUUAUCACAAAUUAAAAAUUUUAUGUAAUUAAUUAUUUUACGAUCAUAAUUCAAAAAAUUUAUAAGUCACAAAUUAAAAAAUGUAUAAGUCACGAUUUAUUUAUUGAUCACAAAUCACAAAUAUUAGAAGUCACAACUAUUAUACAGUCACAAAUUAUCAAAUUAUCGGUCACCAAUUAACAAAUUUUUAAGUUACAUUAUUUUUUGGUCACAAUUUAUAUUUUUUAUUGGUCACAUUGUUUAUUGGUCACAAUUUAGCCAAUUUAAUGGUCACAAUCAACAAAAUUUGUGACCACCACUAACACUUGUGAUCACCAUCUCACCACUUCUUUGAGCACUACCACCACUACCAUCGUCCACAAAACCACCACCUCCACCUCAAACAAAUCAACCGAUCGUAGAAAAUACAACCGCAUCGUCGACACCAUAUCCACCACCAAGAAAAAAAUUAUUACAUUAAUCGCCACCGUCACGACCAUAGACCGGACCCAAAUUUCCUAAAUCUCCUGUCAUCCACCACCACCUGCACUACCUAGAUUGUGACUACUAUCACCAAUGCUAAGUUGUGACUACCAAAAACUAUCGCUACUUUACCACCACUUCACCACCACUGUGACAGUACUACAAAAUAAAUCCAAAAUCAGAGCCGUAAUGGAGGUGAAAACCACUGCCACAACCACCACCAAAGCCAACAUCACAAUCGCCACAUCCAUAGUAUCAUAGUAGCAUCACCGCCACCGCCACCCAAAGCAUCACAAUUUUCAUUUACCUCUACACUUACAUAUUGUAUAUAGGAGUACCAAAUAGUACACCAUAAAAUACAUGUCUUUAAAAUAGUUAUGAUUAAUUGUCAUAAUUGUAAUAUACAAAUUCUUAUAUUUAUAUUUGAAUAUGAGAUUUACAAAUACUAUCAAGAUAGAUACAAUUAUAUAUUAUAUACGGGAGUACCAAAUAGUACAAAAACUAAGAUAAGAUUAAAAAUGAUUGAAUCUUUACAAAGAUAUGAAUACGGUGUUAAAAAUUUUAUUUUACACUAUAUUAUUUGUCAUCAUUAAUUAUGAAAGUUGGAAAUCAUAAUAAUGAAAACAUAGAUAAUAAUGAUGAGAUCUGUGAACAAAUUGAAUCACAAGGAAAUUUCUCAAGAGAAAUUUUAAUAUUUGACAAAAAAUUGGCUAAAAUAUGUAAGACAAAACUUACAAUAGAACCUAAAGAAAUCUUUUCUCAAUCAGGUUUCUUAGAAAAAUUUAUGAACAGAAAUAUACAUGUAUAUUAUAGUGUAUCUCAGCAGGAUUUUGGAUUCUUUCAUCAAUCAAACUCAUUGAAAUGGGUUGAUCAAUUUAUUUGAAUAAAACUUUAUGUUUUAACCAUGCCUUCAUACACUUUUAUUUCUAUAUACAAACUCAUGUACGGAUCUUUAAAGAAUCAAUGGGACUAAGAAGUACCUCCAGACAGGAGGCCAUUAGGGAAGAAGCCACACCCACAGUAUCAUAGUAGCAUCACCGCCACCACCACACCCAAAGCAUCACAGUUUUCAUUUACCUCUACACCAUAACCACACCGUUUUCCCUCUCUAUGGUAGCGUAAAAUGCAGAGGAAAUUUUAUAUUGCUGUGAAUUAAGAUGCCUACUUUUACAGUUAUUGCCUUGGAGAAUUUGUUGGAUCCUCGAGUCCGAGAUUCCUGCAAAAGCCCCCCAAGCCUAACCAGGGAGUGUCAAACAAUGAUGGCGAAGCAACUGAACGGAUAGAGGACUCGAGCACGAAUCUGAGAGUUGGUGGCUCCAGGAAUAUAUAUAUCGCUAACUCUAUACCUGACGCCGGGACCCACUAUGAUUUAGAGAAUUCUUCCUCGAAUUCGUCCUCGCCUUCGCCGUAUGUCAUCAAUUAAAAGAGAUCUAAACCCCGAAAAGGACGGAAAUGAUUUGAAUUUAGAGGACAGUUGGUGGGCGAUUUUGUAAAUGAAGGUGAGAUAUAGAGAGAGAAUGAAAAGGGAUGAAGACAACUAUGGAAGUGAAAUAUAGAGAAAGAAAAUGAAAGUGAUGAAUGAAGAUAAAUUUAGGGUUUGGUAGGAUGAAUAUGUAUAUUUAAUUUUGUAAUAUAAUUAUUAAUAUUUAAACUAUAGUAAUUAAUUAAUAAAAUAUUUGAUUUUUCAAAUAGUAAACUUUACCUAUGAUUCAUGAAAUGAGAUCUCUAAAUCUAUUAGAUUGUGUAAUUUCCACUAAAAUAUGGAAAAAUUAGGCCUUAUACAGCCCCAAUGCAAAGAAGUUGAAAAAUACUUCCUCCAAGUUGAAAAUUUGAAAUUUACGUCAUUCCAUAUAAUUUUCUUUGCGGGUCAAAGGGUAAAAUUAUUUGACAAGACCUUCUCUAUUUUUGGCGAUUAGGAUUCAAUUUUCAGCUUCACUUCGUAGUUCUGCGAUUUUGGGUGAACUAUGUUCAAUAAUUGUUUUCCCCCCUUAUAAAAUUGAAGUGUCAAUUUUAAGCUUCACUUCAUAACUCUGCAAUUUUGGGUGAAUUAUGUUCUAUAUAUAUAUAUAUAUAUAUUUGCCAUUAUAUAAUCAAAUAUAUGGUGUUGCAUUAAAGUGUCAAAUUCAAGUUUAAUAUUUAUGAUUAAUUAGCUAGCAAAUCAUCUGAAUAUAUGUUAAGUAGCAUGUCGGUUUCAUUGAAGUGUCGAAUAUAAAUGAAUUUACGUAGCAUGUUAAUUUCACACAUUUUUAGUGUUUGUCAUCUUUUUUGAGUCUAUGUCACUUUUUUAUAUAACUUUUUUGGAUCUAUGUAACUUUAAUUUAAUUUGUGUCCCUUUUUUUUAUUUAAAUUUCUGUCACUUUUUUGAAUUUUUUCAUUUUUUUUAGUAAUUAUCAUUUUCUUUCAAAUUUUGUCAUUUUUUUAGUGUUUGUCACUUUUUUCUAUCGUCUUGGAAAUUUAUAGCACUUUAUUUUUAGUAACAAACAUCACUUUUUAAUAAAAGUGACAUUGAUGUAAUUUUUUAAUCAAAAAGUUAUACUAAAAUUUUAAAAGUGACAUUGUGUCACUUUUUAAUUUUACACAGUAUUUUUUUAGUUCCAAAAAACGUUUCAUAUGAUUUUUCAAAACACACCUAAUUUUAAGGGUAUUUUUGUAAGUUGCCCAUAAAAUAUUGUCCAUCUCAAACCUUAAAUCCAUUUGCAAUUUCUUAUCUUCUUUCUAUAAGGAAUUUUUAAAUGAAUGUGUGAGCUUAAAUUAUUGUGUAUUAAAUUAAAAGCUAUCAAAUUCGAUUAAACCCAAUUAAAAUGAUCUAAUAAGUUCUGGUAUUUUGGGUUUUAAUGCAUCCAAUUAAAGUGUGAGUAUUUUAUGUAUAGAGACUGGACCCAAGUUCCUAAUUCUAUGAUGGGCUAAAUUAAGUCAAAUGGCGUCAAUAUAUAUAAAUACACUUAUGAUCUCCAGAUCACAUGUGCAUUGCUCAUUCUGUUGUGCCUCCCAUCACCAGAUAGAACUAAGGGCUACGUGUUGAUUUAGAAUACUAAACCGCAAGAUUCAACUAUUGCAUUAACCAUGUCUCAUCAAAUCAUGGAAUAUGACUGCGAAAUUUUGUCAUUGGGUUGCGCAUUGUGGAUAUUAUAGAAAGACUGAUCAAGUUUUUUGUGACAAUAAAUCAGCAGUGCUGUAUUCCAAUAACAGGAGCUCGAUGAAGUCGAAACACGGAGAGAUCAAGUUCCUGACUAUUAAAAAAAGAGUUUAGAAUGGACAAGUGUCAAUAGAGCAUAUCAGGACAAACUCCACGGUUGUAGAUUCACUUACUAAAUGAUUGAUACCCAAGGUCUCAUGCACAUUGCUUAUAUGGGUGUAAUUUGAAGCUUGUAUUUUUUGCUUUUUAUAUUGGACACAUGUUUGGAUAUAGUUUGUGGUUAAAGUUAUUUUCAGUUUUAAAAUUUUGGUUUACUAUCUCUGAACUUGCUUGAAAGGAUCUCACUAAGGUGUUAAGGUGGACCAAUUUAAAAUAGACGUGUUACAGAUCACUUUACAUGUAAUUUUCAUGCUACACAUCUAUGCUUGAUCUAUUUCAUUCAAUUAUAUCGAUAUGUGUAACCAUUGAUGAGUUUAGUUAUGAUGAAAGUUGCAAAAGCCGCUUUGAUCCUAUAUUAAUAUGAUUGAUGGAUAGGAUUGUUUAAAGAUGCAUUCAGUAAUGAUAGCAAAAUUCUGAGUACUGAUAAGAUUAUGUUUAAUGCACAAUUAUAAGAUGACACAUAGCCCAAAUAGGAGAUUGUAAGGAAUUUUUUUAAACAAUCUUGUGAGCUUAUAUUUGUAAAUUAUUGUGUAUUAAAUUAAAGGUUGUCAAAUUUGGUCAAACCUAGUUAAAUUAAUCUAAUAAAUUUUCAGUGUUUUAGGCUUUAAUGCAUCCAAUUAAAGUAUAGGUAUUUUAUGUGUAGAGAUCGAGCCCAGGUUUCUAAUUUUAUGAUGGGCUAAAUUAGGUCUAAGGGCGUCAAUAUAUAUAAAUACGGUUAUGUUACCUAAAUCACACGUGCAUUGGUCAUUCUGUUCUGCCUCCCAUCACCAGAGAGAAUUAAGGGCUGCAUUUUGAUUUGAAAAACUAAACCGUGAGAUUCAACUAUUGCAUUAACUAUGUCUGAUUCAGAAAUGCUUCUACUUUGAUUCUUAAAUUUCUCAAUGAUCCAACAUGAAAGAUCCGAUGAUUUUUUGGCAACAAUUUUUCCUACACUUUCUACUCUCUUCGUGAAUUUCGUUCUCAUCUAUCUUAAAUUUGGUUGUCUAUCUUCAACAACGUAGAUGUUUCCUAUAUUAUUACGAAUAAUUCUCCUCAAACAGGACCAUAAGCAAACUGCCAAUAGGGAGGACAUGUGUCCCUCUUGAAAAAAUAGGGCCAUGUGGCCCUAUUUAUAUAGCACGCCCCGUUAUGAAUAAUUCUAUAGGUUUAACAAUGUUACCUUUAAUAGUGUGCUAUUUAUUGGUCGAUAAUUUGUGGUUUUUAUUUGUCAAAUACAAGUAUUUCCAUUACUUUUUUGAUUUGGAAUAAAAUUGCAUUUUUUAUGUCAUAAAAGUAUUACAUAUCUUGCACUAUCUUUUUCGGUAGAAAUUUAUACAUAAAGGCCCUAAAUUUCGUUUGAUAAUUUUGUUAACAUUUUAAAGAUUUGGUAUAAUUUUUUUUUUUUUAAUCAGUGAAUGGAGCAUAUGACUUCUGAUUUAUUCUUAUAUUAACAUAAAACAAUGAUGGUAGUGUCCUUAAUUUGAAGAAACUUGCAAUUUUAUUUUACUCUUUGCACGAAUACCACUGUAAGACGAAUUUCGUGUCUUAAAAUACAAAAAACGUUACAAUUUUUUAUUUUUGAGAAAUACAAGUGAUGUUGACCUUCUUGUGAUUGCAUAAUUGUAGAAAUCCACAUAUUAAUGAUCUAAAUAUUUGAAAACGAGGAGUCACGUGCUUGAAUCCUGGUUUUCGAGAAUUUGUUGAAAAUUUAAUUUGUUGAUACUUGAUUUAAUCGGUACUUAAGUUACGGGGAUGAACUUGGACUUGAAUUUGAUUCGGUUUGAAGAAGACUUUGAUCUUCUUGAACUUGACGUGGACCUGUUCGAUUAGAAGAAAAUUUUGAUCUUCCUGGGAUUCACGAGAUUUAGGUUUGAGAGGAUUUCUUCUCUUUCUCCGACUUUGAAAUUUCUUCAACACUUCAUGAUUGUCUUCUCUGCUUUCACUUCUUGUUCCUUUCUUAUAGACAAUUGAUUCUAUUUAUAGGAGAAAAUUUGUGCUGAUUUUGGUAAUCACUCAAUUAUAUUCAAUUAAAAAUGAAUAAUUGAGCAAUUAUAAUUUUUAAUUAUUUGUUUAUUUAUUUAAAAGUGAUAUAGGCCUUUGAGUUUAUGGAUCUUAGUAGACUUUAAUAUAAUUGGGCUAAUGAUUUAAAUCGACUCAAUUCAUUUCCUUUAUUUUUUUUAAUUUUUAUGUCUAUAAAUGACCCCUCAAGAUUUAUUUAUUUGUUAUUAAAUUAAUAAAUCUUGAUUUUUGAUUUUGUUUUUCAAUUUUGGAUUUGGUUUUUACUCAAACUUCCCAUUAAUAAAUUAUUACAAACGAAAAAUUUGAGAAUAAUAUAUGAAUUUGAUAAAAAAAAAAAAAAUUAUCCUUCAAAUUUGAGACUAAGAAUUUUUUAUGUUAUUUGAUUAUUUAUUUUAUACAAUCUAAAAAAAUUGAAUUUGAACAGGCUUUUUGUGCUUUAUGGUAAAUUGGGUUUAAGUGAAGUCCGAUAUCUGCUUAUUUAUAUGAAUGAAUUAUGAGAUUUGAAAACAAGUCUGUUAAGCCCCUGUUUGAUUAACAUUAAAUUAAAUUACAUUACAUUCCAUUUUUCUCUCUCCUUUUUUCAACUAUACAAUCUUCUAUAAAAUAAUAUUACACGUAAAUCGAAAACUUUACCUUCUUUUUCAACCACUCAUUUUUCUAAAAAAUACUAUUCCUCCCAUUACCAUUUUCAGGUAAUGGGGGCCAAACAGGGUGUAAAUCUUGCAAACGAAGGUAAAUAAUUCUCUCUCUUUGUGUGUGUGUUUUUUAUUCAUAUUUUCUUUUCUUAGUUUCCGCCACCCAAGGAGACAAAGAAUUGGUUUCUUGGAAUUGGUGCAAUGGAAUUAGUAAAUUGCACCAAUUCCAAUUGUUUCCUCGGUUUUUGCCAAUGGCAUAAACCUUUAUGUAUUUAUUUGUUUGUUUCUUUGUUUCUUUCUCUCUUUUUUUCUCGUUAUUUUAUUUUAUUUUGGAUUUUCGUCGACGGCGGAAAACAAAACAAAGCAAAUUCUAUCUUAAACCAAUUUGGAAACAAAUUCCAAUGGAAUUGUUGGAACUUUCACCAAUUCCAAUUUGGAAUUAAUCGAUAGAAAUCUAACAAUUUUUUUUUAACUAAUAUUUCUUGGUUUUUAUGUUGGACCUCCUUUUUUUUGCCAAUCGUAGAUCUUUGGUUUUCACGGAAACCAAAGUGACCAAUUGGUUUCUACCGUGCAUUUAAUUAUUUUUUUUGACACAUGACACUUUUUUUUUUAUUAAUUUCUUCUUCCUUUCUCUUUCUUCUUGUUGACUAUUCUAGUGAGGUUGUUCUAACAAAAUUGAAACUAACAUUCUUUAUUUUUUUAUGUAGGUAUUCAAAUUUUUGGAGCAAAUCAAGGAUUUUGAGGUUUGAGAUUUUCUUUGUAUAGAGGUUAAAUUUUGUGCCACAAUUAUUUUGUAAGUUUAGAAAAUAUAUGCUUAUAGAAAGACUCAAAAUUGCAAGCAUUUUCGCGCACAUUGAGAACCAAAGACUGGUACUUUUCAGCAUCCAGUGUACUUUUUUUUAGACUAAUGACAUGUUCCUUCAACUGUCCAAGACACUUUAUGUUUGGGACCAAGGACUGACAUUUUUGACUGUCCAUGGCACUUUGUAUUAAAGAUCAUGGACUUGUUCCUUCGACCGUCCAAGACGCUUUAUGUUUGGGACCAAGUACUGGCUCCUUUGACUAUCCAAGACACUUUGAGUUAAGGACCCAUUACACGUUCCUUCGACCGUUCAAAGCACUUUGUAUUUGGGACCAAGGAUUGACUUCUUUAACUAUCCAAGGCACUUUAUGUUAAGGACCAAGGACUGGCUCCUUCGAUUGUCCAAGACACUUUGUGUACUGGUCAUUUACAUAUUUGGGAAACUCAUAAUUUUAGACGACAAUCGAAUUUAAAAGAUCUAUUCUCCCAUUUUUUACUAAUUUGUUUAGGCAUGGCUGGACCAAGUUCUAGCGAUAAAGUAUACUCUAACAUACAUGAAAUUGUUGAGCUUAAAAAUUAAGACAAAAGUUAGCUACGGUUCAAAGAUACUGAUGCGAAGUACCACGCCCAGACUGGCCUAUAAGGUGAACUUAAAUUUAGCGUCCAUAUGUCAACGAUAGGUCAUUCUCCUGACCCUCUGGGGCUAUUGACGGAGUUGUAUAUGUCUACUAUUAGUGAAUGUCAUGAUAGUUUGGAUACUGGCAAGUCCAAUCGCUUUAGCAAUCAUCUUCCCUUUCUGUGUCCUUCUCCUUAUCAUUCCUAGAGCAUGGAUAGAGCAUGGAGUGCAACCCAAAGACCGUAAUUUGUGAGAGGAUUGACAAUAAAAAAAUACGAUGGGGAAGGGCACUGACCAGUCGAUGAGAGAUUUUGUUUCUUCCAAAAUUUCGAGAGGGGUCUUUAUGGAUCCAAAAACUUCUGCUUAAGAGGAAUCUUUGCGAGUUAGCUUUCGCAGUCGAUUCUGCUACAAAAGAUUACCAUCGCUUAAACUCUAUCUAUAGUGUUCUGUGAGGUUGGUGUCUAGAGACCAACACCUUUUGUGACUGCCAAUGGUAAAAUUGGCAUUUCUAUUUGGGACAUCUGCAAGAUAAGUGGGCUUUCGAUCUUGACCGUACCUCUUUAAUGUUUUCAUAUUGAUAGCCAAUGUGAAUGAAUCUAAUUGGGUUACUUAUAAAAAUUGGAUUAAUUUUUGGUUUCAAGAGAAUGGUUGUGUCCAGAAUCCUCGACAACACAAAAAUUAUAAGAAUGCUAUAAAUUUAAAUCCAUUCAAGAGGUGUCAUCAAAGAGUAUCAAAGGAAAUACGAAGACCCACAGUGGUAGACAAGCCGAGAGAUAUUUCUUGUUCGGAUCUGCAUCAUUGGAGUAAUUUGUCAGUAUCUCUGUCUAUAGAAAAAGAAAAGAAAUUAGAGAUAACAUCUUAUCUCUCAUGUGGCUUUGUCGUUUUGUUCUUUCAUCUGGGGUCAAAUAUAUAAGAGUUGGGACUUUUAAAGCAUUUUCUAGGAUAAUAGGCGGGUAUACUUACAGUAUGGUUCUAUCCAUAUUAGCAAGGAUUUGUAGAGGACUUACACGAACAUCGAACCAUCAGACAAACCCAGACUUUCGCUCGAUUUCACAUUCAUUUCCUGGACAUUUUCUUUAAGCUUGGGCUACAAUUUAUUUUGUCAGAGGUGUUUAUGAUCAUGUGGAAAAGAGUUAUUCUAGUCCUACAAUCUGAAGAUAUGUUGACACUCUGAAUACUUUCUAGUCUUAGGAAAAAAAUGUUAUUGAUUGUUGGGACCUUAUUUGUGGAAUGAUGGACGCUAAUGACUUUUGCUAGAAUCCAUUACACUUAUCGUCUCAUCUUGAUGUACAUGUGGAUGACCAACUGAGGUCAGCAAAUACUUCAAAAUUCAUGAUGAGUAUUCAUUUUGAAUUUGUUUCUUAUCGCCGAGGAAAUUCACCUUUCAUUCUUAAGGCGUAUAAUCCUCACAGGUUUGCGAGACAACUUGACUUUAGACAGAAACUUCCCUGUUCACCAAGAAAGUUGGACACUGUCCCUAAUGUAGGCAAAUGUAUAGCGUUUGGUUGUCAUUGACUUGAACGAAAACUGGGUGUGUAUUUCACAUUCCAUAGUAUGUGAGGGAUACUCAUCAAAAUGUUGAUGUUGAGUACGAGGCUUGGUGGAAUAGCCAAGUAUUGCCAAUGUUGACUGGGGUCCAAGUACAGGUUUUAUUUUCUAGCGAGAGCUGUGACUUCGUUCUUGGCCUAACUCCGAACAAGGUCAUAGCUAGAGGGUUAAACCCUCCAAAUGUUGUUCCUGAAGAGACUUCUUGAAAGAGGAAACCAAACCAUCAAAAUGAAAGAGGUAUUAAGAGAAUUAAAAUUAUAGUUUCCUCAGCAAAGAUUGUUGUCACCUCUAAGCGUACUGAUAAGGUGCCAGAAGCGAUUUUGAUUCCAGAUCACAGUGGUCCUAAGGUACCGAGAAAAACUUUAACCCUAGAAGAUGAAAGUUCUAGAUUUAACUUUAAAAAAUUUUCAUUGAUAGGCUCGAUUUGUAGUACAUCUUUGUCGACGAUUUUGUAAGCUUCAUUAUUGAAUGUAUGAGUAACAAGAAACAGACCAUCCUAUAUAGGCUGAAACUUGCUUCCUAUUUUUCUUGUAAUUAUGAUAAGCUUGCGUACGGAAAGUACCAGAUCUCCAACUUGAAAUGAUCUUAGUCACACUUUUUUGUUGAAAAAUUUUACCAUUCGAGUUUGAUAGCACUCUAAGAGCAUUUCCACUUCUAAGCAAUUUUCAUCCAAAACUUCUAACUCUUCCAAUUGAAGGCGGGUAUUUUCUAUUGUUGUCAAACCUUCUUGGAUGGAAAUUAGAAGUGACAGGCUUUAACACUUCAAAUUAUGUAUAACUUCCACUCCAUACACUACAGCGUAAGGGGUGGCUUGUGUUGGAGUCCAACAAGUAGUUUGAUAAGCCCAUAAGACUUCACCAAUUCUCACAUGCCAAUCUCUUUUUGAUUUGGAGACAACCGUUUUUAGUAGACUACAUAAUAUUUUGUUAAACGCCUCUGCCAAUCCAUUAGCUGCUGCAUUGUAUGUGGAUAAGUUGUAUUGUUUAAACCCAAACUUUGCACAUAAAUUGUUUAUGUGGCUAUUGCAGAAUGGCUUGCCAUUAUUAGUUAUAAUGUUUCAUGGGAUCCCAUAUCGAUAAAUGAUCUGGAUACAGAUAUCUGCAACAUUUUCUUUCUUUACUUCCUUCAAUGUUAAGACUUCAGCCCACUCCAAGAAGUAGUCAGUCCCUGUGAGAACGUAUACAUGCUUGAUUGAAGACUUUGGAGUUAUAGGUCUAAUUACAUCAAGACCCAUGCAUCAAACAAUCAUGAAGCUUCUAUUGGAUGUAAAGGUUCCAGAAGUUGAUGGAUGAAAUUCUCAUGGACUUGGCAAGUUUUACAUUUUUUUGACAUAAUCCAUGGAGUCUUGUACCAUAGUUCGCCAGUAAUACCCUAUCCUCUUUAUUAGGAAAUGGAGUUUAGGACCAGAGUGAUAAGCACCACAAAUUCCCGAGUAGGCUUCUUACGACAUGUGUUGCUUCAUCAUUACUUAAGCAUCGAAUGAAAACUCCAUCAAAUGAUCAUCGAUAUAGAGUUCCCUUAUAAAAGACGAAGCGGGAAGCACGCCUCUUGAUUUUCAUUUUUUACUGUGGAUUAUCUGGUAGCUUUUGAUGUUGAAGAAAAUCGAUUAUUGAGUGUCUCCAAUCUUCUCUUUCCUCAUCUUCAACUACUUCAACACUUUUGUUCUCUUCCAAAUUGCUAGGUAGCAAUGAUGGAAGCACCCAUCUUUGAGCAAUUGUUAUGAAGUGGGAGAAAUCUUCAUCUGACCCAGUUAAAAUAGUGGCCAAAUUAGCUAAGGCAUCAACUUCCCUAUUUUUACUUUUCGGGAUGAAUUUGAUUUUUACCAAAUCAAAUUGUCUCAUAAGCAUUGACGCAUUUUCAUGGGUUCAAGUCUAAAUUACGGACUUCAUACUCAGCUAAAAGUUUGUUGAUUAUCAAUUUAAAAUCUCCAAAGACUUUCAGCUGGUAGAUAUUCAUAUCUAACGUUGUCUCGAAGUUAAGGAUAAGGACUUGAUAUUCCACCAUGUUGUUUGAACAUUUCUCUAUUAAGGCAAAAGAGUAGGGCAUGACGAGAUCAUGAAGAGUGACAAAGACUACUCCUGCUUCAACACCAUAACUUUUGUCUACCCCAUCGAAGUAUAGCCUCCAUAAUGGUAUGACUUUGGGGAAUAAGACUUCUUCAUCGGAAAGGUCUUCCUGAAGUUCCCAUUCGGCUGGAAUUGGAUGGAUAGUAAGGAAAUCUGCCAAAACUUGUUCUUUAAUGGCCUUUUGUGGAAUGAAUUUGAUAUCGAACUCAAAUAACAGCAUUGUCUAUUUUUCAAUUCGUCCAGAAAGAAUUAGCCUGGACAUUAUGUACUUCAAUAGAUCAAUCUUCGAAACAAGAUUAAUUUCGUGUGAUAACAUAUAAUACCUCAACUUUUAGCUACGAAGAUUAACGUAAGAGAUAUUUUUUCAAUAGGUGAAUACUUUAUUUCGGCGCCUACCAGUGUCUAGCUUAAGUAAUAGAGUGCUUGCUCUUUUCCUUCAUUUUUGAUUUGGAUAAGAAGUACUCCUAGAGAAUAUUCUUGUGAUACAACAUAAAGAUUCAGUGGCUUCCCAAAACUAUGAGUACCAGUGAACGAGAUAAAUAUUAUUUAAUGCUUUGAAAAGCAUUUCGACAAGCAUCGUCCCACUCAAAUGGUACAUCUUUCUUUACCAAUUUGUUGAAUGGAUGACAAUGUCCAGCAAGGUUAGAGACGAAUCUUCGAAUGUAUACAAUUUUCCAUGAAGACUUUUCAACUCACGUAUAUUUCUUAGCGUUGAAAUGUUGAUUAUAGUGUCAAUUUUUGAUUGAUCUAUUUCAAUGCCCUGGUAUCGAAUAACGAAGCUGAGAAAUUUUUUAGAGGUGACACCAAAUGCACAUUUCAAUGAAUUCAUCUUCAGUUGAUAUCUUCGAAUUUUUUUGAAAACAUCCCAUAAAUCUUGUAAAUGAUCGUCACGUCGUUUUGUUUUAACAACAAGAUCAUCUACAUAGCAUUCCAUGUUCUUAUGCAACAUUUUAUCGAAGAAAUUUUGCAUUGCUCACUGGUAGGUUGCCCCCGCAUUUUUUAAUUCAAAAGGCAUAACUUUGUAAUAAUAUAAGCCUUAAGGAAUACGAAAUGAUAUAAGUUCCUCAUCUUUCGGAUUCAUCCGUAUCUGGUUGUAUCCAAAAAAUUCGUCCAUAAAGGACAAACUUUAUACUUGAUAGUUGCAUCCACCAUCAACUCCGUUAUUCGAAGUGAAAAACAAUCUUUCGGAUAUGCUUGAUUCAAAUCCCAAAAGUCAGUGCAAAUUUGUAAUUGCCCAUUUUUCUUCUUGACAGGAAUAAUGUUUGCGAUCCACAUUAGGUAUUUCAUUUCACGUAUAAAUCCAGCUUCAAUAAGUUUGUUGACUUCUACUUCAAUUUGUGGAUUAGUUCUGGUUGAAAUCUUCUUUGUAGUUGCUAGAUCGGUCAAACUCCAUGUCUUACUGUAAGGUAAUGCACUGCAACCUUAGGAUCUAACCCCGACAAAUUCUUGUAAGACCAUGCAAACACAUCUUUGUAUUCCUAAAGCAAACGAAUGUACUUAGAUUCCUCUUUUUGACUGAGGAGGGUACUUACAAAUACUGGUUUUGGGUCUUUUUUGGUCCCCAAGUUCAAUUGUUUCAAGUUAUCCACAGUAGCUUGUCUUUGGUCUUCAAAUGUGGGUGGGGCUGGGUUAAGUUCAUCAUUUGUGGUAGGACUUUCAGGCUCGGAUUCUGAGUUAGAGCUUCUUCAAAAACUAUGUGACUGACAGAGUCUUCUUUCUUAUCUUCAUUGCCCUUUAAGGAUAGGCGAACUUUUUGAUGUCUUCUUGACUGUUGAGAUUUCGAACUUGGAUCAGAAGUUUUAAUUCCAAGUCGAGAAAAAGCAUAUUAUCUUUAGGAUGACAUCUAGGGAGCUUGUACAUUCCUAUCAAUUUGGGUGGAAGAAGAAGGACCUUCACUUUACCUUUAGAAGAUAGAGGCUUUACCUUUUAUGUCGACUACUGGGGAUGGUUCUCCUUUUAAUCUUUUAAACACCGAAACUCUAGCUUUCUCAUUUUCAACACUGAAGGUCUCGACUAUUCUGAUUUUUCUUCUGCAACUUUGUAAUUUUGAAUCAUGAUGGGGUUUGAGGAAACCUUCACGAUCUUAAUCUUUCUAGGUAGAUUGAGAUCAUAUCCCAAACCAUACCUAGGUCGAGACACCAGGUCUCUAUUAGAAUUAGAAGGUACACACCCUCCUGAAAUGCCAGCAUCAAGGUCACCUAAUUUUCGAGGCUCUUAUUUUCUAAACUUGACAUUUUCAAACAACUUUUUGACUUGAGAAUUGUAACAUCCUUUGAAUUUCUGUUUUGAUUCAAGAGCUGCUUCUUGUUUGGACGAGCUAGAAGCACCAAGCUUUGAUAUGUCUGGAAUGGAUGUCGAAGCUUCUGAUAUAGGUUUGUGUUCUCCCAAAACCACCGUAAGUUGAUGGGGUAGAAGCAAUUUCGAAAUACUAACUAUUGUAAGAGUUAUCUCUUUUCUCAAUAUCUCAAUAUCGGUGGAUUCUAUUUGAGGUUUUUUACCUCUAGAGAAUCCUUCAGAUGUAAAUUUUGACUUAUCUUUGGUAAGUUGAUGAGAUUGAGCAGCACUAGAUGUAUCAUGAUCAUCUAUAUCUUCAUUGAUUUUGAAUCCAAACAUGGUCAACCCUACAGAGUUACACUCUUCAUCUUCAUUGUAAAAUUUGGUAUCAGCAAAGAGAUUCUUCUUCUAGAAAGGUUUGGACUCAGCUACCACACGUUUGAUUUCUCUGUCCCUACUAUAUUUGAAGCAUGGUGCCAAGUCAAAGGUAUUACUCUAAUUUUAUGCAGUCAAACACGUCCAAGGAAUAACUUGUAUGAUGUUUUAGCAUCAAUGACAUAGAAGAGAGUUGAGGAGAUUAACUCUCCUAUUUGCAGCUUUAGGUGAAUCAUGCCAAUGGCUCCUGACUUUUUUGAUUGAAUCCUUGAAUCAUGAUUUUCCUUCUAGAUAGAUAACCAACAUUAAUUCCAAAAUUUUUCAUUAUUUUGACCGACAUAAUAUUUACAGUAGAUCCACAAUCGAUUAUUAUGCUACUUAUCCUACAUUGUCGAAUAUAAUCACUAAUAUACAGUAGUCUAUUAUGUAAACGAAAACCCAAUUGUAAAUCAUUAUCAUCGAAUGUUAUGGCAACCAUACAAUCUUGUUGGAUUAUGCAUCCAAUAUGUUCUGAGACUUUGCCUUCAUAUUCUUCCCAAUCGAUUAAUGCCAUGAACAAAGCCAUUCGAUCAUCGAAAUGAAGACUAAUAGACUCUGCUAAACUCGUGUUGACUGGGCUAUUGUUGAGUCGUGAGAUAGUAUUAUUCUAUUUUGAAUCCAAACAUGGUCAACCCUGCAGAGUUACACUCUUCAUCUCAUUUUUUUUUAUCCACAUUGAUAACAUUGGAGGUAAAACAUUACUUGUCAAAGAAACCCUUGGGAAAAUAAUCUCCCAAGGUUGGUAAUCUAGGAGGAAUAUGUGAAGUAGCUUCUAACAUCAUUGAUUUAGUAAAUACUCUUGGCUUAGCUUUAGACCUUCUUCUUUGGUUGUUCCUUGGUCUUGAUUUUUUGUUAUAAACACUAGAAUUUGGGAGUUGUGGAGCCUUUUAACAACGUCUUUUCACAAGAGUCCAUGGCCUUGAUCUUCUUCUAGUGCUUCUUAUUUAUUAGGUUGAAUUUUUGUACCCAAUUUUCCCAUCUUUGGUCCUGUAAGAGGCGUAGGAGGUGACAUUUUAUUCGUUUUGUUUAACAUUCUUUAUUUCUCUUUCUUGCUUAUAAAGGUAGACCAGCCAUCACCGAUCUUGUCUUCAGACUCCAAGCAGAAUCCCAAACAUCUAAGUCACUUGUCAUAAUUUCGUAAAAGGUUGGACGAUUGGAUGCACUUGGUCCAUCUAUCCCCGGAUAGAUGUAAUUAAUAUUGAUUUCUCCGUCUACCUCAAAUUCUACUGGGAUGGCUCCUUUUGAAAGUUGAGGUCCAAACUCUUCAAUCGAGGAUUUACAGGCAUCGUGUACAUUAGGUGUCUUCCCUAUAAUGAAAAUUGGAUCAAAUGAUCCAGACAAAACCAUCGAGCAGACGGUUGUUGGAUUCUCUUCGAUAUCAAGUUUGAUCUUAUUUUCUUUAUCCAGGCGAACAAUAAAAUCUUUCAAGACGGAAGCAUUUUUCCAUUGGGUAGUUAAUGAUUCCAUAAAAUUUAUAGUAUUUAGGAUGAUUGAACUUACAAGCUUUCUAGGGUCUUUUUGGUACUGAAAGUUUGAUUAUCUUCUAUUCAAGAAGUUGAUCUAGGAAUUUAGAAUCUGAGAAUGGGUACUUCUUUCCUUCAUGUUCUUUCAAAGUCACGUGACCUCCACUUUGGACUUGUGCUUUGCUAGGUCUAAACUCUGGCUUCAGUUUUAGGUUCGAGCUUAACCCCUUGAAGGCUAUCUUUGCUGGAACAGUAGAAAUCACCACAGCUUCUUUGGAUUUACUUUCCUUGAUGUCCUUCUUUAUUUCCUUCUUAGAAUCUUUCUUGUCAAGUGGAUCACUUGAUAAGUAACUCCCAUGCCUUGCAAUUUAGAGCUUCAAGUCAUGAAUACGUGUCACCAAUUCUUCGAAUGAGUGAGGCAUAUUUGCUUGGAGAUUAUAGAGUAAUCCCCAAUGCAUGUUUUGGUCGCACAUAUACAUGGAAGAUGCUUCACUUAUUCAUUCUUUAUAAUUAAGAAUGAGGUUCAUCCAGCGUUCGAUGUACUCUACAAUAGUUUCUUCCUUGCUCUGCUUCAUUCGACCAAGUUCUGGAAGGCUGGCAGUUCGUUGGGUGUUGUAGAAGCGUGUUAGAAAUUCUCGAUCGAGUUGAUCCCAACUAUCAAUUGACCCAGUUGGUAAAUCUGUGGGCCAUUCAAACGUGUCACCUUUAAGAGAACAUACAAAUUGCUUCACCAUGGUGUCAUUGUAUGCGCUUAUAUUGUUGUGUGUCUCAAUGAAAUGAGCAACAUGCUAUUUUUGGUUGUUCUUUCUAUCAAAGCAUUGAAAUUUUGAAGGUUGCUAACUGAGUGGCAUCUUUAUUUCGUCGAUUUGACAACUAUAGAGCUUGGCAUAUACCUUUGAAGAUUGCAAUGAACCAUCAUACUGAGUACGAAUGAUGUCUGCAAUCAUAUGUUGAAGUUGUUGAAUGGAUAGAGAGCCAACAGAGAGUUGAGUGGUAUCACACAAAAUGUUUGGACCAAUUGGCGCACUUGGACUUCUAACUUUUUGGCCUUGGAAAAUCCUGAAUUUUUAUGAUCUUUUUUAAUCGGCAGAUUUUGCAACUCUAGCCCAUGCAUGAGCGCAGCAAUCUAUACAUCUUUAUCUUCUAGUGACUUUGUUAAUUUUUCAAUGGCUAAAGUCAUUUGUUGAAUUCAAUCAUCUGAGCCUGAUGCCGUUUCUAUGACCAUCACUAGCUCAAGUGAUUCUUCAAAUGAAGAAUCAUCUUCUACCUUUGCUGAGAAGUGGCAUGAGAGGAUCCAAAGAAUGAUCUAUCAUUGGAGAUGGAGCCCGAACGAGAGCUUUUCGCCGAACUCAUAGUCUUUUUUGUUGAAUGAGAGUUUGAAUUUUUAAAGGCAAUUUUAAUUUUGCCUUUGUUGGAAAAUUUCAUCAGUGAUGGGACCAGUUGAGUUUUCCCAGUUUUGUUUGGGCCUUGAUCGCGUGGAAGAGUUUGGGAAGUGUCUCUUCAAGAUGAGUUAUAGUUGGUUUUGCCUUUUCGCUUACCAUUGCUGAUAUAGUGACUGAAAGUUGAAGAUUCUGAUAUCAAAAGAUGAGAGGACAAGAAGGUCCCACCGAGUAUGCUAAGAAAUUUAUACGAUGAAUUUUAUGUAUUGAAAUACAGAAAUCCUUACAAAUUGCAUUUUUUAGAAAUACAAGUGAUUUUGACCUUCUUGUGAUUGAAAAAUGGCGAAAAUCCUCUUAUUAAUGAUCUGAAUAUUUUGAAGACGAGGUGUCACAUGACUUGAAUUCUGGUCUUCGAAAAUAUGUUGAAAUUUUGAUUUGUUGAUACUUGACUUAUCCAGCACUUGAGUUUUGGGACUUGGACUCGUGCUUGAAUUUGAUUUGAUUUAACGAAGACUUUGGUCUUCUUGAAUUUGGCGUGGACCUGUUAGAUUCGAAGAAGGUUUUGAUCUUUUUGGGAUUUACCGAAUUUAGGUUUGAGAGGAUUUCUUCUCCUCCUUCGACUUUGAAAUUUUUUCAGCACUUCAUAAUUGCCUUCUUUGCUUUCACUUAUUGUUCUUUUCUUAUGGACGAUUGGUCCUAUUUAUUGGAGAAAAUUUGAGCUAAUUUUGGUAGUCACUCAAUUAUAUUUAGUUAAAAAUGAAUAAUUGAGUAAUUAUGAUUUUUAUUUGUUUACUUAUUUAAACGUGAGAUGGGCUUUCGGGUUUAUGGACCUUAGUCGACUUUAAUUUAAUUGAACUAAUAAUUUAAAUCGACCCAACCCAUUUUCUUUAUUAUUAUUAUUAUUUUUUAUGCCUAUAAAUGCCCCCUCAAGAUUAAUUUAUUUAUUAUGAAAUAAAUAAAUUAAUAAAUCUUGAUUUUUGAUUUUAUUUUUUUUUCAAUUUUGGAUUUGAUUUUAACUCAAACUUCCCAUUAGUAAAUUAUUAUAAAUGAAAAAAUCGAGAUAAAAUGGGAAUUUGAUAAAAAAAAAAAAAAAAUUAUCCUUCAAAUUUGAGAAUAAGAAUUUUUUUUAUGUUAUUUGAUUUUUUUAUUUAUUUUAUACAAUCUAAAAAAUUUUGAAUUUGAAUAGGCCAUUUGCGCUUUAUGGUAAAUUAGGCUUAAGUGAAAUAUGAUAUCUGUCUAUUUAUAUGAAUAAACUAUGAGAUUUGGAAACAAGUCUGUUAAAUCUUGCAAACAAAGGCAAAUAAUUCUUUUUUUCUUUUUUCUUUUUUUAACUCUCUCUCUCUCUCUCUCUAUUUUUUCCCUUAUUUUCUCUCUUUUUUCUCAUAUUUUCUUUUCUCGGUUUCCGCCACCCAAGGAGACAAAGAAUUUGAUGCGAACCCCGUAGCAAUGGAAACUACGAAACCCACAACGAGAUUGAUGCGGAACCCAAGAACGCCAAUACUAACCCGAUUUUGAAUCUUGAACCUCAAGAAUUGAACCAAGAAAUCCUAGAUUAGCGAAAAAACUAAAACCCCUUGAUUACAAUUAAAAGAACCCACAAUCCGAUUGUUUAGAAUGACAUAAGAAACUAAAUCUUGAUAAGUUCCAAGAUUGUUCAAGAAGAACAAGAAAUUGAAAGAACAAUUCUCUCUCUAUAAUAUUAAGCAAAAGUCAAAAGUUCUUACAAUGAAAAAUAUUCUCCUAUUUAUACUAAUGAAUAAAAACGUCCAAAACCAUCAAAUUAUGGUAAUAAUUUGAUUUCAUAAGAAUUCUAUUGAAACUAGGAAAUUCGGCCAAAAUUAGAAAAUUCGCCAAUUUUUUGGCUUGUGCGGCCGCAUGGUGUAUUUCCAUGCGGUCGCAUGGUUCAACAAGAAUUGGUCUUUUGGUUUUCGGUAUGCAUGUGUGCGCCACAUAUUGUUUUGCCUGUGCGGCCGCACAUACUUGUUUUCAGUCUCCGCUUUCGUUGCUUGAUAACAAAUUGAUCCAAGUUGAUUCGGCCUUCGACCCGAACAUGAAAGUUGCUCCAUCUGGAGUCCUGAACAUGGUUCCAUCAAUGGUUUCUUGAACAAGCAAUCCCAUCGUUUGUUUCACUUGCUUUGCCCUUGAUCGCGUCAUUGGUCCGCCAUCGACUAUCAACGGGUCUCAUCUCGCACUUGCCUUCGUUGGGCUCGACUCCUGGAUCAUAUCAUUCCCUCCCUCUUCAAAAGGAUUCGUCUUCGAAUUUGAACCUGCAUCAAACAGAGAGAGAUCAGAUACAUUAAAAGUAGCUGAAACAUUAUACUCACUAGGUAAAAUCACUUUGUAUGCAUUGUCAUUGAUCCUCUCAAUGAUUUGAAACGGUCCAUCGCCUCGUGGUUGCAAUUUUGACUUCCUCUGUUUUGGAAAACGUUCUUUUCUGAAAUGCACCCAGACCCAAUCUCCAGGCUCAAAUGUAACGCGUCUUCUUUCUUUAUUUGCUUUUGAUGCAAUCAGCUUUCCUUUCUCUUUGAUCUGCAUUCUGACCUUUUCAUGGAGUGUUUUCACCAUCUUGGCUUUUCGUUUCCCAUCCAAGCUACCUCGUUCAUGCACAGGUAAAGGCAUUAAAUCCAUAGGUGUUAGUAAAUUAAAACCAUAAACAAUUUCAAAAGUAGAAAACGAAGUAGUAGAAUGUGUAGCUCGAUUAUAUGCAAACUCUAUAAACGGUAAACACUCUUCCCAUGAUUUCAGAUUUUUAUUGAUUACUGUCCUAAGUAGUUGAGUCAUAGUUCGAUUAACUACCUCAGUUUGUCCAUCUGUUUGUGGGUGACAAGUUGUAGAAAAUAAUAACUUAGUUCCUAACUUACUCCACAGAACACGCCAAAAAAUUACUCAAAAACUUCACGUCCUUAUCAGACACUAUACUUUUAGGUACUCCAUGUAAACGUACUAUUUCCCUAAAGAAUAAGUCUACAAUAUUAGUAGUAUCGUCAGUUUUAUGACAUGGUAUGAAGUACGCCAUCUUACUAAACCUAUCGACCACUACAAAUAUUGAAUCCCGACUCCUUUUUGUCCUAGGCAAACUUAACACAAAGUCCAUAGAUAUGUCUACCCAAGGUUCACUAGGUACAGGCAAAGGAGUAUACAAACCGUGGGAUUGAACCUUAGACUUAGCCUUUUUAAAAGUUAUGCACUUUCCACAUAUUUGUUCUACUCCAUGUCGCAUUUUAGGCCAAUAAAAAUGUUCCCCUAACAUGUCUAAAGUCUUUUGAACCCCGAAGUGUCCCAUUAAACCACCCCCAUAUGCUUCCCUUACCAAUAAUUCACGCAAAGAACAAUUAGGAAUGCACAACUUAUCUUCCCUAAACAAAUAUCAUUCAUCCCUAUAGAAUUUAUCAAAUGCACCUUUGUCACAUGAAGCAUAAAAACUAGAAAAAUCACAAUUAGAUUCAUACAUGCGCUUAAUAUGCUCGAAACCAAGUAAUUUAGUACUUAAUGAAUUUAAAAGCACGUACCGUCGAGACAACACAUCAGCAGCUAUAUUUUCGUUACCUUGUUUUUACUUGAUGACGUAGGAAAAUGUCUCGAUAAACUCCACCCAUCUCGCAUGUCUUUUGUUCAACUUACCUUGACCUCGCAAAUGCUUUAAAGAUUCAUGACCGAUGUAUAUCACGAAUUCCUUUGACCAUAAGUAGUGCUGCCAAGUCUCCAAUGCUCGAACAACUGAAUACAGCUCCUUGUCAUAUGUCGGAUAAUUCAAUGUUGCCCCACUCAACUUUUCGCUGAAGCAAGCAAUAGGUCUCCUUUCCUGCAUUAACACUGCUCCCAUACCUAUUCCUGAUGCAUCACACUCAACCUCGAAUGUUUUAUCAAAAUUUGGUAAUGCCAAAACAGGUGCUUUACAUAGCUUAUCCCUAAUUGUGUUAAAUGCAAUUUCUUGAGAUUCUCCCCAAUGGAAACCUAUACUCUUCUUUACUAUUUCAAUCAACGAUGUGGUGAUGGUGCUAAAAUUUGUUACAAAUCGCCUAUAAAAACUAGCCAAUCCAUGAAAACUCCUAAUUUCAAUUAUAGUCUUAGGUGUUGGCCAUUCUUUAAUAGCUUUUAUCUUUUCUUCAUCGACUUCCACCCCGUUAGCACUAACCACAAAUCCUAAGAAAACAACUCUAUCCAUGCAAAAUGUGCACUUUUUGAAAUUAGCAUAUAGUUGUUCCUUUCACAACACAACAAGCACACAAUUUAAAUGUUCUAAAUGCUCAUUUAGGUUCUUGCUAUAGAUUAAGAUGUCAUCAAACUAAAUUACAGCAAAUUUCCCAAUAAAAGCAUGCAAAACAUGGUUCAUUAAAUGCAUAAAAGUGAUCGGUGCAUUAGUGAGUCCAAAUGGCAUAACUAACCAUUCAUACAAUCCAUACUUAGUCUUAAACGCCGUUUUCCAUUCAUCACCCUCUCGCAUGCGAAUUUGAUGAUACCCACUCUUAAGAUCAAUCUUACUAAAAAUGCAAGCACCAUACAACUCAUCAAACAUAUUAUCUAGCCUAGGUAUUGGGUGACGAUACUUUACCGUGAUAUUGUUGAUAGCUCGGUAAUCCACGCACAUUCUCCAAAUCCCGUCCUUCUUAGGCACCAACAAGACAGGUACAGCACAUGGACUCAUGCUCUCCCUGACAUAACCUUUGCUCAUCAACUCCUCCACUUGAUUUUGAAGCUCCUUCGUCUCCUCGGGAUUGCUUCGGUAAGCUGGUCGAUUCAGUAUGACAGCUCUGGGUACAAAGUCAAUCUGGUACUCAAUGCCUCUGAUUGGUGGCAAUCUACUUGGCAUCUCCUCAGGGAACACAUCGUCGAACUCCUGCAAUAAAGACUUAACCAAACUAGGGAGGGAUGUGUUAGAAUCCUCAAAAUUGAGGAGGGAUUCCUUGUACACUAACAAUAUCAUUUGCCUAUUAUCACUCAUAGCCUUUUUCAACUCACUCUCUUUUGCAUAAAAGUUGACCUUUGGCUUUUCUCUCCGCUCAGCUGACUCUUUUUCUCUCCUCUCAUCUGACUCCUUUUCUCUCCGCUCAUGUGGCUUCUCUCUCUUUUCUCCACUCUCAGCCACCUCACUAUUUUCUCUCUUAUUGAUGGUUUCACUAUUGCCUCUCCUUUUUCCUGACUCUCUUAUUCUCUCGUCUUCCUCACUUUUCAGCUUGAUUUAAUCUCCAUACACUUGUGCCGAUGUUAAUGGCGCAAGAGUAAUAGUCUUCCCAUCCUUGACAAAGCUAUAACGAUUCCUAUAUCCAUCAUGUGUGACCCUUCUAUCAUAUUGCCAUGGUCUUCCUAACAAGAUAUGACCCACAUGCAUAGGCACCACAUCACAUACUACUUUGUCACUAUAACUCCCAAUUGAGAAAUUAAUUAAAACUCUUUUAUUCACGCUAACUUCCCCACUUUUAUUCAACCAUUGCAACUUAUAAGGCCUAGGUUGUCUUAACAAUGCUAGUCCUAUUUUCUCAACUAAAAUUGUGCUAGCUAUAUUCGUGCAACUCCCACCAUCAAUAAUCAUACUAUAUACCUUAUCGUUGACGUAACAACAUGUGUGGAAUAUAUUUUCUCGCUGCUGCUCCGAAUUAUCCACUUUGACUUGAGUGUUAAGAGCUCUCCUUGACACCAACGAUUCCCCAAUAGCAAACUCCAAUUUUUCUUCUUCUUCAACGUCCUCCAAUGCAGGCAUGUCCUCAAACUCUCCUUCACUUUCACUCACCACCUCUCCAUUAUCCAACAACACCAUUACCCGUUUAUUUGGGUAUUGAGAAGCAAUGUGCCCUAACCCCAAGCAUCUGAAACACUUGAUGUCUCAAUUCCUUGAUGGUUGUGAAUUUGUUUUGGGUGCUGUUUUGCUAGCACUUUCUUCUUUCCCUUUCUGCCACUCAUUCCUACCUUUAGGUACAGCUUUAUCACUUUUGUUGUUGUUGUUCCACCCUGGCUUCCAAGAUGGAUUAACACUCAAAGUUCCUAACGGCUGCCUAGCUAUCCCUUUUCUCUUCAAUUGUCUCUCUACCUUCAUAGCCACAUGCAACAUGUCUUCCAACUCCACAUAAUGUUGCAACUCCACUACAUUGGCAAUUUCCCUAUUCAACCCAUUCAAGAAUCAUGCCACGGUAGCCUCCCGAUCCUCCACCACAUUGGCCCUAAUCAUGAGUAUUUCCAUCUCCAUAUGAUAGCCCUCUACACUUUUCGAUCCUUGAUAUAGACUUUACAGUUUUUGAUGGAUCUGUUAGUAAUAGUGGCUAGGAACAAACCUCUUUCUCAUCAAUGACUUCAAUUCCUCCCAAGUGUUGAUUGCUCUUCCCCCACUCCUACGUUGUGAAGUAAUCACUUGAUCCCACCAUGACAUUGCAUAGUCACUGAACUCCAAAACUGCUAACUUCACAUUUUUCUCCUCCGAGUAGUUAUAACACUCGAAGAUCAUUUCAACCUUCCUUUCCCACUCCAGGUAUGCCUCGGGAUCACUCCUUCCUUUGAAUGAAGAAACUGUCAUUUUUAUAUUUCCCAAAUUUCCAUCAAAUUCCUCCCCGCGAUCAUUCCGACCCCGUCUGUCGAACCUAUUGCCUCUAUUCCUCAUCCUUCCCAUAUCAACACCGUGAAAUUCAUCUUCGCCCAUGUCACUCCAAUAUCCAUACUACUCUCGCCUUUCCCUCCUAGGCUCCCAUCUAUGCGGUCUUGUGGCAUUGGAUACAUCCACUCGAUGCCCCCGACUAAGAUUAGCCACCGAUGUAUCUAAUCUAUUCAUCCAAGCCUCCUGCUUCUCCAACCUAUCUCUCACAUCUCCAAAUGCUCUCUCAAACCUCUGCACCAAAUCCUCCGAUGCAUUGCUAUUAUUGCCUUGUCGGCUUGAAUUUGAUUCUGCCAUUUCUGACAUCCUAACACUAAAAUUUUUUAUUUUACUGCCUCACCAAAAGUCACUCGAAAACACACAAGGGCUUUUACCCUCUAUUAAGCUCACCUCCCUGCCUUUAGCCACUCAGUUCUUUCAACAAUUGCCUCUAGGAACAAUCAAUGAACUCAAUCAAUCAAUCAAUUCGUGUAGAAUUCCCCAAACCGGAUGUGACUCAAUAAUUGUAAUAAAGGACUCAAAGAAAACUUUUAAAAUUUGACUUGAAUUGAAGGAAUGUAAUGAUUCAAUGUGUCCAAGUAAUUUAGAAACGAUAUUGAAUAAUAAAAGUUGGUAUUUGAAGGAUCAAUAAUAUUUAAUAAUUUUUUUUUAUAUCCAAAAAUCAAUAACAAAACCAACAAAGAAAAUGAAAACUGAUUUGGGCAAAAAUUGAGCCCAGAAACGGAAUUUGAAGAUUUUUGAUGAAACUUUUGGAUCAAAGGAUCAAGAAAACCUUUUGGACACAAGAACACAAGGAAUUGAAAAAAAAUAGAAAACAAAGGAUAUAGCCUGAUUAAAUUGGAGCCAAAGCUCUGAUACCAACUGAUACGAACCCCGUAGCAAUGAAAACUACGAAACCCACAACGAGAUUGAUACGGAACCCAAGAAUGCCAAUACUAACCCGGUUUUGGAUCUUAACCCCAAGAAUUGAACCAAGAAACCCUAGAUUAGCGAAGAACCUAAAACCCCUUGAUUACAAUUAAAAGAACCCACAAUCCGAUUGUUUAGAACGCCACAGGAAAUUGAAUCUUGAUAAGUUCCAAGAUUGUUCAAGAAGAAAAAGAAAUUGAAAGAACAAUUCUCUCUCUAUAAUAUUAAGCAAAAGUCAGAAGUUCUUACAAUGAAAAAUAUUAUUUUAUUUAUACUAAUGAAUAAAAACGUCCAAAACCAUCAAAUUAUGGUAAUAAUUUGAUUUCAUAAGAAUUCUAUCAAAACUAGGAAAUUCGGCCAAAAUUAAAAAAUUCACCAAUUUUUUGGCUUGUUGGCCGCAUGGUGUAUUUCCAUGCGGUCGCAUGGUUCAACAAGAAUUGGCCUUUUGGUUUUCGGUAUGCAUGUGUGCGGCCACAUGUUGUUUUGCCUGUGCAGCCGCACAGACUUGUUUUCAACCUCCGCUUUCGUCGCUUGGUAACAAAUUGACCCAAGUUGAUUCGGCCUUCGAUCAGAACAUGAAAGUUACUCCAUUUUGAGUCCUGAACAUGGUUCCAUCAAUGUUUUCUUGAACGAGCAAUCCCAUCACUUGUUUCACUUGCUUUGCCCUUGAUCGCGUCAUUAGUCAGCCAUCGACUAUCAACGGGUCUCGUCUCGCACUUGCCUUCGUCGGGCUCGACUCCUAGAUCAUAUCAGAAUUGGUUUCUUGGAAUUGAUACAGUGAAAUUGGUGAAUUGCAUCAAUUCCAACUGUUUCCUUGGUAUUUGCCAAUGGCAGAAACCUUUAUAUAUUUAUUUUUAUUUAUUUAUUUAUAUUUUUUCGUUUCUUUCUCUUUUUUCUUCUCGUUAUUUUUUUUUAAUUUUGGAUUUCCAUCGAUGGUAGAAAAUAAAACAAAUUUUGUUUGAACCCAAUUUGAAACUGGUAAAAACCAAUUCCAAUGGAAUUAUUGGAACUUUCACCAAUUCCAAUUCGGAAUUGGUCGAAAAACCAAAAAUAUAUUUGGUUUUAUGGAAAACCAAAGUGACCAAUUGGUUUCUACCGAGCAUUUAAUUGUUUUUGCUCCUUUUUUUUAUUCGUUUCAUCUUCCUUUCUCUUUCUUCUUGUUAACUAUUUUAGUGAGGCUAUUUUAACAAAAUUGAAACUAACAUUUUUCAUUUUUUUAUGCAAGGAUUCAAAUAUUUGGUGCAAAUGAAGGAUUUUGAGGUUCGAGAUUUUCUUUGUGUGGAGGUUAAAUUUUGUUCCGCAAUUAAUUUUUAAGUUCAGGAAAUAUAUGCUUAUAGACAGACUCAAAAUUACAAACCUUUUAGGGCACAUUGAGGACCAAAGACUGCUACUAUUCACCAUCCAAUGCACUUUUUGUUGGAAACCAAUGACAUGUUCAUUCGAUCGUCUUGACCAAGGACUCGCUCCUUUGACUAUCUAAUGCACUUUGUGUUUGGGACCAAGGACUGGUUGAUUCGAUUGUCCAAGGCACUUUGUGCUUGGGACCAAAAACUGGCUCCUUCGACUCUCCAAGACACUUUGUAAUAAGGACCAAUGACCUGUUUCUUCGACCGUCCAAGGUACUUUGUGUUUGGAACCAAGGACUGGCUCCUUCGACUAUCCAAUGCACUUGUGUUAAGGACCAAGGACAUGUUCCUUCGAUCGCCCAAACACUUCGUGUUUGAAGCCAAGGACUGGUUUCUUCAACUGUCCAAGACACUUUGUAGUAAGGACUAAUAACCUAUUUCUUCGAUGGUCCAAGGCACUUUGUGUUUGGAACCAAAGACUGGCUCCUUCGACUGUCCAAUGCACUUGUGUUAAGGACCAAGGACAUGUUCCUUCGACCGUUCAAACACUUUGUGUUUGAAGCUAAGGACUGGUUUCUUCAACUGUCCAAGACACUUUGUGUUAAGGACCAAGGAUUAGCUCAUUCGACUGUUCAAGACACUUUGUGUUGAGGCCAUUUACAUAUUUGGGAGGCUCGUAAUUUUAGACUAUAAACAAAUUUAAAAGAUCUACUCCUCCUUUUUAUUGCUAAUUUUUCAGGCAUGGUUGUAACAAGUUCUAAUGAUAAAGUAUACUUUGUUAUACAUGAAAUUUUUUAUCUUAAAAAUCUAGGCAAAAGUUAUCUACAUUACAAAGAUACUGAUGUGAAGUACCACGCCAGACUAGUCUACAAGGUGGACUUAAAUUUAGCAUCCAUAAGUCAACGAUAGAUCCUUCUCCCAACCUUCUAGAGCCAUUGUCAGAGUUGUAUAUGCCCACCAUUAGUGAAUAUCACGAGAGUUUGGAUACUGGCAAAUCCAACAACUCUAGCAAUCAUCUUUCCUUUCUGUAUCCUUUGCCUCAUCAUUUUCGAAGUAUGGAGUGCAUCCGAAAGGCCGUAAUUUGUGAGAGGAUUGACAAUAAAGAAAUACGAUGGGGAAGCACACUGACCAGUCGAGGAGAGAUUUUUUUUUCCAAAAUUUUAGGAGUGGUCUUUAUGAGUCCAAAAACUUCUACUAAAGAAGAAUCUCGCGAGUUAGCUUCCGCAGUCAAUUCUGCUACAAAAGAUUACCAUCGCCCAAACUCUAUCUAUAGAGCUCUUUGCGAGGUUUGGUGUCCAGAGACCAACACUUUUGUGAUUGCCAAUGUUGAAAUUGGCAUUUCUCCUUGGGACAUCGGCGAGAUAAGUGGGCUACCAUAGGUCAUUACUAUGAGGAUGUAGUCCCAAGCGUUUCAGAGUUGACGGGUCAUUUUUCCAAGUCUUAUCUGUACCUCUUUAAUGUUUUCGUAUUGGUCGCCAAUGCGAAUGAAUCUGAUUGGUUACUCAUGAAAAUUGGAUUGAUUUUUCAUUUCGCGAGAAUUGUUAUGUCCAUAAUCCUCGACAACACAAAAAUUAUAAGAAUGCUAUGAAUUUAAAUCCAUUCAAGAGGCGUCAUGACAGAGCAUCGAAGGAAAAAUGGAGGCCCGUGGUGGUAGUUAAACCGAGAGAUAUUUCUUGUAGGGAUCUACGUCAUUGGAGUAAUUUGCUAGUAUUUUUGCCUCUUGAAGAAGAGGAAUUAGAGUAUCACUUUAUCUCUCCCUGUGGGUUUGUCGCUUCGUUCUUCUAUCUAGAAACGAAUGUAUAAGAGUUGGGAAUUUUAAAGCAUCUUCUAGGAUGGAAGGUGAGUACAUUUAUAGCCUGGUUCCAUUAUAUUAGCGAGCAUUUAUAGAGGAAUUACACGAACAUCUAAUCAUUAGACAAACUCAUACCUUGGCUCGAUUUCAUAUUCAUUUCUUGGACAUUUUCUUUAUGCUUGGGCUGCAACUUAUUUUCUCCAAGGUGUUUAUACCAUAUGGACAAAAGUUAUUCACGUCUACAAUCCGAAGAUAUGCUAGCACUCUAAAUGCUAUUCAAUCUUAGGAGAAAAAUGUUGUUGAUUGUUGAGACAUUAUUCGUAGAACGAUGGAUGCCAAUGACUUUUGUUGGAAUCCAUUACCCUCAUCGUCUCAUCCUAAUGUGCGUGUGGAUGACCAAUCAAGGUCUGCAGAUACUUCAGAAUUCAUGAUGAGUAUUCGAUUUGGAUUUUUUUCUUAUCGCCGAGGAAAUUCACCAAGAAAGUUGGACAUUCCUCCAAUGGCGACAUGUAUCUCGUUUGGUUGUCUUUGACUCGGAUGAAAAGUGGGCUUGUAUUUCACAUUCCAGAGUACGUGAGGGAUACUCAUCAAAAUGUUGAUGUUGAGUACUAUGCUUGGUAGAAUAGCCUAGAGUUGCCAAUCUUGAUCAAGAUCCAAGUACAGGUCUUAUCUUCUAGCAGAGGAAUAAAAUAAAAGUGAAGAAAAUAUGUGGAAAGAUUAGCAGGGGAAUUGAAUUGAUUAAAGUAAAGAAAUUGAAGAGAGGUUCGCAGAGGAAUUAAUAUUUUAUUAAAGACGAUAUGUGGAGAAAAUACAAGAAUUCAGCAAUUAAACUUCACCUAAACUAAAUGAAAAGCUACAUGUUUAUACGGAUACACCAAACCCUAGAAAUAUCAUAGAGAUAGAAAUAACAUAAAAAAUAAUGUGGAAUAAAGUAAAUAAUAUUUUUCCAACAAAAUCACGUGAAAAAUAAGGAAUCUAUAUUUCCAAUAAAAUCACGUGAAAAUAAGGAAACAAUAUUUUUCAAAAAAUCGAGCCUAAUUUGGGGUGCAAAAUCUAAUAAUAUAAAGAAUAAUGACAAUGUCCUUAAUUUUAAGAAGUUUACAAUUUUAUUUUAUUUUAUUUUUUUGCACGGAUGCCACUUUUUUUUUUUUUUUUUUUUUUUUUCCUUUUCCACGGAAAGUUAAUUCAUUAAUGAAAUUAAAACUUAAAAAAUAUGAUAUUUGGUAGUUUUCUUGGUUAUGGUUGGUACUCCUCCAGCCAGCCUUACACAGAAAACAUAAAAUUCUCAAUAAAAUCAUUUUCAAUUUAGUUUGACCUAUCCCACUUGAUAAAAAAGUUGUUUAGCUUAUUUCACUGCAAGUCAUUUUCUAGCAAGUUGGUGCUUAAUUUUAACUUUUUAUCCAAACAUGUUUAUUCUCACAAUCUAACUUAUUCAUUGGACAAGAUAUACGGUAGAUGACUUUACCCAAGUAGUUUCAAUCUUGCUGAUUGCUACUUGUGCUUUUAAUCACACUCAUGCUAAACGCUGACUCAUAAGCAACAAGUGCUUGCCAUGCUCGUAUCCAUGUGCUAUAGGGAUAUAUCAGGGUAAAGUCAAAUGUUUACUUAGUGAUCUGCCGUAUAUCAAGUCCAAUGAACAAGUUAGAUUGUAAGAAUAUACGUAUUUGGUUAAAAAAUUAAAAUUAAUUAUCGACUUACAAGUAAACUACUUGCAAUGAAAUAAGCUAAACAACUUUUAAUUAAGUGAGAUAGACCAAACCAAAUUGAACAGGUUUUAAUUGAAAUUUUUAAAAUUUCUAUGUGUAAGUCUGGCCGGUGGAAAGCCAACCAUUUUAGUCCAGUUAUGUUUUCUCUAAAGUAUGUGGCUUGCUUCAAAAGAAAAAAUAAAAGUGCCAUUCGUUAAAAAAAAAAAGAAAAAAGAAAAAAAGAAAAAGAAAAACUGCAAGUUUCUUCAAAGGGUAAUUGGUGCAAAACGUCCAUACCUUUCAAGAUUAUUGUGGAAAACGUCCAUAACUUUUAUUUUUUGGCAUUUUGUCUAUAAUUUCAACCUUCCGUUGCGCUGAAGAUCCUUUUCAUUGUUUUGGAAUGUAAAAUGACAAUUAUACCUUCUUAUUUAAAACAAAAAAAAAAUAAAAAAAGAGGAAAAUUUAGAAUAAGUUGCAACCCUACCCCUAAACUUUUAAAAAAGUGCAAAUGAGUCCCCAAUACUUAAAAUAUUGAAAAUAACAAAAAAAAAAACACUUUCUCUUCUCUUCCUCCUCGGUCCCCUGCCUCCUUUCAAGCCAAAAAAUUCCGGCCAACCACUGGAUCUCCAUACCAUCGGAAAGCCCUCACUCCCCUCUACACAUACUACCCAAUAGUCUUCCAUUAAUUUCAUUCUAAUGGCACAAAUUUUCCUUCGCGCUGGUUAGGUUUCAUUUCUCAGUUUCUGAAUGAAUAACCAUGUCCAGCGACAAUAGGGAAGACGCAUAUGCUCAUUGGAUGCUCCAUGAGGUGUAGGUACCUCAGGUGGUGGUUCGUGAUCAUGGGUCCCACCACCAGCAUAAAAAAAAUCGCCUGAAAAUUGCACAGCGACUGUGUUCGAAGCUCACCCGACUGGGUUUGAUUGUGUGCAUUAAAGGAUGUUUGAGGACCAUGGACAGGGACGUUUUAUUGUAUAGAAUCGAUCUGGAGGUUGUGUAGGGCAUGGGUGUCGUCGGAAAGAUUCCAGCCAUUGUUUGUUGCGUGAGUAACCUGUUUUGGCUUGAAUUUUCAGGCAAAUUAAUUGGAGUUAUGGCCGGAUCUUGGGUGGGUUGCGAAGAGGGAAGUGAGGGCUGUAAGAUGGGAUAUUAGUCCGGCAAAAAUGGUGGUUGUGUAGGGCAUGGGUAUCAUCGGAAUUGAAGAUUCCAACCACUGUUUGUUGCGUGGGUAACCUAUUUUGGCUUGAAUUUUUGGCCAAAUUGAUUGGAGUUAUGGCUGGAUCUUGGGUAGGUUACGAAGAGUGAAGUGUGGGCUUCAAGAUGGUAUAUUGGACUUGUGCCCAAGAUGGCCAGAGGGUGGAGUUUUGGUGGUCCAUAAGUGGUGGUUCUAAAAUUUUAGUUGUGAUGGAUUAAGGGAGUAUUGGAGACUCAAUUGCACUUUUUUAAAAAUUUAGGGAUAGGGUUGCAAUUUGUUCUAAAUUUCUCUCUCUCUCUCUCUCUCUCUCUCUCUCUCUCUCUCUUUUGGUUUUUUUGUUUUAAAUAAGAGGGUAUAAUUGCCAUUUUACGUUCCAAAACAGUGAAAAGAACUUUCAGCGCAACGAAAGGUUGAAAUAAGGGCAAAAAAGCCAAAAAAAAUGAAAGGUAUGGACAUUUUUCACAAUAAUCUCGAAAGAUAGUCAAUUACCCUUUCUUAAAAGUAAGGACACUGUCAUCAUUGUUUCUAUGUUAAUAAAAGACUCUAAAUCCAAAGUCCUAUAUCUCGUUCACUAAUAAAAAAUAAUAAUUAUUAUACCAGAUCUCUAAGAUGUAAACACAAUUAUCAUCGAAAUUUUGGGACCUUUAUGUAUUAAUUUCUUUUGUACAAUUCCUAUGGGAAAAUGAUAACUGCACAAUAUACAAUAUGAGGUCUAUAUGAUAUAAAAAAUGCACCUUUAUUCCAAAUCAAAAAGGACAACUAAGGAAAUGCUUCUGUUUGACAAUUAGAAACAAAGAGCCUAUUGACCUACAGAAUAGCACAAUUGUUUCCUGUUUUAUCAGAGUUAUAAAAAUUACAUGUUUUUAUGAAUUGAUAGUAAGAUAGUGACAAUAAUAAAAUAAGCAAGACCAAAAUAAGAACACUAACUUUAUGUGGAAACCCAAGUAGGAAAAAACCAUAGGUAGAGGAGGAAAAAUCUACUAUAAUCAAUGGUAGUUGUGUUUACAACAAGAUCUCAAUGCUCUCAACUAAGAUCUAAAACUCUCAAGAUAUCGCAUGAAUGUUAUGAGAAUAAUACGAACCAUAACUUUAUUUAUAUAUAUAUAUAUAUAUAUAGAAACACAUCAAAACGCAAAAUGAGCCUGGGCUGGAUAACCCUAUCGCUUGAGCAACAGGUGAGCGAUAACCCCACCGCUCGAGAGCUAGGUAGGAAAUCUCUAUAGAAAAUAUAUAGGUGCCACUCAAGCAGGCAACUAACGGAAGGUAGCAAAAAUGCAGCGACUUUUCUUCCCAGUCUAUAAUUUUGAUUUCUUCAAGAUCACUUCAAUUAGGGCUCCAAUACCACUAGAAUUUGGGUCACAUUACUACAAAUCUACAUGCACACCUUGAACAAAAUUCAAAAAACACAUUUUCAAAGUGAACAACACUCUUCCUUUUCCAAACAAGCCCUAAUGGGCUAGAUCAAUAAUAAACACCAACUAAGUUUAAGCAUUGCUCAACUUAACACUGAGAAGUGGUUUUGUCAUAAUAUCAGGAGGAUUAUCCUUGGUAUCAACCUUGCUCACUACAAUAUCACCUAGAGCAAUCACUUUACGCAAAAAAUGAGACCUCACAUCAAUAUGUUUAUUCCUCUUGAAACAUCUGAUCCUUAGUUAGAAAAAACACUCUGACUAUCACAAUACACUGUAAAAAUCUGCAAGUCUUCAUUGAUUUCACCAAUCAAUCCUCUUAACUACAUAGCCUCCUUAUAUGCCUCUGUAAUGACCACAUACCGGCCUCUAUUUUAAACAAAACUAUUGUAUUCUACAAAAUAGCUUUUCAACUGAUAACACAAUAUCCAAUGGUGAACACAUACCCUGUAAGUGAUCUCAUCUUAUCAAGAUUCCCUACAUAAUUUAAGGGCCUGUUUGGGAGCGAUUUUUUCACCCAAAAAGUUGAUUUUUUGACCGUUAUUUCACUAUUUCAUCCAUCAUAUUUGACUUCUUCUCUCACAGGUGGACCCCACUUUUAUCCUAACGGUCAAAAAAUCAAUUCUCAAAAUCACUCCCAAACAGGCUUUAAAUCAACAUAUCCAAUGACUCCAUCUACAUAUCUACCAAAAUGCACGCAAACAUUAGUAGAGACGUUUAGGUAUUUGAAUAUCCAUUGCAUUGUUUUCAAAUGUUCCUUGUUAGAAUUUUCCAUGUACCUACUAAUUGCAUUGAUUGCAUGUGCCAAUUUUGGUUUUGUACAAAUAAUAGUAUACAUAAGUGAACCAACUACUCUGGAAUAAGUAACUUGAGACAUAUAUCGAUGUUUUUAUCUAAUUGAGGACACAAUGCAGAUAAUAAUUUAAAGCGGACAGUUAACGGAAUACUAAUAGCCUUAACAUUCAGCAUAUUGAACAUUUGAAGCAUUUUUUUAAUGUAUCAUUUCUGACUCAAAUAUAAUCUGUUAGCCUUUUUAACCCUCAAAAUUUUCAUGCCAAGAAUUUUCUUUGUUGCACCUAAAUCUUUCAUCUCAAACUGCUUACUAAGUUGAACUUUCACCUUUCUGACCUCUACUUUGUCUUUGGCUGUAAUGAGCAUGUCAUCAACAUAUAAUAGCAAAUAUGUGAUGAUCUACCAUCUUCCUUUCUAAAGUACACACAACUAUCAUAAUUACUAUUAAUAAAACUAUGAGAAUUCAUGAAUGAACCGAACCUUUUAUACCACUACCUUGGUGACUGCUUUAAUCCAUACAAAAACUUUUUCAAUAAGCAUACAUUGUCUUCCUUUCCAGAAACUAUAAAACUCUCUAGUUGUUAAAUGUAAAUGUUCUCCUCAAAUUCUCCAUGCAAGAAUGCUGUCUUGACAUUUUUUUCUACUCAAACUCCAAAACAUUCUUGGCCACUAUACAAAGUAAAGUCCGAAUUGAGCUUUGUUUUACAAUCGAUAAAAACACAUCUGUCAAAUCAACAUUUGAAAUCUGACUAUAACGCUUUGCUACCUAUCUGGCCUUAUACUUAGUAUCUUCAAUCCCUAAUGUCCCUUCCUUUUUUUGAACACCCACUUGCGGUGAACAAAUCUUUUUUCUAUAGGUAGUUUCACCAAGUCUUAAGUAUUGUUUUUAUUCAAUGAUUCUAUCUCCUCCUAUAUACCAAUCAACAAUUCGCUAGAAUUACUGCAACUGACUACUUUGAAUAUGUAAAAGGUUUCUCAUUAGAGUCAAUAUCUUCAGCCACAUUCAAUGCAUAAGCUACCAAAUCUACCUCUCCAUACCUUAAUGGAGGUCUAAUCUAUCUGCGAGAUCUAUCCUUAACAAUUGAAUACUAUGGUGUUAACAUUGAUGUAGGCAAAGUAUGUAACAUAUUACUAUCUGUCAAUUAUGGACUAAAUUGCUUUGUAGUAGAUUGUUUUGAAACAUCUGAUUGUUCCUAUGGACCAAUUUCCAACCCCAUUUGAGUUGAAUGAUUCUAUUCAUCUGUUUUAUUAGAAUCCCCACGAGGUGGACCAUGAAACGUAGUAAGUUUAUCAAAUGCUACAUCUGUAUUAAUUACCACCUUUCUUGUUUCAAGACACAACAAUUUAUACCCCUUCAUACCUAAUUUAUACCCAAAAAUGAUAUACUUUCUAGAUCUAGGCUCCAACUUCCCAUUAUCCACAUGAACAUAAGGAAAAUACCCAAAAAUGUUCAAAUCAGAAUAACAAGAAUGUUUACCGGACCAUCUUUUUCAAUGACAGUUGAGGAUGAGCGAAUAAUAAGAAAACAAGUUGUGGCAGUAGCAUCAGCCCAAAAAGUCUUAAGCAACCAUCAGAAUUUGAAAGCAUACAACAAACAUUUUUCCAUCAAAGUUCUACUCAUCUAGUCUACUACACCAUUCUAUUGAGUUCAUCUGAACAAAACUCCAACCUAUUAUCUGUGAGUAAAUGUUUAACCUACAUUCCAGUCUGCUUUUCUAUCAUUAUUUUCCACUCUUUGAAUUUUCCCAAAUAUAUUACUCUUCUGUUUCAAGAAGAGUACACAAACUUUCUCGGAGAAAUCAUUAAUCACUGUCAACAGAUAAUAAGUACCUCUUCUUGAAGGCACCAUAGCCGGUCCCCAAAGAUUUGAAUGGAUAUAUUCAAGUAUUCCCUUCGUGUUGUGUCUUCCUAUAGUGAAUCUGAUUCUUCUCUAUUUACCAAAGACACAAAACUUAUAAAAUUUCAUCUUACCGGUCUUUUACCCAUCAUGAAGUCCCCUCCUACUCAAUUAUGCCAUACCAUUCUUACUUAUAUACCUAAGUCAUAUAUGCCAAAAUUUAUCAAUUUCCUCAUCAGUCAAAGAAAAAGUAAAAAUUGUUAUAUUUCCUGUAAUUGUAAAACCCUACAAAAUGUACAACCAUGUAGAGUUUUUUUAUCCUUUUAUGAUAGUAAGAGAACCUUGACAUACUUUCAAAAGUCUACAUUCACCAGUGUAUUUAUGACAUUUUGAGUCAAGUGAAUUCAAAGAUAUGAGAUUUCCUUCAGUUCUGGAACGUGCUUGAUUUCUGUAAAUAUUCUGAUAGCACCAACAAAUAUUCUAAUUUUGACUAUAUAAAUUCUAUCAAUUUGGCAAGGCAAGUUGCUUUCCAUAAUCACUAUAUCUCUCGGAACUCUUUUAGAUAUAGUAAACCAAUUCUAUUGGGACACAUAUAGAAAGUAGAUAUCGAGUCAAGAACCCAUUCCUCACAAAGUUGUAAAUCUAUUCAAAAAUCACAAGAUGUCCUCCUUUAUUUUGCCCAUUUUCCACAACAUCAGCCUUAGCAGUGUUAACAGGUUGUUUUCCCUUUUUAGUAGCACCAGCAUCAUUAUUUCUGUUUUCAACGAAUAACAAUCAACUUUGAUAUGUCCAUUCUUCUUACAGUAAUGACAUACUUUCUUUGGAUGUCUAAAUUUCGAUCUGCCCCUCAUAUUUUUACUAAGAUUCCUAUCUUGAUUAUUCACAAUAACAAUCAGGCCUUCAACCUAACUCCCAAAUCCUCUAGAAAGAUGUCUCUUCUUCUCUAUAGAUAGUAAAGUAUCAUAGACCUCUUCCACAGUAAGAGUAUCCCAACUAUAGAGAAUAGUUCCUCUAAACAUCACAUAUAAUGGUGACAACGAGCACAACAACAUCAAAGCCAAGUCCUUCUCAUCAUACUUAACCUCUAAUGUCUCCAAUUGGACACAAUUUCUUGGAACAUAAAUAAGUGAUCAUCCAAUGAUGCUUAUUCGGACAUCUGGUGAGAAUACAAAUGUUGUUUUAAGUGUAACUUGCUGAUUAAGCUCUUUGUCAUACAAAGUUGCUCCAACUUCAACCAUAACAUAGCGGCACUUUCUCUAUUCGAACAUUUGGAGGGAUUUGAUUUUAUAGAUGUAGCUGAAUUUUGGAUUGGGCUUUCUGAUCCCUACAUCGUUGUUCAUCCUGCAUCCAGGUUGAAUGCAUUUUAUCAAAGCCAAGCAAGAAUUUCUCCAAAUCUAUUUGUGCGAGAACUCAUCUCAUCUUUACUUGUCGUAAAGUAAAUUUCGUGUUCUAAUCCAAUAACAAAAUAUCAUAUUUCAUCAUUGCCAUGCGAACUAAUCAACCUUGCUCUGAUACCAUUUGUUAUGAAUUGAUUGCAAGAUAAUAACAAUUAUGAAAUAAGCAAGAAUAAAAUUAGAACACCAACAUUUAUGUAGAAACUCAAGAUGUGGAAAAAUCACAGGCAGAUGAGAAGAAAUCUACUAUAAUCAAUAGUAAUUAUGUUUACAACAAGAUCUCAAUACUCUCAACUAAGAUUUACAGCUCUCAAUAUGUGUAUAAAUGUUAUGGGAAAAAUAUGAGUCGUAACUUAUAUAUAUGAAAUCCUAGAAGUCAAGUUAUAGAUGAGAAUAGAAGUCCAAAAAUGCAUCAAAAUGAGAAAUGAACCUAGGCCGGAUAACCCUAUCGCUCCAGUGACAGGCGGGCGGUAGCCCUGCCACUCAAGCUUCAAGUGAGCAACAAGUCUCUGUAGAAAAUAUGUAGGUACCGUUUGAUAAGUAAGCUAGUAAAAAUGCAGUGACUUUUCUUCACAGUCCAUAAUUUUGAUCUCUUCAAAACCACUUCAACUAAGAUUCCAAUACCUACUAGAAUUUAACUCAUGUGUUGUCCGAGACAAAAACCGAUCGACAUCUUAAGGUCAAUGAGAAGGAAAAUAAAAAAGAACAUAGGAAGAAGAGAUGAAAUUGCAAGUGGAUUUACGGUUUGAAACAAGCAAUGUUUUAUAUUCUCAUUUUUAAUCUUGGGUCCAGGCCUAAAUUGAUUUUUGGCUAGGUAAACUUAUUUGGGCAGGGUAUAUUAAAAAUAGGUCAGAGGCUUUUAGGAUUUUUUUUUUUCAAUUAGACUGAAUUGGGAAAUCUAUUUAUUGUUUAAGUUAGUAAAUUUUCUAAUUUUUUCAAUCUAUAAAUUAUAGAAAAUAGGUCUGGUUCAAGAGUUCCAGAUCCAAUUAAAUUUUCUAUUGUUCCGAUUAAAUUAUCUACCUCUAAUUACUAUGGAAAUUGUUACAAAAGGCUAGAGGCUAUUGUUGCUACUCGAAUUUCAAUAAUAACUAAGUCCCUACAACUUACUCAUAGCCCAAUAAAGAUCAACCAAUACCACCAAGGGGAUCAUUGUUGUGCAAUUAAUUCUUUUCGGUAAAAAUCACAAUGUCUCUACAAGAUCUUAUGGGUUUGUUGCACAAAUUUUAUUAAAAUUAUUUUUCUCUGAAAACCAUUUUCAACCACAUAUUCGGUGAUAUUCACAAUUUCUUUUUUCACUUUUCGACCACACAUUUUCAUUUAGAAAAUUCAUGUCAAAUUUAGAAAUAAUUCUCAGUGACGGGAAAAUCCAACUGCAACCACAUAUAAUAUAGACAAUUCUACAAUUUUUAGAUAAAAUUGAAGAAACUAAAUACAAGCCUUUUAGCAAUUUUGAAUUAUGCUAGACAUUUUAGUAAACAUUUAGGAGAGGAAGUAGAAUCACUGUAUAGUAGAUUGUCUAGCAAAGGACAAAGAUAUUUUAAUCAAUCAAAUGUAGAGCUAGUUAAAAAGAUAACAGAGGAAGUUAGAAAUUUACUGCCAUUAGAAUUACUUUUUGAUAAUAAAUAUAAAAUAAUAGAAACAGAUAGAUGUGAAUUAGGAUUGGGAGGAAUUUUAUAUUCCAAACCAAAUAAAUAUAGCGAUAAAAAAGAAGAAAAGAUUUAUAGAUAUGCCAAUGGAAAAUAUAAAAUAAAAGGAAAACACUUCACUAGUUUAGAUAAUGAAAUAAUGACCACCAUCUAUAGUAUAGAAAGCUUUAAUUAUUCUUAAAUACUGAAUUUAAAAUUAGGACGGAUUGUGAAGUUAUAGUAACAUUUAUUAAAAAGACAAAUUUUGAUAAAAUAAGACAUAAAAGAUGAUUAAAAUUAUAUGAGAUAUUGAAUAGCUAUAAAAUCAAUAUUAAACGCAUAUACAGGAAAAAUUAUAUAUUGAUAGAUAAUUUAAGUAGACAAGUUAUUAAUUUACUAACCCAUUAUUUUCAUGGUGCAAAAGGACCAGAUGAUGAUGAACUUUGAGGAUGUCACUCUAAGAGAGACCCCACAAGGAUCUGAUAUCUAAUUCAAAGGAAAUAAUUUAGAAAGACUUCCAAAAAGGGAGCGUUGUCUACUAGAUAAUCUUUGGAUGACACAUAACUCUAAGCAAAAAUUAGAUUGCAAUAAUGCCCUAACUAAUUAUUUUAGAUAGCUUCAUAAUCAAGUAAAAAGAAAAAAAAUUUAGUUUCAUUGCAGUAAUUAAGGAUAAAAAUCUAGGCAUAAAUAAUUAUUGGCCAAAAGUAUUUCAAUAAGUAGAAAGAUUUCCAAAACCCUUUUUCAAAGGAUUUUACAAAUUAGAAGAAGUUUUAAAUUUCUGUAGAAAAAUGAUAGGAUUUAAUUUUUAUAAAUUUGUAAGAGUUAGACAGGGUAUGACCAUACAAAACGUUACUUCCCAACCAUCAUCUUCAUCUUUAUCAAUGCAACUUUUUGAUAUUUGUGAAACUAUGACCAAGGUGGUUAAAAUUUUGAAUCCUAGAAAGCAUUCAUUAGAAAAAAAAUGCUACAAAUCCUUCAAGAUGAAGUCUCUUCAUCUCAACGGGCCAUUUGUAAAUAUCAAAACAAAAUUUUUUACCGACAAAAUAGCUUAAAAAGACUAAGUUCUAAGAAUAUUUAUGAAAGACCCAUUUCCAAAGAUAUUGCUUCUAUAAGUAGAAAUUACUCUUAUAAAAUAGAAAAACUUAUUGAAUUAACUGACUCUACAACAGAAGGGACAAGAAAAGACUUUAUAUGAGUUAUAACAGAAAAUUGACAUUGUGCCAACAUUGUUCGAGAUUAUAUAAAGAAAUCAAUCGUACGUAAGAUAAUUGAUUUUUCUUAAUUCUGAGCUACUAUCACAACGAAAAUCGAUAUUUUCUUAAACAUGGCCCCAAAUAUGAUUCAUCUACUAAAAAUUCAACUUUUUUUAGACACAAUUAUGCUACAAUUUCCUUUGACUAUGCAAUCUUUGAAGAUGACGACUUUUUUUAUCGAGCCUUAUGGUUUGGCAUGACAGACACUAUAUAGUUUUAAAUAUAUCUUUCGUAUUUUUUCCACCUAGACUUAAACAGAUUCUUGAUCAGCUAAAAAAUCACCCUUUGAUGAUCCAAUUCAUUUCCAGACCACCUCUUGUAAAUAAUGGUAUAGUAAUUACAGUUUAUCAUUAUAUUUUAAUAUACGAAUGAGCUAAAAGAUUUAGACAUUAUUCGAAGACAAAUACUAAAGUAAAAAUUAGACAAAUUGAUUAUAAAAGACAAAUCUUAGAAAUCAUGACGAUGAUAGAAGUUCAAAAUAAUAAUUCAAGAGCUAAUUGUAGCUCCAGAGCAAAAUAAUGAAUAUAAAAAGCAUUCGGAUUCUCUUUCAAAAGAAGUGCAUUGAGAGCAUUGUACUCACCUCAUAUAUUACUUGCCCUAUCAUAACCUUGACCUCUAAACUAAAUAUACUUAAGUUAAAUCUAGAGAAUAAGUGAUUAAUAGAAUCCUUAAGUGAGAGAGAGAUGUGGUACUAUAGAUAGUUAAACUCAAAUAAAACGUUCCAUUAUUUGUCCUUUCUGAUUCACAUAACGUAGAACAAUUGACAUUUGCUCCUUCAUUGAUACAUUAUGAGAUUCAUCAACAAGAAUGAAAAAUAACCCAUUACCAAUAUCCUUCACAAUAAAAUUAAGUGUUUCAAAUGCAAUAGCAUUUACAAUAUCUUUUUGAAUUUUAGGUGAUAUUAACUGAAGAUUUUCGUGAGCAUUCCUCAAAGAGACAUCCUUAAUAUCAUUAUUAUAAUCACAUAACCACUGUAAUAGUUCAAGAAAAUUUCUUUGAUUUCUUGAAUCUCCAAAUUUGUUAUGUCCACGAAAUGAAAGCCCUUGUCAUAGAAACAAUCGGACACAGCCAUUUGACGCAUUCAAAAGAAUUUGAUACUCAUCUUUUGUUCAUUUUGACUUCUUAAAGAGAACACAAUCAAUAUUUUGUUCCUAAUUCACAAAGGCCUCAUACUUAAUCCGCGCUCGGUUAUGUGCACUACAAUUUUCCCAACAGCAGUUUGAAGCCUUCCUUUCUUUUUCUAGUUGGAGAAUCCUCCAUCAACAAAAGAAUCACACCCACCAUGUUCUUCACUAUUUGGGUUGAAAAGAUAACAAUAAAAGAAAAAAUAUGACAUCUUUUGCUAUAAUGUAUUCCAACCAAUCAGGACAGUUAUUAAACCAAGAAGUUUUUAAUCACCGUAACAACAAAUCUCCAAAUUCUUUCCAUGGACACAAGUGAUUCCAAGCUAACAUGGACCCCUUUGUACGUAUACUCUUCAAAUUUCAUCCUAAACACUAACAUUAUAAUUCCCAAUUUGAGUUCUUAAUCUAAGAUCCGAAGGCAAAUGUGCUAAAUAAAUUUUAUCUCGAACAUUUCUUUGACUCCUAGUCUCUGAUUCUUCUGAACAUCUUUUUUUUUUUUUUUUGAACACUCGUUUCGACAAUAAUUUGGUCUCCGCUUGAACAUACGGAUUUUUGUUUAAAAUAUUUCUCCAUGACUGUUAAAAAAAAAUCAAUACAUAGAUAAAUAAAUAUCAUAUUUCAUUUUUCAUCAAAACAUAACAUUAAAUUCAUAAUAAAGAGCAAUUAAUUUCAUAAACAAUUUUAAAUCACCAAGUUAGAGAAAGCCAAUACUUACUUGGAAUUGGAAUUGAGAUUUGUAAUGCCCUGAACUCUUUUUCAUUAUUAUUGUUAUUUUUAAAUAAAAAUGAAAAAGAGUUCGGGGCGUUACAGAAUGGUAUCAGAGCACGACUUUAGCCGAUUCUAUAGACUUGUCAUUUAUUUAGAAAAAAUAGCAUAUAUUUUUUUUAAUCUUGUUAUGUGCUUUAUGUGUAUAACUUUUUUUUUUCCUUAGAAUGAUAAUUUAUUUUAUUUUGAAGACAUAGUGGUCUGUGUGUUAAAAAAAAUGAUGCUGCCAUUUUUUUUUCGAACCAAUAGUUAGUAAAUUUUCGAAAAAGACGAGGAAAACUUUUGUUGAUUUUUUUCUGUGUCAACGAAGCCAAGGUUUCUGCAGUUGGAUUCUAAAUAAUUUUCCUUUCCUUGCUCAAUAUUUUGGCUAUUGGUUUGGUCAAUUGGUCUAGAGUUUUUAUGCUAUUCUGCCGUCGAUAUAAAAUCCGAUAAUAAGACCAACGAAGAUAAAAGAUUCUGCAGCAUUAUUGAGCUAUUUACCAAAUUUACAUGCACUAAUUAAUUAAUGGUUUGUGUUUAACCAAUGUGGCAGUGAUUUAUAUGUUAAAGUCAUCAUUCAUUCAAUUUCUAUCCUGUCAUUUGCGUUUAUCAUUAGUAAAGUAUGCCUAGAUCCAUGGAAGCAUGCCUCUGUUGCAAACUUAAAGUAGUUAAUAUGACAGCCAUUCACGUUUAAAUGAAGUAAACUGAAAAUAUGCCAGGACAUCGAAAGACUUUUAUAUUGAGUAAAUUCUUGCUAAAAAAAAUGAUGGUAUUAGCAUGAACACCGUUGCACUUUGUUACAAGCAUGGAUUACGGUUUCAUAGUUUUAAAGGAAAUGAUUAUUAAUAUUUUAUUAGUUACCUGCCAAUAAGUGUCUACUUGCUAUUUUAUUAUAUUUUAUACAUCAUGAGAUUUUUAUUAAACAAGUAUUGAAGUAAGAUCCAGGCUCGUGGCAUUAGCGCUCGUCAAUCUACUACCGUCCGAUGAAUCCAAGGUAUGAACGAAAUGUUAUGUUUAAGCUUAAUUUCAAGCAUGAUUUAUUAAUCAUUUAAGCUUGAUACGAUGAAAUGCUUAUAAUGUUAGAAAGAAAUGUAUUACGCAAGUUAUUAUUUUUGUACAUAAAGAUACGAUGGUUAGUCAUUUUAUUUAAAAUUACAAGAGCAGAAUGCAUAAGUUGAUUUAUAAAGAUAGAGCAUAAUUGAAUGUUUAUGUGAUAUACAUGGAUAGAACUUAUCAAGACACUAGAAAGAAGAGAAAUAGAAGUCACGUAUCGAGAGCUUUUGGAUUAAAUAAGAUAAUUUCGAGGACGAAAUUAAUUUAAGGGAGAAGGGAUGUAACACCCCUCAUUUUUUUACUAUGUGAACCUGAACUUAUUAUUUAGCAAAUGAAAAUGUGAAGAUUUGUCAUUACAUUAGAAGUCCAAAGUUGAAGUGGUAGACUUGACUCACGUAUUCGUAUAAAUAAUUUAUUUGCUUACGAGUUAUGAGCACUUUUAGAAAAUUAUUUGAAUAAAAUAUUUAAGUAUUUUUAAAGUUGAUGAAAAUAUACUGAUAUUAUACUCAUUUUGUAGCUCGUGUUAAACAAUAUAAUUUGAGCUUCAGAAAAAAUAAUUUCGAGAUAGUUAUGCCCAAGUUAUUCUAAUAGAAAGAAAAUUAUCAUUCUCAAAUAUUAUAUUAAUACAUUUAUAAUAUAAAAUAAUAACCAAAUGAAUAGUUUCAUUGUAUGGUUACGUAAUGUCAUCCACUCUAAUUGAUUUAGAAAUUUAUAAUACAUUCCAUAACCAUGACAUUAACUCUAAUUAAACGUGGAGGUGUCCUUUCAAAUUUAUAACCGUAACCAUCCCGUUCACUUUAAUUGAUUUUCAAUUAAAUCAUAGUUGUUUAAUUACAUUAAUCCUCAAUUAAUGAUCAGGUGGCUUUUCAAUUUGUAACCGUAAUCAUAAACGUCCACUUAUGGUGGUUUAACUCCAUUAUCCUUCCAUUAACUUGAAAUGCCUUUUGAUGUUAAGUAAGUUACGUGUGUGGAAUAUAUAAAUAGGUGUAUUUGAGAUGAAAAUUAUAUUCUACAACAAUAGUAUAUUGUACACUCCACACCACUAAUAUUUUUAGAAUUUAAUAGAGUAUAAUAUUUAUAUCUUUUCACAAAGUCAGUUUCAAGUAAAUUCGUGGAUAUCAAAUUGGGGUAAGAAUACAUGGUGCAAGUGGUAAAUUCUUAAUCCUUGAUAUAUAUGUAAAUUUUGGCAUGAGAUACUUUAAGGCCUUCGGGUCGAAUGCUAUGUUAAAUCCUUCGGGAUAGACCGUUAGGUCAAAGAGAAGAAGUUAAAUCCUUCGGGAUAGACCUUCAGGUCAAAGAAAAAAAAUUAAAUCCUAUGGGAUAUGGGGAUUCUUAAGAAAUUCCUAAGAAAUGUCGGUAUGUUAUGCUAUUUUUAUAUUUAUAUCAUGUGUAAAAGGAUGUGCACGUAUUCUUAUUGAGUGUUUUCAAAAUACUCACUCUUACAACAUUUUCAGAUAAGAACGGGUCAUGAGGACGCGUGGAAGAUUGACGGAGCGAUGCUAAUGUGGUCGUCAAGUAAAAUUUCUAGAAAAGACAAUCGUCAAUUUAUAUAAAGAAUAUCUUUGUGUUAAUAUUUAUGCACAAUAUUUAUUAUGUUGUUUAAUAAUUUGAAAUUGAAUAUUUUCGAUAUAUUUCCGCUUAAAUUAGAUAGAGAAAAGUUUUGGUAGCACCUUGAGCUCAUUUUUAUUUAAAAAUAACAAUAAUAAUGGAAAAGAGUUCGGGGCGUUACAAGAUUUGACUUUCGAGAAUGGUUCUAAUAUUUCCAGCUCUGUAGUUGUAGCUCUUGUAUCUUGUAUUUGUUUUGUUGAAUAAUUAUUUUUAGUCAUCCACUACAUUGAAACUAUAAUUUAAACAGUUGAUUGUUCCUAAUUUCAAAUAUUAGACUUCACAAUAUUUUAAAAUUUAAACAAUUGAUCGUUCCCAAAUUGUAAAAAAUCAGUUCCAUACUUCCAUUAUUUCAUACCAAAUCAGUGAAUAUUUUCAUCCAACAUUUUCAAUUCAUCAAUUUUAGACAUGCAAAUCCAAACCCUACAUAAAUUUUUCACUGUAGUCGAGUAGCAGUAAGCUACUAACCUAUAGGCUAUAACAGGGACUGGAGAACGGCUGGGUGGAAGGGGUUUUACUUUUAUUUGAUUUGUGUACUGUAAGUAAUAAGGAUGAUGUGUCGAUGGCGAAGAGAAAACUGGCAAAGACGAGAGCUAGAGAAGAGAGACGACUGAUGAGUCACGUUUGGCGGUACGGGAAAAUGGGAUUUGGCCAUUUGGGAAUAUUAGAACCCAUAUAAGUUGGAUUGGAUAAAUCAUUAAAUGGAUUACGGUUAUGGAUAUAUGGAAUACGGAUAUAGUGAAUGGAUUUGGGCUUGUCAGCUACUAUUGGAAAAUUGAGUCUGGCUGUCUGGUAGUUGUUAGGUUAUUAAAAAAAUCCCAAAUUUGUGGGGUCAUUUGACCCCACAUGACCCUAUGUGGGUCCAUCCCUACAAAUAAUGUCUAUUUAUCUAAAAAUAUCAUAUUUUCUAUUUCAUAAAUUGGGAAUGAUUCAUGCAAAUCAUGAUCAGCUUCAAUUUUGUUGUUGAAUAUUCGUCCUUCAUUGAUCCGAUGUUCAAUCUUCAAUCAAUUUACAAGAUUCUCAAAAUUGUAAGAGUUAAAAAAAAAAUAGAUAAAUCAUGUGUCCCGUAGGCUCACAGCUUUGAAUCUAAUUGAAAAGAUAAUUAAAUUAAAUGAUGGAGUCGUAAUCCACCUAUCUUUUUAUAGACAUGAAAUUACAAAAUACAUCAAGAACUAGUCACAAAUAAUUAGAUCACAGUUUAAAAUAAGUCAAUCAUUACAUAAUUAAAUAUUUGUAGAUAUCGCUCGGCUAGAACAUUCAAUCAAGAUUCAAAAAUAAUAAGCACGUGGACGACAAAAUUGCUUCGAUACCAGUUGUGAGAAUGCAGAAGCCAAAUUACUCAGAAAUUUAAAAAAAAUUAAAUUCAAUAAACAAGAUCGUCUAGAUGUUCACGUGUACGUUAUUCAAGAAUAAAUGAUUCGAAUCGUUUCCUAAAUUCGAUUGGUAAUUUUUGAAUUAAUUUUAAAUCACAAACUUCCAUACUUUUGGAUUACGGGCUUCCAGUUUUUAUUUGCAAGAACUCGAUGUUUCAAAUCUCCAAGUCUUUUAUGGUGUUCUCCAAAGUCAAUACUACACAAUUGGCGGGCACAUUAUUUUAAUAAAAUCAAGAGAUUAAUUCUUGGACGGGAUAAAUUGAACAAAAUAAGAACAUAAUUAUUUUCUCUUUCCAGAUUUGAAUACUUUGGAAUUAUGCAUUUUGAUUGCUGUAUUCUAUAGGAUAUCUAGGUUCCAUUAAUCUCUAUUUAUAGAGAAUAAAAUAUUUUCAAUCCUUUGUACAAUAAUAAUUCAACAUUUAAAUAUAAGUCCUAAUUAAUAUCUAAAUAGGAGUUUUAAUUAAAGUUCACAUCCAAUUAAUUUACAUUUAAUUACUUGUAUAGUCAUAGAACUUCAAUUGCAAUUAUAAUUAAGUUUUCAACUUUUACAGCAAUAGUGGAUUUGUUUCUGCCUUUUGUUGAAUCUUUUCCAUGGCUCUGCUUUUACUUGAGAGGGGGCGGGGUGUGCUCUUGGCAUAGAGAAUAUCACUUAUUCUAGUGUUCUAAUCCUUAAAAUCAGGUACAAAAUUGAUUGGUGGUAGAGUCGUGAAAACUUUUAUUUCUUCCAUAUUUUAGACCUUAGCUCGACAUUCACUAUUAAGAUGAGAUAUCAUUAUCUCUAUCUCACACUAAAGGGAAAUUAACAACAAAUAUUAAGUCCAAAAUUAUUAUAAUUAUAGUAAUUAAGACCCAAUACUUUACAGAGCUACCACCGGGAUCUGAUGGGACAUAUAUUAUCCAAGUCCAAUAAUUAGAUCCUGUCUAGUCGGCCGUAGACCACUCAUUCUAAUUAUUAUUCUUUCUUUUUUCACUAGAGGUAAAAGAUUGAACUCUUGGGAAAUAUAAGAUUAAAAAAAUCAAUAAAUCUUUAAUACUUUCCUUUAUCAAUAAAUAUAGAUUUAAUAAUUAGAUACGAACAUAAAUGACCAUUUUGCUGUUCUAAUUAUUCUCAACAACUAAGUAUCAUUUUCUUCAGUUGUUAUGUGCACAAUUCAUAGAUGUCGAAGUUUAGUUAUCACUAAGCACUGAACUAAGAUUUUAAUUUUUCAAUAGAAAAUAAUUAAGUAGUUACUCUAUCCAUUUUUCAAGGGCGAUGGUUCUCGAUAUCAAUUCAUAUUCUCUACUUCGCUCAUUUUGAACUCCCAACUUACCGAGAUAUUUGAUCAAUCAAAUUGAUCUCACCUAUUGAUAAGGCAAAGAAUCAUUAAAAUCACAAAAAGAUAUAGGUAACCUUAUCAAAGUAUCCAGUGAAAUACACAGCGAUCAAAAGAAAUUUAGUUCUCUGUACCGUUAUGCCAAAGAAUUAAACUCGACACAUGGUCCAUUAAAUAUACUUCAAGUGUACUAGUGUCACCUUUAACUAUAUCUAUGAUAAGAACAAAUUGCAAAUCCGAAUAGUGAAUUGGUCAAUAUCACAAUCUUUUAAUACAAGAUGUCAACCCUUAUACAUUGACUGUGAAUAAAUUAUUUAUGAUCAAAAUUUAAGUUGUGCUACACUGUAUUUCUCAACACAAGUAUCCAACUUAUAUUAUAUCAAGUGAUUAGAUGCACUUUAAUUCUCAUGCUCAAUAAUAAAUAAAUGCAAUAAAAAAAUAAAAUCACUUUAUUAUGAAUUAUUAUUUUAUCAUAAUAAAAUAUACUAUAUGGACACACAAUCCAACAGCUGCCUAUGUCCCACAACUUUUAACGACUUGCCAAUAUUCUUUGAACCUCAAGAAAUUCUCCAUGUGAGUGCUCCAAUGAUCAUAAUGACUAUCAAAGCGUGCAGUUGCAAGUUGAACAAAAUUUUCAGAGGCAAUUUGGAAACGACUGCUGCAAAGAAAGAAAAAAUUUAUUGCCACAGCACACUUUCUUUCUCACAUUUCCAUAACUAGGCUCUGUACCACUAUUAUAAAUUGAAAAUUAAAUACGAAAUGUGAAUGGAGAAAAAAAAAAACUUUCAUACUAUUGGCUUAUUCAAUUAACAAAAUGGCCCUUUAAAUAGACAAUACAUCAUUAAAAAUAAGCUGAAAAAUCGCAACUGACGCUCUAUGAUGUGAUAUAAAACUAGCAAAAAUGACUAUAACUAGGACAACAUAACACAAUAUAACAAACCACGUGAAAGACAAAUUUGACAAUCCAUAACAAAUACGAAUUAUAAUCCACUGAAGCCCCUUUGUUGGAAAAUAAAAAUGUCAUAUAAUUAAGACCAGGUACCAUAUGCAUUAUUGUUUUAUUGAUUAAUAAUAAUGUACUUUGAAACGGUUCCGUCCAUACCCACCACAAAUAAAUAAAGGACCUUAAUCAUUUGGUACCAUCAAUGUUCCAACUUUCAAAGCCUUAAUUUUUUGCGUUAUAUUUGAUCUUCGAACCUAAAAUUCGACAAGAUUAAAGAAGAAAGAGACUUAAGAUUGCUUGUCAAUUGUUUUAUUUAUGCAGGGCAACUCGUGUGAAUUAAUAAAUUAAAUUAUAAACUCAAACGAUCUUCUAAUUUUAUCUUUGUUUAUAAGAUUUACGAGAAAAUUAAGCUUGAGAACCCUCAAUUCAAAAGAAUGUCAAAAGCAAAAAUGUUGAGAGGCUCAAAUUUAUUCAAUAAUCCAAGAUUGAGUCGACCCUAGUGGACAUCAUUUAUAUAGUUCAAAAUUUAGUCUUCAUGAGGGCUAGGGACCUUGCUUGGGUGAAGCUCAGAUUUUGUUAGAAAAAUAUGGUUCUUUGUCGAAAUCCAACUCUGUUUAACUAGCACUUAGCUGUUGAUCUAAAACCGAAUAAGAAUUUGUUUUAAACUUAAAAUGUUCUCUAGAUUAGUAGAAGGCAUAUCCAACUGAAGUGUGCACACGUAAAAUAAGAAGAAUAGGUUUUUUAGAAUAGUUAUGCUUGUGAGCAUUGAAAGUAACACUCCAUCAAUGCUCUACAUGGUUUUCCAUUAAUUUUUGUAGACGGGUCUCGAGAUGGUCCCAAGUUUCUUUGAGGUUCACGUGUGGUCUUACUUGGGAUGUUUCGUUAUUCAUCUAUUGUUCUUUUUUGAGGAUGGGGACGGAGUUGGAAUGUUCUUUGGUAGUUUUCAAAAGUAAAUUAUGUAUAUUUUUAAAUUACUUAUAUUAUCAAAAAUAAUUUUUCAAGUUGUUCUAUGUGCUAAAAAAAAGUUAUUGUUUUAAGGGAAAUUUUCAACAUUGAUACAAGUGAAUCUAGAGACUCCAAAAAUAAAGUGAAAAAGCUAUUAUAAAUGUACUCCAUGGGAAACUAUAUGUUCAGAGUUCCUUCCAUUUAUAUUUCCUAUCCUGGAAUUGUGCACUAUGCGUAGUUGAAAGACAUGAAAUGUUGUGAUUUACAUCCAUUAAUUCUUGCACUUUUACGAUUAAUUAACACAUAAAUGUGCUAAGUACCCUUAUAUUGUGAUUUAGGUUGCAUUUGGAUGAUCAUGAAAUAAAAUAGAAGAAAAGAGAGAAAAAGGACUUAAAUGGAAGAAAUUGAAAGUUCAAGGACCAAUUUGCAAAUAAUCUCUAGAUGAGACGAGCAAUGGAAUGAAGAUUAAAGAUGGUGCGGGAUCAAUUGGAUGCAAUUAGAAGUUGAAGGGUUGAAAUUGCAAGAAGAAUGAUUUAAAAGAAUCAAAAAUGGAAUUCGAGAUUAAAAUACAACUUUUAGAAGAAAUUUUGCCUGGGCAACAGCCCAGUUAUAAAGUUCGAGCUACUGUCCAACACUAAAAAUCAAUUACUGAAGCCAAAAGCCAUGCCUGAACGACUGCCCGAGUUUUGCAUGAGCGACAGCCCAAGUCAAUUGUGACGAGAAAAAUUUGGUUUCCUUUUCUGAUUGAAAUUUUUAUGGAAACAAAUCUUGUACAUGAUAUACCCAAAAUCUCGUCCAAAACCUAGAGAAUGCCCCUAGCCCUAUUUUUUUUCUCUCUCUUUGUGCUCAAGAUCCAUGAUGUGCAACUAAUUUCUUUUGCUUGAUCGAAGGAGACGGAAGCCUUGGACCAAUUAUAACUGUGAGAUCCAUUUGAUUUUUAUUGAUUAAUUCAUAUAUUUAGUGUUAAAUCUUCUUUUGCACUUACUUCUAUGAUUGUUGUGUUUAAUUUCUAGAGUGCACGCAAGUUUAUUAGUUUCAAUAAUCUAUAGCUAAGUUAAAUAUCAAAUUCGUAAUUAUUUGAUUAAUUUAACUUAUGAAGCAACUAACAUUAGUAAUUUGCUGCUUUAGAAAAUUAUUAGAUCUUAGGGAGAAGUUUUAUGUAGGUUAAAUGCAAACUCUUGGCUUGGGUUAUCUAGUUCAUUGAUUUCUCUAAUUCGCAAAGCCAUUAUGAAAUUAAAUUCUCGCACUUGUCUAGGAUUGUUUGAUAAUGAGGAUUAAUUAGAUUGCUUGUUUCUAAUUAAUUAAAACUAAGGAAAAAUAGGAAAAUUGUUUCGAAUGAGAAAUUUAUUUUUCACAAUGAAGGCUACAAUUAUGAAUUGAUGAUUAUUGGUAGAUCAAUGACCGGUUAUUAAUUUCCAACGGUGUAUAUGACGUAGAUCAAGGUUUGUUUUAUUGCUUAUAUUUAAUUAGGUGAUUUGUAUUAUUUCAAGAAAAUCAAAAUCCCCUAUUUUAGUUAAUAUUGCAUCAAAAAGUAAAUUAACCACUCUUCGUGGGAUCGACCCUUACUUCCACUACUACAUUAAUUUUAAGAAGUAUAUGCUUUAAUUUGGAGUGCCUACGACAGCACGCAUCAUUAGUGUGCUCCCAAAUUUGACUUAAGGUCGCAUUUCAAGAAAUGUGACUUUGCAAAUGGAGGCCUUUUAUGAGAUUUUGACACUUGGCACAAUCCUGACCAUUUGAUGACGAUUUAGGAUGGUUUUAGGGUUUGUCUAUAUGUACAUUGGGGUUGACAUGUACCAACCCCUUAGAAGAGGGAGGCCACGAUUUUUUUAUUUGUCGUGGGGCCCCCUAUUGUGAGGGGGUCUGUGCACCAGGGUAUUAACAUCGGUAUACAAAUAGAAAAACCUGUAGUUUUAUUGCCUUUACUCUCUGUUGUUUCACUUGAAAUACUUCAUUCUACCUUUUCAGAUUUCUGCAAAGAGAGAGUUUACGCUCGUUUGGUAAGGGUUUCAUCUUGAAUCAUUUUCUCUCUUGAAAAUCUCAUUCGCAAUUGAGAUCAAUGUUUUACUUCCUUUGAUUCUUGUAUUUUCUGAGUGGUUCCUAUAUUGUGUUGUUCAAAGUAUUGUUUUGAGGCUUCUUUUAUGAUUCCUUGAGUAGAUUUUCAGUUUCAUCUUUGAGAAGAUAACUAUUGUGACUUUAUCUUGUAUUGGUUCAACGUUUAUAAGCUUUGUUUUCUUUCAAAGUUAAAUAGUGCAAUCGAGCAUUAUCCAUUUUAUAUGGAUAAUCAAUAGGGGAUUAGGUAUUAGAAGCAAUCAUCGAACCCUCGGAGCUUCAGCCGAAACAAUUCUUUGUGUUGAUUUUCAUUUCUUGCAAGCUUAUUUUCUACACUUAGUUUUAAGUUUGACAAAUAAGUUAUACCUUGUUGUUUUUGGGCAUUUGAGUAGUAUUAGAGCUUGGAUCUUGAAUUGCAAAACCAGCUCUUCAAGGAAACUAAAGAUCUUAAAGGGACCUCAAAUUUUUGUGCACCGUUUUGAAGGAAUCUGAGUUUUCUUAUAAAACUCACUUGAUAAGAUUUUUUAAAAUUAUGCAACCUGCAAUUUUAAAAAAUUAGGGUUUCUUGCUUUUUUCCUUAAUUUACAAUACCAUUACAAAAUAUCCCCUGGAUACUAUUAUUUGCCCAAAGUCUCUUAUGAGGUUUUGGAAAUCUGAGAUUAAUCUAGUACUGGUGUAUAACGGGAGGAAUAAAAAUUUGCGAUCUAUAUUUGUGAUUCUUGUGAUAUUUUUUGUUGCCUGUCCACUGUUAAGUACAUAUUCUUUGACUAAGUAAAAACUCUUGUAUGUAACUCGAAAUAUUAUACCAUUACGUGCACUAUUGUGAUCUUAAACUGAUCUUGUUUAAGUGUUGGUUCUUUACCGUGUGUCUUUCCCUAUCUCUAGUUAAACUUGCUUGUCAGUUUCUUAUUUGUGAUGGCCAUUGCUAAGUUCGAAAUGAGUCAGUAUGAUGGGAGGGGGAUUUUAAUAUGUGGAGUCAGAAAAAGAAAGGUAUCUUGAUGCAAAUGAGAUAUGCUAAGGCCUUAGAUAAUACUUGGCCUACUAGUAUGAUCCCUGCUAAAAAGAAAACAUUGCUUAGAGUACUAUGUUUUGUACCUUUCUAAAAUGUGAUUAGAACCAUUGGUGAAACUAAAACUGUUAUUGAACUUUGGACCAAUUGCAGGCUCAGUAUAUUACCAAAACUGUUCCAAAUAAGUGCUAUUUGUUGACAAAGUUCCUUUUUUUUUUUAAAUGGAUCCUCUAUUGACUUGGAUUAAAACUUGAAUAGAUUUAUAAAACUUACCAAGACGUAGCUUUUUGUGAUGAAAAACUUUCAAAAGAUCAAUUGGUUAUGGUCUUAUCAAACUCCAUUAGUGACAAUCACAGAGACCUCAAUAAUAUCCUUAAAUAUGGUACGGAUGAAAUCACUAUUGAUAUUAUAAUCAGUGCCCUUAGAAAUAGAAUUCUUGAAAUAAAAUCUAAAUUUAAAGAUCGUCAAAAUGGAGAAAAUUUAUUGGUUAAGGGUAGGAGCAUUGGUAAAUCUAAUUAUCACUCUAAAGGCAACAAUGAGUGUAAAAAGAAAUGGAGUGAUGAGAAUAAACUCUAAAUAUGUUUGACAUGUAUGACUGUAAACUUGUAACUUUCCCAUUAAUCAAUCAUUUUAAAAUUUCCUCCAAUUGCUGCCCUAAAACUGAGGAAGUGUAUGAUAGAAUGUCUAAAAUUCCUUAUGCAGAUGUUAUUGGGUCUAUCAUAUACUUGAUGAUAUACACUAGACCUGAUCUUGUUUAUAGCGUUAGUGUACCUGGCAAAUUUAUAAGUAACCCAAGGGAAGAACAUUGGGAUGCAUUAAAAUAGCUUUUGAAAUAUCUGAAAAGAACUUUGAUUUAGGAUUUAUGUUUAAAAUGAGGAGGUAACUUCAAAAGGUUGUACUAAUUUUGACUUUAUUGGAGAUAGGGAUAAUAGGAGAUUAACUUCAUCCUAUUUAUUGCGUGGAAGUUUCAAGAGAUCUUGAAUUCAAGCUCAGAAAAACCACUAAACGAAUACCACCCGACCUCGGCUCAACCAACACCCUUCUUUCACUUGGACUGGUUCAAGAUUUCUUACCCACAAAGGAUGAUGGUCGUGGUGACUACAAUAUAAAGCAAAGAAUGAAGCAACAGUGGUUGAGUUUCUCAAAACUCACGCCAAAAGUGUAUGUUGAUGUUCAUUUAAUGGUUUCUUGAGCCAAGAUUAAAGAUUUCUCAAAGUUUCUAAUAAUAAAUGGUAUCAGAGCUUAUGUUAUUGAGAAAUUUGUGAUUUUUUGGGUCAAAGAUCGACUGUAAAGGGCUAAAAAUGAAGCUGGAACAUGGUAGAAAGUAGGGAAAAAAAUCUAGAUACAUUGAAAAUCAUCUCUGUCGGAAUUUUUUUAUUUUUUGCAUUUCUCGGCCAGACAACUCAUCGUUUGGAGAAACCAACGCCAUAUGAAGACUGCGCAAGUGGAGGAGCACCUGGGAGACUGGCCUGUGAAGCUCUGGCAUGACGAUAGUUAGGCCACCUGCAAAGACAGAAGUCUCAUGUAGUGAAAGUCUGGCAGAGUUUGGUAACAACACUUGAAGACAAAAUAUUGCUGACAACGAGGUAGACCUUGCGAUGGUGCUUAUUUUCUGUUUGGUCAAAAUAGUUAAAUCUAGACGAUUUUGCCCUUGGACAUUGGGGUGUCGAUGCUUUUUUUGUUUGCUGUAGUUUCUGGAGGCUUUAAAGCGAAUGGUGGUGGCCCUAAAGUGAUGAAUUUUGUAUAUUUCUUUGUUUACAAACAAGCAAAUAUUGUCCACUCGGUAUCAUGUUCUUUCCCUUUUUUAUUACAAUUACGGCUAUCAUGGGGGUAGCCACCUACUUUUCACAUUAGAAGCCAAUGUGUGGGGUAACAUUAGGUUUGAGGCUACCGUGUGGGAAUAACCAUUGUCUGUUGCUAAACCUAAGAAUUAUUUUUUAAUUAUUUACCUUAAAUUCUUUGUGAAUUUAUUACUAAAUGUUUGUACACUGCUAGAAUUUCAUGUGACCUUAGAGAAGUUUGUUUGAUUAUUCGGUGUGAAUUGUGUCGUUACUUUGCUUGUGGUCAUAUUUGGUGUUGAUGGCAAAUGUAUGUCUAAGACAAUUGCAAAAAGUAAUGCAUUUUUGAACAUCAAUAUUUCGGACAUGUUGAAAGAGAUUGUCGUAGGAAGGAUAAUAGAAGGAAAAAUAAAGAGAGAGGUGAGGUAAAUGUUGCCACUGGGUUUGGCUAUGAUCCAAGUGAGGUUUAUUAAGAGUAAACUUGAAUAUUGUAUGUUCAUUUGUGUACAAUCCUUUCUCAUGUAUGGCCGCUUAAUUUUAUUAAGAUGUUAUAUGUUACAUUUUCAAUCUGUUUGACAUGUUUAAUUGCAUGAAUAAAGAGUAAUCUUAAUGCGUUUGUAUACAUAGCGUGUUGACGUCUAUGUCAUACUCUUUUUGCUCUAUGGUUGGUACAGGAAAGUGUGGUAGUGAAAAGAAAAAGGGGCCGCUACUUUCUCCUUUACAUUUGUGAGUCUAUGUCAUUUGUGAUAUUAUAUAGGGUAGCCAGGUGUAGGUUAUCCUCUUUCUCUUUAUGAGCCUUUUUAGUAAUGCAAUAAAGAACUAACUAUUUCUUAUAUUUUCUUUGUGAGUGCCACAUACACCCUUCUCUCUGUGAACUUCUUGAGAUUUAAUGAGGAAGAAAUCUUUUGGUACGUUGGUCAAUUUAAACUGAGCCCUAACCUUUGUGGUCACCAAAGGUGUCAAUUUUGUUGUAGUGGUGCUAACAGUAAGCGGGCUGUGUUUCAUUUGGUAAUGUGAAGUAUAGAUACCUGAGGCUGCAUUGGCGAUAUACACGGAUAUGUGGAGAGUGAAAUUUGGAUCACGAGUAAAAAUGUGAUAUAAUGUCCGGAAUCCUCUAUCUAUGAAAGACCUUGUACAAGUAAAGUGUGAAAGAGACACUUUUAUCACUUCUGUUAAGUAGAGACACAUUAUCCACUUAGGUUGAGACAAAUGAGGUAGUGACAGAAGAUUAUCUUGUGGAUUUAAAAUCUAUUGUGGUUUAACAAUUAGACAUGAAUUUAGUGAUCAAUCUAGUGAGCAUGGUGGACAGUGAGAGAAGAUAUAUGUUCUCGAGGUACAAGCAAUACGAAAUGAGAUAGGAUAAGUGUAGUGAGAUCUUUUCAUGGGGUUAUUUAUGCACUUGUUGCAUAUGUGUUAGUCGUUUGAUUGAUUAACUUGAUAUUAGUUUACUAUUUUGUUUAAACAUAUUUGAAAGGACUUGUAUGUUAUCCUAUUUUAUAUCUUCAUCACAUGUUUAAAUGCUUUUAAUUGAUUACUAUGAUUACUUGCUCCUAUUUGGGUAUUUUUUGAAAUCGGCCCUGAUUAGUGCAUUGAACAGGUAUGGUACGUCUUUCGGGUCGAAAACAUGAGUUAAGGUCUGUGAUUUCGACGAUGGUGUGAUUUAAUCGUUGUGUGGAAGCUUCGAAAAAUCUUUAAUACGGUCUCAGAAAAACCACCAAACGUAUCACCUGAGCUUUGCUCGACCCACAACUUUACACUUGGUUGUCUUCUUUCCAACACCCACAAAGGAUAGAACUUUGGUAAUUAAUGUGUACCCACAAAGGAAAAAGAGAAUAAAUGAAGGAAUGGUUAAACUCAAAUUUUACCUAAGUUGGUUACUGCACGUUUUCUCUUCACAAUUGCACAUUAACUCACGGCUGCAAAAAAUGAAGAGAUAAUGGAUGUAUACAGCAUUAGGUUAGAUUCCAAACUUGGGCCAAAUACUUUCAAUGGGCUAAGACAGAUAACAACUAGGAAAAAUUCAUAAAUAAGAUGUUAACUAUCACAUAUUUCAAAAUUAAGAACAAAAGUUUCAAAUUUAAAAAAUCAAAUAUUUAUUACAAUUUAUUUAUUAUUUAUUUAAUUAAUUAUAUAUUUAAUUAAUUAAAUAUAUAAAAGUCACCGAUGUAUGCAAUUUGGUCACAAAUUCACAAAUUUAGUUAUUUACAUAUUAUUUUUCGAUCACAGAUCAAAAUUUUAAUAUGUCAAAAAUUAUUUUAUGAUCACAAUUCAAAAAUUUUAUACGCCAUAAUUCGUUCAUCAAUCACAAAUCACGAAUAUUAUAAGUCACAACUUAUUGCACAACUUAUUGGAAAGUCACAAAUUAACAAUUUUUUAAGUCACACAUUAUUUCUUGGUCAUAGUUCAUCUCUUUCAUUAAUCACAUAUCAUUUAUUGAUCACAGAUUAAUUUAAUGGUCACGGUCAACCGAAUGAUUUGUGACUACCAUUAAUGCUUGUGACAACCAACUCACCACUGCCUCCAACAGCAUCACCAUAACCGUCGUCGUCGCAGCCUGAACCUCCAUCACCUACUACAACAAAUCUAACACAUUGCCAAAAAAAAAAAAAAAAAAAAAAAAAAAAAAAAAAUUAAUUUGUGACUACCAUUAAUGCUUGUGACAACCAACUCACCACUGCCUCCAACAGCAUCACCAUAACCGUCGUCGUCGCAGCCUGAACCUCCAUCACCUACUACAACAAAUCUAACACAUUGCCAAAAAAAAAAAAAAAACAAAACAAAACAAAACAAUUCAUUGCACCAAAUCCAUCGCUACCUUACCGCCACAACCACCGACAAACAACCAUUUUCAACUACAAAACCACCACCCAUCAACACAUCUAUGCCAGAUUCACUAACACCACCACCUCCAUCAACAAAACCACCAAUCCACCACCGAUCUAACACCACCAAACCCAAAUAAUUAGUCACAACCCACCUCUAGAACCACAACCUGGCUACUACAGCACCCGCAAAACGACCACACCAUCAUCGUACAUAUAGCACACAGCCAUUGCCAUCGUUAUAUCCAUCUCUUCUAUCUCAGUCAACACAACAACACUUCCACGCCCCAAACAAAAAAUCCACAAACUUACCGCUACCAUUGCACAUAAUACCACCUACGCCACUGUAGGCAAAAACACCACAAAACUAACGUAAUAAGAUAAAAGGAAUAGCCCGAACUCCAUCUUUGGUUGCCACACUACAGAAACAGUAAGUGGUGCUGUAAUCUUGACAUAGAAGUGAGGCAAAUGGCGUCCAAAUCUCAGGCAAAUGGCAUCCAGAGCAUGAGGGGUUGCUGCCCAUCGCUCACACAACAUCGAUAGCGUCGUGUGAGUGCAGCACCGCCAAUGUGAGGAUAAAGACAGAAAAGGAGAGAAACGAGAUAUAGAGAGAUAAAUGAUGUGAAAAUCAAUUAGGUUUUGGGAUGAAAAUUGUAUAUUUCAUAUUUAAAUAUGAAAUAUCUGAUUUGUAAAAUAUGAAACGUCCCACUUACUUUUAGAACAUAGAUCUUUAAAAGCAAAGUGGGGUAUGAUUUCCUCUAACCCUCUAACAACCAACCAAUUAGUUGGGUUAACACACAUAUCACUCUCCAAACCUAAACAACAAAUGGGAUAACUCACAAAUGGGUUGUCCUGAAUGAAUUGGUAGUUUUUGAGCCAAGCCAAGCACUAUGGUGUCGAUGAAUUAUCCAACAUAUAUUUUAAAUCAUAGCCAAAAAUUUAUUUGGUAUAAAAAAUCCAACACUAUUUUUAUACAGUUUGUGGUACUAUUAUAAUUUGGAAAUCACAACUUCAAAUGGUUGUGUCUCUAUCUUCAACAAAGGCAGAAUAUAUUGUUUCCAUCGAUGCCAUUAAAGAAGGUAUUUGGUUAAGUGAUUUGUUAGGUGAACUUGAUUUUGUUGAUGAAAAUACAAUACUAUUUUUAAAUGACCAAAUUGUCAUACAUUUGAGAAUAAAAUCCCAUGUUUUAUGAUAAAACUAAGCACAUGGAUAUUAAAUAUUGCUUCAUAAAAGACUUCAUUUCAAAAGGGAUACUUAAAUGGUAAAUUGUUACUCAAUUUAAUCCUUCAGAUAUAGGUACCAAAGUAAUACCUUUAAGUAAGUUUCAAAAUUGCUUGAAGUUAUAUGAAAUAUAAAUUUGAAAAAUCGAGAGAGUGCUUAUGUUGUUUCAUUCAAAGUGUUGGUUUGAGGGUUAUUUUGUGAUUUCUUGAGUAAAUCUACAGUUUCAUCUUUGACAAGAUUAGUAUUGUGACUUUAUCUUGUAUUAGUUGAAUUAUUGUAACCUUCAUUGCCGUUUUUGGGUAAAUAGUACAAUCGAGUAUUAUCCAUUUCAUAUGGACGUUCAACAAAGAUUAGGUGUUAGAAGUGGUUACUGACUUUGGGACUUCGACUGAAACAAUUCUUUAUGUUAAUUUUCAUUUCAUGCAACUUUAUUUUCUGUACUUAGUUUUGAGUUUGACAAAUCGCUUAUAGUUUGUGUCUUUGGGCAUUUCAUCCUCUAACAUGCAUUGACUGUAUACUUUGGAUUCGCUUAUCAUAUCCAAAAAAGGAAAGAAAUAUGCAUGUAUACAUUUGGUACGCUUCACUAUGAAGAAAGAAAGAAAUAACAAUCCCCCCUCAUGAUGUGGCCGAGUUGGUGUGAGCGCGGCGGCUUUUAGUCACAAGUUCGAUUCCCCCUAUCAACACUUUCUCGAUCAAAUUUGUCGCAUCGGGCUUGUCUAGUUCAAUUUACCUAGCUCGCUAUUACGUCAGCUCGAGGGCUUAACCAGUACGCACCCGAAAAGUAGCAGCUGUGAGUUCCCCGUCAUAAAAAUAAAAAAAAUAAUAAAUAAUAAUAAAGAAAUAACAAUCAAAAAGUGUAUAGACACUGAAGAGGAUGUUGUCAUCCAUCCCGUCUAUCUCGUUUCUAGAAUGGAUUGACGAACUAAAAUAUUGCUCUAUUGAAAUUCUAUUAUAAUUGUCAAUUAUCCCGUCCAACCCACCUAGGAUGAUCGAGCACAAAAAUGUAAAAUUUGAUAAACUUAACCUGGAACUUAUUGUCUGAACUUGACAGCUCUGAGAUGAAUCAUCAACAUAUAUAUUUGUUCAUACUUUCUACAUUGUACAAUGGAAUUUUAAAAUCAACAUAAAUAUGUUGGUUGAGUCAAAUAUACAAUAUAUCAAGCAUGCCUAUAGAAGUAGAAGUGAAAUUACUAAAAAUAUGAAUCUCCAAACUUAUUCAAGGGAUUUUAUUUUCUCACCCAUGGCAAUGGAUUUCUUGCAAUGAGCAAUCGCUGCUUGAAUUGCACUCUGCAACUCUUCCUUAGUACUGUCACAUGCUGCGGUAGGAGUAAGAGUUCCAUUUGCUACUAAUAGACCAUUGUUUGUUGGAGAUAUUCUCACUGAACUUGGUUCUGAAAACUCCCCCCUUCUUCCUCUCAACUUUGGCUUCCCCCUAAUGAGUAAAUUUCAGGAAAAUGAAUAGGAUUGCCUGUGUAAUUUAUUCCCUCUUCUAAAGAUCAGACGGGGUCGAGCCAUUCUCGCGUAUCUCUUCAAAAACCGACUUACAUUGAAUUUUAACUUCUUUUUCUGCCUUUCUUUACAUUCCUUUUCUCCUUUUCGCCAUUUCAAUAAGCUAAACAAAGAAAAAGGCUUGGAAUUUGCUCUUCCUUUAGCAUCAAGCUGGGAUCAAUAUCGUUGUCAGUACUGUUGAUUGUCUGAAUGGAUUCUAAUUCUUUUAUGGAUAGGGUAAAACUAUCCAAAGAGUUGUUCAAAGAACGAGGGGAUACCGGAAGGUGGGAGAGUAGAUGGAGAGGAAGCAAAUGGCCAUGGAAAAAUAUAUCAUCUGCUGGAGAUAAAUCUACGGCGAAUGAAGAAGUGUUCUUAUUAUUUUCUGAGGUUUUUGCAGGGGCUGAAGGAUGAAGAGAAAUGGUGAAGGAGAAUUCAUGAGAAGGAGAUGAAGAAGCUGAAGGUGGCAAGGUUGCUGCAAUUGGUUGCAGCUGAUUACUCUCUCUCUCUCUGCUGAUUUUCUUCAUGCUUCUCUCUCAUCUUAUGAUGAUGUUUGUCUAUGCUUCAAUGCUAAAAGAUAUGUCGGAUCUGAAGUUUUUCUUGACUUGCUUUGAUAUGAUAUUCUCUGGUUAGAAAUGUGAGGAAAUAUUUUUGAAGGGAUAAAGAUGUUAGGAAGUAAUAUAGUUCGUGUGUGAGUAUCAAGAGGAUAUGUAGGGCUAACGGGUAGGCGUUGGAUGUGGGUAUGGGGUUACGGAGUGGGACAGGGUUUCAUUUGUUUUUUGAAGGGAAGGGGACUGUUCUCGGCAGGUUUGUUAAAUGAAAUCCGUAUUUAAUAGUGCGUUUCAUAUGGACUCGAUGGGACAUAAUAAUAAUAAUAAUAAUAAUAAUAAUAAUAAUAAUAAUAAUAAUAAUAAUAAUAAUAUUGAAAGUGCUUAUGAACAGUCUAAAUUAUAAAUUAAUUAAAAUAUUGAUAAAUAAGUGGAUAAUUUUUAUAAAUCUUAUAAAAUUGUAGAAUAAGGAGAAAUUUGACCAACUAUAAUCAUUAUCCAAGCAUGAGUUCAAAAAUUUACAGAUAAUUAAAAUUUUAUAUUGUCGUAAAAUAUCCGAUAAUAAUGACUGAUUAGUUGAUAUUAUUAUGCCCAUGUUUGGUUUCACUAAAAAUUUAGAUUAAAAUUAAAGUUAAAGUCAACAAUUAAUUUUAACUACACAUUUUAUAAGACUCAUAACUUUUCAUCCAAAAAUCCCAUUAUCUUUUACCAAAAUUUUCAAAAAAAUCUGAUUUUAUCUAAACUAAACAAGGGCCAGAAGGAUAGAUAACUUUCCUACCUUAGAAGAAUGUUUUCUAUUCAAAUUGUCACUCAUUGAAACCUUAUAUAUAACAGUCAGUGUUAUGAUGAAAUUCACACGAGUUUUGAUACCCUUAUUUUCUUCUAUUGUUCUUGCUUUUCUUCUUAAUUUAAUAGCAUGUUAUCAGCACGAGUUCUAGUGAAUUUAACUAGGAAAAAAAAAUUCCCCUGCAAAAGACAAGUUAAGAAUCCGGUAUGAUAAAUUUGAUUAUGCAAUCUUAAUAUGAAAAUUAGUUACGAAAAAUUUAAGAUAUGCAUUUUGUCAUUACUUGUGAAAAAGAAUGAUCUAAUAUUCAAUUAAAUUUUUUUUUUUAUUUUGUGGCCUAAUAUUCAAUUAGAAUUUGUGGGGGUGGAUAUUGCAUUGUUGCUCCUGUAGACCACAAACUUAAAUAUCAAUAUCUAUAAAAUAUAUUAUAUGGCUCAAAAAUAUAUACACAUAUAUUUCAAAAGAAUAUGGUGUCGUUCAUGAAAAACAUAAAACUUAUUUCAUUGUGUUUAUGGAGAAGUACAAACUAAACGAUUAAGUAUAGUGGUAUAGUGUUGUAAUUCUUGAAGAAAACACUUUAUUAUUUUAUAAUAUUUAUAUGGUACAUUAUGUUAAUACUUCGGAGGAAGUAUAGUUUUCCUGCAAUAUUGUGAAAUAAUAUUUUGUUUUUAAUCUUGAUGAAACAGGAGUUUAUAUUGUAUUAUUGCUCCAGAAGAAAAAUAGAUUUCUUAUUUAUCAAUAUUUUUUAAAAACAUAGUGAUAUUCUUGAAUAAUAAAUUUUAUACAAACUAAUAUCCUACAUAAUUUGAAAUUUUAAAAUUUUCAUAAAAAGCUCUAGAAGGGCCAAAAGUUUAUCAUAUGGGUGAACAAAAUGUAAUACUACAUUAAUUUUCUCCCCAUUUCAAAUGAAUAAUGAUAUUAAAAAUUCACAUAAAUAUUAAUUAAAGAACCAAAAAAUUCUUUCAAUGAAUUCCUUGUGUUUUUAUUCUCAUGAUAUAAUGUUGUAAUGUGACCCAAAUUCUUGUGGUUAUUGGUGUUUUAGUUGAAGUGGUCUUGUAGAAAUCAAAAUUAUAGACAAUGAAGAAAAGUUGUUGUAUUUUCGCUAGCCUAACACUAGUUGGCAGCUCGGGCUGCACCAACAUAUUUUGAAUAGAAAUUUUUCACCCUUUUGGUGCUCAAACGAUGGGGCUGUCACCAUCUUUCGCCCCCCGUAGCUUGAGCGAUGGGGUCAUUAGUGCAGCCCCUCUUUCCAAGUUUUAAUGUCUUUUGGACUCUUGUUUAUCUUCAACUCAGUUUCUAGGGUUUUAUAUAAAUAAGCCACUACUUAUAUUGUUCAGAUAACACUCAUACAACAUCUUGAGAGCUUUAGAUCUUAAUUGAGAGCAUUGAAAUUUUGUUGUAAACAAAUUGCUAUUGCCAAUAGUGGAUUUCUCCUCCUCAACCCAUGGUUUUUUGCCAUGUUAAGUUUUCACGUAAAUCUUGCUGUUAUUUAUUUUGUUCUUGUUUAUUUCAUUACUGUCAUAAACUUUCGAUCAAAUUCGCAACAAGUGGUAUCAAAGUGAUUUUGGUAACUUGUUUGUUCAUAUCAAGUGAUAUCAGAGCCAGGUUGAUUAUCUAGCAUGGCAAUGAUGAAGUAUGAUAUUCCAUAAUUGGAUCGAAACACAAGAUUUACUUUAUGGAAAGUGAAGACGCGAGCAAUUCUCACACGGAUGGACUUGAAAGAAGCCUUGGUUUUGAUAAGAUGCCUUCAACCUGGAUAUAGAAAAAAAGCAACGUAGGGAUCGAAAAGCCCAAUCCCAAAUUUAUCUACAUCUAUCAAAUUAAAUUCUUUAAGAUAUUCUCAAGGACAAGAGUGCCUCGUAUUAUGGUUAAAGUAAGAGCAGCUUUGUAUGAAAAAGACAUUGACCAGCAAGCUUCACUUGAAACAGUACUUGUAUUUUCACAGGAUGUUCGAAGAUACAUCAUUGGAUGAUCACUUAACUAUGUUCAAAGAAAUCAUGGCCAAUUUGGAGACAUUGGAGGUUAAGUAUGAUGAGGAGGACUUGGCAUAGAUGUUGUUCUGUUCACUGUCCCCAUCAUAUGUGACUUUUAGAGAUACUAUCUUCUAUAAUCGAGAUAUUCUCACCGUGGAAGAGAUCUAUGAUGAUUUGCUAUCUAAGAAGAAAAUGAGGCAUCUUGUUCGAGGAUCUUGGAGUCAAGCUGAAGGCCUGGUCAUUCGUGGAAGAAGUCAGGAUCAAAAUCUUGGUAAAAAUAUGAAGGCCAGAUCGAAAUCGAGACGUACAGAAAAGUUAUGUCAUUACUCUACGAAGAAGGGACGUAUCAUGGUUGAUUGCUAUUCUUUUGAAAAAUGGGAAUAAGGUUGUCGAUCCCAUUGAAAGGGAAAAAUAACAUGUUAACACAACGAAAGCUGAUGUUGUGGAAGACACACAAAGUGAAUGAGAGCUUCUUGUAAUGUUUAACAUAGAUUCUAAACCUUGUGAGGAAUGGAUUCUUGACUCAACUUCUACUUUCCACAUGUGUCCUAAUAGGAUUGGUUUACAACAUAUGAAAGAGCUUCGAGAGCUGCAAUGAUAAUGGGAAACAAUGCGCAUUGUAAGAUUGUCGGAGUUGGUAAAGUCAGAAUCAAAAUGUUAGAUGAUGUUAUCAGAACACUUUUAGAUGUCAUGCAUGUUCCAAAAUCAAAGUGAAAUCUAAUAAGUUCGAGUACAUCUGACUCAAAAGGUCAUAAAUACACUGGUGAAUGUGGAGUUUUGAAGGUGAGUUGGGGUGCUCUUACUGUCAUGAAGGGAUAAAAAACUCUACAUAACUAUAUGUUUUGCAAAGUUACAGGAGAUACAACAGUCUCUACUUCUUCUUUGACUGAUAAAGAAGUUCCAAAACUUUGGCAUAUGUGACUUGUCAUAUGAGUGAAAAUGGUAUAGCAGAGUUUAGUAGGAGGAGAGGGAAUACUUGAAUAUAUACAUUCAGCUCUUUGUGGACCGGUCAGGGUACCUUCAAAAGGAAGUACUUAUUAUCUAUUAAAAGUGUUUGAUGAUUUAUCCAAGAAAGUUUGGGUAUUUUUCCUAAAACAGAAGAUUGAUGUAUUUGGAACCUUCAAGGAAUGGAAAACAAUGAUAGAAAAGUAGAUUAAGUGUCUACGCACAGAUAAUGGGUUGGAGUUUUGUUAAAAUGAUUUCAUUAGCUUCUACAGAGCUGAAGGCAUAUUGAGACACUUGAUAGUGCCCAGAACUCCUCAACAGAAUGGUAGGCAGAACAAAUGAAUAGAACUUUGAUGGAAAGUAUUCAUUGUAUGUUUUCAAACUCUGUGUUGCCUAAGAUUUUUUAGGCUGAAGCUACUACCACAAAUUGUUUUCCGAUUAAUUGCUCACCCACAAUUGUCACUGAGAAAAAGGCACUAAAAGAGGUAUGGUCUGAGAAACCUUCUUGUUAUACUGAUUUAAAGAUUUUUGGGUAUCUCACUUAUGCUCUAUAUAUAAUGGGAAGUUGAAGCCUAAUUCAAGGAGAUAUGUCUUUCUUGGGUAUAAAUCAGGUAUGAAGGGAUAUAAAUUAUGGUGACCUGAGACAAGAAAGGUGGUGGUUAGUAGAGAUAUAGCAUUUGAUGAACUGACUAUGGUUCAUAAUUCAUCUCGUAUGGAUUCUGAUAAAAAUGAAGAACAGAAUCAUUCAACUCAGAUGGAAUUGAAAAUUGGUCCAAUGAAUAAUUAAAGGUUUUAGAAAAGUCUAGUUCAAAAUUGAUAGACAGUAAUACUUUGCCUACACCACCAGCAACACUACAGUAUUCAAUUGUUAAGGGCAAACCUCACAGAUAGAUUAGACUUCCACAGAACAAUGGAGAAGUAGACUUGGUAGCAUAUGCUUUGAAUGUGGCCGAAGAAAUUGAUUCCACUGAGGAACCUGUUACAUAUAUAGAUAUCAUCAGCAGUAGUGAUUCAUGCAAAUGGUUUAUUGCUAUGCGAGAGGAGAUUGAGCCAUUGAAUAAAAAUUGUACUUGAGACUUGGUGAAACUACCUAAGGAUAAAAAUGUUGUUCGCUACAAGUGGGUAUUCAAAAGGAAAUAAAGGACAUUAUGGAUUGAAGAUACUAGGUAUAAGGUCUGAUUGGUAACGAAGGUUUAUAAUCAAAUUCUAGGUGUUGACUUCACAGAUGUGUUCUCUUUGAUUAUAAAGCAUAGUUGAUUGUAAAACAUGGUUCAAUUCAAGCUUUACUUGAGAUAGUGGAAAAAAGAGUGACUUAGAACUUGAGCAAAUGGAUGUCAAUACAUCAUUUUUGCAUGAAAAACUUGAAUAAAACAUUUACUUGCAACAAUCAAAGGUUUUAAUGUUUCUGGGAAGGAAGACUCUAUGUGCUUGUUGAAGAAGUCCUUAUAUGGACAAAGCAGUCAUCGAGGUAGUGGAACAAAAUGUUCGAUUCAUUCAUGACUGCUCAUACUUUCAGCAGAAACAAUUACGAUAGUUUUGUGUACUUCAAAAAGGAAGAUGGUGGAGCGAUAAAAUAUUUGCUAUUAUAUAUUGAUGAUAUGUUCAUUGUACCCAAGGAUAAAGUAGAGGCCACAAAUUUGAAAUCUCAACUUAGUAAGCAGUUUGAGAUGAAGGAUUUGGAUGUAGCAAAGAAAAUUCUUAGUAGGAAAUCUUGAGGGAUGGAAAGUCUUUCAAAUUGUAUUUGAGUCAUAAUGGGUACAUUAAGAAGGUGUUUCAAAGGUUCAAUAUGUUGAAUGCUAAGGUUGUCAACACUCCCUUGGCUAUCCACUUCAAAUUAUCAUCUGGAUUGUGUCCUCAAUUAGAUGAAGACAUUGAUUAUAUGUCUCUGGUCCCUUAUUCAAGUGCAGUUGGUUCGUUAAUGUAUACUAUAGUUUGUACAAGACCGGAUUUGGUACAUGCAGACAAUACAAUUAGUAGAUACAUGGCAAAUAUUGGCAAAGAACAUGGGAAAACAAUGAAAUGGAUAUUCAGAUACUUGAAGGACUCAAUUAAUGCUUGCUUGUAUUUUGGUAAAAAUAAAGCUAGAUUUAUUGGAUAUGUCGAUUCAGAUUAUGCAGGAGAUCUUGAUAAAAGGAGAUCACUUAUAAGAUAUGUAAACACCCUUGGAGGUUGUGCUAUUAGCUGGAAAGCUAUUUUGCAAAAUAAAAUAGCUUUUUCUACAAUAGAGACAUAUAAGAAGGAUAUGCGGUUAAGUUGUUUGAUUGUUGAAAUCAGUGAUGGCUUGCAGAUUUCUACAGUAUAUGUGAUAAUUAGAGUGCUAUUUUCUGAUUAAGGAUCAAAUAUUCCAUGAGAAAACUAAGCACAUUGGUGUGAAGUAUCAUUUUGUACAUGAAGUGAUUGCUCAUGGUAAUAUUGUAGUGGACAAGGUUAAUACAAAAGAUAAUAAUGCUGAUAUGAUGACAAAUCUACUUUAUAUUGCUAAGUUUAAGCAUUACUUGAAUUUAGUUAGUGUUUAUCAUUAAUUUAGUCCAUUGGGUCUUGUUUAGAAGAGAAUGAAUGUUGUUUGCUUUAAAGAUGUGUUUUUGGAAUUUCUUGUAUUGAAAUUUGGUUCAAGGUGGAGAUUUGUUAUAAUGUGACCCAUGUUCUAGUGGGUAUAGAAGUCUUAGUUAAAGUAGUCUUGAAGAGCUCAAAAUUAUGGACCAAAAAGAAAACUUAUCACAUUUUUGCUAGCCUAACGCUAGUUGGCCGCUUGAGCGACACCAACAUGGCAGGGCCCUCUCUCCCUAUCACUCAAGUGACAGGAUUAUUCGGCCCAGUCUGUUUUAAUGCAUUUUGGACUCCUAUUUAUUUUCAACUUGAUUUCUAGGGUUUUAUAUAUAUGAGUUACAACUUCUAUUGUUUACAUAACAUUCAUACAAUAUCUUGGGAGCUCUAGAUCUUAGUUGAGAGCAUUGAGAUCUUAUUGUAAACACAACUAGUAUUGAUUAUAAUGUAUUUUGCCUCCUCUGCUAGUAGUUUUUUCCCAUCUUGGUUUCCACGUAAAUAUUGGUGUUCUUUAUUUUGUUCUUAUUUAUUUUAUUAUUGUCAUAAUCUUUCGAUCAAAUUCGCAACAGGUGGUAUCAAAGCGAUUCUGGCAUCUUGUCUAUUCAUAUCAAUAUAUACACUAGUUGGCUUUCACUAGCUAAAAUCGAGAUUGAAUUCCUUGUAUUUCUAAAAAUUAAUUAGGGUGAUUUAUGAGAUUCUUUCUAUUCACGUUGACUACCUAAAUAUUAUUUGUAUCUAACAAAUACAUCUCCUAUAUAAUUGUAUGUUAUUAUUUUGGCUAUGUUUGAGUCCCUUUUGUGUAAAAAGUGAGUUUUCUAAUAGUGAUUUUUAUGAAUAAUGUGUAAUUAAAAAGUAGAAAAAAAAUUUAAGUUUACGUGCAAAUUAUUCAUUUGAAGAAUAAUGGUUAAAAUUAAGCUUGAAGAAAAAUGAAUUUUUAGAAAAUGCAGCUCAAACAUGGGUUAUAUAUUCAUAACCUGACAUUUGCAAGAUUAAUUGCUCAAAAUUUUAAUUAUGAGAAUGAUUUUCAAGUUAUAUAAUAAGAAAGCUAGUGAGCAUAAAUUUCAAACUUUUAAUAAAUAUUAGUUAGGAUAAAAAAAAAAUGGUUUAACACUAUUAUUUAUUAAAUAUCUCCAAUUAAUUUUUGAACCAUUACUAUUUAAAAAAAGGGUUUUCCAUUUUAUGUCUAAUGAUACUAUUUUUCGUGGACAACGCUUCUACACAUUAUGUCAACAUCAAAGUUCUCCCUAUAUAGUUAGUUAGCUUAUGGUCAAAGCUUAAUAUUUCACAUCUACGAUUUUAAAAUAUUCAAUAUAUAUACAAUUGUUCCAACAUAGAGCACUAAGAUAGACAUUAAACCGUGAUACUAAUUAAAUUAUAAAGAUUUGUCGACUUCAUUUUGAUUACACAAUUUUCUUAGUAUUGGGAGGAGGUACUAAGAAGUUGAAAAUAAUAAACAUAAACAUAAGGAGGAGGUAUUAAGAAAUUAAAAAUUACAAACAUAAAGCAUCAUUUUAUUAUUUAGAUCAUUAUACAAGAUAAUGUGAAUUAAGAAUUUGAAAAGAUAAUUCAUUUAAGUGCAGUUACUCAUAAAAGAAUUUGACAAUAUAUUAAACAUUAUAUUUACAUGCUCCAACUCAAGUUGACGUCAUGGAGUAAGAAUCCAUUUACAUUAUACUUGAUAAAUCAAUGGCACGCUGAUGCGUGAUAAUAUUUGAUUCCAAGAUAAAAAUCUAAAAACAAAAUAAAAUAAAAAAAAUAGAGCGAAUAGUAAAGAUUUUCCCAUUAAGAUAUAUAUACUCUUGGUGAGUGUAUAACCACAUCAAUUUGUAAAACCGAAUAGAGGUUCAUGUAGAUGAGGUAUUGAAAAUUGAGAUAUCUCAAUAAAUUUUAUUAUUAUGAAUGGAAGAAACGAAAUUGAAAAGAAAAAGUUGCUAAAAACACUUUUGUAGAUGAUGCGGCAUGUUAUAUUAUGAACAAUAUAGAGAAUGUCAAAAAAAAAUUCAUCGAAAAAUACGGAAGUAGAAAUGAAUGGCUAAAAUAACAUGACAUAAUUCAGGCAAAAUUGAACGUAAUAGAGAUAUCUAAAGUUUUUGGACAUGCAGUUCAAACACCUAAACGUGUAAAGUUAAUUUUACAUAUGCGAAUAUCAAGUGAGAAACUGAAGUCACAAAAUAUAAUGCAUGACUCUUAACAUAAUAAAUUUUGGAAAAAAAUCGUAUAGAUAAAUUUUCAUGUGGAGGAUGAAAUCACAAAUAUAUAUCUUGUUAACCUAAUAUGCAUAAUAUCUAAUAAAUGUGGUUAUAAUUAACCCAUCGACAAGAUUAUUAAUACUAUUUUUUUAAAUAUGUUAAUUAUUCAAUAUGCUUAUAAUUCAAGUGAUAUUGUCAUAGGGAAGUAUAUAUAAUUUGUACACUUCUUAGUCUUCCCCUUUUUCUUUUUUUUUUUCUUUUACCAAGAUUGUAUCUCGUUGUUCUUCUCAAAAAUGCUCUUUUUUCCUCAUUAGAAUACUUUAGAAAGGUUCUUCCUAGUGAAAUUUUCACGAUGUAUAUUAUGUGUAAUGAAUAAUAAUAACAUACGUGACAUUUACUCUCAAUAUAACUUUAUGAUUUUACUCUCGUAUACUAUAAAUUGUAUAUUAGACUUCCGAAGGAAGAAUAAUAAAAUUUAUUUUUCAAUGGACCAUCAUACGGAAUGAAGUAAAAAAAUAAAUAAAUAAAUAUUAAUAUCUUUUAUGAAGACGAGUUUGCUUAAUACUAUAGCAAGACAAUAUUGAACAUAAUUCAUCAAAAUUAUAAUAUAAAUUUUUGGAAGAUGGUACAUUGAAACAUUGGCACAUAAUGAAAGACUCAAUAUAAGAAUUUUCAUUAGUACUUGUCACGAUACCGUACACUUACAGUUUAAGUGAACAAUAAUUCUAGGCAAUUUUUUUUAUAUAGAGGAACAAUUCUCUCAUUUAGUAGUCAGAGAAUUAAAGUCAUUCAUGAACUAUUUCUCUCCCAUUGAAAAGAGCGAUUGGCAUUUGCAAGAACUUUCAACAAAAAUAAAAAAAGAUGAGUACCCCCCCCCCUUCUUGCUACCACCAUCAACACCAUUUUUCGCUUUGAAUGGACCAAAACCAAAAAUAUUAUGAAUAGAAUGAAAGGAGAUAAGCUAGAAAGAAAGUUUAGUUGAAACUCAGAAAAAGAUACGUAGCUUGAACAAUAUUGAAAUUCAAUUUAGAAAAUAUAAAUAAUGAAAAUACACAAAAUCAAAGAUCACUCCAAAAACAAAAUCUCCACCCGUGAAUUAUUAUCAUGAUAAAUGAAUUCUUAAGUCCACAUAAACAAAGAUACGAUUUGAUGUUUUGUAUAAUUAAUGUGUAUAUAAAAUGCAAAUAAAAAUGAUUCUUUUUUCUUUUUUUGGUCUAGAAAAGAACAUAUUGUCCCUACCAUGAAUGAUUUUCAUUAAACAGAAACUUCAACUGUUUUUCGGCGGACUCUCACUUCACCAUUCAGUGUAAAAAAUAAAUUAGGAAUUCUUUAGUCAAUAAAUUUGCCAAAAAAUAAAAAAAGGAUUAUGAUGAAGGCAUCUUGACUAGUCAGCUGUUGAUUUGAUAGCUUAUAUUGAUGAAAUAGCUAUGUCGAUCUCUGUUUUAUAUUUUAGCUUAUAAAUUAUUAAGUCAUAUGAAUAUUUUAUAUGCAGUAAUAGAGAUGAUUGCUUAAAUGUGAAUUUAAGGGGGCAAAAAAAAAAUCAUCGAGAAAAUUGUAUUCAAUAAUUUAACAAUGGGAAUAAUGGUUGUAUGAAAAGGCGGAAAAGAUAUUAAGGCCUUGUUUGAGCUCCAUUUUGGGAGAAAAAAUAAAUUUUUGAAUAGUGUAUCAAUGGAAAAUGCAUAAUUAAAAAAUAAGGAAAAGUUUUGAAUUUGAGUGUAAUAUUAUUUUAUUAAAAAUGUGUGAUUGAUAUAAUAUCAAAAUACUGUUUAAGAAUGUAUCCCAAAAAAAAAAAGACUCAAACAAGGGUUAAAGUUUGAUAAAGAUGGGUAGGGACACACGAGUGUACUAAGUGCUCCAUUAGUCCAUUUCAGAGUUUGGUCGCUUAUUUAAGGUCAAAUUCUAAAUCUUGGAUGCAUUCUUUGGGUGGACAGGCUUAUCUUCCCCCACUUAGCACUCAAAAUUAUUGUGUGUGUGUGUAUAUAUAUUCGUUGCACUCAAACCCCAUAAAACAUUUAUUUAAAAAUGACGCGAGUAAUUAGAUGAGCAAAUUACAUUAGAAAAUAAAAUAAAUAAGAAACAUCUAUGAAAAUGUGCGUAACUUUCGAAUCGAGUUUCAGAUUUAUGCAAGCAAGUAAAAUUCAAAACACUUUUUUUCAAUUUUGCACAAUUUUUUGGGACAAUGUUGGCCGAAAGUCAAACUUUCGGGCUCAAAUUUUGUCGUUUAGAUGUCCAUUUUAGGAAUUUUCUAAUUUUAGUCCAUUAAAGGGCAUUUUCAUCACUUUACGCCUUAUUUUAGUUUUAUUUAGAUUUGUGUGUUGAAUUAGAAUUUCUCUUUGAUUAGGAUUUGUUUUGACUAGUUAAAUAUUUGUUAAGAGUUUGAAAAUUCUAUAUUCAUUUUUUAUUAAUAAUAAUUUAGUCUUCAGUUGCCUCGUUAUUUGAUGGAUUCUAAUAUAUCUCAAGUUUGUUCAAGUGCAAGUCGAACAAUAGUCGUUCAUGUGUGUUAGAUGGCAGUUCAGUCUCCAAAUAAAUAUUUCUCAUUAACUAGGACAUGGGUGCUGUUCAGGGACACCCAGUGAAAUUUAUCCUAUGAAUUGUAAAGUUGAUGUUUUGUACCAUGUUGAUUGACUUGUCAUUCUUUAGAGAAAAGAACAAGAUAUUGAAGCCGCUAAUGGGAAAAGUAGAAAAGAGAAUGUUUUCCCACUAAGUAUGUUUUGUGGGAUGACUUUGAAAUCACUGUUUCAUGCCAAAGAUAUUGGUCCCACAUCCAAGUAUCAAUAUUUUUAAACCAAUCUUUCUGAAUGUACAUAAUAAUUUAUAUUCUGAUUUACCGAAUUUAUACUUGGCAUAAUCUUACAACAUUUUUCACAUCUUACACAUUUAAUUCAACCAUCACAAUCUUACCACAUUACUCAUCUAUCAAUAAAGAUGUCAAUGUUAAUGUACAAAUAGCUAAUUGUCUUUCAACCUUACCCCUCAACACAAGUAUUGAGCAGAGAAAAAGAUAAAAGGAUAAAAAGAUUUAGCUCUUAUUUGGUCCUUAUUUCUGAGCAUUUAUUUUUUAAAAUUAUUUUUUAAUUAUAUAUUUUUUAUUAAAUUCAUUGUUAUCAAUUAAAAUGGAGAGAAUAAAAGCGAGUCCAUGUCCCAACUAGGUGAACCAUACCAAAGCAAGCUAAACCAUCUGCGAGCCAAAUCACAUACAAACUCGAAAUAACAUUAGCAAGCCUAUAUCGAUUUCACCAACUUUUCCACAUUAGCAAAAGUCAUUAUCAUAGUGCACGUGAACAAGCAUGGCAAGCAUGAUUUCACAUCCAAUGAAUAAAGAACAAGAAAGAUAACAUAUAACAAUUUCAUUUAUAAAUUAACUAAUCAAAGGUUGCGACAUGGCAUUAACCAAAAGAUGUAUUUACACCCCGCCCGAGGCUUUGAUAAGAAUCUAUAAGUAAGCGCCAAUUGAAAAAGAAAAGGAUAUGCAAAUUUGAAUAGCUUCCUCCCAAUUAAUCAUUUCUCCUCUUUCUCUUUAUUGAACAUAAGAUUAAUGAGUUUAGCAAGGAAAAACCUUGAUUAGGUAAGAGGAAUUUAUUAAUCAUCAUUUAGAGGUCAACAUCCACAAUUUUUAUUAACUAUUCAAGAAUACAUUUCAUCAACUUUUGUCAAUAUAUACUAAAAAUCUAAUUUUUAUUCAAAUGGUCAAGUGCUUAAUCAAAUUCGUAAAUCGGAGACUAAAAAUUAAGCCCCUAUACGGUCUGGCCAAAAAUCAAAUUUUUAAUUACUUUUGAUAAAAGUUAAUGGCAUAUAGAGUUAAAAAUUAAUAAAAGAUGUGAAACCAAUGAAAUGUAUGAUUAAAAAUAAAUUUGAAACAAAAAAUGAGUUAUAUAAAUUUGGAACAGCUAUAUUCAGAAUUCUAUACAUGUGUGUACCAUAAUUGUUUUCAACAAGUUUUAUCUUUUCCCAAUAUAAGACAAAGUUACAUCAAAACGAAAUGUUAAUGUUCCAUCAUGUUAAAAAUAUUCAUAGUAAAAUAUAUAUAUCAAGACUCAAUCGCACUUUGCAAGUGGAAAUACUGAUUAUAUUACUGCUCCAUCAUGUUAAAUUCGUGAUAUAGGCAACUAAAAAAGUAAGCUUGCUGCUCUUCAAUACCACCAACUAAAAAAAAAAGAAUCCAUUUCCGAUUGUUAGCUUCUAAAUUUUUUGGGCAUCCAUCUCAAUGUCAUUCCUGAUGCUCAUCAUGGUCCUAGCCAUUCAGACAAAGUGUAAAACUGAAGAUAAGUGGGCAGAAAUCGAAGAAGUUUUUGGAAUUUACUGUUAAAUGUGGCAUUAAUUUGUAAUCUUAGGAAAUAAGGUUACAUGCACUUGAAGAAAAUGUAUCAGGAAAAUACAUGAUGCACUUGAAGAAAAUGUAUCAGGAAAAUACAUGAUGCAAAUUCAUGAAUUAUUAGGUGUCCAUUUAUAUUCCCAUGUCUCUAGAGUUAUCCAUGUGGUCCUAUAAAUAGAGGUCAUUCUUGUAGUCUCAUUGUAAGAAAAAAAAAAAGAAAACAUUAUUGAGUGUGCUGUAGCAACUCAAAAACUAUCAAUAAAAAUUCAAGUUUUUCUUCAACACUUCGUUUCCGCACUAACAAAUUUGGUAUCAGAGCCAUAACUUGUAAUUGCAUUUUUUCAUGGCUUUAAUACAAACAGCUUCGUUGUUUACAUAUUCUUCCAGUCAAGUCCCAAUCUUCGAAGGCGAGCAUUAUGAAUACUGGAGCAUCCAAAUGCAAACUUUCUUCAUCUCCUUAGAUCUUUGGGAUGUCAUUGACGAUGAGGAGUACGAAGAACCAUCCGAAGACAAUGAAGAUUACGAAAAAUUGCAAAAAGAAUUUAAAAGAAAAGAUGCAAUGGCUCUCCGCUAUAUUCAACAAGGAGUCGGGAAAUCAAUUUUCCCUCGUAUCUUUGGUGUUAAUAAAGCCAAAGAUGCUUGGGAAAUAUUGAUGCAAGAAUUUCAAGGAACGGAGAAAACGAUCACCUUGAAACUUCAAUCCUUAUGGAGAGACUUUGAUAAUCUCCAAAUGGAAGAACGAGAAUCGGUUUGUGUUUUUUCUUCACGAGUAGCCGAGACAGUAAAUCAAAUCAAAAGCUGUGGUGACACAAUUACAGAUAAAAGAGUCGUGGAGAAAAUGUUAAGAUGCCUUCCUCCAAAGUUUGACCAUGUUGCAGCCGCAAUUGAAGAAUCGAAAGACUUGUCCAAAAUGACCAUUUAUGAGUUAACCGGGUCACUUCUUGCCCAUGAGCAAAGGAUCAAUCAUUCGAGUAACCAAUCUACUACCGAACAAGCUUUCCAAUCAAAGCAAACAUCAAAAAGAAGAAAAUAUUAUUGAGUGUGCUGUAGCAACUCAAAAACUAUCAAUAAAAAUUCAAGUUUUUCUUCNNNNNNNNNNNNNNNNNNNNNNNNNNNNNNNNNNNNNNNNNNNNNNNNNNNNNNNNNNNNNNNNNNNNNNNNNNNNNNNNNNNNNNNNNNNNNNNNNNNNNNNNNNNNNNNNNNNNNNNNNNNNNNNNNNNNNNNNNNNNNNNNNNNNNNNNNNNNNNNNNNNNNNNNNNNNNNNNNNNNNNNNNNNNNNNNNNNNNNNNNNNNNNNNNNNNNNNNNNNNNNNNNNNNNNNNNNNNNNNNNNNNNNNNNNNNNNNNNNNNNNNNNNNNNNNNNNNNNNNNNNNNNNNNNNNNNNNNNNNNNNNNNNNNNNNNNNNNNNNNNNNNNNNNNNNNNNNNNNNNNNNNNNNNNNNNNNNNNNNNNNNNNNNNNNNNNNNNNNNNNNNNNNNNNNNNNNNNNNNNNNNNNNNNNNNNNNNNNNNNNNNNNNNNNNNNNNNNNNNNNNNNNNNNNNNNNNNNNNNNNNNNNNNNNNNNNNNNNNNNNNNNNNNNNNNNNNNNNNNNNNNNNNNNNNNNNNNNNNNNNNNNNNNNNNNNNNNNNNNNNNNNNNNNNNNNNNNNNNNNNNNNNNNNNNNNNNNNNNNNNNNNNNNNNNNNNNNNNNNNNNNNNNNNNNNNNNNNNNNNNNNNNNNNNNNNNNNNNNNNNNNNNNNNNNNNNNNNNNNNNNNNNNNNNNNNNNNNNNNNNNNNNNNNNNNNNNNNNNNNNNNNNNNNNNNNNNNNNNNNNNNNNNNNNNNNNNNNNNNNNNNNNNNNNNNNNNNNNNNNNNNNNNNNNNNNNNNNNNNNNNNNNNNNNNNNNNNNNNNNNNNNNNNNNNNNNNNNNNNNNNNNNNNNNNNNNNNNNNNNNNNNNNNNNNNNNNNNNNNNNNNNNNNNNNNNNNNNNNNNNNNNNNNNNNNNNNNNAUGGAGAACGAAAGCACUACUUGAGCUUGUGCACUCGGAUAUUUGUGGGUUAAUGCAAACUCCCACUUUUGGAAACAAGAGAUAUUUUAUUCUCUUUGUUGAUGACUUCACAAGAAUGAUAUGGGUUUUCUUCUUCAGUCAAAAAUCUGAGGCAUAUUCCACAUUUCUUCAAUUCAAAGCUCAAGCAGAAAGGCAAAGUGGUUUUUUGAUAAAAACUUUAAGGAUAGAUCGUGGAGGUGAAUAUCUCUAUAAUCCUUUCAUGGAAUAUUGCAGAAAAAAUGGCAUCAAAAGACAAUUAACUGUGAGUCGAACUCCGCAACAAAACGGCGUGGCCGAAAGGAAAAAUCGCACAAUUGUUGAAAUGGCAAGAAGCAUGCUAAAAGGCAAAGGACUUCCAAAUCUGUAUUGGGCAGAAGCUGUAAACACGGCAGUAUACAUUCUCAAUCGGUCUCCAACAAAGGCUGUACGGAAUAAAACUCCAUACGAAGCUUGGAACAAAAAGAAGCCAAUGGUUGAUCACUUCAAAAUAUUUGGCAGCAUUUCUUAUGCUCUUAUCCCUUCUCAAAAUCGGGAGAAAUUUGACGAGAAAGGACAAAAACUUGUCUUUGUUGGAUACAAUGAUGAAUCUAAAGGAUAUCGGUUAUUAGAUCCAACUACAAACAAAAUUACAAUUUCACGAGACGUUGUUUUUGAUGAAGCUGCAUCUUGGGAUUGGAAAGGAAAAGAAGUUGUGGACCAGACACCAUACCAUUUUGUUGAUCCAUUAACAUUUAAAGCAGGUCCGUCACAAGUUGGAAAUUUAGAGCAUAAUCCAAACCCUACUCCAAGAAGUGAGGAAGAAUCUGAUCCAGAAAGCCCUCCAAGAAAGACACGUUCACUACAAGACAUAUAUGAGUCAUGUGAACUUGGGUUGUUCUCUAGGGAACCACAAUCAUUUGAAGAAGCCUCAAAAGAAGUAUGUUGGACAAAAGCCAUGAAUGAAGAAAUGUCCACAAUCGAGAAAAACAAAAUUUGGAAGCUUGUUGCCUUGCCAGAAGGGAAGAAAAUCAUUGGACUCAAGUGGGUCUAUAAAAUAAAAUACAAUGAAGAUGGGUCGAUCCAAAAGCACAUUGUUGCAAAAGGGUAUUCUCAACAGCCCGAAAUUGAUUACACUGAAACAUAUGCUCCGGUUGCAAGAAUGGAGACAAUUUGUACUGUUUUGGCACUGGCAGCUCAAUUGGAGGUAUGUGUUUAUCAACUUGAUGUAAAAUCGGCAUUCUUAAAUGGUGAAAUUCAAGAAGAAGUUUAUGUCGAGCAACCCGAAGGAUUUGAAAUCAAAGGACAAGAAGGAAAAGUCUAUCGUUUAUACAAGGCACUUUAUGGUUUAAAGCAAGCACCGCGAGCAUGGAAUAGCAAAAUCAAUAGCUAUUUCAUCCAAAAUGGAUUCAAUCGAAGCACNNNNNNNNNNNNNNNNNNNNNNNNNNNNNNNNNNNNNNNNNNNNNNNNNNNNNNNNNNNNNNNNNNNNNNNNNNNNNNNNNNNNNNNNNNNNNNNNNNNNNNNNNNNNNNNNNNNNNNNNNNNNNNNNNNNNNNNNNNNNNNNNNNNNNNNNNNNNNNNNNNNNNNNNNNNNNNNNNNNNNNNNNNNNNNNNNNNNNNNNNNNNNNNNNNNNNNNNNNNNNNNNNNNNNNNNNNNNNNNNNNNNNNNNNNNNNNNNNNNNNNNNNNNNNNNNNNNNNNNNNNNNNNNNNNNNNNNNNNNNNNNNNNNNNNNNNNNNNNNNNNNNNNNNNNNNNNNNNNNNNNNNNNNNNNNNNNNNNNNNNNNNNNNNNNNNNNNNNNNNNNNNNNNNNNNNNNNNNNNNNNNNNNNNNNNNNNNNNNNNNNNNNNNNNNNNNNNCAGUUUUUCAUGCCAGAUCGAAGCAUAUUGAACUACGUCAUCACUUCAUUCGAGAUUUGGUAAGUCGAGAAGAAAUUUGCAUGGAAUUUAUCAACACAAAUGAUCAGCCAGCAGACAUUUUAACAAAGACAGUCACAUUUGACAAGUUCGAAAAGAUCAAGAAAAAACUCAAGAUUACAAAUUAAGAGGGGGUGUUAAAUGUGGCAUUAAUUUGUAAUCUUAGGAAAUAAUGUUACAUGCACUUGAAGAAAAUGUAUCAGGAAAAUACAUGAUGCACUUGAAGAAAAUGUAUCAGGAAAAUACAUGAUGCAAAUUCAUGAAUUAUUAGGUGUCCAUUUAUAUUCCCAUGUCUCUAGAGUUAUCCAUGUGGUCCUAUAAAUAGAGGUCAUUCUUGUAGUCUCAUUGUAAGAAAAAAAAAAGAAAACAUUAUUGAGUGUGCUAUAGCAACUCAAAAACUAUCAAUAAAAAUUCAAGUUUUUCUUCAACACUUCGUUUCCGCACUAACAUUUACAAGGUCCAUUAGGUCCUUCUCAUCUAAAAUAGAUGACCAGGCAUUUUCUGCAGUAAUUUUGAACCAUGAUGAUAGAGAGCUCCUGCAAACAAGCUAGGUGGUACUAAAAUCUAGUCAAAAGAAGAAAAGAAAACUAGACUAGCGGUCGAGACCGGCAGGACCAUGCCAGGCCUUACUGCUUCAUCCUGCCUGGUUCAUCCUCUACCUGCCUCUAUCUGCAAAGACAUUACCAAAAAAUCUCUCCCAAGCAGCGUAUUACAACCCAUGAAUUAACAUGUUUGGACAAGGUUAAUUCCAAGGCCAAAAACAGGAGCGCCACAUGGCGGACAGCAGCCCUUUCAAUAGGGUGGCGCCCAUGUUGUUGGCCCUGGAAUUCACCCUGGCUGUCUAGCAGGGUUGAAAACCCAUUGAGGAGGGCCUUAGCCAAGGAAGGAGAGAGUGGCCAAGUGGUCAAAAGUGACAGACUCUAAAUCUGCCCAAGUCUACAGAACAAUCACCCAGAUACAUGAAAAACUCAUGUGCCUACAUUAUAGAGAUGUCAAACGGGCAAGGUCGCUGCCCUUCAAAGCAUGCUAAAAACACAAGGCCCAGUACAGCCCAUCUUGACACCUCUAUACGUGCAAUGUAAAAAAAUUUCCUUGGUACAGAAUUUUGAAAAACAAGUUCAUUGGGACCCAUCAAAAAAUGCAAUAUAUACAAUGAGAAAUGCUAUAACACAAUUGACAGAUUAACUAUAUCUUAUGAAUAAACAACCUUCACUUGGAAAUUUGUGCUUUUAUCAUGGUUACGUAACUAUUGCGUGCAAAUAUCACGGGGAAUUUCUGCGAGAUGCUUUUAGUUCUACAUUUAGUGCAAGGCUCAAGUAAGAAAAAAGAAGGAUUAGGUCAGAUUCUUAUUUGACAUCAGCUAUCUACAAUCAUAAGUUACAGUUGGCCGAUAAGAUACAUGUACAUUUGGCGUCAGUUGAAAGGCAAUAAGAUUCCAGAUAAUGUCGCUACCCCAGAAAACAUGUACAAAUCAUAGUGUCUACUUUCUGGUUAAUCUAGAGCAGUCUUCAUGAGAAAGUGAAGUCCUUGUGUCAUUUAUAAUCUUGAAUGACAAAUGCAUUUAGCGCCCGCUUGGUCCCCAUUUUAUUCUCAUUUUUCCAACUUUUGUCAACAAUAGUGGGCCCCCAAUCAAAAAAUCAAACGGCUCCCUGACAAAAAUUUGAGGCAGCAGCUUUUCAGACAUUUUGUUGAAUUUAGAAUUUUUGUCUUUCCACCUCUGCCCUCCAUCUGAAAUUUUAUUCCUUCAUUGUAGCACUUGUUGUCAACUGGAAUUUUAUUUUUUAAUUGAGGGCAAAAUGGUAAGAGAAAUUCAACGGCAUGGUACCUUGUUCUUUCAUUUCUGACGAUUUCUUCAAUGCUGUCGCCAUCAUCUACCACAAAAACUGUAGAAAAAUGAGAUAAGAUAGAAAAAUUGACAAGAACGAGCAUCAAACAGGGGCUUAAUAGGAUUCAACGGUGAAUUCCUUCGUGUAGAGACAGGCGGUACCCUUCUCAAGGACGGGGAUUAUUUUAGAUCCCAAUCUUCCACAUUCUUCGGUACAGAAACGUCAAAGAGGAAUUGACCAAGAACCCCACAAGCACUUAUGCUUGGUGGGCUAGAUAGACUUAUGUAAGGCUCUUUACGUUCAUCCUGCAAAGAUCCAAAAUCUCUACCCUCGUGAUAUUCUAUGGAAUUUGGAACAUAUAAGAAGUCAUUUAAGUCAAGGACAAUCCUCUGGAAACUCUGACUUGAUCUCUCUACGGCUUUUUUUAGAUUGGUCCAGAGAUCUCAUCAUGUGUGCCCUCGAAGCCUAUCUUCUCACCAUCAAGUUGCCGUAAUCUUCUAGAAUAAAUUACAGAAGCUUUUCCAAGCAGCUCAGUCACCGCAGCCUUUUAUUCGAUUGGAUAAUGCCGAAAAUGACCUGCACUACAAACAUAACAUGCAAAAUACAAUAUCAACAAAUAUGAAUUUUUCUAAGAUGCAAUAACAAAAACGUUACACGCCAAUGGUAGUUAGGAAAUCCUCCAAAGAAAAUCUUGCAUUACAGAUUUCAAAUUACUAGUGAUUUACUUAAAAGAAUUAUAUUCCAGUAAGUCAGCUGAUUGUCGGGGACCUAAUUUCGUUGCACCCAAUAAUUAGAACCAUGCAACCUUAACGUUCAAUAAUUUUCGCCCCUCACGAGAAAACGUUAAGUCAGUCUUACAACGCUCACAAAUAAUUUAACCAAUGAGGUUAAAUUAUAACUAUUUUGAGUAGAGAAUUUGUAGGAAAUAUAAGGAAAACAAGGUUGGGAGAACUCUCUUUAUAUAUAGCCCCCAUUUGGUUCUAAUUUUUCACCCAAAAAAAUCAAUUUUUUAACCGUUACUUUCCUAAGUCAACCGUUAUUUUAAAUUUCUUUACUCACAAGUAAAACCCACUUUUUCUCGCUAACAGUCAAAAAAUUAAUUCUCAAAAUCACUACCAAACAAACCCAUAAAUGAAAGGAAAACUUUACAAUUCUCUGAAGUAUUCAAACAAUUCGUUGCAAAUGAUUUACAAAUGAGACUACAUCUCUAUUUAUAGGCAAAACUUUGCAAGUUGUCUUGAAAUCAAUGGCCAAAAUUAAUUUUGAUUCAAGAGUCCUCAUUUGUUGCAAGUUACAUUAACCUCCUUUAAUCAAGUGGUAAUUCUAUACACUUUCCAAUCCAAGAUGCAUGUUACUUUCCAAUCUUAUGUUAGUUGACAUCAAAUGGCAUAUCUCUACAAUUCACAUGCAAUUGAAUAAGUCAUUUUCACAGUAGCCAAAUUGAACUUUAUUUCCUCCUUGACAUUAUCUUGCAAGUGGCACAAGUGGAUAAGUGGCACAAGUUGGCCAAGUUGUCCACUUGUGUCCCAAAACCAUUCGGCCGUAGCCCAUUGUAUUUCUCCUUCCCAAAAUAGUAGUUUUCAACUUAGAGAAAAAGAAAACACCCCUCCAUCUCAUCACUCAAUCAGCCAAAAUGGAUUCAACAUCUUUCUCAAAAGAUUUUGAGACAAUGAGAGGUGCCCUUUGUAAUUUGUUUCUCCCAAGAUCUUCCAAGUCCAACCUAUAUGGCUUCAACAUGCUUACAUGAAAAACUGGAUAAAUCUUCAAAGUACCCAAAAGCUAGUCAGUGGAAACUCUUCCAACUUUAGCCAUCAUGGGAAAAGAACCUUCUAACCGAGCCUUUAUUAACUUUGCGAUAGGCUUUGAAUUAUUGAGGCAACACUUUUACAAGUUCUUGAUCUCCAAUGUUGAACUCCAAUAGUCUCCGUUCAGAUCGACCCACUUUUUCAUACGUUUUCAAGCUUUCUCCAAGCAAGAUCUAGCUAAGUCCGCAUGAUCUCUCCAUGACUUAGCCAUUUUUUGUUACUCCGGGACUUCGAUCUACAUCACCAACCAUAUGCAAGGUAUGAGGCGUUGUGGGCUGUCACCCCGUUGCAAGUUCAAAAAGACUAUGUCCUAUGGAUUCACUUUUCUGCAAGUUGUAGGAAAACUGAGCUAUGUCUAUCAACUUCACCCAAUCCCACUGCUUAGCAUUAACAAAGCGCUGAAGAUAACACUCCAACGGUGCAUUCGCCCAUUCCAUCUACCCAUCCGUUUGUGGGUAGAAAUUGCUAGAAAAGUGCAAACCCGAUCUAAGGAGCUUAAACACCUCCAUCCACAAUUUUCCCAUAAAACUGGGAUAUUGAUCACUUAUAAUAUUCUAAGGCAACCCCCAAUACUUCACAACAUUUUUGAAAUAUAACCUUGCCGUCUCCUCCGCGGUGCAAUCUUUAAGGGCCGAAAUGAAAGUUGUAUUCUUUGAAAAUCAAUCAACAACAACAAUUAUUAAUUCGAGCCCUUCGGACUUUGGCAAGGUACUAAUGAAAUCAAUGACAACCACGUAUCAUGGUUGAUCAAGAACAGGAAGAGGAUCAAGAAGCCAACCGAUAAUGCAAGUAGACUUAGUCUAGGGACGCAGAUAGCCUGUUUUGGUAGAACGCAGGCUGGGGUACGGAGGAAGUUUUCCCAACACAAAAAUGAGGUUUCUCUAAGUUAAAAAAUUGCUAUUUUGGGAAGGAGAAAUACAAUAGACUGCGGUCGGAUGUUUUGGAGACACAAAUGGGCAACUUGUACAAUUUGUGCCAAUUGUCCACUUGUAUCACUUGCAAGAUAAUGCCAAGAAGGAAGCAAAGUUAAAUUUGGUUGCUAUGAAAGUGACUUGUCCACUUACAUGUAAAUUGUAGAGAUAUGCCGCUUGAUGCCAACUAGCAUGAGGUUAGAAGGUGACAUGUAACUUGCAUUGGAAAGUGUAGAGAAUUACUACUUGAUCAAAGGAAGUUAAUGCAACUAGCAACCAAUGAAGACCUUUGGAUCAAAAUUAAUCUUCGCCAUUGAUUCCAAGACAACUUGUAAGGUUUUGUCUAUAAAUGGAAAUGUCUCAUUUGUAAAUCAUAUGGAGUGAAGUGAGAUGAAUACUGGAGAGAGAUUGUAAAGUUUUCCAUUCAUUUAUAUAUAAAGAGAGUUCUCACAAGCUUACUUGUUUUCCUUAUAUUUCCUACUUCAAAUCCUCUACUCAAAGUUGUUAUAAUUUAGCUUCACUGGUUAAAUUAUUUGUGAGCGUUGAAAAGCUAACUUAACGUUUUCUCAUGAGGGAAAAGAAUUAUUGAACAUUAAGGCUGCACGGUUCUAGUUGUUUGGCUGUCCGUGACAUGAUGCUUACCAACUGAGAAAUGAAUUUAGUUAACAAGGUGCAGCGAGCCAUCUGAUUGCAUAUAACAAAGAAGGAAGGUUCAAAAACACGACUAUAUUUUAUUUCCAUGUAUUCUCAGAUAUGAAGCUUUAAUUUAUAUCCUAAGUAGCCAGGUUGAGAAGUAGAUGCACUAGCAACUGCAAUAAUGAAAGCAGUAGAGUGCAGAACAUGACUGAGAAUUCAAGGCAAUAGAGUGUCUCUAGGGCAAAUUUGUAGCAUUACAAAACAUUAAUAAGUUAAAUGCAUCAUACUUCAUCUAAACUAAUUCAAGGCAAUAGAAUGUCUCUAGGGCAAAUUUGUAGCAUUACAAAACAUUAAUAAGUUUUAUACAUCAUACUUCAUCUAAACUCAUAUUUUAUAAAUUAAAACAAUAUCAUUUCUAAUAGUUUAUUAAUAUUAGAUAAAAAAAUAAAAUAAAAUAAAAAAAGAGAAGGGAUUAAAAUCUCUAUGUAAGCUAUUCAUUUAGCAGGAGAAAUGUCAAAUAUAACAGUCUGCAAUAUACACAGAUAUUAUUACUUGGACCAGCAGUUCCUGCUUCAUUUGUCAAACCUAUAACCUGGGACAGGUUAUGGCAAAUGAAAAUAUGAAAUAAGAAUCUGACUUCAUCAUUGUUGCUCUGGCAAAAAUUGCACAGAGGCAUACUUGUGUUUGUAAGGUGCUGAAAAUUUGUAAAUUGGAAACCUCGUGUUAAAUUGCACGCCCUGAGUACAUAUGCCCUAUGAAGUGAAUUUUGUGUCCUUAGGUCAGACCUUUCACUGAGCCACUGAAAUACUGCAUCCAGUGGCCAAUACUGCUCCAUUUAAGCUAACACAAUUUCGUUCGCUCUUAUGAGCACUUAUUUCAGUCAACUGUGCAUAAAUAUAGCCUAAACAUCUCUUCAAAUUUUAUCUGCAUUAAGCCCAUCCCAAGAAAAUCUGACUGUAUAAUACGUUUAUAAGCAUACCUACGUGAGAUGAGUUAUUCCAUUUCCAUCAGCCCUGAGGUCUCUAAGCCUUUGGGUCAAAAUGCAAAUUAUCUGACAUGGAGCGAGAUCAUCAUCUCUUCAAAACAUCUCUUCAAAUUUUAUUUGCAUUAAGCUAACCCAAGAAAAUCUGACUGUAUAAGACGUUUAUAAGUAUACCUACAUGAGAUGAGUUAUUCCAUUUCCAUCAGCCCCGAGGUCUUUAAGCCGUCGGGCAAAAAUGCAAAUUAUCUGACAUGGAGCGAGAUCAUUUCUGGGAAAAAAAAUUAGGUACGAUGCCCCCCAUGCUCUGCAUAAAGAUAAUAAUUAAUCACUGAACAAUCAGUAGAAAGCAACUUGCCAUGGCAUUCCGUGUUUGGCACUUUGGCUAAUCUAAAGAAAUAGUUACCUUCUCCAUUCAUGUUUGCAUACUUACCUUAAGUGGAAAAGAAGUCACUUCUAUUUAAUUAACUCUCACCUUAUUGUCAAAUGAGUAACUUUUUCCAUCUUUGACCAUUAAAAUUUUAUUUAUAUUAAAACUUUUGACUUUACUUAUCAGUAAACUUAUUAAGAUUAACAAAACAUGCUGUAAAUUUAAUGGAUGCUUACUGCAGAGGAGUAAAGAUUCUGCCAAUACUCUGCACGUUGCGCUUCAAAUCUGCCAAGGAAGAAGGCAUCCAGACUGGACGAAAUGCCAUUUGCAAUCCAUGAUGCUAGGAAUGGGGCAGAGGACAUAUCGAGAACAGAUGGAUGAAGAAUAAAGCAAGUGGCCAAGUCACUUGUUAAAAUCCACUGGAGUAGAAUAAAAAAUGUGGCCAGAAACACAGUCUUUAACCGGUCGUAGUCGUCCUUCAGAUGAAACACGCCAUUAGAUAAGCCAUCACUUGUAUCAAGGUUCUUCAUCGAACAAUAUAGUAGAUAACCAUUACUAUUUCUUCUAAAAUGAGAAUAUAUGAUGAGUCAAUGACUAUGGUAUCCGAUUUUUGUUUGUUAUGGAGAAUGGUUAGAGCUCUAUGAUAUUAAUUGUUCAUUUUAUUGUCUAAUCAUGUCCAAUAUUGUGUAUGAGUGCUAAACUUUGGCCAUUAAGCAUCACGGAUGUUUUGACCAACAUCGGUAAGGAGAAACAUAUGCAUAAGCCAUCAACGGAAUGAGAAGAGUAUGUAGAAAGCUACAGAAACAUAUGUUACUUUUAGAAGAAAUGGAAGUAUGUGUUCACAAUUAUAUAAAUAAACAAGAUGUCGAGAUGAAUCAUUAUGAGAUAAAGCAUACCAUAUUGACCUGCUCUGGACACUUUCCUUCAAUUAUCUGCAACCAAAAGUAAAACAGGUUGCGUGUCAACUAUAGCUUCACAUGAAACAUUCAACAUCUGUGGUCUCUAAAAUGAUGAGUGUGAAUAAAUAUAAAAAAUUUACAAAUAUUUUAAGUUCCAGUUGUUGACUACGAGAAUGGCAUUUACCUGGUGAACCUUGUACGUGCUAGCUUUUGGGCCACCAGAAAAAGGCGCAAAGACAACUGGACAUGGCCUGAUUUUUAGCUCAUUUAAAUCAAAUCGAAAUAAAUAUGAGGAAAAGUUAAAACAACAACAUAUAUAGCAAAUUUAAAAUAUUUAGCCCCCGUUUGAGCCACAUUAUUGUAAAAAUGAGAAUGAAAAAUAUAGCUAUUAUGAGCCCUACACAAGAGAUAAAAAGUCAAAUGUGGUGGCUUGAUGUGAUGGAUAACGGUCAUAUUUUUCAUUUUAAUGAGGAAAUAAUGGGGCUCAAACAGGGCCUUAAUAACUAAGUCUAUUGUCAUUGUCAAAUCCCCAUCCCCAGGAUUACUUCGAAUAGUUUCUUUAAUGUAACAAAGAUACGACUCCAAGAGCAAGUCCACCAUUAUAGAUUAAAUAGCAAAAUGAACCACUCAACAAUUCAUGCUUUAUGGUAUGGCUGGGCAUUUGAACUAGAACUGUCGGUUUCAUUCAGGUUCCACAAAAAAAAAAAAAAAAAUUAGGAACUAGAACCUAGUACCAAAAAAUCAAUCAAAUAUAGGAUGGUUCUUAGUUCUUGAAUCAAAACCAUAUGUACGUGACUUUACAAUCGAAUUUAUCUAUUUAUAUAAGUUUUUUCAUUUUACAAUUUAUUCAACUUGACCUAAUGACCUGAUAGGAUGCAGAGGAAACGACGUGAUGGGAAAAAAGUUAGACCAAUGUUGAUUAUCAUGUUUUCAAAGGAAUGAAUUUUUUUUUUUUCUUUUUUGUUCAUCAUUUGUAGAAUCUAUUAAUUCCUUAUUGUUGGUUUCUAAUUUUAGGUUUGUUCUUUGGCUACGUGAUUUCUUUAUGCUCUGUUAGAUAUCAGAUGCUAUUUGAUGACAUAUUUUGUUAGUUAUUGGAUGUUAUUUUGUUGCAUAAUUGCAGUGGACUAAGAAAUCGUCGAAAUAUGUAUUUUGAUGCAUAUUUUAUUUUUUCUAUUUCAUCUAGAUAUUAGAAAGAUAAUUUGUAUUGUCGGUUCACGAUUUUAAAAAAAGAUACAUAUAUUAUAGGUAGAACCUUAUCCAAACCCAAAUAGACGGUUUGGGAUCAAGUCUGGUUUCUGUAACUAAGUGUACCCAAAUGGUUCUAUUUACAAAAUAUCCGAAGUAUAAUGGAUAGUUUUGAGUAUUAAACUACCCGUGCCAACCCAGUAGAUGUCCAUAACUAUUUUAUAAUUUUGAGCGUUGGGCUAUUAAAGGUAUGUCUAUAAGACGAAAGCGAAAAUGAAGAUGCUAAGAUUUGUUUGUAAUUAUACUAAAAUGGAUCUCAUAAAAAAAUGAGAAUAUACAGUAGUAACUGGCGGUGACACCGAUUGAUGAUAAAUUGAAGGAAGCACGACUUAGGUUGCAGGGUCAUGCUUUGAGUCUAUUUAAAAAGGCUAUAUUCAUAAGAACUGACGUUAUCUCAGUGGAGCAAAUUAAAAGAGAAGGUGGUAAACCAAAAUUAACAUGGUCAGUUGUAGUUGUAAAAGGAUCGAAUUGCUUUAGAUCCCCAAUAGUUCUCACAAUGAAUAACCAACUCUACAUUUAUCAGGUAAAAGGCUUAGUUCGUUGUUGUGUUUGCUUGUUUGCUGGAAGACCAUUUGCUGUCAAAUUUAUAACAGCUCUACAUUUCCAAACUUGGAAAGCUUUUAUAACCUCAAAGAAGUUCAGCAGAUUGCUUUGAUGCAGAGCUACUCAAAUACAGAUGGUGAAUACAGAUAAAGAUACUCCUUUAAAAAACUUCUUAUACAAGAUGCAGUUGAAUUUUAUAUGACUGACCUGGACAAAAUUGUUUAUAAUUUCUAGUGCCAACGAUGCUGCUUUGUCGGGAAAGAAUCGGCAACCAUACGAAAAUGAGAAUUGUAAACCGAAUAUUUGUAAAAGAAAAAAGAAAGCUAAAGGAUAGAGUAUGCUUUAUGUAAAUUAUUUAUCAUUCUGCAUGCACCAAGUUCAAGUACCAGCGGUCUAGACAGCAUUUAUAACCGAGAUAUUCAACCAUCCCUACCUAAGAUAUAAAUAUAGAUAUUUCUGAAGAUCCACUAAUGACAAAUUUUCCACUACUAAGACGACUAUGAUUAAUUACAUAUUCUUCAUAACAUAACAACUUCAUGCACAAUCGCUUGAAAUCUCGUUAAAGCCGUCUCUUCUACGAAGAAGGUAUUUUGUGUUCGAAAAUGAGACCCAUAUAUAAGAACAUUGCCAGAGAUGGCCCAUUGAAUUGGUCGCACCUAAGAACUGGAUUAUCAAUGCCUUAAGCGCUUUACAGAUUUGAGUUCUUGAUGAAUUUUCUCUCUCUAACUGUUGGUCGUUCACGUCUUUAUGAUUGAUGAGGACAUGUCAUUUGGGCCUAAGGUUUCUUAAAUUCUAUAAACCAAGAGAAAAGUUUCAUUUUAAAGAAACUAUAUUCUUCACAUUCAAUUUCCCCCCUGUAAAAAGCACUCUGAAAGAUGCUAUAACUUCCCAAACAGCCGUUCAUAUCUAUCAAAAUAUUUUUCUUUCCUUUGGAUACCAAAAAAAUAUUAGAACGCCGUCCAAGAACGAUAGACAACACAUGGUGGCCAAGUUACAUUAACUUACGGACAAACAAAAAAUCACUUUACAGCUCAUGCAACUUUUUACUCAAUUCUGCUAAAGAAGUAGGGCAAUCUAUUCUCCCAUCGCUGUUACAAGAUACCAAGUUGGUUAGGACAACAUCAAUCAAGACAAAAGUUGCAUGACAAUACCAAAAGUCCAGAUUCCUAUUAUUCAGACCCUCACUUGUUAAGGAAAAGUUAUAACCUAUAGAUAAUAUUAUUACUUCAAACAGCAAUUGCUCCAGUUGCACUAUUCCUCUUUCCUCCAGAAUACAAUUCAUCAAAUAUCCCAAUUGUAAUACUAUAUAAUAUCAAGCAUGAAUUCAAGCCCCUGACAAGAGUAUCCUGCAUAUUAACGUAAUCUUUUAUUACUACCUCAACCCACACAAAAAGAACAUCACAUCUAUAUGUGUUUAUCCAUUCCAUGGCCCUCAGCCAGCAUUUUGCAUUUUUUUCAGUCAAGAGUUUCAUUCAAAGUAAUGGUUCCUCCAAAAAAAUUGGAUAAAAUUUUAUAAACUCCAUCAGCUCCAAUCACCUUAUACAUCACUCGGUUCAAACUCAUAAUUUAAAUUAAAGUCAACCAAUAUUCACUAAAUCCCAUGUAAAUCCAAUCCAGCAGAAACAUAUCCCAAAAUUAUAUUAGUGUUUUAAAAAUCACUCUACUAAUUUAAACCUCCCAACAAAAAUCGAAAAACAAAUUCAUAUUGUGCAGCAUAAUCAAGAAACUCGGAAAAAGAAGAUAACACAAUCAAGAAACCAUAGGUCCAAAAAAAUAAAAAUAAAAGUAAAAUAUCACAAACUCACAAAAUGUUGGAAGAUUCAGAUCAGAAUCAGAUUCUAAAUCGUGAAAUUACCAAAAAAAAAAAAAUGGAUGAUGGGAGGGGAGGAGAGAGGUUAAUCUUAGAUUAUAGACUGAGGAAUUGGGAGUGGCAAAUGAUGGAAUUCCAACCAAGAGGGGAAAAUAGAUCAACAUAAUUCUUCAAGUGCUUAUCCUGACUUGAUAUCCAUGAAAAUACUACAAUUAUGCCUUCCACUUUCCCUAUUUCUUCUCCACCAAUAAUACCUUCCUCCAAACCCCCCACAUCUUUUCAAUUUCCUCGAGGAGAAAAAAAACAAUUUCCUAGCACAAUUUUCUGACAAUAAAGAAACAAAUCCCUUUGAACAAAAAGGUAUUUAGCUUUUAAUUGUUUAUUUGUUCAUGUGGAAUAGAUUUUUUCAAGAACUCAUCCGAAAUUCUAAUUGGGGUGUGCCCAUUUCUGCUUCUUAUGGUCUUUCUUGAAAAUUAUAAAGAAUGGAUACUUGUUUUAUGAGAAUUUAUGUGAUGGUUUUAAAUAACAAAAAUGCUACCUAUAUAGCCUAUGCUGUACAUUUUGUUUGACAGGUAUCUCAUAAAAUGUAGAAGUCGUGAUUAUUUUAAUCGUGGGAACUCGUGAUUAUUUUGAUCGUGGCCCCACUUCCUCAUGUGAGAAGGCUAUCAACAAUGCUGUGAAAGAAGUUGUAAUUGUAGCACAAUUUUAUAUAUAAUAACUUGGCUGUGUCGACUUGCAGUUGUUUGAGUUGUAAGGAUUGUAACGAGCAAAGCUUUUUGUAGAACUCAUAUGACCCCUUUGUUAUUUUUGUAGUAUUUUCGAUUGGUGAUAUUCUUUCAAUUUGAGGCCUUGUUACAAGGGACACUUUUUCAAUUCCAUGCUAUUCAUGCCCUCUCAAUCUGAGAUAAUUUUAUAAUUUUUAUUAAGAUUGUUCUUUCAAUCCAGUGUGUGUGUGUGUAUCUUAAUUUAGACCUCUUGUCAACUAGGUGUUGGUAGGAGACGAGACUCUUGCCUCACCCGAGUACUGGUACGAUCCUCUAUAGCUUGAUCUUUCGAGAUUCACAGCAUUUGCAUUGGUCCCACAAUAGUGGUGUCACUCCCAAGGAGACCUUUUAGCCAUUUUUCUUGGCAUCUAAAUCGUCCCUCUAUUUAUUUGGUCGUGAAUUUGCUUCGAGUUCACUUGCCUUAUCAUUUCCUAAUAGUGGAUCUCCUCUUUGAUCAAAUCUACAAAUUCAUCGUACAUUUUGGGUGCUUGAUUGCGAACAUCUCUUCAGAAAGGGAUAGUCACGUCUAAAUCGAACAUCAAAGCCUGAAAAGUUGUAUCUUGUCGAAUGCUUUUUACAUCAAAAUGAAACGGUUGAGACAGCAUAGCAAAGGUUCAUCAAGAUCCUGCCUAACAUCAUGGAUCUUCCCAAUCGGGGUCAAACAUUUUCAUGGUGAACAUAUAGACGAAUUGGUCUUUAGGUAAGGGAACUAUCGAUGCUACCUAGUGAAAGCUUAUUAUACUAUUUUCUAGCUCCUAUUGAGAGUGUAACAUGGAAGUCUUGUAAUUUGUAUAUUGAGCUUGCCCUUAAGAAGUUUAUGUACAUGUUAUAUUCCCAGACAUGGUUUGAGGGAAAUUUUCUAGAUUUUCAGCAUGGCAAAUUUUGGGAAGGCUCUUUAACGCUUUGAUUAGCUUGGUAAAAGAGAUACAUGUCAUAGCUCAUCGCCUUUGGCCAAAACUGCUUGCUCCCCACCCCCUUUUUCGAGAGCACAUAGAGAAGGUUGGUCCUUUUAUUUGAUGAACUUAUUGGGUUAAUCUUGCCCAACUCUUUUACCACAUCCUCUAAGGACCUCGUCCUAGAUGACAUUGAUGCCUUCCAGCCUAAGAUACUACCAGGCUUUGAAGAUCUAUGCUCUCACUCAUGAUAAGAUGCUUGAUUUCCCAAAAGUGGUGCGUAGGUUGCUUGAUUGGAGGAAUUUGAUGUGUAUUCUCUAUGCAUAGAGCCCUCUACGUUGCUCUCACAUUCAUUCUCUUGGAGAGGCGGAAUACCUUUUCUUGAUGCAUCAAGAGUUGCCUUAUAGUAACAUUUUCUUUAGCAAAAUGUUAAAUGUUGGCCGCCAUGUUGCUAUAGCUCGAGUUAGCUUAGCCACGGUUCUUUAUGGAUUUGGGUUUCUUCUCAAAGUAUUUCUUGUUGAAACAACAUGACUUUCAUUCUAGCUCCCCUCGGGUUCUCAUCGCUGUUUGAUCCACUUUACUCUUCUUCUUUUUUUUUUACUUUUCUUGCUUCUCGCAUAUUCUCUUCUGGAGCUCAGCAUUCUUACAUCUUUGUUUAGAAUCUACUUCUUAGUAAAAGAUAAAAUUUUGUGGAUAUCAUUUGCAUGCAAAUAAUUAUCGAUGCCGAGUUCCUAAAUUCAUCAUCACUGAUAUUGGAAAACUCUUUUACAAUAGUCAUAUAAAUAAUCUUUGCGCCAAGUUUGGGCUCAAAAAAUACAACCCAUACAUGUACAAUGCGAAAACUACUUUGUUGAAAAAUAUUGUUUCCAAUUUAUUAGGAACUGGCAUGAAAAAAAUUGAGAAAGUCUUUGGGUUUGUCACACUACUUACUGGACUCAACAAAAGUUACUCCUUAUAUCCUUGUGUAUGGAGUGGAACAUUUCCUUAUAAUGUCAAAUUUCGUAAUUGUAUUAGCCAUCCAAGAAGUUUUGUUGAUGAACGAGAAUGUUCCUUUUUUGACUUGAGGAGUUUGCAUCUUUGAUUGAAAAGCGAUUAGAGGCAUAAAUGCUUCGAGAAUGUUAUCAAGCUCGGAGGGCAAAGGGCUUCAACAAAAAUGUGUAGCCAAAAUAAUUCUAAGUUGAAAAUAAUUAACUCCGAGAGAAAUUCAAACUUCAAGAAGAAAAAGAAGCUUGGAGAUUGAACACAAGAAAAUUUCUCCAGUGCAAGGUCAAAAGUUUCAAGAAUAAAGUCUUCUUCAAAUCAAAAUCAAAACAAACCCCCCAAGUCCCGAAAAUUCAAGUCAAGCCCAAAUCCUGAAGAUUCAAGCAAAUCAAGUUUCCAAUAGACAUCAAAGUCUAAGAUUCAAGCCAAAUGAUCCCGUAGUCUUCAAUACACUACUCACUAAUUAGAGGAUUGUGAAUUUUGUAGUCAUAAGAAAAUUAUACACUUAGUAAUUUUCCAAAAUCAAUUUGCAAUAUUUUUUAUAUCUUGUAUAUGAAAAUUGUUGUACAUGGCCUAUUUCGAUAAAUAAGAUUUGUGUGCGGACUUGGGCAAAACAAAUGUUACAUAUGUGCAGUUGAAUAAUAAUGAUUUGUCACUUAAUUUGUACUACAGAAGUUUGAUCUUCUACAACCAAUGGAAAAAAUAAAAACUUUUCACUGCUGAAACGUGAGAUCGAUUUCAUUGUUUUACAUGCAUAAUUGACGCAUGCAACAGUCAAUACAUGAAGUCAUCAUGCUCAUAUUGCAAUCCAUGAAUGGUACAAGUCUCUAUCGAUGUAAAGUAAAGACAUAAUAUGUUAUACAAAGGCAUUCGAAAGCUUGUAAUGUGAAACUUUUGUAUGUGUGUCAUCAUUUAUAAGGACACGGCCUACUCCAGAAAUUGACAAUUAAUUGCCAUGAAUAAUGUUAUUUGCAUUUGCUCACUACUGCAAUUAACAUACAUGUAACGGUUAGUGAUUUAUUGUACAAAGUAAUAAAAGACCACCACAUUGAUGUAUCAAAUCACUAACCACCAUAUAUACGCCACAUAGAACGAUUACGACAGUGAAUGACUGCAUAUAGCAUUACGCAAUUGCCAUAUAUCAUCUUAGUUGAAAGUUGGAACAACCCGAAAGCAAACUAUAUAAUUACGCAUUGAACUGUGUAAAACUAUAACUAUUAUAUUAAAUUAAAAUUCCAUCAAAUUAAGAGGUAAACAUUUAAUGAUAUUUCGACCUAAAAAAUUGAUAAGCUUCGGGAGAAAACAUGAUAUUAAUAAUAUUAAUUAAGAGGAAAUUACAAAAAAAAUGUCUAUUUUGAAAUAAUCGUUUAUAAAAAUGUCCAAAAUUUUUCAAUAUCUACUUUUGCAAUUAUUUGGAUGAGAGUAUCACUAAGUACCUUCCAUGAAAAACUACAUUAAAAUGAUGUUCUCGAUAUUUCAAAUGUUGUUCUCGAUAUUUGAAUCUGUUUAUAUUUCAAAAGUACACAUAUUAAAUCAAAAUAUUAAAUGUUCUCGAUAUUUCAAAUGUUGUUCUUAACAUAUUAAAUAUCUAGAAUGACAUUUCAUUCCAAAUAUGACAUUUCUCUCCAUUUUAAAUGUUGUUCUCAACAUUUCUGUGUCUAGUAUUAAUUGUGAUUUGACAUGUGCAAUAUGAAAUUAUUUAUUCUUCAUUAAGGGUAAAAUAGAGAAUUUGGUGUCAAAUUUAGCCAUUUUUGUAAAGAUUAUCAAAAAUGAACAUUUUUAAAUUGACAUAUGUGAAAUUGGACAUUUUUACAAAUGUCCCAUUUAUUAAUUGGUCAAACUUCAUGAUCAUCACGUAACGAAAACUAUCUAUUGUCUAACCAAGGAUGACAGAAAAUAAAAAUUGUCUCGUUUAAUAAACUUCUAGCUGGUGAAUGUAUCACUUGAUUAUAAUUAAUGUUAUAUUAAAUAAUAAAAAAAUUCUAGUAAGACCAAAUGUUCACGUAGGACAUGACUAUUCUCCAAUAGUUUUUUUUUUUUAAUUUAAAAGAAAAAAAAAUGUUAAACAUGCUACGUUGAGUACCAGAAAUGAUUAACAAUUAUUAUAGUGUGCUUAAGGGCCCAUAAUUAUUCUAACUUUUGUCACUUGCUGAUGCUUUUGACCUCUGCGAAUCAUUUUUUGAACAAUGAAAUCCAUAACAUAAAGGUGAUUAAGUGAGAUGGAGCCUUAAACGAAUCCCGGUGAGCAGUUGCAUUAAUUAAACACGUGUGUGUGCAGAUAGCUGUACAUUUGUCCUUAAUCUAUUUAUUGAAUAGCAAGUUUUUAUUUUUUAUUUAUUUUUUAUUUUUUAUUUUUAAUGAAGUUGCACAUCAACGACAAAAAUUGUCCAAAUCUUCAUUAAACCACACAUGAUCCUCACAUUUCUAAAUUUUAACUUCGUAUAAUUGAAUUGUGUUUUGCAAAUUGGACCAAUAUUUAAAUGGGACAUGUUUGUUAUUGGAGUUUUUCAUGAUAUUUGUACUUGAUUUUAAUUUGUUAAAUUAUACGGAAGUCAACGUAUAGUUGACUAUCUUGGUAACUAUGGCUUAUGCUCAUCCAUUACAUAUAACGUUUUGUGAUGAUAUUAGGCAUUUAACACAUUUGGCCCCAAAAAGAAACACAACUUUUUUUACAUUUAGAUGUUCAAUAUUUAAUAAAAUAAUUAUAUAUUUUGUAGGUAAAUGGACACCUUGAUAAUUUUGUAAUUAAUUUUAUUAUUAUCGUUUGAUGUUGAGACUUCAUAUUAAAUAAAGAGGAAAUUUCACAAAAUGUCCAUUUUUACUUAGUCAUUUGCAAAAAUGUCCAUAAUUGCAAAAAUGUCUAAUUUGGAAGAAUUUAGACCAAAAUACCCUUAGUAACAAUUUAUAAUUCCACACUAAGACAAAAAAGGGACAUUUUUGCAAUAUUGUUAUUGGUCAGUAAAAUUUUGACACAUAACCUGUCAUAUUUAUUUCAAAAAGUAUACAUAUCAAAUUACAAUAAAUGCUAUAUUUUUCAUUGAUUCAGAAAUGUAGAGAAACGCCAUGUUCAAAAUGAAAUGUCAUUCUAGACAAAUGAAACGGUGUUCAAAUGUCGAGAAUGACAUAUGAAAUGUCUAGAAAUAUUAUUUUAAUGUAACUUCUCAUAGAAGCUACUUCUCAAAAUUCGUGACAAAUUGAUAAAAAAAUCAAAUGUCGAGAACGACAUUUAAAAUGUCGAAAAUACAAUUUCAAAAUGUAGCUUUUCAUUAAGGGCAUAAUAGACAAGUUGGCACUAAAUUCGAAUGAGUGGACACUUUUCAACUCAUACCUUUAAAAUUUGACAUUUUUAAAAAUGCCCCUUAAAUACAUGUUUCUAAAAUUUAUUUUCCAGCAGCACAAUAAAUAGUCACAUUGCUCACAAUUAGAAUGGUCAAUAAAUGUAGUAGCGUAAUGCACUUUAAUUCUUCACAGAGAAAUUUUACUAAAUAUAAAUUAAUAUAUAGUUUCAUCAAGAAUAAUAUUCUUACCAUAUGCAUCGUGUCUUACUCACACUUAAAAAAUAAAAAAUUGGGAGGUGUAGUUUGGUGAGCCAAUCACGCUUAUGGAUUAAUACCACUUUAUAAGUUUUGAAAAGAAGUCAAACCAUUCUCUAUCUCAUAUAUGAAGUUGAGAUUCUCACUCACACUUAAAAAAUAAAAAAUAAAAAAUUGGGAGGUGUAGUUUGGUGUGCCGAUCACGCUUAUGAAUUAAUACCGCUUUAUAAGUCUUGAAAAGAAGUCAAACCAUUCUCUAUCUACUAUAUGAAGUUGAGAUUUGACAGAAAAUGGAAGAUAUGCAAGUAAAAUUUGUUAUUCGGCUCGAUCCUCAACCUCCAUUUAACUUGGUCUUUGUGCAAUCAUGUCGUCAUCUUAUUAUGUUCAUCAAUUAUGCUUACACAUUUUUGGUAGAGCUCCACAUCAUUAAUGGAAGUAAAGAUUUUAUUUUAUAAGUUUUGUGAGGCCUAUGAUCAAGUACCAACAUGGUGAAGUGAUAGAAUAUGAUCCUAAUAAUUGAAUUUGUAAUCUGACUAUGAAAACCCUCAUCCGCAUGAAUACUUUCUUUAAUGUAAAUUCGAUUUGUGUUUAAAAUGUUCAAUUUUCAAUAAUAUAUUAUAGUCUUUCGAACGCUACGCCAUGGCCAAGUGAGGGAAUGCAUUAAGCACAUGAUAGUGCCUGCUUCAGCGAGGAAAGAAUCCAUUUUAUUUUUAUUUUUUUGGCUUGUUUAACAUAACUUUUUGUUUUUACUUUUAUUUCUGCUUCCUUUAGAAGAGUGAGGUUUUUGUUUUUGUUUUUGUUUUUUGAAAUUACCUUAAUUUUCAGUGGUGAAACAAAUUUAUGAUUAUGAUCAUCUUCAAAUGCUUUAACAAUCUAAUAGCCACCUUCAAUGUCGUUUGAGAUUCGCAUGUUAGCCUUACAUCUACCUCUAACCGUUGAGCAACUUUUUCCUUUUGUAGAACCCUAUAUCUGACAAUUCUCUAUUUCACUUAAUCCUUCAAAAAUCUUCCUACUAUAAUAUUUUCUUUCAUGUGAGCACACAAAUUUAAUAAGUGUAAAUUCAUUUAUACGUGGGUGUUACUUAACUACUGUUUGAGUACGAAUCCAUAAACCAUUUUGUCGUCCAUAGUCUUCGUGUUAUGCCCUUGCUUCCUUUGCCGUCUUAAAUUUCAUCCCAAUGUAAGGCGCUUUGCCUUGUAUUGACGAUAACCCAAUCUCAUCAAAUUGAUACGCAUGUACAUAAUUACCACAAUUGGUUGCACCCAUCUACAAAACAAUUUUGAAAGAAUCAAUCAAUGAUAUUGAUUGCAUAGAAUUACCGAUAAUCAAAUUCAUUGUUGAAUAACUCGUACAUAUAUUUUCUUAAACAAAUUGUAGCAUACUUAAUUUUUAAAGUAUUCCCUGUUGAAGUAUAUAAUAACAUUUAUUAACCAUUUUAUUAACACUUCAAGCUAGUGAUAGCAACGGGGCGGGGUUAACAUUUAUUAAUCAUUUUACUAACACUUCAAGCUAGUGAUGGCAACGGGACGGAUUCGGGGCAGGGGGCUCCCACCCAGUCUUGCCCCGCCCCAACCCCACCCGCUCCGUUUAGGCGUGGUUGGGUUCGGGGUAGUUUUUUGCCCCAUUUACUACCCCAUUUAACUUUUUUUUUUUUUACACAUUUUCAAAAUUUAGAGUUAUAUUAUUAAAUUAUUAAAUACAAAUUCAAAAUUUAAAAAUUCAAAACAAAUAAUGCUCAAAUUAAAAUCAAUAUUCAAAGAAACACUUGAAAAAACAAUAUCCAAUAUAUUCACAGGGAGGGUUCGGGGCGGGGCAGUCUCAACCUAUCGGGGCGGGUUUUUUUGCCCCAUUCAGGACCGGGGCAUGGCGGGCGGGGUAAAUUGUCAUCUCUACUUCAAGCAAAUUAAAACUCAAUUAUAACCUUUAAAUCACAGAUGAAUCAAGCAUUAUGCUGAAAUUGAUGCAACACUACUCAAACUGCAUGAUACAUUAUGUGGAAAUCAAAAGAAAAUAAACACGGAUCCUUUUCCCACCAUUCAUGAUAAAUCAGAUUUGGAUAUUAGAGGAAAAUCAGAUUCAAGAACAUGAUAUAACACAGUUUUGUAGAAUGAUCAAAAUAACAAAAUCGAAACCUCACGUGAGAUUUUGGUUGAAAAACAGUUAACCGCUUACAGAAUCAUACCUAAAAAAAUUACUUCAGUUCUUAUUCUGCUUUCUCCUAAAUAAAUGAUUUGAUGACACAAUAGGAAUCCUCUAAAAAUUUAUACAUGGGCAAAGAAAUUCUUUACAUGCAGUGAUGAUUUGAAGAUUCAAUUUUGUGAGGGAGAUGAUGAAUUUCGGUGGUGAUGGAGAAUGCAUAAGAUGAUAGAAAAUCAUGAUGUUGUUGAGAGAUUUUAGGGAUUAAUAUAAGGUAAUUAGGGGUGUUUGGAAGUAAGAUUAUGAAUUCUUUCAUGUUUUAAUAUAUAAACUCCUAGCAUUGGAUUGAUUUUAAUUAAAGAUCACGAUUAUUUGUCAUAAAUACUUGUCAAAUUAAUGGGUAGACUUCCCUAUGCUCAUCAGAUAUGAGCCGCUGGUGAAUUUGUCGGAUAGACAGAUCUUUGUGAAAUUGAAUCAAUUGCUUAGGUGAUUGCCCUUUAGCCCUUUGUUUGACCAAAAAGACUCCCAUGAGUUGGAUGGGCUAAUGCUUAAAGAUAAAUUUCAAGAGAUUCCCUAUUUUAAUUUUUGAAAAUAGAGAGUGGGUAAAUAUACGAAGAAAUUAAUAAAUAUUUCUUGAGAAAAGUAAAAGAAGAAGACAAAAUAGAAAGUAUUAUUGCAGAGAAUAAAAUUUAGACUCUCUAUAUAAUGCAUAAAAAAAUUUUUACAAAUAAAAAGUUUGUUGAAGUUGAUCUAAUGAUGGUAUAAAUGAAAGAUUUGGAUAAAAUUUGUAAAAAAAAUAAAAAUAAAAUAAAUAAAUAUGUUGUAAAUGGAAAGUCCAUUAAAGUUUAUUGGUGAAUGACAUUUGUACCCCUGUAACCCUAGAAAUUAUUACCAUUGUAUCCCUAAUUCUUACCUAUAAAUAUAGGGCUUUGAUUUUCAAUAAUAUACACAAAAAGUUUAUUGAAUUUUCUCUAUUCUCUUUGAGUUUUCUCUAUUCUCUUUUCCUCUCAUUUUAUAACACGUUAUCAGCAUGAAACUCUUAGAAGAUAGUAAUUUUUUUUUUCAUAAUCAUCUAUCACGUAUAUCAAAAUUAAUUUGAUAAUACGUGAAUUUUACAUAUACAUAUGUUGAAUCUGCAAUACGUGAUCUCAUCUUUCUCGAUCAUUAUGUUUUCUUUGUACCUCUCUUUGAAUUAAUUAAUUUUUUUUCCUUUACAUCAAUCCACGUGCAUUUUUAUGGAGAUAUAUUUAUGUUAAGUCAAUUGAUAUGUAUUAAUUCAUGUUCCUAUACCCUCCUUGUAUUUAGAUUAGUCCUUUACAUUCUACACAUGCUUAUAAUUUUUUUUGGUUUAAUUGGUCAAUGUUCUUUGUAAGCAAGCUUCAAUUCCAGAUCUCUAUUUUGGCUUAUUCCAUAUAUAUAUAAUAUACAAUUAACAAAUAACUGUACCCAACUCAUCUUUUCUCUCAAAUCCAUUGGUUUCUGCAAAUUUCAUGCUUUAAUUGGUUAAUACUAAUUCAAUUCUUUUAAUUGCACAUAAUUAGAAUUUCAUGCCAUAAUAUGUGAAUAGGUGUCUACAUGUCACCAAUUUUUUUUUUGUGUUUCACUCGACUCACGUUAUUAAUUGAAAAUAAUAUUUUACAUGUGUUUGUAUAUUAAUUAAUGGUGAGCAAUUGGAUGUAUUAUCAUUUUUUUUAUGUUUAGUUAUGAAACAUUACAUUAAAUUUAUUUUUAAUUGUUGUUACUCCUGAAGUAGCACAACAUUAUAAUUAAUAUUCUAGAAGAAUAUUAAUCAUAAAUCUAUUCGUUGUUGCUCCAGAAGUAGCACAACAUUAUAAGAAUAUUAUUUACUCCUGAAGAGUAUAAAUUAUAACUCUCAAUAUUCCAGAAAAAUAUUGACAUAUUGCACUUGAAGAAAUAAUAGCAAAAUAUAAUGUACUUCAGAAGUAGCAUAUGUUUCGAAGAACAUAUUAUUUCAAAUUAGUGUUUAUCCCUAGAAGAAAACACGUAAUUUAAAGUCAUGUUGAUAUUGACUAUUUGAUUAACUUGUGAUGAUUAAUCAUAUUCUUCGAAACUAAUUAUAUUUUUUUAUUGUGUAGUUAAAUAAAUGGCAAACAUUACGAAACUUGAGUUUGCUGCACUUGACAUAUCUGGUAAAAAUUAUCUGUCAUGUAUACUGGAUGCUAAUAUCCAUCUCGUCUCAAAGGGUCUGGGAGAGACAAUAAAAGAAGGAAACAACGAAUCCUUGCAGGAUCGUGUAAAAGCACUCAUUUUCCUUCGUCACCAUCUUCACGAUAGAUUAAAAAUUGAGUAUCUCACUGAGAAAGAUCUACAAGUUCUUUGGAAAAAGUUAACUGAAAGAUUUGAUCAUCAAAGGACUAUAGUCCUCCCCAAAGCCCGUUAUGAGUGGAUGUACCUUUGUUUGCAAGUCUUUAAAACGGUUAGAGAGUACAAUUCUGAAUUGUUCAGAAUAUGUUCAAAGUUGACUUUGUGUGGAGAAAAAUCACUAAUGAAGAUAUGUUGAAAAAAACUUUCUCCACCUUUCAUGCCUCGAAUGUGCUCCUGUAGCAGCAAUAUCGUGAGCGUGGCUUCAAAAAGUACUCAAAACUUAUAUCUUGCCUAUUAGUUGCUGAACACAAUAAUGAAUUGUUGAUGAAAAAUCAUGGAUUACGUCCAACUAGUUCUGUACCAUUGCCUGAAGCAAAUGGUACUACAUUGUCUGAAGCAAAUACAAUAUCAAGACAAGGACGUGGAUACGAAUUUGGAGGUGGACACAAACACGGACGUGUACGUGGAAUAAAUCAUGGAAGAAAUAAUCAACAAAAUUAUCAACAACAAGGUAAUAAAUUCAAAAGGCACAAAGCAAACGAGAGUGACAAAUCUAAAAAAGAGCAUGAAGAAAGUUGCUUCAAAUGUGGAAUGAAAGGGCAUUGGGCACGUAUGUGUCGUACCUCAAAAUAUCUUGUGGAUCUCUACUAGAGAUCAAUCAAGGGAAAAGAAAAAUUAGAGACUAAUUUUGCUGAUUAUGAUGGUCCAAUUGAUGUGACUCAUUUGGAUGUCUCCGAUUUCUUUACUGAUCCAAAUGAAAAUAUUGACCAUUUGGUUGGGGUGGUGUGAUAGAAGAUAUAAAUUAAUUUACUAGUAUUUCUUUCGUUUUAGAAAUUCAGUCUGAAAUAUGUUUUUACUUUUUUGCACAAAAAAAAUAAAUAAAUAAAACUCUAUUAUGCAAUGUUUAUUUCAUGAUAUUAAGUAAUGUUUACUUCUUUAAAUCUAAAUUCAAGUUUUUUUUUAAAAAAUUUGUUUAUUUUGUUAUAUUUAUAUAUUCAUGAUGAAUAGUCAAGACAGCUGCUUAAUUGAUAGUACAACUACACAUACUAUUCUUCAAGAUAAAAAAUACUUUUUGGACUUAAUAUUAGCCGAAAAUAAUGUUAACACGAUAUCGGGUGCGUCGAAUAUCGAUGAAGGCUCCGGAAGAGCUUGUAUUAUUUUACCAAAUAAUACAAAAUUAUAUAUUGACGAUACACUUUAUUCUAACAAAUUCAGAAGAAAUUUGCUUAGUUUUAAAGAUUUCGCUGCAAUGAAUAUCACAUUGAGACAAUGCAAGAAAAUAAUGUUGAAUAUCUUUGCAUCACUUCUUUUGUAUUUGGCAAGAAGCAGAUAAAAGAAAAAUUUCAUGCACUUCCGUCUGGGAUGUAUUUUACAUUUAUAAAAAUGGUCGAAUCAAAUAAUGUUACGAAUCAGAAGUUCAUUGAUUCAAAAAGUUUUAUACUUUGGCAUGAUCGACUUGGACAUCCAGGAGCCAUAAUGAUGCGUCGAAUAAUAAACAACUCACAUGGACAUCUUUUAAAGAACCAAAAAAAUUCUUUUUUCUAAUGAUUAUCCAUGUGUAGCUUGUUUGCAAGGAAAGUUAGUCAUUAAACCUUCAACUACAAACGUCAAUAUUGAAUCUCCAACUUUCUUGAAAAGAAUACAUGGAGAUAUAUGUGGGCCAAUACACCCACCAUAUGGACCAUUUCGUUACUUUAUGGUAUUAAUUGAUUCUUCUACAAGAUGGUCACAUGUUUGCCUACUUUCAACUAGGAAUGUAGCAUUUGCUAGACUACUUGCUCAAAUCAUAAAAUUGCGUGCACAAUUCCCCGAUUACUCAAUCAAGACUAUUCGUCUUGACAAUGCUGGUGAAUUUAGAUCACAAGCAUUUGAUGAUUAUUGUAUGUCGAUUGGGAUUGAAAUUGAACAUUCAGUUGCACAUGUUCAUAUACAUAAUGGUUUAGCAAAAUCGUUUAUUAAACGUCUACAACUUAUUGCUAGACCAUUACUUAUGAAAACAAAACUCCCAGCUUCUGUUUGGGGUCAUGCCAUAUUACAUGCUGCAUCAUUGGUUCGUAUAAGACCAACUGCCUAUCAUCAAUAUUCACCUUUGCAACUUGCAUUUGGUCAUGAACCUGAUAUUUCUCACCUACGGAUUUUUGAUUGUACUGUCCAAGUUCCUAUUUCACCCCCCACAACGUACUAAAAUGGGUCCCCAACAAAGAUUUGGGAUUUAUGUGGGUUUUGAUUCACCAUCUAUUAUUAGAUAUCUUGAACCUUUAACGGGUGACUUAUUUACAGCACGUUUUGUAGAUUGUCAUUUUGAUGAAAUGACUUUCACAACUUUGGAAGGAGAAAAACUACAUUCUGAAAAACAAGAUAGAAUUUCUUGAAAUGAGACAACUCUAUCUCACUUUGAUCCCCGCAGCAAUCAAUAUGAACAAGAGGUUGAAAAAAUCAUUCAUUUACAAAGAGUUACAAUUCUACUACCUGAUAUAUUUGUUGACAUGAAAAAAGUGACAAAGUCAUUUAUUCCAGCAGAAAAUAUUUCAGCAAAAAUUAAUGUCCCUACAGGACAAUCUACUGUGGCAAAUGAAUCUCAAAUACGCCAGAAGCGUGGUCGACCAGUUGGUUCAAAAGACUCUGUACCUAGAAAAGAAGAGUACAGAAGAAAAACCAACCAAAAAUUUCAGAAAAAAUCACAUUAGAAAAGAUUGAUCAAUUAAAUAUUGAAUGUACGGUUCCUGAAGAACCAGAGGUGUCUGAAAAUAAUGAGAUUUCAAUAAAUUAUAUGAUAUCUCAUAAAUUAUGAGAACGGAAUAAUAUUGUUAUAGACAAUAUUUUCGCCUUUAACAUGGCUCUUGAUAUUAUACAAAAUGAGGAUCCUGAACUACAGUCUGUUAAUGACUGUUGAAAUAGAAAUGAUUGGCCAAAAUGGAAAGAAGCCAUACAGGCAGAAUUAAAUUCUUUGGAGAAACGAAAAGUGUUUGAACUAGUAGUUUGAACACUUGAAAAUGUAAUUUCUGUUGGAUACAAAUGGGUUUUCGUACGAAAGAGAAAUGAGAAUAAUGAAAUUACAAGAUACAAAGCCCGACUAGUGGCUCAAGGUUUCUCCCAAAGACCGGGAAUUGAUUAUGAGGAAACAUACUCUCCCAUAAUGGAUACCAUCACUUUUAGGUUCUUAAUUAGUUUGACCGUGUCAUAAGGGCUCGAUAUGCGCCUUAUGGAUGUUGUAACUGCCUACCUAUAUGGUUCACUUGAUAGUGACAUAUAUAUGAAAGUCUUUGAAGGAUUUAAGGUGCCAGGAAUAAAUUAUACAUAUCCGAGAACUAUGUUCUCAAUUAAAUUGCAAAAAUCAUUAUAUGGAUUGAAACAAUCCGGACGCAUGUGGCAUAAUUGCCUUUGCGAAUAUUUGUUGAAAGCGGGUUAUAAAAAUGACAAUAUCUGCUCAUGUGUUUUCAUAAAGAAAACAAAUAUUGGAUUUACAAUUUGGCAGUUUAUGUUGAUGAUUUAAAUUUAAUUGGAACUCCUGAAGAGCUCAACAAAAAUGCAGAUUAUUUGAGAAAUGAAUUUGAGAUGAAAGAUUUGGGGAAAACCAAAUCUUGUCUUGGAUUACAAAUUGAACAUUUUCCAGAGGGAUUAUUUGUUCAUCAAUCUACUUAUACAGAAAAAGUCUUGAAGCGCUUUUAUAUGGAUAAUGCACAUCCAUUGCCAUCACCUAUGGUUGUUCGAUCACUUGAUGUGAAAAAAGAUCCAUUUCGUCCACUUGAAGAUGGAGAAAAGAUUCUUGGUCUUGAAGUGCCAUACCUUAGUGCAAUUGGAGCAUUAACUUAUCUUGUAAAUUGCACUCGACCUGACAUAGCUUUUUCUGUAAAUCUCCUUGCAAGACAUAGCUCUACGCCAACUCAAAGGCAUUGGAAUGGUGUUAAACAUAAUUUUCGUUACCUAAAAGGUACUAUUGAUAUGAGACUAUUUUAUUCUCAAAAGUCAGGAUCUGCUUUAGUGGGAUAUGCAGAUGCAGGUUAUCUCUCCGAUCCACAUAAAGCUAAAUCACAAACAGGAUAUGUGUUUACACGUGGAGGAACAGCUAUAUCAUGGAGAUCUGUGAAGCAAUCCUUGACAGCAACAUUCUUACAUCAUUCUGAGAUUAUUGCAAUCCAUGAAGCAGGGCGAGAAUGUGUAUGGUUGAGGAAUAUGACCCAUCAUAUCCAAUCAUCAUGUGGAUUGACUUCAAUAAAAGAUAGUCCAACAAUUUUGUUUGAAGAUAAUGCAGCUUGUAUCGCACAACUCAAGGGAGGCUAUAUCAAAGGCGACAGGACGAAGCAUAUUUCUCCAAAAUUCUUUCAUACACAUGAACUUCAGAAGAAUGGUGACAUUGAUAUUCAACAAAUUUACUUAAGUGACAAUGUGAUUGAUCUAUUCACAAAAACGCUGUCAACAUCUACAUUCAAGAAAUUAGUUCAUGAGAUUGGAAUGCGUCGACUCAAAGAUUUUCAGUGAUCAAUAUUAGGAGGAGUAGCUGUACUCUUUUUCCUUCGCUUAGGUUUUGUCCCAUUGGGUUUUCCUAGCAAGGUUUUAAUGAGGCAGCAUUUAAUUUUAAUACUCCAAAAUAACUGUACUCUUUUUCCUUCAUUUAAUUUUUUUUCCCCAUUGGAUUUUUAUCAAACAAGGUUUUAACGAGGUAGAUAUUUUGUAAUAUGUCAUUCAACGAAGAGUGUUGUAAAUGGAAAGUCCGUUAAAGUUUAUUGGUGAAUGACAUUUGUACCCCUGUAGCCCUAGAAAUUAUUACCAUUGUAUCCCUGAUUCUUACCUAUAAAUAUAGGGCUUUGAUUUUCAAUAAUAUACACAAAAAGUUUAUUGAGUUUUUUCUAUUCUCUUUUCCUCUCAUUUUAUAACAAAAUAGUAAUAAUAAAUGAAAGAUUUGGAAUUACAACUGUAUUAUUCCUACGAUGGUUAUGUUGCCACCAUAAUUUCUAUUUGUCACACCACAAUUUAAUUGUAGUUAAACUCCCAAAUCCAUGCUCAUUGUAAUAAUUAUUUCCUUUAUUUUCGUUGAAUUUUUAUCUUCAACUUUCAUUAAUUAGUACAUCACGUCCUGACGAUAAUUUAUGUUAAAAUAUUUUGUGUACAUGCUCUACAUUAAGGGAAAAUAAAAUUUUUUUAAUUUUUAUAUAUGAUAAAAAAUAAGUUGUUGUAAGCUGUUUUUUUUUAACAUAAAUUGUUAUCAAAUACAAAAUAUAUUUGUAGUGGUCCAAAUUAUCCGUUGGGCUCUUGACCCAAUCCAUGUAUAUUGAAUGUUCCUAGCCCAAACUAAUGUAUGCCAAUCAUGCUCAUCCUUGACCCACUAAUGAUUUAUCAGUCUUACUUUGUGUCCGACCUAUCACACGGUGUCACGUAGAGUCUAAAGGAUAAACUUCUCAACAAGCAAAUCAGUUCAACUCACCAUCUUUUCUAUAAGAGUCGUGAGCUAAGGGUAAGACCAUGUCUUACGAGGUGUUCAAAUGGUUAUGGUAACUCUACCCAAAGUUGGUCGAGUUUUUCGAAACUCGGAAAAUAUCAUCCUAAUUAAUCAAUCCAUCUGGUGUCCACAUGCUCCACUAUUUGUGGAUCAAACAAUUUUGCUGGUUCUCUUAUAAAUAUGAGGGCCAACUAUUCAAGGGGAGAAAAAAAAAUUAUUGAGCCUACACAGCUUCCUCAAUAUUUAUCCAAUUUAGAUAUCUUAUUGCCAUUACUAUCACUUUUAUUUGUCACCUCUCACAAUCAUAUCAUCCAACCACUUCGCUACUAUCACUAUUUCAUCAUGCCAAUCAUAAAUAUCAUCAAUGCCUACUUUUAGAAUCAACUAUAGAUUCGAACAUCUACAAUUUGGCGCCCACCCCGUGGGCCCCAGUGAUUUUCAACACAAAAAAUAUUCCACUAACAGUAAACAUUUUGAUCGCAAUGACGGAAUCCCUAUUAUUGUCAAAGCUAGCAGCCAUGCUUGUUCAAUUUACUUCUCAAAUGGCUGAAACCAACCAAAAGUUCUAGCAGCUAGAAGUAUAAAAUGUACAACUUAAGCAGACAAUUAGAGAGCUCUCUACACUCUCAACGUUAGCUGGGACCAAGAGCCACAUUCAAUUUCACACUGUAGUGAGAACCAUAUAGUUACUUGACAUGCCAAAGCGUGACAUGCUAGGUAUAUGAAGAACUAAUGUCAAUACUAACAAUGUCAAUACAGGCCACGAGACAGACAUGGAGGACGAGGUACUGCUUGACGACCUACCCAUUGUAAAGGAGCUGGUACCACAGGUCAUUAAUACAAAUUACCAAAACACGGACUCUUCACGCAACGAAGGCACUAGCCCAAAUCCGAUAUCGAUCAACGUUUCGCCAUGACAGAGGCCAUGAUCAACCAUAUCCUGAGUGUACCUAUACCGAUCAAGAAAAAUAGGCAAAGCUUUGCGGACUCACCAUUUGUCUAUUCGAUAGCUCUAGUUAAAAUGUCAAUAAAUUUCAAUUUUUCCAAUAUGAAGAUGUAUGAUGGCACCACCGACCCAAAUGCCCAUAUUGCCCAAUGUAAACAAAGAAUGUUCACAGUAACCAGGCCCGGUUCUGGGGCCAGGCGAAUAAGGCCUACGCCUCAGGCCCAGAUUCCAAGGGGGCCUCAUUUUUAGCCCAGAAUUUUAUUUUAUUUUAUUAUUUUUUUCGGUUGAACCAAACUAGUAAUGAAGAAGAGUACCUCACAACUUCAAGCCCAAAUCCAAUACCCUUAGUCUUAAUCCAUUUAUCCAACUUAUACAUCCAUAAAUCAUAAUCUAUUAUCUGUCAUUUACCCAAAAUUCCCAAUUUCCCAAUCCCCAAUCAAAAACCCCUUUCUCCCAAACGCUCGUCUGAGUAGUCCGUCCCCUUCGUAGCGUCGCCGAUCGCCUCUGUCUCUCUUCUCGACUUCCUCAUUCCGACUUCCAGAUUUCCUCUUCCUUGAGUCAUCAGUUACGGUCCAUGGAGUCGGACACCAUCGUAGUUCACACCAAUUCCCUUCCGUUGCGGAGCACAGUUCGCUGUUCACCCCUGUUAGCAAGCAAGUGCUUGGCAGUUGACUAUUAGUUUAGUAUGUUAAGAUUAUUAAUUCCUUUUGAGUUAUAUGAUUACAUUUACACUAAGUAUUCAACUAUUCAUUCAUGACUUUUACCUUUUACUUAUUAUAAUUUUGAUUACAUGACUUUAACUAAUAAAUGCUCUUUUUCUAUGUUACUGUUAAAUACUUUAAUAUUAAUGGGUUAACUGUUAUCUAGUCUAGGAUGGAGUCGAGGACUUGAAAAUGCUACAACUAUGUUUAAUGAUUAUUGAUUAAUAUAUAAUUUGUUGUACAAGUUUGAGACGAAGAACUCUCAAAUCUCAAGUAAUGACUAAUGUGUGAAAUAGUUUAUAGUUAAUUUCAAUAACUUAGUUUGAUAGGUCUUUGUGAGAAUAUAUAGUUGAGAACUUGAGAUAUUAUUUUGUUAAUGAACUUAAGAAAAGAUAUCUUCAGUUUUUACAACCAGUAUACUAAUUUGAAUUAAUUUAUUUUGUUGAUGAAACUAUUUUAACGGUGAUUAGCUCUUAUUAAAUGUGUUAUUUCCCUAAGCUUGACUAAAUGUGCGCCUAUUUUUAAGUAUUGGUGUUUGAUGUUAAAUUUUUGUUUCAGGUUCGUAAGUUAUGACGAUGAAAUUCGCAAGGGUGUGAUUCCAUAGUUUUUGUCGCAAUUCUGCUUAUCAAGUAAGCAGUGGUUUUCCCUAACUUGUUAUUUAAGAGAUUAGAAAUGUUUGGAGCCUUGUCGGCUUAUAUAAUUGCAGCUUGGUUGGCUUAUAUGAUUGAUUAUUGUACGAUCAACUAUUUCAGAAGAAAGAUAGAAUGGAUUGACUAUGUUGUCAAUAGAGAAAGAAAUAGUUGAAUAGCUAAACUAUUCAAAUUUUAUUAAUGUUUUUGCCUUUUAGACGAAUAAUAUUUAACUAAUUACUUGAAAUAUUUUGGUUUUGUUAUUUGAUAAUAUAAAUUUUUUAUAUAAUAUAUCUGUUUGUUGUUUUAACUAAAUUUUAAGUUAGCAAUAAGUUGCAUAAUAUACCAUUGCAUUUACGUUGAUUUCGGGAGGGGGCCUAAUUUAUAUGCUUUGCCUUGAACCCUGACAAUCACAGGACCGACCUUGAUAGUAGCAAACCCACAUGAUCUCUAAGAAGCAUACAGGUGCAAAGGAUUCGGCUCUAGUCUUAUAGGGCUAGCUUUAUAGUGGUACACCAAUUUAACUAACAACUCAAUAUCAUCUUUUGUACAAUUAAAUGAUAUUUUUGUAGAGCAAUUCGCAAGUAGCAGAAAAUUAAUUAUUCGAACAUCCUCUAUAAAAUUGUACAAUGCACAGAAAUCUCUACUUUCAAAAAAAGAUUUAAACCUGACUCAGACCUCUACAAGGAAUUGACUAAGUACGCUUACUACACAAUGAAAGAUGUGUUGGUAGAGGCCUAGGCUCAAAUCAAGAGGGAAGAUGACGAGGCUAAUGCAUUUCGCAACCUACUCUUCAAGAUCAAAGAACCUAAAGGUAUCCAGAGGAUACAAAGACGACAAACUGACCCAUAUCCAAAAUUGAUUGUAGAAUCUUGUGAAGAACGGACAACUAGAAACUAUUGAGUGCCUUCACCAUUCUUACGAUAGACCAAGGAUACCCGAGUACAACCUUAGCAUUUUAUCAGUUGAAGUUGUAGCCAUAAUAAAAGGGAAGGAAAAUACCAUCAAAUUGAUAGGAAAAAUGAGAAGUCAUCUAGGCAACAGGCGUGAUACAUCCAAACCGUGUGCAUUUUAUGGUGAUCACGAACACAAAAUUCAUGAUUGUAUUGGUUUGUGAUUGGAAGUUGCUAAUCUACUCAAAUGUAGGCACUCACCAAUCUCCUAACAAAGAAAGGAAAAAAUACAUUGUUUCUCGGCAACCAAUGCUACAAUGAACCACACAAUCUAUGAAUUUCCAAGCACAUCCAAAGCUCGGUCGAGCAAUAACUUCAUCACCAAAGGAUCGAAGGUUAGCGGGAUCACUUAUUCUGUUGUACAAUGAUGCAUUCAAAUAAUUGGAUAGGUGGCGUGGAACGAAUCUCGAAAGCUUUCAAUAAGCUGAGAAGGCCAUCCCACUACGCUUAACUUUACAAGUAACGAGGCAUCAAACCUCCAAAACCUUCAUUGCGAUGCUUUGGUUAUUUCGUUAUGUAUUGCUAGCUAUCUUAUGAAAAGAAUUUCUAUCGACAAUGUGAGUUCUACUAAUAUAUUUUUCCUUGAGACAUUAAGAGAGAUGUAGGUCCCAGAGUCCAGCAUUAUAUGCAAUAUUACCACACUCAUAUGAUUCAAUUGAGAACACAAAACUACACUAUGAGAGAUGAUGCUCUUGGUCUAUGAUGAAGAAGUAAAUCUUCAUACCAAGUUCCUUGUCAUCGAGUGCCCAUUGGCCUACAACGUUAUCAUAGAAAGACAUUGGAUAUAUGCAAUGAAAGAUAACCUUCAAGCUAUCACAAGGUCAUGGGCUUUCCCAUUUCCUGGAGAGUUAAAAAAAUAUGAGGAGAAUCAAAGAGUCUCACGCAACUGCUAUAUGAAUGCUUUCAAACCCUGACCAGAAUGAGUGCACUAGAUCCAACAAAAAGUAAGCGAAUCGCUUGAGCCAGAUAUGGAGGACAUCAACAAAGUCCAAUUAUAUCUAGACAUUUCAAAGCAUACAGUGUAGAUUUGAGAUUAAUUCCCAUCAGACAUCUGAGAUGUAAUAAUUGAAUUUCUAGCUUGACAUCAAGAUCGCUUUGCAUGGUCGCACAUGAAUAUGACAUGUAUUGAUCCUUCAAUAGUAACCUAUAAAUUAAAGGUCAAUCCCACUACUAACUAGUUAGACAGAAGAGACACAAAUUCGCUCCAAAAACGAUAAAAAUUAUUAACGACAAAAUACAAAAGCUCAUUGACAUCGGCUCAGUACGUGAAGUCUAAUAUCCAAAUUGGUUGGCCAAAGUCGUCAUCAUUGAAAGGAAAAAUGGCAAAUGAUGGAUCUGCAUAGACUUCAUAGAUUUAAUAAUCGUGCCCAAAAAAUUCCUUCCCUCUAUCACAUAUCGACACUUUGGUGGUCUCCACAGCAAGGUAUAAGUUACUUAGCUGUAUGGAUGCAUUCUCAAUAUACAACCAAAUCUUAAUGCAUCCAAGUGAUCAAGAGAAAAUGGCUUUAAUAACGGGAGGAGAUGUUCUAUUACUAAGUCAUGAUAUUCGACCUAAAAAAUGCAGAAGCAACAUACCUGAUACGACCCAUCCCAAAUCACUAUAAUGAACCCGACACGUGUCGUGCGCCAAUGAAUGAUACCAGCUAAAUGCCAGACCUACCACCAAAUCAACUAUGAUUUGCUUUGACUGUCACAUAAUUAUAUAAAAAUUUGACAGAGUUUCCUCUAAGAUAUGGACUAAAAUAACCUGAAAGUUUAUCAACUUUCUCAAAUCAAUACAUAUAAUUUAAAACAAGGUACAUCAGCCCUUCCAAACACAACUAUUCAAAAUAAAGUACGAUUGAAUGGAAUUUACACUUCUUUACAAACCAGAGGACUCCAAAUACAUUACUUAUACAAAUUAUGUAGUGAGGCCAUGAUAUAAAUUGACAAAAGAUGCAUCUACCCCAAAAAAUUAUGAACUGUAUAAAUUGACAAAAAGAAACAUACAAAUAACAACUGAGGGGCUCAAUUUGGUAAUUCAACAGGCUCCGAUGUGGCUUAACACAGCUACCGUCUGAUAAGAAAAAGGGAGAUGAAAUAUAUGAGUUUGUAACUCAAUGAGUGGAUAAUUUUGUAAACAAAUAUACUUUUUCCAUUUAUGCUAACUUUCUAAAAACUGGUUUAUAAUAGAAAUAUCAUUACAUAGUACUUUAAGCUAAAUUCUGUAUUCUGAAAUUUGAUAAGUUGUAUAAUACUGAAAAAUCACACUAAAAAGGUACCCGGAAUAACUAUACUUAUGUAUCGAUUAGCAUCGAUAGACAUGGCAAAGAUAUCCAAUUCUGAAAUUCUGUAAUUCUAAAAUUUUGGUCAUACGAUGCACAGCUUUCUGGUCAUACACCAUGGAAACACAUUAACAAUAGUGCAAAGUAGGUAAAAUCACCAUAAUUAGUCAUACACUGUGGAAACACAUUCACACUAGUGCAAAGCGGGUAAAAUCACCUGGGUACUUUCUAGUGAUUUUUAGAAAAUAACUUUAAAUAUGCUGAACUAUUUAAUACUGAAAUAAUGUGCCAAUGAAAUGCUUUAACUGAACUGAAUUUAACUUCAAAACACAACUGUUAAUAAAUCAACUUUUUUCUGAAAAUCGUGUUUUCAAAUCAACUGUAUGAAUUAAUAAAUUUUCUAAUUUAAUAUAAAUUUUAUAAAUACUAAUUUCUUAAAAAUAAGUUUAUAUCCACUCACACAAUACGAGCUACACACUAGGCCACUUGGUAAGCUUUUCCAAUUUCUUUGUCACCACAUGAAAUACGUUACAAAAUAACUAAUUUAACUACUAUUAAAAUCAAGAAACCUUUUAUCUCUAAUGAUAAAAUAAUUAAACUAAAUUUUCCAAGACUUGCGAAAUUUUUUUAAAUUUCCUUUAUUCAAUUGGAGUUAAUUUUAAUUUCUAAUAAUACCUUCACACAUGGGUACUUUACCCAAAUUUACUUUCAUCCCAUUCAUAAAAAUAAUUAUACUUUCUGAUCUAAUGCAAACUAGUAACCAUAAUUCCACCUAUUUAAACUUUCAUCUUGUUUCUCAACUUCAUGCUUUCAUAUGAGUAUUCCAUCAAUAUAAUCAUUUCCAUGAAAUAUCCUUACUUAAGAAUCCAAUUAAAAAUUCUAGGGUUUGCCAAAUUUUUUUUGAUAUUUCUUACCUUAAUUCAAACGGAGACUAACCAAUCAAGAAGCUUGAGCUAGAGAUCAUAAUCCUUUCUCUAAAUCUGAAAUUUCGAACCAAAUUAAAACCCUAGAAAUUUAACAUAAAAUUUAUCUACCUCUUGAAGAAAAUAAAGAGAAAGGAAAAAUGAAAAUAAACCUUGAACUACAUCUUUCCCUUCUUCUUCCUCUUUUUCUUUUCCUUUUUCUCCUUCUUUUUCUUCACUUUUUUUCCUUUCUUCCUUCCUUCCGCCGAUUUUUCUCCUUCUCUGCCGGUUUCAAGAUUUUUCCUAUUUGUGUGGCUGAGUGAUAUAUAAAAAAAUGGGCUAGUUGUUGUACAAUUGCCACAUGCCCUCCAUAACAUCAACUUUUGCAAAUUAUGUCCUCAUUAAUAUACUUAGGAUCCGUUUGAUUGCAAAUGUGGAAUUUGGGUGAAAAGAAAACGAAUUUCAGGGAAUUGAAUUGAUGAGAAAUUGUUUUACUGGGAGUUGUAAAUUAUUGUGUUUGAUUGAUAUAAUUUUUUACGUGAAAAUUGUUUAAAUUAAAUUUUUUUUGAUGUCUGUUUGGUUUUGUUUUACAUGAAAAAUGUCAAUUAAAGGGAUAGAAUUUACUGGUAUUUGGAAUGAAAUUUGUUUUCAUUGCCAAAAUAAAAAAAAAUUCAAGAAAAUCAUCGAUUUUUGGGUGUUCGUUUGAUUUUGUUUUACAUGAAAAUUGUCAAUUAAAGGAAAAUAUUUUUUUACAAUAAUUUUUAGAAUUUAUUUUCAUUGCUAACACAAAAAAAGAAGGAAAAAAAAAUUGAAAACCUGGAAUUCACUUUCCUACCGUAUAGGUGGAAAAACCAAUUCCUUGAAAUGAAGGAAAAUAGGCGCGUGUGAGGCUUGCAUGGAAAGUGAAUUCCAAGGAAAUGUUUUGCCAUCAAACACUAGAAUUUGGAAAAGAUGGAAAUUAAUUUUCACUUUCUAGGGAAUUCAUGGGCAAUCAAACGGUACCUUAGAAUCAUUUACUUCCCAAAAAUAGAAAAAUAAAUCCCUAACUUUUCCACCUUAAACCUUCCGAUUAUUUCUCAGUAUAAAUUAAACUCCAAUAAUUAAUUUAUUUUAUUUUAGUCUCUAUUUGACUUUGACUUUGACGAGUCAAUCUUUGAAUUUUGACUAAACAAAAAUCGGUUGUAACAUCUUACUUCCUUAAAAGAAUUUCAUUCUCGAAAUUCCACUGGCAUCUGAUUAGGUAACGAAUAGAUGAGGAUACUGAAUACGCAUCUGAUCCUCAUGCUCCCAGGUUGCCUCUUCUACCGUCUGAUUCUGCUAAAGCACCUUUACAAGUAAAAUUGUCUUGUUCCGCUGAAUUUGCACCUUUCUGUAUAGAAUUCUCACUGGCUCCUCUGUAUAAGUCAAAUUCUCCUUCAAGUGAACUAGAUGAGACUCUAGAACAUGAGAAGGAUCUGUAAUGUACUUUGGAGCAUGGAGACAUAAAAAACAUCAUGGAUCCUAGAUAAUUCAGUUGGCAAAUCUAAUCGAUAUGCAACUAGACCAAUUCGCUCAGUAAUCUCAUAUGGUCCAAUGUAUCGUGGACUCAAUUUUCCUCGCUUGCCAAAUUUUAAAACUCCCUUCCAAAGCGACAAUUUUAGAAAUAUUUUAUCUCCAACUAUGAAUUUCAGAUCUUUUCUGUGCCUAUCUGCAUAACUUUGCUAUCUAUCUUAUGUUGGUUUUUCAACUUUUCUCUGAUCAAUUUCACAUUUACUGAAGUCAUUUGAACCAAUUCAGGGCCUACUAACUUCCUCUUACCAGCUUUAUCCCAGCAAACUGAUAUUCUGCACUUUCUACCAUAUAAAGUUUCAAGAAGAGCCAUUUCUAUACUGGAGUGGUAACUGUUAUUGUAAGCAAACUCCAUCAAUGACAAAUGUGAAUCCCAGCUACCCUGAACUCUAAAACACAAGCCCUCAACAUAUCCUCAAGAGUCUGUAUGGUCCUCUCUGACUGACUAUCUGUCUGAGUAUGAAAAGCUGUACUGGGCCAAAAUUUAGAUGUAAAAUGAGGGUCUCUGUCAGACAUAAUAUAUAAUGGAGUACCAUAUAAGCUCACUAUCUCGUCCACAUACAACUUUGCUAACUUAUUUAAAGUAUAAGUGGUUUUGAUUGGCAAAAACCUUGCAGACUUGGUCAAACGAUCCACAAUAAUAACCCAAAGAUCAUUAUGACCAUUCUGGGUACGAGAAAGACCAAAUAAAAAGUCCAUAGUAAUGUGCUCCCAUUUCUAUUCUAGAAUAGGCAAUGGCUAUAAUAGUCUUGUUGUUUUCUAACGAAUUGGUUUUACCUACUGACAGAUAAGACGUUUGGAUACAAAAAUAUGUUAUCUCUCUCUUCCACAAGUAAUGUUCUUUCAACGUAUCAUACUUUCAAUGUAUGAUACAUUUUAAUACAUUUUGAUAGAGUCUUCUUUAAAAGAUGGACUAAAAUCACCUGAAAGUUUAUCAACUUUCUCAAACCAAUACAUAUAAUUUAAAACAAGGUACAUCAGCUCUUCCAAAAACAACUAUUCAAAAUAAAGUACGUUGGAAUGGAAUUUACACUUCUUUACAAACCAGAGGACUCCAAAUACAUUACUUAUACAAAAUUAUGUAGUGAGCUCAUGAUAUAAACUGACAAAAGAUGCAUCUACCCCAAAAAUUAUGAACUAUAUAACUGACAAAAAGAAACAUACAAAUAAUGACUGAAUGACUCAAUUUGGUAAUUCAACAGGCUCCGAUGCGACUCAACACAACUAUUGUUUGAUAAAAAAAAGGAGAUGAAAUAUAUGAGCUUGUAACUCAGUGAGUGGAUAAUUUUGUAAACAAAUAUACCUUUUCCAUUUAUGCUCACUUUUCAAAAACUGGUUUAUAAUAAAAAUAUCAUUACGCAGUAUUUUAAGCUAAAAUCUUUAUUCUUUAAACUGAAUAAGCUAAAUUCUGUAUUCUGAAAUCUAAUAAGCUGUAUUAUACUGAAAAAUCACACCAAAAAGGUACCCGGAAUAACUAUACUCAUGUCUCGGUUAACACCGAUAAACAUGACAAAGCUAUCCAAUUCUGUAAUUCUGGUCAUACGCACGCAGAGCUAUCUGGUCAUAAACUAUGGAAACACAUUCACAAUAGUGUAGAGCGGGUAAAAUCACCUAGGUACUUUCUGGUGGUUUUUAGAAAAUAACUUUAAAUAAACUGAACUAUUUAAUAUUGAAAUAAUAUGCCAAUGAAAUGAUUUAAUUGAACUGAAUUUAACUUUAAAAAUAACUGUUAAUAAAUCAACUUUAUUCUGAAAAUCGUGCUAUCAAAUCAACUGUAUGAAUUAACAAAUUUUCUGAUUUAAUAUAGAUUUUAUAAAUACUAAAUUCUGAAAAGUAAAUUUAUAUCCACUCACUCAAUACGAGCUACAGACUAAGUCGGUCGGUAAGCUUUUCCAAUUUCUUCGUCACCACUUGAAAUACGUUACAAAAUAACUAAUUUAACCACUAUUAAAAUCAAGAAACCUUUUAUCUCUAAUGAUAAAAUAAUUAAACUAAAUUUUUCAAGACUUGCAAAAUUUUCCUAAAUUUCCUUUAAUCAAUUGAAGUUAAUUUUAAUUUCUAAUAAUACAUUCACACGUGGGUACUAUACCCAAAUUUACUUUCAUCCCAUUCAUAAAAAUAAUUAUACUUUCCAAUCUAAUGCAAACUAGUAAUCAUAAUUCCACCCAUUUAAACUUUCGUAUUGUUUCUCAACUUCAUGCUUUGAUAUGAGUACUUCAUCGAUAUAAUCAUUUCCAUGAAAUAUCCUUACUUAAGAAUCCAAUUAAAAAUUCUAGGGUUUGCCAAAAAAAAUUUGAUAUUUCUUACCUUAAUUCAAAUGGAGACUAACCAAUCAAAAAGCUUGAGCUAAAGAUCAUAAUCCUUUCGCUAAAUCUGAAAUUUCGAACCAAAUUAAAACCCUAGAAAUUUAAUAUAAAAUUUAUCUACCUCUUGAAGAAAAUAAAGAGAAGGGAAAAAUGAAAAUAAAUCUUGAACUACAUUUUUCCCUUCUUCUUCCUCUUUUUCUCCUUCUUUUUCUCCUUCUUUUUCUUCCCUUUUUUCCUUUCUUCUUUCUUUCUGCCCAUUUUUUUCUCCUUUUCUGCCAAUUUCCAGAUUUUUCCUAUUUGUGUGGUUGGGUUGUGCUUCAUAGCCCACGAGCUUGACAAAGGGGUUGACACCCCACACACACAUGGGGAGAUCGGUAUUAUUUUAUUCAAUGGGACCCACCUCGGCAUGUGAGAGGGUGGUCAGCCGUGGUGUCAACCCCGCGGGUCGUUUAGCAUUUUUCUUGUGUGGUUUGAGUGGUAUAUAAAAAAAAUGGGCUAAUUGUUGUAUAAUUGUCACAUGCCCGCCAUAACACCAACUUUUGCAAAUUAAGUCCUUCAACAUUAAUAUAUCUUAGAAUUAAAUCUUUUACUUCCCAAAAAUAUAAAAAUAAAUCCUUAACUUUAAAUUUUAUCCACCUUAAACGUUCCAAUUAUUUUUCAAUAUAAAUUAAACCCCAAUAAAUAAUUUAUUUUAUUUUAGUCUCCAUUUGACUUUGAUUUUGACGAGUCAAUCUUUGAAUUUUGACUAAACAAAAAUGGGUUGUGGCUCAUCAAUUCAAUGUUUACCAAAUUGCUCGAAAAAGUGAUGAGUGCCUACAUAAACGAUAUGCUCAUCAAAUCAUUUGUAGUGACUGACCACAUCAGGUACCCGGGUAGUCUUUCUAAGUCCUCAAAACGUAUAAUAUGAAACUCAAUAAUUAUAAAUGUUCAUUUGGUGACUCUUUUGAAAAAUUUGCAGGUUAAUAAGCAAGGGAUAGAAUUAAAUUCAGACCAAGUAUGAUCAAUCAUCAACAUCCUGUCUCCUAGACACAUCAAAGACAUUUAGAAGUUGACUAGACGAUUAGCUGCGAUCAACCAGUUUAUAUCAAAAUAUUAGAAGAAAAAUUGCAUUUUCUUUAACACAUUGCGAAAGAACGAAGAGUUCAUUUCGACUCCGAAUGUAAGAAAGCUCUACAAAAAUUAAAGAAUUAUUUGACAAGUCCACCGCUCCUAUCCAAGCCAAAAGACAGCGAGAUGCUCUACCUUUACUUAGCAAUAUCUUUGUCUGCAGAAAACGUCAUACUUGUCCAGGAGGAGGAUAGAAAGCAGCAUGUGGUGUGCUACAUUAGUAGAUUCUUGCUCAACUCUGAAUAUCGGUACAGAAGCUGAAAAAGCUUGCACUCGUCCUCGUAAUCAAGGGAAGGAAGCUAAGGCCCAUACUUCCAGCACACCUAUAACGGUGCUUUUGACCUUCCUAUAAAAGAUGAUCCUCCAUAAACCAGAAUUGUCGAGCCGACUAGUGAAAUGGCAGUAGAACUUAACGAAUAUGACUUGACUUACCAACUACGGUCCGCGGACCACUAUCAAAUCACAUGUGCUUGCUGACUUUAUUGUUGAUUUUUCAACCGACAAACAUGUCCUGUCCAAGAAAGAAAUUUUUGCAGUAACGGAGAGCUUAAUUUCGAAAGAAUUGACCUAGCGUUGGAUGGAUCAAGCAACUCUAAUGAAAGUGGACUGGGCAUAAUCUUAACCUCAUCCGAAGCCAACAUAAUCGAACGAGCAAUACAAUGCUGAUUCAAAGCAACGAAGCUGAAUAUGAAGCUCUAAUUGGGGAUCUAUCACUUGUAAAAGACACGGGUAUGAAGAAAAUCAAAUUGUCGAACGAUUGACAAAUAGUCACCCACCAAAUCUAAGGCAACUACUCAAAGAACAAAAAUGGCGACAUAUCUCAAAAUCGCAAAAGAGCUUCAGUCUUUCUUCCAGGAUUUUGACAUAAUCUAAAUCGUUAGAGAAGAUAAUAAUAAUCAUGCUAACGCACUUAGAAAUUGCAAUACUUUAUUAUACUAAUUGUAUCAUGUUUUAUAUUCUAACAAAAAAUUAUAUUUUAUUUUUCUUUUUGAAAUUUAUUAGAAAAUUAUGUUAAUCUUCAAAGUUCUAAUGUUAAAUUUAUAUAAUAAAUAAAAAAAAAUCAAUAAAACUAUUUGUACAUCCAAGAUUGACACCCCGGAUGACACUCCCCUUACAAGAGAGGGGGGUCCACACGUAAUAAAAUAAUUGUGAGCUCCCCUCUUGUGAAGGGAGUGUCAUCCGGGGUUAACACUUCGGAUGUACAAAUAGCAAAGUCCAAAAAAUAUAUAAUAAUCACUUACAAAACAUAUACAUGCACGUUGGAAAAAGGAAGGAUCGCUUAUAUAUUGAUAGGUGUGCAUGGCAUAUGGCUAAUUGUAAUUGGAACCUGAAUUUCAAGAAAGGAAAAAAAAAAUGAAUGGGGAUUCUAGUGCCACAAGUGAUAUAAUUUUAGAAAACUUCCCACAAUCGAAUUGUUAAUCAAAAAUGAAUAUUUCUACUCAAACAGGGGCCGUGACAGCCUUAAUAGGCGCCCCCUCCAAUAGGGGGACGCCCAUGUCACAGUAACAAGCCCCAUCAAAAAUAGCAUAGACAAUUGUAGAAGAGGUGAACUUGAGACAGAAGGUUAAUUGAAGGUUUAAUUCUGAUUUUCUUAUUUCUUUUUUAAUUUUAAAAGUUUCUUGAUUUGGCUACUUGUGCUUCUUUGGAAGUGAUAAUGACCUGCUAAAUUUCGUUUAUCUUCUUCUACGUUUCUGAUUAUUUUCUUCUACAUUUUGUGCCCAAGCCUUUAUUCUAUAACUAAUUUUCAAUGCUACAAAAGGGUGAGUAGCAUUUUAUGAACUCUUUGAACCUUUUUUAAGUACUUUUUUCCUCUUGAACAAUCUGGAUUAUGUUUUUGAAGUUUUAGAUGUAUACAAGUAUGGACGGAGACAAAAUAUUAUAAUAUAUUUUUAAAACUCUUACUUUCAAUAUUUAGUUGUCACCAUAUUUCUAAUUUUGUUGGUAACAAAUGAGGCAUCUUUGACAUUUUUAGUUCACUUCCCAUAAAUAAACGAUGAAGAUUGAUUCUAUUUUAUGAUUCAUAUUUUUUCUAGAUUAUUUUUGUUGACGCAUAAAAAUUCAGCCCAAAUCGAACAGCCCAAGGAGUGAAGCCUAAUUGGAUGAUCCCCAAAUCAAAUAGUCCAAAGAAUGAAGCCCAAUCGAACAAAUCAAGAUGAAGGCCCAAAUAAGGAGGCCCAAGAACGCGGUAACGCCAUCGCCCAAGUUUGCAAGUCGCCCAGAAUCUGAGCGAAUGGAGUGUCAUACAAUCGCCCAGAGCUGUUACUCUAUUCACGCCCAAACCUUCAAGUCGCCCAAGGUCUUAACAAACAUAAAGCGUAGUGGUUAUCAAGAAGUGCAGUUAUCAAAGCAGUUAUUAAAGCAGCCCUAUCACGUUCCACGAUUCAAGGAAUUCAAUCGAAAGCGGUUGAACGAUGAAGAGUAAUGGCAGCAGUUAAAAAAUACAGUUUUCAUGACAAGUUGGCCAUUACAAAGAAAGUGGGCAGUUAUAGGACGAUCAAGCAGUUUUUAGGACGGUUGAUCACAAAGAGAUCGUCCAUGAAGUAUAAAAGGGAGAAAGAACAUAGAAGCAAAGGACCGAAUCAAAAACUCUCGAACAGAGAACAUGUAAUUUUCAUUUCCUUAGCUUAGACUUAAACGCUUUUCUUCCAGUAACUCGUGUGCUUGCGCCCAUUGGAGGCACAUUGUUUUUAAUUUCCAAUUGUAAAAUCAUCGCCAAUAAAAGAACACCCCUUUUUGGGACUUUGUCUCAAGAGGUUUGUCCCUUACACAAUCGUCUGAUCAUUUUUAAUUGUUAGAGACUAACCCACGCGAAACAAUUUGGCACGCCCAGUGGGACAGUGGUGUUAGGUGUUGAAAGUACAAAAGGUGAAACAAUAUGCCUCAGAGAUCCGAUAAGGAAGUAGCAAGUCAGGGAGGAAUCCAGUCUGUGAUCGAGCGAUAUGAGGAGCAGCAUGCCUCUCCACGAACAGAUGGACAGAAUCAGAGCAGUAACGGUCGUUAUGAACCAAUGACAGAGUUGAGUCCUCGAACCAUGCGUACAUUACUUGGAGAACUUACGCAAGACGUCAUUAAACAGGUAAAUCUUCGAAUUAUUCAUAAUAUGGAAAGAUUUACGCAAAAUGGGAAUGUACACUAUGACAACAUGGCCAAACAAUUAAAGACGUUGAACGAAACAAUGAAUAAGUUAGUAGGCCAAAUCUGUCAACCGGCUAUACCUCUUACAAACCACUUUCAAACUAGGACAAUUGUGGGACAUAAUCCCUCGGUCCUAAAUCCGAAUCAAGGGGUAGAACCGCUUUCUGGUCCCUCUACUUCAAACCAAGGGGGUACUACAGUGCCAAAUCAGAACAAUGGUAGUGGUAUGCCUAACAUGGGGGGUAAUCCAAAUGUGAGAGAUAAUGUCCUAAACAAUGGACAGAAUAUUCCACGUGUUAAUGAGGGAAUAGAUGUUCGGGCUAAUGGUAAUGGCCCUAAUCAUGGUAAUUUUGUUGCCAAUCAAGGACCAAACAUUAGGCCUCAUGCAAAUCAACCGGUUAGCCAACCUGUAGGAAUACCAUAUGACCCCAACGUCAUGUUGAGGAACCAGAUUAUGGAAAUCGUACAGGAUCAGAUGGCUUUUGGGGUGCGUCCCGUCAUUAGGCCGACGUACAUAAAGCCAUAUCCUGAUUGGAUAGACCAAGCAUAUCCAUGGCCUAGAGGGUACAAAGUGCCAGAAUUCUCACUGUUUACCGGUUUAGGAGAGGUGUCUACUCUAGAACACAUAGGGCGAUUCACAUUGCAAAGUGGUGAUGUAACCGAUUACCAUAAAAUGAGACUUUUCCCUAGUUCGUUAACAGGAGUAGCUUUCUCCUGGUUCAUCAACUUGCCAGCGAACUCUGUUCAAAUAUGGCUACAAUUAGAACAGUUGUUUCACACUCAGUUUUAUAAAACUGAGUCUGAAGUUACUUUGGCUGAUUUGGCGAAUCUACGUCAAAUGCCAAACGAAUGGGCAGAAAGUUUUCUCCAAAGGUUCAAGACAGCAAGAAGCAAGUGUUUUGUACCUCUGGUCGAAAAAGAAUUUGUCAAAAUCGCUUAGGGCUGCUUGAGCUUUGAUUUAAAAAAGAAGUUCCAGGACAAGAAAUUUCCUGACCUUUUCCAGUUGAGUGCGAAUGUGAUUAGGUAUGAGCGAUUGAUAAGAGAGGAAGAACAAAUGAAAAAUUUCAGUAAAGGGACUUAUUACAAAGACCCAAAUUUUGACGUUCAUACCAUCGACGACGAGUCAUACGAUCAGGCCGAAAUGUGUUUGGCAGAAUUGGUCAAAGGAGAUACAUAUACUUGUCCUAUAAUAGCCAAGCCUAGACCAUCGGGCAAAGAUGAGCCCAUAAAAGAUGGAAACAUAAAGGCUAGAACGUUCUCGUUCGACGUAACCAAAGCUGACCUUAUAUUCGAUAAAUUAUAUAGGGAUAAGCAGAUAAAAUUGAGCGAUAAGCACAAAUUGCCAAACCCUGAACAAAUUAAGGGUAAAAAAUAUUGUAAGUGGCAUAAUGCAUGGUCACAUUUGACUAACCAUUGCUUGGUUUUCCGCCAUGUAUUGCAGGAUGCCAUUGAAUUAGGGCGAAUUACGUUCGAUGAUAAGAAAAAGAUGGCAGUGGACGAGAAUCCUUUCCCACAGCCACUUGGAGUAAACAUGGUAACAUCUGGAUUCAAAAACAAGUUGCCAAAAUUCAAGUUGGUCGUAAACGAUGGAGAAGAGGAUCCUAGACCACAUCCCAGCGUCUUUGAACGAAUCAAGAGGAAAGAACCAAAAAAGGACGAAGACGUCCUGUGUGCAAGGUGUAAAAGAGAAGUGAAUGGAAAUACGGAGAAACCAGGGAUAUGACAGCAUCCUCAUCACCCUACCUUCUUCCCAAACACUCAACUUGGUAGAGGGCGAGGUACAUCAUUCUUAGAGGACCGCCUUUUGAGAGGCAGUUCAGGCCAGUAGAUAAUGGAAGAACAUUCAGGCCGCAACCUCACCGGCCAAAUGUAUGGCAUUCAUUCUAGUACAAUGCAGGAAGAGCAAUACCCUUCGAUGAGAUGACUAGGACCCAACAAAGGCAUUUUCAACGAAACUACGGACGGAUGAUGAGGCAGCAACAGGGGAUGCCACAUCCUAAAGCGCCUAAACUACUUAAGGUAGCCAAUCAAAACUUCCUCAAAAAUAAUGAAGAGACCGGUACAGAUGAAUCAAUGAAGAAACUGCUAGAAACUUCUUCUGGGAGAUCAAGGUUUGAGCGAGACAGAAGGGAUGAAGAAGAUCUAGAUCAGCCCCUCACUAUCCAACUCGGUACGUUGCCUCCUGUCGUGGCCAAUAAUUACUUACUGGCCAAUGAAUUCAAGAACAAAGAAAAAGAAGAAGAGAGGGAGGACAACGAAGGAGAAGCCUGCGUGCUGGUAUGUGAAGAAGGCCAGACUUCUAGAGAGGCCUACAACGAUGAAGAGGACAACGGGAUGACAGACAUUGAAGAAGAAAUCGACCUAGAAGCAGAGAGAAGAAAAAGAAGAGUAUCGCGCAAUACUCUGUUAAAGCAACUACAUCGAGAGGGAGUUCACGAAGUAGACUUGUUGGGGGAACCAUCUGGGCGCCCUUUCGAUUUCUACGUACUGUACGGGACACCCAAAAGGAAGAAGAGAGUACCUCUCUCUGAAAAGUAUGGAUCACCUCCAAGAAUAAUGUCCCCUCCCACAGGUUAGGUAACUGAUGAGGAAGCAUUAGAAAGAAGUAGGAAGGAAGUUCAGGAGACAGAGGAUCAGCGCGAUGUACUGCACGUCGACUUAUCACAGGGGGAUAAUUCGACAGAAAACAAGCAGGAAGUAGAAAUAGAGGCUGCCAAAAAAGUUAUUUUUAAACGGCCAGCCAUGAAAUUGACUAAACACUUGAGGCCAUUAUACGUUAAAAAUCUAGUUAACGGCGUCCCAGUGGCAAAAGUGCUUGUCGACAAUGGAGCAGCUAUAAACACCAUUCCAUCUAGGAUGAUGAGGAAGUUCAUAAAGAUAGAGGGUGACAUGAUUCCUACAGAAGUCAUCCUCACUAGCUUCAAUGGAGGAGCGAUUUCAGCUAAGGGAGUUAUGCCAUUGGACAUAACUAUAGGGACGACUACUAGGACCACUGUCUUUUUUGUAAUAGAUGGUCCUACUAGUUACAAUGUGCUAUUAGGAAGAGAUUGGAUACACGGAAGUCGCUGUAUACCCUCAUCACUCCAUCAAUGCCUGAUCUUCUGGAAUGACAAAGGCGAAGCUGAGGUGGUACAGGCCGAUCAUAGGCCUUUUGUCGCAGAAGCAAACUCGGUGAAAAAGUUCAUGUACGAAGGAAACUAUGGACCUGUCAGGGUAGUACAAGACGGGGAAGAAACUCAGGUUGUCGCGCAAAGCGAAGAACCAUUCUCAGUGGACGCACUCACUGAGAUGUUUAAACAGAUGAGGCCAAAUAUAGUAGCCCUAGAAGAGCCAGUAAUUGGCAAAAGAAUAAUUAAGGAGUCUUGAAUGGACUUUAAGUUAUGAAAGCAAAUGGCCGACGUUCAGGACUUCAAAGCCAGACUGAUGGCUUUCAAUAAGGAAUGCAAUGACAAGGCGAAAGAAGAGACAGCCCUAAAAGCGCUGAAGGAUAAGUUGGCAGUAUUUGAGUUAGAGCAAAGCAUUGGCCGAGAAGUCAACAAGGUGGACUAUUUAGAAGAGAAAGUACUUACAAGGGAACUAAACGACGAAGUAAUGCGGAUCGCCAAACCUGGAUACGCUCAAGCACAAGACCCUCUGAUCAAAGUAAAUAUUGGCAAUGAAGGAGAAGAUCGUCCAACAUUCAUCAGCCAAAUGCUCGACCAAGAGGUUAGUAACAAGUUAAUAGCUUUGCUAAAAGAGUACAAAGAUUGUUUUGUUUGGGAAUAUGAACAAAUGCCUAGUUUAGAUAGAGACUUGGUGGAACAUAGGUUACCAACUAAGCCUAACUUUAAAUCUCAUAGGCGGCCUCCUAGACGUUUUGCUCCCAAUGUACUCCCUGAAAUCAAGAAAGAGAUAGAGCAAUUAUUGAAAGCAGGUUUUAUUAGAACAGCCAGAUAUGUCGAAUGGUUGUCAAAUGUCGUGCCAGUACUAAAAAAGAAUGGUAAACUAAGGGUGUGUAUAGACUUUAAAAAUUUAAACAUAGCUACACCCAAAGAUGAGUAUCCAAUACCCACGGUGGAUUUUUUAGUAGAUUCAACUGCCGGACAUGUCAUGUAUUCUUUCAUGGAUGGGUAUUCAGGGUACAAUCAAAUUUAUAUAGCUGAAGAAGACAUACACAAAAUUACUUUUAGAUGCCCAGGGUCUCUAGGAUGUUUUGAAUGGGUGGUUAUGCCUUUCGGUCUAAAAAAUGCAAGGGCAACUUAUCAAAGGGCAAUGAAUUUAAUCUUUCAUGAUAUGAUAGGCAAGUUUGUUGAAGUGUAUGUGGAUGACAUAGUAGUCAAGUCCAUUAAAGAAGAAGACCAUUUCGAACAGUUAAGAUAUUCGUUUGAGCGAAUGAAGCAAUAUAAGCUAAAGUUGAAUCCCUUGAAGUGUGCAUUCAGUGUUAAUGCAGGGAAUUUUCUUGGUUUCUUAGUACACAAGAGAGGGAUUGAACUUGAUAAAAAUAAAGCGAAGGCGAUUUUAGAGGCCAAACCACCUAGCAACAAAAAAGAAUUGCAAAGGUUUCUAGGCCAAGUAAUUUUUUUAAGACGCUUUAUUUCUAACUGUGCAGGGCGAACUAAAGUCUUUUCGCCGCUUUUAAAGCUGAAAAAUCAGGACGAAUUCGUCUGGAAAGAAGAACAUCAAAAGGCUUUUGAAAGCCUGAAGACAUAUCUAUCAAGUCCACCAGUGUUGGUGUCACCAAUUCAAGGACGGCUAAUGAAAGUGUAUGUAUCGGCUGAAAAAGAAUCAAUAGCUGGAAUGGUCGCACAGGAAGACCAAUUUGGUGAAGAAAGGGCAAUUUACUACUUAAAUAGACGGUUAACGAAAUGUGAAUGUAAUUACUCUGCUAUCGAAAAAUUAUGUCUUACAUUGUAUUUCACAUGUACAAAAUUAAGAGCUUAUUUACGGCCCGUAACCGUUUAUUUUAUUUCUAAAGUAAAUUUAGUCAAGUAUAUGUUCUCGCGCCCUAUUUUACACCAAAGGGUAGGCCUUUGGACACUAGCUUUAUCAGAAUUCGAAAUACAAUAUAUACCUCAAAAGGCAGUCAAAAAGCAGGCUUUGGCUAACUUUCUAGCCGAUCAUCCAUGCCUUGAUAUGCUUGAAGAGAUCGAACUAGAAAUCAAUUCAUUCGAGUUAAAACCUUGGGUGUUGUAUUUCGAUGGGUCAAAAACUUCUAAAGGUGCAGGAGUAGGAAUAGUAUUGAUUAAUCCUUUAGGGAUUUGCUACAAGUUCGCAUUCACUUUAGAUAGAAUGUGCACCAACAAUCAAGCCGAAUAUGAAGCCUUAAUUGUAGGCCUAGAACUAAUGAUAGAUAUGGGAGUAAGAAGUGUGAUCGUUAGGGGCGAUUCUCAAUUGGUGAUCCAUCAAUUGAUCAGUGAUUUUAAAUGACAAAGUGAUUCCAUUAUAAGUCAAUACGAGAUCGCCUAAGAAUUAUUAGAAGAAUUCGAUCAAGUAGAACUCCAAUGCGUUAAUAGGAUAUAUAACGACGUGGCAAAUGAGUUAGCCCAAAUGGCAUCAAGGUACUCAAAGGUUUUGAAUUGGAAGUCUACUUGUGAGUAUGGAAUCAUAUUGCCCGUGACUUAAAGAAGGGCGAGAAAGAUUGAACUCCACUGCAUACAAGAUGGAGAUGCAAUGGAUUGGAGAACAGAGAUUAAAAGGUUCCUUAAAGAACCAAUGGAGGGAUUAGUAGGAAAAUGAAGCUGUGUUUGCUGAACUAUAUACUAAUAGAUGAAGAGUUGUUUAAGAAACGCUCUUAUGGUGUAUUAUAAAAGUGUGUAAGUUUGCAAAAAGUCAAGACGAUCAUGGCUGAGGUGCACGAAGGGAUAUGUGGAGCUCAUCAAGCUGGCCAAAGGAUGAGAUGGUUAAUUAUUAGGAAUGGAUAUUUUUGGCCAAAGAUGGGAGAACUAUGCCUUCAGUAUGCAAAGAGUUGCUUAGCAUGCCAAAAGCAUGGUCCAAUACAAAGGGCGCCAGCACGAGAAAUGGCACCUAUUAUUAAACCUUAGCCGUUCAAGGGUUGGGAGAUAGACCUGAUAGGGAAGAUUUAUCCCCCAUCGUCCAAGCAACAUACUUUUGUUAUAGUUGCAAUCGACUAUUUCACCAAAUGGGUAGAAGCAAUACCUUUGAAAGAGAUCACCCAAAAAAAUGUUAUAGAGUUUAUCCGUGAUCACAUUAUUUAUAGGUUUGGAAUUCCACAAACGAUAAUGGUAGAUCACGGAACAUCUUUGAAUGGGGAUCAAGUGAACAAAUUUUUGAGCGAGUUUGGGGUUAAAUUAGUAAACUCCACACCAUACUACGUUCAAUCCAAUGGACAAGCGGAAUCUUCUAAUAAGAUUCUAAAAAAUAUCAUUAGAAAGAUGAUAGAUAAAAAUGUCAGAAAUUGGCACGAAUGUCUGAAUAAGGCUUUAUGGGCUUAUAGGACAUCACCUCGGUCAAGUACCAAGAUUACUCCUUUCCAACUUGCUUAUGGACAGGAGGCUGUUUUGCCUAUGGAAAUCAACGUGCAAUCGAUCAGAGUGUGCUUACAGCAUAAGUUGAAUGAUGAUGAGUAUGCCGAAUCACUAGUUCAAAAUUUAUUGGGGUUAGACGAAUUAAAGUUGGACGUCUUAGAUAGAUUACAAGAGCAAAAAAAAAGAAUGACUAAGUUUUAUAAUAAAAAAGUCAUAGCCAAGUCGUUCAGCCUGGGUGAACUAGUUUGGAAGACGAUACUCCCUUUGGAUAGCAAAGAUCCCAAGUACGGGAAGUGGUCGCCCAAUUGAGAAGGACCAUACAAAAUAAAUAGUAUAUUGCCCAAUGGAGCGUAUCACUUGGAGGAUUUAGACGACACCAAGCACGUAAGAUUCAUUAAUGGUAAAUAUUUGAAAAAAUAUGUUCCUUCUUUAUGGGAAUGUGAACAGAUAAAAUCAUAAUCAAAUAUGGUGAACGAUUAAAGGAUAAAGAGGUCAGAGCGAAAUACGUUCAAGUGAAGUCCUUUAUUAUCAAACGUUCAUUACAAGAAUACAAAAAUACAAAUAAUGGUUGUUCUAGGAAAUAUAAUUAAAAGUAAGCUAAUCUCCCGGUUGAUCGCUGAGUAAGCCUCACGCCGCCUUCCUAAAUGCAUCACUGCAAUGGUGGGAUCGCCGAGUAAGAGGGUGUACUGGCCUCACCGCCUUCCUAAAUGCAUCGCUGCAAUGGUGGGAUCGCCGAGUAAGAGGGUGUACUGGCCUCACCACCUUCCUAAAUGCAUCGCUGCAAUGGCGAGCAAAGAGGCUGAGAAGCACUCCCAGCAAGCAAGCUGAGAAGCACUCUCAGCAAGCAAAGUGGCGCACAAGCAGCCCAAAAAUUGCCUUCUAUCAUUGACUCCUUGUAAAGGACAAAGAGACGAUGGGAAGAACUUUGAAGGUAAAAACUUCGCUGCUGGCCAGAAAAUAUUUCCUAUACCUCCCACACCAAAGGUGACAUCAAGGUAAAUUGUAAAAUGGACUGACUAAACUGUCCAUUUUUGGUCAGAUUGAUUGUCAGAAUGCCAAGCAAUGGCAGUAAAUUAGUUUCGAAGAAGAAAAUAAAGAUGAAGAUAGAAGAUGGAAAAUGCGAAGCAUUUAUAGGAGGUGGAGACGAAGAGACAGAAUAUGAACAGCUACAUUUCUGCCUAAUAAACGGAAUUAAAUAGCCCAAAAUCUUGGGAAAAGUGGUGGAAAUAUCAAAAGAAAAUGGACAAGAUUUUUUAGCACAAAGCAGUCAAAUGCUUAAAGAAUUGACGACUAAAAAACAAACGUCAAAUAAAUGCACAAAAAGUUAAUGUUCAUUAAUGAUGAACAAAGCUACAAGAGGAAAAAUCAAAUUACAAAAGAAAAAAGACAUCGUAUGUCUUAAUUACAGUCCACCCCAUACUGAACGAAUUCGUUCCCUAAGUUUUUUCCAAUCCUCGUUCUGCCGAGAGGAAGUGAUGUUCAAUUCAGCCACGACAUCAUCAUCAACUUCCAACUUCUUGUACUGCUCGACCAAGGACUUAGUUCGCUCAAUUCCUUGGGAGGCGUUGCACUUUUCAGCAGCCAUUCUCGCCCUGUAGUCGUCCAUUUUGGCUUGAAGUUCCUUCAUCUGAGCAUGCAAAUUAACCAUCAAAGAGUCUUCAACCAUGACUUCGGAAGAGAUUUCUUUCAACUCGUCCUCAGCCUUGUUAAUCUCCAUACGCAAAGACUCUUUCUCAGCAACGGCUUGAAGAUAUUGAGUACGUUUGGCCUUUAGUUCAGCAUUCUUGGCCAGCAAAGAAAGGACCUCGGAGUGAAUAACCUUCAACGUCGCUUUAAAAUCGGCAGAAAGAUUGAGCGACGGAAGCAUCAAUGCUUGCUCCAACUUUGCACUCAAGUGCUCAAGUUUAUCCUUGUGUCUGGUGGCACUGGCCCUUCCAAUAUCCAUAUCCAUGAAGGAUACGUACUCAAGUAUCGACUCCUUGAGGACCUUCAAAUCUUCCUCUGAAGAAGCAGCAGGAUGAUCAGAUGGAGCAGGGCAAGACGUCUGGAGUUGCCCCUAGGAAGCGAACAAGUCUUGGAUAGAACGCACAAUUUUGUCAGCAUCCUGCAAAGAAAAUUGCCAAUAUUAAAGAUCCUCACUACAACGAACAAGAUAGAAAUAGAAGUAAAGCAAAGACUACCUCAUCAACAAUCGUAGAAGAUGGCAUGUCCUCAGCCAAGCUUGCCGCCAACGACUCCUCCAUUCGUGAGGACUUCCCCUUAUCUGAGCGAGAAGAUGUUGCCACAACGGGCGGACUCAUAGGAGUAUUUGCAAAACUCAAGAGCAACAAAUCAGAAACCAACAGCACAAGCAAAGGUAAGACAUCAAAAGACUAAAUUACCUUCUGCUUCAAUGUUUGGGGGGUUGACACCCUGGUAAGAAGGUGGUUCAUCCAUGGGUUGUGAUGAGAACUCUGGGACUGAAGAUGUCUCUUUAAGCGUAGCCUCCUCAUCAACCGGUUUAGAUGAAGUAGCCUCAGCAGAGGAUGAUGGAGUAGGAGCUGUCGAUGCCAAAGCCUUUGAAGGAGAGGCUGAGCUUUUCUGAGAAGUGCAAAAGAUCAUCAGCACACAGAAAAGUUUCAAGUGUGGAAAAGUAUACUUGUGAGUAAACCAAUUUAAUUACCUUCCUCCUGACGAUAAGAGGGGCAUCAUCAUCAUCAACAUCAUCCUCCAGAAUGGGAGAUACUGAGGCUGGCCGUUUACGGCUUGGGGUACUCUUGGCCGUAGUAGGCUUGGCAGGGAGAGAAGAAGAUGGAUGAACAGACUGUUUAGUGCGAUGAGAAGGAGAAGGACUACGAAUGGACAAGGGAGUGACUAAAAUAGGAGGAGGGGAAGAAAUGCUCGGUUGGUCUAAUGAAUGAAAGGCACGAUUGGCGUCAAUCGCAAAUAAUCUGCGCUUCACUGACGGCCAGAGCUGUUCAAAAAGAGGGUGAAUUGCGUGGCUAGAAUUGAAAGGGGCUAAUGAAAAAUGGCUAGUUAAAAGAAGAAUACGAGCAUCUAUAGCCUCUGCCUCUGCCUUAGUAAUGGUAUAAAAACGGUCAACUAAGUUCCUUGAAUAGCAAGGAGGAACAGGCCAAGUUUGGCCAAAACCAAGCUGACGAGCAAAAAAUUGGGGAGCAUAAAUCUCUACCCUCGCUUUGGCAUUGGUCCCAGUUAGAAUAUCAUGAAAUAGCUCCCUCCCGCUUAAAAACUGGAUCCAAAUGAGCAGGGAGGUGCUCGCGCUAUCUAUAGUGGAAGGGGGAUGUACAUAGUUUGGAGUCAAAAAAGGAGAAAAAGGAAAAAAGGAAGGGAUUGAAUCCAAAGAAUAAAAGAAUGAAAAAAUGUCCCUUCUAGACAUAUUUACAGGAGCUAAGGGCUCCAUGGCUAGCCCAUAACAGCUAGCAGAGGAGCGAGAGAUGGAUGGAGCACCAAGCAAUGGAAAAUAGGAUCUCAACCACAGUUGAGUGAACCAAAGAGGUCCAUUACCAGUGGGAGAUGCACCAUUCUUCAAUUGAGCUUGAAGAGAGGCCAUGCUUCUAUAAAGGGCAGCCAAAAACAAAGAACAUAAAUUCAAAGGCCUGCCACGCGCCAAUUCGUGCGCUAUAGGUAAAUAACUCAGGGAGGGCUUUAUGCUUGGCACGCACAAAACAUAUUUACAAAGCCAAACUAAAAGGAAGGCCACUCGCUCAGUAUGGGAAGGCUCAGCGCUCGAAUGAUUGUGAAGGGUUUGCAGGCUUGAAUAAGAAUCGGUGUAGUUUUUACCAAACUUUGGAGCGCCACCAGAAACCAAGAUACUAGGAAAAAUGGUAUCGCCCAAAGGUGGUAGAUUCACUAGGGCCCCAACAUCCCUUAAGGUAAUAGACAUGGGGCCAAGAGGGAAAAUAAAGGUAUUAUACUCAGGAGACCAAAAACUCAAAGCAAUCGAAAAGAGUGCUGAAUCAAAAGUAGGGGGACGAAUAGAGAUUUCUAACAAAUCAGAAAUCCUAGCGCUAUCAAAAAGUGCCUUAGUAGGACCAUGACCCACAUGGCGAGCAUGCCACCUACGAAAAGCUACAUCAGAUUUAGGCCAAGUGCGAAUACCUCUUUCGCGAAGUGGCCCCAGCGGCAGAGAGUUUAGAAAAGGAGGGCCAUGAGUGUAAGGAAACAGCUGACCCGCCGCCGCCUGUUCAACUGCCUCUGCAUUGUUGAAAAAAGGACCCAAGUAGAACUCAUUACGUUCGACAUCGACGGGCGCGAGAAAACUUGGAGUUAUGUAUGGGCGACUCAGAAGUUUUUGAAAGUCAUCAAAACUAAAGGAGUCGCCAGCUUGAGAUUGUGAAGCAGCCAUUUGAAAAGGAACGAAGUUUUUCAGGGUUACGUAGCAGGGAAGCAAGAGAUGAACAGUAAAUCGUGAGAGAGACGCAAAAAAUUUGAGGCGUGGUUUAAUAGUGCAGUGAAAUGGCGUGUUUGAGGUUUAUAAGGGUUUGCAAAACGACGCACCUUUUCAAGUUAUAGAAGAAAACAAUGAUUGAAAUUCUUGAGAAUUUCGAAUGUUGCUGGAAACACAAAGUGAAUAUGGCAAAAUUUAUUAAUUAUUAUUAAUUCUGCCAUAUUGGGGGGUAAUUGUUAACACAUAAAAAUUCAGCCCAAGGAGUGAAGCCCAAUUGGAGGAUCCCCAAAUUAGAUAGCCCAAAGAACGAAGCCCAAUCGAACAAAUCAAGAUGAAAGCCCAAAUAAGGAGGCCCAAGAACGCGGUAACGCCAUCGCCCAAGUUUGCAAGUCGCCCAAAAUCUGAGCGAAUGGAGUGCCAUACAGUCGCCCAGAGCUGUUACUCUAUUCUCGCCCAAACCUUCAAGUCGCCCAAGGUCUUAACAAACAUAAAGCGUUGUGGUUGUCAAGAAGUGCAGUUAUCAAAGCAGUUAUUAAAGCAGCCCUAUCACGUUCCACGAUUCAAGGAAUUCAAUCGAAAGCAGUUGAAUGAUGAAGAGUAAUGGCAGCAGUUAAAGAAGACAGUUUUCAUGACAAGUUGGCCAUUACACAGAAAGUGGGCAAUUAUAGGACGAUCAAGCAGUUUUUAGGGUGGUUGAUCACAAAGAGAUUGUCCAUGAAGUAUAAAAGGGAGAAAGAACAUAGAAGUAAAGGACCGAAUCAAAAACUCUCGAACAGAGAACAUGUAAUUUUCAUUUCCUUAGCUUAGACUUAAACAUUUUUCUUUCAGUAACUCGUGUGCUUGCGCCCCUUGGAGGCACAUUGUUUUUAAUUUCCAAUUGUAAAAUCAUCGCCAAUAAAAGAACACCCAUUUUUGGGACUUUGUCUCAAGAGGUUUGUCCCUUACACAAUCGCUGAUCCUUUUUAAUUGUUAGCGACUAACCCGCGCGAAAUAAUUUUUUGUAGAUAUGAUUCUAUUAAUUUUUAUUCAACUAUUACGAGUUUCUCAUAUCUUUUUAAAUAUGACAUCUAGUUACGACGUCAUUUUGAUCUAUCUUCUUUAUUCUAAAAUGCUCAAAACAAAUUCUCUACUAUAUUUCUGAAGUCUUUUGCAAGUCUCUUCAAUGUUCUACAAAAUAUAUAUGUCGAGCACAUAUAUUGUUAGCUAGUUUUAAACUUUGACUCAUUUGCAUCUCAUGCACAUGGACGUCCCUCGCUUAGUCCUAAUUUAUUCUUAACAAGCGUUGACUGCAUUUAUAGGUUUUUAGUUAUGUCAAAAUCAGAGUAUAACACACUUAUUCCAUAUUCAAAACUGUAAAUACUCUUGAAUAUCUCUAACCCUUAUAGUAUAUCUUGAAAGAAAAAGUUUGAGAAAUAUAAUGUUACAAUGUUGAUUGAUUGGAAGGCACAGUUCUUUAAAUUAAAAAAAAAAUAAAAAUAGGCUACAUAUACGAGACAACAAUUUAUAUUACCUUUUAAAUUAAUUUUUUCAAUUUAAAUGUAACCAAACAGUUAUUAUCAUAAACAAAUACACCAGUUCACAAAUUAUUUAAAUACUAAUGUCUAUGGAAAAUUACGAUAGUUUAUUUUCAUAAAUAUUCAACAAUUACAUAUCAAAUUUAAAUAAUUAAAUAUUUAACAAUUUACUUUUUUAUGAAAUUAACAUAAAGAUUGAAUGAGAGAAUAUGGAUAGAAUUGAUCAGAAAUUUUUAAAUUAAGGAUGAAAUUACAGACUUGUGCAAAAUUGAUGAAGAUUGGUCACCUAAUUUUAACUUGUUCACAUCCAUAUAUUUCCUCUUCCUAGUUCUUGUCGUGGAAUAGAGAGGACAAAAUCCCGUUCAACCCACUACUCGCCGCCUCACCCGAGUGGUGUGGGGAUUACCUGCCUAAUUCAGUAAACGUGUGGGGGGCGGAAUGGGGUUUGUUGCCUCAAAGAACGUAUGAAAAACAUGAUCGCCCCGCUACCCAUCACGUUUAACGUUAAUUUUAAAUAUAAAUUUUAUCAAACAAAAAGAAGAAAUUUAUCAUUAUUUUUAAAGAGAACAUGAGUUGUUCUUAACAAAUUUAAAAAAUAAUAAUUAUAUUCACUGACUAAAGAUAUAAAAAAGUAAAAACAAAAAAAAUAAAAUAAAUGGGACAAUAAACCCCCGCCUCGUCCCAAUCUCGCUCUGAACCCAACUCGUCUUGUUUUAAUUGGAUAUAGAAGCAGGGCAAUUAUAAUAAAAAUACCCAAUGCAAUUGGGGGACAGAAAUAGCUGACCCGCCCCCACAACCAUCGCUACUAUGGAGAGUGGUGUUCUCUUGCAUCAAAUCUGUGGUGUUACUAUCUCAUCUUCAAUAUUUUAUUUUUCUACAAAUCUCAGCUUUUCAAAAUCCACCCCCUCCCCCCGGGUCAAAACUCUAGUCUCUGAGUGGAAACUUUGUACAAAGUUUAGUUAACAUUUGGAUAAUUCACUCUUAUAUUUCAUUUUUUAUUACCUACGCUGGUCCUUCUUUUUUUUUUUUUUUCAAAUAAAUAGAUGUUAAAAUAUGUUGUUCGGAUUUACAUAAUUGUGGUCAAUUUACUCAUAAUGUUUAUGAUAAAGCAUAUUUUGGUUAAUUUGGAAUACAACUUGUGCAUGAUAUUAGAUGUCGAAUCAUAUUGAAAUGGAUAUUUAUAAGGAAAAAUUUGAUAAAUCCUAUCAUUAAUGUUAAAUUUUGAGAAAUGAGAAGCAUUUCACGAAAAUCAGGUCACUCUAAAAUAAUUAAAAAUAUAUUAUUUAAAAUAUUGUGAACCAAUGUGGUAGGUUCCCUCUAUUAGAAGAUUCUUAAAAAAAAAAAAAAAAACCGAUGACAUUAUCAAAAUAAAAUUCUGCAAAUUCUGGAAUGAUAUUUAGUUAAAAGAAACAUUAAAGGUAUGUUAUGACUUGGGACAUAUGACUCCUACUAUGUGAUCUUGGAUGACUAUUAACAAAAAGCAAUUAUAUGACUUAUUAUGUAUCUUAUUAUUACAGUCCAUACAUAUGGAAUGAGUUGACAUGAGAUGUAACAAACAAUUGUGACUUUGACUUUGACUACUUCUAUUUGAUAAAAUUACGACAACAUCGUGUGACGGUUGUUCAUGUAGAAAUGGUUGUCAAAUGCAACAACUAUGACAUUUGAUGGGAUAUUUAGCAACAUGUAUUUAUAGCUCAUAUGAGUCGUAACCAUUUAAAGUUGUGAUAUUGAAUUUAUUGACCUUCUAAUUAUGUUAGUGAAGAAAUAAUGACUAUUUUAUAGUACAAAUCAGGUGAUUGAUCCACUUGCACUCUAUAUAUUGCAAUAAAAAAGAGACCAUACCGUUAAAAUUAUCUUAAUUUUGGGAACAAUAUUAGAAACGUAAAAAAAUAAAUAAAUUAUACACGAAAAUUCUGAAAUUUUUGAAUUAAUUAAAUUAAUGAAUGUGAUUUAACAAUUUUUUUUUAUUAAUAACUUAAUUUGUCAAAAGUAAAAGCUUUUUUUAUUUUUUUUUAUGGGAAAAUUUCAUAACUAAGAAAUUAAUUAUGGCACAUUUCACAAAACAAGAAAACAAGUUUCAAAUUUCUAAAAUCAGAUUUUUAUUAAAAAUUAUUUAUAAUUUAAUUAGUUAAUUAAUUAUUUUAUUAACUAAAUAUAUUUAGGUCACGGAUCUAUACAAUUUGAUCACUAAUUAACAAUAUAAUUAGUUACUUAUUAUUUUUUGGUCACAAAUCAAAAAUUUUAUGUCACAAAUUUUUUUACAAUCACAAUUCAAAAAUUUUGUAAGUCACAAUUUGUUUAUUGGUCACAAAUCCAAAAAUAAUUAGUUACGGAUUAAUUUUUAGUCACGACUUAUCAUAUUAUUGGUCACAACUUAUUUUUCGGUCACAAACACAAAUUUUAUAGGUCACAUAUUAUUUUUCGAUCACGAAUCAAAAAUUUUAUAGGUCACAGAUUAAUUUUUCGGUCACAACUCAAUAAAUUAUAAGUCACAAAUACAAAUUUUAUAGGUCACAUAUUAUUUUUCGAUCACGAAUCAAAAAUUUUAUAGGUCACAGAUUAAUUUUUCAGUCACAACUCAAUAAAUUAUAAGUCACAAACACAAUUUUUAGGUCACGUAUUAUUUAUGAAAUAAAAAAAUGGAAAAAUUAAUUUGUAAGAGUUUAUUUAUAGCCUACUUCAAAAUUAAGAGAAGAAGGUUUGCAAUUUCAAGUUUCAGAUACUAUUAAAAUUUAUUAAUGAAAUAAUUGAUUAAAAAUUUAUAUAUUUGGUCACAACUUAUCAAGUUAAUUGGUCACAAAUUAUUUAUAAGUCACAAAUUCAAAAUUCUACAGGUCACAAAUUAUUGGUCGGUCACAGAUCAAAAAUUUCAUAGGUCACAAUUCAUUGAUCGGUCACAAAUCAAAAUUUUUAUUGGUCACAACUCAUUUGUCGGUCACAAAUCAAAAAUUUCAUAGGUCAUAAUUCAUUGAUUGGUCACAGAAUCAAAUUUUUUAUUGGCCACAUUUAAUUUGUUAGUCACUAAUCAAAAAUUUUAUAGGUCACAAUUCAUUGAUCGUUCACAAAAUCAAAUUUUUUACGGUCACAAAUCAAAAAUUUCAUAAGUCACAAUUUAUUGAUUGAUUACAAAAUCAAAAUUUUUAUUGGUCACAACUUAAUAAAUUAUAGUCACAAUUGCAUUUUUUAGGUUACAUGUUAUUAUUAGACACAAAUUACUGGUCACAAACACCCCCUACAUCCCAUCUACCCCGACCACCACCCCCCAUGACAACCGUCACAGUAACCACACCACCACCACACGCCAAACUCUGAAACCAACAACCUCCACUGUCGCCAAAAACCACCACAACCACCGCCACCAAACACACUAACAAUGUUCAAUUCACAACCUCACCAACACCACCCAAGCGUAAUUUUUCAGCUAGUUCCACCCACCAGAACCAUCACCACCUCAACACAUCGCAGAACACCAACGUGCCACAAUCACCACGACCACCAUCGUUGAUCAUCACCGCCAACGCCAAAAUAUGUAAGCAGCCACCACCACCACCACCACCCAAAUAUCACCUAAAAAUACCAUAGAUAACAACUCAAUCCAAAGCCAUUCCCACCUCCACCACUACAGUGAACAUCACCACCACCGUAGCUACUACCACCACCAUAUGAUCGUAGCCACCACCACAACCCACGACACAGCAAUAAACACCGUAGCCACUACCACCACCAUAUGAUCGUAGCCACCACCACAACCCACGACACAGCAAUAAACCACGGUCUCAUCUCAAAAGAUCUCCUUCUCUUCUUGUAGAUCUUACAGAUAUGCUUCAUGAAUCACGAGGUACAUCACGGCACCACCACCACCACUUCAUCAUCACGACAAACCAGCUAUAGAACUCUACAAAUUCACCACACCGCAACAACAAAUCCACCACGGCACCAUAGCCAUUACAACUGUCACAGUCGAUCCAUAGCUAUAACCAUCGGUGACGGCGACAGAUCGCUGUGAUGCAUGGUGGUGCAUUCCAGAUCGCUGCCGAAGUAGAUGAGCCAAUAGAUCUCUGCUAGUCGCUGAUGGGAACGCCGUGCCGCGCCUCAACUCCACCGAUUAGAAGGGUGGUCGCGCCUCCGAUGCCGAAAUUGUGCUUCCGGGAAAGGUUGAGAGAGAGAAGGAGACGGCGAUUUUCUUUUUAAUCAGGGAGGCGACGGGUGUUUUAGGGUAGAAUGGAGAAAUGUGAGAGAGAGAGAGUUAGGGUUUGUGAGUAAUGAUAUUUAUUUUAUAGAAAUAUUAAUUAAAAUAAAAUUUUUGAUUUUUGAAAUAUUAAACUUUCCCCCUGAUUUUAGAAUUUAAGAUUUUAAUGAUAUGAUUUUGUGUAAUUUCCACUUUUUUUAUUACUCGCUUGCUUGAGGCCCAUCUGAAAAAAAGCCCAAAUUAAAGGCAGAGAUAUCCAACUCUUACCCAGCCUGUUUACAGUUUAUGUAUAGAGCAAAGGGGACGAUCGGAUCUCUUCCUCGGUUUACGCUAAAAUUCGGGAACAAUUCAUCGCCCCUGGGCACCAAUUUAUCUCGUGGUGCUGUGCUUUCUACUCAACUUCUGCAUCACCAAACUUGGGAGGUAGUAUCGGAUUUUAUUAGUGUAAAAAUGGCUUUAUAUGAUGAAAUCGCAUUCUAUUUGAAUGUUGUGUGAAUGAUUUAAUUUUAUCUCAACUCCUUAUAAUUUGUUCCAAAACUGUUGAUUCUUGAUGAUAAUUUUCCUCUAGCAACAUUGAUUUUUUCGACCACACUUCUCUUGAAUUUUUGAUGCGGUUGUUCACUGUUUUCUCCUAGCUUUGAAAACUUGCUGCCCCUCAAGUGUAAUACGUGAAAUACCCAGGACCAAAAUCCAGUGGGGGCAGUUAAUAUACCCCAGGUCCGGCUCCGGCCCUGUACACAUUUGAGUUAAAAUUCAUCAAAUAUGAAAAUUUUGUGUUUGUGCUCUUUGUUAUGAUGUGUAGGGUCAUACUAAAAACGGUAUGCCUAAUCAUUUUUCAUGACCAUUUACUUGUUUGGGCUUAAUUUUUCGUUAUUGAUGUUUGGUUUUUGAUAUUGCAUUAUUUAAUAUUGCUGAUGGGGAAAUUUUGAUGAGUCUACAUAUUAUUGGAGUGGUAGAAGCUUCUGGUAGUACUAUGGCUUGGAAUGUUACUUCACAUCUUAUUGAUUCGCGAACCCUCACAAAUGAAGCUGAAAUUAAAAGGAAAAGGGGGUUCUGAUUUUUUAUCUGAUGAUCUGUUUCUACAAAAUAUUAUGUGGUUUGACUGUCAUUCUAAUUGGUGUAAAGUUAUCUAACAAUUAAAAGUAUAAAAUAUAAAAAUGUUUACUUUUCUUGUGUACAACAAUUUUAUUGUGAGCUUGCUUGAUACUGUCUGUUACCAUUGAUGGAUGCUAUUUAUUCCCAUGAAAUGAAAAUAUUAAAUAUUAAAAUGUUAGAAUGAUAAGAACAAAAAAAGAAAAAAACUGAGAUGUGUUGAUAUAGGAAAAUGAGAUGUUGUAUUUAACAAGUGACAAAACUUUGUAUUUAGUUAGCCCCUAUUGGUUAAAAAUGGUUGCAAACUUCAUACAAUAUAGGCCCACUAUAGGAUUUUAGAAUAAAAAGUUACUUUCUUACGGAAUUAAAUGAAAGCCGACUUUGGGGUGAUAUGUUGUUUCUUUGGCAUGUUUGUGGAUCUCUAUUUCAAAAUAAUGGUAUAGACUGAACUAAGCACUUUGUCAGAAUGCUCUCCGGAAGACGAAAGCUGCCAACUUAUUAUCAAUAACUUGAGUCACCUUAAUUUGGGUAAAAAGCUGACUUUCCCUUGCCAUUCUGGUUGUUCAAGUAAAAACAAGGAGAAAACUUGUGGCUACCUAAAAAAUACGAUAAUUGGGCUGCUUUUGGGAUUGGAUGUGCAAACAUGGUAAACUUUUUGGUUUAUUCUUCUAUUUUGUGGCUUAGUCUGAUGAUUAUGCUCAUAUGUUGGUCAACACGUUACAGAAGUACAUUUGUUAGUGCCCAAACGGAAGAAGUUGUUUUAUGAAUUAAGCUCCUAGAUAUUACUGUAAGAUGCACAUAAUAGAUAGAUCCUGGAAGAUGUACAGCUGGAAGGGCCUAUUUCCCUGAUAGGAUUAUGAGGACUGUAUAAUCUGAUUCAAAUGCCAUGAUGGAAUAACAGGAAACUUUGGUUUCUACUAAUUGCAGGAUUUGGGAAUUAUUUUAAUCAAUAGUUGGUGUAGUCUUUUGCCUCUUGUUUGGUCCUCGACUUUGCAAUCUAGGUUUUCUUACAGCAUCUUUGGCUAAGCUUACAAAAAAAAAUAAAGUUAAUUUUUAAGGGAGUGUUUGAUAGAGAUUUUUAUGUAAAAAUACAUUUUAGAAUAGUAAAUUGAUGUGAACUGUGUGGUUGAAAAAUAAGGAAAAGUUUUUGAUUUACGUGUAAUAUUAUUUUAAUAAAGAAUGUGUGGUUGAAAAGAAAAAAGAGAAAAACGUAUUUUGAAAAAAAUAACUACCAUACGGGGCCUAAGUAACUUUUUGUCUUUAGAUAACUUACUUUUAAUAAAAAGUUAUUUUUUCUCAAAGUAAUACCUUAGUGUCAAAAUAAAUAAUUCAUUACCUUCUUUGAUCAAUAAAUUUUUUCUUUUUGAAAGAACUUAUUUACCUGUUAGAAAACCUUUUAAGCAUAGCCAAACUUGUAGCCUGCUAUACAUUUGAUGCUCUUGUAAUGGAUCUUUUGAUACGUGCAGUGUUCAAUCAUGAUUGAGAGUGGAAAUUUAAUCCUCAAAUCUCAUUAUGAGAUCCUCGAUGUGAAGGAAGAUGCUAGCUCUGACGAAAUUCGUACAUGCUACCGAACUGCCAUUCUGAGUUAUCAUCCAGAUAAAAUGCAAACGACAUCCCAAACAUCAAAUCCUGCAAACGAGUUGGGCGGAAGGUUUUUAGAGGUGCAGAGGGCUUGGGAAAUCCUCGGAGAUUCAAAAUCUCGUGCACUUUAUGAUAACGAGCUGCAAUCUUCGAGGCAAGAUUCUGCAACUGCUGAAGAUAUCAGAUUAGAGGAUCUGUCAAUCGAAGAGGUUGGUGAUAUUUUUGAGCUUUCGUACGGCUGCAGAUGUGGCGAUUACUUCCUAAUCGAUUCUUUGGAGUUGUCAGAUAUGGGAUAUCCACUGUUGAAAAAUGGGAGUAAAAUUGUUUUGCAAGCGCCUAGAUCUCCACCUGCAUCUGUUGUUCUUCCUUGUGGGUCAUGCUCGCUUAAAGUACGGUUAUUGAUUAAUUCUGAUAGUAAGCUUCAAACUGAGUUGAGUAAUUGAUAAUAGUUUUUCCAUUAAUCUGCAAUUUUGGUCUGAGCAAGUGAUUUAAGAUUAUCUAUAAUUUUGUGGAAUGUAACAGAGAAUUGGAAAAAUGACAGGUCAUUUUGAUUAAAAUUUGUAAUGUGUACUGAUUCAAUUGUUCAUGCAAUUGUUGUGGCCUGUGGUGCCAUUAUUUGAAUAGCAAAGGAUUUGAACUCGCAAGAGAUCUAUUGCAUAGUUUUUAUUAAGGUUAGACAAAACUCUCGAAUCAAAUGAGGCCGAAUUGGACCCGAUUCGAACUAAAUCGAAUCGAGCAGUUCUUCUUAAAUUAAAUAUUUGAAUGGGUGUUUGAAUCGAGAACCGACGGGUUCGAUUCGAUUUUCGGAUCUAGAUCAUGAAUUGAAGAAUUGAAUAAGAACUAAAUCUCUAUAAUUUUUUUAAUUUAUUUAUUUUAAAUAAGUCAAAUUAUUUUAUUUUUUUUUAAAUAAAUUUGUUAAUUAAUUAAUUUAGCUCAAAUCCAAAAAUAUGAUUUUCAUAUUUCUAAUUUUCAAUCUGAGUCCAACUUAAUCAAACUGUUCUAAGUUUUAUCCAAAUAUGUUAUUCUAUCGUAGUGUUAUUUUUACCGUUUUGGAGAAAUUGAAUUAAAGUUGGACAGCAGCUCUCUUAAUUAUUGUAAGCUUGCUAUCGUCCUCUUCCUGUGAUUAUAACAAUCAAAUCUAUGAAAAACUCACCAAAGAGAAAUGCAAAAGACAUAUAAGAUUGGAUUACGUUAUUUCGUAAGAGUUAAGAUUAAACAUGUCAUUAAUUGAAUUAAUUUAGUUUUAUAAAUAUUAAAAAAAUUAAUUAUAGUAUAGAACCUGGGAGCCGAAUCCGAACGGUUCCAUAAUUAACUUGGGAUCCGACGGUACUAUUUAUUAAAUACCUGAAAAUUUCAGGUUCGAUUCGGUUCUAAUGAGAAUCCAACUAAAUCGAACCAUGUCCACCCUUAAUUGUCGGCAGACCAUUUUAUCAUCUUGUAAUAUUAAGGAAGAAAAAAGUAGGUGAAUUCUUGUUGGUUGUGCUGUUUAAACCCAACAAAGCUGUGUGUAGAAAUGCCACAGGCAACACACAAUUGGGUGAGGGGAAGAGUGGGGGAUUUUUUUGGUAUCCUUUAUCACGACUUGGGAUUCACAAAUUAUGGGUAUCUGGUGGAAUUUUGUGAGUCCUUUUUUUGUACGAAUGACUUUCUUAGUUUAAACCAUACUAAACAUGCUACAGUGACAAAAAUAUCAAUUGCAGACCCUUGACAUUCUGUUCUCUGAAUAUCAUAAACAAAUCAAUAAAGAGAUCCCUAAACUAUAUCGAGUUUUGUUAAAAAAAUAAAAAAUAAAAAAAAAAUAAGGAAAAGAAAAAAUCAACAUAAAUAUUAGUGUGCCACAUUGCUUGGAGUUGUAUGACGCAUGUAGGGUUGAUAAAACCCAACUCAACCCAAUUGAUAAGUGUAUUUUUAUAUGCUUAUGUGGUUAUUAAAUGAAAGCAGCUAUUGUUAAUUUGAAUGAAUUAGAGCUUAAUUAUGUUUUAAGUAAAACUCGUGACAAAUUGGGUGAAUUGGAAGAAAGAAGCGAAAAAUGGACUGAAAAAGAAGAAUACGAAGUUCGUGAUAAAAUUGCAAAUAUCCAAUAAUUGAUUCAGACAAAAAAAAAAUGUAUAAUUGAAGAUUAUUAAGAGUCAAUUGAAUGUAAUUAGAAGUCAAAAAACAGUGAAAUUCAAUAAAAAAAUUCUAACAAAUCAAUUUUCAACUGUACAAGUAAUGUUCCUGAAAUUUAGUCGGAGAUUGAAACCCAUUUUGACAUAGUAGUCGCUCUAAUAGAAAAAUUGCUACUUUUUUUUAUUAGUUGUAGCCCUUCGAAUUAACUUUUUAACACAUUUUGAAUCUUCUUAAUCAAAUAUUGAAAUAGAAAGUUAUGACAAAAAAUUAACGACCGAGUAAAGAUAUAAUCAUGUUUGUGCGAAGACAACUUUCCUUAUUUAAUUGACACUCUUUUGGAACCCAAACUUAAACGUAUUUUUUUGACCUAAUUUCACCUUAUAUAAUAGAAUACAUGGACAACCAUUGAAGGAUCUCUCCCACCUCUCAAAUCACUUCCAUGUCAUAAAAUCAUUCAAGAACGAGAAUCAAAUUCAUCAUAAGUUGGAGAGGAGAACAAAUCUAACAUGUAGAUAAAUCAAGAAACAUCAAGAACUUGAAAAAUCAAAGCUUGGGGUUGAACACUAAGAAUAAAAAUUAGACCGUGACAUCUCUUUCUUAUAUUUAUAAAUUUAGGUGAUGUUUUUCUAUUCUUCUUCUUGUUUGAUCAUUUGACAUAUGUUUAGCUAGAUUCUUUGUAUUUGAUGAGGAUGAACCAUAUUAUUUAUUUAUUUUAAUUCAAACUAAUAGUUUAGUAAUUCUUGUUUUCUUGAUUAAUUUUAUAUUCUCAUUGCAUUAUAUAAUUAUUUUGCCAUCAAUUAGAUAAUUAGUUGUUUGUUGCAGUGUCAGAAGACUCACAAUAAGUUUAGAAUGUAAUAAAAUUAACAUAUGUGUAAUAGAUGUUAUGAAUAAUAUUUAUUUCAUGUGCAAUCAUGUAAAUAAUAUAUAGUUUAUGUAUUCUAAUGAUUCGAAUUUAGGUUAAGGAUAGACUUGGGUUGUGGUUAGAAUAGAUUUAUUUUGUCUUAGAAAAGAAAGUUAAAUAUAUUAAUUUUAUUGAACGUUAAGAACAUAUGAAUGGAACUAGAUUACAAAUUAAGACUUAAAAUAGGUAACAAUAGAUGAAUUCGAAAUUCAAUAACAGCUUUCUUAGGUUAAUAUAGACUAAUCAACAUUAAAAACUCUUUCGUUUACACACUUCAGAUUACAUAUAAAUUAGUAAAUUUGAAUUAAAAUUUAUUACUUGUGGGACGUAAGCUCUCAAUUCACUCAAAUCGAUUACUUAUCCAUGAUCUCGUAUGCUUGCGGGAUUUAGUGAUCGAGUUUUUGGCGUCGUUGUCGGGAAUAAAGUAUUUAAUUUUAGUUUAUUAGUUUAUUUAGGAUUUGACUAUUAUUAUUAUUAUUAUUAUUAUUAUUAUUAUUAUUAUUAUUAUUAUUAUUAUUAUUAUUAUUAGUUUUUUUAAAUUUAGGCUUCUCACCAUAUCUCUCUUUUGUUUGGUUUUCUACCAAGUACUAUUCAAUAGCACAUGGAUGAUUCUUACAUUAACAAGAGAGCAAACCAUUUGCAAUAAUUAAUCUCAACGUGGAUGAUGAAGAUAUGCUUGUAGAAGACAUAUAUUGUUAAUUUUGUUACGGGUUGCAUUAUACUGGGCACGGCUUAUAAAGACGCACUGUUGAACCCCUAAGGUUCAAGCUUCUACAAUUUCAACAAUAUUUAAGUUAUCAAAAAUGAGCAAUUGAGAAAUUUAAUGAAAACUACAUACCGGCAAUCGAUUAUGUAUCAUUAGACAUGCUUGUGGGAGUUGGUUCCUUUCAUGUUGAAUGAAGAGAUAUUUGUAAAAUAUUAUAAUGAACUUGCUAAGUCAGAUGAAAACAAAUGCAUAUGGAGAUGGCAUAUCUUGGGACAAAUUUAAAUGAUGGGGAUAUAAUCCACUUGAAAAGAUUGAAAGGAAAUAAGUGACAUUGCCAAUGAAUUUAGAUAGUGAACCGACCAUUUAACUCGAAGAAAUAUCAAUUAUUGAAGAAGAGCAUAAAGACGAUGACAAACUAAUUAUAAAGGAACCAAGCAAAAAUGUGACAAUUAAUGAUGAUGAAAUUUACUCAUAUUCUUUUGACUUCAUCGAUUGUCCAACAAUUGAAUUUAUGAUUAAGUCAAAGAAGGAAGAAGUCUACAUAAUUAGCUUGGAAUAAGAUGGAAUAAACGAAUCAUAUCACAUAGAAUGAGGUAAUGUUAAGGUUUGAAAAAUUAACGAAAGUGGACCAAAGUCAAAAGAAACAAAUUAAGCAUGGCAUCAAAAGCUUUCUCCAGAAUUUCAUGGUGCAGAACAUGAAAGUCAAGCUAAUGACUAUAAAUAAGCACUUAUUGGAAUGCAAUUCAAUUUCUUCUCUUUUAUUUAUUUUUACUUUCUAAAAUAUAGGAUUAGUAAAUUUCAUUUUUUUAGUAGUUUUGUAUAUUUUAUUGCUUUUAGUAAUUUAGAGUAUCCUUAUUUUCAUAUUUUCCUUUAAGAAGCUUUAGAGCUUGUUUAACUAUGCUCCAUGGUAUAAUUGAAUUUUAUUUAUUUAUUUAUUUAUCUUGAAGAAACAACAUGACAUCUAAGUACAUUGGAUAAGGUAAAAUACAUAACAAGUGAUCCAACACUCUUAUGCCAGUCUAUCUACCACCUUCAGAUAUAUAUAUCAGGGGAAUACUUAGUUCUCUUAUUUAUCCUUAGUUUUUCUAUAUUACUUGUUAUAUUUUUAGACAUUAAGGGCAAUAUCUAUUAUAAAUUUGGGGAUUAAAAAAUAUCUAGUUUUUAUCUAUUUUUACUAUUUGGUACUUGCAAAAAAACUUCAAAAAUUAAAAAAAAAAAAUUAUCUUCAGUUUUAUUUUUGCUUUUAUAUACUUUUGUUGAUUAUAUAAAUUCGUCUACUAUGAUGCAUAUAUUUGGAACCAUCUGUAAGGUUAUAAAUAGUGAAAAAGUUGCAUGAUAGGUUGAUUUAUGCUUAUUAAUGUAAAAUUUGACAUUUUUGCACACAAGAUUAUUGUUUUGCAUCAUUAAGGAUUAAUUUGAUUCAAAUUUUGAAUAGUUUGAAAUAAAUUUAGUGGACCAUAGAUGCUAAAACUAGAUAAACACUAAAUUGUACAUCCUUAAACCUAUUUUCAUAUAAUUUGGGGGCGACUGAACUGUUGUAGGGAGAUAUUGAGAUAAAUAUAGAUUAUAUGCAUAUUCUGUUAAUUGUUUAAUGCAAAUAAGAAAAAAAUUAAGUGUAAAUUUUUGUGUCAAUUUUUGAGAAUGAGUGUUUAGUUAGGGGCAUUGUACUGGACAUUGCAUGGGAAAAUAAUUUCAAAGAAGAAAGAAACUCACAUUAUUAAACUUCUUUUUAUAGCCUUCAUGACUUAAGUUUAUAAAGCUUAAUUGAGAUAAGUUUGAACAUAAAAUGAAAAUGAAAAUAGAAAUAAAAAGAGAAAAAGCAAGUAACAAAAGGUGUACUACAUGCGUUGAUUAAACUCCAAAUACUUGUUUUAGAGAAUUAGACAUUUGACAAAGGAUUAUUGGCCUAGUUGAUUUUUGGAGGUUGAAGUAACCAAAAAUAAAGAGAACUCUCAUUUGUUGAUGUGUUAGCUGCAAUUAGUAAGAUCUAACCAAAGUAAAGGGGAUAAUGAUUAGUAUAAAAAAUCCAACUUUAGAUCACACUAUAGGAAAAGAGUUUUAAAAAAAAAUUAGUUUGAAUGUGAACCUUAUGCGAGAAUGAAGUAAAUAUUUGACCAAUUAGGGCCGGGACAUAAGUCACCUAAUGAGAACUUGUUUGAGCCCCAUUUUGAGGGGAAAGAAUGCAUUUUUAAAUAGUGAUUGAUGGAGAAUGUGUAGUUAAAAAUUAAGGAAAAGUUUUGGGUUGUGUAUAAUAUUAUUUUAUUGAAAAAUAUAUGGUUGAAAAUGGAUUUUAAAAUUUUUUUUUUUUAAAAGAAUGAGGCUCAAACAAGGGCUGGAUUUAUGAUGUUUAACAUGAAUUUUCACACACGGGCGUCGAUUUUGCAUUAGAUAAGUAGAAAUUAAUUUUAACAUUGUGAUUUUGAAGUAGCUCAUAACGUUAACACAUAAAUUUCAAUCCUAAGACCAAUGACAAAUUAUCUAAUCAUGUUUGUUUAAAAAAGUUUUGGUUAAGUUAAGCUAUAUUUUGUUAGAGGCUAAAUAAUUGUUCAAGUUUGGAGGUAUUUGAUAAGUUCAUUUCUAUAUACUUAUUUGGUUAUUAAAUGAGAGCCAUUAUUGUUAAUUUGAAUGAAUUAGCGCUUAUUUAUAUUUUAAUUUUAUUUGUUAGGUAAAAAUCGAGAUAAAUUGGGUGAAUUAGAAGAAAGAAAUGAAAAAUGGGUGAAAAAAAUGAAAUAUAAAGUUAGGGAUCAAAUUGUAAAUAUCUAAUAGUUGAUUUGAACCACAAAAUGAUAAUUGAAGAUUACAAGGAGCCAAUUGUAUGCAAUUAGAAGUCAAAAAGGAGUGAAUUACAAUCAAAGGAUUCUUACAAAUCAAUUUUCAUCCGUACAACUUAUAUUCCAGAUUUUUAGUCGGAGAUGGAGACCCAUUUUAAUUUAGUAAUCGUUCUAAUAGAAGAAUGGCUACUUAUUCAUUAAUUGUAACACUUUGAGUUAGCAUUCUAAUCAUUUUGAAUAAAUUCAAUCGAGUAUUAGGAGAGAAAUUUAUGACCAAAUUAUUGAUGAGUGUGCAAAGAGAUAAUCAUGCACGUGUGAAGGUAUCUUUUCUUAUUUGAUUGAAACAUUUUAGGAACCUAACUUGAACGCAUUUUUUAAGCUAAUUUUGCCUUAUCUCUAUCUAAUAUAAUCAUCCAUGGAAGAUCUCUAUCUCACCUCUCAAAUCACUUCCAUAGCAUAAAAUCAUUCAAGAACGAGGGAAAAAUUCAUCAUAAUUUGGUGGGGAGAACAAAUCUAGCACAUGGACCGAAUAAAAAAUAAAUCAAGAACUUGAAUAAUCAAAGCUUGAGGUUGAGAAACAAGAUCAAGAAUUAGACCGUGCAUCUCUUUCUUAUAUUUAUAAAUUUCGAGUGAUAUUCUUCUUGUUGUUUUAUCAUUAGAAACAUGUUUAACUAGAAAUUCUUUGUAUUGGAUGAAGAUAAAUUCUUUUUUUUAAUUAUUUUAAUUUAAACUAGUAGUUUAUUAAUUUUCCUUUUCUUGAUUAAUUUUACAUUCUCAUUGCAUUAUUUAAUUAUUUUGCCAUCAAUUAUAUAAUUAGUUGCUUAUUGUAUAGUUAGAAGACUCACAAUAAGUUUAAAACGCUACAAAUUAAUAUGUGCACAAUAGAUGUUAGGAUUAAUAUUUAUCACUUAUGCAAUCAAGUAGAUAACCUAAAAUUUAAUGCAUUCUAGUCAAUCGAAUUUAAGCUAGGAAUAGACUUAUAUGUGAUUAGAAUAAAUUUAAUUUGUCUUGAAAAAUGAAGUUAAAUAAUUAGCUUUAUUGAUUGUCAAAAAAGCAUGAAAUGAAUUAUAUUACAAAUCAAGAAUUGAAAUAGAUAAUAAUAGGCGGAUUCACAGUCUAUUAUAAUCAUCCAUAAUUUAAUAAAAACCAAAUUUUUAUGACUUAUUAGAUUUAGAAUAAUCAACACCAAAAACUCUUUUGUUUACAUAAUUCGAAUUCCAUAUAUAACUAGUGAACUUGAAUUGGUAUUAACUCACUCAAAUUUAUUACUUGUGAAUGAUCCCUUACACUUACUAGAUUUUAUCAAACACUGAUCAAUUAAAAAAUUAAUGCCUAAAAUAAAAAAAAAAUCCAAAUAGAUACAAUAGUGGAGAUAAGAGAAAGACUUAGAAUGUACAAACGUCCUUUAUUUACAUAGACUGAUUGACACUAUUUACAAAUGCAAAGUUAUUUGAUGGUGAACUAAAAUUAAAUAUGGAAUGAUGAAGUGAAUGAAUUCAAAAAUUGUUGUAAAAAAAGCUCCAUAAUUUCAAAUUUACACAUUAUUUUUUAAAAAGAAUUUCUUAUAUAGAUUAAAAACAAUAGAUGUUUUCAAGUGAUUUUAAACCGUAAAAAAUUGUCCAAAUUUAACAAAAAAUAAUAAUCAAAUCCAACUUGAAUUGAGCCCAAGCCCCAACCCUAAAAUUGAUUGGUUUGGGUUGGGUUGGAUUGAGUUUAAAACAACAAUUGGGUUGAGUUGGAUUGCGGGGGAGCACUUUAAAAAAUUACGUUUCUCACUUUUCUUUGUUUUCUUUGAACCUUAAAGAGUUACUUUGCAAACAUUUUUUUUCCUUCCUCCCAAUGGCAGAUCUAGGUAGUGGCGAGCUUGGGCGGCCGCCCUAGCUGGAUCCGCCAGAGUCUUUACUAGCCGCCGGGUGGAAGAUUGGAAGUUGCAGAGCCGCGACUGAACUGAAAAAGGGAGGAUCGGAGGAGGAAGAUGAAAUUUUGAAUUUGGGUCUUUUUUUUUAUUAUUUUAGUUUAGGCCUUUUUCUUUGGGCUGAUGAGUUGGGCCUCUUUGUUGGAAAAAAAAAAUUAGACCCAAUCCAUGGAUGAUGAUUGAUGGAAAUACACACAUAACUGCAACCACACCUCCAAAUCAGAGGUAAUAAUCGUAGCAAACCCUUCUGUAACUGCUCUCCUUCUCCCUGCUGUUGGCCGCAGAUGUUAUUACUUAUUUCGGUGGUCAAAACCUCAAUUGGUGGCAUUAGAAAUAGGACGCCUAUGUCCUGGUGAGAAACUUCUAAGUUCUAAUGGCUCAUUUUUUCGAUUUCCAUGUGUCUGCCUUGGAUUAAUGCAAAUUAUGCAAACCUGUAUACUUACUUUUUUGUUUAAUAUCUUUUUCAGGAAAUAAGAAUGGGAUACUCUUGCCUCACACAGAGUUCGCCUGAGUGCUGCUCACGCAUGUGACUUGUGAGCCCUCUCUUCUCUUUCACUUUUUUGUUUGUUUGUUUGUUUGUUUUGUUUUUGUUUUUUGUCCUUUUAAUUCAUUUUUUUAUUUAUCUUUUAUUUUUGAGCUAUGAAUCUAUGACUUGUGUUUUACUAGUUAUGAUUUAUGUUUUAUGAGUUAUGACUAUGAUUUGUGAUAAAUAAUUCAAGAUGAAAUCCCUACCUUCUAGUUCUAGUUCGUGUUAGGUUGUUGCUAGUUCAUUAGAUUUGGAAGAUUAUAAAUAAUUUGAACUUUGUUAAUAUAGCAAAUUAAUAAUACUUGUUAAUUAACUUUAAUUAUAAACUGAAUAUUGGCAUUUUGUUAAUAUAUUUUGCCUAUUUAAUUGAAAAAUAAAUUAAGGCAAUUUUGCAGAUUAUGGAACUAUUUUUUCAUUCGAAAUGAAAGUUUGUACAUAGUUUCAGUUCUAGUGGUGCAUCUAGUUCUAGUCCGUACGGUUUUUUGAAUACUAUUUAAUUAAAUAUUAAUAAACGAUUCACCUAUCAUGGAUGCUGACAGUUGACAGUUAACAUUCAACGUUUACGGUCCGUCCUAGCUGAACUAAGACCCUGGAUUCGCCCCUACUUCCUUCCACCUAUUUUUUCCUCCCUCCAUUUCAUAACUACGAAAGAAUAUCACUAACACUAUCAAUACAUAUAAAAAUUCUAGUCAAUGAAUUGUUGAUCAGUUAAUUGAUGUCGUUUCAAGUUUUUGUGUUCGUUCUAUAUAUGACAAAGUUGUCGAUAAUCCUUACAGUUCUCACAUGGCCCUGUUGAGAAGAAACGAAUUGCCACUUGCUAGGGAACUUUCUAAGGUAGCUAGGAUGCUGUGGCUGUUUCAAACUCGGAUCCAGCUUCCAUUCUUUUGGAACCUGCAUAGCCACAUUUACAAUGACACUCAGAUUCGACGUGAAAGGUUGGAAAUACGAUUAACGACGACCAAUUUUCUAAAAUCGAUUCAGGUCAGUCACCUUCUCGUGUCAAGGUUCAAAGGAUACAAUUGGAGUUUAACUAGAUAAUAUUCGUCACAUAGCAUGAGAUAUGUCAAGGCUCAAAUUGCUCCUUAACCCAAAGUUCUUAUUUUCAGUUAAAAAAAGCUGAAAAACUUCUAGGUUUCCUCCCAUCUCUUUAAUAUGGUUUUUAAGGUAUAACAAUACGUUACAGGUUAAUUCAUCGUUUUAUCUCUCGAACCAGUCAGGAUAGUCUGGUUAUCAAAACACUAAAGAAAACAAGAUGAGAAAAAUAGAAGAUCUUGAUAUUUUUUGCAAGUCACCUUUCAAACAUUAUUCACUUUUGUUCGUGAGAAACCUACAACCGUAUCGUUGACAAGUAAUAGAAUUAACAAGUUUAAAGUUACUGUCCCACAGGAAAUAAACUCAAUUGAAAUUUACCAAUUUUAUAUGGAAUUCGAAUUACAUAACACAAAAGAGAUUUUUAAAUUGAUAUUUGAUAAAUUAAUUUAUGAAAUAUUUAAAAGUUUGGUUUUUAUAAUUUAUGGAUGAUUGUAUUAAAUUUACGCUCUUCUAUUGUUAUCUAUUUCAAUUUUCAGUUAUGUAAUCUAGUCUUAUUAAUGCAUUUUUGACAGCCGAUAUAGUUAAUGUAUUUAACUUUUUUUUCAAGAUAAAUUAAUUCUAUUAUAGUCACGACUCGAAUCUAUUUCUAGUUUGAAUUUGAAGAAUGGAAUACAUUAAAUUUCAGAUUAUUUAUAUGAUUGCACACAUGAUAAACGUCAUUUUUAACAUCUAUUGUACAUAUGCUAAUUAUACUGCAAUCUAAACUUAUUGUGAAUCUCUCAAUACUACUACAAGUAACUGAUUAUCUAAUUGGUGGUCAAACAUUUAAAUAAUAUAAUAAGUGUACAAAAUUAAUCAAGAAAUGUAAGAAAUACUAAAUUACUAGUCAUGAAUUAAAAUAAAUAAACAAUAUGGUUCAUCUUUAUCCAAUACAAAAAUAGAUCUAACAUGGCAUGCUUUUAAAUAAAUUAUAAGAAGAAUAAUAGGAAAAUAUCACCCGGAUCAUGAAAAUAAUGCAAGAAAUCUUGAUCUUCAAUAUCAAGAUUGAGUUCUUCCAAAUCUUGAUGUAACUGGCUUCAAUUCCUUGCUAGGGUUUGCUCCCUUCUCUCAAAUAUAGCAAUUGACCACUUGUUCUUGAUAAAUUUUAAGAUAUUACUGUGUAUCUAGAAGCUAGAAAGAGUUCAUUUCCAUGUUUAGAUGUUGUUUUGUAUUUAUAGGAAUUGAAAAUUCGGGUUAAAAUCAUGUAUAAAUUCAAAUUAGGAAGAGUUUUAUGUCAAACAGAUUUUAUGUCAAGGAAUUUACAAGGUUUUUUCAAAUGAAUGAUUUAACUUGGGAGUAAUUAGUGGUUUUGCAAUGGAGUGUUUCAGCAAAGAACCUCGGAUGGAGAUGCGCUUCGGCCAGAGAGAUCAACCCUUUUCAUUGAUUUCUUCAUGUUGUCCUUGUUGACUUUUAGAUGUAUUGCCUCCACGCAACUUCGACUUGGCUUCCACUGGAAGCUUUGGAUACAAAGCGAAAUUUAAUAUUUAAUAUCUAUUCCAUAUGGAUUAAAAUCUCUAAAUCAAAGCAAACAAUUAAUUUUCAUCACAUAUUUCGUGGAUUCUACAAUGGAUAAAUAGCCAAAACCCCAUGUUUGAAACAUUUUUGUGCAAGCCCCACCGUCAUCAAGAAUUAUCAAAUUGAUCGUUAAAAACACUAAAAAAAUGUCAAAAUUAAAAAGGAAUAAAUGCAAUUUCAGUAUCUAAACUUUUAUUUUUUUUUACAAAUUAAAUCCAAAUUUUUUAUAUGUACCACCUACAAUCCAAAUAUUUAAAACUUUAUUUUCCACGCCACCCUCUUCAUCUUCUUCCCCAAAAUAUUCUUUUCUAGGUUUUCCUUCACCAAAAUCUAUGAUUUCAUUCCUAUUUACUAGUCGAUGCCACGUGCGUUGUACGAUUAUUGUAUUUAAUAUGUCUUUAUUAGCGUGAUGUAGAGAUUUUAGUUUUCUUGUCAUAAUCGUAACAUGCUUUUGAAGUUUGAAUUAAUUUUUUUUGGCAUGAAUUUUCUCUGACAAUUAGUAAAAAUUAGAUUUAAAAUUGUAGGGGAUAUAAGUAAAAGAUAAUUUAUAAUUUUAUGAGAGUCCUGCACGCGACCGUGCAGAGUCAGCACCAAUUCCAUGCGAGGAAGUCCCCGCACAGAUGCGGAUUUCCUGCACAAUUCGUGCGGAGUCCUCACACAGUUUGUGCGAGGACUCCACACCAAUUCCUUCGAGGAAGUCCCGCACAGUUUGUGCGGGCACUCCGCACCAAGAUUGCUACAAAAAGCCAUAUUUCACGAGUUCUAGGUGUUUGCAUUCUCAAAGUGAUUAAGAGAACUAAUAUCACCAAAAUUCAGCAAAAAUAAAAAUGAGAAUAUUUAUUUAUAUAAGCAAGGGAUGAAAAGUGGAAAUAACUUCCUAAAAAAUGAAAUGUACUGCAUUCAACAUUGAGAAAAAAACACGUAACAUGUAAUCAUAUUGUGCUGCUGGCUCAUUUUCAAUUAAUUACUACCAAAAAGUUUUGCAACGAGAAUUCUACAGUUAUAAAUAGAGAUUCAAAUGGCCUAUCCAAUCACCUUACUAUGCUCUGCUUAAACUUAUAGCUAAAAACUUAACAGAAACAAUUUGCAACUAUUAACUAAAAUAACAAAACCCCUUAUACUUAGAGCAAUUCAAUUAUUUUCACCAAACUUAUAUGCUUCACCUAAUCAUUCAUCGAUUUCUUGCUAAUUUCUUUAGUCCUACAUUUUCCUACUUCAGGUGCCAAACCAUGGCCUAAAAAAUUAAUCUAUACUUCUUUUUUUUUCCUCUCUAUAAUCUGUUGUUCUUAUGGCCAAAAAUUCAGUUUAAAAAGACUUAUACAAACUGAAAAUACACACAUUCUUAAUAUGCAUAAAGUAUGAAUAAACCCAUAUCAAGAGUCCCAACAAAAAAAAAAUUGAAAAUAAGUAAAAAGGCAGAUUUUUUCCCUAGUUGACUUUAAAAAAAAAAUUAAAAUUCAAGACUUCUUUUCUGCAGCACAUAUCAAAAGUCUAUUCACGGCAUCAUCGGAACAAUCAUCAACAAACAAAACCCAUACACCCAAAAUUAAUGAAAUGACGAAAACUCAAACAUCUAACACAUAAAUUUAGGGAUUAAGAUAAGAUAAGCCCAUACCUUCAAAAUUAUUAGUGUUAAAACCCAAAAAGUCCCCGCACAGUCUAUGCGGGGACUCCGCACCCAGAUUACUACAAGAAGCCAUACUUCACGAUUUCUGCCAAGAUUGCUAAUGCAUGAGAUACACAAGAGACCUAAAUGAAUUAACAAGCCAAUAAGCAUUUUAAUUUACAUUAAACCAAGAAUAUACCUCUCUAUUCACACAAAAACCCAAAAUUGUGAAUUGAAUGAACAAAAUUAUAAUUAUCAAAUAAAAUCGAGGAUAUACCUCUCUAUUCACUCGAAAUAAAAAAUUUUGCACGUAGAAUCUUGAAUAAACAAAAUCAUAAUUUGAGAAAAAUGGCAUGCCAGGAAUUUACCUCUCUAUUCAUGAGAAUUUUGCACGAAAUUAAUCACAGAAAAACGAGAGAAGAAUUGAAGAAGAAGUGAGAGAAGAAAAUGAUGAUGAUGAUGAUGAUGAAAGCUUGUGUCUGGGUUUGCGUGGGGAAAUGGCUUCACCGUCCUUUUGAGUAAGAAAAAAUGGGUAUGAUUGAUAUCUACAGUAAAAUCACUGUUUAGCUAAAGUAGAAGUCCCGAAUACUAUUGCAAUUAUAGUAUAUUUUAUUCAUCUUUCUAUAAUAAGUAGUUAGAUUUAAAAAAAAAAACUGCAAAUGUGGUGUUUUGCAAUUACAGUGAAUUUUAUUCAUCUUUCUAUAAUAAGUAGUUAGAUUUAAAAAAAAAAAAAAAAACUGCAAAUGUGGUGUUUCUACAUGAGUUAACUUAUGCGUGUUUUAUAUAAAUCUCCUUGUUCUGUUUGUUAGUGAAGAUCAUGAAUUGGCCAGCUCUAAAAACAAGAUUCAGUAACAUUUAUAGAAUAAUAUAUUAAAUUGGAUAGCUUAAGGAGGUCGCCAGAAUUUGGGGUGGCCAUAUUGCUCAACCCCAGACGGUGUUCAAGUAUCUGUCUAUUCAUUUUCUGUGUAUAAUCGUAUCCAAGAAUGAGUCAUGUAUUCUAGCGAGAAAUUAAUAUCAAGAUUCCAGUUCUUGACAUCUUGUUUAUCCAAAAUUUUUCCUUUAUCUUGGUGUAAUCUAUGGUCAUAGGUAGUGUUUUUGUGGAAUCAGAUCUUUGUUUCUCAUUUUUUAAGUUGGAUUUCAAAUCUUGAUAUUUGGACUUUUGAUUCUCGAAGUGUUCAAUAAUUUAACUGUAAUUUUCAAGAAAAUAGGGGGAUGGACUUACUAUAUGUUCUUGGAACCAGAAAGAGAGGUGAAUUCUAAUUACAUAAUUAAUUCAUUAUUUAAACAUCCCAUUCUGAGACUUGGGGAAAUGGACUUCUUGUAUUUUCGUGGAUCGAAGAAAAUGAAUUGGGGUGGGGGUUGGAAAAUAAAGUUCUAGAGAUUUGGGAUUGUAGGUGGCAUAUAUAAAAAUUUGGAUUUAAUUUGUAAAAAAUAAUAAUAAUAAAUAACAAAAUAAAAAAAAUUGGGUAUUGAAAUUACAAUUAUUCCUUUUUAACGACAAAUUGAUGGAUCUUGACGGUAGGGAAAUUUGGGAUGAGAUCAAUGCACUAACUGAUGCCCACCCUUGUACUUGUGAUGCUCGCAAAAAAGUCGAAGACACAGCCAAUACCGAACGACUCUUUCAAUUUCUUAUGGGCCUCAAUGACUCAUUCUCCAACAUUCGAAGCCAAAUUCUCACCAUGGACCCCCUGCCCACAAUCUCCAGAGCAUAUGCCACCAUACAUCAAAAAGAGACACAACGCCUCCUACAAAUUCCAUUGUUACCCAAUCCCGAAAAUUCGGCCAUGGCUGUCUCACACACCAAUUCUUCGGUCAAUCACGGUUUUUGUUCUCGCAACAGUAGAAAAUGCACAAAGUGUGGGAAAGAUGGACAUCAAGAAGCCUCCUGCUUUGAAAUCAUUGGCUAUCCUUCCCAUUGGAACACCAAUAAGCCGAAGCAGCCCCUGCGGUCCACACCUGUCAAAAAUCGGCCACAGGAUUCAGGCAGUAAUCGGCUACCCACAGCGAACAUGGUGUCUCGUACCUCAGCCCCUUCCACAUCGAGUGCAAUCCCUGGCUUAUCUGACGAGCACUACUGGCAAUUGAUGGAAAUGUUGGAUCCUAGCACCAUUACACACUCGGCCUUCUCUGGUAUCUCUCUAUCACCUCUCCAAAUCGCCCUAGGUCCUUGGAUUAUAGAUAGUGGGGCUUCAGCCCACAUUUCUUGUGUUUCUAACUUACCCAAAGCCUCACAUAUUUGGGCCCAUAGUCAAUCCCUUACAUUACCUACAGGCUUCAAGGCCCACGUCACACAUAUGGGCCACAUCCAUAUUUCUCCCCAUUUAUGUCUACAUAAUGUUCUUUUUGUUCCCGAUUUUAAAUACAAUUUAAUCUCAGUAAGUCAACUCACAAAAUUGUCUAAUUGUGUUACCAUAUUUUCCUCUUCUAUUUGUUUAUUUCAGGACCUAUGUAUGAGAAAGCUGAUUAGGAUGGGUGAAGAACAUGGAGGCCUCUACCAUUUUAAACCAUUUAAUCAUGUUGCAUUUCAACUCAUAGCGAAUCCUGCUGCUACACCGGAUGUAUAGCAUCUUCAUUUAGGUCAUCCUUCAAAUUCUUGUAUUCCAAAAAUUUUAUGUGAUUCAAAUAAAGUUAGAAAUUGUGAUAGUUGUGUUCGCGGUAAACAUACGCGCCUUCCCUUCAAAUUGGUCGAAAAUAAAAGUACUUUUACCUUUAACCGAAUUUAUUGUGAUAUUUGGGACGGAUAUUCCACACCCUCUACAAUUGGUGCACACUAUUUUCUCACAAUUGUUGACGAUUUUUCACGUGUUACUUGGGUAUACCUCAUGCGUUUUAAAUCUAAUACAUUUACUUACCUAACCACAUUCAUUAAAAUGAUCCACACGCAGUUUAAUUGCCCUAUCAAACAUAUUAGGUCCGACAAUGGUCAAGAAUUUCUUUCUCAUCGUAUGCAACAAUUCUUCCUUGACCAUGGGAUCAUUCAUGAGCGCACUUGUGUUGAACCACCCCAAAAAAAUGGUGUAGUAGAAUGAAAAUAUCGUCACCUACUAAAUGUAGCUCGAUGUCUUCGCUUUCAUACACAUUUACCUAUUUCUUUUUGGGGUGAGUGCAUACUUACUGCAUCCUAUCUGAUUAACCGCGUAUCAACUCCCACGCUUGGUCACAAAGCGCCUUAUGAACUCCUUUUCAACAAACCUCCUACCUAUGAUCACCUCCGUGUCUUUAGAUGUCUUUGCUAUGCACACACUUUAAGUGUCCAUCGGGACAAGUUCUCUCCUCGUAGCACACCAUGCAUAUUCCUAGGCUACUCUCAAAUUCCACAUACUUAUCGUGUUCAUAACUUGCAAACCAAGAAAAUUUUCUUCUCUUGUGAUGUCUACUUUGUAGAAUCUAUCUUUCCCUUCGCUCCUACGAUGCAACCUUCACACAUAUCAUCAGAUACCAAUCAGCCCCUCGAUGUCCCUUACAGUACCCCACUUCCAACCAACGUUUCACAUGACACCCCUAGCCCAUCUCCUUCAUCCACGCAGACAUGGAACCAACUAUACCAACACCACAAGUUGUUGAUGGACCUACCAACUCCCUAGAAAUCGUCACCAGCUCACCCCCACUCAACUCAUCCCCACCAACUAGACCUCGAUGCACGAUUACUCGUCUUACAUAUCUUCAAGACUACAUUUGUUCAGAUUUACCUCCAGAGGGACCACGUUCAUCAUCUCAUUGCCAGUCUUUCUCAGGUACAGUUCACUCUCUACCUAAUUUUCUUUCUUGUCGUUUCUUUAGUCCAAAACAUUUUGCUUUCCUCUCUUCUAUCUCCAAAAAUGUUCAAGACCCCGUUCUUUACUCUCAAGCUAUUCUUGAGCCGUAUUGGCAAUAGGCAAUGGCUUUUGAAAUUCAAGCCCUUGAAGUCAAUCACUCAUGGACCCUUGAACAUCUUCCCCCUGGUAAGAAGGUAAUUGGUUGCAAAUGGGUUUAUAAAACAAAAUUGCAUGCCGAUGGUUCCAUUGAACGCCAUAAAGCUUGUUUUGUUGCCAAGGGUUUCACUCAGGUUGAAGGUCUUGACUAUAAUGACACUUUUGCUCCUGUGGCUAAACUUGUUACUGUUCGAUGUCUCCUUACUAUAGCUACAGCUAAACACUGGAUUCUUCAAAAAUUGGAUGUUCACAAUGCUUUCCUCAAUGGUGAUCUUGAUGAGGAAGUGUAUAUGCGACCACCACCAGGAUAUUGUCGUAAAGGGGAGACUCGCGUUUGCCAUCUCCACAAAUCAUCAUAUGGUCUCAAACAAGCCUCACGUCAGUGGUAUUCAAAAUUAUCCCAUGUUCUCAUCCUUACAAGUUUUGAUCAAUCUGCUGCUGAUCAUAGUCUCUUCAUCAAAACCAAGGGUACAACCUUUACUGCCGCUCUUGUCUAUGUUCAUGAUAUCAUUGUUGCUGGUAAUGACAGCUCUGCCGUUAGUUCUAUCAAACGCCAUCUUGCAUAGACCUUCAAAAUUAAAGACCUUGGCGAUCUCAAAUAUUUCCUAGGGAUUGAAGUUGCUCGAUCUCCUAAAGGCAUAUUUAUCAAUCAAAUGAAAUAUACCUUGGACAUUCUUACUGAUUCAGGUGAACUUGGCUCUCGCUCGGCAUAUUUUCCCAUGGAACGACAUUGCAAACUUAAUGACUCAGAUGGUGAUCUUAUGGACGAUCCUAGCUCAUAUCGACACUUGAUUGGUCAUUUGAUCCUAUAAUGCUCGGACUCGGGUACGGGUAUCGGGUACGGGUACUUAUCUAAGUAUCAAAUCUUUUAUUUUUUAAAAUAUAGGAUACGGGGACAUGGUUAAAAAGAAUCCAAAUUUCGGACACGGGUACGUGGGUACGUCUUUCAAGCUUCAAUUUUUUUAUAUUAACCCAAGAUGUCAUUUUGAAUAGACUAAAAUCAAUAGUUCAUAAAAAGGAAAUGAGUAUUAAAUAAGAUGUUAAGACUAAUAAAAUACAAUUUUGGGGUUUAGUUUUCAAUUAUAGGAAACGGGAAAGAAAAUGAAAAGAAAAAAGAAGAAGUAAAAAAAAGGGCGAAAUGUCCGAUUUAAAUUUGGAGGAUUCUACACAUAUCCCAUACGCAUACCCUUGUCGUGUCGUGUCCGACACGGGUAUUUCAACCAUUUCGAAGAGUCCGAGCAUCAAAGGUUUGAUCUAUUUGACCAUCUCUCAUCUGGAUAUUACCUUUGCAGUCAACAUUUUGAGUCAGUUUAAGCACACUCCUCGCAAGCCUCAUCUACAUGCUGCUAUACGCUGGCUCCGCUAUCUGAAAACAACACCUGGUUAUGGAUUCUUCUUUCCAUCCAACUGCAACCUUCAGAUAUCUGCUUUUUGUUACUCUGAUUGGGCAAGUUGUCCACUCACACGACGUUCCACAACUGGUUUCAUCAUCAAAUUGGGCGAUAGCCCCAUCUCUUGGCGCACCGAGAAACAAACAAUUGUUUCUUGCUCUUCUGCUGAAGCUGAAUAUCGUGCGAUGGCCACUACAACUUGUGAACUUGUUUGGCUUCGCCUCCUUCUACAGGAACUUACUGUGUUGCAUCCACAACCUAUUCUGCUUCAUUGUGACAAUCAAGCAGCAAUCUACAUUGCACAUAAUCCGGUCUUCCAUGAACGCACCAAACACAUUGAAUUAGAUUGCCAUCUUGUUUGUGAAAAAAUCAAAUCUGGUCUUAUUACUCCCUCCUAUGUUUCAAGCUCUGAACAUGUAGUUGAUCUUUUUACUAAACCAUUGGGACGUGAAUUAUUUGUCUUCUUUUGGUCCAAGUUGGACAAUACGGGCCUCCAUGCUCCAACUUGAGGGGGAGUAUUAUAGCCAGCUCAUCAACAACAAUCAACGACAAUCAACACAAAGAAUUUUCUUUUAUAGUUAUUUCCAUAUCACAGUUUUUACCAUGUAUAGAUUGGAUUCUCACCUAUAAAUUUAUACAAAAUCAUUUUAACAUAUAUGGAGGAAAUAAUAUAAUCUUCAAUUCUUUCCUCAAUCAUACCUGUGUAUGUCGAGAUUUGUUAUUUAUAUAGAGUAAUUUUAUUUUGAUACUUGUUAUUAAUUUUUCUUAUUGAAAUUUUUUAAAUAUGAAUAUUUCUUUAUUAUUUAAUAAUAAAUUUGAAUUAAAAAUAUACGAUAUUUUUGAUAAAGAAAGAAAAAUUACCACUAGUGUGUUUGAGAAGUAUCGGUAUUCGACAUGUAUCGGAUGUUACUCACAAUAUUGCUAAUGAUAUAUUUCAACUAUGGUCUACGAGAAUAAGAUAUCGUAUGGAACACGUAAUAUCAGCUAAUGAAAGAUAGAAUAAUAGUUGUUUUUAGUACGGCAUGGUAUGCUACAUGAAUAUAUUGUCAACUCUAAAUAUUUUUUCAAUUACCCACAACGUUGCCGAUUAAAAUAAAUUUAUCAAUAGCAGUAAGAGUAGAACAAAUAAUUUAAAAUUGUAGAAAGUGAUAAAAGAGCAAAUGAACUUUCAAUCGAAGUCUAAAUAAACACAGUUUCUUUAAAACAAAUUGGCCUCCUCACUCUACGUGCUUGAGGCUUAGUUUGAGCAUCUGUUUCCUAGGAUACAACGAAAAAUAAGUAGAGUCUAAGCACUGCAUAUACUACUCCGGUGAACUGACUUAGUAUCCGAACAAUAUCACCAAAAUUGAAAAGAAAUUUUUUUUCGACCAAAUAGAGAGCUGUAAAACUAUGUAGCAUGCAGACAAAGUAUUGAUUCUUGUGUGGGAUAUGGAAAACGAGUUCCAUAUAGACUUAACCCCAUGAAUGGUGAGUUAAAUCUGUCUAUAAGUGUAUUAUCUCAUCCAUAACUCUUGGAGUUUCAAUAGUUUUAGAAGUUAAAAGGUCAGUUGGAGGAAAAAAUUGACAAAACGUAGGCCUUCCUAAGGGCUCAAUUUUGGUCCCUUCGGUCUGACAUAUGUGUGUACAGGUUGAGCCCACACACAAGUUCAAGGUUCGAAACCUAUUUCGGUCUAUGAUUUGUACCUCUUACGUGCGCACGUGAUGAGAGCCUCUAUGCUAUAUAUGAUCACACCCUUCAAAGUGUAAUCCUAUAUGAGGUGGUAUUUGCCUUCAUUAUUUUUCUAUGUGGAACAAACCUUAAUUGGUGUCCUUCAAACACAUAAACUCCUUUCAAUUGGCACACUUUGAGCUCCAAUUUUUCAUUCACCCAAGCAUCAUAUUUGACAAGUAAAUAUAUGAUUUCAAUAUUCUCACGACGAACACAAAUCAAUCUUGAUCUUCCAAAAUAAACAACCAGGUCCCACUCAAAAUUUAUGCCAAAGUAAGCCAUUCAACUCAUUUAUUCAAUGAUGUGCCAUCCUAGAUGAAGUGUCCGUGCAACAGAGGUAUUAGGUGUUCGUAAAGUGUUCUUUGAUGGUCAUCCAUUUCUUUUGAUGACUCAAGUUUUCGAGCUUCGCUCUACUAAUCUGAGGAGCAGCGGCCUUCCCCACUAAUCAUCCAUUGUUUAUACCUAUGGAAAUGGUGCCAGUAGCAUAUGGAAAUGUUUAUACCCCUGAUCAUUUAUGGAAAAUCGUACGAGGCCCAAGGCAUGGUAAUGAUUUCAGAGUGGAUUUAGAAGAUACUAUCUGUGCGUUGAAAAUUCUAAAUUGGUUUUAGAUAAUCGUCAAGUUGGCUAUGACACCAAGAAUAAAGUAGCGAAAGGAAGGAUACCUUGCAUAUGAAGUGAUUGGCUAAGGGUUUAUGAGUGGAGUUCUGCAUAUUACGUGUAGUAUAUGAUUUUAUUUCAACAUUUAUUCAUUGGGCUAUUUGUGGCACCAAGAAUAGUGGUGGCUAAAGGAAGGACACAUGCUUAUGAGUGGACCUCUACAUAUUAUGCAUAGUAUUUGAAUUUUUUUUCCUUUUUUUUUUGGCAGAAAGAACUGAAUAAAUAUUGAAGUUAAUGGGCUUUGUGUAACGCUCCGACCCCUGGUGGACCAGAACGCUACUUACUUUAAUUAGCUUAACCGGUGGUUUAGUAACAAGUGUAUACGUUUUAACGGAAUCUUACAUCUUCGGAUAAUAAUUUAAAUAACAAUACUUCAAAUACUUUAAACACAAACACUGAAUCAUUUUUCAAAACAACAAAAUAUAAUUUAUUUGAAGAAAACAUAACUUGUUCUCGCAUUCUGCGUUAUUCAAAACUUUAAAGAAAUAACAUUGGAAAACAUUUCAUAAAAAUAAAUCCAAAUCACUUAUUCACCGGAUUUCCAUGGGCUCGUUGCAUCAUUCUCCAUCUUCUCCUCCAUCCAUGCCCGAGGUAGAAUUCCUUCAAUUUGUAGAGAUGAGAUUAAACCCAUGAGUUGAAAAACUCAAUAGGUGUCAUAAGUGCAUUCGUGAUCAAGCUAUACAUUUCAAAACAUUAACUUUAUAACUCUUCAUACAUGCCGUACCCGGAGGCACCAUUUGAUAUGAAGGGGCAUGCCGUACCCCAGGGCACCAUUUGACAUACGAACAUUUCUUCAACAUAAAGGGGUAUGCCGUACCGGAGUACCAUUUGACAUACAACCAUUAACAUAUAGGGAUAUGCCAUACCAGAUUACUAUUUGACAUACAAACAUUAACAGGAAUCGAAACUUAUAACUUAACACGAUUAAACACAUUGCACCUCUACCUACUUUGAUUGAUGUUUUUGAAACUUUGAAAACUUGGAUUGAAAAUUUCGAUGAAACUUGGACGUUGAAAGAAAUGCACUCCUUGGAUGUUUGAAAACCGUUGAGAAUUGAUGCUUGAAGACACUUUUUAAACUUCUAAGAAAAAUAGUUUUCCUCCCUCUCUUUUUCUCUCUUGGAAACUCUUUCUUUAGUAUGUAAAAACUCUUGCUUUUGUGUGAGAAAAAAUGAGUGAAAUGAGGUCUCUAUUUAUAGGUAAAUAUUCCAUAACUUAAAGCAAAUGAAGGGUCAAAUUUCAUUUAAGAGAGAAAACAUAGUUUCCAUUUAAGUUUGAGGUUAAAUGCUUCAAUUUAGUGGGGGGUUUUUAUUGCCAAAAACGUGGGUGGCCCUUUGAGAAAAUAAUUGAUGAAAAUAAAUAUUUAAAUUCUAGAGAAAAACGAGAAUUUUCAUUUCAGGCAGCUUCGGUCGACCGGUUGUAGUCCGGUUGACACUGCAUAACUUUCAGUGUUUCUAUCAUAACUUUUUUUCCCGAUAUCCGAUUGAGGUAAUCCAAAGUGCGUUGGAAAGCUAACUCAAAAAGCUACAACUUUUAUUUAGAUAUCAUUUUCCAAAUUGAAUGUUUCCUAUGUUGAAAAUGGGUCUCAAAAGAGACUAAAAAUCUGAAGUAUACUUUAGUCAUUCAAUAUUCAUGUCUUAGUGCCACUAAGGUGUCUAGAAUUAUUUGGGGUUCUACAUCCCCCACACCUUAAUUAAAAUUUCAUCCUCAAAAUUUACCUUCUGAUUGGGCGAAUAGUAUUGGAUACUUAUCUUUGGCUUCUUCUUCUUUUUCCCAAGUGGCUCUUCUACGCCGUGAUAAUUCCACUGUAUCUUAACCAACUGAAUCUCUUUAUUCCUUAGUUUAUACACUUUUUGAUCCAAUAUCUUGAUCGGUAGUUCCUCGUACGACAAAUCUUUCUGUACCUCCAAGGUUUGAUAACUAACUACAUGAUUAGGAUCAUGUACAUACUUCUUUAUCAUCGAUAUACGGAACACAUUGUGCACUGCCGAUAAUUCAGGUGGCAAAGCUAGUCGGUAAGCCACAUUUCCGACUCUAUCCAAGGUCCGAUAUACCGGGGUCAUAGCUUGCCUUUCUUUCCAAAUCUAAGUACACCUUUCAUCGAUGCUACUUUCAGAAACGCUUUAUCCCCAACUUGGAAUUCUAAAUCCUUCAUCCUUGUAUCUGCAUAGCUCUUUUGUCGAUCAUGUGCUGCCUUUAUUCUUGCACAGAUCUUAUCGAUUACCUCGACUGUCCUUUCAACUAUUUCUUGUCCUAAAACUCUCUUCUCUUCGACUUUGACUUCAUCCCAAUGAAUAGGGGAUCUACAUCUUCUACCAUAGAGAGCUUCGUAUGGUACCAUUCCAAUAGUUGCUUGGAGGUAAGUAUGACUCCCAAUUACCUCCUAGAUCCAAAACACAUGUUUUCAGCAUGUCUUCCAAAGUUUGGAUGGUCCUUUCAGACUGACCAUCGGACUGAGGGUGAUAUGCUGUACUAAAGUUCAGCUUCGUUCCCAUAGUUCCUUGUAUACUUUUCUAAAAUUUGGACGUGAACCUUGGGUCUCUGUCAGAUAAAAUGGAUACAGGUACACCGUGUAAUCUCACAACCUCUUUAAUAUACAACUGUGCCAAUUGGUCCAAACUGAAUGUCGUUUUCACUGGAAGAAAAUGAGCUGACUUCGUUAGUCGAUCCACUACUACCCAUAUAGCAUUAUUUCCUCUUGCUGAAUUUGGGAAUCCAACCACAAAGUCCAUCGUGAUAUUUUCCCAUUUCCAUUCAGGUAUAUCUAGUGGAUUUAACAAUCCAGUUGGUUUUGGGUGUUCUACCUUAACCUAUUGACAUACUAUGUACUUCUGCACGUAUAGCCCUAUACUUCUUUUCAUAUUUCUCCACCAAAAUGUAUCUCGAAGAUCUCGAUACAUUUUUGUACCACUGGGAUGUGCGGUGUACGGGGUGGAAUGAGCUUCUUUCAAUAUCUUAUUUCUUAAGGCUUCAUCCUUAGGCACGCAAAUUCUUCCUCUAAAUAUCAAUGCCUGAUCCUCAGCUACUCCAAAGUCCUUUUUCUUAUCAGUACCAAUUUCAUUCUUAAUCUUCUGCAAAAAUGAGUCUUUAUUUUGUGCUUCUAUAAUUCGAUCUCUAAGAGUAGGUCGAAUUAUUAAAGCUGCUAGACGAGCAGUGACUUGUCCUGGUGUGAUAACCACUUCGAUCUGCAACUUUUCCAAGUCCUUAACUAACUCCACUUGAGAGGUGGGUAGUGACGUCAAUUGUCCCAUUGAUUUUCUACUUAGAGCGUCGGCCACAACAUUAGCCUUACCCGGAUGGUAGUGAAUAGUGCAGUCGUAAUCGUUCACCAAUUCCAACCAUCGUCUUUGUCGCAUAUUCAAUUCCUUCUAUGUGAAGAAAUACUUGAGACUUUUGUGAUCUGUGUAGAUAUCACACUUCCGUCCAUACAAGUAGUGUCGCCAUAUCUUCAAAGCGUGUACUACCGCUGCAAGUUCUAAAUCAUGCGUCGGGUAGUUCUGCUCAUGUUUCUUCAAUUGUCUUGAAGCAUAGGCUAUCACUUUUCCAUUCUGCAUUAGUACACAUCCCAAUCCUCGCUUGGAUGCGUCGCUGUAUAUAACAAACCCUUUCGUAUCUUGAGGUAUUGUUAAUAUAGGUGUUGAUAUCAACUUCUGCUUAAGUUCUUGGAAACUUUGUUCGCAUUUUUCUGUCUAUUGAAAUUUUACUCCCUUCCUUGUAAGCUGCGUCAUUGGUUCAGCUAUUUUGGAAAAUCCUUCUAUGAAUUUCCUAUAAAAUCCAGCCAAUCCUAGAAAACUCCGUACUUCGCCAACAUUUGUUGGUGCUUUCCAGUUGGUUACUGCUUCUACUUUUGCUGGAUCUACUUCAAUCCCUUGGGCAGUAACUACAUGUCCAAGAAAUCCAACUCGUUCAAGCCAAAACUCGCACUUCUUGAAUUUGGCAUACAACUUCUCCUUGCGUAAUACCUCUAAGACUAUUCUCAAGUGCUCUUCAUGUUGCUCCUUACUCUUGGAAUAUAUCAGAAUGUCAUCGAUGAAGACUAUAACAAACUUAUCCAAGUAUUGAUGAAACACUCAAUUCGUCAUGUCCAUGAACACUACAGGUGCAUUGGUUAGCCCAAACGGCAUCACCGUAAACUCGUAGUGUCCAUAUCGAGUUCUAAAAGUUGUCUUAGGUAUAUCCUUUGUCUCUACUUUCAGUUGAUGGUAUCCCGAUCGUAAAUCGAUCUUGGAAAAUACCUUAGCUCCUUUCAGUUGAUCUAACAGAUCCUCGAUCCUCGGGAGUGGGUACUUAUUCUUGAUGGUUAAUCGAUUUAUCUCCCUCUAAUCGAUGCACAUCCUCAUGCUUCCAUCUUUCUUCCUUACAAACAACACUGGCGCACCCCAUGGAGAUACGCUUGGUCCUAUGAAGCCCAUAUCUAGGAGUUCUUGCAACUGCUUCUUUAAUUCUUGUAGCUCCUUUGGGGCCAUUCGAUAUGGGGCCUUAGAUACUGGUACCACCCCGGGAAUUAGGUCUAUGGUGAAUUCCACUUGUCUAUCGGGUUGAAUGCCAGAUAGAUCUUCUAGAAACACAUCUACGAAUUUCCGUACUACUGGUACAUCUUCAACCCUUAUUGUCUCUUGUUUCCCUCUUGCGAUACUUACUAGAUAUCCUUGACAUGUGUUCUUUUCUCAACAUCUUCUCAAGUUGUAAAGCCGAUACUAGUCGAAUAAGGGGUUUCGUCUUCAUUCCAAGGAACGAAAAUGGUUCCUCUCCUGGUUUCUAAAAUGAUACUUCCAUUUCCUUAUAUCGGAUGGUGGCGUAAUUACAACCUAACCAAUCCAUGCCUAGUAUUACAUCAAAAUCCUUCAUUUCUAUCAUGUAUAGGUUCGUUUCCAUUAGUUUUCCCUCAACUUUGAUACUUACUGACUUGGCUAUCCUAUCAGUAUUCAAAGGGUUGUCCGAAGGAAUACUAACUUCUAAUGUACCUUCUUAUCUUCCGUAUCCACCAGAUGUGGAGCAUACUUUGAAAGUUGAUCAAACUUCCUCUCAUACUCAGUCAGGGACAUAGUCUUUUGCUUGAUUUGGAGGAAUUCACUUUCUUUGUGAUCCCUCAAAGACUGGGGAAAAUACUUGUCCAUUACUUCUCCUUUGAAUUGCUCCCAAGUCAAUUCUUCUUAUUGCUUAGGGGUCCUUGUCCUUGACAUUGAGACCCACCAGUGACUUGCAUUACCGGAGAACAUGAACUCAGCACGCUGAACUUUCUAAGCGUUUGUGCACCCUAUCAAUCGGAAUAUACGCUCCAACUUGUGAAGCCACUCCUCGGUUGCAAGUGGAUCAGCUGCUUUGUUGAAGGUAGGGGACUUGUGCCUUCGAAAUUGCUUGACCACUGAAGUAUGAUUUGGAACAUUAGGAGCUAGUGGUAGGGGUUGAGCUUGGUUCGGGUUUUGCCUGCCUAGGUCUUGAACCGCUCGGAGGAGGUCUCUUAUCAAGUUUUGGUUUGCGCGGGCCAUUUCUUUUAGACAAAGCAUAUGGUUCUUAUUAGUUUCAUUCUUCAAAUACUAAAGCAAAGAAGAUAGUAUUUUAUUUCUUGAUAUAAGGGAAGCUAUUACAAGGAUUUAAAUCUAAUCCCUAUAAGUUCUACGGAUCUUCUUUGGUGGAGCUUCAUCUUCGAGGAGUCUUCCGCAUCAGGUUUGGCUCUAUGUUCAUCUCAACUUGUGGCUCAGGCUCAGGAUCAUUCUCUAAAUCAUCCUCGAGUUCUUCUUCGAGAUCUUCUUCCUCGGCCAAAGCUUCCUCCUCAGGCUCCUCGUGGGUUACAUCAUCCCACAAAUCAAUCAGGGCAUGGCAAUACCUCUCAAACUCGAAUAGGUUUGGGUUGCUUGCUAACAUUUCAUCUCUAACCGUGACUCCCAUAUCUCCCCAUUGAGGUGGGAGGGAGUGUAUGAGGUUAUUUAUGGCCUCAAUAUGUGUGAUCUCCAUACCAGCAUUAACCGUCUUCAUGCAUCUCUCAUGGAUGUCAUACACAUGUUCGCUAAGCGAUCAGGUCAGAUCAGUUACAUAGUUUUCAUAGGAAUGGAUAGCAAUUCUACAGUUCAAUGCUUCUCUAUAUGCCCUAGCCGUUCUACGAGCCAUGUCUGUUGCAUUUUCACAUACAUCAUACUUUUUUUUGCUUAAAGAAAACAUGCAAAUAUUUAAACUUUCAUAUCAUGCAAUUUCCUUUAAACCCUUAACUUUUACCCAAGUUCAUUACAUAUCUUUAAAUAACACAUCUCUAAAUCAUAUCAAAACAUCAUAACAUAAACAUAAUCAUUAACUUUAAACAUAAACAUACCUAGGCCAUAGGAUGAGAUUGAUGGAUGGAUGCACGAUGCCAUGGAAUACCUUAACUUAAACUUUUCAUUUUCCUUUUGUUUUUUUAAAAAAAAAAUACUUGAUCUACAGAACAGGCUAAACCUUGCUUUGAUACCACGCUGUAACGUCCCGACCCCUAGUAGACCGGAACGCUACUUACUUUACUUAACUUAACCGGUGGUUUAGUAACAAGUGUAUACGUUUUAGUGGAAGCUUACAUCUUCGGAUAAUAAUUUAAAUAACAAUACUGCAAAUACUUUAAACAAAAACACUGAAUCAUUUUUCAAAAUAACAAAAUGUAAUUUAUUUGAAGAAAACAUAACUUGUUCUCGCAUUCUACGUUAUUCAAAACUUUAAAGAAAUAACAUUGGAAAACAUUUCAUAAAAAUAAAUCUAAAUCACUUAUUCACCGGAUUUCCAUGGGCUCGUUACAUCAUUCUCCAUCUUCUCCUCCAUUCAUGCCUAAGGUAGAAUUCCUUCAAUCUGUAGAGAUGGGAUUAAACCCGUGAGUUGAAAAACUCAAUAGGUGCCAUAGGUGCAUUCGUAAUCAAGCUAUACAUUUCAAAACAUUAACUUUAUAACUUUUCAUACAUGCCGUACUCGGAGGCACCAUUUAACAUGAAGGGGUAUGCCGUACCCGAGGGCACCAUUUGACAUACGAACAUUUCUUCAACAUAGAGGGGUAUGCCGUACCGGAGUACCAUUUGACAUACAAUCAUUAACAUAGAGGGAUAUGCCGUACCGGAGUACCAUUUAACAUACAAACAUUAACAUGAAUCGAAACUUAUGACUUAACACGAUUAAACACAUUGCACCUCUACCUACCUUGAUUGAUGCUUUUGAAACUUUGAAAACUUGGAUUGAAAACUUCGAUGAAACUUGGAUGUUGAAAGAAAUGCACUCCUUGGAUGUUUGAAAAUCGUUGAGAAUUGAUGCUUGAAGACACUUCUUAAACUUCUAGGAAAAAUAGUUUUCCUCUCUCUCUUUUUCUCUCUUGAAAACUCUUUCUUUUGUUUGUAAAAGCUCUUGCUUUUGGUGUGAGAAAAAAUGAGUGAAAUGAGGUCUCUAUUUAUAGGUAAAUAUUCCAUAACUUAAAGCAAAUGAAGGGUCAAAUUUCAUUUGAGAGAGAAAACAUGGGUGCCAUUUAAAUUUGAGGUUAAAUGCUUCAAUUUAGUGAGGUUUUUAUUGCAAAAAAUGUGGGUGGCCCUUUGAGAAAAUAAUUGAUGAAAAUAAAUAUUUAAAUUCUAGAGAAAAACGAGAAUUUUCAUUUCAGGCAGUUUCGGUCGACCGGUUGUAGUCCGGUUGACACUGCACAGCUUUCAGUGUUUCUAUUAUAACUUUUUCUCCCGAUAUCCGAUUGAGGUAAUUCAAAGUGAGUUGGAAAGCUAACUCAAAGAGCUACAACUUUUAUUCAGAUAUCAUUUUCCAAAUCAAAUGUUUCCUAUGUCGAAAAUAGGUCUCAAAUGAGACUAAAAAUCUAAAGUAUACUUUAGUCAACCAAUAUUUAUGUCUUAGUGCCACUAAGGUGUCUAGAAUUAUUUGGGAUUCUAUACUUUGUGACAUAGAGUGCAAUAAAACCAAAUAGUAGAAUUAUAGAAGAAGGGGGAGUGAAUAGAAAGAAGAGGGCAAAAGUGAAGAAUUGGGGGGAGGGGGUUGGUUAGAAGGAGAGAGAUAGAAAAGGAACAACAAUAGAUAGACGGAAGCAGAAUUUAGGAGAGAGGAAGAAGAGGGAGAAAAGGAAGAGGAAAACAAAUAAGAAGAAUAUUGAGAAAGAAAGGAUUUCUAUCAUUUCUCCCUAAUUGAAAGAACUCGACUCCAAUUCUAAGCAAAGAGGACUAUCUUUCUUUCUGACCAAAUAAUGAAAUUGAUUGCUUGAUGUCAAAUCCUAAAUUAGUUGGCUGAUUUUCUUCUUUUGAGUUGUGGUUGGGGAGAUUUUUGGGUGGUUGAAGAUGGCAAAGGAAGUGUGUGUAAAUUUUGAAUUUCAACAUGAAAUUUGUGUACAACGGAAAUGACUUGCUCUGCUAUCAAAUUGAUGUAUACUGCAAUAAAACCAAAUAGUAGAAUUAUAGAAGAAGGGAAAAUUGAUGUAUACUGCAAUAAAACCAAAUAGUAGGAUUAUAGAAGAAGGGAAAAGGGUAGAGAAUAAGAGAAAUGGGGGAAAAAGAGAAGAAGAGGGGGAAAGAGAAGGAGAUAUGUAGAAAGUGAAGAAGAGACAUUAGAAGCAGAUUUAAGAGAGAGGAAGAAGAGGGGGGAAAGGGAAAAGGAAAAUGAACAAGAAGAAUAUUGAGAAAGAAAGAAGAAAAGAGAGGAGAAAGAGAAGAAGAGGGAGAGAAAAAGAGAAUUUAGGGAGUGAAUAUCAAGUUUAUUUUAUGUCAAAUUUGUAUCUAUUACAAUGCACAAACCUCCUUCAUAUGGGGUUUUGAAAAACCUAUUCUAAAUAGGAAACAAUGAAUCAAAUACUAGAGAAUCUAGUAAAUAAAUAUAUAAUAAAAUCCUCGGAAAUCCAGUAAAUAAACCCUGAUAAUUUUUCCCAAAAUAAGAAUCUAAAUAUGGAAAAUAAUCAUAAUAAUCUAAUAGGAUUUACAUCAUUUUUUCGUGGUCCCGUGGGAAUGUGAGACAAUAUCAUUUAAGAUGUAUGAGUUUUAACUUGUCGCGACUCAUCAAAAUUUUCACUUGCGACCUGGAAAGAAAUCGAUUUGAAAAGUAAUUUUCCCCUUUUUUGAGUAAAGAUCAUGUCUUGGGCUUUAGUAGUGGCUCCACAGGUCUUUUAAUUCUUUUUAUGAUGAUUCACAUUCUUUUCACAUGGUUAAUCCUUUGAUGAUGCUAUUAUACUCUCAAGAUGCUAAUACAAAUUACUAUUGAUUUGAUGUGUAUUACCACCCUGUGUUUGCCUUCUUUUCAUUGUUAACUGUAACCUUGUGCUACAAUUUACUCUACCGUAAUACAGGCAAAACAUGGAAUUAACUGUCUUGAGCUUCCUCUCAUUCAGCACAAGAAGUUGCCUGAUUCUGAUAGACUUCCCUCUGUGUUGAGUGGUAAGUUUCUGACAUGAUUGAUGGUUAUAGGAGAUUGUUUUAGAUUAUCUGGAUGCAUUUGUUCACGUUACGUGCAUUUCAGAGACAGUUUUUUUUUUUUUUUUUUUAAUUUUUUUUAUUUUUAUUGUGAGGGUUUGUUUAGAACGUUUGCUUCAUCAGUUAAUCUGUGAUCCCUAUUGUGUUUUGUGUCAUUAUUGUUUUUAUCUUACAUCUUUAAAGACGAUUCAUAUGGGUGCACAUAAGAUGUUAAUGCACAGGUUGUCAAACUUGAUUCCUCAUUGACCGUAAAUAGUAAAUAUCUUGGCCACAUUUCAGUUAGAUUCGUGAAGAGAGACAGCUCCUCCUUUUGGGCUGUGAGGCACAAGGUACCAAGGUUAUCCAAUCACAGGUUGUAAAUUCACAUGGAUUAAAUUUCUCUAUGCACAUUGUUGUUAUUAUCUUUCUGACUUUGGUGUGAAUGCCAGAUCUUGUGUAUCUAGUCUCCCGCGGAAGUAAAUUGCUAAAUUGAAUGCUUGUUCUUAGUUGCUUUGAAAUGAAUGUUGUGAUCAGACAGAAAAUAAAACUCUCUCAAUCCCCCUUCCCCCUCUUACACAUGUUUCAUGACAGUUACUUCUAUUUAAAUUCACAAAUUCUACAAUGGAUGCACAUUAUGAUUUUUUCUUGCUUAUCUAUUGCUGCAGAUACUGCAUUUGAUUGGAUUGUCAUAACUUCACCUGAAGCCGCUCUAGUUUUUCUUGAUGCUUGGAAGUAAACUUCACAUGGAUGUUGGCACGUCAUUUAUUAUUCUAGAAUGGUCAUUAGUCAGUUAGAGGAAAACUCUAUAAAUAAGAUGGGAGAGGGGAAUUAGAGGGGAUUCAAUGAAUUGUUUAGAAAAAGUGGGGGAGAGAUCAAGGCCUCUCGAAUGCCUUUGAUUAUGUUUAAUUUCAUGACUUUCAUUCCAGUUAAUAUCAAUACAAUUCAUCUAUCUUUACAAUAUACUAUUCCAGUAACUCCAUGGACAUCUUGCAGUCACAUUACAAUUUCAGUGUUUUACCGGACAAAUUACUUCAUAACACUUCCCAGUUGGUCUAGCGGUUUUCUUCCAGUAGCAGUAGCAACAAACAAUAGCAGUAGCAGCAACUAAUCCUCUGCAUUAGCAUCCAGAAUCUGCAGUUUAUCAACCACAUUAGCUAGGAUCUUAUCAUAACCUUAAUUUUUCCCUUUACCUUUUGCUCUCCACGUGUGUCAACAUGAAGGAAGUUCCCUUUGGGUCAGGAUUGUUAUGAUGGAAAAUGCUGCUUAAACAAAUCAAAUGUCAAACUUAGAAGCUGUGGCAUCCUGAGGAUGUUCCUGAGAACAAUAUUUAGCUUGACUAUCUUAAUAUUUUAUAAUUCUUAUGUUGACUUGCUUGAAAAGGUUAAGAAUGUGACUUUUUGAAACAUAAACUGGAAAAAAUUCAUAUCUGAUUCUUUCAUGGGCAUAAACUGAUGACUAUCGGAUCUAUAGGCAGCAAUGAUUAGAAAAACCAAAAAUAAAAAAAGGAAGCCAAAGAUUAUUACAAGCUAUGAAUUUAUGAAAGUUGGUUUAUUGAAUUGGAAUAACUCCAAAAUACAUGGUGAAACACUAUGUAGAGCACCGGGAUAUCACAAUGAGUAUACUCAGAGUGGGUUGGUAAAGAAGUGUUUUAGCGCAGGUUUGAUGCAGUGGCGGACCCAUGACUGGGCCCUUCAUUUUUUACAUUUACAAAGUAGGCCCUUCUGUUGAGAAUCACACCAAAUCAAAUCAGUUUCCUGAUUUUUAGGGAAACUUGGCUGUAUAUUUCGUAAUUAUAGGGAUCCUAUUCAUUUUCAAAAAAUCAGUAUUGUAUAGCUGUAUAUUUCAGUUACAUAGUUGUAGCUUUAUUUUCUAUUUUAUUGACUGUAUUGUAUCUAAAAAAGGGUGACUAUGACUACUUUCCCAUUCAUUCGAUACAAUAUUCUUUUUCUACCCAAUCUAUAUGGUAUCAAAGCCGACAUAAUUGGCCUCUAUUUUUUUUUUUUUGGGUUCUUCCUACCCAUUACCACGUCAGAAAUCUCUAAAUCAACCCCUACCACUGGUGCCAAUAUCAACUCCUCUAAACCUCCAACUGAACCUCUCUCUCAUUCCGUCCAAAUCACCACGAUUCGACUCAAUGGGAACAAUUUUCUCAGGUGGAUCCAAUCCGUUCGAAUAUAUAUUAGAGUGAAGGGGGAAAUCAGUUACUUAAUUGAUGACAUUGUAGAGCCAGAAAAACUGAUGUUGGCCAUGCUGUUUAGGAUGCUGAAAACUCCAUGAUAAUGGCCUGGUUAGUGAAUUCUAUGGAGGAGGAAAUAAGUGCAAACCACAUGUAUUGUCCUAUUGCUAAAGCCCUGUGGGAUAAUGUCACCUUGAUGUAUUCAGUCCUUGGAAAUCAAUCCCAAACAUAUGAGUUACAACUCAAAUUGGGGGAAGUCCGUCAAGGUGAGAAUUUCGUCACUAAAUAUUUUAAUAUUCUCAAAGUUUCCUUGAUUUAUUCAAUGAUGACCAUGAGUGGAAGAACAUGGAUGGUUGCAAUUACUUUAAGAAAAAGGAGAUCUCACGAAUUUUCAAAUUUCUGGCUGGACUCAAUGUUAAUUUUGAUGAAGUAGGAGGCAGGAUUUGAGGUUGUAAACCUCUUCCUUCCCUCGGUGAAGUUUUUUUCUAAAGUUCGACGUGAAGAAAGCAGGAGAAAUGUCCUGCUUGGCAAGAAAAUCAUUGCUGGACUGGUGGAAAAUUCGACAUUAAUGGGGAUUGCUGUUGCUGCCAUCGUGCCCCUAGGGGUGAACCCACUAAGUACGAGGGCGGUCAGCCGCCCCCAUUGAUUUUUCAAAAACCUUCAAUUCGACCUUAUUAAAUUUAAAUUCUCAGAUUUUUUUUUUUUUGGUUUUUUCACAAUUUAUUUUAGCCAAUUUUCCAUCUCUUCCCCACUGAAAAAUAAUUUUAGAUCCACCCCUGUGUGUCCCUAAUACUUAGCGUCGUCAAGAUGACGAAUCGAAGGUUUGGUGUGAUUUUUGCAAUAAAUCACGACAUACUUACGAAACUUGCUAGAAACUGCAUGGAAAACUUGCUAAUUGGAAACCUGUAGAGUGGAAGAAUAAUAAAACUAAUUCGAAUCAUGCCCUAACCAAAGCACAUACUGUGAGACCACCUCUCUCAGUGAAGAACAAAUAGAACAACUCCUAAAGCUACUGAAAUCUGCUCCACCGACUCCCGGUACUCCUGUAGCAUCCUUGGUUCAAACAAGUAGAACUUUGUGUGCCUACUCUUCAUUAUCUACAUCUUGGAUCAUGAUUCAGGUGCCUCUCAUCACAUAACUAAUCUAUCCCAUUUGUUUAUAUCUUAUGAACUCUUUUCUGGAAAUAAAAAAGUACGUACUGCAGAUGGAAAUUUAUCUUCCAUUGCUGGCCAUGUUUCAUUCGUUUAUGAGAAAAAAAUAUUCUGAAAUCUGUUUUACAUGUCUCAAAACUCUCUUGUAACCUUUUGUCAGUAUGUCAUUUAUCUAAAGAUUCUAACUGUCGUGUUAUCUUUGGUGUCUCUUGUUGUGAAUUUAAGGAUUUAAAUGUGGGGAUGAUGAUUUGCAGUACUAGAAUGAUAGAUCUCUACUAUUUUAAUGACAACUGUGUUAGGAAUAAACAAGCUCAGGGUUUUAUUGGUGGUAUCCAAUUAAAUCUUGUUUAUGAUCAAAUAAUACUAUGGCAUAAUAGACUAGGACAUCCUAUUUUUUCCUAUUUAAAGUACUUAUUUCUAGAUUUAUUUAAAGGAGUGGAUUGUAACUCUUUGGUUUGUGAAACUUGUUUCCUGGCUAAAAGCCAUCGAAACUUUUAUAAAAUUAAACUUUUUUGUGCUUCAAAACAUUUUUAUCUAAUACAUAGUGAUGUUUGGGAUCCUUCUAAGAUUACCACUUCAACCUGAAAAAAAUGGUUUGUGACAUUCAUUGAUGUUCAUACACGCCUAUGCUGGCUUUAUUUAAUGAAUUCAAAAAAUGAAGUUGCAAAAUUUUUUAAAGAUUUUUUACUCUUUGGUCGAAAACCAAUUUCAAACUAAAAUAAGUGUUCUUCGAAGUGACAAUGGAAUAUAAUUUUUUAAUGAAUGUUUAGGAAAUUUUUGUACAAGAAAAAGGCAUUGUUCAUCAAUCUAUUUGUAGGGAUACUCAACAAAAUGGAAUUGCAGAACGUAAAAAUAGAUACUUAUUUGAAGUUGCUAGCGCUCUUAUGUUUCAUAAGAAUGUUUCUAAAUAUCUUUGGGGAAAUUCAAUCUUAACAAGUUGUUAUCUGAAUAAUAGAAUGCCCACUAGGGUUUUGAACUAUAAAACUCCUUUACGAACUCUUAAAAAAUCUUUUCCAAACACACGUCUCAUCAAUAAUCUCCCUUCAAAACUUUUUGGUUGUACGAUGUUCAUUCAUGUUCCAUCCCAUCUUCGAUCCAAAUUUGUCUACGAGCUGAAAAAUGUAUUUUUUAGGCUACUCUCCUAAUAAAAAAGGCUAUAAGUGUUUUAAUCCCGACACUAAAAAAUUUCAUAUUAGUAUGGAUGUUCAAUUUCUUGAAACAACUCCAUUUUAUACUAAAACCUUUCUUCAGGGGAAGAAUCUAAAUGAUGAUUAGUUUUGGCAACAAGAAGAACCAAAACUAGUUUCUUUUUUCCCUCAAAUAAAUUAGGAAAUGAAUACUUUACCUAGAGAAAAUAAGAAAAAUACUGAGCUAUAUAUGCCAAGUAAAAAUGUAUCACAAAAAGGGGAAAAACUUUACCACCUAUGCCCACUGAGCUACGUCUUUACACUAUAUGUAGGUUCAAUCCCAAUAUUUAGAAUCUUCCAAUCAAUUCUGAGCAUGGUCAAUCAUCAUCUCCUAGGUCUUCAAUUCCAGGUAAUCUUCCUAAAAAUCCUACUCCUUUACCUUUCUUUGAUCAUGACAUUCCUAUUACCAUUCAUAAAGGAAUUAGGAAUUGUACCAAACAUCCUAUUGCCAAAUAUCUGUCCUACCACAGACUUUCAGAAAAAUACAAAGCCUUCACAACAAAUGUUUCCCAUCUAUUUGUACCUAGAACUAUACAGAAAGCACUACAACACUCGGAGUGGAAGUGAGCAGUGUAUGAGGAGAUAAAAGCACUUCAAAAAAAUAGAACCUGGGAAAUUGUUGAUCUACCUAGGAAAAAGAAGAUAGUAGGGUGCAAGUGGAUUUUUACAAUCAAAUGUAAGUAUGAUGGGAGCAUUGAGAGAUACAAGGCAAGGCUGUUGCUAAAGGUUUUACACAAACUUAUCGAAUUGACUAUCAAGAAACCUUUGCACCUGUUGCAAAAAUCAAUUCCAUUCGAGUGUUACUUUCUCUUGCAGUACAUCUUAACUGGCCUUAGCAACAGUUAGAUGUAAAGAACACUUUCUUAAAUGGAGAGUUGGAGGAAGAAGUGUUUAUGGACUUACCACUAGGUUUCGAAGAAAACUUUGGAGAAAAGAAAGUUUGGCUAUUAAAAAAGUCAUUGUAUGGUCUUAAGCAAUAUCCUAGGGCCUGAUUUGACAGGUUCGGAAAAGUCAUCAAGCUUCAAAAGUAUUUGUAAAGCUAAGCCGAUCAUACAAUGUUCUAAAAACACUCAAGAGAAGGUAGAAUGGCAAUAUUAAUAGUUUACGUGGAUGACAUAAUUUUGAUUGGAGAUGAUAUUGUUGAGAUUGAUAGAUUGAAGAAAGCCCUAGCUCGUGAUUUCAAAAUCAAAGACUUUGGUCCUCUUAAAUACUUCCUUGGAAUGGAGUUUGCUAUAUCCAAGAAAGGUAUUUUUAUCUCUCAAAGAACGUACUUGAUCUACUAGAAGAAACAGGUUUACUCGGUUGCAAAGCAACAGAAACCCCUAUAGAACCAAAUCUGAAGCUUUAGCGUGCAAGUCUAGAAGAAAUGAUUGACAAAGAGAGAACCAACGCUUAGUUAGGAGACUAAUUUCUCUCUCCCAUAAACGUCCUCAUAUUGCAUUUGCAGUGAGCAUGCUAAGUUAAUUCAUGCACUCACCUAAUCAAGGACAUUUUGAUGUUGUGUACAGAAUUUUAAGGUACUUAAAGGGGACCAUGAAAAGGAAUUCUAUAUGAAAAUAGGGGACAUCUCCAAGUUGAAGUGUUUACAGACGCAGAUUGGACAGGAAUGUAAUAGACAGAUGAUCAACUUCGGGAUAUUGUACCUUUGUUGGGGGAAAUCUUGUAACUUGGCGUAGUAAAAAAUAAAAUGUGGUGGCUAGAAGUAGUAUUGAGGUGGGGGUGUAGGGCAGUGGCACAUGGUAUCUUUGAGGUUCUGUGGAUCAAACAUUUACUUGAAGAACUUAAAACUACCCGUUCCUUACCUAUAAAGGUAUUUUGUGAUAACAAAGAUGCUAUUGCAAUCGCACACAAUUCAGUGCUCCAUGAUUGAACUAAACAUGUUGAAGUUGACAAAAACUUUAUAAAGGAGAAAUUGGAGAAUGGUCUGAUUAUUAUACCCUACAUUCCCAGGUCUGAACAGGCAGCAGACAUUCUUACUAAAGGUCUACCAAAGAAGUAGUUUGAUACGUUGGUGAGCAAGCUAGCCAUGAACCACAUCUUCCAACCAGCUUGAGGGGGAGUGUUGAGAAUCACACCAGAUUAGGGCAAAUCAGUUUCCUGAUUUUUAGGGAAACUUGGCUGCAUAUUUCAUAUUUAUAGGGAUCCUAUUUAUUUCCUAAAAAUCAUUAUUGUAUAACUGUAUAUUUCAAUUCCAUAUUUGUAGCUUUAUUUUCUAUUUUAUUGACUGUAUUGUAUCAAUAAAAGGGUAAGUAUGACUACUUUUCCAUUAAUUCAAUACAAUAUUCUUUUUCUACCCAAUCUAUAUCUUCAUUUUUUUACAUUUACGAAGUAGUUCACAUAAUUUUAAGCCAUAAUUUUUACAUAAUUCUGUCUCGCCCCCACUAAAUUAUGUUCUUGGAUCCGUCCCUGCUUUGAUGGCCAUUAUUUGGGAAAAACAAUGUUUUGAAAAGUGUUUUUUAGGAGAAUGUGAGAUUAAAAAAUAAGAAAAUGUUUUGGAUUUACUUGCAGAAUAUUUUAUUGUGUUUAUGUUUGGUUGGAAAUGAGUUUGUAGAAAAAAGAGUUUUCAAAUAUUGGUUAUCGAACCCGGGCAUAAUGGUCCAUGAGAUUUGGAUGAACACAUUAAAGGUCAUAAGCAAAUGUUCUUGCUGCUGCUGCUUUUCCACUCCCCAUUCACCUGAAAAAUUCUUAAUAGAAUUUUAUUUAUUUCUCUUAUUUUUCCAUCCUAAUACUGCUUUUAGCUGUUAAAUAGACGUAUAAUGAUUAAAUCAAUACAGUAUGCUAAUCUUAAUCGCCAACUGUUCUAUAAUUCAAUUAUUAUGUUUCAAUAUGGAGUAAUUAAAAUUUAACAUCCACCGUUAAGAGAAGCCAAUUUUGCAAUUUAGUUAGACUGCCCAUUUUAACAAAUUAUCAAUCUUCGAAUUAAGCAAAGAUCUUAAAAUUUAUACAAUGCCUGUUGGAUCCUUUAGAUGAUGAAACAUGUAGGUUUUGCUUUGCAUUACUUUUGUACUCAUGCGAGCUGGUCUACUCAAGUAUGACUCAGCUUCACGAGAAUUCUUUUAUUAGAUCCUACUAUUUCAAACUUAUAAUUUUAUCUGUAAGGAAAUAUGAAACUGAUUUAACCUGCUAAUUGAAAUUGUCUGUUUCAGAAGAAGGCCUUGCCAAGCGUGGAUUCCAGGUUACUAGGCUCAAUACAUACACAACGGUAUGAUACUCUUGUAAUUUUGUAAAUGUUCUAAUAUCUCAACAAUUUCAUGUAAUUUAUAACUUUAAAUUUUAAUUUGCCUCCACAUAAUGCAACAGAAAAUUUAACAUUACAGUUACAGUCAUCAAUUGCAAGUGUUUAGAUGUCACUAAAUAUUGAUCAACAACAAAUACUCAUCUUGUUUCUGUUAAUUUGGUGGCCUCUGAUAAUUUCCUGUAGGAACCUGUUAGUCGUGUGGACCAAAAGUUCUUGAAUGGGCGGUUUCUGCUCCUGUUGUUUCUGUAGCAUCACCUUCUGCAGUUCGGUGUACUUUUCUGUUAUAGCAGUUCUGUUGAAAAUUAGUCUAUACUGUUGAGCCUGGACUAAUCUUCUGAAUAAAAAGUUUCUGAGUUGAAUUCAAACCUAAGCACAACUCACAUGGGUAUUUGUGUUCACAUAUUAAAUGGAUUGGGUGUACAGUGCUCUUUCUACAUGGUUUUAUGAAAGACAGGCUAUCAGAAAAUGUGAAAUAUGUUAACGGUCUAUUUGUGUUACAGGUGUUUUCGUGAAUAUUUUUAAGACUCAUUUUGAGUGUUUUUUUAUUGUGAAUCUUAGUUGAGGGGCUUAUGUUGUACCAAGUCCAACACUCUUCCCAAAAAUAUUUACCAUUUAAUCUUACCAAUUCACUUGCAGGAUCCUGUUCGUAUUACUGAAUAUGUUAAUUACAGUUUACUACUUGUGGACUUAUUGCCAUUGAAUGUGUUGGGAAAACACCUUCCAAAGAUAGCCCAAAGAUCAAACAAAGUUGACAAUGUGAAAAUUUCCAACCACUUCAAGAACAAGAAAAUGAGGAAGAAAUGAUUUUAAUGGAAUACAUGAAGAUCAAUGUAUUUGGAUUACUUGAACAAGCCUCAAGUUAAUCCCCAAAAAAGAAAAUAACUUUGAAUUUAUACCCAAGAUGAAUAACCUUCUAUCUUGUAAAAUUCUCUCCAAGUUUUCUCUCUUCUUUCUCUCUAAUUUUCGGGUGCAAGGGUUGUCUUAAUGAAAGGGGGGAAAAUGGCAAUAUAUAUAUCCUAUCGGGACGCCUAGGCGCCAGGUUCCUGGCUGUCUUCAUAUUCGGGGCACCUAGGCGCCAUGUGAGUGGCGCCUGGGCGCCCGGCAGAACCAGCAGAACCAACCCCCUUCCUCUCUUCCUUUCUCACAAUUCUCCAUCUCGUACAUCAUUUGAUAGACCUCAAAUUUUGGACGAACACAAGAAGAAGAAGCAAGCACCGACUCGGCUGCACCAUUCAAAUCAUGAUUGCCUACGUACCCAAAACUCGAGAUCAAGCCUCCGUAGUUCACCUCCACCUUCAUAAACACUCCACCUCAUUUCAACCCCGCCCCGAAGGGCCAUGCCCUCUCGGGCAUAUCAACACGGACUAAUGUGAAGCAAGUCCAAGCAAUGUUGAAACUUGCUACCCGUCACAACUUUGGUUAACAUGUCAGCUGGGUUCUCAUUUGUGUGUACCUUCGAGAGUGAAAUAUCACCUUCCUCUAUGACAUCACGCACAAAAUGAUACCUGACGUCGAUAUGCUUGGUUCGAGCAUGAUGAACCUGAUUCUUAGCCAAGUGAAUCGCACUCUGGCUAUCACACCACAAGUCCACACAAUCCUGCCCAAUCCCCAAAUCAUCUAGAAGACCCCAUAACCACAAUGCUUCCUUCACUCCCUCUACCAUGGCCAUAUACUCGGCCUCUGUAGUAGAAAGAGCAACUGUAGCCUGUAACAUCGAUCGCCAACUAACUGGGGCACCAUGUAUGCAGAACACAUAUCCAGUAGUAGAUCGUCGUCUAUCUAGAUCACCUGCAUAAUCCGAGUCCACAAACCCACUUAUAUGACAUGCAUCUCCACCAAAACAUAAACCCGUAUCCGCGAUACCUUUUAAGUACCUCAGGAUCCACUUCACAGCUUCCCAGUGUGCCUUCCCCGGAUUCGCCAUGAAUCUACUGACCACACUCACCGCCUGUGAAAUACCUGGGCGUGUACACACCAUGGCAUACAUCAAACUGCCAACAGCACUAGCAUAAGGUACACGAUUCAUGCGUACCUUUUCUUCCGCUGUAGUAGGAGACUGUUUACCAGAGAGCCUAAAAUGUGGAGCCAAUGGAGUCACCACCGACUUUGCACCUUGCAACCCGAACCUAGCAAUAACCCGCUCAAUGUAGCCUUUCUGACUCAAGAACAUUCGCCGGUUCGUCCUCUCUCUUCUAAUCUCCAUACCUAGUAUUUUCCCAGCAAUCCCCAUAUCCUUCAUCUCAAACUCUUUACCAAGUUGAGAUUUCAACUUAUCUAUCUCCACCUUACUUUUCGAAGCGAUAAGCAUGUCAUCCACAUAUAGAAGAAGAUAGAUAUAGUUACCUCCCCGAAGUUUUCGAAUAUAAACACAACAGUCAUACUCACUUCUGGAGAAACCAUGCUUUAGCAUGAAGGAGUCAAAUCGCUUGUACCACUGCCGAAGAGAUUGCUUCAAUCCAUAUAGUGAUUUUCUCAAGCGACAUACCUGACGUUCCUUAUCCUCAACCUUGUAGCCCUCAGGUUGAUGCAUAUAGAUCUCCUCAUCCAAGUCCCCGUGCAAGAAGGGGGUUUUGACAUCGAAUUGUUCCAACUCAAGAUCAUGAUGAGCAACAAUACUCAAUAGCACCCGAAUGGAAGUGUGCUUGACCACAGGAGAAAAGAUCUCAUUGUAGUCAACUCCCUCUCUUUGUGCAAACCCCUUAGCCACUAACCUCGCUUUGAAUCUUGUACCACCGAGUUUGGUAGGAUCCUCCUUCUUUUUAUAUAACCACUUGCAACCAAUAGCUUUCUUACCUAUGGGCAAUGGGACAACCUCCCAUGUUUGGUUCUUGUGGAGUGAUUCCAUCUCUUCUUCCAUUGCCGCCGACCAACUCUCGCUAUUGUUGUUUAAAAUAGCUUCCUUGAAAGUGGUAGGCUCAUCAUCCUCCACCGAGAGUGCAUACUCAACCAAAUUUGUCUGCCCAUAGUGCCUCAAAGGUUCAUCUGACUCCAACUUUAGAACUUGCUUGUAAGUACGGCAUGGCCUAGAGGAAGCCAAAUUAUCUGCAAGCUACUGUUGUUGCUGUGCCUGUACAUUCUCUUGCUGAACCGCCUCUUGUUCAAGUGCAUCAUCACUCUCAUCUUGAGUGUCUAUUUGAUGCUCCUCUUGAACAUGCCUAGAAUCAGGUUGAUCUCUAGGUUCUAUGUCAACAACUUGAGACAUUGUAGUCUCAACACCAUCACCACCGGGCACUGUAGCUUUCAACGACGCUACCAUGGAGUUCUCAUCAAAAGUAACAUCUUUGCUGAUUAUGAACUUAGAAUCCUCUACACACCAAAGGCGAUAGCCUUUAACACCUGCCGCAUACCCCAAGAAUAUAGCCUUCUUGGCCCUCGCAUCAAGCUUUCCCUCGUUGACAUGAUAGUAGGUUGUGCAUCCGAAUGUUCUGAGUUUCUCAUAAUCUGCAUGUUCUCCUGUCAAUACCCUAUAAGGUACAUCUCCAUCAAACCUUGAAUGUGGAGACCGGUUCACUAUGUAGCAAGCAUUUACAACCGACUCUGCCCACCAUUCUCUACCCAAACCAGCAUAGGAUCGCAUACACAUCGAUUUCUCUCGAAAUGUGCAAUUCAGUCUUUCCGUGACCCCAUUCUAUUGCGGUGUAUUUCUUACUGUCCAAUGUCUCACAAUGCCUUCCUUACCACAGAACUCCUUGAAAGCACCAUCUGUAUACUCAAUACUGUUAUCAGAUCUCAGUGUCUUCAAUUUCUUUCCAGUUCUAUUUUCAACCAUUACUUUCCACUUCUUGAAAGUGUCGAAUACCUCAUUCUUAUGCUUCAAAAAAUAAAUCCAAGCAUAGCUAGAAUAAUCAUCAACAAAUGUAACAAAAUACUUGGAACCGCCUUUGGAAGUGACAGAAGCCGAACCCCAUACAUCCGUGUGCACAUAGUCAAGAAUGCCUCUACUUCUAUGUUUGCUUGGCUGGAACUGAACUCGAUGUGAUUUACCGUACACGCAAUGCUCGCAAAAAUCCAUGCAAGACUUCUUCAAGUUCUUUAGCAAACCUUUCUUGACUAGCAAAUCUAGCCCCUUUUCAGACAUAUGCCCAAGCCUCCUAUGUCAUAGCCAAGUGCACUCACAUGGGUCUCCACCACUUCCACUUGUUCCAACUGCUACAUCUUCAGUAACUGUAGUACCCUGAAGAGCAUAGAGAUUACCUUCACGGAUACCCUUCAUCACAAUCAAAGAACCACGAACAACCUUCUUUACUCCAUUCCAUGUUACAAUCUUGCAACCACCGGAGUCUAAGGCACCAACAGAGAUAAGGUUCUUUCGCAAAUCAGGAACAUGUCUAACAUCCAUCAAUAUUCUAACCACUUCAUCAUGCAUCUUGAUUCUAAUUGAACCAAGCCCCACCGUUUUACAUGAAUGCUUAUUACCCAUCAACACGGUUCCACCAUCAGUGCUUCUAUAGGUAGUAAACUACUUCCUAUUUGGACACAUAUGGUAAGAGCAUCCAGAGUCAAGAAUUCACUUACCGGAGGUCUCUUCAUCACAAGAGAUGGUGUAGCACUCAUCGCUUUCCCCUCCUUUCGAGACAUAGCUUACCUUUUGCUUGACUUGCACCUUCCCACUGUUGUUGUUCUUAUUGUUCUUCUUCCAACCCUUUUUGUUUGGACAAUUCACCUUGAAAUGUCUAAGCUCGCCACAUUUGAAACAAGACCUUUCCGCAACAGGUCUAGAACUCGAUCUAGAUUUUUCUCCCUUGCCCUUUGGUCACACAUUGCUUCUACCCCUUACAAACAAUCCUUGAGCUUGCUCCUUGUUACCAAUGGUAGACAUGUCACUAGUUGCAAUCUUUCGAAGAUCAUCCGCUAGAAGUGACGUUCUAGUGUCCUCCAUCACAAGUUUAUCACCCACAAGCAUCAAUGUUUGUACUAGGUUCUCGUAAGACUUUGGCAAUAAAAGAAGUAGUAGAAGUGAUUGAUCCUCAUCAUCUACAUCCACAUCAAUGUCUUUCAAGUCCGAUAUGAUCUUAUCAAACUUGUUGAUGUACUCCCGGAUUGGUGUACCUUCAUCCAUCUUGCAAGUAUACAAUUUGGACUUCAAAUAGAUCCGAUUUGUUAAAGUCUUCGUCAUGAAGUUCGCCUCCAACUUUGUCCACACCUCCGCCGCCGUUACCUCACUAUCAACCAAGAAAGCAACAUCUCUUUCAAGGCAAAGAAUGAUAGACGCUCGUGCCUCAAGAUCUAGCUCUUCCCAAUCCUCGUCCGACAUAUCAACGUGCUUCUUCUCCUUUCCCGCCAAUGCCUUGUGCAACUUUUGAGAAAUCAACAAAUUUUUCAUUUGCAUUCUCCAAUAUGAAAAAUCAUUCUUCCCAUUGAAUUUCUCUAUCUCAUCCUUCCCAAUCUUCACCAUUCCUCUAGUAGACAUGAUUUAUCCACUUGUUUACCGAAAAUAAACCACAAAAGUUCACUUGGGAAUUUUCACAAACACCUUGUGCACAACAAAGUUCAAGCAACUCACCACAAAAUCGAAACUUAACCACCUUGAUUUAGGAUGUAGCUCUGAUACCAAAUUGUUGGGAAAACACCUUCCAAAGAUAGUCCAAAGAUCAAACAAAGUUGAUAAUGUGAAAAUUUCCAAACAACUUCAAGAACAAGAAAAUGAGGAAGAAAUGAUUUCAAUGGAAUAUAUGAAGAUCAAUGUAUUUGGAUUACUUGAACAAGCCUCAAGUUAAACCCCAAGAAAGAAAAUAACUUUAAAUUUAUACCCAAGAUGAAUAACCUUCUAUCUUGUAAAAUUCUCUCCAAGUUUUCUCUCUUCUUUCUCUCUAAUUUUCGGGUGCAAGGGUUGUCUUAAUGAAAGGGGGGGGGGGGGGGGGGGGGGAAAAANNNNNNNNNNNNNNNNNNNNUAAUGGCAAUACAUAUAUCCUAUCUGGGCGCCUAGGCGCCAGGUUCCUGGCUGUGUUCAUAUUCGGGGCGCCUAGGCGCCAUGUGAGUGGCGCCCAGGUGCCAUGUUUCUGCCGGGGAGGCAGAAACUGGGCGCCUGGGCGCCCGGCAGAACCAGCAGAACCAGCCCCCUUCCUCUCUUCCUUUCUCACAGAAUGCUUUUCUCGAAGCAUUUUCCUUUCUGCAGAUUUCUAUGAAUUUUGUUUACCUUCUCUUGUCUUUUUAUCCCUUAUUAUUUUAACGAAUGAUUGCAUAUCUUCCUUUACAGUGCUUGGAUAAAUCUAAUCCCAAAAUCACAACAGUGGAGCAAUUCUGUUGCAUGUAUUGGUGAGACAACUGCCUUAGCAGCUAAAAAUCUGGGUUUGAGGAAUGUGUAUUUCCCAACCAAUCCUGGCCUUGAAGGGUAAUCAAAUAUCCAUUUGGAACUUUUGGGAAAUCAUGCAUAUACUUGUUUCUGAUGCAAUUGUCUCUGUCUCUAUGCUCUAUGAGUGGUAAAAAGCACUAGCAGUUUUCCGUUCUCUUUACUUUCUGAGAUGUGCGUGAUAUAGUUGAAGAGUUCACUAUUUAGGUGAUAAUUUAGAAGAAAUACGAGGAUGUGACAUAAAUUUACGAUGCAGGGAGAUAUAUUUUAUUUGUAUAUGCCAUGUCUCAGUGCAUAAUUUUGUAUAGUAAUGGCAUGUUUAGAAAAGUGGAUUGCACAAUAGUAUUAAAGGAGAAAAAGAAGUUUAAAUAUUUUUAAUUGUAGUGUUCAUUGUUCAAUCCUGUUCAUUAGUGCAUAUCAAACAUGUUUUAAGUAUCACUGGGUUUAUCCUUCUGUUGCAGGUGGGUUAAUAGCAUUUUAGAAGCCUUGCAAGUCCAGGAACAAGUUCAGAAAGUCUAGGAGUCGUAUGUUGAUGCCCUUCUAAUUUCACCUGGUAAUUUCUAUAUACUGCUUACACUAAGUUGUUUCCCAGUGAAUAAAGAUGCUAUUGAAGAUUAAAUAUAAAUCAGUAAACGUCUCCUCUCUAACAACUUUAGCUUCUAAACGGCAUGGUUCAACACAGUAUCAAAGCACACGUGGAUCAUGAGUUCAAAUAUUGGGGGAUUAUUGGAGAACACUUCUUCCUAUUUCUUUCUCUUGAUAUCCGAUGAUCAUGGUGAUGCCCGUGAAUUCUUAUUUUUACGUAGCAAGUACUUAUUAAUUUGUCUCCUGGACUGGAUCUAUUAUGUCAGAUUUUCACGUACCCGUUGAUAUGCUAUUCCCAAGGACUAUAUCCUGGUAGUUUGUCGGUUAAAUUAAUAAGUGGGGNNNNNNNNNNNNNNNNNNNNNNNNNNNNNNNNNNNNNNNNNNNNNNNNNNNNNNNNNNNNNNNNNNNNNNNNNNNNNNNNNNNNNNNNNNNNNNNNNNNNNNNNNNNNNNNNNNNNNNNNNNNNNNNNNNNNNNNNNNNNNNNNNNNNNNNNNNNNNNNNNNNNNNNNNNNNNNNNNNNNNNNNNNNNNNNNNNNNNNNNNNNNNNNNNNNNNNNNNNNNNNNNNNNNNNNNNNNNNNNNNNNNNNNNNNNNNNNNNNNNNNNNNNNNNNNNNNNNNNNNNNNNNNNNNNNNNNNNNNNNCGAAGCACAUAGACGUUACUCAUUUUAGCGAAUAUACCUCAUCAGGAAAAUGAAACCUUUAGAUACGAGUAUAUAUCUAACAUUUGAAAUCGGCUUCUAGUAGAAGUGUGUUUCUAACAUUAUCUAUCAUCGUCUAUGAUUUUUAUCAGUGUAGGUGGCAGUGAAUGUCGUGAUUUACUGUUCAAUUAUUAAUGCAUCAAAUUACAUCAUAAUUUUAUUGAACAAUGAAUCAGAAGACCUUGUUGUCAAUUACAUCGCUGAUAAUCACCACUCCAUUGACACUCCAUAAAAAACAUGAAAAUGAUUCCAAAGCUGUGGUAUGACCAUGCAAAACCAAUGCUACAUGUUUAAAACUUUUAUCCAAUGAAUAUCCAUUCUUUUUUGUUCUUUAGGGAGAAAUUGAAAUAUUCGUCAGCAAGUCUGUCUCCAACUUUUUAAAUUGAGCAUUUGUUUGAUGCCAUUGAAAAGAGUUUUUUAAUUUUUUCCCCCUUUUGGGAAAAAUGAGUUUUGAAACAGUAAUCUUUUUAAUAGAAAUUUUGAGUUUAAAAAGUAAGAAAAUUUGUUGGAUUACGUGUAAACUAUUUUAUUGUGAGAAUAUUUGGUCGAAAAUGAGUUUUAGGAAAAAGGAGUUUUUGAAGAAUGGUGGACAAACGGGGAUUGAAUGAGUUAUGUCUUAUCCUUUGAUUGAGUUAAUAAUUAUACAGUUGCCUUUGAAAAUCGUUCAAAUCUCUAUUAAAGAUGUCCUGCUUCAAAUUUAUAUGCACUAACUUCAGUUGAAAAACAAAAUUAGUAUCAUAAAGUCGCACUGUGUAAAGGCCAUGACAGAAUGCUUCAUUAGACUGUUCAAGUAAUAAUAAGGCCCAAUGUAGCAAUGUUAUAGGUUUGAAAAAGUAGAAGAGAUUGGUAUUAACUAUAUUUCAAGUCUUGGGAGGCAUAUUACUUUUGAUCGUGGGUGGUCAUUGGCAUUUUCUUGGUUUCACGGUAAAGAUUGUCGAAGACGAUCUAGAAAAUCCAACAAAAUUGUUUACUAUAUGGAGCUUCGAUGGGAAGAUGGUGUACGAAAACAUCAUUGAAUCGACUGAGGGCUUCCGCUUUAGCCACUUUGUUGGGUGGGAGGAUGUGGCAGUGUUUUAGAGCUAAAUUGAAUGACCAGACUGUCGCUAUAAAGAAAUUACAUACACCAUGUAACGUCCCAAAAUUUCAUAUAAUAGAAUUAUUUGGGGAUAACGAUUUUGAUCUAGAUGCCUUUGGUGGACUCAUUCUGUAGUUCGUAUUUAAUGGCAUGUCAUGGACUCGAGAAAAGUUAAUUCAAAUAAGUUAGGUCCAAGUUAUUGAAGUUCCGAGAAAUUGUCUUUAAUUGGUAAUUAAUGAAGUUGGUUUAUGAUUUAAUUUCUAUGACAGCAUCACGUGUAGGACAAAUUUUAAUCCUAUUUUGAUAAUUGUUAAUUGUAAUCCUAUUUUGAUUUUGAUAAAUGUUAAAAAGGUUAAUUGUAAUUGUUACGAUCCAAAUUUUUCUAGUCAAAAAUAAAAUGUUGAAUUGUCAAAGUCAAAGUCAAAAGGGAUUAAAAUGAAAUAAAUUAUUUUAAUUGGGACUCAAUUUAUUAUGAAAAUUAUUUUGAAGGUCUAAGUUGGACAAUAUAAAAUUUUAGAGAUCUACUUAUAUAUUGCUAGAAGUUUAGAAUUUAAUGUUCUAUUAUAGAAAUGUUGGAGGACCUCCUUUGCAAUUUUGAGUUUGUAGCUACUUGAUAUAUUACAAUAAACCCAUUUCAAUUAUAAUUCAACACACACACACAAAUAAUAGGCAAAAACGGGAGAGCGCUGAGAGAGAAACCGAGAAGAAAGAGGAAGAAAAAGAGAAAGAAAGUGAGAAAAAGAAGAAAAGAAAGAAAGAAAGGAGAAGAAGAAGGGAAAGAGGUAGUUCAAGGUCUAUCUUCAUUUUUCCUUCUCUUUAUUUUCUUCAAGAGGUAGAUAAAUUUUAUGUUAAGUUGCUAGGGUUUAAUUUGUGGCUAAAAUUUCAUAUUUAUGCAAGAUGAGUACAAAUUGGAGUUCAAGUUUGUUGAUUAUUUAAUUUUCAAUUUCAUUAAGGUAAAAAUACCAAUUUUGGCAAAUCCUAGAUUUUUAUUUGGGAUUCUUAAUUAUGAAAUGUUAGUGGGAAUAAUUAUAUUGAUGGAAAACUCUCAUCAAACCAUGAAUUUGAGAAACAAGAUAAAAAUAAAAAUAGGUGGAAUCAUUGUUACUAGUUUUCUUUAGAUUGGAAGGUAUAAUUAUUUUUAUGGGUGGGAUGAAGGUAAAUUUGGAUGUAGUAUAUAUUUGUGAAGGUAUUAGAAAGUAGAAUUAGCGCUUAUUGAUUAACGGAAAAUUUGGAAAAAUCAUUCAAAGUAUCGAGAAGUCAAGUUUUAGUAUUCAACUAUUAAUAUUAAGAUAUACUUAGUAUGAGAUUUGUUAAAUUAGUUAUUUUACAUCGUAUUUCAGGUAGUGACGUGAAAGCUGGGCAAGACUGGUAAAUUUAACAAGAUUGCAAUACAUGGAUAUGUGAGUGGAGAACCUACUUUUCCAAUUAAAAAAAAAGGGGGGAAUUUCCUUUUUAAUUUUAUUUUAUAGAAGUAUAUUAAUUACCUGAAAUGUCUUAUUUUCAAGAAAUUAGUAAAUGAGCAAGAUUGUUUUGAAAUUUUCAAAAAAUAAUUGAUGUGAUUAUCUUACUCUAGUGCACUGAGGGGAUACGGCCGUGUACUAGAGUCAUGUAUUUAACUCUUAUACAUUGAGGGGUUGCAACCGUGUGUAAGGAUAACUCUUAUCCACUGAUGGGCUACGGCCGUGUGUAAGGGUACCUAUUAUACAUUGAGGGGCUACAAUCGUGUGUAAGGGUAACUCUUAUCUACUGAGGGGCUACGGCCGUGUGUAAGGAUACCUAUUAUAUACUGAGGGACUACAGUCGUGUAUAAGGAUGAUCAUGUUGUUUCCAUCUUAUACACUGAGGGGCUACGGUCGUGUACAGAGUGUUGAUCAGACGGUUUAUAUGCGUCUGACUUUGUAGCUUUUAGAUCAUCAGUAGAUGUUUACAUGGGGUAUAUUUUGAUGUGAAUUUUAUGUAUAUAGUGGUUUAUUAGCCUUCAACUUAUAUUUCCCCGUUUGCUAUUCAGCUUAUGGAAUUCAGAUUAUAGAAUUCAAUUCGUUCAAUUUUCAGAGUAAAGCUUCCAAUUUAUAGUAUUGAGCAACAAUAUUUCACAGAUUUUCAUAGAUUUCAGAUUAUUUAUAUUCACUAUAUUUUACAAUUAUUGAACUAGAAUGAAGAAUAAAGAAUUUUAUCAUCCAAUUAUGUCAGUUUUAAAAGUGUUACUAAAUUUUUGAAUUUCUCAAAGUUUUAGUAAAGCAAGAAUUAUACAUAUAUGAAAAAGUAUACUUAUUUUCAAUUUAUUCACUCACUGAGUUACAAACUCCAAUUUUUUUACCAUUCUCUUAGCAGAUAGCAUCUAUGUUGAGUAGCUUUGGAGCCUGUCGAUCCACCGAGAGUGCCAGACACACACAUUGUCAUUAGAUGUAUGAUUCAUUUCGUCAAUUUAUAUAGUUCAAAUUUCCUUUAGGAUACAUGUAUGUUUUGACAGAAUCGUUAAUUGGUAAUUUAUAGAUCCAUACCAUGGGCUCACUGCAUAUUUAAUAUUCUCAUUGCUUCUGGGGUCUUUUGUUUAUAAAGCAUGGUAAAUGUUUUGAAUUGUUUGUAUUUUAAAGGACUAGCGUGUUAUAUUUUAAAUUAUCUGUACAGUUUUGAUAAAUUUGAUAUUUGUUUAGGUGAUUUAGUCCAUAUUUUAAAGGAAAUUCUGUCAAAAUUUUUACACAUAUAUGUCAUAGUCAAAGUAGGUCAAAUCUGCUUUGGUGGUGCGUCCAACACUUAGUUGGUAUCUACCAUCGGCUCACAACACAUGUCAGGUCUAUUAGGGUGAUUCGGGACGGGUUGUGUCAGUAAUCCCAACUUAAUCCUUUUUACAGCAAAUGUACGAGAAAAUCAUCAGUGGAGUACAAUCCAAAUUCAACUUUUUGAAACUAUGUUUAAUUAAAAUAUUUAAAACACUUAUCAAGUUGGUAGCCACUUGUGUGCAGUGCAUUAGGAGUUAAUCUUUUUAUUUUUGGAUUAGAAGGAAAACUAAUUUUAAUCAUAAUUUUAUUAGAUUUUCAUUGAUUACUGGUUUAGUUCAAUUAAACAAGUAGAAUCCUACUUUCAAAAAGAAAUCUCAAAUCUCACCGAUUUAUACCCCCACAUUGAAGCAAAUCUGCAUUCGUAAGUUAUUACUUUCAAAGCAUACAUGCACCCAUUUGGUCACAGAAGCAGAGAGUUUAAGAAAGUUUUGAAAUGUACAAUCAUAUUUUUCUUUUCGAAAUUUUGUUUGAUACGAGGGAAGAUACAUAAAGCAUAAGUGGUUCGUCGAUACAUGCAUGAAUUGUUGGUUGACCUUUGGGUUCGACUUAAUAAAACAUGAACUUUUUUGGGUUCUUUAAAACGAAAUAUGAAAUAUCUCAAGAAUUCGAAAUGAGUACGUGAUGAGUGUCUCAUUUUAUCACCGAUAUACUCCAAAUAAAUUGUGGUAUGAGAUGUUUAUUUUAUUGUUAUAUAAUUGUAUAUGAAAACUGCAUGUAUCUUAUUAGGUACUAUCAAAUACUCAUUCUUAAAAUAAUUUACAAGUUAGUUGAGAUCGAUUGAAACUGUGGCAGAAUAGUGAUGUGGACUACCAAGAAGAUUUGAAGAACUAAAAACAUUAAAUUUUCGAUCUUUCAAUUGAUUAUUUAGUUUUAAAUUGUUCAAAAAUAAGUUUGUUCAAUAGUUAGGUAGUUAUAUCUAUUUUUUUAAGGAAAUACAAGUUACAUGCUUUAAAUUGAUAUUUAUUAUUGAAAAUAAAGAGAUUAAUUUUAUUAUUAUCGUUUUCCACAAUAUCGUGAAGGAAAUUGAAUUUUAGUAUCAUUCUAAGGUUUAUGAAUAUUGGGGUGUUAUAAUUUGAUAAUAAAGCACAUGUUUAUCUUUCUGUAUUCUUUUUAACAAAAUAGUUAUUUGUUUCAAAUAAAUGAAUUUUAAUAGGAAUUUACCAAUUAAAAAAUUUGUAUUUUAAGAGUUCCCACUUAUUAUUUGAGUUUUCUUGAUUUACGUAUUUGUAAAAUUGAAUGGUUUAGUCAAAACGACCUAAAUUGUUUAAAGAGAGUUUGAGAUUUAAGUGGUUCACUUAUAAUCUUCCUCCUCACCUGAAAGCCUUUUAGUUGCACGCUAUUCAAAUCAUAAAAAUGAAAAAUAACAUUUCAAACCAUUCCAUAUUUAAGAAAAUUUUAUUUUUAACAAAUUCUAUUUCAAGAGAAUUCCUUUUUAGGAAAUUUUUAUAUUGAAAAAAAAUAAAAAAAUAAAAGUAUUGUCAUAGGAUUUUGCCACUUUGACAGAAAAAUUGUAACAGAUGCGAUGAUAUAAUCCCAGUUGGAAAUAGAUGAUUUGAUGGGGAUGUUUAUUGUGUUUGAAAUUGUCCAAUAAUGGGAUGUCAUGUGAUAUUAUAUCAAAAAUUAUGUCAACUAUUAUGUUCCUGUAGCAUGAUUGAUUUUCAUAAGAAUUAUGAGUUUAAGGAGAAUAUUUUUGUAAAGUUUUUGUAAUGUCCCCAAAUUUUCAUAGAUUAGAAUUUAAUUUAUGUGUGCUAUAUUUUAAUAUUUUGGAAGUUUAGUGACUAAAGUGUAUAUAACGUAAAAUUUAAUCUUUUUGGGCUUAAAAUGUAAAUAUUGGCGGGUUAAUGAUUAAUAUAUGAAUAUUGGGCUUGUUGGAUAGAUCGUAAUUAAAGACACAGUUUAGGCUCGAGAAAAACUUUAUUUGGAUUAGUCGAGCCCAAGUUAUCGAAGCCAGAAGAUAUAACAUUAAAAUAUUAUUUUUAUUACUUUUGUUUUUGGAAGAAUUUACGUGGAGAGAGAGAUGAAAGUUGUUGAGAUAUUUUAUUGUUUUAUUAUUAAUAAUAAUAUUUUAUUAAGUGUUUUGAAUUGGGAGGUCUCACGUGAAGUACUAGGAUUCUAAGUAGGGGUAGGUAAGUGAUAAUCGAUUUGUUUAUUAAAUGAAAUAAAGUAGAGAGAGAGAGAGAGAAUUAUGGGGAGCCCCAACCACGUGAGUGAUUGUUGAGAAACCAAAUGGAUGUGUAGGGUAAUGUUUGGCUGUUGGGUGAUUGGUUAGUUGACAGUACAUGAUCUUAUAUUGAUAAGGUUUGGGUCUCCGAUUUUUUUCAAAAACAGUUUUUUUUUACUUUAUCUAAAUAUCCACUCUCCCACAUGUUUUCCUAUGAAUACUUCUACAUAUGUAUAUGGAAUGAACUGCACGAGAAUAAGGACACAAAAAAUAUAUUGGUACGUGCACACAUUGUCAAUAGAGGCAGAAAAAUAUAGAAGAAAAGAACGUGAUUUUAUUAUUUCUCUUCCGGAAAUUAAAUCAAGGUAGGAUUACGAGGUGCAAGUGGGUUGUCCCAUUUAAAUUAUUUCUUCAUAUUUGAUAAAUAUUAUACUUAUGAAAGUUAUGAUAUGUAUAAUGUAAUUAUGAUAUGUAUGUUAUGGUCAUCCGGUACCAAAGAUAUGAUACGAUAUGAACUCUUACCGAUUCUAAAGAUAUGAUAUGACGGUAUGAUAUUUUGACGCGUGAUUUAAUAUUUUAAUUGGGAUUGCACAAUUUCUCGUACCCUACUGAGUAUUCCCAUAUACUCACCAUUUUCCUACUCCUCACAGGUUAGACCGGGUCAUGUUGGAGCGUGGUGGUUCGAAGGUGUGGUUGUGUCUUGUUUCACCAAAUAAAGAUCUAAGUUAGCACGUAAUGUUUAUUUAUUUUCAGUUUAUUUCAAUAAACAUUUAUUUAUUUACGAAUAAAUUCUCGUUUAUGUUAGUUGCAGAUGAAUAUACGUAUUUUAUGAUUUUUAAAUAGAAGUUUGAACUAAAUGUUAUUUUCCUUCCUAUCGAUUUGCAAAUCUGUUCUUUCAUAUACGUUGGGAAGAAAGAAUUUAAUAGUUUGCAUGCCUAUAUUUGUACUUUACUUUGAUUUUCCCCAAAUUGAUGGAAAUUUAGGGUCAACACAAUGAUUCCCUGCCACCCCACACCUUCAUUUGUGUCCCAUCACAUCCAUAGCAUUAAUUAUGAUAUGAAUUUGAUAGUUUUUGCUUGUACGUGUUAGUCAUGAAUCAAUGUCUUGUUCGUAGUUUUUUUUUUGACAUAAAUGAAUUCUGUUUUGGAUUUUUUUUGUUUAAUUGCAGUAAAUAAACAUUCCGUGAGUUAUUUAAUUCCAUCCGUUGCCUUUGACUUAAUUAAGUAACUAAUUGAAAUUAUGCACUAAUUAGGGGGAAAUAUUGUGUUAUGAACCACUGUAUUAAUUAUGCCAGGAGUUAGCAAAUUCAUGUUUGUCUGCCACACCCGUGUCAAAUUCGUUUUAAUUCAUAAGUCUUAGAUAUAAAUUUAUUGGAUCUCCCGAAAUACAUAGGAAUAAGAUGUUAUUUUAAUUUGACUUGAGUGUUCAACACGUGAAGAUGAUUGAUAAUUGGAGAUUCAAUGAAAGCAAUAUUUUUUUAGAAUUCAUUAUAUAUAUAUAUAUAUAUAUAUAUAUAUCCAUGUGUUUUAUUUAUUUUAUAGAUGGAACUAGAAAGAUUUUCAUGUUGGAUGUUUAUUAUUUUAAUUAUUUAUGGAAUGAAAGGUUUGGUAACGAUUUCUAAAUCUAUAUAAGAUUUGGGUCGUUACAGUUUGGUAUCAGAGCAUAGGUUUAAAUUCCUGUAGACUCACAUGUAUUCUCAUAAUUCGGUUUUAAAAAAAAAAAAAAAUUAUUGUGAACAGUGACCGGACCGUUCACGUGAACAGUACUCGGUACUGUUCACUGUUCACGUGAAUAGUAUUGUACUGUUCACGUGAACAGUGUAGGAUAAAAAAAUAAAAAUAAAUAAAAAUUGUGUGAUGUUAUAUAUAUAUUGAAUUUUCUUUUUUGUUACAUGUUAUAAAAGGCUUAUUUGCUUAUUUAUUUUCCUAGAUAAUAUUUGUUUAAGGUUAAUAUUUAUUUAUUUAUUUAUGAAUUUAACGAUAAUAUUAAAUUAAAAGUUAUGAAAUAUGUGAAUGAUCUUUGGCACUCAACGACCACCAAUCGACCACCCUCCAACGACUCUAAGGUAUGUAAAAAGGGUAAGAAGAUAAAUGUACUUAAAGCUUUUUGCGAGAUUUAAAUGCUUUAAAUUUCCUAUCUUUAAAUGUUAAGACAUCCACGUUUAUUUUUCCCACUAAAUUAUGAUAUAUAUUGUCAUAGAUAAUUAUAACUUAUUAGACUUAGUACUAAGUGUGAUUGGUGACUUCAUAUUAAAUUUUAGGAAAUGGCACCACCUACUCAUACGAAUUUGAUGCGCGAUUUACUACGAGCGGUACAAGAGUUGAGCAGGCAAAAUCAAGCACCUCCACCACAAAAUGCACCGCCACAGCAGAAUGCACCGCAUUUUGCCCCUGGAGCUAUCUCAGUGGUUGAGCAGUUUCGUAGGUACAAGCCUUCCACUUUUGACGGUAAUUCUGAAUCACUGGUUGUCGAAGAGUGGAUAAGAGGCCUGGAGCGCAUAUUUCGACACAUUGCUUGUACGGAUGCACAGAAAGUAUUAUGUGCAGAAUUUAUGUUGAUUGGAGCAGCUGGUCACUGGUAGGAAUCUGUUUCACGUACAAGGACGGAAGAGCAGCACCGUAAUCUGACUUGGGAGCAGUUUAAAGAUGAAGUGAUGGCAAAAUAUUUCCCACAGGCUUUGAGAGAUUUCAAGGAAUUAGAAUUUUUGCAGCUCAGACAAGGGAGUAUGUCACUUACUGAUUAUGAAAGACAGUUUGAGCAGCUCUCAAGAUAUGCCCCGCACUUGGUGGAUACAGAAGUUAAGAAGAUUAGGAGGUUUGAGAAUGGACUGCGCCCUGAGAUCGGCAUGAUCAUUAUGUCCCAUCGUUUCACCUCAUAUCGUGAAAUGUUAGAGAGGGCUCAUGCUAUUUCCUAUCAGAGGACUACCUUUGAACAGUAUGCCCAGCAAAGCAAGGGGUCAUCGGGAAAAAGAAAGUGGAAUGAUCCAAACAAGGACAGACGUAAUUGGUAGAGUAAAAGGCCAAACACAGGAGUUCGUAUUGGGGGAGCGAGUGAGAAUAUUACACCGUGUCCUAAGUGUAAUAAACUCCACAGGGGUGAAUGCUUACUCGGGAAGAACAUGUGUUUCCGAUGUGGUAAGCCAGGGCACAUUGCUCUCAACUGUACAGAGCCACCAAAAAGGAAGGAUGAUGAUCAGGACAAGAACAAGAAAGGAAAGGCCCGAGUUUUCACACUAAAUCAGCAUGAGGCGGAGCAGGAUCCGAAUGUGAUAGCGGGUACUAAAUUAUUAAUAUUUUAACGCACUUGCUUAUGUUCUUUUCACAUAGGACUACACAUUGUUCCAUCUCCGUCCCUUAAAUGUUAUUCUAACACUAUAAAUUAUAAAAACAUGUAUUCUGUUAUUAUCUGAUGUGCCUGCUUAUGUACUUUUUGAUUCUGGGGCUACCAAUUCUUUUAUCUCUGCAUCCUUCGUCGUUAAGUCCAACUUUGCAUGUGUAAGAACGAAUAAUGAACUAGAGGUUAGCAUCCCUUCAGGAAGAACUCUUUGUACAAAUUAGAUGACUAAGGACAUAAAAUUAGAGAUUGACGGAAAAAUAUUAGAGGCAGACUUGUACCUUUUGGAGAUGAAAGAUUUCGAUGUUAUUUUAGGCAUGGAUUGGUUGGGAAUUAAUCAUGCAACCAUUCGAUGUUACGAGAAAGAAGUAUUGUUUCAUAGACCAGGAGAGGAAGAGUUUCGUUUCUUGGGAGCAAAGUUCAAGUCUUUACCGCUCCUAAUAUCAGCUAUGCAAGCAGAAAAGAUGUGAAGGAAGGAGUCAUGCCAGGGAUUCUUAGUUAACAUCAAUAGUUCUCAACAUACAGAAAUGACCGUUAAUGAUAUUAACAUCGUCCGAGACUUUGCAGAUGUAUUCCCAGAAGAUUUGCCAGGCAUUCCACCAGAUAGACAAAUGGAAUUUACAAUUGAUUUAGUUCCUGGAACGGCACCAAUAUCUAAGGCCCCAUACCGAAUGGCACCGAAAGAACUACAAGAAUUGAAGUUGCAAUUAGAGGAGUUACUGGAGAAAGGCUUCAUACGACCAAGUGUAUCUCCUUGGGGAGCACCUGUACUUUUUGUCAAGAAGAAGGAUGGGAGUAUGAAGAUGUAUAUUGACUAUCGGGAAUUGUACCAUCUGACCAUAAAAAAUAAGUACCCACUGCCAAGAAUAGAAGAUUUGUUUGACCAGUUAAUGGGUGCUGCAGUAUUUUCAAAGAUCGACUUGAGGUCAGGGUAUCACCAGCUAAAAAUCAGGGCAAGCGAUAUACCGAAAACUGCUUUCAGGACUCGUUAUGGGCAUUAUGAAUUCACUGUCAUGCCUUUUGGUUUGACCAAUGCUCCAGCUGUAUUUAUAGAUCUCAUGAAUAGAGUAUUCCAUCAGCAUUUAGAUCAGUUCGUCAUAGUGUUUAUUGACGACAUACUUGUGUACUCAAAAGACAAGAAGCAACAUAAGGAACAACUUCGAAUUGUACUUGAAACUUUGAGGAAUGAGAAAUUAUAUGCCAAAUUCAAAAAGUGUGAAUUUUGGCUUGACCGUGUAGUUUUUUAGGUCACGUUGUUACCACCCAAGGAAUCGAAGUAGACCCCGCUAAAGUGAAAGCAGUAACAAAUUGGCUAAGGCCGAGCGAUGUGGGUGAAGUCCGCAGUUUCUUGGGAUUGGCUGGUUAUUAUAGAAGAUUCAUUGAAGGCUUCUCAAAGAUAGCAGGGCCAAUGACUCAAUUGACAAGAAAGGGUAUAAAGUUUCGGUGGACAGAAAAAUGUGAAAAAUGCUUUGAAGAACUCAAGUAGAGACUAGUGUCAGCUCCUGUAUUGACGAUACCUGAAGGUUCAGAGGGAUUUGUGAUUUACAGCGAUGCCUCCAAGCAGGGCUUGGGUUGUGUACUGAUGUGGCAUGGAAAAGUGGUUGCUUAUGCCUCGAGACAGUUGAAACAGUAUGAACAAAACUAUCCAAUGCAUGACUUGGAGCUUGCAGCAGUUGUUCACGCCUUAAAGAUAUGGCGUCAUUAUCUUUAUGGUGGGAAGUGUGAAAUUUAUACGGACCACAAGAGUCUCAAAUACUUUUUCACACAGAAGGAACUAAACAUGAGACAGAGGAGAUGGUUGGAGUUAGUGAAGGAUUAUGACUGCACAAUUCAUUACCAUCCGGGUAAGACUAAUGUAGUUGCAGAUGCCCUAAGCAGAAAGACAGGAACACAGUUAGCAGUUUUACCCACAGUACAGGAACACUUGAUAAGGGAGUUUGAUAAAUUGAGAUUGGAAGUUAUCACGCCGCCAACUCAGAUUUCAGGGAGAAUAAGAGCAUUCAUGAUUCAACCUACACUUCGAGAUCGAAUUAAGGAGGCACAGGAUAAAGAUCCAUUUUUAUAGAAGAUAAAGGCCAAGAUUGGUACAGAUAAACAUAUAGGGUUUGCAGUAUCUGCAGAUAAUGCGCUAACUUUCAAAGGAAGACUGUGUGUACCUAAGGAUGAAAGUAUAAGAAAUGAGAUAUUAGAAGAGGCUCAUUCAACCCCUUAUUCUGCUCAUCCAGGUGGUACGAAAAUGUACCGAGAUCUCCGGGAUGUAUUUUGGUGGAGAAAUAUGAAGAGAGGAAUUGGUCUGUUCGUGGAGAGAUGUAUUAUCUGUCAACAGGUUAGGGCAGAACAUCAAAGGCCAUCAGGAUUACUGAAAUCGUUGGAUAUUCCAGAAUGGAAAUGGGAACACAUAACGAUGGACUUUGUGGUAGGCCUCCCGAGAUCAGCAAAAGGUCACAAUGCUAUCUGGGUAGUGGUGGAUCGUCUGACGAAGUCAGCCCAUUUUCUUCCAAUUAAAGUAAACUUUAAUUUGGAACAGCUGGUACACUUAUACAUCAGGGAGAUAGUCAGGUUGCAUGGAGUCCCAGUCACCAUUGUUUCAGAUAGAGACCCGAGGUUCACAUCUAAAUUUUGGAAAAGUUUGCAGACAGCCAUGGGAACAAAACUGAAGUUUACCACAACUUAUCAUCCUCAGACGGAUGGACAAUCAGAAAGAACCAUCCAAACUUUGGAAGAUAUGCUAAGGGCAUGUGUUUUGGAUCUUGGAGGUAGUUGGGAGACACACCUGCCGUUAGUGGAGUUUGCUUACAACAAUAGUUUUCAGGCCACUAUAGGAAUGGCCCCGUAUGAAGCUCUUUAUGGUAGAAAGUGCAGAUCCCCUAUCCAUUGGGAUGAAGUCGGGGAAAACAGAAUUUUGGGUCCAGAAAUCAUUGAACGAACAGUUGAGGCAGUGGAUAAUAUUAGAGCAAGAAUAAAGGCCGCACAAGAUCGACAGAAAAGUUAUGCUGACAGUAGAAGAAAGGAUUUAAAAUUUCAAAGAGGUGACAAAGUCUUUCUAAAGGUAGCACCAAUGAAAGGUGUAUUGAGAUUUGGAAAGAAAGGAAAGUUGAGGCCGCGGUUCGUCGGACCUUUCGAAAUUCUUGAAAGGAUUGGUAGUUUGGCUUACAGACUUGCCUUGCCACCUGAACUAACAGCAGUGCAUAAUGUGUUCCAUGUUUCGAUGCUCAGAAAAUAUGUUCAUGAUCCCAAUCAUGUAGUAAGCUAUCAGACGUUGGAUGUACCAAAAGAUCUAUCAUAUGAAGAAAUUCCGACGGUAAUUUUGGAAAGAAAGGUACAUCAACUUAGGAAGAAAGGAGUUCCACUGGUCAAGGUGCAAUAGCGAAAUCAUGGACGAGAGGAAUCAACUUGGGAGAAAGAAGAAGAGCUUAGAACCAAGUAUCCAGAACUUUUCAAUUAACCAAGGUAAAUUUUCGAGGACUUAAAUAUUUAAGGAGGGGAGAUUGUAAUGUCCCCAAAUUUUCAUAGAUUAGAAUUUAAUUUAUGUGUGCUAUAUUUUAAUAUUUUGGAAGUUUAGUGACUAAAGUGUAUAUAAAGUAAAAUUUAAUCUUUUUGGGCUUAAAAUGUAAAUAUUGGCAGGUUAAUGAUUAAUAUAUGGAUAUUGGGCUCGUUGGAUAGAUCGUAAUUAAAGACGCAGUUUAGGCUCGAGAAAAAAUUUAUUUGGAUUAGUCGAGCGCAAGUUAUCGAAUCCGGAAGAUAUAACAUUAAAAUAUUAUUUUUAUUACUUUUGUUUUUGGAAGAAUUUACGUGGAGAGAGAGAUGAAAGUUGUUGAGAUAUUUUAUUGUUUUAUUAAUAAUAAUAAUAUUUUAUUAAGUGUUUUGAAUUGGGAGGUCUCACGUGAAGUACUAGGAUUCUAAGUAGGUGGUAGGUAAGUGAUAAUUGAUUUGUUUAUUAAAUGAAAUAAAGUAGAGAGAGAGAGAGAGAAUUAUGGGGAGCCCCAACCACGUGAGUGGUUGUUUGGAAACCAAAUGGACGUGUAGGGUAAUGUUUGGCUGUUGGGUGAUUGGUUAGUUGACAGUACAUGAUCCUAUAUUGAUAAGGUUUGGGUCUCCUAUUUUGUUUCAAAAACAGUUUUUUUUUUUUACUUUAUCUAAAUAUCCACUCUCCCACACGUUUUCCUAUGAAUACUACUGCAUAUGUAUAUGGAAUGAACUGCACGAGAAUAAGGACACAAAAAAUAUAUUGGUACGCGCACACAGUGUCAAUAGAGGCAGAAAAAUAUAGAAGAAAAGAACGUGAUUUUAUUAUUUGACUUCCGGAAAUUAAAUCAAGGUAGGAUUACGAGGUGCAAGUGGGUUGUCCCAUUUAAAUUAUUUUCUUCAUGUUUGAUAAAUAUUAUACUUAUGAAAGUUAUGAUAUGUAUAAUGUAAUUAUGAUAUAUAUGUUAUGGCCAUCCGGUACCAAAGAUAUAAUAUGAUAUGAGCUCUUAUCGGUUUUAAAGAUAUGAUAUGACGGUAUGAUAUUUUGACGCGUGAUUUAAUAUUUUAAUUGGGAUUGCACAAUUUCUCGUACCCUACUGAGUAUUCUCAUAUACUCACCAUUUUCCUAUUCCUCACAGGUUAGAUUGGGUCGUGUUGGAGCGUGGUGGUUCGAAGGUGUGGUUGUGUCUUGUUUCGCCAAAUAAAAAUCUAAGUUAGCACGUAAUGUUUAUUUAUUUUCAAUUUAUUUCAAUAAACAUUUAUUUAUUUACGAAUAAAUUCUCGUUCUUGUUAGUUGCAGAUGAAUAUACGUAUUUUAUGAUUUUCAAAUAGAAGUUUGAACUAAAUGUUAUUUUCCUUCCUAUCGAUUUGCAAAUCUGUACUUUCGUAUACGUUGGGAAGAAAGAAUUUAAUAGUUUGCAUGCCUAUGUUUGUACUUUACUUUGAUUUUCCCCAAAUUGAUGGAAAUUUAAGGUCAACACAAUGAUUCCCUGCCACCCCCACCCCCUCAUUUGUGUCCCAUCACAUCCAUAGCAUUAAUUAUGAUAUGAAUUUGAUAGUUUUUGCUUGUACGUGUUAGUCAUGAAUCAAUGUCUUGUUCGUAGCAUUUUUUUUGACAUAAAUGAAUUUUGUUUUGGAUUUUUUUUCUUUAAUUGCAGUAAAUAAACAUUCUGUGGGUUAUUUAAUUCCAUCCGUUGCCUUUGACUUAAUUAAGUAACUAAUUGAAAUUAUGCACUAAUUAGGGGGAAAUAUUGUGUUAUGAACCACUGUAUUAAUUAUGCCAGGAGUUAGAAAAUUCAUGUUUGUCUGCCACACCCGUGUCAAAUUCGUUUUAAUUCAUAAGUCUUAGAUAUAAAUUUAUUGGAUCUCCCGAAAUACAUAGGAAUAAGAUGUUAUUUUAAUUUGACUUGAGUGUUCAACACGUGAAGAUGAUCGAUAAUUGGAGAUUCAAUGAAAGCAAUAUUUUUUUAGAAUUCAUUAUACAUGAUUAAAUACAUAUAUAUCUAAUAAUUUGUUUUUAAGUUCUUCCAUGCGUUUUAUUUAUUUUAUAGGUGGAACUAGAAAGAUUUUCAUGUUGGAUGUUUAUUAUUUUAAUUAUUUAUGGAAUGAAAGGUUUGGUAACGAUUUCUAAAUCUAUAUAAGAUUUGGGUCGUUACAGUUUUAACCAGGUAAUAACAUGAAAAAUCCUUGGGGACGUUCACUGUUUGACCACUCUCCAAUUGAUUCUAGGUAUGAAUUGAAUGUUAUUCUUUUAUCAUAAUUACGAGUCAUCUUGCUUCAUGUUAUGAAAUGUAUAAGCAUGUUUACCUCUCGUAGUUUAUUAGUUGAACUAUUUUACAUUUUAUAUGAAUAUUGUUUAUGUUGGGAAUCUACUUAUACAUGCACAGUGGAAAAUUAAAAUUAUUUUGAUUCCCACCGAGAAUCCCUUUGUGUUUAGAUAGAAAUCGUGAUAAGAUUGUACCUUUUCAAAUCUGAAAAUUUCUUUACUAUUAUUUUCGUUCCAACAAUCUUGAUUCGCCACCUACAGCUGUCCAAUUGUCCAGCCUCCAACGGUGAUCCACACAAAGAAUAAGAUUGCAGCUAAUAGGGUUUUCUCUCUUGUGCCAGCAAGAAUAAUGAAAAUCAUAUAGACCUCAAACCCUAACCAUGUAUUUAUAUACACCCAAAUGGGCUCGGCCCGAUCCGGUCCAAUAUUUAAUUAAUCCAUUUAAUUAAACCCGAUCUGUGAAUUAAUUAAUCCAAUUUAUUAAUUUAUACAAUGAUGUUAAAUUAACUAAUUGACAAUUUUCAAUCUUCCAAUUCUUUUUUGUGUGUGACCCAUUAGGUUCCCGACCACGAUGUCUAACGACGUGAAAUAUUAUUUUGAUCUAAUCAAAAUUGAUAAAUUAAAACACUCUUUUAAUUUAUCGUCAAUUCACACUCGCCGUCCCUGAUUGACAUCUAGCAAUGUGUCAGGGCAAUACAUGUGACGAAAAAUGUCACGUGGUAUGACAAAAUCAAAUUCGUUCGUUUACCGUGAAACUAUAAUCCCUUCGUCAAUAUGAUCCGAUCAAUUACGAGAUAUGGAAGUGUGUCAAUCUCGAUCAUCGAUCAUAUCUUUCACUCCACUAUUAAGUCAAUAUAAGUCGAAAACUCAUUUUCGACUUAUGAAUACACCUUGGCCAAGGAUUUCAUCAUCGACUUAAUUGAAUGAAACACAGAUCAUAAUCUCCUACAAUCUAAGAGUGACAAAUCCUUUAUUGAUUAAUCACAACCUUCAUACGAUUCUUGACGUACCCGAACGAUAUCGUAUUAGCGGCCUUUUUCAGAGCAACAUCCAACACUGUCAAAGUAUGACUAUCCUCAUGUAAGGUACCAUGACGACAUCAAGUCAAAGGACCAAUUCCAUUACCGAACGUUAGAGAUUAACCACUGACACUUAGAUAGUUAUCCAUGUGGAAUCUCUUGGCGGGUCUCCAAAGUUUUGUUCUAUAACAAAACAUCCACGUGUUCAUUUAAGUGUCACCACACUUUAGCUUGCGAGAUCAGCUACUUACUUUACAAGUAAGAAAUGUCACACGUAAUGAUCUAUCCAUAAUAACGAUAUCCGUAUCUCGUUAUUACUUACGACCACGGAUGAUUUAAGAUUCAAUCAGAUGUAAUUUAUAUCUCACAAUCACAACUCCUUGAUUAACAAAUUACGAAUAUUUGAAUCUACGGACUCUAUUAUUUAUUUAAUUGCCUAUUAAUUAAAUAAUAGAUCUGUCAUUAAAUUGCAUUAAUUAUAUAUCAAAAGUAUUUAUGUCCAAAGUUGAUUGGACUUAGGGCAUAAUACUUACAGUUUAUUCGAGCAUAGAAUGAAAUAAAUUGUCAUUGAAAAAUUAAGCAUAAUUAAAUUUAUACAUUUCACACAUGGUUAAGACUAGACAAAUAUAGUUGAACGAAUAGAAUGGCUAGAAAGAAUAUGAUUUACACAAGUACCUUAGGACCUAUGAUUGUAGCUAUUUGAGAGUAUGAGUACUUUGUGUCAAAUAUGGCCAUGACAAGUUAAAUGCAAAAUUUAAUACAAGGAAUUGAGAAUGGACCAAGAAAAAUCGGAAGGAAUAUUUAAUUAUUUUCAUUCAACCGAUGUAGUAGAGGUUUGCAAUUCAUUGAGUUUCAUUCAAUCAAUGUAGAAGAGAGAUUGUUGUGUUUAAUAUUUCUAAGACAAAAUUUUGUUUUGUAUAAAGAAAAUUUCGAAACAACAAAAUCAAGUUACAAUCAUCAGUGAUCUGUUAAGAGUUGUAUAGGAUCUUGAUAGACAAUAAGCACAGACUGACCUUCAAAUUGCAUCGAUCAAUGCUAACAACACAACUCAAUUGUUGAACAGUUCCACCGUUAUGAGCCCUCAGUUUCCGAUGGCAAAGUAGACUCACUGGCAACUGAAGAAUGGAUAAUCUUCAACAUCUCUCAUCCAAUGAUGCUCUGAAAGUAUCAUGUAAAGUGUUCACGUUGGUUGAUGUAGUGGGCUAUUGGUUGGAAUUUGGCUCAAGCACUAGAACUAAGGCAUGCAACAAGUUUUGACUAGGAUACAAUUCAAAGAAGUGAUAGAAAAAUACUUUCUACAAGCCCUAAAAGAUCAAAAGGAGGUAGAGUUUCUAAAACUUAACAAGGAAAAGUGAAGCUUGAGGAAUAUGAGAGAAAGUUCGAAUAGCUCUCUAGGCACGCACUGCACCUGGUAGAUACCAAGGCAAAAAGCGAGGAUGUUCGAACUAGGAUUGCAUCCAAAGAUUGGUAGAAUAAUGACCUCCCACCAAUUAACCACAUACAAUUAGGUUUUGCAAACUGCUCAAGCAAUCUCAAAUAAAUUAGAGAUUGACCAAACUUUUCAACAAGAGUUUUGAAGAAAGUGAAAAUGAAAUGGGUCCAACAAAGAGAAAAGGGAUGGACAAAACAAGAAAUUCAACAUAGUAUGGAGUUCAUAACAAGUUGUUACACUCUGUCCUAGUGCAAUAAGAUGCAUAGGAGUGAGUGUAUAUGGGAGUAAUAUGUGUUACCGAUGCGACGAAGCAGGCCAUGUUGCUAAAAACUGUAAAGAAGCCCCCUCGAAGAGAAAUGAUGAGCAAGGCAAGAAAGCGAAAGCUAGAGUUUUUGCCUUAACUCAAGACAAGGCAAUGGAGGAUUUGAACAUGAUGGCAGACAUUUUUUUUAUACGUGGAAUUCCUGCUUAUGUUCUUUUAGGCUAUGGAGCCACUCUUCCAUUCACUUUUGCUGCCUUUAUUAAUAAGUCACUUAUUACAUGUGAAGAAUUCGAUAGUGUUCUAAAAGUUACUAUCUCAUUGGACAAACCUUUGAAUACCAAUAAGAAAACUAAAGCGAUUAAAGGACUGGGUGUUCAAAGUCGUUUAUCUUAUGAGAAGGCUCUAACAGCUAUUUUUGCAAGGAAGAUACACAAAUCGAGAAAUAAAGAAAUUGUAUUAGUUAAGGUCCAAUGGUAGAAUUCUGGAAUAAAAUAGUCUACUUAGGAGAGAGAAGAUAUCAAGGUCAAGUACAUGGAAACCUUCAACUAGUUAAUGUAAUUUCUAGGACGAAUUCAUUUGAAGAAUGAGAGAUUGUAAUGCUCCAAAAUUUUAUAAAAUGAAAUUAUUUGGUGCUAAUGAUUUUGAUCUAGAUUCCCUUUUUAUAAUUUUGGGAAAUUGAACGAUUAAAGUGAAAUAGUAUUAAAUUCAAUUUUAUUUGGGGCAAAUAAUUAAAUAUUGAUGGCGAAGAUAAGUAUAUCAAUACUUGGCUUGUCUUGUAGUUCGUAUUAAAAAACGCGUCGUGGACUCGAGAAGAGUUAAUUCGGAUAAGUUAAGCCCUAGUUAUUGAAGUUUAAAGAAAUUAUCAUCAGCUAAUAAUUAAUUAAGUUGGUUUAUGAUUUAAUUUUUAUCGCAGUCUCGGUUCAAUUGUAGAAUAAAUUGUAUUACUAAUUUGAUAAAUGUUAUUUAAUUAAGUUUAGUUAAUGACUUAUCAAGUUGGAAGCCACGUGUGAGUAGAUUAUUAGAGUAUUUUUUUUUUCCUUUUUUAGAUUGGGAGGAAAACUAAUUCUAAUCCUAAUUUUAUUAGAUUUUCAUUGAUUACUGGUUUAGUUCAAUUAAAAAACUGGAAUCCUACUUUCAAAAAAAAAUCUCAAAUUUUACCUAUUUAUACCCCCCAACAUUGAACCCAAUUUGCAUUACUUAGAUAUUAUUUUCAAAGCAUACAUGCACCCAUUUAUUUACAGAAGCAGAGAGUUUGAGAAAAAGUUUUGGAAUGUGCAAUCAUAUAUUUUUUUUUUCAAAAAUUCGUUUGAUCUAUCCAGGUAAGAUACAUAACAUGUAAGUGGUUUGAUUCCUUAUAACUUUAUUUGUGUAUAUAUAUAUAUAUAUAUAUAUAUAUAUAUAUUAUUAGUGGACCUUCGAAUUCGACCUAAAAAUGCCUUUUUAGUUCUUUAUAACGAAAUGUGAAAUCUUUCCAGAAUUCAAAAUUACUAUGUGAUGAGUGUCACGUUUGAUCACCGAGUUACGUUAAAUGAAAUUUGGUAUGAAGUGUCUAUUUUAUUGUUAUAUAAUUGUUUAUAAAAACUGCAUCUUAUUGGGUAUUGUCAAAUACUCAUGUAACAACCCGGUCUUUAUGCCAAAUCCGUUAACUUAUGUACUGUACAAUUUGUGAGAGCUUGAAUUUAUCUUACCUCUUACGAAUUUCUGUCGAGUCCCCAAAAUUCAAACAUAUGACAAUCACCUUAUGAGAGAUUUUAAUUUGAAUUAUAGUACCAAUUGAGCAAGUUGUUUAAUAAGUACCUGGAUUCAACUUAAAUUUCUCAUAAGGUGGAGGUAUUGGGUUCAAAAUUUGACGAUAGAAAGUCAAGAGGGAUAAGAUGGAUUUAGCUCUCCCAAAGCGAACAGUAUGUAAGUUAAUGAUUUAGAUACAGUGAGAGAUUGAAAAUAAGUUUGGAGGUAUGCAUUCAACAAGAAAAUGAGACAGUUGUCCAUUAAGGGUAAAAAAUAAUCAACCUAAAUGAUUAUAGUGAUUGAAUUGACUAUGAACACACACAUCGAUCGAGUAUUAAAUAAGUAUAAAUUUAUUUUGGUGGCAUUGCUUAUGAGACUUAUUUGAAUUGUCAAACAAUUUCAGUACUUAGGACGAAUACAACAUGCUAUCUAAUACUUUGACGUUUAUGUUUCAUUGCUUAUAUGCUCGCGAUGGAUAAGAGUUUAAGUUUGGGAUAUUUCAUAGGCAUAUUUUAUAAACGUCUUUAGUCUUUUAAACUCAAUUAUGGAUAAUUGAAAGGAUGUCUAUCUAAUUUAGUAAAUAUAUUAAUUUUAGGUAAAAUUUGACAUGAAUACAAUUAAUGCAAGAAAGGCAAUUUUUAACUUAAAUGGAGUUGAUUUGGAGCAAUUAAAGUAAUCGAAUUGCACGUGAUCAAUUAUAAGUAUUAAGAGGCAAUCCUAAGAAACUCAUAAGUUUUGUGAGUAAAGUUUGACAUUUGAAAAGUUUGGGAACUCUAUUGUAAACUUUCAAUACUUUUAACGGAUCAAUUAUGAAAGAGAAAUGAUGAUGAUGAUGAUGAUCAAAGUAUAAAGAUUUAAAGAUGAAGGAUCCAUGAUGAAUAAAGAAUGACUCGAGCAUUACCAAGAGGAAGAUUCAGGGAACAAUUUGAAAGAAAGGCAAACAUUGAUCUUGCAAACGCAAGAUUGAUGGAUGCGAUCGCAAGGCUGCUUAAAUUAAUUCAAACAAGUAAAAAUGAAAUAAUGUACGAUCAAAAUGGUUAAUACCAUCAAUCACAUGGAAUUAACAGACUAGGAUUUUUUUUUUUUUUUUCGAAUUUCAUUUAACCUCAUUUUGGAAAGCAAUUAGGAUAGAAUUUACACCUAAUUCCUGGGGCAAUAUAGACAACCUUUCAUCUGUUGUAAAAAGAAGAGGCUUUUGGGAUACAACAAACAUAUAUCUUACAAAGAAGAAGCCUUACAGAUAGAACAUAGAUAUUUCUCGCAUACUUUGAGUGAACUUUUUAUACAAAACACAUAUUUCAUACAUCUUCACUUGGGUUUGAAGAAGAAGAAGAAGAAGAAGAAGAAGAAGAAGAAGAAGAAGAAGAAGAAGAAGAAGAAGAAGAAUAUAUUCAAGGAGAUUGAUCAAGAACCAUUGAAAGGAUUCAAAAUUGUUUUCCAUCUUUCUUCUACCUUUAAUUUCGGGAAAUGAUGUAAUGAUUCAAUUCAUAUUUUUGUAUUACUAUGAUGCUCAGUUAAAUGUAUAGAUGAUAUGAUAAUGAUAAACCCUAUAUUUUGAUACAUUUAUAUUGAAAUCGAAAAUCCAUGAUUUGAAUUGAUGUCAUUUCAUUGAUUCCUUCUAAAUUGCGUUGGAUUUCACUUGACUGUCUAUGGUUCCAUUGUUUGUGCUCGAGGUAAAAGUUUUGUAUAAAUAUAUCACCAUGCUAUUAAGUAUUUUGAUUUAAGAUCUUUUAUUUCUAAGAGGUGGAAUAGAAUAACCCGGUGACCGAGAGAUAACUAUCGAGUAUUUGGACUAUCCGGACACAAACUUCGGGAAAUGGUUCAUGCGUGUUAAGUUUCAAAUAUUGACAUUUAAAUGUUUGUAUGGUUUUGAACGCUUCUUAUUGUCUUCAUGCUUUUUCAAUUACAAGGCCAUGAAUUGAAUUAAUAUAAUUUCUAUUGUCAUUUGAAAGAAGGAAAAUACAGCACAUGGUAACAAUCAUUGUAAAGUCCUAUAGACUUUUCCUAUGCUUUGUAUGAUCUCAUUGAUGUUCUUGUAAUUGAUUGUAUGAUCUCAUUGAAUAUUUUUUUGAUUGAAUGUAUCUUCAUAUAUUCGCGUCCAAGAUAUGAAUAUUUCAUGUCAUGUAUGAGAUAGAUUUAAUUUUUAUCAGGAGAGGUUAUUGAAUAAAAUAUGAGCACUGAUAUACGAGUCCAAAUAAAUGUUAACCAAUUAUGAGAUUGAUAUUAAGAUGGAAGGAUAUACGAGGAUUUGAUGUCCCGGUGACUUAUUGUUUAAUUGAGCCCCCGGUGGCACAGUAUGCCUUCGAUAUUAAGAUGGAAGGAUAUACGAGGAUUCGAUGUCCCGGUGGCUUAUUGUUAAUUGAGUUUAUACGCGCUUCCCAUUUAGUUAAUUAGAUCAAUUAGUUAAUUUUAGGUAUGAUCGGUAAAUAUAAUCAAUCUCAUCUUAAUUGUGAUAUUCGAUUAAAGUUCUCAUUAAUUGGAAUUUAAUUAAAUACUUAGUACUCGUGGAAUUAAUAUGUGAACCAAGAUCGACUUUAAUGUUUGUUUAUGACAUUGUUCAUAGUGGUAUUUUAGCACAGCAAACACAAUUAUUAGUUUAAUCUUUUGGAGAUAAAACAUCUUAAAAUAUAAGGCUAAUUUAGGGAGCCUUUAAAACAUUUCCUCUCCCUCUCUCUCACACACACGCAUAGGUGACUAUAUGCAAAUCUACAUGGGCUGUACUUGCUGUACAUGCAGUUCGAGCUAGACUGUACAAGCAGCUCAACCCAAUCUAUAAAUACAUUUUUUGCUCACUCUAACAAAAAUUGAUAGGCACCAAGAUUAUUAGACUAAGAAAAAUGAUUAGGAUGGUUGAUAGUACGAUGAUUAAGUCAACUAUUAGUAAAAGCUAUAUGGAGAAUUGUGUGUGGGAGAAAUAAAUAGGGAGAGAUUUGGCUAGAAUUCAAAGAAUGUGUAACUUUUUCUUUACACGUCCAUGAAUAUUUAUAGGGACAGAGUUAUAAUGGAAUUAGGUUAAAAUAUUGCAACCCCUAAUUCUACAUGGUGUGUUGUGAUUGAGCAUAGAGUUUUGAAUGAAGUAUGGUAUGUUUCCUUUGUCGGGUUUACUUCCUUGUAAGGCUAAGUUUCCUUAUAGAGAUUGAUUUUCCAUGAUCUUUUCUAAUUCCUCGGCAUCCUCUCCUUAUUUUAACAGAUUGACAAGGCUAUAAAUUUUAGAAUCGAUAAAAUUGUCUCAUUCCAAGAUUUAUCCCAAUAUUGAUUUUAUCUCCAUGUUUCAUGGAUCCUUUGACAUCAACAAGGUAUGGGUCUCAUCCAAAGGCAAUAGGUCACUAGGCCCAUUAGAGCCACAUCCUCCCAUCUCGACACGAGGGGUUCAAUUCGAAGACUAUCACCACUAUCCAUUACUAUGAAUAUUGUAAGAGCUGAUGGGAUAUUUCAUACGAGGCUUGUGACUUGAUUCUUUUGUGCAGGCGAAGACCAUAGGAAAACAUGUAGCAUGUUGGCUCUUGCUCAUGUGGUGUUCGUAAGUCCUCUUGACUUCCAAGUGUACCCAGGAUGUAACAGUGGUCUCUCAAGUUCAAUUUUGUUAUUUAUACUAGGCUUGUGGCUUAUUAGUUUGCUUGUGUUACGAAAAUUUGAAAGUGAAAGGCUUGUGAUGCAGUUGGGCCUCGUUGCUCUUUGGCUAAGAUUGAAUUUAUGCCCAAAAGAAUUUCACUGGCCUUUGCUUACCAUGAUGGUGGUGUGGCGAAGAUGUCUUGACAAAUGCCUCUUGGCCAAGCUAUAACAUCGAAGUAUAACAACUUCGUUUUGAAUACCGUUGUAGAUUUUCCUAUUCCGAUAUAUAAUGUUCAUUUUGAUAUUUAAACCUCUUGUUAUAGUAAAUUCAUUAUUGUCGUUAUAGUGAAAGAUUUACGCAAUUGUCAAACUCUAUUUCUCGCACAUUUUAUUUAUUUCUAAAUUUACUAUGACAUAUUGAGAUUAAUGACUUUUUUACAAAGAUCGGUAGUCUAAUCUUAAUGACACAAAAGAUAGAAAAGAAAUUUCCUUUUUCUUAAAAUCCACCAAUCCAAUAUAACUAGAUCAACCCUUCAAGUUCGCAUUAUUUGAAAAUAGUGCCACAAAGUUACUUUUUUCAAUUGUACUCGAGGAAAAUAAAAAAUAAUAAAAUAAUGAUAUUUAUUUAUUCAUUUGACUCUUUAAUUGCAUAUGCAAAAUUAAUUAAAGUUAAUCUUGUUUCCCAAGCUUUUGGUAAUUCAUUCUUUCUUCACAAUUGUCAUUGUCUUAGAAUAAUCUUUCCCUACGAACCGUCAAACCAAGCACGUAUUCCCUGAUCUCACGGAUUUCUUCGGGUAACACUUUACAGCCUCAUAUUUAGACUUUUCGUCGGCUAUAUAUUAUUAAUAACUACAGAUUACAUUUACAAUUUUUAAUUAUAAUUAUUAUACGUUUUUUUUCUUCAGAAGGCUGCUAAAAAAUACAUAAUAGUGGGUACAAGUAAUAUAUUGAGGUUUCAAAUGAUUUUAGGCCACCGUCAACGCAGAAUGAACUAAUUCUUAACCAGCAAUUCGAAAUUAAACUGAAUGGAAAUUUUACUUUCGAAAAAUCUUGGUGAAAAUCAAAGAGAAUUAUGUUCAUUUUUCUCUCGUCUCUUGCUCUUUUAAAAUAUUUUGUCAAGAUCGAAUGAUUAUUAUAAAUUGAAAUAUUGUAAGGUCAAUGUAUAAGAAUCUCAAUAAUAUAAACGAUCUUUUUUUUCCCUUAUCUAAUAUAAUACGAUUAUAUAUCCGUGAAAAAUUAUCCAACAAAUUUUUUAUGCGAAAAAAAUAUAAUUUUAUUAAUUGACUUGUUGAAAUGAAUUACGCAUGCAUAUAUCUAUCUUGUGCUUGAAGGAAAAGUCGCGCAUUUGCGUGUAAACUACUUAUUUUGUUAUUAAAAGUACAAUCUAACAUAAACUACGUCAGCAGAAACUUUGAGAAAAAAAAUCAGAAAUAUUUACAACAAAGGCUCCAAAUCUAUAGGAUAGCAACAUGUUGAUCCCCAACCUAGAAAUGAGCAAUAUAAUCCUCAAACUUUCAAAAUAAGUGCAAACCUAGUCCUAACAUAUAGAAAAAAUAAUAAUAAUAUUCAUCUAGAAUCCAGAUAAUCAUCUGUCAUUUUUAGAUAAUUCUAUGCAUGGGACAAUGCAGUAGUAGUUUCACUAUAAAUGAAUAUUUCUAGUCUCUUCAAGAAUACUCUUACUCAUAUGGAAAUAAUGUAUCUUAUUUAGGAUUAACAAUGCGAUAAGUCGAGCUCGUUGACCAAGGGACUACACUUCGCUUGGCCCAUGGGCCUUGCCUAUGAUGAGCCGUGCCAACCUACAAGCUUUUUGAUUUUCUUGGUUCAUUAAUCUAAUUUAUUUAACUUAAAUGUGAGUUAAAAAAAAAAGGAAACUCUAACAUAAUUAAAUAACAAUGCAAGGAAAAUAUGACACAAUCGCAAAGUUCAUGUACCCAAUGCUUUACUUGCAAACGUCGACUCGACUCAUUUACUUGUUGUAGAACAAGACUAGCAGAACAGUUGAGCAGUCGAUUUUCUUUUGGUUAUGGACUUUCCGGUUGUAGGGUGAAGGUAUGACAAGGGAAUUCCAUGCUUUUAAGAAGCUUUGUUCUAAGCCUCGGGAUGAAAUUCGAAUCUCACUCAAAUAGGGCAGGUGAAGGAAAAAGAUCUCUUAUACGACCACGCUCUAAGCUAAGUUUAUCAUUGGAUCACUCUUGAUAUACGAAUUUACUAGAGAUAUCAUCCAAUUCGAUUGAAGUAAGGAAAAUACAAAUAGAAAUAGAAAUCAAAAGAAUUAGAAUUAGUUUUGUGAAAAGUGAAUCCAAACAAUUGUGAACCACUCAUUGCCAACCUAAUCCUGUUUUUAAUUGUUCACGAUAAGACAAAAGGGGGCAGUUAUCAUGCCUCGAUAUGCACCUAUUCAAAAAGGUUGAGGACUAUAGUCCCACUACCGCUAUUUAUACGGAUCCAUUUAUGCAAUUUUCUUGAAAAAAUCAGAAAAUUUGUGAAGUGUCAUCAGUAGCGGCAGGUUUGCCAACAAUAAAUCCUGUCUACCAUUUCUUCUCUCCUCUCUAUAAAUAUAACACCCUACAUAUCUGCUUUCCUUUGUCCAUUAGAAUAUACAGAAACUAAACUCAAUGGAAAUGGAAGUGAUUAUCUCUGUAAACAAAAUGGAUUUUGACUUUAACAGUCCACAUGUCAGUGCACCUUCGACGCCCAAGCGUUUUGGGGAAUUCUAUUGCAGCGCUCCGACAAGUCCGACGCAUUUGGCGCAGUUUUAUCGUGAUUUUGAUGAUUUCUCGAACAGAGCCAGCGGAGUCACAUCGAGGGUGCCGUUUGGUUCCCCUAAGAAUGAAGGUGAUUUUGCUUUUGAUAUUGGUGAGGAGUCAUCGGAAAAGGAGUCUCUUUCGGCGGAGGAACUGUUUGACGGCGGCGUAAUUAAGCACCUAAAGACCCCAUCGCGGCUGCAAGCUUCCACCGGAGCAAGAAUUAAGGGUGAUUACUCACCAAGGCAUAAGAAAGAGGACGACCCUUUUGCAAUCUCUUCUCAAAGCGCCACGGCGGAGCACAGUCACAGAAGAGGAAGAGAGAGAGCUCCUGCAGCAGGUUUAUCUUCAUCAAGCCGAAGAGCAACGCGUUCACUUUCUCCUGCGAGAGAUUCUGAUCAAAAUUCACGGGAUCAAGAAGAGAAAAAACAGCACAAUACAAAGAUUUUGUGCUCAUCUUCAUCCUCAAAAUGUCACAGAAAAUGGAGAUUGAAGGACUUUUUCUUGUUCCGAAGUGCAUCUGAAGGACGAGCAGCAGAUAAAGAUCCUUUAAGGAAAUACACAGCAGGGUUCAGAAAAUCAUAUGAAGAUGCUAAGAAUCCGAAUUUCCGGAGAAUGGAUAGCCAGGAUUCUGGAUCAAAUUCAAGUAGAAGAGGAAAAGUUUCAGCUCAUGAAUUGCAUUACACAACAAAUCGUGCAGUUUCUGAAGAUUUGAAGAAGAAAACCUUCUUGCCAUACAAGCAAGGCAUUCUGGGGCGCCUUUCAUUUAAUCCUGCCGCCCAUGCACUGGCUAAUGGUUUCGGGUUUUCUCGUAAAUGAAUAUUCGUCCGGUACAGUUGAGGACGGCAUUGUGAGAAGGAAUAAUUCUCUGCUAAUUAUAAUCUUUUUUUAUUUUUUUUUAAUGUUUUGGAUAGGUAUUUUUUUUCAGAUUUUGGUCAUGAGAUGUAUAAAAAUAAAAUUUACACAUUGAAGCAUCAUAUCUUAUUGUGGAAUUAUUUAUCAAUGUACUAAAUUUUAUUGAUCCUAAAAAAUUUAGGGUCUACUAGAUAAAAUCUUGUUUCAUUACUUCUUUUAGCUAAUUGCUAUGUAGCUGUUCAAAAACAACUAUUCAACGGAAUAUAUUCUACGUUAUGGAUGAUUUCUAUUCUUUGUUUGAUGAAAGACGGAAAAAGACAUCGAUCAUAGAAGGUGACAAUUCAAAAGUUUGAGACAAGCAAUUCGAGACGACUCUUCUUUCUGAACAACGUCUGAGUUAUGGGGAUAUUUAUUGAUAUUUUAAUAUUUAAAACCUUUAAGAAACGUAUUACGAAUUCCGGAAAAUAAACCCAUGGACAAAAAUGAAGAGAGAGAGAGAGAGAGACUAGCGUGCAUUGUGGACUAUCAAUUUCUUUAAUCUAGAAGACAAUUUUUAGGGCGGUCCAUUUGUCGCAUUUUACUCUUUGGUGAAAUCAGAAAUGAAAUGGAAUAUAAACAACAAUUCAUGCAUGAUAUAAAGUUCGACAUUUUUCUAUGUGGCAGUAAGAUAUACCUUGAUUUUAAACAUAUCCAUCCCAUUGCUAGCCAAAUUUUCUCCAUUGACAGGAUAUCAUGUAGGAAAAUUUGUUACCUUUUUAAUCACAAGAUCUUUCGUGUUGAAUAAUCAAGAAUAUAUAAACUACUAUAAAACCUGAAUUAGAAAUGAUUAAUACAAUAGUUGAAUCUUGCGGUUUAUUCUUCCAAAUCAACACACAGACCUUAAUUCUUUAUAAUGAUGGGAGGCAGAACAGAAUGAGCAAUUCACAUGUGAUUUGAAAACCAUAACUGUAUUUAUAUAUAUUGUCGCCAUUUGACCUAAUUCGACCUAUCAUAGAAUUAGGAACCUGACUCAGUUUUUACCCAUAAAAUAUCCACCCUUUAAUUGGAUGUAUUAAAAUUCAAAAUACUGGAAACUUAUUAGAUCACUUUAACUAGGCUUAACCAAAUUUUAUAGCCUUUAAUUUGAUGCACAAUAAUUUACAUAUAUAAACCCACACGGUCAUUUAAAAUUCCUUACAUAUCAAACUUGUUUUCAACCAAAAAUAUACAUCUAAUUUUAUUUUAUAAAUACGAAAAGAACUAGAGAAUUGAAAUGAAACAUAAGCUAUUGUUUGACAAACAUUAUUUAAAAACUUCUUUUUUUUUUUGUACAUAUUCAUUUUUAAUUACACAUUUACAUUAUAAAAUAUUAUGCAUGUAAACUCAAUAUUUUUUCAUACUUUCUAACUGCACAUUCUCCUAAAAAUUAUUUUUUUCCAAAUGAUGAUUGUCAAAUAGAAGACUAAUUAAAUUGUUCCUUGUACAUGACCAAAAUGGAAUUAUAACUUGCUUUUUGUAUAAAUAAACCAUCAACUUUAUUUUUGAAUUGGAAAUGUUAAAUACCUAUGUUGAUGUAAUUUCCACUUCUUUACUCUUCUUUUUUUCUUUCUUUCUUUUCCCCUUUUUCAAAAAAAUAAUUUGGUUGCCCAAUUCUUUGUGCAGAACUGUUUCUCCUACUUAUAAAUUUGAUACACUUAUUUAUUAAAUAAUCGUGACAUUUAAUUUAAGUAAAUUCAACGCUCAAUAUUUUAUGGAUCUCAAACAGUUAUAACAAACUCUCCCAUGAUUUUAGUGAAAUACAUAUUAAGUGUUGGAUUGAUUUAUAUUAAAGGUCAUGAUUAUUUGUUAAAUAAGUGUGUCAAAUUUAUGACUAUUAGGAAUUUGGAAUGUUCUCGUUCUUUGUGCUCUCUUUGUCCGUGUAAUUUGCAACCCAUGUAUCAUAAAUAAUUCUCAUAUACGAAUCAUAAUUGAUUGCCUAUUUGCGUUAUAUGUCCCCUAAUUACUAGCAUUCGUUUUCUUUCUUAAUUUAUAUAAAGAUUCAUUUCCCUAAUAAAUCAAUAAAAAAAAUGAAAUCUUUUACAUUAUUGCAUCAUUUCAUCGCUAAACAGUAGUUCCUUUUCCUUUUCCUAAUAGGACUUUUCUAUUUCACAUAUUUGGGUCGAAUCCAACAAUUUCCAGUUGAUCCAAAACCUCCCAAUCACAGCAUACAUUGACAUUGAUUAUACCACCAAUUUACCACUGUUCUUCAAAUAAUUGUAGUAGACGAGAAAAUUCAUCAAACUGUUAUAAAUUAGAGAAAAAAGAGAAAAAAAAGUAGAAGUUAAUUGACUUGUGUAUUUUAUUAAGAACCAAAAUCACAUAUAUCUAGAGAGAAUAAUUAGGAACACAAUGGUAAUAAAAACUAGGGCUACAAGGGUCUAAUUUUCAUCCACUAAUAAUCAUAUUAUUUAUAACACCCCCUUUCAUUGUUACAUUACAAAAUAUUUGCAUCGUCAAAACAUUGUCAAAAAAAUCUAGUGGGACAAAAUUUGAUCGAAGGAAAAAGAGUACAAUUACUCCCAUUGAUUUCAAUUCUUGUAUCAAUUCAUUAUUGUCUUAUAAAUCAGUAUUUUUAAAAUUGCAAAUUUUGGUUAAAUAUAUCUCAUGUUGUCUUGUAGGUAUUCAAACAAUAUCGUCUACGUACAAGAUAUUUAUAAAAAUUUUGUGACCAUAGUAACAUGAUGAUUGAAAAAUAGAUUUUGUUGAUCUUUUUGCGAGUUUCAUACAUAUAAAAGCAUUAUUUUGAGGGUAAAUGUCUUUAUACGUAAUUGGAUAUUCAUUAAAUAAAAAAUAUGCCUCAUUAAAACCUUAUUCGAAAAAAUCUGUAGAAAAAUCCUAAUUAAGGAAAAGAGUACAUUAUUCUUUUGAAUAGGGAUAAAAGUUGUCUCAUUAAAAAUCUUAUGAGGAAAAUCCAAUGGGACAAAACUUUAUUAAAGGGAAAAAGAGUAUAGCGUGUAUUUACUCCUCCCUCAUAAUAAUAUCUCUUAAAUUAUGUAUCAGGCACAUUAAAUCUGUCAGUGAUAAUAUUAAUAGUCAUGCCAUAUGAAUUGAUUGUAACCGUAUUUCAAGUUUCACGCAUUGUUAUGAUAACAAGAUACAAACAAUGAUUUCAUCCACCACGAAAUUCAGUAUGUUAAGAGUCGUUCAUUCAUAUUGCGACAUUAUUUUUCUAAUUUCUUUUUCACACAAGUGUACACAUUUUGAUUUUUGGGCUGCAAGUCCAGAAACUCCAAAUUUCCUAAUAAAUUCGAAUUUAAUAAGAUUGUGUCCUUUUAUUUGGCCAAUUAUAUUUUCGAUCGAUAUGCGUCAACGAAUUUAUUUCGAUAUCCUCGAAUUCAUAAAUAAGUUGAAAUAUCUCUCGAUUGAGUUUUAACUAUUGGUAAGGCGUAGAGAUAUCAACGAGCCGAGCCAGCUUGUGAAUCGAAACUCCUGACUCGGACUCGGCUUGGCUUUUUUAAGACGGACUUUUUUCGGCCCUAGCCGAGCAAAAGCUUGGUCAAAAAAUUAAGGCUCGACAUGCGCUUUCAGCUCAGGCCUUAUCGAGCGAGCUUGAUUUUUCUUUUUUCUUUUUUUUCCUCUCUCCCUCUUAGCUGCCUAUUUGGCAGCUAUUUGCUACCUCAAUUGACAAUAAAUUGAGUUUCUUUCUCUUUUUUUAAUAACGGACCGAAUCGACUAGAGCCGACUCUCUGAAAUAGGGCUCGGUUUGGGCCUUAGCUCGAUGCCUCCGAGCCAUGGGUGACCCAAGGCUCGAUGCCUUCGAGCUACGGGAGACCCUAGCCGAUGAGCUUGAUUGUCAUUCUUAAUAAGACGGUCAUAUUUCUUUUAACUAAACUAGAACUUGAUUUAGUGGCUCUAUCCAAUAGGUGUGCAACAAUUUUUUCUCUUCGAUUCUUUUUUUCGUAGUGACAUAAAUUAUUGAAAUAUCUCAAUUUUCAACAUAUCAAGAACCUGAAGGUCUUCUGGAGUUUUAUGAUUUGUUAUGUCUAAAUAUUCGUCAAGAGAAUGGAGCCAUCUUUGUUAAUUUCUCCAUUUUUGUUUGAAAAUUUUUAUAUUAGAAUCAAAUAUCAUAACAUUUCAAGCAUGCCAUAAAUUCAAAUAUAAUAUUACCAAGACAUUAAUUCGAGUUAGAGCAUUCAAAGUUCGUAUAUGAGAUAUUGUUGAUCUCUUUGGUCAGUAAAUGCAUUUAAAUAUCUUUCGAACUUUUGAUUCCAAUUAUUUUUGUGAGAAUUUAAAUAAUGAUGCAUUUGUACAUUAUUUUAGUUUCUUAAUUCUUCUUCCUCAUACUGAGAAAAUUGUCUAUUCAAAUUGAUAAUUGCAAACCAUAUUAUAAAAUAUCAUCAGUCUGAAAUAAAAAGUUCGAACAACUCAUUUAUUCUCUAAAUUAUUUACUUUCCAUGUCAAUGCAUUGUGGUGGAUCAAUUUUACAUAUACUACAUUAUCAAAAUUAUUUGAUGAAAAAAUUAGGCUCGGACCAUAUGCCUAGUUAUAGUAGGGAUAACUAUGAUGAUAUGACACGUAAUAGCCUUUCCUAAAUAGAAAUGGAAAGUACUUCGUUUUCAAUUAAAUUAAUUGGAGGUGUAUAACAAUCAAUAAUGUUGAAUCAUUUAUCAACAUUUCAUCUAGUACAUAUUAAAAUGUUGAGAUUUACAAUUACUAGAUUAAGAGGUUACACCGUCUUAACUGUAUAAUCUGAAAAUUCUACUCAUAAUUUAAAAUUUGAGAAGUAAUUUCGCAAACUAUAAGUUAUAAACAUCAUGCAACCAUCGAGCAUACAUGUUAAAUCUAUUAGAUACAAAUAAUAUUUAGAUGGUCUACGUCGAGGAUAAUGAAGCCCCAUUUAUCACCCUGAUUAAUUUUCAGAAAUAUAAUGAAUUCGAUCCCUAUUUUUAACUAGCGAUGAUCAAUUUUCGAUAAAAAAAACAAAUAACGUAUAGGAAUUUAUUGGAUUGAAGAUUCAGGUUCUUUGUUGAAUGUCCAUUUAAAUUUUUUAUUUCAUAUCAUUAUUGAUCCAAUAUGAUCCAACUGGUCAUGCCGAACAAUAAUACAUUCAUUAAUUAAAAUUUUGAGUUAAUAUAUUAUUCGUUCUAAUUAUACUACACAUUUUAGAAACUUAUCACAUUUCACUUUAAUUUAGAGGGGAAUAAAUUAUUAUCAAUAGUAAAAUUUAUUCUCUCACAUAACGCAAUACUAACCCUUCUAUAGUAUCAAAACAUAUUCUUCUAAAAUAUUGCUAUAUACUUGGUUAUGAUUACUCGCAAGUAAUAAAACAAUAUUUUUCAGGAAUAUUGAUAUAUUAAAUUAAUCAUAAUAUUUUUCUAAAAAUAUUAAUAUGCAUAUAUUUGUGCUUCUUCACAAACACAAUAUGGUAUUCUUCAAAAGAAUAUUAAUAUAUAUUAUUUUUGCUUCUUCUGAAGCAAUAUAUCAAUAUUUUUCUGAAAUAUUGAAAUUUUAAUGACAUGGUCUUCAGGAGCAAAUAAUUCUAUCUAGAACAUUCACAUAAGGUAUGUGUUAUGAUUUUCCUAGAAUAUCAACACCAUAUUUCUUUAGUAUAAAUGUAAUUUCUAGUUGUGCUUCUUCAAGAGCACAAGAUAAAUCAAAAUAUUUAAUUAAUCUAAUAAUUCACAAGUAUAAUAUAUAGCAGUAUAGAAAGACUUUUAAAUAAUUUUCAUCCUUGAAUUUGAAAACUUUAGAAAGCGUUAAAUAGUUGAAAAUUUUAUAUUCUUCAAAGAUAUAAAUUUGAAUUUUUUUAUAAAACUUAAAAUUUGCUACUGUCCCACAAAUAAGCCGUUAGAUUUUGAUAAGAAUAGAUUGAUUUAAAAUACAAUGAGCUAUAAACAUCUUGUCCAAAUUUCAUUACGAUCAAACCACGAAUGUUGAGUUAUCAACGUUUUUAUCACAGUUGCUCAGACUGUCCAAAUUCUACAAAUUUUUGCACUGUUGAUUCCAAUAUAAUAAUACAAUCAUUCAAUAUUAUAUAGAAUCACUAUAGGGUCAAUGAACUUUGAGUUUGUGACAUUAUUUGACUCAAUCAUUUUCACUAAUGUACGUAUAGUAGAUGCGAGAAUAGAAUGUCAAAAGUUUUUCUUUUGUUUACUUCGGGUCAAAUAUAAAAAAAGUUAUGUAUAGAUAUUCUAUAUUUUUUCUUGCACAUUCUCCAUGUGAUAUUCAUUGCAUUGACUAUCUUUAAAACUAAUCAAUUUUUUAUUUUAAUUUUUUUUUAAAUUUGCUUGCAUAAAGUGUAUUAUUAAUAUAUAAUUUUGUAUUAUUAGAUAAAAUAAAACAGGUUCUUCGGACCCUUCAAUGAUAUUUGAUGCAUCUAAUAUUGUAUCAAUAUUAUUUUUUGUUAAUGUUAAUUAUAAGUACUUUUUAUUUUAAAGAAUUUUUUGCAUAGUUACACUAUCUUCUAAACAGAUAUCUUAAUAAUCCAUCUUAAUCUUUUUAACAUUCCAAGAUUUAUACUUUUUCAAAAAGAAAUAAUAGAAUAUUCUCUGAGAAUAUUCAAAAACUAAAUAUUAUGCUUUUUCGGAGCAAUAAACUAAUAUCUUCUUGAAUAUUAAUAAAAUAAAAUAAAAUAAAAUACUUUUUUUUUAAUUACAACACAAUAUUGAGUAAUUUAAUUUAUGUUUCCUAGGGAGCACAAUGAAAUAUAUAUUCUUCUAGAACCGUGCCACUUCGAUAACACAUUAUAUUUUAUUACUAUUUCUUCAAAAGUAAUAUAUCAAUAUUCUUGUGGAAUAUUGAAAACUAUAAUUUAAUGCUCUUCAGGAGCAAUAACAUAUUAUUGUUUAGAACAAUAAAUUAUGUAAGAAUUUACUCUUUAAGAUUACAAAAAUAAUUUAUGUUAGAUCUAUUUUAUUAUUCUCUUUGAGAGCAAGUAAAAUUUAAUUAGAAUACUAACGAUUGUGAACCAAUGCUACAAGUCUUUGUAUAAGCUUUUGAGAUCAAGGUUGACAAAGCUGAAGAGCAGUAGCAUUCCACUGACCUGCAUCACCAAAUAAUGCCUUUACAGGCAUGGAAACGUGUCUACUUUAGGAGCAACAAUAUGAUACGGUUUAAAUUUAUUGAAAAAAUAAAAAAAAUUAAUCAAUUUAUAGUAGAAUAAUUUUUUUUUGAACAAAAGUAUAAAAUUCACAAAUUAAAUAUAUUAGACAAUUGCAUAAAAAUAUGCUAUUAUAUUAAUCUAAUCAUGCAAAUUAUAUUAAUGUAAUCAUGCUACUAAAUUGGGAGAACAUUCAAACGGCACGGAGAUGGAUGUGUGCCUUCAUUAAUUACAUAUUAUAAUAAUCAAAUUGUUUGUUAUAAUAAGAGUUUUGCUAUAUGGACAGGGCCACAUAGGCGCAGACAACUGACCAAUAAGAGGAUGCCACAUCGCCGCCAUUUGGAUAAGGCCUACGUGGCCUUGUCCAAGAAGAAUUAUUCAUUAUAAUAAUUCUCUCAUUUUUCUCCUCUAGACAAUUUCUAGUCAGAUUUUUGUUCAAGAUUUGUCAGUGCAAAUUCAAUGAUUGCCAUUGCAAAUUGAUUACAAGGCACCCUCUUUCGCUAGCACUGAAUGGAAUCAAUUGGAAAUAUAUUCCUCUGAAGUCUAUAGAGGAAUUCAAGAAUCACUCGAGCUAAAAUUAGAGACCAAAAGCAAGUUGAGCUUUAAAUUAAAAAAAUUUGUGCUGAUAACAUGUUAUAAAAAUAGAGAAAAGAAUAGGACAAUGAAGAAGUCAAUAGAAUUGUAUAUUAUUAUUAAAAACCAAAGUCUUAUAUUUAUAUUGAAGAAUUAGGGAUAAAAUCAUAAUAAAAAUUAGGAUUGUAUGGAUUUAAUUUUCAUUUACUCAUAAUCAUAUUAUUUACAAUACAAACUUGUUUUCGUAAUUUGCUUCUUCAAUCUAUAAUCUUCAAUUUUCAUUUUUAGUGUCACAUAACUCAUAUUGGCGACUUCGCAAUCUUUUGCAAUAGCAGAAGGCUUUCCUUGAAGCGACUCUAAUGUGACAACUCCAAACUUUCUAUGAGUAGCGUAUACAAAUUACCAACCUUUUUACCUCAUUAAUGCGAUAUAAUUAAUCUUCACAUCAAUUCUCCCAAUGCAUGCUGAAUAUUUAUAUGUCAACGUGUCCAGUGCUCCCAACAGUGUCAAACUUUUUCUCAAUCUUGAGACCUAUUAAUAACCGCUCUGCUACAUCAAAAAUCUUCACACUUAAAAUACUUGAACCUUUAACUUCAAGUUUAUGAUUAUUAGUCAUGACGACAUCAUGAGCAUCUAAUAGCUUAUAAUCCUCAAAGCAGUCCUUGUGUGGGCAUAUAUGAUUACACAUCCAAAAUCCAAGAGUUACUUGAAGAGUCGUAAUUUGUGACACAAUAAUCACUAUCAAUAUCAUCAUCAACCAUGAUCGUAGAAUCAGAGGCCUCUUUAGACUCUAGACUCUUCUUUACUUUAAGAUGAUAUGUCAACUUCUCACAUUUUGCCUUAAUGUGUCCUUUCUUGUGGCGGUAUUAACACUUGGCAUUUCUCCUAUAAUGACAUUGAGAAUGAUCCCUCCGGACAUUAUUUCUUCCUCGCGAUUUACCACACCUCAUUUCAGACUUUGUCUAGAGUACUUGAUUUAAAACCUUCUUCACUAUCGAAGUAGAUUUACCAACUAGUAACGUGGUGACCAAUGUCUCAUCUGACUUAGGUAAGGAAGACAGCAAAAUUAUUAUCUUAUCUUUUUCCUCAAUUUUUGACAUCAAUAUUAAACAACUCAGUUCACACUUAUUCAAAUGAUUCCUAAGAUCAGUGUCCUCAUCUAUCUUCAAAUCAUAUAAUUAUUUUCUCAGAUAUAAACAUAAAUUAAAACAUAUCAGGAUCUUUUAGCAUUUUGAAUAACUUAAAAUGCAAAUUUCUUAUUCAAAACACUAUAAUUUACCUAAGCAAUCAUGCUACGUGGUCAAAGUUAAUGACUAAAAAGUAUUUCCAAAUUACACUUGACAAUUUUUCAUUGAAUAAAGGGUAAAAAAACAUCAUAAAAAUACUCAAUUAUUAGCUGCCACAUCAGUCUAUUUUUUUAUUCCCUAUUUGUUCAGCAUUAUUCUUACCUAAGUACAAGCCAAUCUAAUGGUGUUGACUGUCUCCAGUUUCAAUUCUUCCAACUCCGCUUCUUCAUGCCUUGUGACAUCUUACCUUACAAAUCUUUGUAAAGUCCCUAUUGCAAGAGAAUAACUUCAACUGUACUUCACAAAAUAUUUAAAUUAUUUUUCUCGCCAAAUCGUUUACCCUCAAACUUUGCACAUGCCAUCAUCUUCGAGGCAGUAUCCCGAGUUUGAAUUUUGAGCUCCGAAACCAGUAGACUUCGCAGGAUGAAAUUGGCAGAAAAUGAACAAGAACCAAUGAGAGGUUGAUUAGGGACGAGAAAAACGAAUUGCAGAGAACGAGUCACAUGAACCACCAAAAUCAAACCAAUAAAAUGAAAUAGAGAUAUCAAAUUAAACACAAAUAAAUAUGUAAUCGUUAAAUUCAAUUUUACCACGUCAAUCUGCAGAAAUUUUCGGUGCUCGCAGGCGACAGAGAUAGGUGGAAGAAAGGGAUUCUAUGGGGGCUCAAGAGAGAGACUGUAGAAGUGAUUGCUUUUCUCUCUGUGCUAUUUUAUUAGAGAGAUAUUUAUGAAAAGGAGUUAACCAGUUAGUGAAUAGUGAAUAGUGAAUAGUGAAUAGUGAAUAGUGAAUAUCCGGUUAGUGUAUGAAAUGGGACACCAUAGAAAUGAACAGUGAAGGCUGGUUCCCUCUUUUAUAUAAGUGCAAUGAUUUUAGCAAGUUUUAAAACUUCAAGUCAUAAUAUUUUGGGUUCUAUGGAUAUAUUCACAUUAUACUUUUAGAAAUUGUGUUUCAUUAGGCCAAAAUUAUGUACUGAAUAGUACAUAAGAGAAAUAAAGAAAAAAAAUUACUAGAUUUUUGUGUCACACAGAAAUUUCUCAAUGUCACCCUCUAGGGUAUGCAUUUUGAGAGAGAUGUAAAAUUCAAUCGAACAAAUAUUAAUUUCAAAAAACUGUGAGGCCAUAUGGCUAACACUUGUAGAGAUUGUUAGUUUAAUGUCCCUUUUUUCAGUAGUAUUUUGAAAAACGACAUUCUGAAUUGACAUGCUACAAUUUGAAAUGAUUAUCUAAGGUUCCAUGAACAUAUAGAACGUCACAAAUUAUAUACUCAAUAGUUUAGGUAUAGUAAGAUGCAAUUCAAGAUGUGAUCAAAAUAUGUCGUUUACAAUCUCAGUACAUGAAGUUGGACACUUUAUGUUUAUAAAAUUACAUUGUUCUUAUUAAGAUUUGUCUAUAUUUGGCAAUAAGAACAAUAAUGUGUUUUGUGAUGCACAUUAAACGGGAACCGCAUAGAUAACUCAUUUGUGAUCGUUCGAAAUGAGACUCUAUCAAACAAUUCAACUAAAUCCUGAGUGAGUAAUAUACUUUUGAUUGCUAGUUCAAAUUUUUUGAAGUAACAAUGAGUGAAAUCUUAAUUAGAAGAUUGAUCUUGGUGCUUUGGGAAUCAGGUCGAAACAAUUAGAGAUCAUAUACUUGUGAUAGUGAAAUCCAUUAAUCAUUAAGAUGAGACGAUCAUCACUCUAAGGUAUUUUAGAUAGACAAUUGAACCUGUGCUCAGUAGCUUGAUGAUGAGAUCGUUGGACUCUAUAUUGUUAUUUGAUCACAACUAAUUCAUCUUAUGAAAAUGGAACUUAGAGGGUAAUAAUGUUCAAGGACAAAACGGUUAUUUUAUCAUUUUCAACUUAUUAAUGGUCCAAUGGGGGUUGACUUGUGGAACAAUAAUCGGAGCAUAUUUUCAUCGAAUCAUAAUUUACUUCUAUAACUAUCACUCGACUCGACAAUGGAAUCUCGAUUUUUGGUACAAUGAGCCGAGAUUAAUAGAUGUAUCUCAAUUGGUUAAGAGUUGACCCAAUUAGAAACUUCUAUUGUAGCUUAAGUCUUGUUGGUCUGAUUAGGUCCCUUUCUUGACUACAAUAAAUGUGUGACUUAAUUGGUCUACUACAAUUAAGUCCAAGAAAAUUUGUGCAAUUAUAAAAUCCUAAUUGAGUAUUAUAAAUAUGUCCUUUAUGGACACAUUUUCACUUAGUUUUUAGGGUAAGCCAUAUUUUUAUUUCCCAAAGAGGGAGGCACCUAAAGAACACAAGGGAUAAGAUAUAAGGGAAAAAGCACUUGGCUAGGCCACUAAAAUCUCCUUCAAGGUUAUCAUUUUCCUUUUAUGUGGAAGAAUUUAAGACAUCCAAUGAUCUCAAGGUGAUCGUAGAUCUUUUAUUUAUUUACAUUUAAUCUUCAAAGGGAAAUUAAUUUCCUAUUUUGAUGAUUAAAUUCAAUAACCAACAAAUGGAAUCAAAGCCAAGGUUACUAAGAGCCUUGAGUAGGAUUAAGUGCUUCGAAUCCUAGUAUAAAAUGCAUUUUUAGUAUGGGCGGUGUUAGGUUAUUUAAUUUGACAUGUUUACUACUUUAUAUGCUUAAAGUAGAUGUUUAUACAUAAUCACUUUUGGCCCUGGGAUUUUUUUUUACUUCCCAUUCUAAUUCAUUCCAUUUGUCUUUCUUUUCUCUAGAAAAAUUGUAAGCCAUGCGUCAUUAGGGUUUUGUACAUAUUUUUCAUACUUCUACACUUGUGUAUUAAAAGAAGAUGAAGUUUUUUGGGCUUCAUGCAUUUUUCGUUUCUGAUUCUUGUUAGAGAAAUGGAAGGAGAUAGAAAUAGGACAAACAAAAUGCAAAAACCAUUGUAGAAUUACAAGUGGCGGCAAUAACAACUAUCGCGACCGGAGUGGCUACAGUCGCUGCGUCCAAAUGCAACAGUUGCUCCAAGUUGUGAUAGCUGCUUCUGUUGCCUGUCAUGACAACCAUAGCUACUGCAAAUGUAGCAGCGGCGCUUGCUAUUACUGUUUGCAGUCGCCAUUGCCACUCGACGGCUGCAGCUAUGGUGGCCUCUUUUGGUGUUGCUACUGUCGAUGUCAUUGUAGGAGAUGGAUGGUGGAUGUGAUACAUGGCGAAUUUUCCAGGAUUUGUGAAAUUAGGUUAUUUUUGAGUUUUUGUGCUUUUCUUUAUGACUUGGGCAAAUAUUUUUGGCUAAGGGCUUUUGAUUUAAGGAUUGCGAAAAAAUUAAAUGGACUCAAUUUUUGAAUAUUGAAUGGGUUAGAUUACAAGGAAAUUGAAGAAUUGGGGCGAAAAUUGCUUUAUGGAUGAUGAAUGAAUGUAUGAUUAUCACAUGUCAUGUAGAUUAAAUUGAACACCACCCAAUGCACUAAACAUAUGCAUUGGUAUUGGAUUUUUUUUAUCACUCUAAAUUAAUUAGAUGUGGUUAAAAAAUUAUAUUUAACAAUUUAGUGCCAUUAUAAUUGUUUAUAUUUGGCACAUUAAUUAUAAAAUCAAAAUCCAAUGGUUCAAAAUAAUAAGUGGGGGAAGGUUUAUAGCGUGUAUAAACUUGCGGCCUCCUCCUUCAUCCAAUUUAUUAUUAAAAUACGUAUGUCUGGUGUCAAAUUACAUCGGUCUCCCUAAAGGAAGACUACGUUAUUCUAAAUUAACUGAAAUUGAAUCUUAUAAUAGAAAGUUUUAAAAAUUGGAUAAUCGGCUGAUUAUCCUAUAGAUAACAUCUCAUAUAUUUUGGAUAAUUUAAAAAUUAUUUGCAGAGGUUAUUACACUUAUAUAUGACUUUAUUUUUGGAGGACUUCCAGUAGAAGGUUCCAACAAAAUAUUUAUAAGUCAAAUGAUAAUAAAUCCUCAUUUUUAUUGUGGCACGAGAUGCCUAACUCCAUCAAAUGAGUGGGAGUGUUCCAACUUUGUGAUGAGGACAAAUCAAAAAUCUAAUUAGUGAAUAAAUCAACGCUACAAUCUUCCCGUAUAAAGUGGCAACUCUAAUUUAUUGGUUGUGAACAAAAUAUUUGUAAUCAAAAUAUAAGUUAUGUCACACUACACUUCUCAGUACAAGUACCCAACUUAUAUUGUCACAGGUAAUUAUAAUUACUUUAAUUCAUAUGCUCACAUACUCAAUAAUAAAUAAAUACAUUAAAUGGAUAAAAUCACAAUUUGUUUAUUAUAAAUUAUUAUUUAUUAUAACAAAAUAUACUAUAUGGACACACAACCCCACAGUCUCCACUUCCUACGUACUUUGUUUAUAUUUUUUAUUAUUUUAACCCCAAACCUUAGAUCUCUCUCUUUUAUUUGCACACGCAAACACAUAUUGAAAGCACAGGUCAGCAGCUACAGAAACUACCUAAGAGCCACUAACUUAGGUUGUACACGCCGCAAGAAGAUAAGUAGAAGAAGCCGAAACAAAGAGAACCAAUGCUAAAAGGAACUCAUAAAUAAGGAAUGGGUGGAGAAGACACGACUUCCAAAUAAAAGAGACGAGAUUGGGAGUAUCCCUAUGCUGCAGGCCAGUGGCGGCAUCACGAAAUUGAUACCCAUCAAUGUCGACAGCUCGGGGUUGCUCCAUCGAGGUGCUAAGAGAUUUGGGGAUUUAGAAAUUCCAAAAUGUCUAUCCAGUGUUUAUUGGGUUGAUUACAAGAGGAAUGGAUCUGGUUAUUAUCAAAAAAUGAUUUUUAAUAUGAGAUCAUAAGAAAUUAAAAAAGCGAUUCAAUAAGAGAGGGCAAACGACUAAUGAAUUCAAUGUAGUGAAGUAGUUCUUUUAUUCAAUGUCUCAAGAUGGGUUUCAAUGCCCAAUAACGUUAAAUUAAUUUUUCUUCCAAUUAACUAAGGUUAUUGAGGCUGAGUUUGAGGCGGGGACUUUAUUUCUCAUCCCCUACUCGUGAUAAGGACUUUUUUUCCAACUGUGCUAUGUGUACAAUCGGGAUUGACAAACCCAUUUGACAAUUGGACACUUAGGAGGGGGGCUCACACUGAAUAGAAAAAUCGUGAGCCCCCCUCCUAUGAGUGCAUUGUCAACAUGGAUUGUACAAGAAGAAUAAUUUCUUUUUUCCUAACCCCCACCCCAAUUCAUUGAUUAAUCUAGAAUCCCCCGCUAGUUUGGGCAGGCCAUAUGGGGGACUAGAACAAUUGAGGAUAAUUGCUCCCCCGAAUAUCAUUUUUGAAUGUGUAAUGGUUCGUGCGACUCACAAAGACACUAUACAAAUGUUAUAUAUAUACGUAAUAUAUAUUAUAUUGCACACCCAUGAUAUAUAUUUUGUACGCUCACACGAUCUGUGAUUUGAAAUCGAUCUAGCAAAUUUAUUCAUAAUUUGAUUAAUCUCUCGAAAUAAGUUGGUCGUAUUUUACGUUUAUUGUGGUUAAUGUUUAUGCAUAUAAUAUUUCUACGGAUGUGUUUUAUUUUUUGGUCCAUAUUACGUAUGAUUUAUUUAGAAUUGACAGGAGUUUAAUAGCGUUACGUACGAGAAUUUAACAUCAUCUAAGUUCGGUUUAAUUUUCAAGUCUCUCUCUAUAAUUAUGAUUUUUUUUUGGGUAUAAAAAUACAUAUAUAAAUUCAUUAUUCAAGCACAUUUAUUGAUAUUUAUUCUCAUCCCUUUAUAUCUUUUCUUCUAGAUGAUUGAUGAUUCGAGGCGGUUGGCACGAAUAUGGCUUAUGGUGGCAAAAGUUCCGAUAAUAGAUUAUUUUGUUAUCUUUAAAAUAUUUCUUUUUUCAAGUUAAAUUAUCAAAAUCACUGGAUCAUUUGAAUUAUUAUAUAUGUUUAAUAAUUUAUAUAAUAGUGUUGAAUAUUCCUUAAAUUAUUUUAAUUUAGGAGUUAGUGGCACUCGAGUCGUUAAGGAUUCAGGUUGUCAUAGUUGUCCAAUUAGUAUCAGGAUUAAUUUAAGUCUCUCUUAUGGUAAAGAUCAUGAGUUCGAAUUCUUGGGACGCAAUAGAAAUCUAUUAGAGAUAGGAUGAAUUUAGGUUCUUCCAGAACGAACAAUACAUAAAUUAACGACUUUGGCAUAAAGAUCAGAUCGUCACAUAAUAUUGGGAUCCGAAACCACAUUAAUUGAAAGAUUAUCGAGAACAACCCUAAAUUUUCUCAUAUUGAACAAAAAUCCAUGUGUCCAUGUAUAAACAAAACAAUUGCAAAAGAACAAUUAAGAAAAUAUAAAGAAUAUUGCAAAAUCAUCUAAGGGUCACUACCUCCAAGUACCUUGGCCACCAGUGACUGGGUUUGGAGUAUAUUUUCCUUUUAUGCUUUCUGAUAAGUGUGUUUUUGCACACUUAUUGGGCACUUAAUUUGAUAUAAUUAUUGACGAAAAGAAUAGAAUUCUACUCAUAGUUAAGUAAUAUUCACUUUUGUAGGUAAAAAUCACCUAAAGAAAAGAGAACAAGGCAAAAGGAAGAAAAAUGAGGAAAAAGGACUAAAAUUGUACAAAAUUGUGAAGUUGGAGGCCAAGGAAAACAAGUCAAAAAGUGGAGGAUUUGAGAUGCAAUUUAUGGAGGGCAAAAUCGAAUUGGAAGUCAAAAUUCGAGGACCAAAUUGUACAAAAUUAAAGUUGAGGGACUAGCAUGCAAAUAUUUGAAACUUGGCUUCAAAAAGAAAACCAUUUUCAUGGUUUUGGACAGAGAACCAGGCACCGAGGCGCCCAUUUUAAAAGAAAAAAUGAGUUGGGGACCUUUUUGUUCACUUUUGAAACUUCAGGGACCAAGGCUGCAAUUUUCCUAGGUUUUAAUAUAAAACCAGCAGCUGAGUUUUCAUUUGCAGUUCUUCAGUUCGAUCUUCUGCUGGGUUCUGUUUUCUGCUGGGUUCUUUCUUUUUUUUCAUUUUGCUUUCAUUUUCUUUUCUUUUUCUUGGUUAUUUUGGAGAUAUAACAUAGAGUAACAGGGAGAUAACAUCAAGGAUUUGGCAAAGCAUUUGGGGAAAAUCAUAGUCAAUCUACAAAAAAGGGUUUUAUCUAUAUCUUUGUAUUUUCUUCAUCAUUUAGCCUUAUUUGUAAUACAUUUGAUGAAUAUUCUCCUUGAUUAUCAUUUAUUUAACAUGGGCUAAGUAUUUUGUUGGGAUUUAUGGUAGUAGCUUGACAUAGGUUUAAUUGAUUUUCAAUAUUUGCUAUUUGAUAUUAAAUUGCCCAUUUCCAUGUGUUUCUAUUAUUAUAUUUAUUGCAUUUUCAUUUAUGUGGCCAAUGAAUGAAUAUGUUUCGUGAAGUGUACAUAGUUCGAGAGAAGAUUGUGUAUUUUAGACCAAAUGGUAGAAACUCUAGGUUUGUAUAGAGGAUAGAUAUAUAUCUUUAGCCCUAUGUGACCCAAUGAGCUAUUUUCAUAACAAUUUAAUGCUGUUAUUUAGUUGUAAUCGACAUAGAGAUAUAAUAGGUUAAACCAAUCAAUUAUGGUUAAUUUCACUCGAGAGAGGUAAUUAGCUAAAAUUGAAGAAUCGGAUCUAACAUCGUAAAUGAGUAAUUCGUUAAUUGGCAUAUGGAGAAAUUAAUUAGGCGACGGCUAAGCGAAACCAUGAAUCUCAAUCACGUUUUCCUCCAAAAUUCCCAAGAUUUCCAUAUUUUCCUAUUUUGUAUUUUUUUUUCUUUAGUUUCUAAAAUCAACUCUUUGUUGUGUAUUUGUUUAUUUUCAUUGUUAGAAUUAAAUUGAUUAAAGUUGUGUAAUUUAAAUUAAACAUUCCUCGAGGGAUCGACAACUCGGACUUCAAAUGUCCACUUUAUUACUUGAACGCGACCCGUGCACUUGCAGUAUGAUUUUAGCGAACAAGUUUUUGGCGCCGUUGCUGGUGAAUGUUUUAUUUCAAUUAUCAUCUUUUGUUGAUUCUAAUUUUUACAAGUUUCGUUCUUUUUUUCUUUUGCAUAGCUUUUAUAUAUUUAUUGUGUAAUUAACUUUUAACCUUAGGUCUUUGGUGGUGCAUGCUUCGUUCGAGAAGUUUUGAUCUUUUCGAGCUUGAUCCGGAUAUUGAAAAACCUUUCCAAAGAAGGCGACGGGAACAAAGGGAAUUGAGAAGGCAACAAUUGAUUGAGAUGACACACCAAGGGAGUAAUUUGGAACAUAAUGCUCAACCGGAAAAUGUUCCUCGAGGCGGCAUUCCACCGGGUUUUGGUAACCAAGCGGGUAGAGUUCAAGAGCCUAUUGUAAAUGAGGAAGAUAUACUGUUUGGGAACUUCAUGAACCCACCCGUAGUAGAGAAUGAAUCAAGUAUUGUUUACCCUCCAUAUUGACAUCCAAACUUUCAACUUCGUCCGGAUGUUAUUAGUUUGUUCUCCAAUACCAUUCCAUUCUAUGGAAGGAUUGAUGAGAACCCUCACUCACAUGUUGCACGAUUCAUAGAGAAUGUUGAAAAUUUUAAAUAUGAAGGCGUAAAUGUGGAGACGAUCCGGAUGAGGUUAUUUGUUCACACAUUGAAGGAUAAGGCAAGGGAAUGGCUUGAGACUCUACCGCCCAGAAGUAUAAAUAGUUGGUUGGAAUUUAUUCAAAAAUUCACAGCCAAAUUCUUUCCACCCGCCUGAGUAGCCAAACUCAAGCAUGACAUAACCACUUUCCAACAAUCCGAAUUUGAGAGCUUUCACGAGGCUUGAGAAAGGUUCAAGGAUAUGCUUCGAAAAUGUCCAAAUCAUGGAAUCACAAUGGGGCAACAAGUGAAUCAUUUUUAUGCCGGGUUGACUCCUUCUUGCCGUUCAAAUGUGGAUUCAUCAUCUAAUGGCUCAAUCAAGAAGAAGAAUAUUCGGGAAGCAUAUGAUCUAUUUAAGGUCAUGAGUGAACAAAGUGCUAUGUGGCCGGAUAGAGGUUCACAAAGAGGGGUUGGUGGAGUUCGAGAUGGUGAAGCUUUCUCAAUGGUUCUAGCAAAGAUCGACUCACUAGCAAAGAAGGUAGAAGGACUUUCUUCAUCUACCUCGAGCUCUCAUUCCGCUCAUAUGGUACAAUCUCCACCUAUUUGUGAUAUUUGUGAACCAAAUCACCGAAGCCCGAGUUGUCCAUUGAUAGGUAGUGGUUCAGCAUCUACCGAGCAAGUGGUAUAUACUCAAAACUUUCAACGCCAAGGAUACAAUCCUUAUUCGCAAACUUAUAACCCCAGUUGGUGAAAUCAUCCGAACUUUUCUUAUGGAAAUAAUCAAAAUGUGCUCAACUCGAAGCCACAAGAGAAAAAAAAGGUUGGGAAGAGGCUAUUGCUAAGUUGGCAAACCAUCAAUUAUAAUAUUAAGAAAGCAAUGAUGCCUCUUUGAAAAACUUGGAAUGUCAAGUGGGUCAAAUUGCCAAGCUUAUCUUCGAAAGGCAAUAGCGGGCAUUGCCUAGCAACACCGAAACAAAUCCAAGGGAGAAUGUACAAGCUAUUACCACUAGAAGUGGGGUGCAAUUGCCCGAAAUCACGGUGACACGCCCUAAGGGUCAAACCGACAAGACACCCAUUGAAGAAGAAAGGAUUAUGCAAGAACCUAGUCCAAAGGACGAGACACUAAUUGAAGAAGAAUCGGAGCCAUCAACAUCAAAGGCUCCAAUACCGGUCAAAGCCUAUGUGCCUCAUAUUCCCUUCCCACAAAGGCUUCACAAACAGAAAUUGGAUGCUCAAUUUGGAAACUUUUUGGAGAUAUUCAAGAAGCUACACAUAAACAUUCCAUUUGCCGAUGCAUUAGCUCAAAUGCCGAAUUAUGCCAAAUUUAUGAAGGACAUUCUUUCAAACAAAAGGAAACUAGAAGAACAUGAGACAGUAAUGCUAACGGAAGAGUGUAGUGCUAUCCUUCAGAAGAAGCUACCACCGAAAAUCAAAGAUCCAGGGAGUUUUACUAUUCCAUGCACUAUUGGAGAUUUAAAUUUUAGUAAAGCUUUAUGUGAGCUUGGUGCCAGUAUUAGUUUGAUGCCUUUGUCUAUUUUCAAGAAGCUGGGAUUGGGAGAAGCUAAGGCCACCACUGUAUCAUUACAAUUGGCUGAUUGAUCAAUUAAAUAUCCUCGGGGUGUCAUUGAGGAUGUAUUGGUCAAGGUGGACAAAUUCAUAUUUCCAGCUGAUUUCAUAAUUCUUGACAUGGAAGAGGAUCAUGACAUCCCUAUCAUUUUAAGACGACCAUUUCUUGCCACCGGUCGAGCUUUGAUUGAUGUGCAAAAGGGGCAGCUCGUUCUAAGAGUCCAAGAUGAAAAAGUUACAUUCAAUAUCUUGAAGGCCAUCAAGUAUCCAUCGGAAUCUGAUUCAUGCCUUCGAGUGGAUGUUGUUGAUCAUGUGGUUGCCGAGUCUUUUUACAGGCUUUCUAAGGAUCCUCUAGAAGCAUGUCUUGUUUAUCCUUUGGCUAUCAAAGAGGAAGACCCUAAAGUUGAGCAUAUGGUACACUAUUUGGAGGCUACACCUUCUCGGUCUUAUAAGAGAGCACCAAAUUAUGAGGACUUGGAAAAGAGCUCUUCACCACCACUGCCAUUUCUUCAGCAGACACCUAUACUUGAUUUGAAGCCUCUUCCAUCUCAUUUGAGGUAUGCUUAUUUGGGAGAGUCAUCUAUGCUUCCGGUUAUCAUUGCUAAUUUCUUAAAUGAAUUGGAUGAAGAGAAGUAACUCGGGUGUUAAGGGAGUACAAGGGAGCCAUUGGUUGGACUAUUACAGACAUUAAGGGAAUUAGUCCUUCACUAUGCAUGCAAAAAAUCCUUAUGGAGGAUGAUUUCAAAUCAUCAGUGGAGCAUCAAAGGCAAUUGAACCCCAACAUGAAAGAAGUGGUAAAGUAGCUUGAUGCGGGCAUUAUUUAUCCGAUUUCAGAUAGUACAUGGGUGAGCCCCGUUCAAGAGGUGCCAAAGAAAGGAGGUGUCACGGUUGUGGAAAAUGAGGAUAAUGUACUUAUACCUACUAGACCCGUGAUCGGUUGGAGGGUAUACAUAGAUUACCGCAAGCUUAACAAGACUACAGGGAAUGAUCACUUUCCUCUUCCUUUUAUUGAUCAAAUGCUUGAGCGGUUAGCGGGGUAUUCUCAUUAUUGUUUUUUGGAUGGGUAUUCAGGCUAUAAUCAAAUUCCUAUAGCCCCAGAGGAUUAAGAGAAAACCACCUUCACAUGCUCAUAUGAUAUAUUUGCAUAUAGAAAGAUGCCCUUUGACCUUUGCAACGCACCCGCCACUUUCUAAAGGUGUAUGAUGGCUAUAUUCUCCGACAUGGUGGAGAAAUUUACUGAGGUUUUUAUGGAUGACUUCUCGGUAUGUGGGGCCUCAUUUGAUGGAUGUUUGAGCAAUUUAGAGAUAGUGUUGAAAAGAUGUGAGGAGACAAAUUUAGUACUUAAUUGAGAAAAAUAUCAUUUCAUGGUCCAGGAAGGCAUAGUUUUCGGCCAUCGGAUUUCACGUAAAGGGAUAGAGGUUUACAAGGCAAAAAUCCAAGUCAUUGAGAAAUUACCUCUACAUACCUUGGUGAAAGGGAUAAGGAGUUUUUUGGGGCAUGCCGAAUUUUAUAGGAGGUUUAUCAUGGACUUUUUGAAGAUCACAAAUCCACUUUGCUCCUUACUUGAGAAGAACACUCCAUUUGAUUUCUCUCAAGAGUGCCUCCAUGCUUUUAACACUCUUAAAGAGAAACUCAUCACGGCUCCUAUCAUUGUAGCUCCGGAUUGGAAUUUACCAUUUGAGCUUAUGUGCGAUGCAAGCGAUUAUGCCGUUGGAGCAGUUUUAGGGCAAAGGAGAAAUAAAAUCUUGCAUGUUAUUUACUAUGCUAGCCGGACUUUGACUGAUGCUCAACUGAACUAUGCCGUUACUGAAAAAGAGAUGCUCGCAGUGGUAUUUGCAUUUGAUAAAUUUCGAUCUUACCUCAUUGGAUCGAAAGUGAUUGUUUACAGGGACCACUCAGCCCUCAAGUAUUUGCUAGCAAAGAAAGAUGCCAAACCUCGGUUAAUUAGAUGGGUCCUUCUUCUACAAGAGUUUGACUUGGAAAUUCACGAUAAAAAAGGGACCGAAAAUGUUGUUGCCGAUCAUCUGUCUCGACUUGAGAAAACCAAAGAGGUAGUGGAUAGGGAGAUAAAUGAGGUAUUUCCCGAUGAACAACUCUUGCAAAUUAUGCAUCUUCUACAAGCCACCCAUAUACCAUGGUAUGCGGACCAUGUGAACUUUCUUGCUAGUGGCAUCAUUCCCUCGGAUCUCUCUUACCAACAAAGGAAGAAGUUCUUUGCCGAUAUCAAGCAUUAUUUUUGGAACGAUCCAUUGUUGUUCAAACAGAGCCCGGAUCAAAUUAUACGGAGAUGUGUGCGGAAGAUGAAAUGGAGCAAAUCCUUGAACAAUGUCAUUCCUCACCCUAUGUUGGUCACUUUGAGGCCCUGAAAAUCGCAUCAAAGGUACUUCAAUUCGAUUUUUAUUGGCCUACAUUAUUCAAAGAUGCUCAUAUUCUUGUCUCCAAGUGCGACAAAUGCCAACGCAGUGGUAAUAUUUCCAACCGAAAUGAAAUGCCUUUGAAUUUUAUAUUAGAGGUGGAAAUUUUUUAUGUAUGGGGUAUUGAUUUUAUGGGACCUUUUCCUCCUUCAUUCUCAAAUCAAUACAUAUUGGUAGCGGUUGAUUAUGUGUCAAAGUGGGUAGAAGCGGUGACUUUGCCCACUAAUAACGCUCGGGUAGUAGUAAACUUUUUAAAGAAAAAUAUUUUCUCUCGCUAUGGCACCCCCCGAGCUAUCAUUAUGGAGGUAAAAAUUUUUGUAAUCGCCUCUUCGACUCAGUAUUGACCAAAUAUGGAGUAAAGUAUCGUGUAGCCACUCCCUAUCAUCCCCAAACUAGUGGCCAAGUUGAAAUUUCGAAUCGGGAGUUGAAGAGGAUUCUUGAAUUGACGGUGAGUGCCUCUAGAAAAGAUUGGUCCAAGAAAUUGGAUGAUGCAUUAUGGGCUUAUUGUACCGCGUUCAAAAUGCCCAUUGGUAUGUCUCCCUAUCGUCUUUUGUUUGGAAAAGCUUGCCACCUCCCAGUAGAACUUGAGCAUCAAGCUUAUUGGACAGUGAAAGCUUUGAAUUUUGAUGUGAAAUUGGCCGAUGAGAAAAGAUUGCUCCAAUUGAAUGAACUGGAUGAAGUCCGCCUUGACUCUUAUGAGAAUGCUCAAAUUUACAAAGAAGAGACAAAGAAAUGGCAUGAUAAACACAUUGUGAAAUGCGAGUUCUUUGUUGGGCAACAAGUUCUUCUCUACAAUUCUCGACUCCGAUUGUUUCCCGGAAAGCUCCGCUCAAGAUGGUCUGGUCCUUUUACCAUUGCUAAGAUUUUUCGACAUGGAGCAAUUGAACUUCAUCAUGAGGAAAAGGGAAAUUUCAAGGUUAACGGGCAACGAUUGAAACCAUACUUUGAAGGUGAUUUUUCUAAGGAGAAGUCCUCCAUUCCUCUUGCCAAUUUGGAGUGAACAAGGCCUAUAGUCGAGCUAGGGACUAUAACCAAGCGCUUUUUGGGAUGCAACCCAACUUUCUUAUCCUUAUACUUUUGUUAUUACAUUUUGAAUUAAUACAAUUCUUUUGUAGGUCAAAAUUUUUGUAGUCCUAGCCACCCAUAGAUCUCAACAAAUUUGGGGGUGCCUGGUCCCCAAAGUCAUAAACAAAAAAUUCAUCUACAACAUCCUUCAAAAAAAUCUAAUCGGCGAAGUUUCGUUAUCCCUCUCCUCUUUAUCUUGUUUUUUACACAUUGAGGACAAUGUGUGGUUUAAGUUUGGAGGUGAUUGUGCUUGAAUUGGUGAUAUUAUGUUGAUGUGCUAGAUAGCCUUGCCGGCUUUGCAUGGUUUUGAUGUUUGAAAUUGUUAUUGAUUCAUGAGUUAUGCAUAUAUGACCAAAUAUGCUAUUUGUGCGUAAUUUUUUCCCAAAAAAAAUAAAAAUUGCUUAUCUAUUGUGAGAUUUUGAAUUACUUUGGGCACAAUAGUCAUGAUUAAUUGUUAUCUAGAUGUGGAAAAUUUUUGAUUGAAGGAUAUAUUUUUGAAUUGCUUGAACUAGGUUGUGACUUGUAAGUUGUUUGGAAAUUUUUAUCAAUCUGUAUUCUCUUUUCUUUCACUUUAUCAUAUUAUGAGAUAAGUUUGGAGGUGGUCGAGCCGGUGAAGAAGAUUAUCUAGAAGUGUGUGAUUUCGUGCAUGUUGAAAAUAUUUGUGUAGAGUGUCUGUUACCGAGUAUAAGCUAGGUAAUGACCAUAUGCUAGGGAUCUAAGCCCCAUUUUUGUUGUGUUAAAAAAAAAUGGAGUUAUUGUACUUGUUGAAUCUUGGGCCUCACUUUGUAGCCUUUUUGACUUGAGUUAUUAAGUGCGUAGGGGUAUUUUGUAACCCGGUACCCUUUGGCCUAAACAACCGGAGAGUUAUCGACCUAAAGCUCGCUACAAGGGUCAAAAAAAAAGUUUAAGGGAGUGAGGUAAAACAUGGGAUUCGGCUAAAAAGGAAAAAAAAAAAAAAAAAAAGAGAAAAAAAUGUUAUUGAUAUUUGGGCUUAGAUAACUAGUGAGUUUGAAUUGCUUAGUAUAAACUUGAAUGUGAAAGCACUCAUUAGUAGAGAAUCAUCACAUAACUAGAGAUUGAUAUUACUAGUUAGACCCAAUCGAACUAGAGCGGGAAAAGAAAUGAGUGACUUGAGAGCAGCCUUAUAUUUACACCUCGGGGAAAGAAAUGAAUAUCUAUUUGAGGAGUGUAAAUUCCACGAGUGGGAAAGGAAAUAUUUGACUACAAAGGGUUGGGUUGGAGAGAAUCUGAAGAUUUUUCCGUCUUGACAAAUUUUUCCUAAUUUAGAUGAUAAUUGAAAGUGAUUUUACACAUAUACACCGAUCGAACAUUGGAUAAACUCAAAUUAUUUUUGUUAGCAUUAUUUGGAGCAUAUUUGUGAAUUGAUUAUACAAUUUUACACUCAUUGAUAUUUUUGGCAAGCUAUUUAGUGUGUUGACCAUGAUCACUUUUGCUUGAUUGUGUGGUAGAUAAUCUUGCUCGGGACGAGCAAGAGUUUAAGUUUGAGGGUGUGAUAAGUGUGUUUUUGCACACUUAUUGGGCACUUAAUUUGAUAUAAUUAUUGGUAAAAAGAAUGAAAUUCUACUCAUAGUUAAAUAAUAUUUGCUUUUGUAGGUAAAAAUCACCCAAAGAAAAGAGAACAAGGCAAAAGGAGGAAAAAUGACUAAAAUUGUACAAAAUUGUGAAGUUGGAGGCUAAGGCAAAGAAGUCAAAAAGUGGAGGAUUUGGGAUGCAAUUUAUGGAGGGCAAAAUCGAAAUGGAAGUCAAAAUCCGAGGACCAAAUUGUACAAAAUCAAAGUAGAGGAACUAGCAUGCAAUGUUUGAAACUUGGCUGCAAAAAGAAAACCAUUUUCAUGCUUUUGGACAGAGAACCAGGCGCCGCGGCACCCAUUUUAAAAGAAAAAAUGAGUUGGGGGACCUUUUUGUUAACUUUAGAAACUUCAGGGACCAAGGCUGCAAUUUUCCUAGUUUCUAAUAUAAAACCAGCAGCUGAGUUUUUAUUUGCAGCUCUUCAGUUUGGUCUUCUGCUGGGUUUUUUUUUUUUUUUUUUUUUUUUUUUUUUUUUUUUUUUUUUUUUUUUUUUUUUUUUUUUUUUUUUUUUUUUUUUUUUGGUAUUAAAAAAAAAAAAAAAAAAAAAGGGAUUGAAGUUGGAUGAAUUCUUGAAUUCAGGGACCAAUGUAUUGAGUUUGAAAGUAGAAGAGCCUAACAUGCAAUAUUAAAGGACUUGUGACUAAAUUACACAAACCUGUAAAAAGUCGACCCUUGCGAUCACAAGGGUAUAUUUAGUUGCGGUCGCAAAGACUUUUGCAGAAUUGCUUGUGAGAUAUAGUAGGUUAAAUCAAUCAAUUAGGGUUUAUUUCACUCGAGAGAGAUAAUUAGUUAAAAUUGAAAAAUCGGGUCUAACAUCGUAAAUGAGUAAUUCGUUAAUUGACAUAUGAAGAAAUUAAUUAGGCGACGGUUAAGCGAAACCAUGAAUCCCAACCACGUUUUCCUCCAAAAUUCCCAAGAUUUCCAUAUUUUCCUAGUUUGCGUUUUUUUCUUAGUUUCUAAAAUCAACUCUUUAUUGUGUGUUUGUUUAUUUUCAUUGUUAGAAUUAAAUUGAUUAAAAUUGUCUAAUAUAAAGUAAACAUUUCUCGAGGAUCGACAACCCGAACUUCAAAGGUCCACUUUAUUACUUGAACGCGACCCGUGCAUUUGCGGUAUUAUUUUAGCAAACACUUUCCUUUUAUUUUCUUGAUUUUAUGUUUCUCUUUUUUAGCGGACUUAAUAGCCAUUUUGCACGGAUUUGUUAGUGAGGAGUAUUUCCAAAAUAAAAAUGAAGGGUCGAAGACUGUGAUGCAAAUAAAUGAAGUUUGAGGAUAUAAAUGCAUAAGGAGUUGAAGAUUGAGAAUGUGGCUUAAAUUUUCCAAUAUUAAAAAGAAAAUGUUUUGCCCAAGUCAUUUUCUUGACUACUGUCAAGGAAAAAAAAAUAAAUAAAUCUUUUUGCGUUGAAAUUUGACUCCACAUUGUAGGAACUGUAUGGUCCACCCAUGUGAAAUCCAUUGAGUGCCAAAUCAGAGUUCCCGACAAAUUGUCGUAUGCCCAACAUGAUACAUGAUCUACAAUGUGUUACAAAUUGCCCCUGUAGACAUGUAUGUUUAAUCAAUAAAAAAAAAAGUCUGAAAUUUCCUCAAAUUCAAUAAUGAAUUCUUAAAUCAAAUCUGAAUAAUGAAUUUUCAAUCUUUUGAAUUACAAAAUUCGAAUUUUGAUCUCUAGAACUUGAUGAUUUUAACUUGCCAUUUCUAUAUAGUAUUACGUGUCAAACAUGCAAUGAUUUCAUACUUAUUCGUCCUUAUACUACAUCCUCAACUCUCUCCAUCAAAUUCUUCAUCUAUUCUUGCAAAAUAUAUUGUAGCUUAAAGUUAAACCGGUUUCAAGCAUAAUUUAUCGCUCGGGAAUUAUUCACUCAUAAAUAGAAUAUCUGCAAAUCUUGUAUUUUUGUGAAUUUAGUUAUUUUGUUAAUUGAGAAUAAGAUGAAUGAUAAUCUUCUUGGGAGAUCAUUCUUAUGUGAAAUUCAUACAAAUGUCUUGAGUGCUAUUUUCACCUUCACUCAUUUAUUAAAUAUUACAAGUUCUAGCUUUCAUAGGAAAAUAUAUUUUACUUGGUGUGCUGAAGAUAUUCUUCAACCUUCAGUAAAGUGGGGUUCUAGGUUCUCGACCCAAUUAAAUUUGGAAAUUACAUAAAUUGUUAACGUGAACGUCAAAACUGGACAUGACUUAAAAUUGAAUGUAAAGUGGUUUGAUGCUUUGCUCUCCAACUUUAAAUUACAUAAAAGUCAAGCAAUUCUAAUUUUCACAAUGACGAGUUUUUGCCACAUGGCGAUCCAAAUUCACAUAUUUAAAUACGUUGGGUACCCACGAUAGGGAUGACAACGGGAGAGAUGAGACGGGAUGGGAAGCCGCUAGGGAUUCGUCACGCCCUGUCCAAACCUUGAUCCCAGCUUAAGGUGGGGCGGUUGCAGGGGAUAGGGCAAUAUGGAUGGGAUGCCUCCUCUAUGCACAUAUUGUCCGUUUAAUUUUAUUUAAAUCAUAAGCCUUAGAUAUCUCUUUUUAAUUUUCACGCACUAACACAUACUAAAUGCCCACGUCAAUGGCUGCAAAAAUAGGGUCGGCCCUAAUAUUUUGGGGGCCUUAUGUCAAUUUCAAAUUGGGGCCCUAUAUUUUGAAUUUUCUUAUAUAGAGUUUUAGCCCCUGUUUGAUGAAGAUUAAGCCAUUGUUUGAGACUCAUUUUUUUCAUAAAAAUAUAUUUUUCAACAAUGAUUUGACACCACCAUGUCAACAUAUAUUUUUCAAUAAAAUAAUAUUACAUGCAAAUUCAAAAAUUUUCCUUAUUUUUUAAUCACACAUUCUCCAUCGUAUCACUUUCUCAAAAUGCAAUUUUUUUGGAGAAAAAUGAGGCUCAAAGGCUCAAACAACCCCUAAAAUAGAAUUUUCAUUUUUUUUUUCAAAAUGCAUUAUUAUUUUCUUAUGUUUGCAUAUGAUACUUCUAUACUACAGAAUUUCAUAAAUAUAAUUUUCAUUUUUUUUUCAACCAACAAAUUAACUUUACAUAAUUUGGGCCUCACUUAGGUGAUCGCCUAUUUCGUCUAUACUUAGGGCCACCACUGUGCAAAAACAACACAAGCCACCAAAUUUUGUGGUAAACACUGCAAGAAGAGGAGAACCCUAAACAAAGAGAGGUAAUGCUAAGAGGAACUCAUAAAUACGGAAUGGGGUGGAGAAGACAUGGCUGCUAGUUAAAGGAGAUGUGAUUGUGAGUCUCCAUCCUGUGCAACGAAGUCAUGACAUUGAUACCCAUCAACGUCGAUAGCUAGGGGCUGCUACAACGUGGUGCUAAGAAAUUGGGGGGGGGGGGUUUGGAAAUUUUGAAAUGUCUACGCUUUGUGUAAUGCACGUGCUUAUUUUUUGUGAUUAUCAUGUUUAUCUAAAUUAGUUGCGUUUAUGUUACAUUUACUAUUAAAUUAUUAUAAUUAUCAUAGUCGUGAUUAAUUAUGUUGAUAUAGUGGAAUGUGCCUUGGAUCAAAGUCGUGAUUAAUUAUGUUGAUACAGUGGAAUGUGCCUUGGACACUCUAUGCGAUCGACAUGCCUAUAGCUCCAAACUUAAAAUACAUAUGACUCUAUUUAAAUAUGCAAUUUAAUAUAAUUUGACGCCGUAUCACAUUCCUAUUAAUUUAAUUGUAUUGUCUAUAAUUAAUUUUAUUUAGUUAGAUUAAAUUAUAUAACGUAUUUAUCCUAUUAUGUACAAUCUCUUUUUUAGAUUGAACCUAGACAUUGAGUUGGAAGAUUUCUUUUUAUAAGUAAAUAAAUAAAUAAAAAUAAUAAUGAUAUAUAGUUAAUAAUUGAAUUAAUUUUCUAAUAGGAUCAAUUUAAGGUUAAGGAAGUUAAUAUAGAUAAAUAAGGAGGCGUAAUUUGUUAGAUUAGUACAAAUUAAACUAAAUAAACGCCAGUAGGUUUAGGAGUCUACAUAGUUGCCUUAUUUCACAUCUUUUUAAAAUUAAGUAGAAACUCUUUUUCCUGCCAAAAGUUUAAUUUCAAUUUCUUAUUUUGGGACUAGUAUGCUCUUGCAAUAAGGUAUGGUUCAUAAUUUAUUCAUGAUAUAAUCUAUCGGUUAACCUAUGUGUUUAAUUCUCUCUCUCUCUCUCUCUCUCUCUCUCUACACUACCAUAAAAGAGAGAAUGAGGGUUUACUGUUUAUUUUUGUCACACUCGUUUUCACACUUAACCGGUUUGGGAACUGGUUUGACAACAAGAAAAAUUCUAUUAAAAAAUACUAUAGGAAUUUUGUCAGGAAAAAUUCUAUUCAAAAUACUGUAGGAAUUUUGUCACACACCAUUGUCUACUGUAAUAUUUCUCCCUUGCUUUGAAUCUGACACACCAUGCUCUUUCUCCUAAUUCUCAAGCUAUAAACUACAAACUAUAUCUUAUAUAUUUAAAUUUUUUAAAUUAUAUUAAUAAACAAAAUUAUUGUAAAUAAACUAUAAAAAAAAUAUAUUCACUCUGUGCAUGGAGAAAAAAAUUUACGUCAUACUACAUAAUUUUUUUUGAGCAAAAUGAUGUAUUGAGAAAAUUGUUGGGAAAAAAUAAUAAAUAGUAAUAAAAUAAUUGAUUUUUUUAAAAGAAAAAUGACUUAUACGCAUUUUUUAACACAUACGUUUAAUGUCCGUUUAACUAUUUUCGAUAUUCAUUUAGAUCAUUCGAUGUGUCUAUGAUAUAGUUCUUGAAAUGAGUUUCGAGAGAAUGUAAAAUAUUUAUCGAUUCGACUAUCGUGCAAUCGUCAAUGAAUUUUUAAAGUUAACUCAUUAUCGAAAAUUUCGAAAUAUAGUUUGAAAAUGCCUAUUUUGACGUCCCGUAACAUUUGCUACGAUUAGCCGUUUCACGCAUCGUUAACGACAUGCAAUACUAUGCCGCAAGUACUUCAAAAUGAUAUUAAGAAUGUAAUAUUUCAAUUUCGUUUGAUAUCCCGUAAUGAGCCUGAGAUGAAUACAAAAACAUAAAUUAAAAAAAAAAAUUAGCAAACCUCCGUGCACGGAGGUUAAACCUCCAUACACGAAGGUUUAUGCGUGCGGGGAGUCCCCGCACAAAUAUGCAAUUUUUUUUUUUACUUUUAUUUGUAGUACAUUUUUUUAUUAAUAUUUAAUUUAAAAAAAUUAAAUAUAUCUAAAUAUUUACUUAAAAAUGUUGAAAUUAAUAUUUUUUACGUAUAAGUAACUUUUACAAUUAUAAUUUUUUUUAUUACUUUUAAAUAACUUGAAGUGAUUUGUUUAUUUAUAAAUAACUUUUUACAUUCUCGAUAGUUUAAUCUUUUUAUUAAUAUUUAAUUUUAAAAACUAAAUAUAUCUAAAUAUUUGUACUUAAAAAAUUCACAUUUUUUUAUAUAAGUAGCUUUUGCAAUUAUAAGAGAAUGAGGGAUUAAUAUUUUUUUAUCUUUUAGAUAGUGUAAUCUCUUUUUUUACUUUUAAAUAACUUAACCGAUUUGGGAACUGGUUUGGUAACAGGAAAAAUUCUAUUCAAAAAUACUGUAGAAAUUUGUCACAUGCCAUUUGAGUGCAAUGUCACAUCCACUGCAAUAUUUCUCUCUUACUUUGAAUCUGACACACCAUGCUCUUUCUCUUAAUUCUCACGUUAUUAACUAUUAAUCAUAUCCUAUAUAUUUAAUUUUUUAAAAUUAUAUUAAUAGAAAAACUUAUUGUAAAUAAAAUGUAAAAAAAAAAAUAUAUAUAUAUAUAUAUUCACUCCGUGCAUGAAGAAAUUUUUUUACGUCAUACCACAUAAGUUUUCUUAAGCAAAAUGAUGUAUUGAGAAAAUUAUUGCGAAAAAAUAAUAAAUAGUAAUAAAAUAAUUGAUUUUUUUUGAAGAAAAACGAUUUAUACGCAUUUUUUAACACAUAUGUUUAAUGUGCGUUUAACUAUUUUUGAUAUUAAUUUACAUCAUUUGAUGUGUUUAUGAUAUAUUUCUCGAAAUGAGUUUCGAGAGAAUGUAAAACAUUUAUUGAUUUGACUAUCGUAUAGUGGUAGAUGAAUUUUUAAAGUUAGCUUAUUAUCGAAAAUUUCGAAAUACAGUUUGAAAAUGUCUAUUUUGACGUCCCGUGACAUUUGCUACGAUUAGCCGUUUCACGCACCGCUAAUGACGUGCAAUACUAUAUCGCAAGUACUUUAAUAUGAUAUUAAGAAUAUAAUAUUUUAAUUUCGUUUGAUAUCCCCUAAUGAGUCUAAAAAUGAACAUAAAAACAUAAGCUAAAAAAAAAUGAAGCAACAUGUAUUAAACCUCCUCAUGUCCUCGGUGCACGCACCAAUCCGAUUUUUGGUUACCCAUUUUCUCCACCACUUAACCCUAAUUGUUCUCUCUCUCUCUCUCUCUCGAUCGGCACCAUUGUAGCAAGAAAUUCUGGAAAACCUGAAGCAACUGAGACAUAUACUUGUAAGUCUAAUCAUCACUGCUUCGACUUCUUUCUCUUCUCUUCUGUAUAUUGCUUCUAAUUUGUCGAGUUGUAUUGUUCAAUAUAUUCUUAGUUUUCAAUUUUUUUUUUUUUUUUUUGUUUUUUGAAGAGUUCAAGCCCAAAUACGUAAAGUCAUGUUUCAAGGGGGGGUUAGGUUUGGGUUGUUGUGUAUAUGUUUUUCAAUUUAUAUAGCUGUGGUAUUGAAUAUGAGAUUUCUUGUCCAAUUUGCUUUUUUUUUUGUUCCCCGUUUUCCUUCUUCUGAGAGGUCGAACCCAAAAUACCUAAAGUCUAUUAUUUUCAUGUUGUUAUUAUUUUUUUCUAUUAUUAUUUUCAUGUUAUUAUUAUUAUUUUUUUUUGUUCAAUUUCUUCGUGUUGUGUAUAAGUUUUUUUUUAUUUCUGCAGCCGUCAUGUUGAAUAUGAGAUUUUUUGUUCAAUCUGUGUUUUUUUCCUCAUUUUUUGUAAGAAACUGAACUGAAAAGACAUAUAAUUUGUUCUUCCCAUGUUUGGCUCUUUGAUUAUAUUUAACUUUAAGAAGGAGAACAAAAUGUUUCAAGUCGGAUAAUUCAUUAAAUACCCAAAUGCAAAUUCCGAAAAAGGUUAUCAUUGCUUUUCACUUGCUGCAAUUGAUACACAUGAGUGCUUAAUUUGAUGUUUGUGAUUGACAGAUUUUGAUGAAUACUGUACUACCANNNNNNNNNNNNNNNNNNNNNNNNNNNNNNNNNNNNNNNNNNNNNNNNNNNNNNNNNNNNNNNNNNNNNNNNNNNNNNNNNNNNNNNNNNNNNNNNNNNNNNNNNNNNNNNNNNNNNNNNNNNNNNNNNNNNNNNNNNNNNNNNNNNNNNNNNNNNNNNNNNNNNNNNNNNNNNNNNNNNNNNNNNNNNNNNNNNNNNNNNNNNNNNNNNNNNNNNNNNNNNNNNNNNNNNNNNNNNNNNNNNNNNNNNNNNNNNNNNNNNNNNNNNNNNNNNNNNNNNNNNNNNNNNNNNNNNNNNNNNNNNNNNNNNNNNNNNNNNNNNNNNNNNNNNNNNNNNNNNNNNNNNNNNNNNNNNNNNNNNNNNNNNNNNNNNNNNNNNNNNNNNNNNNNNNNNNNNNNNNNNNNNNNNNNNNNNNNNNNNNNNNNNNNNNNNNNNNNNNNNNNNNNNNNNNNNNNNNNNNNNNNNNNNNNNNNNNNNNNNNNNNNNNNNNNNNNNNNNNNNNNNNNNNNNNNNNNNNNNNNNNNNNNNNNNNNNNNNNNNNNNNNNNNNNNNNNNNNNNNNNNNNNNNNNNNNNNNNNNNNNNNNNNNNNNNNNNNNNNNNNNNNNNNNNNNNNNNNNNNNNNNNNNNNNNNNNNNNNNNNNNNNNNNNNNNNNNNNNNNNNNNNNNNNNNNNNNNNNNNNNNNNNNNNNNNNNNNNNNNNNNNNNNNNNNNNNNNNNNNNNNNNNNNNNNNNNNNNNNNNNNNNNNNNNNNNNNNNNNNNNNNNNNNNNNNNNNNNNNNNNNNNNNNNNNNNNNNNNNNNNNNNNNNNNNNNNNNNNNNNNNNNNNNNNNNNNNNNNNNNNNNNNNNNNNNNNNNNNNNNNNNNNNNNNNNNNNNNNNNNNNNNNNNNNNNNNNNNNNNNNNNNNNNNNNNNNNNNNNNNNNNNNNNNNNNNNNNNNNNNNNNNNNNNNNNNNNNNNNNNNNNNNNNNNNNNNNNNNNNNNNNNNNNNNNNNNNNNNNNNNNNNNNNNNNNNNNNNNNNNNNNNNNNNNNNNNNNNNNNNNNNNNNNNNNNNNNNNNNNNNNNNNNNNNNNNNNNNNNNNNNNNNNNNNNNNNNNNNNNNNNNNNNNNNNNNNNNNNNNNNNNNNNNNNNNNNNNNNNNNNNNNNNNNNNNNNNNNNNNNNNNNNNNNNNNNNNNNNNNNNNNNNNNNNNNNNNNNNNNNNNNNNNNNNNNNNNNNNNNNNNNNNNNNNNNNNNNNNNNNNNNNNNNNNNNNNNNNNNNNNNNNNNNNNNNNNNNNNNNNNNNNNNNNNNNNNNNNNNNNNNNNNNNNNNNNNNNNNNNNNNNNNNNNNNNNNNNNNNNNNNNNNNNNNNNNNNNNNNNNNNNNNNNNNNNNNNNNNNNNNNNNNNNNNNNNNNNNNNNNNNNNNNNNNNNNNNNNNNNNNNNNNNNNNNNNNNNNNNNNNNNNNNNNNNNNNNNNNNNNNNNNNNNNNNNNNNNNNNNNNNNNNNNNNNNNNNNNNNNNNNNNNNNNNNNNNNNNNNNNNNNNNNNNNNNNNNNNNNNNNNNNNNNNNNNNNNNNNNNNNNNNNNNNNNNNNNNNNNNNNNNNNNNNNNNNNNNNNNNNNNNNNNNNNNNNNNNNNNNNNNNNNNNNNNNNNNNNNNNNNNNNNNNNNNNNNNNNNNNNNNNNNNNNNNNNNNNNNNNNNNNNNNNNNNNNNNNNNNNNNNNNNNNNNNNNNNNNNNNNNNNNNNNNNNNNNNNNNNNNNNNNNNNNNNNNNNNNNNNNNNNNNNNNNNNNNNNNNNNNNNNNNNNNNNNNNNNNNNNNNNNNNNNNNNNNNNNNNNNNNNNNNNNNNNNNNNNNNNNNNNNNNNNNNNNNNNNNNNNNNNNNNNNNNNNNNNNNNNNNNNNNNNNNNNNNNNNNNNNNNNNNNNNNNNNNNNNNNNNNNNNNNNNNNNNNNNNNNNNNNNNNNNNNNNNNNNNNNNNNNNNNNNNNNNNNNNNNNNNNNNNNNNNNNNNNNNNNNNNNNNNNNNNNNNNNNNNNNNNNNNNNNNNNNNNNNNNNNNNNNNNNNNNNNNNNNNNNNNNNNNNNNNNNNNNNNNNNNNNNNNNNNNNNNNNNNNNNNNNNNNNNNNNNNNNNNNNNNNNNNNNNNNNNNNNNNNNNNNNNNNNNNNNNNNNNNNNNNNNNNNNNNNNNNNNNNNNNNNNNNNNNNNNNNNNNNNNNNNNNNNNNNNNNNNNNNNNNNNNNNNNNNNNNNNNNNNNNNNNNNNNNNNNNNNNNNNNNNNNNNNNNNNNNNNNNNNNNNNNNNNNNNNNNNNNNNNNNNNNNNNNNNNNNNNNNNNNNNNNNNNNNNNNNNNNNNNNNNNNNNNNNNNNNNNNNNNNNNNNNNNNNNNNNNNNNNNNNNNNNNNNNNNNNNNNNNNNNNNNNNNNNNNNNNNNNNNNNNNNNNNNNNNNNNNNNNNNNNNNNNNNNNNNNNNNNNNNNNNNNNNNNNNNNNNNNNNNNNNNNNNNNNNNNNNNNNNNNNNNNNNNNNNNNNNNNNNNNNNNNNNNNNNNNNNNNNNNNNNNNNNNNNNNNNNNNNNNNNGAUUGAGCUGGUGUGACUGCAAUGGUAUAAUUAUUGCAUGUUUAAUUAUUGUACAUGCAUGUAUUAGCCAAUAAUUUUUGCUUCCCCAGAAAAUUCAACUGAUGGGGAUAAAUUGGAAAAACUUUCUCGUUGUCAUUUGCAUCAUCUGCAAUCAAGCGUUAGCAAGCGCAAUCGUGCUUGGUGUACAAUCAUUUUUACAAUAUUGUUGAUAACAUGCCAUGGGUCAUGUUGUCAUUGGAUAAUUUAAAAAACAAUUUAUAUUUCCUACUAACACUUUUAUGACAUAUACAACAUCGUCAACAAUGUUGUCAAAAAUCAUUGUACAAAUGGCAUUAUCCUAGCAAGAAACACAAGGCAUACGGUGAUGCAAAUAAUGGGCAUAAGCCAUUAGCAUACGGAGAAAAGCCAAGGAAGGCAGCAAACGUUCCUUUUGAUAUUUCCUUACUUGAUAAGUUGCUGUCAGCUUUCUUCCCUUCAUUUUUCUUCCUAAAAAAUAAUUUGUUAUUUGUACUCCUCAUACAUGUGGAAUUCAUGGAUCUUAGGAUAAUCCCAACGCCUAAAAUAUUCGUUGAUGACUUUUGCAUUCCCUAGGCUAAAUUUCACUGGUUUUGUUGAAGAUAUCUAUAUAUAUGUAGAUGAAUAAUACUAUUUUUUCGAGUGUAGAUGAUUUCCUUACGAUAGUAGAAUUUGUUGCUCAAUUCUACACUAAUGGUCAUUAGUUGCUUUCUUUGCCAUUUAUGCUUGUUUUCUUAUUAUAUUUCAUUUCGGGUUUAAUUUUAAUUUAGUGAUAUUAUGGUACAUGGUGUUUGUUAUACUGUGGCUAAGUUCUCAUUUUUAGGUACAUUUGGAUUCAUUAACAUUCUUUUACAUGGCUGUUCUUUAAAACUUAGCCAAAGAUGAUGUUGCAUGGUUGAAGUGGCAAGGUUUUCAUAUUUAGGUAGAAUCAUUUUUGUAUCUAAUACUAAGAGUUGUAACCAAAAUGGUUAAAGUAGGACAAAAGCUUUUACUUAGUGUUUCAUUAUGAUACAUGGAUUGAAAUUUAGAUCUAUCCUAUAACCUCUAUAACUGCAGAUAAUGUAUGUAUUAGAUAGUUUUCUCUUAUAAUUAAAUAUAUAUUAAAUUCUUUUGUCAAAGCAAUUAGUUACAAGGUGUAAGAAAUAUUAAUUUUGUAACAUAGAAUGGAGUUAAUUCGUGAAGUUUAUCAGUUAUUAAGUACUAUUAUUUUACAACAUGUUCAUUUUAAGAGAAUUGAUGUUACUUGAGAAAUUGAAGGAAUGCAUUUGUUGCGCCAAAAGGGGAUAAAGACUGAAUAGACAUAGGUAUUCUUUGACCUAACGAAAGAACUGAAAAAUACCAUGCAUGGUGUUUGAUUAAUAAAGUGCUUUCUCUGUGUUGUGGUAUAUCUUAUUGUCUGAUGCAGGCAAUAAGAUCACUAGGGAAAUGAGAGCUUUCCAAAAUACCAUAGAAUCUUGAAGGAAAUUCAAGUUUGAUUACUUCAGGUAUGUUAGUUUCUAUUUUUUGUUGUCAAUCUUCAAAUUGUUUGUUUUCUCUUUUCAGAAAAUUUAACAAACCGUUCCCAAAAUACCAGAAAAUUUCGACAAAAAUUGGACUCCGAGGACCUCGAGUAUCUUCCUUUAUUAUUUUUCUGUGUAUUUUUUGUUGAAUUAUCUUCAUAUCUACUCUGAAGUUUUCGUUCUUUUCCGUCUAUGUUUGAAGUUCUUUGCAAGGAAAGAAAAGAUUCACGUACAAAUUGAAGAGUAUCAAAAUAAGGUAUGUCGAUUUCAUAUUUGCCUUUAAUAAGGUAUGUCGAUUUCAUAUUUGCCUUUUUUUUUCUUUUUUUCAAAUAAAUCAUUCUCACUAUUUGUUAUCUGUUUGUAUUUUAUUUGAUUUCUCUAUUUCAUUUUAUUGCUUUUUGUUGGUUGUUUAACCUAUUCGGCGUUCGUCGCAACUUGUACAAAUAAACCAUGACAAGAAUAUUGUACUUGUAAAUAGGUAAUAUUAUUUCAUUUUUUAGAUAGUAAUUAUGAAUAGGGAGAGGAGAAAGCGAUUAAACUAUUCACAUUCUCCUCUGUGAUUCCUAACAACAAAGGACUGAUGACUCUAUCGAGAAACAAAAGUAGCAACUUCAGAAGGAAAGAAUUGAAUCAAAUUGCCAUUAAUUUUUUUUGGUAAUAAAUGAAUUAAAUUUCGGUUAUUUUGUUAAUUAAUUUAGUGUUGAUUGAUUUUUUUUUUUUACCGUAUUUUAUCUUUAAAUACAUAUGCAAUCAUUUGUGCCAAAAGACAAAAGUGAAAAUUGAUGGGGUUUUAUUUUUUUUUUUUUUAUUUUUUAAAUGGGUUUGCAUUGUGUUAGAAAUGGGAAGGAUUUUGACACCAAACCGUCUGAUUAUGGAGAAAAGAUAAUAAGUUAAGAAAGAACGGGAAGUUAUUUAAAAAAUUUCAAGUUUUUUCAUAUUAUGUAGGAGAUGGGAUUUCUAUUUUUCUGGCAGAAUUUUCAUCAAUUGUCCAAAUUCAUUUGUCAAUGAGGUAAUUGCUAUUCCAUUAUGCCACAUACAAAGGAUAGAUUUUUGAAUCAAUUUUCGUCUAAGGAUUUGGUUCUAUGGUGUCUCAAAUCCAUGCAUUCGCUGCAUAGUUCUAGCCAGUAGUUCUUAGCCAAAGAGAAUAAACAUUCUAUAACUAUUUAUGAUAAAUAUGAAAUUCACUCAUUUGCUUAUGAGCUGCAUUAUUUAGAAAUAGAUUUUUUUUCCCUCUCUCAUUUUCCCUUCAAAACUCCAUUUUCUCCCCUCUUUUCCUUUUUUUGGAUGGAAAUUUUUUUAAUGGAAUUAUCCUUUUCAGACUUAGAAUCUGAUAUAAUCAUUUUCUUAUAUCUUCGAAAGACAAUCAGGUAUGACUUUUAGAUUUCCUUUUGUAAAAAUCUUAUGUUGCAAUGCUAUUGGAAUUUCAAUGAAAGAGAAUUUUUCUAAUACCCUUUUUUUCUUUUUUUAUGGAGAUUGUAUAUUCACCCAAUGGCUAUUAUUUCGAUUAUUUGUUUAAAUUUUUUUGUGUUAAGGUUGCAAUUUUUUUUGCCUUUUGGAAAUCACUUAAUGGGGUUGUCAGUCUCUUUUCUUGAUUUAAAUAUCUCUCAGGACUUAAUUUGAAGGCAUGCAUUAUGUGAGAACAUGUGAAGGAAGUGAUAAUAUUUUAAUGUAGGGUUUUGAAGAAGUUCAAAGACAAGAUAUCUGAGUUCCAGGUAAAUUAGAUACACAAUAUAAUGGAAAGGUUUGAAUUUCUUCCAAUUCUUCUUUCCAUUUCUCAUUAUCUCUUAAUAAUAAUUUUCUAUAGGCUUUAAGACAAAACAUCCAUCGAGAGUAUCGUGAAAGUUGUCAAGAGGCGUGUAUUCACAGGUUUAACCCUUAUUAUAUGAAAUGAACUUGUGUAACUCUGUGUAAUAGGUUCCUUUCUCUUUAUUCAAUUAACAAUUUCCUUUUUCAUGAACCUCAGUGACAGAAAGUCAAGCUAAUGAAGAGGUAAAACUUGCAACCACGUUUUUAUUCUAAUAAUUAGAAUGUCAUGGACAGGUUUCUCAUUGCUCAAAUGUUUUGCCGCAGACAAUUGAUAAUUGACCAGGACUGGGGAUAGUGAACAAAUCCUUAUGACAUUGUUGUUAUGUGUUAAUUGUCUCAAUGGCAUAUUUCUAUUUACAUAUCUAUAUUAAGGAAGUUAGGACUAUUGGAAUGCUACAUGUUGCAACUUAUAAGCUCAAAUUAAUAAGCAAGUAUGAAAAUAAAGCUUAAUAUCUCAUGGCUGAAAAUAAUCGUUUAUUAGAUUCACGUAUUAUAAUUUUCUGGAUGUAUUCAUCUGUUGUUUUGGUUCCAUUAAGCAUGUGACUUCGGGAUUGCCUCCUCUAAAAUUUGUUCACAUCAAAGAGCAUUCCAUGUUUUAUUGUUAUUUAUUUUUGAAACUUUAACUAAUUCAACUAUGUAAUUAUGGCCCCAUUUGAUCUAUGUACAAGGUUCUGAGAAAUUAUAUAAUUGCAACUGUUGGAUUGUCAAAAGCUUCCACAUGUUGAGCUCGUUUUAAUUUUUCAGUAGAAUUUGAAUUGUAUAAAUGUUGUCUUUAGCAUUCCUCUCAAAACGUUUGUUUUUUUAUGUUUCAUGUAUUGCUUUUUCUUAAGAGUUAUUUAGUUUUACUAGCUUCUUUUUUAAUACAUUGGUCCUAAAAUGGUUUUCUACAAUUUCCUUUGUAACAGGCAAGCUUAGUUACUAGCACCACAAGUUACCAUGUUCCACCACAAAAGUAAUUGUCAAAGUGAUUAGGCGAGUGAUGACCUGAGCAUGAACACGUGGAUAGUUAGGAACAUCUCCCAUUGUCAUUCAAAAACCAUAUUACUAGGAUUCAAGGUAAGUAUACCUCACAUUGUCUUCAUGUGCAUAUUUAAUUAUUAAAUGUAUAAAUGUGUUACUUAAAUUUGUUAUUAUGUGAUCUUGAUAUUUAAUUAUUUCGUUUUAUGUCAUUAAUGCUUCUUUAUGACAUAUUCAUACACAUCAAUGCAUCCAUAAGCAUACAAGAAGUUCCAAGAAAAAAUGAAAGUUUCCAAAUGUUAAUGAAGCAAGGAAUGUUUUUAAAGAUAUAUAUCUCGAAUAUUUUCUUACGAGGUGUAUAUCUAUGUCAUGAAGGGUGUGAGUGGGGAACCGGCACACCCGACUAAUGUUCAAUGAUAAUGUUAAUGUUAUUCGUUUUGUGGACCUAUUGGUAGGACUCGAUCGUGUUCCAAAUAAUAAAUGUACACUGCAUUUUGAUUGGCUAGGUGAUACAUCAAGUGAGCUCACGACGUCAAUAUUAAAUUUUUUUUUUUUUUUAAAAAUGAAUGAAAGAGGAUACAUAUUGAGGAAUGAUUUUAUCUUAAAAUAAUUCAUGUGCAUAUCAUAAGCAUAUAUCAUAUGCAUGAGAUUUGCUUCCUAAGCGUUCGCUCAUUUCACGUUAUUCCUCCCAAUUUUUAGAUAAUGAAGGCAACAAUUCAAGACGAUUACUUGUGGUGCAAUGGAUUGAGUACUAAUAUAUUCAAAAAUUGACUCCUUUUAGAAUAUAAAGUUAACAUUUAAUUUUAUUGUUUUUUAAAUUUAAGUGUAAAAGUUUUCUACAAGUUACGCUCAUAAACGAAGUUAAUAAUGUUCAUUAUAUCAAAGAAAAAUUUCGUUGCUUCCGCAUUUAUAAUUUUAAUAGAAAACCUUUAGCACCAUAUCUUAAGACAUCGAGGAUGUCUAGGAUCCAGGCCCCCCCCCCCCCCCCCCCCCCUUCCCCCCANNNNNNNNNNNNNNNNNNNNNNNNNNNNNNNNNNNNNNNNNNNNNNNNNNNNNNNNNNNNNNNNNNNNNNNNNNNNNNNNNNNNNNNNNNNNNNNNNNNNNNNNNNNNNNNNNNNNNNNNNNNNNNNNNNNNNNNNNNNNNNNNNNNNNNNNNNNNNNNNNNNNNNNNNNNNNNNNNNNNNNNNNNNNNNNNNNNNNNNNNNNNNNNNNNNNNNNNNNNNNNNNNNNNNNNNNNNNNNNNNNNNNNNNNNNNNNNNNNNNNNNNNNNNNNNNNNNNNNNNNNNNNNNNNNNNNNNNNNNNNNNNNNNNNNNNNNNNNNNNNNNNNNNNNUUUUUUUUUUUUUUCAAUUAGGGGCAAAAAACGACGCCGUUUGCUUGAUAUAUAUUUUAUUUUAUUGUACACUACCUCCAAAUUUACUGCAACAUGCAAUUUUCAUUCUUCGCCUACUUCGAUAUAGAUAUAUAUAGUAGAGAUAUAAGAAAAAUACCACUUUUAUAUUAAAAAAAAAAUAAAAAAAGAUAGAGAUAAUAUAGGACUGAAUUUUUUUUACAACAUAUUACUUGUAAGUAAAAAAAUUGAAGAGAAACGAAUUAAAGAGAAUUUUAAAUUGAAAAAAAAAUUAUAACGUAAAAACUACACAGCAAAAAAAAAAAGUAAGUAAUCUCUUCGUGCAUGGAGCAAAAGCUCCCGUGCAUGGAGACAUUAGUCAUUUUUUAUUUUCCAUUUUGUUUAUGUCAAACAAAUGUUCUUCUACACAUCAUGUCAUUAGCAUUAAAAAAUAAUAAUAAUUUUAGUAAAUAUAAAUUACCACGAGCAAAAAAAAAAAACUCCUCUCCACACAAUGCGGAGAGAUGGCAAACCAUGUGCGUAGAGUUGACAAACUCUCUGUACAGUGAGAAGUUAAAAAAAAAUUUAUAAAUUUUUUUUUAUUACAAUUAACAUAAAAAAAUCAUUUUUAUCUUCAACAAAAAAACACAUUUAAAAAUUAGCAAUUUCAUAAUCACUUUUUUUUUAUUCCCGAAAAUACAAUUAUAAAAAAGAAAAUAAUAUUGAAUUAUAAAAACCAAUAUCUGCGAAAUACGGUAUCUAAAGACAAUAUGUGCAAAUACGGUAUGAUGUAAAUACAGUAUGAUGCAAAUAUGAUAUACUGUAUAUAUAGUAUGAUACAAAUACGAUAUGUUGUAAAUACGAUAUGAUGCAAAUAUGGUACGCUGUAAAUACGGUGUGCUGCAUAUACGGUAUAAUGCAAAUACAGUAUGAUGCAAAUACGGUAUGCUGUAAAUACGGUGUGCUGCAUAUACGGUAUGAUGCAAAUAUAAUAUGCUGCAUAUACGGUACGUUGUAAAUAUGGUAUGCGUAAAUACGGUAUAUUACAUGUAUGAUAUAUAUAAUGCAUAUGCGGUAUGAAUAAAUCCGGUUUCAUCCACUACAAUAAAUUUCAAUACCAUAUAUGCUGUCUUUCGUAUUUGCAGUUUACCAUAUAUGCAGCCUACCGUAUUUGCAGGCAACUUACCGUAUAUGCUACCUACUUUAUGUGCAGCUUAUCGUAUAUACCAUUUUUGCACUUACAAAUACCGAGAGUGCAGAACACCAUACAUUCACUUAUCAAACGAAUGUCAGAAAAAAAUUUCAGAUUUUUACUUUUCAACAUAAGCAUAAAAUAAAUAUUAAAAUAUAUGAAAGACAAAAUAUAAAACGCAUAUAAAUAUGCAAGUUGAUUUAUAAUUAUGCAGUGGCACAUAUUAUACAUUUAAAAUUUCUUAUGUCGGUGCAAAAUAACUUUGAAGUCAUUCUAGAGCAAAUUAAACCACUGCAAUGUCUAUUCUAGAAAUACAAUUGUGCAAAUUAAUAUGAAUUAAAUCUACAUUACAUUGGACUUGGAUUUAUUUAUAACAAAUAUUGGUGAUUAGUCUAAAGACAAUAUGUGCAAAUACGGUAUGCUAUAUACUAUAUGUUAUAGUUAAGAUAUAACAUACUAUACGUAUAUGUUAUAAUACAAUGUUUAGCAUAAUAUAAUGAGAAAUUAUUGUUGUACAAUUUUUUUUUGUUAUAUUACAGCAAAAUGCAUAUUACAACAUAUAACUUACCGUAUGUGCUCUAAUACAAUCUGUGCGGCGACUUUCUAUUUUUUUUAAAAUUUAAUCAUGUAACCUAAUAUUUGUUUAGUUUGUUAUUUUAUUAAUUAAAAAUAUGUAUUAAAUCUAAUAACAAAAUAUAAUUACAAGAAUAAGUUUAAUUUCAAUAUAAUAAAAAAAAUUUCGAGGAAAUAAUCAUUGCUAACAACAAAAGAAUCUAAAAAAAUGAAGAAGACAAAAACGAAAAAAGUAAAAUUUGUGAAAAGAAGAAAAUGAAAACAUGAUACCAAAAAAUUUGGCAUUAUUGUUUGAAUGAGAAAUGUUUUAUUGAUACACAAAAGACUUUUGCAGUCACCAGGUUAAAAGUAUAGAUUUAUUGUGUUGUGAAUUUUUUUUAAAUAAUCGUAGUAAAUCUUCUUGUUACGAUAAUAAAAUUACAAUAAUUUUUUUUUUACAAAUAGCAUAAAAAAAUCAUUUUUAUCUUCAACAAAAAACACAUGUAAAAAUUUUCAAUUUCAUAAUCACCUUUUUUUUUAAAUUCCCCAAAAUAAAAUUAUAAAAAAGAAAACAAUAUUGAAUUACAAAAACCAAUAUCUGCCAAAUACGGUAUCUAAAGACAAUAUGUGCAAAUAUGGUAUGCUGUAAAUAUGGUAUGAUGCAAAUACAGUAUGCUGUAAAUACGAUCUGAUUCAAAUACGGUAUGCUGUAAAUACGAUAUGCUGCAUAUAUGGUAAGCUGCAAAUACGGUAUGCGUAAAUACGGUAUGUGGCAUAUAUGAUAUGUAAAGUGCAUAUACGGUAUGAAUGAAUCCGGUUUCAUCCACUACAAUAAAUUUCAAUACCGUAUAUGCUGUCUACCGUAUUUGCAGCCUACAAUAUAUAUAGUCUACCGUAUUUGUAGGCAACUUACCGUAUAUGCUACCUACCGUAUUGCAGCUUACCGUAUAUACUGAUUUUUGCGCUUACAAAUACUGAGAAUGCAAAACAUCAUACAUUCACUUAUCAAACCGAAUGUCAGAAAAAAAAUUUCAUAUUUUUAUUUUUUCAACAUAAGCAUAAAAUAAAUAUUAAAAUAUAUGAUGCUCAAUCUUCAAUUUUUCAAUAUUGAAUUACACAAAUUUUAGAAAUAUAAUGUUCACAUUCAAUUCAAUCAUAUCAACACUAUCAAAGAAUACAGGCAAAAUAGUUUGUAUAACCUCGUAUAUUUCUUAUUUAAGUAUGAAAUAUACAAGCAUAUUUUUUUAGAUAACACAAUACUGUUGUAAUUGUAAAAAUAAUUUGCAAUCAUUUUCUUAUAUCAUGAAAAUAUUUCUAGAUAUUACUUCAAAAACUUUCCAAAAAACUAAAAUUCAUAAGCUAAUAAAAAUAUGAUAAAUACAAAAUUCGUGCAACGCACAUGACAGCGACUAGUAUGAAGAAAAAGGGCAAAUGACUAACCUAUUCAAUGUAGUGAAGUGGCUCUUGUAUUCAAUGUUCACAUGCCCAAGAUGGGUUCAAUUCCCAACAUUGUGAAAUUAAUUUUUCCUCCAAUUUUCGGGGCGAUUUUGAGGUGGAAACCUUGUUCCCUUGUAGUGUCUCUACACGAGAUAAGAACUCUUUUCCUAGCCGGGCCAGCCUACCCUAAUUCCUCGAUUAAUCAAGAAUUUUCUGUUAUUUAGGAUAGUCCUUGUUGGCAUCAAGACAAUCGAAAAUAAUUGUCAUCCUAACCUAAAAUAUCAUUUUUGAAUGUUGAGACCCGAAACCAUAUUAAUUCAAAUGUUAUCUAGCACAAAUCUAAUUUUUCUCAUAUUGAAUAGAAAUUCACGUGCCCACCUUUAAACAAAACAAUUGUAGAAGAAAAAUCAAGAAAAUAUAAAGAAUAUCGCAAAAUUCACUUAAAGGCCACUGCCUCCCACUACUGGGCAAAUCUCCUGAAUCGAACCGAAUCGAACCUGACGGUUCUUCUCAAAUUAAAUACCCAAACGGGUAUCUGAAUUAAGAACUGACGGGUACGAUUCGGUUCUCGAUUCUAGACGAAGAACCGAAUAUUCCUAAUUUUUAUUUUUUUAUAUUGAAUAAAUCAAAUUAUUUUAAUUUUUUCCAAACAAAUUAACAAAUUAGGUGAUUAAUUGAUACUUUAUCUCCUAAGCCCUAGCCUAGCUAGCUUGACCUAACCCAACCAAUUUCUAAAUCCAAUUUUUUGGCCCAAUUAUUUGUUUCAUUUCUAUUUUUUUAAUUUUUAGCCCAAGUGUCAUUUUUAGUUUUUAUUCUUCCAUUUUUUUAGCCCAACAUCCAAGUGAUCCAACCCACUAGUGACUAACCCUAAAUAAAUUACACACAUUAUCACCUACACAUAACACAUUUGACAUUCCAAAACUCAAAUAGAUGUAUAGAACCUCCGACUUCGAGUCCGAAGCUAUGACCUCCGGGCUCCGAUGACGACCUUUGACCGUUGAUUAUUUGAAUAAGGUAGUGUGUAAGCUUUCCUAUAUGUGAUUGGUAAAUUAAUCUUGUUGGACAACUUGUUAUAUACAUGUCAAAUUGGAUUACGUUAAUUUAUAAAAUUACGAUUGAAUGUGUUAUUAGUUGUAUUUAUAUAGUGUUGUUAUAAAUGUUAAAAAAUUUAAUUAUAUAGUACAGAACAGAACCGAACCGAACGGAACUGAACCCGAACGGUUCCAUAAUUAUAUUUGGACCCGACAGUUCUAUUUACUAAAUAUCCAAAAUUUUUGGUUCGGUUCUCUAGUGUGUAAGCUUUCCUAUAUGUGAUUGGUAAAUUAAUCUUGUUGGACAACUUGUUAUAUACAUGUCAAAUUGGAUUACGUUAAUUUAUAAAAUUACGAUUGAAUGUGUUAUUAGUUGUAUUUAUAUAGUGUUGUUAUAAAUGUUAAAAAAUUUAAUUAUAUAGUACAGAACAGAACCGAACCGAACGGAACUGAACCCGAACGGUUCCAUAAUUAUAUUUGGACCCGACAGUUCUAUUUACUAAAUAUCCAAAAUUUUUGGUUUGAUUCGGUUCACUUUAAAAUCGAACCGAACCGACUUACGCCCAGGCCUAAUCAUAACAAUAAUUAUAUACAUCUCUACCUUAUUUCAAUACCAUUCCUUUCACACCAUGUGGGACCCAUCUUUAAACUAAUGGUCAAAAAUUGAUUUUCAAAAUAAGCUCCUAACAGGUUCAUAGAGGUAUAAUCAUUAGGCCCUUAUUAAGCCGAGUUACGAACAAUUUUUUUUUUCAAAAUUAGUUUUAAAAUAAAUAAAGUUUAUCUUUUGUAUAUAGGUGGUCGUGGACCAUGAGCCUCUACCUAAGUCCAAGUGGUGUGGUCUCGAGCCUUGGCGGCUAGGUGCACAUUUAUUUUUCUAGUUUUGAAUCAUCCGUAUAGUAAUUAAUUCACAUGCAGAUGCUUAGUUAUAUGCAGACAAGAUGAUCCUCCAUUAAUUUACACAAAUGGAACGAUUCCAACCAUUCGAAACUUGUGCUAUUUGAUGAUGAUAUUAAAUGGUGCUAAAAAAUAUGUCAUUUCAUAUGUGAAUCUAUUCAUAGAUCUUAUCUACACAACUAACACAUCAUAAUCAAUGACUGUCAUUACAAUAUUGCGUGACAAAUUAUCGAACUUUCACAUAACAUUAUUUAGGAAAUCUUUCUUUUGACUUUAUGUUUCAUUGUAAUAAUCUAAAGAUCUCAUGAAUCCAUUUCGAAAAUAGAACAUGACUUCAAUUCAAUUUGGCAAUUUAUACUAAUCUAUCUUUUAAUUUGAGGAAUUUCCUUUAUAUUUUCUUGCUUAACAUAAAUAUACUUUGCAUUUUUAAUUUCCAGCCUAUUUCAUUAUUUUAAUUUUGUGAUUGUCAUCAACAAUGAAACGAAUACUAGUUUUAUUGAAACAAUCUUUCAUGCCUAAUUAAUUUAAUCCUUGAGCAAUAAAAAUCAUAUUUCUUUUGGAAUUUAUGGUUGGAAUGUGAAAUAAGAAUCACCCGAAAAAUAAAAAUAAAAUCAAUUUAAGAAAUCAAGAUCGUUACUGGAUGUUUACAUGUAAAUUUAAUCAAUAAAUAAAAAAUAUCUAAAAUUUACCCAAAUUCGAUAAUUAAUUCUUAAAUCAGAUAUGAAUAGCGAAAUUUCAGUCUUUUGAAUUGUGAAAUUUCAAUUUUGAUUCCAAUAAUUUGAUUUAAGUUUCAAGCCUUCUAUUCAUCAAAAUCAAGAUUACACUAGUGUGUGGACAUCUUCUUUUAAUUACACCAAAAAUUAAAUUAUAGACCUUAGAAAAAUCACUUCAAUCCAUAUAAACUUUUGGUAAAAGUUUAAAAUAUCUACUCAAUAAAUCUUAAUGUCUCUUAUGAUUUUUAUAGUGCUAUGUUGAUUUCCAAAGGGAGUACUAUUUCAUGUUUGACAAUACAUCGUUUUCACAACUAACACCAACAAUUUUAUUUAAUUUCUAAAUUAAAAAAGGAGAUGCUAUUUACAUCCACCAUUAUUAUAUUUAUCUACUUUAAAAAAGAAAAUUAUAUUAUAUUUUUAACCUUAUGUAAAUUUACUUAAAUAUCAUUAUAAAAUUAAAUAAAAAUAUAUUAGUCUAAAUUUAUCCACUAAUAUUUAUUUUCAUUAAAUUCUUCUGGACUUUUUAUAUUCUUUUAAAUUUAUGUUUAAAUAAAAUUCUAAUAUUUAUAAAAUAUCCUCUUCGACUAUAGUCAAAACAACAAUGAAAGACACAUCAUAAGGGCAAAUGCAUAUAGACAUAACAAUAUAUGAAAAAAGAAUUUGAAAAAGUAGGAUUGCCUUUCAUUGUAAGCAUAAUGAAUUUAGUAUGUGAACAAUUCUUAAUUUUUGUUUGGAGUUUUGAUAAUAUGCAUUUUAAACUCAAGUUGUAUCAGUAAGAAAUUUUAUUACAAAUUAUUUUAGUUUUCUGUUGAGAUUAUCUUUUUUUCUCUAAAUUUUUUGAAUUAAAAAUAUUGAUAGUUAUAUUUUCUGUUGGGAUUAGUAAAACAAGAAUUUGAGUUUCCUGCAGGGAUUAUCUCUUUCUUUUUUCCCCUUUCUUUCUUUCUUUCUUGAUUUUCUUUCUAUGGAUUUAUAAGGACAAUUUUGAAAUAUAGUGCUUGUUUGGUAGGGAAUUUUGAUAAUAUAUAUAUGUCCCGUUUGGGAGUGAUUUUUCACCCCAAAAAUAUGAUUUUUUGAUUGUUAUUUUAUUAUUCCAAUCAUAAUUUUUGACUUCUUCUUUCACAGGUGGCUCCCACAUUUUUCCUAACGAUUAAAAAAUCAAUUUUCAAAAUCACUAUCGAAUAUGCCUAUAGAGUGUAAUAAAUAUAUAUCUAAUAAUGAGAGUAAACAGCGACUCUAUAAAAACUAUGACUCUUUGAAUGAACAUAUAUUAUUGAAUGACAAAUAAAGUACUAUAAGUUACAAGAUUAUUCCAAAAAAUGUGAGACUCUAGUUGCACAAUUUGAAUAAAAUUCCAGCAACAGUGACAUUAACUUUGAAAGGGACUCAAUUUUUUUUAUUUUUUUUUCAUUACUAUCUGUGAGGUGACACACUUUUUUAUCCUUAAUUUCAACGACACUUAAAAUAAUUCAUGACAUAUAUUUUUAUAUAUCAUACAAUGUCAACCUUAAUGUAUGCAUAGUUGAUAAAAUAUACAAAUAGCAUUUUCCUUUGAAUAAAUGCGUAAAUAAAUAUUUUCCAAAUAAUUAUUCCAAAAAGGAUUAGUCAAAAUAAAUUGAGAUUGUGGUUGCACGAUUUUGGAUGUUUGGACUUCCUGAAUAAUUGUAAAAAUGUUAAGUUAAUUCGAAGAGCUUUGCUGGGCCACACAAUCCAUUGUUAUUGAUCAGUUUCACUGUUGCCUUCAUCGUGUUCUUUGACCCCACCAUGUUGAUUAAUUGAACCAAUGAAAUUUCUCCGUGUUCAUUGACCCCACCAUUUUGUAUAAUUGAACCCAACCACUGUUGGGUUCAAUUAUUGAUCAGUUUGCUGGGCCAGAUGGAUGCUUGGGUUCAAUUAUUGAUCAGAGACAAUCCAUUGUUAUUGAUCAGUUUCACUGUUGCGAUCAUCGUGUUCUUUGACCCCACCAUGUUGAUUAAUUGAAACCAAUGAAAUUUCUCCGUGUUCAUUGACCCCACCAUUUUGUAUAAUUGAACCCAACAACCAGCAGACGACUUUCAUUUAUACAUUAUACAAGUCAAUCUCACUUGCAUUCAUCCCUCUUAACUCUUGCUUCCUAUCUUACAAAAAAGAUAAUAAUGGCUGUAAUCGAAGUUUUUCUAGGUGCAGUUCUCACUGUUUUGCUUGAGAAGCUGGCCUCUGGUGAGCUACUGAAAUUUCUGCGUCAUGUAGGAAUCGACGCCCAGCUGGUAGAAUGGAAGACAACUUUGAAGAGGAUCCAGGCAGUGCUUACUGAUGCUGAAAACAAGCAAACAACGGACAAAGAUGUGAAAGAGUGGCUAAUUGAUCUGGAAGAUUUGGCUCUUGAUCUUGAAGACUUAGUGGAUGAGUUGAAUACUGAAGCCUUGCAGCGCAAAUUAAAGGAAAAUAAAGGCAGCACCAGUAAGGUAAAAAAGCUCGUCCCCACUUGUUGUACUAAUCUUUCUUUCACUGAUUUCAUGUCUGAUCGCGGGAUUGCUUCCAAGCUAAAAGAGGUCAGUGGCCGGUUGAAAGAUCUGGAAGAACAGAAAAAAUUUCUCGAUUUGGUGGAAAAUGUAAGGGGAAGGUCUUAUGGAAGAUUGCCAACAACUUCGCUCGUGGUAGAAUCGAAAGUUCAUGGAAGAGAGAAGGACAAGGAGGAAAUACUGAAUAUCUUAUUUGGUGUUGAAUCAAAUGAUAGUCAAAUAUCCGUGAUUCCAAUUGUGGGCAUGGGAGGUAUCGGCAAAACAACUCUGGCCCAACUUGUGUAUAAUGAUGAAAGAUUGAAGGACAAGUUUGAUCUUAAGGGAUGGGCUUACGUUUCGGAGGAAUUUGAUGCUGUAAAAGUAACAAAAAACAUUCUUGAGUCAGUUUCUUCUGGUGGAAAGUGUGAUUAUGAAAAUUUUGACACGCUUCAGAACAAACUAAAGGAGAGCCUUUCAAACAAGAAAUUUCUAGUAGUUCUAGAUGAUAUUUGGCAUGAAAAUUACGAAGAUUGGGAGAUCCUAAGCCGUCCUUUUCUUGCUGGAAAACCUGGAAGCACAAUCAUCAUUACCACUCGACAAGAAAGGGUGGCCAAAAUCAUGUCUGAAAUUCCAGCAUACAAUCUGGAUCUGUUAUCAGAGGGCGAUGCUUUAUCAUUGCUAGCUCAACAUGCAUUUGGAGCUAAAACUUUUGACGGUCAUCCAGCUUUAAUAGAGAUUGGUAAGUCUAUGGUAAGAAGAUGUAAGAUGUUGCCCCUGGCAGUAAAGGCCCUUGGGGGGCUUCUUCGAGUUGGUCGUGAAGAUUGGGAAAAGGUGUUGAAAAGUGAAAUCUGGAUGAAUGAAGAAAAUAUUGGAAUUCUUCCUGCUCUAAAACUGAGUUAUCACCAUCUUCCUCCGGAAUUGAAAAGAUGCUUUGGUUACUGUGCUCUCUUUCCCAAGGACUACGAAUUUGACAAGUUCCAACUAGUGUACUUUUGGAUGGCUGAAGGUCUUCUGCAGGAAACAAAGAAAGAUAAGUUAAUUGAAGAUGUUGGUAGUCAAUAUUUUGAUGAACUAUUGGCUAGAUCAUUCUUCCAACAAUCAAGUGCCAAUGCUUCACGCUUUGUGAUGCACGACCUCUUUAACGAUCUAGCUAUGUCUGUUGCUGGUGAUAAAUGUUUGAGGAUGGAUGAUGAACUGCAGGAGAUUUCUGUAAAGGUCCGUCACUUGUCAUUCAAGCGCAGGAUGUUUGAAACUUAUCCUAGAUUUAACUUUCUUGACAAAGUUCAAAAGUUGAGAACCUUUUUGCCACUACCUGUUGAGGCGUCAUUUAAUUACUUAUCCCAAAGAAAUUUGCUUCACCUAUUCGCAAAUUCAUACUGCUUAAGAGUGCUAUCCUUGAAUGGUUAUGCCAUAUAUGAGUUGCCAGAUUCUAUUGGUGAUUUAAGACAUUUAAGAUACCUGGGCCUAGCUGGAACAAGACUGAGGUGGUUGCCUGAAUCUGUGUGCACUCUUAUCAAUUUACAAGUGUUGAUUCUAAGUGGUUGUAGUAGACUUACCAAAUUACCCACAAGCAUGGAAAAUCUUGUUAAACUUCGGUAUCUGGACAUUACUCAUACUUGCAAUUUACAUGAGAUGCCUCAGGGAAUUGCUCAACUAACAAGUUUGCGAACGUUAACUAAGGUGACUGCAAGUAAAAAUAAUGGAAUGAGUUUAAAGGAGUUGGGCAAUCUAUCAUUUCUACAAGGUAAUAUUUCUAUUGAGGAAUUGCAAAAUGUUGUGAAUGUUAAAGAAGCAACGGAAGCAAGGCUAAUGGAUAAGCCAAGCCUCAACGGAAUAAGGUUGGAAUGGAGCGCAGGCUUUGAUGAUCCUCGGAAUAAAAUUUUAGAAUUGAAUGUGCUUAAUGCAUUAAAGCCCCAUAAGAACUUAUCAACACUUGAAAUCAAGUAUUACGGGGGUGAGAAUUUCUCUAAUUGGAUUGAAGAUUCAGCAUUCCUUAAGUUAGCAAGGAUAAGCUUUGAAUAUUGUAAAAAUUGCACGAUUUUGCCACCAUUAGGGCAACUACCUUUGCUAAGAGACUUAAGCAUUCGAGGCAUUGAUCAAGUAAAAGUGAUUGGAGCUGAAUUUUAUGGAAAUAGAGGCCAUGGAGAAUUACCUUUUCCAUCACUCAUUAAUCUGACUUUUAGUGACAUGUCUAACUGGGAGGAAUGGGUUGGAAUAGGAGGUGUUAUCCAACUUCCUAAGCUAUGCUCAUUGAUUAUAACUGAUUGUUCAAAAUUGGUCAGUCUUCCAAAUCUUUUACUGCCAUCCCUACGUCACAUAAAUGCUGCUGGGUGUAAUGAGGUGGUGCUAAAUAGUAUGCAGAAUUUGAAAUCUUUAACCAGCAUAAUAUUGUGUAGAAUUUUCGGAUUAACUUCAAUUAUCAAAGCAUUUGUACACUUUCCUUUUACACUUGAAAGUGUCACAGUUAAUGAAUGUCACAACCUUGUGACUCUAUGGCCAGGUGAUAGUACUGCACGAAACCUAGUUGACCUACAACGCGUGGAUAUUGACAGUUGUCCUCGGCUAUUGUCCCUUCAAGAGAUUGACGUUCUUCCCGAUCUUAGGAGACUUUAUAUAAGAAAUUGUGGAGCUCUGGAGUUGUUGCCUCAUAAAAUAUCUUGUCUUGAGAGAUUGUCUAUCAACAAAUGUCCAUCGUUAAGGACGAUGAUGAAGCUACAGAAUUGCAACAUCUCGCUCGAUUAUCUAAAAAUUUCUCGUGUGAAUUUGAAUUUGGCAAAUUUACUAGGCUCUGGCUCCAAUUACCAAAGUCUCACUCAUCUACAAAUACGGUCUUGUGAUGGUCUAGAAUUGUUUCCCAAUGGAGGCUUGCCCACACCAAAUUUAAAACUACUAAAGAUAAUUGAGUGUCAACAUCUCAAGUCGUUACCUGAUCGGAUGGAUCUACUUUCAUCCCUUUCGUUCCUGGGGGUGUCUUCUUGUGCUUCAUUGAAGGAACUCUUUCCCCAGGAGGAUAUUCCCCCAAAUCUGUGUCACCUUGAUAUCAGAAAUUGCGGAAAACUAAAACCCCCGGGGGAGUGGGGCCUACACAAACUCACCUCUCUUCAAACCUUUGAAUUUGGUGGAUGUCUAGAGCUGGUUUGCUUCACUAACAAUGCUGACGAAGAACACUGUGUGCUUCCUCCAUCUCUAACAGCUUUGUCGUUGGAUGACCUGCCGAAUCUCGAAACACUAUCAAGGGGCUUCCAAAGCCUCACCUUUCUUCAACAUUUAUGCAUCUCUAGAUGCCCAAAGCUUGAGGCGUUGCCUAUGGGAGACUAUCUUGAAAAGCUUUUGAGCCUUGACAUUCAAGGCUGCCCACUUCUUAAGAAACGGUGUUUGAAGAACAAAGGAGACUACUGGCCCAUCAUUGCUGACAUUCCGGUCGUCGAAAUUGAUUCCCGAUCCAUCUAUGAUCCAUGUCCAUGAAUUCAAUUACACGAGGUAACAGAUUUAAUUUGAUACCUAUGAAUCUCAACAUCAUUUCAUGCAAAACACUUCUCGACAUUUCUGUCAAUUUUGUUUUCAAACAGAAUGUGAAUUUUCUGCAGCAAAUAGUGGAUCUCCCUUUCUGCAAUAGCUAUUCAAGUGUUCAUGCCACUCUGUAUCUUAUAUUUGUGCUUCUGCUCUGCAGCAUAAAUCAAUAUCAGAGCCGAUGUACCAACAAUCAAGUAACUGAUCGGCUAUGGCGCUAAAAUUAGCCUCUUUUUGUACUAACAGUAAGAUUCUAUCAAAUAGAUAAAAUCGGAGUGAUAAUUGUUAGUCGAAUGUGGUUAAAUUAUUAAUAUUUUGAUUCGAUCUGCUUUAGCAAACUGGAAAUGCAUUGAUUUGACUUACUGUAUGUUUAUGCAUUUUUGGGUUUUUAUGUGGCAUGCGUUUUUAAACUUCUCUUGUAGAUUGGAGGUUCCUACGCCAUUUGAAUGGAACUAAUAAAAAUGACAUCGUUUUGGUGUAGGCAUUUUCUGAUUACUUGUAAGAACACAAGAUGGAAUGAAUGUGUCUCUUCAUUAGACCUUCAAGUAAGUUUUUUGUUCGAUUCUUUUGCGUUUUAAGUGUUUGUAUAAAUGCCUCAGUGAAAUUAUAUGGCUGGAUCUGUGACUGAAGCUAUGUUCUUGCCUUUAUUAUUAUUAUUAUUAUUAAUUUCAUGAUUUUAGUAAUAUUUUCUGAAUAAUUCUUUGAAUGAACUUUUCCUUUUGGGGGUUUCCUUCCAUAAAUGUCAAGAAAUCUGUUUAGUCUCUGAAAAUUGUCUUGACUGGCCAAAAAUCCUUUCUCGUGUGAUUUUGGUGUGGUUUAAGGUAUGAGGUACCAUGUUUUACAAUUGCUAUUUUAAAAAUUUUCUUGAUUUUAUUAGAUUAACCUCUGCCGAUUGUGUAUUACAUUCAUCCGUAUGAAUUGGAUGUUUUAAUCCAAUCUGAAGAUUUGAAUCAUUGCUUCACAAUUUCAUGCAAUUAAAUUAAGAAACCGAUUAAUUUUUUAUGUGAAUGCUUUUUAAUCGAAAACUUUAUUUCAAUUUGGAAAGUUCAAUCAUUUUAAGUUUGCAGUUAUACCUCUUGCUGGUAUGCAUUUUUUUAAUGUUAUUAAUUCAUUCUAAUUCUUAUGGAUUCUAUUUCUUUGUAUGGGACUUUUUCACUGGUUAUAAAUUUUGGCUUCUUUGAAUUUUCACUUUCGUAUUUAUUUAUUUAUUUAUUUAUUUUUGGUAAAUAUUUUAAAAAAUGAUUGAUAAUAUUGAAUUAUCCUAGACAUUCUAUAACAUAAUAAAUUGAUGUACUAAUUUGUUAAAUUCAAUUAUUCAGUAUUCUGUUUCUUAAUUUAGUUGAUCAAGUAGGUUAUUUUUUUUUUUUAUCCUAAUCUGGAAUAUAUGUGCUCAGAAUGUCGCUGUGAGCAUAUUGCCUGUCAAGAAGAAUCAUUUGAGUUGAGGACGAUAAGAUGUUACAUUUUUUAGCUAUGCUGUUUUUCAGCUUACUCCAACUUGAACUCGGUACAAUUUUAAUUUUUUGAAUUAAUUCAGUUUCCUUCAACUGAUGAAUUAUUGCAGUAUCAGUGUGAGUUUGUGUGGUUAUUUCAUAUUUGCCUGUGAUUUUGUAUUAAUCAUUUGAGUUGAAAUCCUGACUCGGAUUUAUAAUCAUUGUGGACCCAAAUUGCUGAUUUUAAGAUGUGUUUUUAUAGUAAACUAAUUGCUGAUGUCAAAAUUCUUUUCAUUAGUUUUGGGUUGAUUAGUUAAUAAGUUCUUCUGUCUUUUACUGUUUGGGGAUUCAGCAUGUGUUUCAUUAAUUGGUUCUAUUCUUUUUUUAUAUGGUAUGUACUGACUUCAAUUUGGCAAUUUCUUGGGGAUAUCUUUUUUGUCAAAUUGUAUUUUCACAGAGUUCAACUGUAAAAAUGUGAAAUAUGUCCAAUUAUUUGAAUUUUUGUUGAUAUUUUGAAAUUGAUAUUAUGUAUUGAUGAGCCAUCAAGUUAAAUUUAAAACGAAUUCCAUGUUGCAAAUGCUAUUUGGAAGUUGAAUUUGCUCUGCUGGGUUGCAAAGUAUACUUGAAUUUAUUUUAUCAAAAGAUGAAUAUUUAUCAUCUCUUAGUUUCCCCUUCAUUGUCAUAUAUCUUUACGAAAUUCUUGUAGAAGUAUUUAGAUGAUAAUUGGAUUGUGUUGAUAAUGUAGCUGGAAGAUCAUACGAGGAAUUUCAGGAAAAUAGGUUUUGUUGCUUGAGUCCAUUUUAUUUAAGGUGUCCGGAAAAAAAAGGUUGUGUGAGUGUGGAAAGUAUAUCAUCCUUGCGCGUUUGGAUCUGUUAUUCAUAUUGAUAGAUGGCAUUCCGUGUGUGGAAGCAUAUUUCACUUAAAACAUAUAUUCACCUUGUGUUGUUAGGUAACUAUUGUAGCUUUUCACAUCUGCUUUCGUAAUGGUUUAUUGUUGUACAUUUUAUAGGCUAAUGUUGCUAGAAGAAAAUCGAAUUUCUUUCUGCUCAAACGAUGGAAUGAUGAUUGAUGGCAUCACCUGGUUGCUGAAAUGAUAGGAUUGUCGUAAGUUUUAACUUGCUAUGUAUAGCUUCAUUUCUUGCUUUUAGUUUUGGUCGACUUCAACUCUAUUAAGUAUUUUGAGCCAAAUAUUUUUUAUUAACAGCAUCAACAUAAUUAAAUUUAUUUUACUCUUGAAACAACAAAUAUGUUUCCUCUUCCUUUUUGAUGGAAGUUACAUCACAAUAGAUCUGUCUUUUAUAUGAAGAUUUUCUUCUUCUCAAUUGCUAUUGCACACUGUACUUGAUAUUAGUUGUGGGUCUGGUAGCUUUAAUGCUCGUCUUCUAUCGCUUAAGCUGAUGUGUGACAGCAUAUGAGCCAACAGGUAGACAUGUUCAAUUGGCACUUGAUAGAGGUCUCCCUUCAAUCAAAACUUAAUCUAAAGACAGCUCCCUCUUCAUCCUUUGUCAUAUGAAGUGGUUCACUGCACUCAAUGUAGCAUUGUCUGUGAUAACAAAGGUAUGAUCUUCAUUAAGGUUUGGGGUUUUGUUUUUUUCCAUUAAAUCACCAUUUCUUCAUCAGAUUAAGUGCAGUGGUUUUUAUUGAUUUUUCACCGAUGAAAAUUCUUGAAAUUAAUUUGACAUUUAGCCUAAUGUAGUGCGAACUUUUCUGUGGUUUUUGCUAUUUUUUGCGUGCAUUUCUAUUUCUUUUUUGUUUAUCACAUUUUGUUUGAUACUAUAGUUAUCUGUAAUAAAUUUUGCAAUGGUAAUAUUAGGCUUGCUGUAAGGAAGGCCAAGAAGGAAAAGAAAGCGAAUGAUCCAAACAAGCCAAAGAGACCUCCAAGUGCUUUCUUUGUUUUCAUGUAUGCCCAUUUGCAUUUUUGGUCUCUAGCAUUUCUGUCUAUUGUUCUUAUAUAUUAUCUUUUUUAUGCUGCUUGGCAGACUACAACAAUAAUUUGGUAAUCCAUCUAUGAGAAGCACGGUGUUAUACACAGUUUAGUUUGAAUUGUGAUACUGAAACGAUUUGUGCCAAACUGUUUUUAUAGGCUAGAGGGGCUGUUGAAUUCGACAAGGCAAAGUCUGAGGUUAAUGGUGAUGAGGACGAUGAGAACAGUGGAGACGUUAGUUGAAAUUAAGCUCUACAACUUUUUUGUACUUGAAACUUAGCUACUAUGCUGACUUUUUAUUUUGUUUUAAUUAAUUUAGGAGGAAGAUGAUGAGUAAGCACUAUCAUGAAGAAUUAUUGUGUAAAAUUUGGCUUCAGGUGAAUUUUACUGAAAUUAAUUGAAAGUAAUUAUCAAUAAUACUCCUUUUUUAAUUUUUAUUUUUUAAAGUUGCUAAUGUGUUUGUUCUUCCUUUCAGUGAGGGAACAAGCGUCUCUUUGCCAUUAACUUGGGGCAAAAAAAGAGAGGAAACGUAUGCCUUGUUUUUCAUUAUUGCCUAUUGGUACACAAGACGUAUUUAGAGGAAAGGGGUGGAGGAAGAGGGGGUUGAGUGCUUGUAGACCAUGAGCAAAAAAUGGCAGACUACAAUAAGAAUUUGGUAAUUUCAUCUAUGAAAUUCUCUAUUACAAUGCACUACGUGCAUCUCACAUGCGAAGAACUAGUUCGAUAAAUAUUCAAUAUUUUGCAGCAAGCUUCAUAUCUUGUUAAAUUUUGAAGGUCCUUCCUUUUGUGAAAUCAUUUAAGUUAAAAAUGUUAAGAGAGAAAAACAUUAAUUUAUUAAUAUCUUCAAAACUCUUCUUAUGGUGCAGGUAGAUUUAAUUUUUCUAUAAACAUUAAAUUUCUGACUUUGAUGGGGAUGAUGUUAUUAUUUUACAGAUUUUCAUCUGGUCGUCCAUUACCAAUACAAUUUCGAGACUCGAUUUGAUUAGAGACUAAUAGCUCAGUCAUCUACCAGGUCAAGAAAGUUAUUAAUUGGGUUAGUUGCUUUAAGCUUGUGGGCUGACCACCUAUAUGCCUGCUUUGCAUAUAUUUCGUUGCCAGCUCCAAUCCACAUCAUUUGAUGACGUGUUGUUUACACCAAAUUUGACUUGUACACAAUAUCUGUUACUACGAGAGUUAGAGAGAGAGGCCAAUUCAAACCAUCAUUUGGUGACACAUUUUUUAAGAGCAAUCGUGGAACCUAUAUUUGUUAAGUGAAGUCAAUGUUAUGCUGAAGCAAACAAAAGAUUAUGACGAUUGAGGAUGGUCAAGUUCACAUUUCACUUCUUAUCUUUCCAUUCUCUCUCUUUUAGAGUAAAGAUCAUUUGUAGUAUUUCGUGGCUACCAAA